rnacentral:lncRNA from 1 species
UGAACGUCCACAUGAUAGGUCCAUCAAUGACAUAACACUCUUAUUAUAGAAUUUCGCUUGAUGCCUCCAAAUCAAACCUCAAGUCAUUCCUUUACAUGUGACAUUUUGAUUAAUCAAGUGCAAACAAUAACAACAACACAAGAAACCUACACAUAAAAAGUCCCUGGUUUAAUCCCAGGACCUAAACUUUCAUUGAAAUAGGAAUUUGGAUUGCACCAUUAUCAGUUUUCCAAGUGCAAUUUCAGUACAUAAAUCAAACUAUUUACAAACAAUGGUUUGCCCUAAUCAAUAAAUAACAAUAGCCUCGUCAUCCUUUUUGUCAACAUAGACCACAAAAAGAAACAUCGGGCAUGCAAACCCCACAAUUUAUCCAAAGACCCCAUCACCAUUUUCAAGCACUUGUGACCAUUUUGAUGUCUUCUUCAGCAAGGAAAGAGCUUGUUGGGUACUUUUGGUCCUUCUUUGUUGGGUAAGAAGCCUCCAUUGCAAUCCCACACUUGCCAGUGUAUGUGGUAGCCACGUUUCUCUCUAUCUUAAAAUAUCCACUCUCACCCCAAUUGGUGCCCCAUGAGUUCCUUACAAGCCAAUAGUCUGUUCCAUUCUCCGUGCCAUACCCAACAGCAACCACACCAUGGUCCAAAGCUGACCCACAUUCACCAGUAAACACACCCUGCCAAUCACACGGCCGAAAUACAAUGAGUAAUUUACAGACAUGUUAUGUUGUUAAGACUGUUAUAUUUAAAUACGCGGUGUCAUAGGCAUGCAGGUGCUUACCGACUGGUAGAGUUGUAGAGCCAUGCCACCAGCUUCAAUAGCAACGCUAAUGGGCUGAUGUGCCACGGCUUUCUUCAAAGCGUUCUCAUCGUAAGCAGGAACAUCUUCGUAUCCGUCGAUGCUAACGACCUUAUUGUUCUCCUGCAAUUUAUGAUUCAAAAAAAAAAAAUUGUUUGUUAAGAAAAAAGAACGUUACCCUAAAAAGAUUAUUGUAAUUAGGUUAAUGGGGAUUGAAAAUUGGGGACUGACCAGAGCAACGUUACAUUGUUGGUCGUAUGCUUUGUAAGGGUAGUCUUUUUCAGUGUCCAUGCCACCGUUUUGGAUGAUGAACUCAAAGGCAUAGUCCAUGAGGCCUCCGUUGCAGCCUGCGUUGUACGACCUGUCGCAGUCAACAAGCUCUUGCUCUGAAAGGGAGACCAAUUCGCCUGUGACUAUUUGGUUUACGCCUUCCACUGCUGCCACUGUCGAAAAAGCCCAGCAACUUCCUGCACCCAACAAAUUUCAAGCUUUUUGUCAGAUUUGUUGGCCCAUGUAGGCCCAAUGGGCCUAAUGGUGGUCCUUAAAGGCCCAAACCAAACAUGGAAAGUUGACUCCUCUGCAACUGAUGAGAGAUACAAUUUUAUUUUUUUUAUAAAUACAAACGAUAAUUUAAAUUAAUAUAAUCAACAGCAUCUAUACGGCUGAUGAAGUCACCCAGCCCAAUAAUACCGUUUGUUAUAAACUGCGAGAAAAUAAAUAAAAGACUUUUAAAAACUUUUGUUUUUUAUUCCUUUCUUUACGAAUGAAAAAGUAAUAUUCUAAUUCUGCUUUCACGUGAGCUGUCAGGAAUCUCAACUUCCAACCGAAAGUCCAAACUACUAGCAAAGCCUUGUCUGCCUACCUUUCGGUGGAUCAAUAAAUUCAAUAGUGGAGUGUCACGCAGGGCAUCCAGUAUCGUUUACUUUUCCUUUGUGGACAGAAAAAUAAAUAAAAAAGUUGAAGCAUACUUUGUAACAAAGAAAUAAAAAUAAAAGUAGAAAGAGUUGGUGUUGAACACAAAUAAUCCGAUUUUAAUCCAACAAAUCUGUUUAAAUUAAAUUGUAUCGAGACUUGAGUCAUAGAUCAAUCCGAACACGACACGAUUAAACAACCAUCUUAGUACAAAGUACCACGUAAAUCAAGUUCCUUAAUCAACCAAACAACUUUUAAAAAAAGGUUACAUAAAAAAAUAAUUAUAAAUUUAAAAUUACUGACCGCAAUUUCCUUGAUUUUUGAUGGGGUUGACGGCGCCCUUGACCCUCCAAUCCACAGAUUCAGGCAACGCCUCACCGACACGAAAGGCAUACCUUUGGCUAGAGUUCUUGGCCUUCAUGACCCUACGCUUAGGGUCACUUCUGGUGCCCAGAAACUUGGCACGGUACUCUUGGUUGGUCAGGUCAGCAAAAGCGUUCAGGCCAACCUUGUAGGGACGGUCCUGGGAAUUGUGCUCAUCGAUGAACCUCAAGUUGUCCUUGAAGAUCUCGAACCUCCUGUCUUCCUCUCCAAUCCCGUUGUAGGUUUUCUGGUGCUUCACAAGCCAUUCUUGGUAGAUUUGUUUGACCUCGGCCUCGCUUCGAGAGCCGACGCCUGAGGCAUAGGAUGAAAGGGUGAAGGAGAGGAGGAGGAGAGUGAAGAUGGUUAGGGACAUGGUUGACGACAUGGUUUGGGAAAGAGGGUGUUGUUUGUGUUUCUCCAAAGAGAUGUGUGCAGAAAGGUUAGGGGUCCUUCGGGUUUAUAAAGGAAAAGUCAGGAGAGUUUAAUAUUCAAGAAUAUUGGUGUGUCAUAAAGGAUAAAUAAUGUUUUCGUGUGAAACUUGUUUUGUGAAAGGGGGAGGAUAAAUUUUUGUGUCCAACUAUAAGACCGUCACAUGUUAUAAUAUAAGUUGACCAUGAGUGUAUAUUUUAGGGUUAUGAUUUAUAACUGAAUACUUUAUAUUGUUAAAUUAUGAAUUUUAAUCGGUUCUUACCCGAAUCAACUUAAUCAAUAAUUCAGAUUUUAAAAUAAAUAAGUUAUGUUGUGAGUGUAAUAAUAAAAGAUAUUUGUAUGCCAUUAAUGUAAAUAAAUGGUAUUGGGAAAGGGAGACGAAAGAGGAUUGGAUGGAUUUCAAACUGCCACAGACACACCAUGUGAAUUUAGUCUGGUUUGGUCCAACAAUGUAUGAUGUAUGGACUGCGGAAGCUGCAAUCAAUAAUAAUAUUGGGGCUUGGGAACUUGGAAUUUGCCAAGUUGAAGGAACUCGUCUUCCCGUGCAGGCUGCAGGAAAUGGGUUUUUGCCACGUUGAAUCCACUUACUGGUUAACUUGGAGGUAAGGUUUGCUCCUUCCUCCAUCCACCAGUCAAAGUGCUCGAACAGUGUGCGAACGGGUUAAAGCAGCCUAAAGAAAAGAAAAAGGCCUAUCAUUUUCUUACCCAAAAAAUGGAAAAAGAAAAAGAACAAGUUUCUUCAUCAAGAAGAAGGAAGGAGCAUGAGACUGGAAAUAUAGUUAGAUUCAUUCAUCCAUUUUAUUAUUAAAUCCCCAACUACUUAAACGAGUUACAUUGAAUCAAAUGCGAAGAUGAUCUAAUGGUAUUCUUCAAAAAUUCAUAUAAAGUAUUGACAUUUAAUUCAUAUAAAUAAAAUAAAAAAUCUUCAUGGAUAAGUAAGAAUUACUUGUAUGAGAAGAUAAUAGAACGCUCCAGCCUCAUCAAAAUGAAUAUAUGUAUAUCUCAAACUAGCUCUUUUAUGAAUUUUCCAAAUUCUAUGGAUGGACCAUGGUAUGGAUGGCCCAACUUGAUUGUCUGUCUCUCUUUUACUUGCAAGUUGGAAGGUUGAGUCACGUUGUAUGGAUAUGUAUAUCCAACUAACAGUCACUGCCAUGAGGUGAGGAAAUCAAUCAAUCAAGCAACUACCCGUCACCCAUGACCAAUCAUAUACUGUAUACACUCUCUCUCUCUCUCUCCCUCUUCCCACCAUUCCUCUAAUAAUUACAGCACUCAUUAAUUCGGCCCAUCACACCCGUUAUGGAGGUUUUUCAGUUUAACUCCCAAAACGAACUCCUUUAUACCCAUACCUUAAUUCUAUAAACAUGCAUGAUGACGGAGAGAGAGAGAGAGAGAGAGAGGAGAGUCCUCAAUUGUGAAAGUAUGUACAUAGAUUCUAGUUUUUUUUUUUUUUUUUUUAAUUUAAUAAUUUUAACAAAUGAUCAAAUAAUUACAAGAUAUUUUUAUGAAUGCACACAUUACAAGACUACACUAUCACAAAUCAGAUAUCGAACUCAUAACAAAUAUAUUAUUCAUGUUAUUCCGUGAAUAUCAUAGACUGCAAAACCCCAUAUUUAUACAACACGUUAGAACAAUACAUAGAUCCUAAUUCGUAAUUUUAGAGGGUAAACUAAUGUCCAUCAAAUGGAGAAAUACUUGUCAACAUGCAACAAGUAUCUUACAUCCGCUUAUAUGCAAGACACCCUUUGUAUGCAAUAGGUAGGCAAGUUUUUCUCCUUCGGACAAGAGACGCCUACAGUUAGCGAGCGUUUUUGUUUUUGUUUUUUCCAAAAUUGGGCUUUUUCUUGGAACUUCCAAAGAAUGCUAUCAGUGAGCCUUUUAUUUUGUGACUUCUUAGCAAAAAAACUUGUAUGAAACGGGGAUAGUAUUAUUUUACUAUCUUCGGUCAAUCACAGACUGUCAUGUGAAAAAGUUAUCACACGUGAUAUACCGUGAUUGACCGGAGAUAACAAAAUAGUGUCAUCCCUAUUUCAUACAAGUAUUUCUCCUUCUUUAGGGCUUAAUAAAACAAAUGGGUCUAUCAAAUGGAUUUUUGUUUUUCUUUUGGGUGCGUACAAAACAAAGGGAUAAUGAAAUGUGCCCGAGCAAAGGUUUUGCUCUCAUUGUCUUUGGGCCAUUUAUGGACGUGUCACUCUCAGAAAGAAUUGCAGAUUACCAAGCUUUUGAAAUGAACGGAAAGGCAUUGCUCAGUCAUGUUGCUUCCAAGUAAAAUCACAAAGGCAUUGGCUUGAAAUGAAUGGAAAUUUUAUUACAUUUGGUGAUGUAUCGUUUCUACGAAAUCCAACUGAACACAACUCUAUAAUUCCUAUUUAGAAAAAUAUGUAUAAAAUUUUGAAUACAACUUCCUGCAAGGGAGCAGCAGAUCAGAUGCAGCACGACUCGGUUGAUGUACUUUUCUGCAAGAGGCCACAAUAUCAAGCACCCAAAUCCCCAAAAGAAACAAAGAAUUGUGAAACUACUCAAAUGCACAUAUCAACUGACUCCCUAUUACAGGUGCCUAACUGUACGUACCCACCGAGAACAUUUGCUUUUCUGCCACUUUCAACUAAAAUUACCGUGAUCCCUCUUCAAAUGAAUUUCGUCGAUGCUGAAGACCCAAAGAAGUCUCAAAUUCACACAACUGUAUAUUUUGAGCGUCAAUCGCAUGUGUUUCAGUUUUGUUCAGUAUGCCUUGCAGUAGCCUGCAUGUCGAUCAUUUUUGUCUCGCGCUUUCUCUUGCUUCGAGAACUUUUCUUCACUCUGGUUGUUCGAAUUUUUGUAGAAUGCUUCACUAUGCGCUCUUCAACUCCAGUUUCUACUUUUCCAUCAGAUGGGAGUUCAGGAGGAGCAUCAGGCCAUGGAGUACGUUUCGAUGGUACAGUAAUUUCCAAAGGAGGAUCAAUGGUCCAUCUGUACAAAACAAAAUUCAAACUAAUUACUCAAAUGGAUUGCAGAAUAAACAUGAUGAAAAGCUGACUACAAGGAGAAUCAAACAUAACUAUAGAUCAAACUAUGAUGGUUCAUGGAUGAAAAAUAUCACACAUUUCAAGUGAGAUAAAUUUCACUAUUGACUAUCAGAUCACUAGAGUUCAACAAAGAAAGAGGGACAGACCCAUGAUUUCAGAAUGGGGUGGGCUAGAUUUACUUAAGGGUGGAGGUUACAUUUUGGACUGGGCUAAACCUUAAACCUAUAUACUAACUAUACGGAUAAAAAGGAACAAAAAAUCUCACCUGGGCUUGCCUUGGGACCAUAAACCAUCAACAUCCUUACCCACAAUUAUCGAUUCUUGCUGGGACAAGGAAAUAACAAUAAUACUAAUGUCCUAUUAAAGCAUUAAAAAAACAUAAACUAAAUACUAGGUGCAAUUGCACAAAUUCAUAAAGGAGCGAGGUUCAAGUUUCCAAUCAGAAUUGCUCUCAUGCAACCAAUAACUAAACUACCAAUAGCUAGGUAAAUGGACAUCAAAUAUAAAUCCUAGUUUAUACGAAUAAAAUGUUAACACAAUUAUAUCUGUAAUACUCGAACCAUCACAUGUGGGCCUCCCCGACCACUGCAGAAUUUAAGCAGUAGAUUCAAAAGAAAUUAUAAUGUUGCAAUAGGAAAGAUUUUUGUUGGUAUCCACUGUAACAAGAAACUUAACAAUUAAGAUGUGGGACAACAAUUACAUAUACUCUGGCAUAUACACUACCAGCUAUGAAACAAAACUUUUCUGUCAAACUCAUACCACAACCACCACCAGCUAUGCAUAACCACAAUUUUCUCAAAUAUCAGACACCCCUUCAAAAUGUUAUGGCAUGUUUACUUAACUAAAACCGGGAUGAGAAUUAAUUUAAAUAAGAAGGAACUGGAAUAAGUCAUUAGUCAUUGCCAUUAGAAUAUUUAUCAAUUGUCUACAAUUAGAAUCAGAAUAAGACUGAUUACCACUGAGAUAUUUACUAAGUGCAAAACCAAAUGGGCUUGUGUUACCAAAAUACCUUUCUAUAAAAUAUUUUAUAUUUUCCUUACCUACUUACUAAUAAAAUAUUUCAAAUGCCAAAAUUUGCAUUUACUGAUAAUAAGACUAUCGGAAUACCUAAAAAAUACAAAAAACAGAUACGCCAUAUGUGCCUUGAAUCUAGGUAUGGGAUUCGAAUUUUGGACACAAGUAAAUCACCUAAAUUGGCUGGCAAAUAUCUACCUAUAUCCAUAAAAAACUUUCACAGAUUAUCAAGUAGUUUGCCAGCAUUGUAUAUGAUAGAUAACAUAUAAUAAGUUACUAAGGUAUACAUCACCCCAUUGGGAUUUAUAAGACAUAAAAGGCAAAAAGGGGAGCAUCUUUCAGUGUCACCCCCGAACCUAGCGUGCUGUUCAUCAGCAGAUCGAGAAAUCAUACAAGUUAUGUAGCACAUUCGUACAAAAGUUCAACAAUAGAGCAAGAGCAGCCUAAUAUGGACAAGUUUAAUACUUCCUAACAUUUUUUGAGUAUAUUUAACAUGAUUCAAUAAUAAUAAUGAACAGACCCAAGAUAAUUUGCACAAAUGAAUAAUAGGAGCAACAGAUGAAAGAAUAACCUGGGAGGAAAUUUACUAUCGAAACGGGCUUCAACGCGGAGCCACCAGAUCAAAACUUGCCGCCCACAACUUCCAAGUGGCUCAACCAUAGAUAGGUCCUUCAACAAGAAAAGAGGACUCCCUAUAUCCUCAUCUGCCCCACCUAUACUAUCUAGAUCCUUAACCCACUCUGGUUUAUCUUCAGCUCUAUUCCAAAGCAACCGGGAAUUCAACACAAACCCAGCCCACUCCAGCUUCCUGGGUAGUACGGGUGCUCUAUCAUCAAUGUAAUUUGCACUCUUUCCCACAUAGGGCAACGAAUUAAAGGUGUGCCAACCAACCAACUUAUUGGAGGAGUUACAAGCAGGACCUUGAACAGGCAUUGAUGGGUUCUCCCCAUCCUCCUUUUUAUGAAUCGUGGAGUCAGACAAGUCAUAUGCAUUCUCGGAAUGAGCAACUAUUCCAACCGAAACAGCACCAAACCAUUUCACGUUCUGCAUCUCAUCAAAAAGCUCCAUGCUGUGCAUAUUACUAUCAUCCGCAAACAUCACAAUCCCAUCCAGCUUCUGUUCUCUCACAAUUCUGCUCCAUCACACAAUCCCAAAAGUCAAAUUCAUAAACUAAACGCAACCCACAGUUUAUAACUAAAGAUAUCUUCAAUUGCUUCAUUCUCACAAAAACUAAUAAAAAUCCUCAGUCUAAUUAGAUUAUCCACAAUCAUUUGGUUAAGCUUUUAAGUUUUUUUCUUCCAUGAAAUUUAACAGCAAUCUUCUGAGAACAAUUAACAGAAGUAAAUAAACAGACAGCAAGCAACUGAGCUAAAAGCACUCGAGAUAAACAAAAUGAAGAUGAAAAAACUGAGAAUUCACCUCAAAGCAUGAAGUCGCAUCCGAGCCUCCAACAGGUGACGACCUUCCCAAGUAUUGGGCAUUCGCUGAUCGAACCCAACGUGGAUGAUCCGAAGCCCCGACUUGGAAACAAUCGAGGUCGUCUCAUUGGUAACCCCACCGGCCUCGACGACGAUCCAAACGACGUCGUACGGGACCAGCAUAAGCGAAUGCAUUACGCCAGUCAAAUGUAGAGCUUGGAAGGUCCGAGCGUAAGUGGGAGUGACGGCGAUGACCGUUUUGGGGUUGUUGACUCCGAACUGUCUCCGCUGCUCCCUCUGAACCGUCUCAAUUAUCCGAUGCGCCUUCAUCGUCUCGGUCGGGUUCGGAUGGGGCCAGGGUCUGAUUCGGAUCCCGUGCCGCCCGACGACGACCCGGCUACUGGAGCUCGCGGUGGUGGUAUUCCUGUUGAGAGUGAACUCGAGGUUCGUGAUCGGGUUGGCGGGGAGGUCUAGGGUUCCGGCGAGCUCAGAAGCCGACCGGAAAGGCACCGGAUAGAGAUUCGAAGAGGAGGUGGAGAAGAGGAAGAAGAAAACAAGUCGAGAGAAGCGGAAGCCGAGGACGAGACUGAUGAGGCAGCAGAGGCCAUGGAGCACGAGCCAGAACACGGUCGCAGGAGACUUAAUCACGCCGUCCGACGACGAAUCCAACGGCCCUGAUCCUCUGAAGCUGUUGCUCCGUCUGUUGAGGUAGCUCUGCUGCAACGUCGAGAGCUUCAUCCCUCUCUCUCCCUCCUUGGAAUCCUAGAGAGAGAAAGCAGAGCUAGAAUUUGAAGUGUGGUGGUAUGGUGUUUGCUGUGUGGUCGUCUUGACUAUAUCAUUUGAGUUCCUUUGAAGUUAGUUAAGCGUGCAGACAGGAGGUUGGGGAUGGUGGCGAUGAUGGUGAUUUAAUCUUUGAUUAAUUAGCUAAAUUAAUCAGAGAUUUCUUCGAAUUCACGAAUGAAUAUUGAGGUGGUUAGAUUUGCUUUGCUUUCAAUUUCUUCUGUAUUUCUUGUCUGCUUUCAGACACAAAGCAACGAGAGAGAAAGAGGAGAGAAAAAGAGAGGAGAGAGAGAGAGGCCCAAAAUUGUGGGCCCAGGUGGGCUUUGGUUAAGUUCGGACAGCGAGGGUUUUGUUUUGGGUCUGAGACAGGGAUAGUUUGGUUGGCGAUUUUUUGGUAAGAGGAUUUUCUUUGCUUAAUUACACGCUUUUAAUGCAAGCAACGAUUUUCUUUUAUUCUUUUUUUUUUUUUUAAUAAUCAAUUAAUUUUUUAUUUAAUUGUAUGGGGUUUUUUUUCUCUCAAAGUUAAGAAGGAGAGGGAGGAAAACUCACACACAAAUAUCAUAGAGGUUUGAAAUCAUGAUCAUUUAGGAGCACAUCAAAAGUCUGGACCAAUCCAACUAAUACUUCAUUGAUAUUUAAUUGUAUAGAUUUGCUUCUAUUAGUUGAUGAGAGUGUGACAUUUUAUUAUUAUUUGGUCAACUAAAUGGUUGGUGGAGUGAGACCUAAGGAGUGAGGAGAGUGAUAGAGAUUGACCAACUUUGGAUUAAUUUGGGGAUGGAAAAUUGGAAAAUAAGGGUUUCCAAUUUCAACAAUCAAUUGCUGAUUUGAAGAAGUUGUUAAUGAGAAAUUAGGCUAUGGGAGUUAUUGACUGGUUUGAAAAACAGUUUGUGGGGAAUCUAAUUUGUGGUUUAUAUUUGGGUCUAAUUAAAUGCUAGCCUAUUUUGUAAGAUAUGAAACCUAUUAGGAUGCAUAAUUAGCAAGAUUGACCCAUAACAGGGUGGGGUUGUAACCUGACCCAGGUUAGAUUGGUCCCACUCCCAAAAAGUUUAACUCUAUAUCCGAAUUAAACCAACUUAACUUUGUUGUUUUUGGUUGACCAAAAACACAGUCCUGAACCUGAUGAUCAAAGUUUCGUUAAAAAAAACACACACACACACACACCUGAUGUUCAAAGUGCUACAAGCCCAAAUCCCUCAGGAGGCUAGGGACAGCAGCAAACGAAGAGAAAGGCCCAAAAGCUGAAAAAGGGAUGCCCAACAAUUAAACACAAAUAGACGCAGAAGGAAAAAAAACGGAAACCAAACAUGUCAAAACACACAAAUCUUCAUGAUGAACCCUAGCAAUUAACAAAUCUCAAUCUCCUAACUUGACUUACAAACAGACCUAAGCCAACCACUAAUUUAAAACAUCGAAUAGUUCAUAAGUCAGUAUGAGAAACGUUGAUUCGAAUCAUGUGUGAUUUUAGUACAAAGUCGAGCCAUGACUUUGAAAAAUCGAAUCAAACUAGGACAACACAUAAGAUUUUGAGUCUUAGAGCUCUAGUCUAUUACAUUUUUGGCUUUUUUAUUGCAAAUUGCAAAUUGCAAUGAUGUGCAUAUUAUUUGCAACAAAAAAAAGGGUUCAAAAAGAAGUUGAAGCAAGUGGUAUUUUCCAAAUUGGUGCUAUUACAAUUUUGGGAAAUGAAAGUGAUGUUUUUUUUUUGUCUAAAGGGAAAUGAAAGUGAUUGGGACACAGUAUGAAUGGUAGGAUAUGGGGUUGUUGGGUGGUUAUAAUUAAGUUGAUUAGCUCCACAACACCCUGCAUUGUUUUGUUUGCUUGAGACUGAGGCAAGCAGUCUCUCUCAGCCUUAAAAUAAGAAGAAGAAAAAAGAAGCAAGUAUGAGGAAAUCAAAUAUCAACUGUAAGUAGUUAAUAGCAGUUAUCCUUACAUUUGAAGUGAAGUCAUAUUUUCAAAUCAUCCUCCAAUAUUACUUCUGUCGGAAAAAUAAUGUGUGUAUUUGUGAUUUAGUCAUAUAAAGGCACCAAAACAACUUGAAUUUGAUUAAGAUAAAAUCUCAUUGCUAAAAAUUGAGAAUGAUUUUUGCUUAAAUUUAUGGGAACAAAUAAGAGUCGGUAAGCCCAGCCAAAAAAAAAUCAAGUCGGUGCACGUUUUAUAUAUGGAUCAAUAAUUUUCUUUGUUUUUUCCUUUCUUUUUUUAAAUUCAAAAUUGUAAACCAGUUAUGAAAAUGCUUGGGCCUGGUUUAAACCGUGGGCCACAUCUCACAUUUGCCCAACAUAAUAACCCAGCCCAAGUGAGAAUAGUGGACCUAGGAUAGGGAUGGCAAAAAUCCCUGCGGGGGCGGGUCCCUGUCGAGUCCCAGACUCUAAUGAGAGGAGAUUUCGGGGUCAAAUAGAUAUCGGGUACAGGGAUCCCCGAACUUAAAAAAUCCCCGACGGGUAUGGGGAGGGGAUGGUAUUGGCGUCCCCAUCCCCGAAUCCGACCCGAAAAUAUAUAUGUUUAUAUUUAAAUAAAUAAAUAUAUAAUUAUAAUAUUUAUGUUUAACCCUAAGUUAAUCUCUCUCUCCUAAUUCUUCCUAAUCUUUUCUAGAAUUUCAUAUUGAUGUGAUUUUGAAUAGUUGAGUUGAACUUUAUAGUUAAUUUGGAUGUGUUGAAUGAUAAUUUAAUAUGAAACUUAAUGUUAAAAUAUAUGAUAAAUAUUUUUUGUGCAAAAAAAAUUGGGGAUUCGAGGCGGGUAUGGGGGAUAGUCCCCCGACAGGAACGGGGACGGGAAUUCCCCGAAACCUAUUAAACGAAGAUAGGUUCGGGGAUGAAGAGCGGGGACGGAGAUGGUAUUGUCAUACCCGGCCCGUUGCCAUCCCUAACCUGGGACUUGACUAGCUUCACAUUAUAAUAUUUGUUUGAAUUUAGUACUACUUCUCAUAAUGUUGCAAAAGAAAAACUACCAGACCAAGCGUUAGUAAGAGCAUUUAUAAUAGGCUCUCUAAAUCACAUUUUUAGACAAAGUUUGAGGAGGAAUUAGAAAAAUACAAUCCAACAUGCUCCCUAUCCACCUCCUAAAAUAGGAAGACCUCUAGAAGCUCCUAAAUCUGAGGAGAGAGAAAGUAGUCAUAGUGGCUCCCUAUAAUUUAAUGCUGCUUUAUUUAAUGAGUAUUUCAAACCUUUAAUUAAUGCUAAUUAUUUUUAUAUUAUUUUUAAAUAGAGAUGGACCAAUUAAAAAAGAAUUAUAGCAUUUAUCACUCCCUAAACUAGAGAGCAUGAUUGAAGUUUAAAUUUUAUAAAGAGCUCCUAAGAUAACUUUUAUAUGUUUUUAGCUAAAAUUUAACUAAAAAAUAGAAAGCAUGAUUGUGGAUGCUCUAAGUAGAUGAGUAAAAGCAUCUCCAACAAUAGUAGCAAACAAAAUCUUUAAAUUAAAGUUUGUUGACCUACUUGGCAAUUUGAAAAGCCUUAUUUGCUACUUGAAUAAUUUUUGCUCCAACAAAUUCUUCAAUUCAAUUAAUGCAAUAUCAUUAAAAAAUAAAUUAAAAAAAUGAAGAAAAAAAUUGUUUUAAAUGUCUAUGUAUUUAUUAUAUGAAGAGAAAAAAUUGCAUGUUUUUAACAUUUUCAAGGAAGGUUUUAUUUUUUUCAAAGCAAAUGUUUGAAGAGCUAAAGUCAACUUACCAAUCAUGAAGAGAAAGAAAGAGGUUGCAACUUUGAUAAAUGGUUGUUAAAGAUAAUUUUUCUAAUGUGACUCACUUGUUUUAAAAUUUUAAAACUGUUGAAAAAGCUAUUAUUGGUGCUCAUCAAAUUCUAACUUACCCAUUGAAGUCGGUUGACUAAUUUUGGACGUGAAUAAUUUUUGUUAGCUUAUUCAUACAAAGUAUGUUGGGUUGGAAUUCCAAAACAUCAUUAUUUCCUUCAACACCAAGGUUUCUCAUAAGAGUCACAACUAGGCUCCACCAGUGAGAGAAAAACCAACUUAUCUUUCGUGUAGUUAUUGUUUAUGCAAGAAUUUAACUAUGUAUAGCUUUGACUAUCUUCCCUUGCCUUUUCCCAUGCUGAAGACUAAACUAGAAGCUCAAGAAUAUAAAGUGGACCUCAAAACACAAGUUUCAUUAUUAUUAUUUGAACGUGUGGUUUAAAUUCAAGAAACAAUAUAAGUCUGGUAAAAUAACAUUACUCGUAAUUUGAGUCUCGUCCACCGUCCCAUGAGUCAAAAAGGAACAAAUGAAUAAGAAACGAAAGAUAGGAGGGGAUGGUUGAUGGUUGUGGAGUUGGUGAAUAAAUCCAUUCGAAUUCAAACGCCAUAUAUUAGAGGUUUGUCCAUAUACAUUUGAAAUGGAUAUGGGAUGAUGGGAGUGUGUUGGAUGAUUAGAUCAAUAAUGUAAUAACAAGACACAUGCAUGUGAGUUGUGACUGGCUUACAUCGUCCCAUAGUGGUUAUCAAUAAAAUUCUCCCUUACCUACCCGAUCACAAUUCACAAUCAAAUUUUAUUCUCUUUUAAGAAACCACAUGCAUGCUUCUUUGUUCUUCUAUGGAAACCAAAAAGCAAUGCUCGACUUUGGAUUUAUAUUCCUAAUCCCUCAUCAUGAUAGAGAUCCUCUUCACGUAAUGAGUGUUAUAGACAUAAAUAUAUAUGCCUAGCUUUAAACAUAGUUUAUCUAACUCAAAAUAUUUAUAUGAUCCGUGGAUAUAUUAUAUAUGCAAGCACAUUUUAUUUUAUUUUCAACUACCAUGCUAGAUAUUGUCUCCUCUUCCUCUACUUAAUCAAUUUUAUGAAAACCAAUUAAUAACAAGAUCCUCUUCCUUCAAAUGGAUUAAGAAACUCAGACCCCAAGUUAGCCAAUGUGAAAGCUUAAUAUAGAAUCCGUAGGCUUCUGGUUUAAUUUACUUUGUGCCUCUUUCAAGUUGUGUAUUUCCAAUAUAUAUAUAUAUAUAUAUAUAUUUUAGUUGAUUUAUACUAUUCUUUGGUUUAUAAUCUAAAAAAUUAUGGAUGUUACGUCGGUAUUUAAUAUUAAUUUUAAACAGAGCUUAAGCAUUAUUUAAGGAUGAAUUAUGGAUGUUACGUCGGUACUUAUGGCUAUUGGCCGCCCCUGUAAAUUACUGACUUUUAGGUGUGAAGUCAAAAUUUAGGCAGCCAACUUCAACACGUUUGUUUUUCCCUCUUCUUAUAAUUCAUAAAUAUCACCAUUUAGUCAAUUUCCUGCAGCUUUCCGGCCAUUGACUUUUGUACCAAACUAGUCAAUCAUAAAUAGCCUAUCAGCCUCACACGUGCCUAUUGCACGGGUCCAAAUAUAUAUAUAUAUAUAUAUAUAUAUAUAUGUAGGGGGCGGAUCCGUGGCACCAUAUUUUAUACAUAAGUUUUGACAUAAUUUUUGGACCAUUAGAUUACUUCACUUUUAAUGGCUGAGAUUAAACCUAACAUGGCAAGACAAUAUAUAUUUUUUAAUUAAUAUUUAUAUAUUGGAAUUAAAAUUCUGAUACUAUAUUAAUUAAGAAAUCAUUCUCUCUCAUGUCAUUAAUUAUCUUUAAUUAAUUCAUUCUCUCUCUUCCUUCUGAAGAGAAUUGAUAAUAAAGGCACUCUACCAAUUUUGCUUUGCCUAGAUUUGAACAGUCUAGGUUAAGCAUAUUUCUUCCAUUAAUAUAUUCUACCAAAGAAUAUGCUUUUUUCUUCUUCUGUUUUCCUUGUCCACGUAAUUGGUAACUGCUAAGAGGUUUGUUCUUUUUCUUUUCUUGACAGAUGAGGAUUCAAAUGGCGCAAUCGAUCAAGAAGAGAUGAAAAAAUGUUUUUAUAAACUGGAAGUCUGUUUUACAGAUGAGGAAAUCAGUGAUCUCUUUGAGGCAUGUGAUAUUAAUGAGGACAUGGGUAUCAAGUUUAAUGAGUUCAUUGUUCUUAUUUGCCUAGUCUAUCUUCUCAAGGAUGACAGUAAUGACGUUCACACUGUAUCCGAAACACAAAACUUUUAUUCUACAUAUUCUUUUUUAGCUACCAUUUGUUGCUUUUAAACAAUUCAUAAUAUCAGCACGACUGGAUCAAAACUUAACACUCUCACCAGAGGAGGAGGCGAGAGAGAGAAAAAAGGAGCAGAGGCAGAAGAGGAGGCGUCAAUUCUCUUUAGAAGAAAGAGAGAGAGAGUGAAUUAAUUAAAGAUAAUUAAUGAUAUGAGAGAGAAUGAAUUCUUAACUAAUAUGGUAUCAGAAUUUUAAUCACAAUAUAUAAAUAUUAAUUAAAGAAAAAAUAUUGUUUUGUCAUGUCAGGUUUAAUCUCAACCAUUAAAAGUGAAGUAAUCUAAUGGCCCAAAAAUUGUGUCAAAACUUGUGUCAAAAAUAUGGUGCCACGGAUCCGUCCCCAUAUAUGUAUAUAUAUAUUUGUUUAUGUUAUAAAAUGAACUGGUAUAUAUGCGAAUAUUGAGCUGCACGUAAAGUAGAUGAGACACAGUAUUUAACGAGGUUCGGCUAUGCCUACAUCCCCGGAGAGCAGCAGCAGUAACUUUUUCACUAUGUAAAAUAAUAGGGCUACAACUUUGUGUUUACAAUAUGUAUGGCUCACUCAAUUUUCUCUCUUGGAGAAUUUCUCUCUUGCUUUCUUUCUUCUCAACUCACUCACCCUCAUUCUUCCUUCUCUUCCUCUUCUAUAUGUGUGUACUUCUCUUGAUGGAGGUAUCUAUUUAUAGGCCUAAGACAUUGGUUGUUCACCUCACAAUAUAAUUGGUAGACAACAUCAUUAAUAUUCUUCAAUCAACAACAUCAUUAAUAUUCUCCAAUCAACAACAUCAUUAAUAUUUUUCAAUCAACAACAUCAUUAAUAUUCUCCAAUCAACAACAUCAUUAAUAUUCUUCAAUCAACAACAUCAUUAAUAGUGGGUGUUAGUUGGCUAUGUGGGCUUCACCUAUUCUUCUUUACUUAUUCUUCUUUACAACACUCCCCCUUGGAGACCACAUGUCCCUAGAUUGGUUGCCUCAUUAAAACCUUGCUUGGAGAAAAAUCCAGUGAGGUAGAAAACUGAUGGAAGGAAGAAAAAAGAGUACAGCAAUCUGUAUAGCAUACUUCUGGAUGCUCCCCCUGAUUAAUAUCUCCCCCUGAUGUCUUCAUGACUAUCUUUUGGAGUGAGAAUCUUUCGGAGUGAGUGGAGGAUAUAGCCAUUAAUAAUUCUCGUAGUUGAGUAAGUAAAUAUAUUUCCAGUGAGCUAUCUCUAUGUAAAUCAUAGAAAUUUUCAGAGUCCGCGUUUCUAACAAAACUUGGGCUAUUUGUAAGUUCACUUGAAAGAAUAUGCCCGUACAUGGUGUUAUGCGGAGAUAGCAUCAAAUAUACCUCAGAUCAUCCCAAAAUGAUGGUGAUGGAGUUGAGCCCUAUCUGGAAAAUAUGAUGUCCGGUCCAAUAUACUUCCGGAAAAUCAUUAAAGUGUCCAACUGAUAAUCCUCAUAAAAAUGUUUCAAUACUUUCUUAGUAUAAGCAAGAAUCUCGUUGGCAUAAUGCUCGAUCCUUAAGUCGAGACAAAUAUUUCGUGAAUUCUGCAGAAGCUUUAAUGUGUUGCAAUCACAUUAUAAUCAAUGUACUCACUGAGGUAAUUUAUGCAUAUUAAUAUUGAGUACAAAUUUUGUGCUUCAAGCACAUGUCCUUUAGGGACUUGCUUUAUGCAAUGUCAAUCCUCUCAACGGAUUUUGUUUAAAAGAGAUUAAACUUUAUGACACAUUAUAUAGCUUUAACCCAGCUAUUUAUACAUCUUCAGGAAAUCGCUUCUGGCGAUAUGCUCCGUGCAUUUAAUAACCCUUAAAGAUAAUAUGUUGGUCUCCGUAAUUGUGUAAUAAGGGGGGGCACAAUUGAAUCUGUAAAUAUGGAGAAAAAUCCAACAUUCCUUGUUUCUGCCAGAAACAGUGUGUCAUACAAAGCAGGUAUAUUCUCUUUUAUUCCGAACACCCAAGUAUAAAUUUCAGUAUUAACAUCUUUUGGGGUUCGUACUGUGAGUUUGUUCUUUCACGUUCAUUCUCAUCUAUAAUGGAAUUACCUCAUUCCAUUUUGGCCAAUAAUAUUGUCGACAUUUAAUAAUUGAACGUGAUUCCAAUCAACACAGCCCAUUGAUGAUUUGAGUAGCUACUCCAAAAUAAAAAAAAUUGUCAUUCAUCAAUUCAUGAUCCCACCAUUCUCAUGUGCAUGUGCAUGCAUCAAUUAUAAGCAUUUAUUUGCCUUUGGGUACCCAAGCCACUUCAUGGGGCUUUUAUUAUGUGAGAAUGUGGAUUAUAACCUCCAUUGGAGCGUUAUUUAGCAGUAGGGCGUGGAUAAUCUCCAUUUAGGGAGUUGGAACAUUUAGAACCCAUAUAUCUGUCAUGCUGAAGGCAUGCCACAGAUUAAUACAUUCAUGUCAAUUAAUUGCUGGGACCUUAACCCAUAUUAUGGGACUUUAACCCAUAUAAUUUACUACGCAUUAGGCGUGCAUAAUAUCAAUAUUGACAUGUCAAAGGAUUGUCCUUUCGGGACUUCAAUCCACAUCAUUUGCUACGCAACAGGCGUGCAUCAUAUUGAUCACUGCUAUACCCAUAUUCUGUUCUUAUGAGACUUUAAUCUGUGCAGUGUAUUAUCAAUGUAUCCAACUUGCAAUCUGUAAAAUUUGCAUUAAUAAUUCAUGGAUACAUACAAGCCAUUCUUUUGGAACAGACUUAUCUCCCCAUUUGGUUACCUUUCAAGAUAAAAUAUCAAAUAAGUAUAUAAGCAUAUAAUAACACAAAUACUGCUUACAUCCUUAGGUGGGAGAAACUUUUCUCAAGUAUCAUUCAAGCUCGUAUCGGCCCAGUAAAUAUAAUGUAGCGCUUGAUGAUCUAGUUAUAUCCUGCAAGAGCAAAAUCACAACUCUUUUCUCUGUCAAAAACAAAUAAUCCUCAGAGAAUUACAAAAAGAGAAAAAAUGCAAAAAAAAUUGUGAUAUUGAUUGCAAGAGAAGGUAAGCAAUCAGGGAAGGAAGCUGGUGGGAGCAGACAACAAGCUCAGCAAUCAAGGAAGGAAGCUGGUGGGAGCAAACAACAAGCUCUCAUUUCUUCUAGUUUAGAAGAACUUCCGGAAAUUAGAGUAUAAGGUUGCAUUCACAGUUCCCUGAUGUGGCGGAAACGUGAUCAGGGAUAAUCUCGCUUCCUGAAUGGAUGAUCAGAGAUAGUCUUGCUUCUCGGGCAUAUUGAGUGCUCACUGAUAAGAAAAAUAAGUAGAUAUCGCAUCACUAGGUAUGGAGAAAACUGGAUGUCUUCUGCAAAGAAAAUUUCGUUAGUAACACAUUUAUACACAAAUACAAUGAAUAGAUAGAACCGGUGAAUUUCAAAUUAACCAUAGGAAAAUUGCGAGAUUCUCGGGAUACUUUUGAAAAAGUAGCUCCGUGAAAUCCGUAAAGCAAGAUCGGCUUUUGACGAAAAUAAUACUUUGAAAACGCCGAAAGUGCCGACAAACAUUAAUGGAGGCCACGUGAAGUUUUGGAAUCUGAGAAAGAAAAAGAUAAUAUGGGGAUCCGAAAAGAUAUUGGGAUCCUGAAAAACUGUAGCCAUAUUUCCUCCUAUAGAUAUUGCCUUUGCAAAACUUGAUUGGAGCAACUGCGUUUCAACUUAACUUCCUUCAUUUUCUGAAACUUUAGUUUUCUUAAGGCUUUCUUCGAAACCUUCUUAAAAAUGACUUCCUCUUCUUCCUGCCCAAAUUAUUUCAAUUUAAAUGAUACUCCCACAACAACCAGUGACGCCCAAGUUUGGCGUCCAUCCUUUGUAUCCAAAAAUCGUCAUCUCACAGUUAAUGAUUCUGUGAUGAUGAAUGAUGCUACUGCUGUCAUAGUAGCUAGGAAUUGCAUUACUCCAAUGGAUGAAAUGUUGUUGACAGGGAGAUCAGAGGAAGAGGCUAUUGAUGACUCAAUGGCCUUUAGCAUUCAGAGUGCUGUUUCUAUUUCUAACAUGGCUGAUCGUUUGCGUGCCAGAGCAAACGAGGUUGAGAGGUUAGCUACUGAAAAUUCGUCUCUCCAAAGAAUGCUUCAUGAGUCUCAACAGGAGGUUGAGAAACUUAAAGGAGAGAAUAAUGCCUUGUUGAAACUGGUGAGUUCAUACUCUGUUGAUACACUGAGAAGGCUAGACAUGCUGCAGGGUCUCCAAUGAAAGAAUUUUGGGAGACCAUGAGAGGCUCAUGGCUAAGCUUAAGAGGCGUCGUCCUCUUCCUUCAGAGGCUUCCGGAACAUAAUGUAUUUUUAUAGAUUUUACAGGGCCUGCACCUUCAUUGCAGGAAAAAAUCUAUCUGUUGUAUGUUCCUGUUAUAAUAAUUGCGCACAUUCUUAAACUUGCACUUGUGGUUUUUACGUCUUUUCAAAAUGACGGUUUGGAACCUUGUGCCUUAUAGGUUCAAAUAACCACAUCGACUCUCCCAAAUUUCAUAUUUCAACGUAUGGAACUUUUGGCCUGGGCUAAACGCAAAACUCAGAAUUUAUUCACCCUUUUCAAAUGGACAUGAAAUAUGAAUUGAGUAAAAGCCACGCUAAUAUCUUAUAUAUUUGGGUUCAUGAGCUUCCGGCCCAGAUAUAACAAAAUGUGAGGGGAGCCUCAAUUCAUCAUUCUCUUAUGCCAAAGAAAUAUGUGGCGUACCACAAUUUGCAAUAAUACCUCAAGGGUUGUCCAUUUAAUUGUUGGAACUUCAGGUUCUCAACACUGUUAGAUUUUGAACCUCAAGCCAAAAUCACAUGUUCUCAUGGUAUGGACAUUCAAUCCCCUUAGAUUUUGAACUUCGGGCCAAAAUCACAUAUUCUCAUGGUGUGGACAUUUUUACAAUUUUCUGUACAUAUUUCUGGACUUCAAGCCCUUACAUAAUUGUCCAUGUUUUGAGGAACUUCUGGCAUCUCAUUUAAUUGCUCAUCCAUGAGUUUAAGGAACUGCAGGUUCCCUUUUUUUUUGAAUAGUGAUGGUUUACCCAAAAUGAUUAAUAUUUAUGUAUACGUCACUAUUCAUAUAUCCGAUACUAUUCAUCAAGUCAUGAAUACGUAUCUAUUCAUGUGUACAAUACAUUUGCCAGUACAGUUAUCAUCCAUGUGUACGGCAUUAUGAACCAAUACGGUACUGUUACAUCAUUAAGGAACCCCAGGUCCUUAUUUACAUGUCAGGGAUCAAGGACCCUCAAGUCCAAUUACAUGUUUACAAAUAUAGUACCGGAGAGACUGCCAGCUCUCAUAUUAACAUCAUCAUCAAGGAUCUUCAAGUCCUGAUAUAAUUGUAUGAUGAGGAUCAAGGAACUUCUGGUCCUGAUCUGCAUACUGUAAAAAACUCAUCAUACAACACAUUUAAUCCAUAAAAUAAAUUGCUGGUAAAUAAAUUACUGGUAAAUAAAUUACUGGUAUGGACGAUAAACCCGCACCACACUUUAAAUAAAUGUAAAUGUGCGGUAAAUUAAAUUCAUAAAGUUAAGGUGCUUGUAUGGGCAUUAAUUCUGCUCCAUACAUUUAAAUAAAAGUAAAGGCGUGGACGAUAAACCCGCACCACCCUUUUAAAUAAAUGUAAAUGUGCGGUAAAUUAAAUUCAUAAAUUAAAUUACUUGCUGUAUGAACGUUAAUCCCGCACCAUACCUUAAAUAAAAUUAAAUGUGCGGUAAAGUAAAUUGUGCUUGUAUGGGCACUAAUUCUGCUCCAUACAUUUAAAUAAAAGUAAAGGCGUGGACGAUAAACCCGCACCACCCUUUUAAAUAAAUACUGUUGUAUGGGUAAUAAACCUACACCAUACAGUAAAUAUAAUAUAUUAUAUUACUUUAAGUAAAAGUAAAUUUACAGUAAAGUAAACGUGCUUGUAUGGGCACUAAUUCUGCUCCAUACAUUUAAAUAAAAUAAAUGUGGGGAUAAAAACCACCACAAAAAAUAUAGAAGGUGAAACUGUCCAUAUAAUUACCAUAUAUAAGGAUAAAGUAAAGACAAUUAUUUGUGCAUUCAUAUCAACACCACAAUCAAAUAAUAUGAUAUUAUUAUACUAAUAUAUUAGUGGAAAGCUAGACAUAUCAUGUUGGCUUUUCUUCUUUUCACUUGCAAUUAAGUUGAACUUGUUGUGUAGAGAGAUAAUAAAAUAAUAGAAAAAGUAAGAGGCAUAGAGCUUAUCCUUACAGUUGGUUUGCUCGUAUAUCUCUCUUGCAGACCACAGCUCCUCCACUACUUUUCUUCCUUACAUCAACAUAAGGGUUAGUAGUAUAGAUAAUAGUGCAACACAAAAAUUAUACCUGAGAGCUUCUUGUGCUGAUAACGUGUUAUAAAAUGAACUGGUAUAUAUGCGAAUAUUGAGCUGCACGUAAAGUAGAUGAGACACAGUAUUUAACGAGGUUCGGCUAUGCCUACAUCCCCGGAGAGCAGCAGCAGUAACUUUUUCACUAUGUAAAAUAAUAGGGCUACAACUUUGUGUUUACAAUAUGUAUGGCUCACUCAAUUUUCUCUCUUGGAGAAUUUCUCUCUUGCUCUCUUUCUUCUCAACUCACUCACCCUCAUUCUUCCUUCUCUUCCUCUUCUAUAUGUGUGUACUUCUCUUGAUGGAGGUAUCUAUUUAUAGGCCUAAGACAUUGGUUGUUCACCUCACAAUAUAAUUGGUAGACAACAUCAUUAAUAUUCUUCAAUCAACAACAUCAUUAAUAUUCUCCAAUCAACAACAUCAUUAAUAUUCUUCAAUCAACAACAUCAUUAAUAUUCUUCAAUCAAUUGGGUAGUGGUUUGGUUUGGUGGGUGUGUGGUUAGGUUUAGUGGGUGUUAGUUGGCUAUGUGGGCUUCACCUAUUCUUCUUUACUUAUUCUUCUUUACAACAGUUUAUUUGUUUUGUCCCUUCUUUUGGACGAAAUUUGUUUUGUCGUUAAUUUUUGAAAACAUGACCUUUGGUUACGGAGGAACUAGUGCUGCUAUUUUCACUCCGUCAUAUUCUCUUACUCACCUUAUAAAUUUGAAAAAUAUCAUCUUAUCUUUGAACCACUAUUAUUCCUAAACUACCUUUAAAUUAAUUCAACCAAAUUCUCUUUCCCAAUCAAACUUCCACUCCAUCUCUCUCUCUCUCUCUCUUUUUAUUUUGGUCAAAUCUGAUUUCAUUAAACCACCAGAAGGGGAACGAAACAGGAGCAAGGUCAGCAACAACAGCUAAACCCGCUAAAGACAACGAGACCAAUACAGGAUCAAGAAAGAGAAGAUAAAAAACUAAUCCAAACCAGGAAUAGUAAGUAACGCAGAACUUCUCCACCUAAACCAAAUUAAAACGCAUCACCCAUCGGAGGACAAGGUAAUCCAUCCGAGGUCAGAACAUGAACAAAGGACGCCAGUGGCUUGUUGGCCAAACUCUCUGGUUCCACCGCCCCAAAGCCAAGAGAGAGAGAGAGAGAGAGAGAGAGAGAGAGAGAGAGUGUGUGAUUUUGGGUCAGUAAGGAGAGGGUGGGUGGGUGGGCGGCGAUGAGAAGAUGGUGGGGUGCUAGGGUUUGGGGAAGAGGAUGAGGGCUGUUGGGGAUGGGUGGGUUCUUUCGAAGAGAGAGAUGGGAGAAGAGUUGAAUUUUUAAUUUUAAAGUUUUUUUUAAUAUUUACAUUUUACAUUUUACAUUUAAGGGUAAGGUAAAUGGGAAAAUAGGGGUAGAAAAAAGAGCACUCUACACUAUUGCUGCGUCUGAUUUGAUUGAGUAUAAUUUCAACGCGGAAAACAAACAACACAUGGGCAGGCGCAAGCCUAUACCUAGAAGCAACAUAUUUCUUCACCAUUUUGCUGAUUUUGUUGCUAGUUUUGCGGCCAAUUAUAAAGCUCUCAAACUAUCAUCAACCAUAUCCCAUUCUAAUGCAAUUUCUCAUCAAUCCUAUGCUUUUGUUUACUCAAAUUUUUUGAGGGCGCUACACAAUGCGUUCGAUACUAACAAAUAAAUGUAAGAUUCAGGUAAAAUUUAUAAAUCACACAAAAUUCUGUAUUAGUAACCAUGCCCAAACUAACAAAAUCAUGUGAAAGAUCAUUAUAUAUUGAUCAUCAACCUUACAAGAUGGUGUAUUAAUACUUGGCACAAUAAGUAUAUGAAUACAAAAUUCAUUCUCACGUGUUACUCAUUCUGUCAAUAUCACGUGAACGAAAAGUUCCCACACAAGUUUGUCAUGUCCAUACUCAUCACAUUGGUAUGCCCUUUUAAAAUAUUUGUAUACACAACUAACUCUUAAAUAAAAAAAAGUCUUAAGUUCGAAUUUGCAUGACCAAUUCUCCUUUGAUGGGUUUGGGUCAAAUUUGCGAUGGUUUUGGAGUGUUGUAGAGAGUAGCCUGCAAAGCCUGCACAAAAUGGCAAAUGGUUGAUCAAGGAAACUCCUAGUGUCUCCAUUGCACAUGAAGUCACUCAAGAACCACGUCCGUGGUCGUCUUCCAUUCCAAACUAUAAAAAAGAAAUCAACCCAAAAGGCAUUUCUUAAACAACAAUUUUAACCCUAAACCAUAUUAACAAAUAAAUUUGUAUCACAGCUCAACUUCUUUGGCUCCAUCCAUCCAAAUCCAAUCCCCCACCCAACUCAGUAAGCCACUGUCACAUGACACAAUGAAGAAAAAUUAUGGACGUCUUCAUGAAAGUUGCCCAGAGACAAAGUCAACUCUAUCAUGCUGCCAGACAGCAACUCUUGUCUUUUUCACUCAAAAUUAUUUCCAUUUGGUCACACUCGGCCUCUCUCUCCUCACACAGAUUAUCAGAUCAUCCACAUCACUCUUCAAUCCUACGGCUUGGGCACCAGCUUUGACCAAAUUGAAACUCUGAUAAGACUAAAGCAGAGCAGGUCAAUGUUAAUCCGACACCAAGCAUCAAACCCUCAUUAGUUUAACAAUUUAAACAGCAAAAAAGAAGAAAAACAAAUUGUAAAUAUUCGUGCACUGCCAAAAGCAAAGCUGCUGCUGCUGUUUCAAUUGUGUGGUGUGGUUGGAUCUUAUUCGCACCUACAUCUUGACGGCAAGUGCUAGUGGGCCACCGGAUAUAGAUGCCAUCAUUUUGACCGUAGACGCAUUACAACAAACACUUCAUAGGCAACCCUUUAUCAACACCCCUUCUUCAACUUCUUUUACGCUUUUCUUUCUGCUUUGGCUUUCUCUCUCUCUCUCUCUCUCUCUCUCUCUAUUAGCUUUUUUCUCUUUGGUUCUCUGUUUGGGCUCUUUUUUUCUUGUUAUGCUGAAGAGGGUCAGAGAUGGCUGUAGAUUUUAUGGGUUAUAGGAACAGCAGCUUCUCUGCGAAAUUGGAAGAGAACGCGGUGCAAGAAGCAGCUUCUGGGCUCGAGAGCGUUGAGAAGCUUAUUAGACUCUUGUCUCAGGCUCAGCAGAACCAGCACCAAGAUAAGUACCCUUCCAUGGUUAUGGACAUGGAUUGUAGAGCCGUCGCGGACGUCGCCGUUUCCAAGUUCAAGAAGGUCAUUUCUCUUCUGGGUCGUACCCGGACCGGCCAUGCCCGCUUCCGGCGAGCACCUUUGACUUUGACUUCUGGGUCUUCUUCUUCUCAAAACCAAGCCCAAACCCAAGAGACCUUCGUCAAGCAAGCUCCUUUAGAGUCCACCAAGGUUUACCAUGCGACCCCGAUCCAGCAGAUCCCGCCUCCUCUGCAUCAUCACAGUACUGUGCUUGAGAGCACCAAGGACUCCUCCACCACAAUAAAUUUCUCCUAUUCAGCUACGACGUCGUUUAUGUCGUCGUUGACUGGAGACUCCGACAGCAAGCAGCCAUUGUCGUCUUCGGCUUUUCAAAUUACCAACAUGUCCCAGGUGUCUUCAGUUGGAAAGCCACCGCUUUCGUCAGCUUCGUUGAAGAGGAAGUGCAGUUCUGAUAAUUUGGGCUCUGGCAAGUGCGGUGCUGGGUCCUCCGGCCGCUGCCAUUGCUCUAAGAAGAGGUGGGUCCCUCUCUCUCUCUCUCUCUCUCUCUCUUAAUCAAUGUCUACGUUCUAAUUAAUUCGAUUUAGUUGUUGGUCGAUUUUAACUUGUUGACAAAAAUGAAAUUUUGGGUUGUGGGGUUUGUUGCAGAAAGCUGAGAUUGAAAAGGGUUGUGAGAGUUCCAGCUAUAAGCUUAAAGAUGGCUGAUAUUCCACCUGAUGAUUACUCUUGGAGAAAGUAUGGACAGAAACCCAUUAAGGGAUCUCCACAUCCAAGGUAUAAUCUUGGAAAGUUUUGACCUUUCAAGUUCAAUUAGUUCAAUUUCACACCGUUCUCUGCCUAAAACUGUGAAAUAGCAACCCUUUCAGGCUUCCAGGCUUUGAGAUGUUUUGGUCUUGUUUUAAUCGUGUUUUGGUGGUUGUUUUCUAUGAAACAGGGGAUACUAUAAGUGCAGCAGUGUCAGAGGGUGCCCAGCUCGAAAACAUGUAGAGAGAGCUCUCGAUGAUCCAGCAAUGCUUGUAGUGACCUAUGAAGGCGAGCACAAUCACUCUCUCUCAGUUGCAGAGACCUCCAAUCUCAUUCUAGAAUCGUCUUAGAUCAUCAAAAAUCAGAAACAAUGGUGCAAGAAAAAGCCUUUGUAUGUUCAUCUUUUUCUAGAGAGAAAAAUUAAUGUGUAGCAGAGCAGUGCUAGUAGUGACAGUAGUUACAGUUCCGGCUGGACUCGGACUCGGACUCCGACUCAGUAAGACUCAGUUCCAUCUCGAAGGAGAUGAGAGUGAGUUAAAUUAGUUCAUUUUGCUGUACAAUAUGGGGUUCCUUUUUCUCUCUUCAAACACUGUGAAUUAAUCUUAUUCUUAUUUAAACCAGAAAGAAAUGAGGAUGGUGGAUUUGGUAUUAUUUAGUGAUUAGUCUAGUUGGUUUCUUUCCCAUUGGAAAAAAGAAAAAAAAAAUGGAAAUGGGAAAGUGGGUGUUGUUGGGUUCUUCUUCCUCCCUGGUAGAUAAUUUUUAUUUUUAAUUUUCUGGAUUGAUUGAUUGCUUGCUUUUACUUUGGUUCUUGUCUUGGAUGCCUACCUUCUACUUUUCCAUCCAUCACCCCAAAGUUUUCUACUUUUUCUUUUGAUUUGAUUCAAUACAAACAGUGAAAGGAGAGAAAUUUAAAGAAAUGAAAGGGACUGGGUCAAAGAAUUGUAAACAAGUGGACCAACAUGUCGUAUUUGUGACGGUUGACCAAAGGAACUUGUGGGGUUGGCAGUUGGCCAGUUGGAAACGGCUAAUUUACUGAAGGUGGGUAUCGGGUGAUUGAUGACCUUUUUUUCCAAUGCAAUUUUGUUGGUUCUUCUUUGGUCUCUUGGGAGAAAGAAAAAAAAAUUAAAGGUUGGCUGAAUUUGGAGGGAAUUGAAAGACAAGAAGAGAUAGUUGGCCUACAAAAGUCUUUGGAGGCAAAGGUGUGGAAGCCUUUGAUAUGGUAGGGAAAUUAAUGCCCAAGUCAAAGUUUGUGGGUGGGCAAUAAUUUUUUUUUUUCUUUCUUGUUUGCUUUGCUACUUCCUUUGCCUCAAAGCCAGAUCUAGUAGGAAAAUUAAUGCUCAAGUCAAAUUUUGUGGGUGCGCAAUUCAUCAUUUUGACCAAUUAUGGGGCCCUUUCAUGGCUGUGCACCAAUUUGUUCUUGUUCGCCUUUGGCCGAAAAAUCAAACCUUGGUCUGUAAGUAUGGUCCCCAAGGUGCGCUAUCCCUAUCAAAAUUCAUCAUUCACAUGUGGCUUCCUCAAUGCACAAAGUUCAAUCCCAUAAAAAACAAAUACACGUUCAUUGGUAUUGAACUUAUCAUGAUAAGACGGAAAUGAUGUUGCUUACUUCUCUUUUUUAUGAAUCACAGUUUCACAAGUAUACAAAAUAAUUCAUUAAAAAUAUAAAAAUAAAAUUUUUUGCACACGUCACACUGUUAUUAGUAAGAAUGUAAGAACUCUUGCUUACAUGGUAAGGAGGGAGCUCCAAAAUAAAGUAAAUAUAAUCAUAACAAAUUUUCUUUUUUCGUACAACCAAAAUUAAUAGAGAAUAAACUCGACACAAUACCUCGAAUGUAUUGAUUAAUGUUCUUAAUCACUUAAGCCGUGAGUUGCUUGCUACAACUAAGGAUAAAACUAUUUAGCAGAGAUUGUAGAAUUGUUUUCAUUGCUUUUUUAUAUAUAUGAAGUUUAGGUCAAUAAGGAUUGCUUAAACAUAACGUUCUUGUUAAUGCCAUAUUUAAGGAAAAACAAUGACUUUCGACGUAAGGGUAAGAAUUACUUAAGUUGUUCUGCUAUUUGUAUAAGGUCUUAGACUUGACUUCCCCGACAAUGGGGAAUUUAUCCACUUGAAAAGUCGAAUAUGAGGAAAGUAAUGCGGAACUUGUACAAAACUUGCAUCGAUAGUGUGUGAUUAUUGCAUCUUUACGGAAGUCGAGCCUUGGUCUCUUCAAACCCCAUACUUUUCUAAUCAUAGUUAUUUCACGAUACUCAUUAUUUGGUUUUGUGGUACUAGGUCUAUACUCAUCCAAAUGAAUUCAUAAUUCAACAUAUUCUGUUCUAUUGCGAAAAAUAAAAUAAACUGACAUUGGAAUGACCUCACUCGGAAUUUACUGAAAAGUAAAUAAGACUCCAGAAAAGGAUUUCGUAUUUUAUAUUUUUAUACAAGCGAUACUGGAGAAGUGCCACCUCAUCUUCCUCAUUGUUUAAUCUUAAAAUUAUUUAUUGUUCAUGGUAGAAAUUGUGCAAAGGGGUAUCAAAGUGGCAGCCCAAAUUAAGGCCCAAGUUGGUAACUAGAAUGGGCUUUGAUGGGCUUAACUCACCAAAACGCCAUGUCGUACAGCCCUAGCUUGUUUGUUUUUUUUUGGGGUCAACCGUACAGCCCUAGCUUUAAGCCUCCGCGUGCGAACAAUUCGAACCCGUACGCAAUUCACAGUGUCCUCUACUGAGUAGCGUAGCGUAUCGUCGUCCCAUCUACAACCAAAGGCGGUGAUGGGCUGCUUCUCCUCCAUCCCCAUCGUCCGCUCAUGAGAUUCAAAAUUCCCAAACUGCCCCUCAUCUCUUCCAAAACCCUAAAUCCUCUCACACCCAAGCCUCACAUGGCCUCCCUUCUCACCGCACCCGAAGCCCAAGCCCGGACUCUCCAUUCGGACCCACCGCAAGACCUCGACGACGUCCUCUGCUCCGACCAACACCAGCAACAAGAAGAACAACAGCAGAAUUUUGCCGAUACGGCUCUGUCUCGCUGCUUGAGCGGCGAGUCGCGUAUCGAGCGAGCAUGGGCUCAUUGGUCGAAGCUGGGCCGGCCCAAAUUGAUUGUGGCUCCAAUGGUGGACAACUCGGAGCUCCCGUUUCGGAUGCUCUGCCGCAAGUACGGCGCCGACGCUGCGUACACGCCCAUGCUGCACUCUCGCAUUUUUACUGAGAGUGAGAAGUAUAGAGACCAGGAAUUUACCACUUGCAAGGUAACAGUGUUUGAAUUUGGUGAUGAAGAUAGCAAUGUUUCAUUGGUUGGUGGGUUUGAUUUUUUAUAGUGUUGCAGGAGGACCGUCCUUUAUUUGUUCAAUUCUGUGCUAAUGAUCCUGAAGUUUUGUUGGAGGCUGCGAAGAGAGUGGAGCCGUAUUGUGAUUAUGUUGACAUUAAUUUGGGGUAAUUCUUUGUUUAAUAUCUUUUAUUUAUGAAGUUAGCAUCUUUGUUCAAAUGGGACUGUAUUACUAUUAAACUUGUGCUUUAAAUUUAGUGUUAGUGGGUAGCAAACAAACUGGGAAAUGUUCAAAUGCUGAAGUGAAUUCUUGUUUGCAUGUGCCAAACUAGCUCGAGAACAUUGCACACUAACACCUAUUUCAAAUUUUUGAAUACCCUUUGAUUUAUUGUGGGGUUUAUGGAUUGAAAGCCUCAAAUCAUUGAGUUAGUGUGAAUUUUUGUUCAGGUGUCCUCAGCGUAUUGCUAGGCGGGGGAAUUAUGGAGCUUUCCUAAUGGAUAACCUUCCUCUUAUAAAAUCUCUAGUAGAAAACUUGGUUCAAAACCUUCGUGUCCCCGUUUCUUGCAAAGUCCGUAUAUUUCCGGAUUUACAAGAUACAAUCAAGUAUGCUAGGAUGUUAGAGGAUGCUGGUUGCUCACUUUUAGCCGUCCAUGGCCGGACAAGAGAUGAGAAAGACCAGAAGAAAGUCCGGGCGAACUGGGAUGCCAUCAAGGCUGUCAAAAGUUCUCUCAGAAUCCCCGUCCUUGCCAAUGGAAACAUCAGGCACAUGGAUGACGUUCACGACUGUUUGGAAGCGACUGGUGCUGAUGGGGUGCUUUCUGCGGAAUCUCUUCUUGAGAAUCCAGCUCUUUUUGCUGGAUUUCGAACUGCUGAAUGGGUACCAGGGAAUGAAGAAAGCAAGAAAGAUGGGAAACUGGACCAGGCAGAUCUUUUGGUGGAGUAUUUGAAGCUUUGUGAGCAAUACCCUGUGCCUUGGCGUAUGAUCCGUGCUCAUGUGCACAAGAUGCUGGGACAGUGGUUUCGAAUACAUCCACAUAUAAGAGAAGAUCUCAAUGCACAAUCCAUACUUACUUUUGAAUUUCUCUAUAGUAUCGUAGAUCGGCUUAGAGAGCUUGGGGCAGGCAUUCCACUUCAUCUUAAAGAGACUAAUGCUGCAACUAUUUGUGCGAAUGGUUUGGCUACUUGAACUUUGUGAUACUGGUUGAAUGAGGUGCUGUUCCAGAUAUAGGAGUCUUGCCAAAAUCAGAAUUAAGAAUCAGGUUUUCCGUUAGGUUUUUGUUAUCAUUUUCGAGUUUUGUAAUGUUAGGUUUCGUGGCUCUUAUUUAAUUUAAUUCAACUGAUAUAAACUUACAUAGGAGGAGAAGACCGCCUAUUUAUUUACCAUACUACAUUCUUUUGUGGUGAUGAUUUAGUGUAUUUGAGUCUAUGGCCCCUAAAAAGAAAGGGAGAAACCUCAAUUGUAUUAACAUCCCAUUGUGGGAGAAUGGUAUUGAUUCUCUGUAUUUCGACUCAAUUUGCGGAAUGCCUUGUAUGAUUGUUGUAAUCUGUACUCUUUUUCACUUUGGCUUCUGGGUUUGUUUAUAUGUUGUAUUUAGUGUAUGAUCAAGUUCAAGGGACCAAAUUGAAGACUUGUUCAAUUCAAUCCCUACCAACUAGAAUGCCACAAUCCAUGCGGGUACCAUCCCCAUUCAACGUUAACAAUUUCAAAACUAGUUUCGCUGCGAAUGACCAUUUGGUCUAGUGUCAUUUCGUUGUCCGGUUUGUUUGAGUAGGUAUUAAGUUCAAAUCUCAUGACAACAAAUAUGAACCCAAAGAAUAUUUUCUUAAAAGAAAAAAGAGAAGAAAACUAGUUUCACCAAAUUACCAGAGUUCAUUGACUCGAUACAGUAAUGACUUAUUGUUUUAUACACUAAAUUUCAACUAAUAAACGAAGUUUGUUUGGACUUUUUUAACCAAAUGUUCUCCGUAAACAGCUCUUUCAAAUUUCUUAGCUCCAGUUGUCCUCUCUUUACAAAUAUCCAGAGGCUCCACUGCUGUAUCGAAAUUUGUCUGUUCACGCAACAAAAGCAUUUGUAAAACACAAUACAAGAAGGAAGAAGAGGAAAGGACGAGUGAAUAAAUAAACGGGCAAUCUUCACACCUCAUAGAAAUAUGCCACACAGACCCGAUAUUUUGGGGAGGAGUUGAUAACUUGAUGCAAAGUAGACUCAUAUAAACCAUUUGAGUAAAUCUGCACUUAUUUCAGAGAUGAGAAUGACUUGGUUGGUACUAAAUCCGGGUGAUGGCACCGAAAUUAGGAAGAAUUAAUUGCACAGAUUAAUAUUACCUUUAACAUGUCUCCGAUAUUGCAGACAAAUGUUCCCGGAACAGGAGGAGCUGAUAUCCACUCGCCCGAAUGGUUUCUCACCUUCAACAAGUCAUUCAAAUCAACUGUUGUGGAAACUAGAGUAGAAGGAUACAAACAGAACAUAGUCUAGAAAUGGAAAUUUCUCUUUGCUUUGUAAAGAAAACUUCGCACAAAGACUGCGUCUUUUACUUGGCCUCAAACCAUUGCUUACUGAUACAUAAAUGAAACGGAGUUUUAAUCAGAUUUUACCUGAAGUGCAGUUAUAUCGUCAUCCUGAUUAACCAAUGUCAACAAACCUGCAAUGGAACAACAUUAGAUGUUAUUGAUUUAUUGAUUUUCUACACUUUGCAUUAUCUAAGGGUGAAGAAACUUUACCAUAAUCAGUGUGAGCUCCACUGGAAAUGUUCAGCCAAAGGAACAAAAGGAGAGCAACAGGGAAAAGAAAAAGAAAGAACAUCACUUUAUGUACCCAAAUGUUAAGGGAAAAGUGCAAGCACAAAAGGCAGAAAUAUUGCCUUACCAUCCAAUGUCCUUCUUUGGAAUGUUUGAGCCAUUAGCAGAGUGUACACCUGGGUAACCAAUGAGCCGCAUCACCCAAAAUGCAUUUCCAGCUCUUUCACCUUCAAAUUCAUAUGGUGAACCACCCAAUGCUAAAGCGAUUCCACGCAUUAUAUUUCUUGAAAGUUCUGAAAGCAACAAGAAACAAAAGUUAUAUCUAGAAGAGUAUGAAAGGGUAAACAAGGGAAGAAAGCUUGGUUGCCAUGGAAAGCAUGCCUGUGCAGAGGCUAACAUAUUCCUCCAUCAGCAUCUUGAAGUUUGUGGGCUUAAUUGGCCUGCAAAAAGGAUCAUAAGACAAAACAAACAAAUCCAGUAACAUCAGGUAAGCAUAUCAUAAAAAAUCCUAUAACAAGCUUGAAACAAGUAGCAAAGGGGACCAAAGAUGCUUAAUAUGAUAGUCACAAUCUAAUGCCCAAAUUAUUAUCAACUUAAUUAUGUAUUCUGCAAUCAAGUCAAAAGUAGCAGUGUGGAAUAGCCAAGGUAUGGAACUGCGGUUUAGAGAAUACUUUUAUACACAAAUGAUGUUCAAAACUUCGACAUUAAUUAGCAGUUUACAAUACCAAGGUCAUGAAAUAAAAAAUAAUAAUGAAUUUGUUCAAUGGCUCUCAGGAUGACUGUGCGUUCCAUGCCUCCAAAUGGAGAGCUUGGAUAGAAGCCCUUAACCUAGAGGCCAGAGCUAGAAUUGUACUACACUAAGUAAACAAUGGCAGGAUAACUAUCAGUUCAGUCAUGAUGUUAGAUCAGCCCAAGAAUUAUCAUAUUACAGAGACGAUCUUUUAGCCAUCAAGAUAAGUACAGACUGUAAAGUUGAUUGAUACGAAUCUCGAAUGCAUUCUUGCCUACUUAAUCUGUAAUGGAAGAUUUAGAAAAGGCCUUAAUUUGUGCAUACCAUUGGUUACAUCCUUCCAUAGGUUUUCCAAGAUCUCCAUACAUCCCUGGUUUCAGUUCUUUAUAGCACUGUUAGAGGUGAAACAAAAUGAUAAUGAUUUUGACAGUAGACAAAAGGUUAAAAAGAACAGGUCCAAUAAAUUAUCCAGAAAUAUAAAACUACAUGAUGUCUUACUUCGUAGGCUACAGAAACACCUAUAAAUCAUAAAGCAACAAACAAGACCUACAUCAAUGGCUUCAUGCAUGUCAGGUACACCUUUGGUUAUGUUCUCCCCAAUUCUCUGAUAUCCCCUGCAUGAAAAAUUCAGCCAUCUGUUAAUUCAAAGCAUACGGAUGCUAAUCAUUCAUAAAAAAUAAAAAUAAAAAUUGAUCCUCAUUUACGAAUUGCAUAUAUACGAAGCCAUUCCAACUAACCUGUAUCCACUAUCUGCAGUCAUCUUGAUUUUGAGUUUUUCUUCAUAUGGAAGCUCAAAAAACUUGCGUGUCAGAUUCUUGACUUGUUUGAGUAGAGUCUCAGGAAUACCAUGACCUUUCUGGUCAAUUACAAAGCACCAAACCAUAACACUCAAAAAAAUUAUGAAACAGAAAAUGAAAAAUCUUUCUAUCUUUCAUUGGUUCAAAUUGAAAGAAGAGAAUUCGAAGUACCACAUAGAAAAAGCCAGCCUCUUUACAAGCUUGAUCUAAUUGUUUGACAACUUGAGCAACACCAGAGUCUUGACCCAUUUUGGGAUCAUCACACUUGGCCAAAAGGGGACCAAUAUCUGCAUUAAGAUACCAAAGUGCAGAAAACACAAUACACAAUCAAAUCAAUCAAAAAUGGUAUCUUUGGCUUUUGGGUAGCAUGUGAGGUGAAAGUGAGCUAGGUGGAUGAGUAGGUUUUACCGAUUAUGGGUAUGGACUUGAAGUCUGUUGCCAUGGCGGUGAAGAAACUAGUCUCUCUCUCACUCUCACCCUCUCUCUCUUUCUCUUUCUAUCGCAGACUCAGUUCCAGAACUUGAACAAGAAUACACAUCUGUAUAUUCAAAAGCGAAUCAUGAAUUAUAAUGUUGGGCUAAUUGAUUAAUAGACAUGUGGGUGGAUGAUGUGUUGUAGUUUGUCUUGUUUGCCGCGGGUUUUAUCGUUAUUUGCCAUGGCGUUUUUUUUUUCGAAAACAGAAAGAUCCUGUGGGAUCUUUAAGAUCAUACAAAUUAAAAUAAACUUUAGUAACAAACAUCAAUAGGAAAAUUACUAAACUAUGAAUGAUUACAACUGUGCCCAUUUGCUAGCUGAUCCGCAGCCAUGUUUGCCUCUCGGAAACUCUGGGAAAUUUUACUUUAGAUAACUUGUCCAAGAGCUUCCAUAUGUCUUAUGCAAUUGAUUGGAUACUCCAAGGUAAUUGAGUUUUGUUUGUAAUGAUUGGUAUAAGUAUUUUAGAAUCUCUUUCUAUUUUCACCUUCGAAAAUUUCAUGCGGCUAGCCCAAAUUAAAGCUUGCUUUAAGACCAUUGCUUCAGCUUGUAAAACAGAGGUGUAUUCUUGUGGCUGUGAUCGUGGAAUAAUAACUGGUUUCAUGUCUGAAUUUCGAAUGAUAAAACCUACAGCAGAAUUGUCAUUAGCUAUAAUUGCCAUGGCCUUGUUGAUUGCAUCCAUUAUUUUUAGCUUAUUUACAUAAAACCUCAAGUCCAUUUUAAAUUAAACAUGAUCUUCAAUAAACUUACCAACCCACCGGUGAGUUUGUAGGUUUUUUAGGAGUUUGUGUAUAAACUUUUACGGGUUAAUUGGCCUCUUUUGUCCUGAGAUGCGUCCGCCCUACCCUUCCCAAUGUCUACAAGCUUAAAUGGGCCAGGCUCAAGGCCAGUCCAAGCCCAAUUUAUCCUAUCGAGUUAAAAGAUGGAGUCAUUCUAUAGUGAUAAGGCUCUUGGAACAUCCACAAUGGGUUCCCUAAACUACAUUUUUUUUUACCAAAAAAAAAAAAAAAACCCACAUCUUUAGACAAAUUUUAGGGAGGAAUUGGAAAACUACAACUCCAACCAUGCUCCCUCUUUAGACCCAAAAAAAAAAAAAAAAAAACCAGCUCCUUAUUCGCCUUAUAAAAUAGGGAGACUUUUAGGAGCUCAUAAAUAUGAGGAGAGAGAAAAGACUCUUAAUGGCUCUUUAAAAUUUAAUGCUGCUUUGUUUUAUGCAUAUGGUAAACUUUUAAUUAAUACUAACUAUUUUUAUAUUUUUUUUUUAUAGAAAUGGACCAAGUAUAUUGAAUCAAAAAAUAAUUAUAGUAUUUAUGACUUACCAAACUAGGGAAUAUGAUUGUAGUUCAAAUUUUAUAGAGAGCUCCUACAAUAACUUUUGUGUGUUUUUAGCUAUAUUUUAACUAAAAAAUAGAAAGCAUGAUUGUAGAUGCUCUUAGAUGAGGUCUUAUCUCUUAACUGUUAAAUCAAACUAACCAAUUUAAUCAAACGACUAACCGAUUUAAUCCAGCAUCUAACUAAUUUGAUCUAAUUAUUAAAAGAUAGAGUCUCAUCUAAAGGCUAAGACCCUCGUUAUAAAACACUUGUCCAAAGGUGACCCCUUCGGAAAUCUGUAAUGGACUGGACAUGGCAUGUUCUUAUUUUUUGUUUUUUUUUGGGAAGCGAAUGGUCUUUUUAAGUGUUAGGGGGCGGAUUUACUGACUUAACCCACAAAUUAAAAUAGGAAGCGAAGAAAAAGGAAAAAUGGUUGUAACUGGAACUUAUAUUUUGAUUUUAGUGCAAAAAUUACAUUUUGCACUUGCCGAAAAAAGAAGAAUUAUUUUCACAUGACCCACCCACAGAAAACAAAAAGAAAAAGAAGAAAAAGACAAAAGAAUCUAAAAAGGAGAGCAAAAAUCAUAAAUAUACACCCAAACCCAACCCAGGUUUACCUCCUUCAUGCCAUAUCCCAAUAACACUCUGAUGAAUCUUUCACCAUGAUGACGUUAAACGAUUAUUACUAUGAAUUCCAAACACCACCCACAACAACCACUAAGAUGCUGCUGAUAAUGAAGAAUUUGACGAUGGACGGCUGCGACAGAACUGGAAGCUACUCUCCUCCAUCCUCUCGACCACAUAAUGCCCCAGCGUCUCACUCGCCUCCACCAAAUUCUCCCUGCACAAAAACUCCUCCCCGCAGACCCUCUGCACCUCCCCGCCAAAAUCAUGCACGAACACGUGCGUCUUCCCGUUCCCGCCCUUUUUGCUCCUCGCCAGCACCCCCGACGUGAAUAUCGGCAUCACCCGCCCGGGCGCGUCCGGCCAGUCGCCACGUGGCCCGUCCACCAAGAUGACGUCCCAAUCAACCUCGUACACGUGGUUCGGCAGGUCGUUGAUCCCGAGCUUGCACUCCGAGAACAGCAGGUUCUGCACCGGCCUGCACUCGUUCCGUAUUUGCUCUUUUGCCACCGCCACCAGCUCCUUGAGCUCUUUCGAUUUUGUUGUGUACUGCACGUCGUACGCGUCGAUUUCCGGGUGCUUCUCCUCCAUGUAGGCGGCGAAGUAGCGGUUUUCAUCGAUGAAGACGGUGCGGCCGUUGUUGUUGAGGGCCUUCCAGAGGAGGGUCUCGUGGGUGAGGCCGAAGAUGAGGAAGUUGCAGGGGGUUGAGCAUUUCCGGAGGGCGUCCGAGAUGGGCUUGAUGUCGGCGUACGACAUUUUGAAUGUGUCGUUGGAUUUGGCGGAGUAGUAGAGGAGGGUGUUGAUGACGGUGGUGGGGAGCUGGGGGACGGCGGUGGAGGCGGUUGUUGUGGUGGUUAUUGUGGCGGCGGAGAUGGUGGUUGUUGUGGUUGAUGAGUAUGCGUACAAGCCGCUUGUGUAAAUGAUUGUGAGAAGGAAGGCGAGUGUGAAGAUGGACAUGAAGGCUAGAAGCCAGAGGCGGUUGGAGGUUCCUUGUUUCUGGAUGUAGGGGUGGAGAAGGAUCAGCUUUGUGUUGCUGAUGUUCUUCAUCUCAACUGGAUUGAGAGAUCAAAACAGAGAAAGAGAGAGACACUUUGAUCAGAGUGUGGCUUGUGUUACAAUGGAAGGUGAGUCUCUCUCUCUUCUAUAUCUCUGUUUCUCUGUUUUCUGUUUUGAGAAUAUUGGAGAGGGUAAGAUUUAAAGAUUGUGUUGAAUAAGCAAGCAGAAAACUGAAGCAAUGUGGGAUGAAGAAACUGAAGGUGACCUUGACCUUACAAUCACCCUCUAAGCAUUCUAGAAAUCAAAUUAUUUUAAAUUUUUUGAGAAUGAAUUGUUUUAUUGUUAUUAGUUAUAACUGCUCUUUAGUUGGUGGUUUGUUUCCAUACAAUCUUUUAUUUGUUUAUGUUCUGUUCAGUAUGUAUGUGUAUGUAUGUAUUUCAGUGCUUGUGAAGUGGGAGUGGGAGGAGAAAACAAUGGGGGUAGUUGGUGAGAGAGAAGGUAGAUGGGUUAUGGGUAUAGGUGUUUUUUUUGUUGUAGUACUAGUGACCCCAUAACUAAUUACAAGCCUCAAGUCGCUUUACCUUGUUCAAUUGAGCUUCACAUCUCAAGUAACCUCUUUAAAUAUGCAAUUCCUCAAGUAAGUAGCUGCCUUUGAAGAUGACAACUUACCUGAUUCAGAUUGUCUGAUCCAUUCCCCCAUUGAAUAAACAUGUUUUAUUAGAAUAUGCAGUUGGGUUUGUUUAUGUUUACCAAAUACAUGAGUGAGACUUUGGAACUCAUUAUGAAGAUGACAACAUUAACAGGUAGCCCCCUACAAACAAAGAUACAAAUUGCCCAAUGUUGUUGUAUAGUUAUUUAGUAUUGUACUAAAUAUUGGUGGCUUGUCUUCCUCUGUUUUGGAAACAAUAAAUUGGCAAUGAUUGUUAGACAAAAAUAUAUUAUUGAAAUUAUUAGACUGAAUUUCUAGUAUUAAAUUAAUUCCUUGUUCUUAGUAUAUGUAUAUGCAUUUUCAGCUGUUUUCCCUUGAACUUUUCCUACCAGUGUGCCUCAUAAUAUUGUGUGCUAAGCUUGUAGCAUCAGCAAUAAAAUGUUUGCUUCAAGCCUUGAAGUAGGUGGAAUAUGACACAAAACACACCAGUAUGGGCAUUACACUAUAUAACAAAAGUUAACUUUAGAGAUACCCUUUGCCUUUCAGAAACCAACUCCAAUUCCUAUCCUCCUCCUAUCUCCCCACCUCACCUUAGAAAUUGUUGAAGGAACCAAGUCCAGGAUUCAUUAUCCCUAGCUGCCCCCCCUAACAAUACUUUAGUGCCAUUCCUAGGAAAGAUAAACUUCUCUCUUGUCCAAAUCUUCUUCUAUGCAUAAGGUGAUCCAUGGCUAUAAUGCAAUAGUAACAGAGUGGAUUCUAUUCUAACCAUAACAGAGUAUUUGUUGUGGAUUGAGCCACAAACUACUAUGAUGAAAAUUGUUGUUAUGUGGAUUGGACCACUUUUACUUGCUACUUUAUUAACUACCUCUCUAUCAAAGUGGGAUCCACAUAGGCGGAAACCUACCUAUGCACAUAGUAUUAUUUCAGGUGCUGGUGCUAUGACCUUAAAGGCAGAAGAUCCUCCCCUGGUUCUAACCACCCUGAAUGAAAGAGUGGGCGAGGUUCGAAACGGUGAAUUGAGGUAGAGUAGACUUAUGCUCCUGUAGUCAUUUGGGACUCUCGAGGCCCUAAAAAGCGUAGAGAGAGUCCGACUUAAGUAAAGGACGGAAUCAUAAAUUUUUAUAGGAGUGGGCUAUUAUUUCUUAUAUAAGUAAGAAUCUAAAUAAAAUUAUAUUCAUUUUUUAAAAGGGUAAAAAUUGAAGCUAACUCGAGAUCUGUUUGAAUCAAGUAGAGUGAUUUUUGCUUGUAAAUUUCUUUUUCCCAAACUUUGCACUAAGCUAGAACCCACCCUAGCCAUAGUGUAGCUCUGCCCCCAAGAUGCUAUGUGUGUAUAGUAUAAAUUUGUGGCUCGAUUAGCUAUGAAAUUAUUUGUUGCAUGUUUGAAAAGAAGAAAAAAUCAUUAGCUUUGUUGUGUUUGAAAUGGCGCAAAGGAAAAAGAAAGCACAACAACCCUUUCUUUUGACAAGGAUGACACAUAUUUCAAGCCCGUGAGAUCAUGAGAAAGAUGAGGCAGAUGAACGACCCUUUCCGAAAAAAGAAGCACGAAAAGAAGAUGCUUGCUUAUCUUAGCUACAAUGAUCAAGAACCAUUGUGUCCCCACAACACAAGGGAUUUUUGACUUCAAACUUUCCCCACAAGAAUUAAGGCACUACAAAGAGGCAAUGGCUUUUGUUGCCCCGACACAAAGAGGGUACUUUUUAUUGCUUAGAGUUGUGUUUGGAUGAGUUGAUUAUACAUAUAGAAUUGUGUUUGGAUUAGUCGCUCACUCGUUUGCUAACAAGCCCUAAUCUUAAUAUAUUUUGAACUCCAUAACAUAAUAUAAUAAACGAUUAACGUUAGCAUUUCUCUAUGAACAAUUAAGGUUAGCAUUUCGAACAAUUAAGGUUAGCAUUUCUGUCGAAAUGAGAAUUGUGGAACAAUUUGUCCAACACCAAAAAUAUACCAAAAGAACAUGCAAAUGCUGAGCAACAAAAUAAAAAAACCACAAAACAUUAAAAAUGCCAGGAUGGAUAGUCUGACUUAUUGACGGCAUUAAUAAGAAUCAAAGGGGUCAAAUAGUAUUCUCCAGUCCAGUCCAGUCCAACUAUAUAUUAUUAUACGAAGAGUGAUCUCUACACAACGGAAGGUACGCACCAUACAUCGCGUGUGUUGUAAUCUCCGUCGCUGUGCCUAUGAGGUUACGAUAAUAAUGUACAAAUUUGGCAUGGUGGAAUGGAAAGCAACGAAUCAGCUAACGAUGAGUAAGGUUUAUCUAAAUAUCUAAUUACCACCAAACAAAUGAUUGCCCAUUGCUUACCAAGUUUUAACUUUUUUUACCAUGAAGGGAGAGAAAUUAUUGUGUUUAACGUGAGUCAGUGAUGAAUUCAAAAUUUUAUUUUUAUUUUUCAAAGGGAGGAUACUUGCUUGUUCAACCUGUGUGUGGCAUUUUAACGACUUUUCCCCCUCACAUUUCUUACUUCAUGCCUUAGCCCAGUAAUUGGACAGAUCUAUGGGUGUGACAUGAAUGCUAUGCAACAUGACAUACUGAUAAUUUUAAAAGUACACACAAAUUGUAAGGAGUGUUCUAAGUUUAAAAUUUAUCAUUUCGAAAUUAUAAGCGAUAGUUUAAACUAUGAAUAAAAUAGAGUUUCUUGCAUGCACAAUACGACGGUGUUAUAGAGGUUUGAACUUGUGACUAUGACUAUUAUGCAAAUCAAUAUCAUUUUUCAUUGAACUAGACCCCGUUAACAAUAACUCACAACAACUUGUACUAACAUAUUUUUAAAUAUUAAUAAGUAUACACAAAUUAGAAUUGAAGUAAACCUAAUAGUACAACAUCAUCAUGCUAAUGCUACGUGACGAAGUUUACAAUAACACUUACUUAACAAACAAAUGAUUACUCAUUGCGUAGCUUAGUUUUAAACCUUUUCACAGUAAUGAAAAACACGUAAGUUGACGCGCCAAAUAGAAGCAAAGCCCGAGAAAUCUGAGGCCUAGAAAACAGUUCCCUACAGAAACCAACACCAACAAUUUUUCCCACUCCCUUCCCCUAUCCCCCACCUUCACGUGACCCCCACACAGACUCCACCAACGCUACUCGACACAACCACCCAGCUGCUUCCCACUUCAAACUCUAUACUACACAAACCCACCAUGAACAUGAACCCCCCCCUCCUCACUCCAUAAACCCACUAUGUUUCCACUCCUCCCCCUCCUCCUCCUUCUCAUCACCACCGUCCAAUCUCAGCCCUCCAUUUCUCCUCCCUCUCCACCGCCGCCCAACCUCCUCCUCCCCUCCUCCGACGCCGUCGCCCUCCUCUCCUUCAAGUCAGGAGCCGACCUCAACAACAAGCUCCUCUACACCCUAAACGAGCGUUUCGACUACUGCCAAUGGCAGGGCGUCAAAUGCGCCCAGGGCCGCGUCGUCCGUUUCGUUCUGCAAUCAUAUUCCCUCCGCGGCGAGUUUCCGCCCGACACUCUCACUCGCCUCGACCAGCUCCGAGUCCUGAGUCUCCACAACAACUCGCUCUCCGGCCCAAUCCCCGACAUCUCCCAUCUCCAGAACCUCAAGUCCCUCUUCUUGAACCGCAACGACUUCUCCGGCGCCUUGCCGCCUUCCAUUCUCUCCCUCCACCGCCUCUCCGUUCUCGAUCUUUCCUUCAACAACUUCUCCGGUCCCAUUCCGCUGAGGCUGUCCGCUCUGGACCGGCUCACCUCCCUCCAACUCCAGUCUAACCGGUUCAACGGCACCCUCCCCGCUUUGAACCAGUCUUUCCUUUUCGUCUUCAACGUUUCGGGGAACGACUUGACCGGGCCGGUCCCACCGACUCUGUCCCGGUUCGACGCGUCGGCGUUCCAGCUGAACCCGGGCCUCUGCGGCGAGAUUGUGAACAGGGCGUGCAGCUCACGUGCUCCCUUCUUCGAAUCUCGCAAUGCGAGUGCUACCUCUCCGGCAUCGGAGCCGUUAGUGGAGAGUGCGCAGUCGCAAGGAGUGGUUCUGUCGAAACCUUCCCCAAAAAAUCACAAGAAAACUGGUCUCAUUCUCGGGCUCGCGAUUGGGGUUGCGCUCCUCAUUGCCGGUCUCUUAUGCCUCUUUGCAGUGGCCAGAAACCGAACAAAGACUAUCACUCAUGAAGCCACGAAACCAUCCUCCAUCAAUGAAGGUAUUGAUCACAUUCACACGAAUCCAAAUCCGAACGCUUUUAGAAACGAAACCCAAGUGACAGAACAGAGGGGGAUGCAGUAUCCCAGUAAGGUGAAAACAGUUGAUGAAUUUGAACAAGCUCAACCGAGAGCGAUUCCGAGAAGUGGGAACUUGGUGUUUUGUUAUGGGGAGGCCCAGCUGUACAGUUUGGAGCAGCUGAUGAGAGCCUCGGCGGAGUUGCUUGGGAGGGGUACGAUUGGAACUACGUACAAGGCGGUGCUGGAUAACCAGCUGAUUGUGACGGUGAAGAGAUUGGAUGCGGGUAAGACUGCGAUUACGAGCAGAGAAGCGUUUGAUGAACAUAUGGAUGCGGUGGGUGGAUUGAGGCAUCCGUAUUUGGUUCCGGUGAGAGCUUAUUUUCAGGCCAAGGGAGAGCGGCUGGUGAUCUAUGAUUACCAACCCAAUGGCAGUCUCUUCAAUCUCAUUCACGGUAAGUGUGGUAAAAACGCUGAAACUAUUGCAUGCUUUUUGUUUGUUAAAAUGUCUCUGUGGUUUUACUGGGUUUUGCUUUUCAGUCAUAUAUCACUUCUGUCUUAAUACCGACAAUUACGGGUUGGCCCCUUGGUGCUCAUGGUUCAAAGUUUGACCCCAUAUUGUAUUAUUUUUAUCAUGACAUCAUUCAAACACUUGUAUGGAUCAUAUUACACUCGUAUUACUUCAUGAGCAUGAGACGGUAAAUUCAGACGUUUUAGUUUUGAAUUUACAUACGCAAACACUUUCGAGUUUACCUAGGAGGUGAUUUGCGAGUGAUUGCACGUAUCAGAGCCUCGUAACCAAUUAGGAAGUGUUCGUAUAGAUUUUCCCUGUUAGUGAAAAAGUAGGAGGAAUAAAAGAAAAUAAGCUAGUAGUUGAUUUUUUGCACUUCAAGCCAUUGUUUAUAAGCUGUUGCUAACAAAUUGCAAUUAUGUAUGAACAGGUUCUAAAUCAACUAGAGCAAAGCCUCUUCAUUGGACAUCAUGCUUGAAGAUAGCGGAAGAUGUGGCUCAAGGCCUUGCUUACAUUCACCAAUCAUCAACCUUAAUCCAUGGCAAUCUCAAGUCCUCCAAUGUUCUUCUUGGAGGCGACUUUGAGGCCUGUCUCACGGACUACAGCCUUACCUUCUUUGCAGACACUUCUGCAAAUGAAGAUCCUGACUCUGCAGGCUAUAAGGCCCCUGAGAUACGCAAGUCCAGCCGUCGAGCCACUUCUAAAUCCGAUGUCUAUGCCUUUGGCAUCCUCUUGCUUGAACUUUUGACGGGUAAACAUCCGUCCCAACAUCCGCUUCUGGUGCCCACGGACGUGCCCGAUUGGGUCAGAGCAAUGAGGGAUGAUGAUGUUGGGGACGAUAAUCAACUUGGAAUGCUUGCUGAGGUUGCUUGUAUAUCUAGUUUGACAUCUCCGGAACAGAGGCCGGCAAUGUGGCAAGUGCUGAAGAUGAUACAGGAGAUUAAAGAGAGUGUGAUGACAGAGGAUAAUGCAGGUGUUGGAUUUUCAAAGCAGUAGUCUCAAUUUUACAAAUAUUGGAUUCAAAGAAGGAAAUGAAGGCAGGAGCUAGUGUCAAUACGUGUAUCUCUCAGAGGGUUUCCUGAGAAAAAGUUCUAAUGGUAAAUUUAUGGGGCUAAGGUUGAACGACUCAUUUAUAGGCGAAGCUUGAAGGCAUUUUUGUAAUUGCAGGCACACGACCAGCCAAUGUAAUCUGUUAAAUGGCAGAUGUAUAAUGAUUUUAUAAAUGCUUAUGAUUCGAGGCUUUGGUAUUUACAGCAGUUCUCACCAUACGAACUGUACAAUGUUGGGGGAGUUAAUGUGGCUUUUGGUGCAAGGUAGUGUCUGAAAAUGCCAAUAAAGACGUAAGGGCUUUGGUAGGCAUAUGCUGGUGGUUGGUGAUUUUGGUAAUGUUAGUGCCAGCAGAGACGGGAGUGCGGGUUGUUGUUGUUGGGGGGACCUAUGCAAUUUAAGGCCAAUUGCUCACUCUGGAGUGGGCAAUUUUUGUCUAGCCGUUGAUACAAUGUGGGCCCUAUAGUUUCGGGGUCACCCAAUUUUCUGCUGCAGCUUGAAUAACGAGUUUUCUGUUGUCUUUUAUACAAGCGACAAUGUCCUAAGCGACUAGGGAAGGGGAAUCAAACUUGAGUGUUAAGGAGUGGGUAUAUUGUCCUGACCAAACUCGAGUGCAAGGAGUGGGUACAUUGUCUUGACCAAGUGACAUAAUCCAGGUCUGCAUGAGUUUGUUGUUUGCUAAGGUGGAAAACCUAUCCCUAUUGAAUGAAAGGUAGCUGGGAUGAAGUGAUAAGAUGACAGAUUGAUCCUCUUAUUUUUUCUGUGUGUUGAAUGGGGUAUGGGUUCAGAAAGGUUGCUGUAUUUUGAUAAACAUCCAUAGAUCCAUUUAUUCAUUAAAAAAAUCAUCCAUAUCUUUUGCAAGACUGAAUUGCUAUGGCUAAAUUAUGAGCUCUGAUUUCUAGGGCAACUGUGCUUUAACUUUCAUGUUGAAUUUUAUUAUCAGCCAAGUGUAAUUUGAAGUAAAAAAAGUGUAUGAAGUCUAUGUUCAUUUGACUUGAAAAAUUUGUCUGAGUAAAACUGUCACAUAAUAAAAGAGAAAAUAAGUACAAAAACAAAAGAUCACAUGCCAAAGCCAAAUUCUGACAAACUAAGUGGUAUGCCUAUGUAUCUAAUGGACGAUGUACAGAAAAGGAAAAGGGAAAACAAAUCAACACCAGAUGUUAGCAUCAUAAACCACCUAUUUCUUGCAUGACCGUGUCUUCUUCCACCAGAUGCAACAGCACUCCAAUUUGGCCGUCUUAUGCAAGUUUCGUGAGACUGCUUGCAUGACAAGUUGGUUAGUCGAACCUGCCAUCUUCCUGCCAAUUUACAACACCCCUGCAUCCUGCAUGCAGGCAACAAAGAAUGCAGUCUCAAAUUAUUUCAAGAAUGAAGCUUUUUGUGCUUCUAUUUUAUAACAGGAGGAGAAUGAUUACCAGCAGUUACAGUUGUUUUCACCAAGCCAUAUGUUGGAUCAUAUAUGGCAGUCAAGAUGUAUGUACAAGUACAACAUGGAAGGAAGCUGAUGAAAAUGAAGUUAUCACAUAAUAUCUAUCUGAGCCUGUGGGCGAGGCCUCGAUCUAAUUAUUGUCUCAUCACUGUGCUUGAUCCAUUCUGAGAGUCUCCAAGGCUUCUGCCACUUCCAUUUAAACUGUAGCAGCCACUGAUGAUGGCUUCUCUUCCACCUCCAAAGUUUCCCUCCUUGACCCACCGUUGCUAGUUUCUUCAUAGACAAUUGCCCAAUUGGUACCAUCUGCACUCACCAUGAUGCAAUGAUGACUAUUUUCUUAAGCAAGGACGAGAAUUACAACACUAAAGAUAGCCUGAAAGCAAAUGAAUUACCUUUCGUGUCUGGUUCAGAAAUGUUGCCGACUCUUGAAUUGACCCACUAACUAUUCCAGGUGUGAAUUUGAGCUGCUUUGGUGCCGGAAGUGACCUUGGAGAUAAACGACCACUCAUAUCAUCGACGAAGUGCUUUAAUGAAGUGCGUGAAUUCCCCUGUUGAGUCCCAUCCCAUUUAAGUAGUAGUAAGAACAAUUCAAAAAUUGACAGAGAGGUAUAAAUUUGAGACAGAAAAUGUGGAGUAAAAUAUGAGCUUACUAAAUAAUGCUUUAUCAGAUAUAAGGAUGUUAGGCCUUAAAAUAACCAUUUAAAUCAUGGUAGAUAUGCAUAUUGAUCUUAAAAACAAGGGUUUCCAAAUAAAUUUCCCAAGCUAAGGAUGAGAAGAAGUUAUAAUGCAAGAAAUGUUGAAAACCAUGACAUGUUUAGCAGGUGGUCUCACCAAAGCGGAUGUACUUGAGGCAACAGCAACAGCUUGUUCUGUCACUUUUUGUUCCUUCACGAGCUCUUUUCUCUGUGCUUCACUUUUUCGCAGUAGAGUUACAAGCUCAUUCAGUUGAUCUUGCAUGUCCUUAAUUUCCAUAUUCUUCUCCCACAACUGGCACCUGUUGAAACAGGAACAAGUUAUUAACUUCACACAUUGUAAUCACAACUUAUGGACUAUUCAUUGUUAAUUUUCUUAUUUGCUGUUGCGAAGAGGUAAUAUUUACUCAGACAAAAACUAUACCUAAAAAUAUGUGACCAAACAUCAUAUACUAUUCUAAAAAAAUCUUAAACAGUUCACUGAGCAUCAAAGAAUGUGUACUCGAUAGUUGAAAUAAAGUAAUCCUCGAGAAUGCAAUAUAGCUUCCAUCAGAUUCUAUGUAGGUUGUAUAAGCACCUUGCUUCUGCAGCAGCAUUAAAUAUAUAUUGAAGCAAGUUCUUAGCAUCACCCAUUGAACGCAACUGAUUCCAACGCCCACGACCACUUAAGCUCCGCUCCCUUUCUUCUGCCUCUGACAGUUGUGAAGCCAUCACCACGAGAACGUUUGAAGACAUGCCAAGCAUGUUCUCAAGUGAAGCUAUUCUUGCCAUUCUUGCAUCCAGUGACAUGGAUAACACUCUGAUUGGUUGAAAAUACAAAAAUGUCAAAAUGGAGAUAGUAUCAUACUAACAAAACAUGGCAAUUGUAUUGCAUUGCAUAUCAACUUGCAUGUGUAGCCAUUGUCUGUUUAAAUCUGCAUAUUUAUGUAUACAUACAUCAAAAAAUUUAGCAGACAUACCUGGAAUAUCCACUCUUUCCUCUUUGGGUACUCUGCCCUUCAGAAGAAAGCUGAUCUGCUUGUUUAAGUAAGGCCAAUUCUUUUUCCAGUGCAGCUCGCCUACAAUACUUUCUCAUUAAUCCCAGUCUAAACACAUUCAUUGCAAUAUACAGAAAGUAUCAGAAAAAUAGAAGUACAUACACUUGCUUUUGCUUCUCAUAUUCGAAACGAACUUCAUACAUAUGCACCAUGACUUCCAGCUCAUGAUCAAGCCACCGUUGUAAAGAUCUUUCAUUGCUCUGGAGAUGCAACUCAUAUUGAAAUUGUUUGACAUAAAAUUAUAGCAGAGAUAAUAGAACAAAUCUCUUUUAGGGUUUUCCAGGCUGGGUUUAAAAGAACCACAAGCUUAACGAUCGAUUAGAGUAAAUACAAACCAACAAGCGAUGCUAAUAAUAAUAAGCAUACUUUUGGCUAUACAUGAAUUUCUUUCCAGAUAUGAAAAGGGAUGAGUCAUUGUGAGCGUAAGCUGUCCAACCUAUAAACAUGUUGCUGGAUUUGACAGACGGAUGUUCCCAACAUUAAAUUUAAAAAUUGCACUAAGAUGAAAAGUACAGAUCUUUACCUGGCUGGCUGAAGUAUGCCUGUUGGGGUUAACUGAUGGAGACAACACUAAAUUAGGAAAUGAGAUUAUGUAACAAAAGAAUACUUCCAAAAGAAUAAAAAAAAGAAUUACCUGAGUUGUCACGUACAGCAGAUUUGCGAGCUUCUAACAACUCCUUAAGCCGCUUGGUAGCAGUUGCUGCCACUUCUGUCUUUCUUUGAAGAACCUGCAAGAUCGAUUAAAAUGAUUGGCAACAUUCAAUAAAUUUUUUAAUAUCAAUGAGAAAAAGUAAUUUACCCCAUACUCCCAACAUAGCAUAUAUCUUGUUUAAAACCUUUUUAAAGUCUACCAAUUUAGCAAGCAUGGUGAAGCAGACAUAGAUGCACAGAGAGAAGGGAAUUUUUAUUUUUUAUUUAGGGUCGAAAUGAGAGAAGGGAAGGUUAACCGUCAGCAUGCAUUUCCAAAUAUAAAUAUUUACCGUUUUCUGGCGCUGAUUCAGAGCUUCAAGCUUGUGCCGUUCAUACUCAUUUCUCCUCCCUUCCUUCCUUAGCUGCUUGUGAUAAAAUCAUAAUCAAACUUCAAAACCAGCACUAAAUAAUACAAGAAUAGAAAGCAAUGACAUAACAAGAAUUAGCACGACUAAAAUAAAAUGGCCUUUACAAGGAAACCCCAAAAAGAUUACAAGGCCUACUUUUGGCAACCAAUUCCAAAAUAUCAGGAGCACUUUGAGACAUUAAAAAAUGUGUGAUACGAUACAAAAUGAUAGGUGAAGCCCAUUAGACCAAACCGUCCACGGAGUAAGGUAACACAACAACAUGAUACCAAAAGAAAGCAUUGUUGCACUUCAUAUUUAAGAAAAAAAUUAUUGGCUUCAAGACACAGAUUUAUAACAGUAGAUUAAGUUUGUAAUUAUUGAAAUGUCUUCAUAUUCUGUUUCAGUUCUCUCAAACAUGAUGAUAUAUCUUUAUUUAACGGGAAUGUCAUAACAUAAAUUUCUGAAUUUCCACAGUGCAUGCAACAAACAUUACAGCUCUUAACCCCUCCUGAAGAAGUAAAGAUAUCCAGUUGCUUAAAUGCUCUAUUAUCCAAUUGUAAUAUAUACAUAUAUAUAUAUAUAUAUAUAUAUCAAGGAAAUAACAAAAUCUUUACUAGGAACCCACCAGCCAUGAAUUUGGAGAUAUUAAAGAUGACCAGAUUACAUAUUUUUAUGGAAGGUAAAGCACCUGUAGCAAUUCCUUUUCACGAGAAGCCUUCCAUUGUCGAAAUUGUUCUGCCUCUUGCUUUAUUUUAUGCUGCAACUGAACCUGCAUAUGAAGAACAACCAGGUAACAAAGACCCAAAAGUUACAAAAAAAUUAUACAAUUCACAUCAUUGUUUACAGAACUGUCUGAAAUACGGAGAAAAGAGAACCAACCUUCUGAGCUUUGAUAUAUUGUAUUUCAGCUUGCAGCCGCUUUGCUGCUUCCUCACUUUUUUGUUUUGCCUUUAAAAGGUGGACCUGGUUUUCUUGUUUCUUCUUAAGAUCUAAAAUCUGUGGUUCAUAAUUGGAACAUUCAACCAUCAGCACAAAUAUAGGCGACCAGAAUGAUGGUAUCUAAAUAUUUCACAGCAUCACCUGUGUUUCGAGAAACUUUAAUUUUUGCGCAUGCACAUCUUGCAUUUUUUGUCCUUGUAUGUCAGAGUUAGUAGCAAGGCUCUCAACUUCAGCCAAUAAGCGGUCCCUCUCUCGCUGUGAUUGUUACGAAUAUCAGCCAUAAAAUAUGGGAAUAUUAAACAAUCAAAAUUCAAAUAUAUUUUAGCAAAAUAAAAAGAGUCAAACAUGUUCUAUUUGACCUGCACAAUUCUUUUCUCUUCUUCGAGUUCCAAAACUUUCUUUCCAAAGUGCUGCUUCAGUGCCUCAGUGUCAAUCCCUCCAAAAAGUCUCAUUUCAGACUGCAAAAAAGUGGAAGCUAUGACUUUGGGGUAGCGCAGAGGUAAGGUUAUCAUUCCAUUCCAUUAUAUAAAUAAAAACAUGCCAAAAAGAUUAAUGAAGGUUGAUUGGGACACUGACCGCCAGCUCAGUUAAUUCAGAAAUAAUUAAGGUACUGAAAGUGAAAAUGACUUCACGUCACACCAAAUUAAAUUUGCUUGGAGAUUGUCAGGCACGUCUACUCAAGAAUCAAGAUUAUACUUGUACAUAUUCACUACACAGUUUUUUUUUUUUUAAUUUAAUUUAAUUUAUUUUUAAAACUUACAGAAGUAAAAGUCUAAGAACAGUCCAGAUUGAUAUUGCAUCCCAAAAAAAUUUCUGUUCUUUUUUUUAGCAUUCCUGAGCCAUGUAUUCAUUUGUCUGAUAUAUAAAAUAUCAGAAAGAUUACAAUCAUAACAAAGAAGGACUAUCUGCAGACUGCGGAAUUGAAAAAUUAGGAACCUAGCAUGUUAUAAUGAAAUACUAUACAGAAAUUUCACCCCAAAAAAUAAAGAAGAUAAAGAAAUACUAUACUAACCAUAUUUACUCAUAUUUUGCAACCAUUAGAUCAGUUAUGCAUGUAUGAUAUGAAAUCAUUUAAAGAACUUAUAAACAUAGUACAUAUAUUAGUUGGAUUAUAAGUAUUUUUCUUCAAGUUCAAUGCCAUGGAUAACUUGCAUAUGGAAACAUAGAUGAAAGUAAAACCUCUUUUUGCUCCAAGCGUUUGUUCAACUCAUUCAACUCUAUAUCCAUAGUGUUUUGCAAAAGUUGAUGCUCCCACUCUUUUUUUACUUCAUCAAUUUCCUUAGAAUUUUCGCCUGCAAAAUUUGGCAAUUUAAUUCCGAAAAAGUGAAGGCCAAACUACCAAGAAAAAGAUGAUAUAUGUAUCAUAAUAAGCAUUUCAUAAAUCAACCCCAACCAAAAUUGGCCUGCUAACAACAUUAUUCUAAAUUUCCUUAUUUAAAGAAAAUUAAAAGAAAAAACAUCAUUCUUUUAAAUUGGUCAAAAUUAUGAACGGAAUGAGUGUUUACCUGAUGUAAUUUCCACCAUCUGAUAAUCAGAUGAGUCCAUACUCUGGAAGCCCCUCUUAAGUCCAUCACUUUUUGGGAAACAAACAGGGCCUUCCUGAGAGGUGGAAAAAUAUCAACAUGAAGAUCAUCCAGCAAUUAAAUUGUAAAUUGUUAUAUAAAUUUGAAUAUGAUGUCAAACUACAACCUUAAUAUACCUAGUUAGUGACAUCUAGGAAAACUUUUUUCAAUUAAAUAAGUAAAAGAUAUGUUGAAGUUGGAAAAUCAAACACAAAACCAAUUAGCAAUGGGUAGAAGAAGCUCAAGACUUAAUAUACUGAGAUUUACACCUAAGCCUUAGAAUGCUCCUUGCGGAAAUUUUAAAUUCCCGACAGCCCCUUACGUGUGGCUGCAUUGAGCCAAACACAUGUAUCAAUUACAUUGGGUGACAAUGUGAUCUGAAAGCAUGUGUGGUAUAUUGGGCCAACAUGUGGAUGAAUUGCCCACUCUAAUACCAUGUUAGAGUUGGAGCAUCCAACCCAAAACCCCGUUAACAAUGAUUGUAUAAGCUCAAGAUUUUAUAUAUUAAGAUAUAAGGCUUAACUACCAACAUGAGAUUUUUAAAUUCUCAACCAGCUAAAUAUCACUUAUGAAAGACAUAAACAGUAAAAUUCCGUUGACAUACUUGCACAUCUGUUUCACACUGCUGCACAACAGCGCAUCUGCUGCGGUAUCCAUGAAGUUCUCGACAAAGAUUCUCAUUGGUAGCCUCAAGCCAAGCAAUCCUUUCCUUAAGAACCUAUGCAACCAAUUUCUUUUUGUGUCCAUAAAAAGAUGCAUAAAAUUAAUUUAAAAUAAAUGAAAAAUCUAUUUUAUGCAAAAUACCAGCACUUCAUCUGAUGGAGCUCCACCACGAGCGCAUAGCUCUGCCUGCAAUAAUUUUAGCUGCUCUUGCAUCUUUUGCAUCUCAUUGGAUAUCACAUCUCUAUUAACCUGUACCCAAAAACAAGAAUGUUUCACGUUGGUCCAAAUUCAUGGAAUAUGAAACACCGUACUCAUCAACUAACACAGUGUGUAAAGGGAAUUUUAGCAAACCUAGUCAUAAGAAAGUCAUCUGACAAACUUACAAUAGGCUUGUUCUGGAUAUUACGAGCACGAUUUGCAUAUUUCAGAGUGUUAAGACUUUCCUCGGCAUUGAUAUCAGCAGGACUGAUGCAAGCUGGAAGCAUAGCAAAUUUCACCAAAAGUAAGAAGCAUGAAAGGCAUCCAUCUUCAAUCAAAGAGGAGAAAAAUUCCAGACUAUCUUGUUGAAAAGUACACAAAUGAUCCAAGAUUAUUUCUUCCAAUAAAAAAUUAUUUCCAUAUUGGAAAACACAUCACUCGGUUCAAUGAAAUAGUUGAGCAAGGGAAGUAUGAAUAAAUGUCACACUAUAUUCUUAGCGGCACUGGACCAAAGCACACAUCAUCGUAACAAGCUCGUAAGGGUUACCUAUCAUUACAGUUUUGCUGUUUCCACCAAGUGAGUCCUGCCAAAUUGCACAAGUGAACCCAGAUCAGAACAGGAAAAAAAUAAAGCAAGCCAAUACAGAAACUUCAUCCCCUUGAAAUUAUAUCUCAGGCAUAGCAGGCAGAACAGUCAUGUUUAUCUAACCUGCAAAAGUCGAGUCAGUUUACUGUCUCGGUAAGGGACAUGCACACCCUCUUUUCGCUUUUUCUCAUCCCCCAAUGCACUGAUGACAUUACCAAGUGCAAGAAGUCCCUUGUUAAUAUGUAUACCUAUUCAUAAGUUAAUAUUUACACGUCUCAUUACUUUAUGAUUGAAAGUUACAUUACAAUUACAUUCAGAAACAGUUUACCAACCUUCUUUUAACCGAAGACCAUCGGAACCUGUUCUCUUUGCUCGUUCGGAUCCAGCAAGAUCUACCAAAUGGAGCUUUGCGCAAAAAUACUCUUCACCUAUAUCCUCAUCUGGAGUGUCAUUCCCAGGAAAAGCUGAACGGAUUUUUCGCAUCUGUUCUAAUGUGAUUGUGAAGAUGGCAUGUGAUCGACUGGUACCACCAUAAAAAUUGGAACCAUAUGCCAUUAAAUUAUGGGCAUUCACUCUUAAACUGUAAGUGUAAUAAGAUUUUCUAGCACUUCAAUUGUUACACUAAUGCAUCCUUGCAAAUGAUUUUUUUUUAAAUCUCGGAAACAGUAAUACCAUAAACAAAAUUAUUUGAAUUCAAGGACUCUAUCAAUAAGUCCCAGGCUGAAGAUAUCUAUAAAGAACCAAGUUCCUCCCAAUUUUAUUUAUAAACCUUCAUAUUUCACAAAAUUUAGAGUUUUUCAUGCUAAAAGUUGAACAGUAAUGAGUGCAUUGGAUAUACUUAAAAACUGAAUAUUUCUGACCAUUAUGACAAACAGACCUUACCCAACAAGAUUGCAUGGUUGGGGGGUCAGAACCCAAAAAAAAAAAAACAUUGAAACUGACCUUGUCAGUCAGCAAAAAGGGAAUUUGCAUGGCAAAGAAAAUUUGACAUUCAAGGUUUACCUAGAUUGGUUGUUCAUGUUUGUACUCCCCGUUGCUCUGUUUAAUGAUCCUUGAUCCAGGCAAGUGGCCAUUUCUUGUAACGAAUUUACAGCAACUUCAGUUAAUCCUGCUAGUGUUAUAGCUCCAUUUGACUUUUCACGAAUUUGUAUCGGAUGCCUUCCAACUUUUGUGGCAUGUCCAUUUGUAGUCUCAAUUUUCAUUGAUAGAGAAUCCAACAAGUCACACACUUCUUCGUUCAGAAUCUGAAAAUUUAAACCCUCUAAUUAAUUCUGUUAUUAUGGAAAAAACAAUUGGCGAGAGAUUGUGCUAUGAAAAGUAAUAGAUAACUAGCCAUUGUAGAAAGACUUGCUGAUACUAUCAUUGUUUUGAGUUGGACCCCUCUCCAGAAGAAGGUCCCUUUUCGAGUCGCCUUAAAAAAUUAGAGAUAUUUUGGGAUCUAUCAUCUGUAAUACAGGCAAUCAAGAUUGCUUAUAAUAUUUUCCACUUCUCUUUCGUUUUGCCUUUUCCUUUUGGUCAUUGCAUAUGGUUUACAAGUUUUUCGAAGCACAUGACUGAGGACAUAUCUAUGAAAAAGUAGGAAGAUGAACAAUCUAAGGAAUGCACCUCAAUAUAGGAAACUUGCAUUUGGAAUUCUGUUUGAUCCUUCAAUAUUUCAAUCUUGUUGAACAAUGCAUUCAUAACUUGAGGAAUCAGCCCCGUCUGGCAGCCAUCUCCAGAGCCAGUUCCCAUGGUAUAUGUCUUUCCAGAUCCUGUCUGCAGCAUAUUUAUAUUUCAACUGUUAAAGUAACAGGAGACCAGAUGCAUGGUCUUGUUCAACCAUAAGGCACAUUUUGUACAGGACAGACAUUACCUGACCGUAAGCAAGUACAGUAGCAUUGUAUCCUUGGAAUAAACCAUGAAUAAGUGGAGAAAUGCAAUCUUCAAAUAUGGCAGGUGAUGGACCUCCACCACUGCCAUAGACAUGAUCAAAUGUAAAAGAAUGUGGGCCAAUUUUUAUCUGCACCAUGGUCAACAAAGAUCAUACUAUCAGCAACUAAGACAGCAAGUGAAAAAAUUGCAAACACAAACAUAGCCACCUAAUAUGAAAAAAGGUAUUAUGCCAAAUGCUUAACUUUCCUAAAUUUAUCACCUUCUACCUUAACUUUCCUAAAUCUAGAUGACUCAGUAGAAACAGAAAAUAUCCGAAAAGAAAAAUGUAACGGACUAUGAUUUAACACUUACCAAAUGAGAAGCCGGAUUUAUAUCACACACCACCGCAUAGGGUUGUUACCAAAUUUCAGAUUGUGAAAAAACGAAACUAGUUAAGUCCUAUGAACCAUAAGUAACAUAAACAAAGGAGAGAAUGGCUUCUAAUUCUUCAUGCUUUAUGCCCACUUCCAAAAACAGAGACACAUAACAGAUGAAACACAAAAUUACAAAACUCCAUUAAUUCGACAGAGGUACAAUCUGGAAACACCAACAAUUCAUUUAACUAUGCACCAAAAAGACGAACUAAACCUUACAUUAAUCUUUAACUUAAAAAACAACCAAGAUAUCCAAAUAUAGUAACACCAACAAUUUCAAUCUCAAGAAACCCACUUCCUUAUUGCAAAACAGAAAGCAGAGUACCUGAGGCUUUCCGGGUGUGACAGUAACACAUUCCUUACAACCCUGAAGGCGUUCAUCAUCAAUAAGCGGUCUAAUAUGAAGGGCUACCUUGACACAGCAAUUCUCUGAUGCCUCCAUUGAAUUACUAUCACAAAUAAAGAGAGUGAAUUGAAAAAGGGAAGAGUGAAAAAAGAGAGAAAAAGGGCAUGCAAAUAGAUGGGUUAUACAGAAAGAGAUAAAAUUUGUUAGAAUCUUGAUCUCAUUUUCUAAUCAGUUGGAGUUAGAAUGAAGAAAAUGAUGCAACAACAAGUGGGUUUUCAACAGACACAGAGAGAGAGAGAGAGAGAGACAGAGACAGAGAGAGACAGAGAGAGACAGAGAGAGUUGUGGUUGGAAAAAAGGGGAGGGCGGGGUUUAGGAUUGGUUUGAAAAGAAGACUAGCAGAAGGCAAAGGCCUGCAAGGAGGCAGAGAUAACUACUACAACAACAACAGAAGCAAUACAAUUAUAGAAAUACUUGGUGUAAAUAUACGUUACUAUCAAAUCAUUUUCCUUGUUCUUGACUGCUCAAUCACUGACCGAGUCACCCAAAAGCCAAACCAAGCUGAAGACUGUUUGCUUGGUUGCUGCUGCUGUGUGUGUAUAUCUUUGCUUUCCUAAAUUGCCCACCAGUUCCCAGUCAGUGUGCUGUGCUUCCACUUGCCUACUGUUCAGAAAGGCCAAAACUUUAAGGCCAGCCAACCUCCAGUCUUCAACCGUACACUUGGUUUCGAGGUAUUUCCAACUGUCGAGAGUACUUGGUUUCUUGCAAAAGAACAAAAAUAAAAAAAUACAGAGAUACCUUGAAACAAAUAUAUAUAAUUAUCUUUUUUCUUCGGAAACACAAAAGAAGGAGAAAAAAUAAUGUGCCUCCUCUCAGUUACCAAGAUGCCAAAACCAUAAAAUAUUAUUCUAAAAUUGCAGUGAUAUUACUGGGCAUGAAGCUGAGAAAUCUCCCACUGUUAGUUAACCUAUGCUUGAUAACGGUAUUAUAUAUAUAUAUAUAUUUUUUUUUUCUUCUUUUUAAUAUUUGUUUAUAUUACAUAUUAGAAAAUUCUACGCAUACCAAUUUUUUCUCCCACACCAGAUUAUCACAUUAAAAGGACAGCACUAGAAUAGAACUCAAUUGGAUGCGAGACGAACUUAGGAUUUUUAGAUUGGCUGUUAAAAUUCGAUACUUCACUGUAAGAGUUGUUAUACACUGCUCCUUACCUAUUUUGGCUAUAACAAGGGAAAGCCUUAGCUCUAGGUCUAGCAGCUUCUUUAUUCUAUAAUCACGCCUAACUUUGGCUCAUAAUAGCUUUUUAACUAUUUUAAUUAAAAUUUAAAGACUUUCCUGAAAAUGCUUUAGAGGGAGUUGUAAAAUAGGUGGAGGGCAAAGCCAAUUCAAGCCUGACUUUGGCUACGCCCUUAAUGUGAAAAUAACAUAUAAGUUGGGAAAAAUGGUUGGGCUCAACUCUACUCUUCUGUUUAGGGAACUAUAAACUUAUGCUUGACAUUUGAAAGAAAAAAACAAAAAACAAAAAACAAAAAACAAAAAAACAAAAGUCUUUUUUUUUGGUAAUUAAUGAAUUGUAGAAAGAAAAAGCAAUAGAGAUAGAGAAAUGUCUUUAAUCAUAUGAUGAUAAAAGCAAUAACCACCGCCUCUUUCUUUGUAAAUACAUAGCUUGGAUAUGAAUGUGGUAAAAGACAAUUGAAGCAUUAAGCUAGCUCACCCAAAUGUUGUUGUUAUAAGGUUUGUUCAAAAUGUCCUUUCUCCUAAAGAAAUGAAGAAUGACCGAAAAAAAAAAGGGGGUAUAAAAAAGACAAAGAUUUCAACUUCAAAAGAGAAAAGUUCAAGUUUUCUAGUCUAUGCACCUAACCCUUCGAAACCUUCAUCCAUCGGAUUCUCCCCAAAACGAGCCAAGUAUCCGGAAUGAGGCCCCAUCAAAUGAUAUCAAAUAGUCCUAUUGGUUUUGGAUAUGGACUGGUUUUGUUUUAAGACAUUGAUGUUAUCAUAAUCUUCUUGUUUAUAUAUAUAUAUAUAUAUAUAUAUAUAUAUAUUAGGUAAUACGGACUGCAGCGACAAGAGUUUUACCAACCUAAAUAGUCUAAAAAUGACAUGAUUAAGUAAGAGAGGUUAGAGUUUAGACUUCCUUAAACUAUUUUUAAAAAAUUAAUUGAAUUGUAAGCCACUUCCUUUGUUUUCGUAAUAAGGUGACAAGUCAUACUCAAUAGGGUCUACAUCGAAAAGGUUUGCUUUGUAAUUGUAGAAAAAUGAUGGUCAUUUGUGCAAAAUUUUUACUCUAAGAUUGCAUAUUAAAGAAUGCUAGUUCUAACAUAAGUGACCAAAAAAAAAAAGAAAAAAAAAAGGAGAGAUUGGUUAGGUUGCACAUCUAUACAGGACAUUGACAGCUAAAAUCAGUACAAAGACACAUUUUAUGUACCACAAUAUGCGUAAGUAAUUAUAACGUGUACAUUCAAGGGCAGAAUUACGGCUUUUUCUGUGGGUGGGCUAGCUUAAAAUCUUACCUUUGUAGUUUGAAUCCAUCAAAAUUUAUUGACAUCAACCGAAUAAGCUUCACAAAUGCAAAGUGCAAAAAUAUAAAUAAUUAAGUUUCACAUAUGUAUUAGUUGUAAACACAAGAACAAUAGAAUUAGGUUAACAUUUCGUUUUUUAAAGCCUCUUCCCACUUGUUAAUUUCAAUUACUUACUACGUCUGCAAUUGUGGGUUGAAGGGCUUGUGUGAAUUUUUAUUGAGUCCAACGUUAAAAGCUUUCCCUAUUUUUUUGGGGGUAAAAAAAGAAUAUUUCAUUAAACACUGUCAAAAGAAACAAAGAAUACAAAUAAACUUAAGAAAAUAAUAUUUCCCUGAUGUGUUGUAGUUGAUGGUGGCCAUAUAGGUUUUUUUUUUGUUCUUCAAAAACCUUCACCAAGGCAGCAGAUUUUGCAAACAAAAAACCAAAAGGCACCAUACUUCUUGUGGUGAGUUGUGUACAUGAUGUGUGAAUGUGUUGGUUGUAUAUAUCAUUUGUCACAUCAUUUGAUAUGUAAUUAAUUUUUCUUCUUCUUUUCUUUAGAACUUAACAGGACUGAUGAAAAGAAUAACGUGAGCAUGUUGAAACUUGAAGGUGUUAAUAGAAGCAUUCUUAUGCAAAAUGGUGCUUCAUAUAUGGGAAGUAAUUGUAAACAAAUGAAUAAUUAAGCUUAAGCAUGGUUUGAAAAUCUUGCGAACCUUUUUUUAAAGUUCAACUUUUUAUUCUUCUGGACUGUUGUAAAGUUUAGCCUCAAUCGAUCACAAUGAUCAAAAGGAAUUGAUUCAUGUUACAUAGGAUUUGUUUACAUCAAGAAAUUCCUCUACCUUUAAGUUUUGGCCAUUUCCCUAUGACUUUGUUUACAGAAGAUUGGAGCUCCUGCUCUUAUUCCAUUUUUCUUUUUACUUUUCGUUCUUUGUACUUUGUGCUGUCUGCCCUGCCCUCGUGGGCCUUUCGUUCGAUGCUCCCUUAUCAUCCCCUAUGCAAACUUUCUAUGAUUUCUAAAAUGAUUCUCCCCCACAAACACAAAAUACCAACAAUAUAUAUCAGCACAAAAUCUACCAGAAAUUAAUUGUUAAUAACUCAUGGUGUGGAUUAACCUAGACUCAAUACACUACACGUGUUAUAAUUUGAGUAAAUUUAUAACAUCACGUCGGUAUGUUAGGUCGGAUUACAAAAACGUACAAAAAGUUCUUCCUCAAGGGGUAGUUCAAUUGAGUAUAUGCAACGUCGAAUAGUAAGUGUAUAAAGAUGAUUUCUUUCUAUACAACUACAGCUGUGAUCAUGUGGUGUGGUCCUCCAGAACCAGAUGUUUCAAAGUGUCCCAGUUACAAAUUCCUUGCUUUUAGUAAAUCAUGCCCUGUCUUGCUCAGUUAAGGUGCAAUGGCUCUAAAGUCUAAAGCUUUAUCUCCCUUCUUUCCAGGUCAAGCUUCAUGCACUUGUCAACAUAUCCAUGUGCACCACUGCAAGUUUCUUUUUCCUUUCAAGAUGUGUUUUAGAAUAACAUGAUAUCUAGCUUCCUUUGACAUCAAUAUCAACCAGAAAUUACUUAAACCAUUAUUAUUAUUAUUAUUAUCUUAGGUACAAUAGAUUAACCGCAGCAAGAUUGAGUAAUAAUAGUACAUGUAAAUGUGGUUUCAUUCGUUGCAAUAAAACACUUUCAUGACUUUCAAACGAGAUCUUUUUAUUAUAGGCUUAUAACUUCAAUGGCGUAGUAUUUUUCUCUCGUCUUAUGAUGAAAACUCGAUUGUCGUCAUUCGCUCUCUAAAUUUAAACAAAUGUGUAUAUUCGAGUUGUAUGAUAAAAAGAACUAUUCAUUGUAUUUUGCUAAGUGUCUUUAUCAUUGAUUGAGGUCCUGUAAACUAAAAAUGUGGUUGGGAAAGUUAGCCACAAAGGUACUUAACGUUAUCCAAAUAUGAUUGUUGAAAUUUUGUUAAACAUACUUGGCCAUUGGCCAUGGACAACACAUAAUGAUGGCGAUUAAUCCUUAAAUUUUAAGCCUUUUGCAUCUUUGCUAUUAUAUAAUUUAGUCUAGAUAGCAUUGAUCUAAAUGAUUAAAGCAAAUUGUAACCUCUGAAAACCUAAUUCUUUGGUUGGCAGGUCUCAACUGCAAUUAUGUUUUUGUCAAAUUUGAAUGUGGUUGUAUACUAGUGAAGGCUUCAUCUCCUUCCAUCAUCCCUUCCCUGAUUUGAUUUAUUUAUAGAAAGAAAAAAAAAAAAAAAAAAAAAACACUAACAUCACGUGUAUUUAACUGCAAUUAUGUUUUUGUCAAAAUUGAAUGUGGUUGCAUACUUCUUAGGUGCAAAAUAUAACUAACAUAAAAAAGUUAGAGAUUAAACCCAGUAUAAAAAUACAUCACGUGUAUUUUGCACCUCAGAAGUAUGAUCCAAAUUUCAAAUAGCACCCUAACCUAUAAAAUCUUUCAAUGUCAAACCUAAUGUCUCCGGAAAAAAAAAAAUUGUUGGUAAAAUUGUCAGCAAAUAAUUUGAAUGUUGUGCCAUGCGUGACCUAGAUGGUCCAUUUUUACUUUUUCACCUACAUAACUUAGGUGGUUCUCAAUUCUUUAGUGACGUGUAAACACGUGGACGCACACGUACACAUUUGGGAAAAGGAAAUAUUUUUACUCACCAAUUUAACACAAGAUCUAUGCUCACCACUCUUCUUAAUACUUGACAUAUGUCCAUAGGUAUAACUAGGCCUGGGCACGGAUCGGUUCGGAAAGAUAGAAGGCUCUUCCGUUAACCAAACCAAAGACUUCGUUAGACCAUUUUCUCUUCCGUUAAUCAAACCAAAGACUUAGGUAGACUUCAGAUCGGUUAACCUAAUAUUCGGUUCGAAUUUGUUGGUACACCGUUAGUACCAUAAUAAAAACACAAUUUAUAAUACUUUCACAUAUCAAAAGUUCUUGAACAAAUACACCAAAUUAUCCUUGUAAAAUAUAAAAAUUUAAUAGUCUAAUUCAUCCAAGUAUGAAAUCAAAUAACUUAGUCACUAUAUCAUUCAAUAUGUACUCAAGAUGUACUAGGAGCCACUUGUGUUUGUUGUUUGAACCUUUGAGUGUUCUUUUUAUUGAAUUCUCUAUAUGUAUGUAAAUGAUUUUGACAUUUGUUCUGCGAUGGGUUCUUUAGUUUUUCAUGCUGAAUCCAACCAUAUAAAGAACAUAAAAUUUGGAUCAAUAAUUGAAAAGUUACAGGUAAAAAAGGGACAAAGGUCGAAACUGAAAAACAUAGGAAGUUCAUAAAUUCCUCUCUGACCAAAAAGUGCUACAGUACUCCCGGGUAAGUGAUACAAUAGUGAUAAAGAAGUGAUACAGUGAUGAUAAAGCAGUGAUAAAAUUGUGAUAAAGCAGUGAUACAAUGGUGAAAAAGAAGUGAUACAGUAGUGAUAAAGGAGUGAUACAAAAUGUUGAUUAUAUUUACCUUUGGUUUCUUGUUUUGUAUUUAAAUAAUAAAAUAAGUAUAAAUAUCGGAUCGGUACGGGUUUCUGUCGGAUUAGGAAUUUUGUUUCCGUUAACCAAACCAAAUAUUUCGGUAUGGAUCGGAUCAGAAUAAUUAAAAUUAAAAAAUAACUAUUUAACCAAACCAAACCGAACCAUUAGUACGGUAUAGUCGGUAUGCGGAUAAUUCGGAUGAGAUGCCCACCCCUAGGUAUAACCAUAGCUAACUUUUUACCUUGAUUUAUGUAACCAUGGUUAUGUUUAUGAAUAUGUGUCAAGUAUUAAGAAAAGUGGUGAGCAUACACUUUGGAUUAAAGUGGUGAGUAAAAAUGCUUACUUUGAAAAAAUACCUAAAGGCUUUUGGGUAGGUCCCAUAAAAAGUUCCCGCCCAAUUACUCAAGACCCAUUCAUAAAGCCCAUGAAAGAUCAUAGAACAAUGGGCUUAAUGGGCCUUAAAAUAGGGUCCAUCCCAUUACAAUUGGAACCUCUGGUUACGGCAUCAACGCCCACAGUCUCGUACAAUCAAUGUAGCUCAUUAAUAAGCAGUCACUUCAAGCAUGGUGGGGUGGGUCACGUGAACUACUUACAGUGGCGUGGUUCUCACGCCAGAAUUUAACAAAAUUAAAAAUUAGCAAUUUCAUUGACUUUUACGGAAGCAGCGCUUUUUAUAAUCAAUUGAUUCGAAGCCGCAUAAAAGCGAGAAUCGCCCCCAUCCAUCUGCUGUUUCGCACCACCAGCCACCAAAACCGAAAGUCGCUGCCUUCAAUUUUCUUUCUUUAAAAAAUCCCCCAAACCAGAGAGAAACUCAAACCCGACCCACCCACCCACAAACAACGCCAUGUCUGGAGGCAUAGCUCGUGGUCGUCUUGCCGAGGAGCGGAAGGCCUGGCGGAAGAACCACCCUCAUGUCCGUACAUCUACCCAUAUCUUUGUUUCACCGAAUUACUGCGAAUUUUUUUGUUUUGGGUUUUUAUUUUUUUAGUUUUUUGGGUUGUAGGGUUUUGUUGCGAAGCCGGAGACUUUAUCUGAUGGGACGGUGAAUUUGAUGGUGUGGCAUUGCACGAUUCCUGGCAAGACCGGUGUAAGCUCUCAAACUUAUUGGGACUUUGAAUUUUACUGUUUUUUGGGUCUUUUUAUUUUUCUGGUGAAUUGUUUGGUUUUCUUAAUUCCAAUAGAGUAUUUGGUAAAGGGAGUUACUCCAUUUGAGAUGGGUUUUUCUCAUUCUUGUUCAAAGGUUACUAAUUUUCUUAUGGAGAAGACAGGAAAACUUGCCAUAACACAAUCAAGGAAAAAUUCUAGUGCAAAGUACCUUUUCUUAAUUGACCAAAUGACUGAAAAAGUUUUUUUCAUUGCAGAAAGCUUCUCCUAGAACGCCUUAAGUUAUUCAUUAUACUUACCUAUUUGUUGUUUGUUUUGCCGCAUAGUUUGGUACGAGUUGUCUCUCAGUACCAUUGAUGAGGUGAAUCCAUGUUUGAAUGUGUGGUUUCAAUGCAUAACAUACUAAACUCUCUGACAAAAGAAGAGCGUUGCUAUAUUUAUUGUUGAGAAUACAUGUGUGCAACAUGAUGUGUUAGUGUUACUUGCAUGAUUGAGAUGGGAUUUAGUUGGAUUGAGCACUUUCAUCAAUUGUCGGGUUCAUGGAUUGUAAUGAAAGGUUGAAUGAGUUAUCUUUUUAUAACUCUAUUUGUGAGCCAGUCUGGUCUUGACGUUUUCAAGGGUAUCCAUGUUUUGUGCUGAUCUGGUCCGUGGAGAGUGAUUCAUAUGUUAACUUUAAAAUAAAUAAAUAAACAGAGCCAUUUCAUACUCGAAAGUUUGUUAUUACAUAUCAUACCUCAGCUUUUGGAAUGAGGCUUUUUUUAUCUAGAGAGAUGGAAUAAUUUUGUAUUUUUUUGGUGUAUGUAGCUUCUGACAUUUUGUACCAUAAUGCAGAAGCUUGUGUUGAUUUUAGUGGAAGACUCAGCAGGAAUGGCCUUCUUUUGGGGGGUUUUUUCUAUUAUCUGUAGUGUCUUUAUCUCCUUCUGUCGUAGUUUUUGCUUUUCAAAUUUAUGCGUUUAGGUUAUUGUUUUCAUGUCCAUUCCACAUCAUUUGUGUUAAUUAUGUAUAUGGGGGUAUUUAUUUGAAGGGUUUGUACUUCAGGGAAAUUUACCCAAAAAAAAAAAAAGAUUUUUAUAUCAGGCAAUGUGAGCAUUAUAUGGUUAUUUAUCAACAGCAGCAUGGCUUUACUAUAUUUAGAGUGGAGAAUGUACAUUAAAUUAGAAGAAAUCAAGAUGUUUUCAUUCAAUGUAAUGUUUUCUAUUGGCAUUAACAUUUCUUACUAAUAUUAUGUUGCAGACUGACUGGGAGGGGGGGUUUUUCCCACUUACCCUUCACUUCAGUGAAGACUACCCUAGCAAGCCUCCAAAGUGUAAAUUCCCACCAGGUUUCUUCCACCCAAAUGUAUAUCCAUCUGGAACUGUUUGUCUAUCAAUUCUUAAUGAGGACAGUGUGAGUACCUUCUGUUUGUUUGAGUUUUCUACAUAUAGCAACUUCUUUGACAUGGAGAAUUAAUGAGCUUUUUAUCCCAUGAUACUUAGCAUUCGUUGUCUUAUAUGUAGGGUUGGAGACCAGCAAUAACCGUGAAGCAAAUUCUUGUGGGCAUUCAGGAUUUACUGGAUCAGCCAAAUCCUGCUGAUCCUGCACAGACAGAAGGGUAUCACCUCUUCAUUCAGGUAUGUUGCUCCUUAGCAACUUUUUGUUUCCCCAUUGCUCUGCAAAAUUUGGAGGGAAGGCUCCGUUGUUUCUUUAAUGAAUGUAAAGCUAGUAUAAUGCAGUAUACAUCUUGCAAACUCUGAAGGUUGCAUUCCCACAUUUUCUGAGGUGAUGGCAUAUUAUUGGGACGUCCAGUAAAGUCUCAUCUAACGUCAUUAAUCCUGGCAGUGGCAAUUAGCAUCAGAACUCACCCUGAGUGACUGCAACUUUAGGGUGCCAUUGCUGUGCUAUCUGUUGGUGGCUAUACAUAUGAGAAUAGGAUUAAGUGUGGCGAAGUGACCACCUCUUAUGAGUUAAACAGGAAUUAAUUUACCUUUGCUUUGCUUGAGUUUUUGCUCUUACACUCUGCAAUUCGACUUUAUGCAGGAUGCCACGGAGUACAAGAAAAGGGUUCGGCAGCAGGCCAAGCAAUACCCACCUCUAGUUUAACGCAAAGCUGGCUUUCUAGUCCAAGAAAAUGCUGGUACUCUGGUAACCGUCGGUUGUUGCCUUUUGUUUAGUGUUAAAACUGCUCAUGUAAGAAAUUGUUGUUUGCAAGUUUUAGUUGACUCCUGUGUAGAACUACUUGCUUGAAUUAUUUUUCCUCUUAUCAUUUGGAUUAAAUUCUGCUAGUGAAUGACACACUAGCGAGUGAUCCAGUCAUACUCUGUGUCAAUGAGAAACACAAUCUUUCGUGUUGGGAGGACUAUGUCAAUUGUGUUAAUUUAUGAGUUUCUCGUUCCUGGUUGUGAGGAAGGCUAAUGCAAGCACCAAAAUAGUCUCAAACACAAUUAGGUACCAUUUGAUUUGAUUUCAAGGUAUUGUGUUUAUUCGUAUUCAGUUUCACUUUGAAUCUCUUUUGUUUCUAGUAAUUAAGGUAUUGCAAAAAUGAAAAUUGCAGACUUUGAGAUACGUGGAUCAAAAUAAUCAGGUCCAUUAACCUUUGGCAGAAAAUCUUAAGGCGGAGAAUCGUUCAGGAAUUAUUUCCAUGUGUUUUUUCAUGAAGUGCAAAAUUUCAAUGUUCUAAAUAGAAAGCAGUUGUGAGUAGAUGAGCUUCCUCUUAAAAUGGGUCACUUGAAUAAAUCACCCAAACUUUUUCUUACAGCAUUAAUGGUUGACAUGAUUCACUUAGCCCAUGAUUAAAGAUUUACUUGGAUGUUUCCUCCUAUUUCCAUUGUCAUAAUGGUGACACUGUUUUUUUUGGUUUUUGAGGACUUUUUGUAUUGAAAGGAGGCGGUAAUAUAUUAAAUUUACACACACCACGAAUGUUAGGACUCGGACUCAGGACUUUGUUUGAGCGAGUAAAUACUCCAAAUCAUUACACUAGUGGGUUCUUUGCAUAAUGGUGACACUUUAGUUUAUCUCAACUAGGGAAAAAUUGAUUUUCACUUGCAAAUAAACUAAAUAUUACAGCCAACGGGUCUAAUCUAGUGAAAAAUGCUUUGAUCUCGAAUUCGAAAAUAUGAGAUUUUGAAACAAAAAGAAAGGUAGGAUUUUGAUAAAAUAAAAUAAAAUACACGCAGCUCCAACUUUCCCGGCCCAGCCCAUCUGCGGCACUGCGGCACUGCUGAUGCACGUAUCAUAAAACAAAAAACCCGAAACCCAGAAUCAUCUUCUGCUAGGGCUCCAAAAUGGACGACAUGGCUGCCUAUUACCCGCCACCGCCUCCACCACCAGGCUCCGUCCACUACCCAUACUACCAACAACCGCCACCACCGCAACCGCCUCCGUCGGUGGCGCCACCGUUACAGCACCACCUGGUUCAGCCCUACUUCCCUCAACACCCACCGCCUUUCUCUUCCUACGCGCCCGCUCUCGUCCCCCAACCCUCACACGACGAGGUCCGGACCCUAUUUGUCGCGGGUCUUCCCGAAGAUGUCAAGCCCCGAGAAAUCUACAACCUCUUUCGCGAGUUUCCGGGUUACGAGUCCUCCCACCUCCGGACCCCAACCGAGAAGUCUCAGGUAUUGCUGACAAUUGAAAUUAAAUUAUAUUAAUGCUUGAUUUUGAGUGAUUUUGGUUAUCAGCUUACUGUAGCGGUCAAAAAGUUUGGAUCUUUGCAAUUGGGUUGGAAUAUAUAUUGGUUUUUUGUCACUGAAGUUGUUGUGGGCUGACAUGGUCUUUUGGUGAUGUAGCCUUUUGCUUUUGCGGUGUUCUUGGAUCAGCAGUCUGCGAUCGGGGCAAUGCAUGCUCUGAAUGUGAGUAGACCUUGCAUUGUUUUUGUGACAUUAAUAGUUGGGUAUCUGUAUAUAAACGCUGUAAUAUACAAUGCUGUCUCAACUAUACAGUAGAGGAAAUUAGGAUAGUAUUGGUUGGUAUUUCACAGUUUAUAGUUAUCUUCGGGACUAUCACCCAACUUAUAAGUCUGUUGCAAAUUGUUUGAAUUGAAGAGCCUCGCUCAGGGUAAAAUAGCUUAUGCCUAUUCAUGCGUGGAGAAUGGCAGAUCUUUAGUACUAGCAGUUGGCUUUUGUGUUGUUUGUUUGUAUGGGUUUUAUUAUUAUUCACUGUGUUGGUGAGUUUUACACUAUAUGUAAAAUUUAGGUGAAAAUUUUAACUAAGAGCUCUUGAUUCCGAACUGUGUUUGCAGGGGAUGGUGUUUGAUCUUGAGAAAGGGUCAACAUUAUAUAUUGAUCUAGCAAAAUCUAAUUCUAGGUCAAAACGCUCAAGAACAGGUCUAUUUCUAUUCACUUUCUUUGUCCUUUGUUUGUUCUCUUCCACAUCUUAACUGACUUGAACUGCAAUCUGUGCUAUUGUUGAUCGUUGUAUGUAGAUGAUGAAAGAUCUGGCUCAGAUAAGAAAGCUAGAGGUUCAUCGUAUUCAAGGGGCGCUCCUGAUUCUGGUAAGAGGAUUGCCUCUAACUGCUUGUGUAAGGAAGUUAGCUUGCACGAAUUUCUUGUCUGCAAUUUUUUUGUUGCUAAUUAUCCUGUUGUACUUUAUGAUCUCACUGUGCUUUAUAAUUGCUUUUCUUUACCAUAUCUAUUUGAUGAUUGACUGGUCUACAAGAUCAGAAACUAUUACUUAGUCACAUGGAGGACACAUUCUUCUAAAAGCUCACAUUGCACAUGUUUUGCACGCUUGGGCACUAGCAGGUGUUGGCAGCAUUCACAUGCCUGGAAUGGGUAAUUCUGCUUACAACAUCAUUGGUUAUCCAUCUGCACCAAGGUCAUCUGCACUGCUUGAGCACACGUUUUGUUUUGUUUACAUGAAAGUGACUACUUGUAGCUCAAUAAUCAGCACAUAUUUAUUUUAAAAUAUAUUACUACGCUGAAAGGCCAAGGGAUUAGUAAAAGCAGUUUCUGGACGCCCUGGUCCAUGAAGUUGGAGUAUAGUAUUUUCCUUUUUGAAAUAGUCACUUUAAUAAAUCUACGGAAUUCCUUGUACUCAUUUAUUUUUUUUCUUCACUCUUCAGUCAUGGAAACUUCAAUGGCAUACCUGUACAUGAGACAAUUGCCGGAAACGUGGUAUCUUAUCUCUUCACUACUUGCACUCUUUUAUUUUUUCAGGGUAGUUUCAUUUUCAAGUCGAUGUUCAUCUCUUGUUAGAUAAUGGAUUCCUAAGCUUGCCUUUUGCAGAUCUAUUUGUAUUUUUCUCCUAUUUAUAUAUUUUCUUCUGGAAUCUCACUUUUUAUUUAAAUUAAAUGUUAGAUAAUAUGUAUGUGAAAUGUCAUCUGAGUGUUAUUGGCCUUUAUACAUUGGCAGAAUAAUUCUGCAGCACAACAUUUUCCACAAAAUAAUACUCCAUGCCCAACUAUUUUCGUGGCUAACUUGGGGCCAACUUGUACGGAGCAAGAGCUGAUUCAAGUAUUUUCAAGGUUAGUAGCUAUACUUUAUUUAUUGUAGAUUCAUUUGUAUAGUCCGCAAUACUGUGAUGUCAUUUUCUAACUGUUUUUAUUAGGUGCCCUGGGUUCAUAAAAUUGAAGAUGCAGAGCACAUAUGGAGCUCCAGUUGCAUUUGUUGAUUUUCAGGUGCCCAUGUCUGUUAGGUUCUAUCAUCCGUCUUAAAUAUAACCAUAAAACACGGCCUUUCUGAGAGGGAGCCUAAUAAGAUGUAAAUAACACUGAUAUAAUUCUGGUUUAAUUUUAACAGGGUUGAACCUUGUUGUGAAAACUGACAUAGUUCUCAUUUAUUUUGAACGGUUGAACCUUGUUUUAAAUUGGAUAUGGAAUGUUCUAUUUGUAGAUAGCAUUUGAAAAUUGGAAGUAAAAUUCCGUAAUCCUUAUCCAGUUGCAUUUUGUAAAUUCUUUGAUUUUAUUGUGAAAAGUGUACAGGAGAAGCCUCUAGUUAUCGGUAUAAUUUCCAAUCUCCUGAUCCGAACGCCUCUAGAGCUGCUUUGCAAUUCUAAUUAUAUUCUUUCCCAUAUCUGAAGGAUACUGCCUGCUCAACUGGAGCGCUGAGUCAUCUGCAAGGCACAAUUCUCUACUCGUCAACAACGGGCGAAGGCAUGAGAUUGGAGUAUCCUUUAAUAGAUCACCUCCUAAGUUUUUCUGCCCUUGGCUUUUGUUGAUUUCUCUGUCACAAGUUUUGCUUAACAAGAAUCUCAGGUAUGCCAAAUCACGAAUGGGAAUGCGGAAGAAGCCAAAGUAAUGUGAAGAAAAUAACAAGAUGUAUGCUUUUUGCUCGUUUCCAUGCCCACACAAGCGGAUCCACAUCUUACAUUAAGCUUGUACCAAGAAUAGGUAGACUUUAGUAUCAGGGUUAACUGUUAUGAUGAUUUAUUUUCAUUUUCUCAAUAAUGGAAAUGUUUUUUUGUUUCCAUUCCCAUUGUGAAUUCGUGAUGCUAUGGUUUUAUAUCUUCAAAUUCAGAAUGGAAAGCGAUCCCUGUAUUUUUGUGGUGAUAGAGUGGAAGUGUAAAUGGUAAAAAAAUACGGACCAGAACUUAGUUGAACAAAACAAAACAAAAAAGAUUUGUAAAAUCUGGCCGAAGAUCCUCAAGAUUUAACUAUUUUAUCGCUACAAGGGUCCAAGAUUUAAUCAAAACUGCAUAUUUUCAACUGAUCACGGAUGAAGAAGCAUUGAUUGAAGCAGCUGUUUGAAGUUUGUGAUGUUUGGGGCUCCUCUGUCCUUAUCUGGGAAAAAAUCUUUGCAUAAAACAAAAUUUUUAUAAAGUUCUUUAAUCAAGUAAAAUCACGUGGCGGUACAAUUCAUUAAUGUUAUAACACGUAUUUUAUUUCGAUGUUAAGCUCGUCGGCACAUAUUAUAAUAUGUGGAUUGUAUCACUUUGAACUAAAAAACCUUGUAGAUUUGCAUUAAUGUAAAUAUUGACUAACAUAACUAUACUAAAAGUAGUUCAACGUAAGUGGACUGAUAAUUAAAAUAAACUAAAUAAUUAAGAACCCAUCUAGCCUUCCCUCUCAUUCAUUCAUGCAGGGCGGCACAGACGCACGUAACAUAAACAUCCAUCGUUAAUUACUAAGUCAGUGUGUAUGCUUUGUGACAUCUUCCAAACAAAAUAAAUAUAUAUAAAAAAAUGUCAAAGACAAAGACACCGCAUUUUCCACACAUGUGACUUUCUCUUAUUAUUUUCUUUUUCUUUUUCUUUUUCUUUUUCUUUUUUCUGCGGACACACACACGACCUCAACCUCAAAUCAUCAAAUAACAUAAAUGAAUAAUAAUUAUAGUACACAACACAGUUAGAGACAUGUGCAACCGUGCACGCAUCAAUUGACAUGUAAUUUUUAUUUUGGAUUUAUAGAAAAAGGUCAACAUGGUGCAUCCUAAACUAUUCCUAUGUCGAUGCACUAACUUCCCUCGGAUUUGUCACACUCUGUCAUUCAUACUGCAUGCCAUGUCAUCAUGGCAUGAAUGAAGGAGGAUGAUGAUUUUCAAUGUUCUCAUCCUUUGCAUGAAUUAUUGGUCUUCCUCCUCCGACCUUAUACAAGAUCAUGCUGCCCCCAAUUAAUGUCUUUGACCCAAACAGUAAUUGAAAAAGAGGGCAAUUGAAUUUGCAACAUGGAUUAGCUUAGCUUAAUCGUGAUUAGAUUGAUAAAUGCAGCUUAAUUACUUCCUCAUCCUUUUCUUUGGAGAUUAAAAAGGUCAACAAGAUUGGAUAAGCUCUCCACUUUUGGGGACAACAACCCUAACCAAAAAAUAUAUAUAUAGAUUUAUUUCAACCAUCAAUCACAAUUAGCAUUCUUGUUUGUUUUCAACCCAGCUGAAAGUCCCCGGAAAGAGCAAAUUACCAAACACAUGGAGACUGGCCUCAUGAUAAGACAUAGCAUAUGCCAUACACCUACAAUUUUUCUACCCCCACUCUAUCUAGCUUUGAAACCUAGGGUUUCCAAAUUUGACCCAUUUGGUAUCAUAAACCAAAGCUAUACCUAGCUUACUUAAAACCCUUCAAAAUAAAAAUAAAAAAAUUUAAAAUAAACAACAACAACAACAACCCUCCUCAUUGUUUUCUAAAUCUUCCAACCUACCAACGAACUUGCUUCAAAAUUUAUCCAUCACAAAUCACAACACAAGAAAACAUUGAAAGAGGGCCUUUCUUUUGUUGUAAUGAUUAUUUGGCUACGUAUACUAAAAUACAAUACAAGUAGCCAUCCAAGCUGUAAAUGUCGCUGAAAAAUCAAUCCAUGAUACGUAUAUUCAUUUAUUUAUAGGUCCCCCAGGAGACAAGCCAUAGUGGUUAAAGUUCUAGGUUGAGCAGUGUAGACGUAUACACUCGAACUAGCCAAAAAUUGAAAAAAGUGUAUGUGCGAUGGUCGGUGGUGCUUUUUAAAUGUUUGCAUGUAGUGGCAGCUCUUAAUGAUGUACAGCUUCUUGUCUGAUUGUCGUGGGUUUCUUCUGAGCCGCGCAUCAAGUUGGGAACUACAUACAAAACGCACAGAUGUAACCACUGUUCUUCAAUGCCUUAUGGGCAACUUUUAAUGCCCGGAAAAACUUGGGCAGGGAUGGAUUUAUGAUUUCAAAAUAGGAUGGGUUAAAUUUAUUUUGCGUAUAAAUUUAUUAAGUUCAUCCCUAAUACUAGAUAACUCAAACCCAAAAUUUCCGUCUCUAAAAUAGAAUAAUUCAUGUAUAUCUCAUACUCAAAUAAUUUUUUAAAAUUCUUUUUAAUGUUAAUUUUAAAAUAUUAAACAAAAAAAUUAUUACAAUUUUAAAGCUAAGGAAUGGGGUGUGGUUUUAAUUUAAACAAAAAUUUAAUGAGUAAGUGUGGUUUUUAAUGUUAAUUGUUUAUGUAUGUGAAGAUUUAAAAUAUAUAUAUAUUUAUGUGAAGAGUUAAAUGUUAAUAAAAUUUGGGAAGUGUGGUGAAAUAUGUGGUGGACUAAAGAAAGGAGGUGUCUCACACACAACUCCACCAAGUCAAUGCAUUAAAUCUGUCAGUUGGGGUCCAUUUACGUGGGUUGAUUGGAACUUGGGGGAGUGAACUCAAGUGUGCUAGGUUUGCUAUUUUAGACUAGAAAAAAAAAAAUUUGUUUGGGCUAUAACUCAGGUUAGUCAUAGGGACAAUCCGUCUUGACAGCGGUGUUGUUCGUCACGUAUCUAAUUUAUAAGUAAAUCUAAUUAAACACGUGUUAUUUUUGUUUAAUUAGAUUAUUAUGUCACUCAACACUGUCGUAUGGCAUGAACAAUUUCACUAAAGAUUUUUUCUUUUUGACCACACACACACCAAAAAAAUAUAUAUAAAAAAAAAUUCUUGUUAGAAUCCAAGUUAUUUCCAGAAUGGAAUGCAAAUUGCAAAGAUAUGAGAAACCAACCAGAUCAUAAAUUAUUGUUAUUUUAUAUAAAUAUAUAUACAAUAAGGUCCAUACAAAUCCAUGAAUGAUUGAGAUUCGUUUAUUGGUCAUAAUAACCCUUAUUGUAGGUAACAUACAAUGAAAACAAAAUGUGGACGGGGACAAGCACAUAAGAUAAUUCCUUGUAGUAUUUAAAUGGAAGAUUUACUUGAACCACAUGUUUGUGUGGGUCGUAUGAUGCGUUAAAAAACGAUGAAUCCUAGGUGUGUAUGUGAUUGUGGAAUAUUAUUAUGUAUAAUGUAUGUAUUGUUGACAAGGGACAAGUGCUAUAUAAUAAACCUACCAUAAUUAUCUUUUAAUUAAAUUUUUAUAUGCAUUAACGACACAAAAUCAUCUACACGUGCGUGAACGAGUGUUGUCAUAAAAUCUCCACACGCUCUAUUUUGAGAAGUGUAGAAGGUUUUUCUUCUUUUUUAACAGUUGUCUAGUUUUCUACCUAUACUGGGAAAGACAAGAUCCUUCAACUUUACAGUGUCUAAUCCUCCAACCUCAUUGUUUGUCCUACUAAUGUUUAUGACUUGUUACAAAGGAAAGGAAGUGUGAUUUUAUUCGACCGCCACAAAAGUAAGUCUCUCUCAAUCACUUUGUCGUGUGUGGGGCGGUAAAUUCAGGGAAUCAAACUCAAAACACACAAACAAUCAGAUUGUAACCUUUUUAUGCAUAAAAUAAUGAGGCCGGCCCAAUCAGAUCAUCAACAGGUUUUUUCCAUUUUUACUUGGUGGGGUCAUUACGAUUUUUAAAUAACCAUAUUAUCCCCACCCUGCCGCCACCUGUCACAGGUAGGGGAGGAGAGAAUCGUCUUAUCUCUUGAGAUCGUUAUUGCGUGGAGGGAAAAGUCAAUUCCUAACGGUAUUAAAAAAUUAAAAUAAUAAAAUAUUUUUUUAUUUAUUUACAUUGCCCAAAAAAAAAACACUUGGAAAUAACUGAAAUAUUCUUUUCAUGGUGUCUGGUUGAAUUCAAUAUUCUUUUUUUCUGCAUUAUAAUUUUUAUAAAAAGAGAAAAGAGAAAUGUUUUUCACGACCUUUGAAUUCCACUCCAGUUGCCCACAACACAAACAGACAGCUCUCCCAUCACUACCUCCACCACCACCCAGUAGAUAUUUUAUUUAUUUAUACAUUCUGAAUUGUAUAAAUAAAUCCCAUCUCAUUUUGGUCCAUUUGGAAACGCAAAACAAAAAGAAAAGAAAAUAGAAAGAAGAAGAAAAGAUUAUUAGAGCUCUCAGACUCAGACCCAGACUCAGAGAUGCAAAGAUAAAGCAAAGAGAAAACAGAGCAUCUCCAUCUUCUUCUACUCGGCCAAGUACCCUGUUUUUGUAAGACAGGGUCCUCUGAGUCUGCCUAAAACCACUGCUAAUAAGGCAAAACUCAAAACCCAAAAACCCAAAAAAGAAAAAAGAAAAAAAGAAAAAACGGGGGAAUUGUGUCGGUGAAUUUGGAUUUAUUUUGGGAUUAAAUUUUUUGUUUGCUUUUGUUGGGUUUCAGAGACGUGGAGGCUUACCCAGAUGGCAAGCUUAGUGGCCAAGUAGCAUGCAAACCCUCUACCCCCCAAAAAGCAGCCCACUCGUUUUGCAUUCUCACACCCACAAAAACCCAAACACCAAACCCCACAACAAUUGAAGAACCAAAAGAAGAUGGACGGUGGAGGAGGUGCGGCAGAAACUAAUAGGAAGCGAGGGGUUGAGAACGACAAGCCGUACAAGGGGAUAAGGAUGAGGAAGUGGGGCAAGUGGGUGGCUGAGAUUCGAGAACCCAACAAGCGCUCCAGAAUUUGGCUCGGCUCCUACUCCACCCCCAUCGCCGCCGCUCGGGCCUACGACACGGCCGUUUUUUACCUGCGGGGCCCGUCGGCGCGCCUCAAUUUUCCCGAGGCUCUGCCGGUCGAAGGCGGCGGCGUAGGCUGCGGAUGCGGCGAUAUGUCGGCGGCUUUGAUACGCAAGCGGGCCACCGAGGUCGGCGCCCGAGUCGACGCCGUCGAGACGGCUAUGCGCCACCACCGUGGUGGCACCGCGGCGCCAAACGGAGGUGCCGCUGAGAUUAAGCCCUGCGUGGGUGGAUUCGUGGAUCGGGUCGACCUGAAUAAGAUGCCCGACCCGGAGAAUUCGGACGGUGACUGCGAGUGGGAGACGAAUUAGUGAGAGAGAGAGAGAGAGAGAGAGAUAGAGAGACUAUGUUAAUCUUCAUCUCUUUGUUUCUGAAAUUGAGGGGUGGCUUUGCUAACAUGCGCAGGGGAGGUAUGUGACGGCUGAAGCAAUGAUGAAGCUUUCGUCCUGGUCCUGGAUUAGAGAAUUAGAAUUAGCCUACUGUAUCCGUUUUUUUCCUAUCCUUUUUCUUUUCUUUUCUUUUUUGUUCAGAAAGAUUUUUGCAUUUUGAUGGAGAAAUUUUGGCCCUUACGAAAACGUGAUAUAAGAUGUAAAUUAUGCUAGAAAAUUAGCUAAUUUUCCCCUUUUGCUGUGUAUUUAUUCCUUUGUUUUAAUUUUAAUUUGUUCCUCCUAGUUGGAACUUGGUGGGUGAGAGAUGUAACUUCCAAGUGGUAUUUUGGUAGGGAACUGGUAAUGGGAAUUUUGAUGGAACAGAGCAAAAAUGGAAUUGAGAGAGAGAGAGAGAGAGAGAGAGAGAGAGAGAGAGGUUGAGAAGAGGGGAGCAGAAAGGGCCUACAGGGAGGGGGAGACAAAGGGGGCCAGGGCUAACCACUAAAGCUAUAACUACUACUGGAGAAAAAAGCAAUUCAGAUUUGAGAGUUAGGUAUUUCCUGGUUCUCACCACUGUAGCUGAUUCAUUGAUUGUGAAUUAUAUGGGUGGGAUUAUCGAUUUCAAUUAUAUGGGAUUGGUAUGGGUGGUGGUGCACUGGCGGUGGUGAUGUGGUAGGGUUUUGGUUUUGGUGGGAUGGAGGGGGAAGGGCAAAUUGGGUGCGUCAUCGUGAUUUGAUGGUUGUGCAUAGUGUGCCCUUUAUCGAUUUUGUCCCCCUAGCUAAUGCCUCUCUCAUCAUCAGUCUCAGAUUCUAUUUCUGGUCAAAUGACACUAUUGCCAUGUCUUGCUCUAUCCGUCUGUGCUCCUGGACAAGGACAAUUACAUUAGCAAUGGCUGCAUAGAUUUUAAGAGCACACACUGAUUUUGGCUGGUGCAAAUUAUGGAUUAGCUGUAACCCAUGUUUUUGGUUUAAUUUAACCAUUUGCAUGCUACUUUCCACUAAACGGCAACGAUUAAUCCACGAUUAGCGGAGAAUCGGGUAUAUCUUACUAUGCUAAUGUGAUUUGUUAAUUAUUUUUUAAAAAGUUGCUCAUAUCUCAAUGAUGUAGAUGUUCUAGGUUAGCUAAAUCUACAUGCACCGUAGUUCAAAUUUUCUCCAAUGGAUGACCUUGUUGAUUGUUACUUCCAAGGAAAAGAAAUAUACACUUUCUCUAACACCUCAAAGAUUUGAUUGAUUGUAGUUCCACAUGUUCUUUUCAUCAUGCGUAUCAAAGGGAAAAUCUUUUAAAUCCAAUGAGGCAAUCAUUUUGACUAUCGUACAUUUUCUAUUCUUUUUUAUACGCACAAAUGCGCAACAAUAAUAGAAGUCCAAUAAAGAAAGAUAAAGUCUACAACCUCCCCAAUUCAACCAUUUGUUCAACAACUAGUGCGGAAAAUUUGGCAAUCAUGAAACCAAUCCAAUGGCCGCUUCAGUUCAACAAACGCAGGACAGCAUCUAGACUAUAGAGAAAUGAUAUACAUGUGCGCAUUGUGUGUGGUUGUCAACGGGUUUCGAGACGAAUUUCCAUCAACAGCUAACCACUCAAACUGUUUCUUUUCCUGUCCCUUCUCAGGGACAAGCAAGGAUGGUCCAUAAACCCUUAAUCCUGGUAGGGUUCUGUGUUAUUCAUAAUUAAUACAACCUCAUUGCUGUUUUACACAACCACGUUGUCAAAAUUGCGCCUAUAAAGAAGACCAGCUCCUCCAACAUCUUCUAUAAUUGCACCAUAAACAUCUGGAACGAAAGUUGAUCCUUAUGUGUUUGGCUGUUAUGUUUUUGAUUCACUAGCAUGUUUUAUUUGAAGGGCUGCUCUUAUGAUGUUUCCUCUUGUAAUAAUUCCUACCUUUGUAGCGAAAACAGUGGCAUAUCAGAGAUACAGAGAGUAUUAUGGUGACAGCGAAAGAGAGAUCAAGAGAAAAUAAUGCAUCUCUUAUCUUACCAGCUUACCGCUGUCAUCUACAACUGGAAGUCUGCGAUAUUUUGUCUCGAGCAAUAAUCUGACAUCAGAUAACAAAAAUUAAUCCUUUCCGGCUAGACGGAUAAUAGGAUGCAGAAAUGGGAAAAAGUAGAGCAGGAAAACAAAACCUAGCAACAUCCUCAAGAUUAGUGGUUUCACUAACGACGACUGGGGCUGGUGUCAUCAAAUCGCCGACCACCUGCCCAUUGGUUUUACUGAGCAAGUUCUGUACCUCGUUGAAAGUCUGCAACCAUAUCAAUUAAAGAAGCAUUUUUGUAAGGCAAAAUAUUUGUUGCAGAAAUGGGAAAGUACUGGUCAGACUUCAUUGAAGCUAUCUUCGCAGGGAAGUAAUUUCAAAUGCUAUGGAGCCAAAAGCAUUAUGCCUCUCUUGGGAUAUACGAGAAAAAUAAAAGUGUAAUAAAACUCUUAAACCACCCUCCAAUUUACCCCCAUUACUGAGAUCUUUUGUUAAGUAGAAUAAAAACAAUAUAAACAGAUGCAGACAAACAUCAAGAACAGUAAAAGAUGAAAAUAUUUAAAGAAAAUUUGUCACAUACUUUCCAAGAGCUGUCCACUUCUGGAAACAUGCUGUUGUCGGUUCUUCCUUGACCUAUCAGGUAAAAUAUUUGGACGGCUGUAUUAUGUAAGAGAUGACCAUCUUGAUCAUUGUGCACAGAAAAUCAUACAGUUCUGUUUGAGAUCAUAGCACCUCACCAUACAGAAAGGAGUAAUCCAUAGCCAAACACGUCAUUUGUAACCAAUUCUAUCUAUAUUGCAAUUAAAUAAACUUAAAAUGAACUGAUUUCCAAUUCAUUUCAUUUGUUUGAAACUUAACAGAAUAACUGAGUUGAAUUCACUGAUACCGAACAAAACAAUAGAAGAAACAAAUGAAUAUGGCCCUAAUAAAAUUACACUUCUUUAACCAGAUAACUGUUACGCACUGGCACAGUUGUAAUAUGCAAAAGUUGCAGAGACUGGAAGUAAUUGAUUUACGUCUCCAAACAGAAUUAACAAAUAUUAAAACAAACAAAAAUUUAAAAAUAGUUUUUUUAAUAUUUUUUUAUUUAUUUAUAUAUAUAUAUUUGAAAAAGAACAUGAUAGUCCAUCAAACGAAGUCCCAACAUCACUAGCCCAAAAAGGAGAAUACAGACAGACAUCAGGGUCAUCCAUUCGAAAUUCGUAUGCCACACCAAGAGAAAUAGGAGGAUAGUGAUUGAAUGACUGAAGACCAAUCUGGUGUUCUCUUAUGUCUUUAACAUAUGCAUUAAUGUGAGUUAAAACCAUUUGGUUUCGAUGAGAAAAAUGGGUAGAUGAGUGAUUGAAGGCCAGAGAGAGAGAGAGAGAGGGGGGGACAGAGAUCUCUUUGAAUAAUGAAAAAACUGGGAGGGCAGCAGUGGAGAGACUAGAAGGGGAUGCAGGGAUCUCGUUAGAAUGAGAAAAAGGAUCACAACAGAUGAAUGGAACCAUGAGAAAAUCCAAUCUACUUUGGUCAGACUGGAACCUGUAUGGAAAUCUGAAUAUUUCCCCACCAAAAAAAUUCGAAUUCUAAGGGCAUACCUAUAUAACUCAGUUGCAACUGAACUGAAGCAGUGAAUUCCUUAUUCUGCAGAGGUUCCAAACAGGAUGUGAAAGAAAUUCAACUAUUCCAGACAAUCAUACUUAUAAAACUCCUCAAACUACACGGCCCAUUUUAUGUAGUUUAUAGGGAAACAAUAACAUUUUGACCUUUUUGUAAGGGAUGUGAAUUACUAUGUGAUCCUUGCCCGACACUUUGACACCUCUUUUUUCUCAAUGAUAAAACUAAAUACUCUGCUAGCCAAAGUGAGUACACCAUGAUUUGCGCUUAUGUUUCUUUAUGUUAAGCUUAGCUGUAACCCAAGGUUUCACACAGGAAUUUUCAAAUUCCAUUUAAUAUUAAUCCUAUAAAGAGCUAUAUCCUUCACUAAAUCUCUUGUGGACAUAUCCUUCCUAAUCAAUUCCACCAAUGCCAUUCUUGGUAUCCAUCUACUGUUCAAUUCUCCUCCUUGCCUUAUUCUUUCACAGAGUGCAUUUGUAUCUUCACAUUGUAUAUGACCAGAAAAUCAUAAAUUCCCUCAUUUUAUCAUCAAUCGAAGCCACCCCUACCUCAGAAUGAAUAUCCACAUCCACCUCAACGUCCUCAUCUACUUUAAUUGGAUGUAAAAUAAUGUCAAUAAUGUCAAAUGUAUACAAAAAAUAAAAUAAUGUAUACUAUCAUGCAUAUCAGCCAAAAUAAUGCAUGUCAAACAAACUUAGCUUACAAGAUUCAGAUCACCCUUUUUCAAGUGGUGGCCUAACUAUCAAGUAAAUGAUACAUAGAUAUGAUCAUAAAUCAAAUGAAGAUGAAAAUGAGAGAAAACACCAUGAAAUCUAUUAGAGAUAACUUGAAUGAAAAGGCAAAAUUUGAUAAACCAAAAAAUAAAUAAAUCUAAGAUAUAAUUUUACAUAUUAAAUUACCUGAUAUGGUGUCCAAUGCUAAUAAGUCAUAAUCUGAAACAAGACCGACCUGCAUCAAAAAAAGUACCACUGUAUAUUAGUUGCUCAAUCAUAUAAGCACAAAUCAAGAAACAGAUACUGACUAAACAAUGAGGAUGGUCACAACUUCUCAGAAAAAGAAAGACGUUUUUGUUUCUAUAACAUUAACAUGAGAAAACGCAGGAAAUUCCAUUGGGGUUGCGAAAUAGACAUAUGUGUGUUUGCUUGAAUGCAGGCCGCAUGCAUACACUAUUAUGCUGAGCAUAUUGCAGAUAUGUUUCAAAACGAACAAAGCAGGUGUGUGAAUUCUUGAUGCUUGAGGUCAUAACAAAAUCCUGAACCAACCAGGGGGAGGAGAGCAAUGCUCCACGAGAAAAAAAUUCCUGGUCCAUUCACCGUUCCAAUGUGAAUACCUAAUCCUCACUUACAAUCAGAAUUACAUAAUGUACCUUAAGUAAGACAAUACUUUUUUCUUCUUCUUUUUGGUUUACAAGUAAGACAAGACUUUGAUAUAUAAGUUCAAACAUCGCAAAUUGGAAAUCAUUUGAAAGUCUGGUACUGAAAUUUGAAAGAGAAUACAUGGAAACACAAAGUGUUGGAGAAAGAAGGGAGAUGAAAAGUGAAGACCUACCAAUUUCCAGUCGUCGUCGAUCACUGGAAAACCAGUGAUUCUGUUUUCUACAAGAAGUUCUAUAGCUGUAGGCAUAAAAGCUAAUUCCAUCAGAAAAUGAAAAAUCUACAAAACUGCACUAAUAAGCUUCACCUCAUACAACAAAUAGUACCUUCAUCUACAGUAGUUGUGGGCUUAACCACACGCAAAUCCUUUCUAGGCGUCAUAAAAUCGCCAACUACAUGAAUUCCAUUCUUUUCCUGCACAUUAUCAGGUAAACCAGACGCAAUUCUGCCCAUCACAACAAGUGAUCCAAUUCUAGCCAAAGACACAAAUUAAGCUACAUUUUCAAAAUUUCAACCGUUUGAAUUCGAUUUGAUCAAACACCUUCAAUUACAAAUUCUAAUCAAAAUUACUCAGAUGAAAUUCGGAGAACGGAGUGGAUCAGAAAAAAAUACCGGUACGGAAUUAGACGUCAAGGCGGCGCUGGCGGUGACAUUGAAGGACCUCCGGAGCCCCAAAGCGCGACACGUGGCGACGGAGAUUGAGAAUAGGCGUCGGUCUGGACGGCAUAGCAGCAGGCACGGCAGCCGAUUAGCCGGAGAAGAAACGGAAGCUGUGGAAUUAGGCAGGAGUGAAGGUUCUGGAACGAAAAUCGAGGCCAUGGCUGUGUCUAGUGGUGCUGGCAAGCAAUUGUGUUUUGGUUUUGUUUAUCAGCUGCGCGGCCUGCAGAGUAACCGCCCUGGGAUCGAGACCGCGCUAGCUGUUAAAUAGUAACGGAUUUAAAAACUAAUUUGACUGAGCUGACUAGGUUGCUACGUGGCACUCUCCGGUUUCAGGGUGGGCCAGAGAGGCGAUCUGACGGUGGAAAUUGCGUUAUCAGUUGUGAUUGGGUUUGGCAUCACUCAUAGGGAGAAAUUAUACAAUAGUACAGAUAUACCACGUCAAUUUAUAGUACUCCCACUCAAAUAUUGUUAUAUGUUCAUUUUUAAAAUUUAAUUAUUUUCUUUUUUACGGUUGGGCUUCUUAAUUUUUAUAUUUUGAAAUAGAAAAAAAAAAAUUAAAGACUUGAUAAUAAAUUUAUAUAUUAAACCCAACAGUCCUCUUCUAUUAAGGGAUUCCUCAAAUAAUUUUAUUUGAGGGACGCCCUUUAGGGUAUUCUACAAUUUUUUUCUCAAUAAUUCAAACCAUCUAUUUUUUAGUUAUUCAUUCAUAGAUCAUCCUUACAAAAAAUUAGACAAAUUGGAAACCUUUUUGACAUCCAAUUGUGUCUUACAAAAUCAAUGAACACGGUGUUUUAAGAAAGUACUAAAAUUUCAAUAACUCAAUUGAGUGGUCAAAUGAUAUCGGAUUCAAGUGAUUUUUUGUAGAGAUGAUCUUUCAAUGAGUAUCUACAAAAUAAACGGUUUGGAUUAGUGAAAUACAAUUCGGAGUGGGGCCUACAAGGGGUAUCCCUCAAAUUUAAGGGAUCCCUCAAUAAAAGCUCUCUGUUAAACCCAAUAUAUAUAUAUAAAAGAGUAUUGCCCCAACCGCAGCACCACUCCAACCCAACGAACCUAAUCCCUAGUACCUGCCAUGAUCAAAGGGACUCUUGAUUUGGAGUUAACACUUUGUCCUCAGUCCACUCCCGCCCGCCUAACCAAAUACUCUAACGCCGAUUGGGCCGGUUGCCCCGACUCUUGCCGCUCCACCACCGGCUACUUGAUAUACUUGGGUAGCAAUCUGAUCUCCUGGUGUUCCAAAAAGUAGCCCACAGUAUCCCACUCCAACACAUAAUCUGAAUACUGGUCCUUAGCCCAUGCGUGUGUCGAGAAAACCUAGUUGUCUUAUCUGCUCGUCGAACUUGGUGUUCAUCUCCAAUUUCCAAUUUCUCAGCACUGCGACAAUCUCUCUGCCACAUACUUGGCAGCCAAUCCCCUUUUUCACACUCGUACUCGUCAUAUCGAGCUCGAUUAUCACUUUGUGCGAGAAAAGGUCUCCUUAGGCAGCCACUGAGUCUGUUUCAUCCCUUCCAUUGAUCAACUUACCGAUCUUCUCACCAAACCUUUUCACAAACCGUGUCAUCAUCUCCUUCGUUCCAAACUCGUCCGGCCUUGCCCGUCCAGUUUGCGGGGGGUGUUAGUGCAGCAAUCAAGCCCAGUCAACUCUCCUCCAAUUCCUCUACAAGAUCUUCUCCUUCAUUGCCUUGAUCAGAUAAUAGCUGUCACUGAUUCUAAUUACUGAUUAAUUGUAAUUGAUUGUAUUUCAUAUUUCUUACCUUUUGUAUAUCUACUAAAGUGUGUAUAUAAGCUGUAUCAAUGCUAAUGAAAUAUUGAUCGGGAAAUUCUCCUUUACAGUAAUCUAGCUUAUGCACUUAUUUUAUUUCAAGUUUUAAUCUAAAGACUCUAAUGGAAAGUCAAGCACAAACAUGACUAGCAUAUAAUCGCUUUUUAAAAUCCCAUCUUUUUAAAAUUACUCUAAACUAAUCUAAUCACUCAACAAAGAGACCUGAACUACUUUAACAAGCCCAACAAUUGCGUCAUAGGAAGAACAAUGGAUAAAGCCUAGGAAGAACAAUGGACCCCCGCAGUUCAUCAUAUUACUCUUUUGUUUGGUUAUACAACUCAUUUGCUCGUAUGAAUCAAGUAGGGAGGGCCAAAGGUGCAAAUCUUGAAUCAUACGCUUACAAAUUUUAACUAAAAAUAACAAAAUAAAUAAAAAAGCAUCUAGACUUAAAACUAAGAAUGCCAAUAAUGCCCAUGUGAAAAAAGCCUCUUUUAGCUUCACGACAAACACUCUUCUUCAGUGUUCACGGCCCCACUUAAUAUUUCCCCUUUCACUUUUUCAUAACAAGAAUGAUCAUAUAAAACAAGCAACCCCAAGCUAAAAUCUCUGGCUUUUCUCUAUUGUUGAGAUGGGAGGUUGUUUGUUGCCCCUGUCUGUACAAAAUCCCUGCCAUUUGAUAUACAUGUAUAUUACAAGUGAUAUUGAGAAAGGGUUUUUUUUUUAUACAAGUGAUUAUUAUUUUUUUGGCACACCAUGAAGAUUCGAAUAUGAAACUACUAAUCCGUAAGAAAAUACACUUUUUUACUGGACUAUACCCCGUUGGCAUUCUGCAAUUUAAUUAGUUGAGUUUCACAUAUCAAAGUUUAUUUCUAAUCACAAAAUAUUUUCAGCAUGCUAAUGUAAUGGUUUCAAGGUUUUGGUAAAUUGAGGCCACACUUUUUUGAACUUUGUAUUUGGGCUGCAAAAAAGUCCCCCCAAGAAUACUCCUUUUUGUUAGACAACUGAGAGAUUGAGCCCAAAUAGAAACUUAUAGCAUAUGGUAUGUUGUAAUUGGACAAAACAUGUUACUCAUUGUGUCACGUGACAAGUUAAUCUCUAUUGAAGUAGUAAACUAGUAGUGCAUGCGUUAGACGUAUUGUAAGAUCAUAUUAAAUAUUUCCAAGAUAGAUAAUUAUGCAAGAGAUGAUUGUCCUAAUUACCCCAUCAAAUCCGAAUUUUCAUUCUCACAUUAAAUCUUAAGCCUUCUAGCACGUGCAUCACGGAUGCCAAUUAGGGGUGGACAUGAGUUGAAUUAAGUCGGUUUUGGUCCCAAUUCAUAUAUAGUUGUUUAUGAUUUAUUGGACUCAAAAUCCGCUUAUUAUUAAGCUAACCCAACCCUUUUGUGAUCGGGUUGGGCGGAUCGGUCGAGUUAACUCAAAAUUAAGUUACUUUUAAGUUUUGGUUCCAACUCGUGAGCGGUUUAUGAUUUCUUAGACCUAAUACUAGCUUAUUAUUAGACCAAUUCAACCCAACCCAAUCAUCUAAUGAUUGAGUUGACCCAAAAUUGCGUCCACGCCUAAUCCCAAUUGGCUUUUUAUUUAUUGAGAAAUUAUAUUUUCAUAAAUUGUUUUAUUUCUUAACAUUUUGAUUAAUUAAUGGUAUUAUUGAGAUUAUAUAUAGAUGACAUAAUAUCCUUCAACUAGUUAUCAAAUCAAUUCACCCAUAGUUUUUUGGAAUAAAAUGCACUUUUAACCGGAUGAAAUAUGCAUGGUAAAUGUACAAUGUAAAAAGAAAAGGCAAUAAUUUCAUCAACAAAAAAAGAAGAAGAAAAUGCAAUAAACUGAAAUACAUCCUCGAACUCUCCAAGCAACUUCUAUGUAAAAGGAAGAAGAAAAAAUUACAUAGAAUCUCCAAAUCGUUACAGUUAAUGGUGUUAAUAAUACUUCUUGCGACCUAAAUCUAAAUGGCAUACUCGUUCGAUAUUUACAGCAACAUUUUUUUUAAAACUUCGGGUAAGAUGAUGCACUGAUUUCAUAUACCCGUCAACGUUUUGGUCAUGUAAAGGUUGAUGAUGAAAUUGGAUGCACUCAUUUCUGUUGUGUCUCAGCCUCAAAUUUAAACAAGCAUUCUUUUCUUCUAAUCCUCUGAUCCUUUUUAAAUUGCAAGCCAUGCUCUUCUCAAGAGAAGCAAGACGACAAUGCAGCCGGUCUAUCACAAAGGCAAGCAAUAGAGACAACACAAUGAGAGUGGUUUCAAGACUCAAAUGGCCCAUCAUCCCACGCUUCUGAAUCAUCACGAGAAAGAUGAUAUUCCCCACGACUAUCAGCAUAGCGGUCCCAUAGCAGCUGCGGUUGAUCUCAUUGAGGCUCGAUAUCUUCGUCUUUUUUAAAGGCGCCUCGAGCAAAACUAAGAGCAUGAGAACCAUAUCAAUUAAAAUCGUGAGUAGUACUACCGGAACCAUAGUGGAGUUGGAAGGUUUAGAGUGUAUGUGUUUAGGUAUAUUUAUAUGUUGAAGUUACGUACAUAUUUUUAUACAUAGGUUGUAUUUAUAGAAGAAACUCUAUCCUAGAGUUAUUAGGAGACCUAUUUUUGUAAGGAAUUUAAAUGGGCCGGGUCAAUACUAUCAAAAAUUUAUGGUGGUUUGUGAAUUGGAUCAACCAACGGGCCCAAGCCCACUCUCUCACUUUCCAUCUCUGUCUCUCAACGUUGUUUGGCAGAUCGAUGGGAAUCUCUUCGGAGAUUUUGUCCCCCCCCAAAAAAAAAAACAAAGAGAGAUCCCAUUAUCUCAUUGGAGAUCUUUGGAGGUUUCAGAAAAGAUUUAAAUAUGUUUUUCCUAUUUGAGGGAAGUACACGAAGGCCUACCGCAAAUCUGUCUCUUGGUUUUCCACUCCACAUGCGUCCAUAAACAGACAUGGUGCAAUUUGAUGUACCUUUGUUGUUUCUCAUGUGCAGCUUUUAUGCAAAAUAAUAUUUUGAUCAAAGAUAACGGUUGCAUAAGUUAGAGCUAUGACAUUCUUUUGUCCUCCUUUUGUCUUUCCUGGUGAGGCAAUGAACCAUGUCAUGUAUUUGGACGUUGUUAUUAGCAUCAAAUUCAAAUAAGUACGUUGAUAUCAUAUAUUUUAAUUUUAGGGGUUAAAAUAAUCCAAACUUUGUACGUACAAUACUAUAAAUAUUAUAGUUCUCGUCAUAAAGAAAAAGGCUGGAAUGUAGAAAUGGUGUUGGUUGACGUAAACUUAUGUCAAGUUUAGUUAUACUUAAGGCACCUUAAAUUUCAUUAAAAUUAUUUAUUACUUUAAUUAGUUUUUUACUAAAUGUACAUUGAAGUUUGAUGGCAAUGGCAUCUCUAAUAAAUAUGAUCUUUAACAACCUUAUGCAUAUAUGGGCAUACCUGUACCUGUAAUCUUGCUCUCAUUGGCAUUCUCUUCACCUUACAUCUAUCUCUGUGGUUUGUUUAUUUAAGUAAGCCCAAGAUUAGCUUAAAAAUCAAGCUUGUGAGUUCCUUUCCUUCUUUGAUAAUCCAAAAUUAAUACAAUGUUUAAGUUUAGUAGGUUACUUAGUGUGACAUUUAAAGAAGGCCAUGUUCUACAUGAGGAAAAGGGUACCCAAAUUCGGCAUGCUUUUGAAGAAUAGAGUAAAAUUUGUGAGCCAGUUGGUAAAUCCACAAUUGGGCAUGGAAAUUUGCUUUGUAGGAAUUGUGGUGGGUGGUGGGUGGUAGUAUCAUUCUGUUUUGUUUUGGUUACCAAGACAAAAGACAAAAUGAGAUAACACCAUGCUUGUCUACUAGCAGUCUUUUUUUUUUUUUUUGUUGGUAUGCACAACAAACAAUUAUGAAAAAUUGUCAUGUGGACUCAUUUCAACAUAUGCCAACCACCCAAUUUCGCAAAAUUAAAGUUGUGAUUAGACCUUGGCAAUCAAAAGGAAAAAUGUUGGACGAUCCAAUGAUGCACAAUGCGAGUACCGAAAAAAGAAAAAAAAAGAAAGAAAGGGAUCCGACAAAAAUGGAAAUUUUUAUCUAUGACGGUAUUAUAGUUUUUAACGCUGUUAACUCAGUCUCAUUAUUAUAGAGUGCUGUUAAACGAAUCUUAAAAUUAAUUGAGUACACCAUACUACCAAACCAUUUAUUGAAUUACUAAUUUACCCUGAUAUAAAAUGACCAAAAAAUAUAUAUUGAAUUGUGAAACAAAUAAAAUUUUAAUAAGUACACCUUACUCACUAUAUUCAUCCCUUAUCAUACGUAAAAAAGUCUUUGUAUUGCUUGGUGCUCACGAAUAACGCAGAGAGUAUUAGUUUAGUUUAGGAUUGGUAUUACGAAAUUAAAGAUUUGGAUGAAACCCAAAAUCUGAAAAGAGGGCACAAAUUCAUGUAAAAAGAGAAACUUGGUUUAUGAUUGGUAUUAAAGUGUUGUAUCAUAGCUAUUUUUGGUAGUUAAAUAGGGUGUACUUAGUUAAUUUUACAUUUUGAUUAAAAUAUUAGAGUUAACUUAGAUUACAGGAUGUACCCAGUUAAUUUUAAGGUCCGUUUAACAGCACUCUUAUUAUAUCAUGUGUAGUAUCAAAUAUAUCACGGUAUUAGUGUUAUCAUCUCCAAUCCAAUAUAAUCCAACGCGAUAUGAUCCAAAUCUAUCUCGUAAUCGAGUUGAAUCUCAAUCAGUAAACACCACCUUUAGUACCAUCAUUUAACGAAUUUUACACAUGCUAAGACUGUGUGGCGGUAUUACGAUGACAAGGAUAAAAUUGAGGAGGGUAGGUUUGAAACAAAGGAAAGAGGUUAAGGAUCAUAAAGGGUGUGGGCCUAGAGGUUUCGAUAUAUUAUGAAGAGGAGAGUGAUAGGUGGGCCUGGGCUAGACAUAAUUGAAUGGUGGAGGCCCACUUUGGAAGGUAGUAGUACUGUUUCCACUUGGGGAAAACAACCUCUUUUGAAGCAUAGCCACGUCCCACUUCCAUUAUUAGAAGGUUUUUAUUUGGCAAUGCCAACCAUUUGCUCUCCCACUCAUUGUCUUAAGAAAAUAAAUCCUUCUUUCAUGAGGAGAGAUUAGACGUGUAGAGCCAGAUUUCGUAUAAAUUGCUAUUGGGUUGGGUUGGGGCUUGUUGGGAAUUUUGUCUGGUGCUUUGUGACGUCACCAUCCUUUUUCACCUCUCCUCUCUCUUGGGCCCCCACCCUCUCAGACAAUAUUUGUUUCCCUCUCUGACACAACACCCCCUUCUCAUAAUUAUAAAAAAAAUGUAGAUAUUUUUUUGGGUAAACAAAACUACAAAAACUUAAUUACCAGAAUUAAAUGUAAGUUUUUCUAACUGUUACUAUAUUGGGUUUGACUGAAUUAAACUGUACAUAGAACCCGUUUGAGACUGUUUCUAUAUGAAAUACUUUCUAUUCGAUUAAGGUAUACUAGUCUUUUGUAAUUCUGGAUGGAGGAAUACUUUAUUGUCUAGUUAGAUGUUGUUGAUGUAUUCCUGAUUGUAUUUAUACUUCUACUCAUAAGCACUUUUCAUGCGACAAAUGUAUUCUAGUUUUUUACAACUCUAGUUGACGGAAUAUCUUAUUGUCUAGACAAUUAAUAUGAUUAUAAUUUUUUUUUUGAGAGUAAAUUUAUAAAAUGUGGUGCGUAGACUGUCGGCACUCAUUUUCUUUAUAUUAGAAGAAGACAGCCAAAAUUUGCAAUUAUAUAUGUAAAAAUUCAUAACCUUUUUUGUACAGAAUAGUCGACAUCUAGAAUAUUGACUAAAAACACAAAACUAAAGAAUUGUAAAAUCUUUUCCUAUUCCACUCCUUUUAAAUUUUUUUCUCUUUAAAUUUGUUUUGGCUUGUCUUGCUUGUUCCUAUUCUCUCUCCUCUAAAAACAAAUGUAUUUUUCCUGAAUAUUUUAAUACCAAAUAUUAUUUUAUUCACUGAAAAUAUCUUUGUUUAACAUAAAGCAAAUAGAGAGUUUAGUGUUGAUGAUGUCAAGCAUGAUGUUAUCUCUUAAUCUACGAAUCUAUCUGCCAAUCUAUCCAGGCUUUGAGUUGGCUUCCAGCAUUCAAGUUAGAACUUAGACCCACACGCGCGUCUAUAGACUGCUUAUCACGCUCCUAUUCCUAUUUUUUCUAUAAACGUAUCGCAAUUAUUUUUCUUUUUAUGUCAUUUACCAAACCAUGAAAACAUAUCCUAAGAAAAUGACUUAAGCAACUUUGAUUAAACCCGACUGAAUAUGAAACAAGUAUUAAGAUUAAGUUUGAUCAAUAAUAAAUAAUAUUUCUUGGUUGAAAUUUACAUGUAAAACAUAUGUCUCAAAACAUUACAAUCUUAAACCAUCUUAUAGCGGGUACCAUCGAAAACGUCAUUCACGAACUGAUAAAGAAGGCCUCUUACGAUGAAGCAAAUGAGAUUGUUGAAAUUCAGCAUCAUAAUUCUUUGCACAUAUAAGACUUCUCUCAACAUGUGCUGGUUCAAAACCGAAAAAUACUACAAUCCUUGCAUUCCAUAAUAGCCGCAAACCAACACGGGGCACACACAACAGCAACUCGUCAACGACCACCAAACCCAUAAAGUAUCCAGGACAUUAGAUUUGCCAAAACGCCCAUCCUUUGAGGCAAAAUCCAAGGAGAGGAGAACCACACAUAUCCAAAGUAGAUAUGAAAACUCCAAUAUGCUAAUAAAAAACACUAAACCAAACCAACAAAGCAAAGAGAGAGGGGAGGGACGGGGAAAGGAGGUGGCAACUAUAAUUCCAUAGGCUAGGAUUUUUAUUUUUUAUUUUCCUUUUGCUCUCAUUUCAAGAGGACCCCUGAGUUUCAUGAAUUUUUUUAGCUUUCAUUUUCAUUUACAAAGGGUGUUUUCAUGAUUUAGUGUGCCUAUAUAAAACCUGCUAGUCAUGCACCAACCCACCCUAACACAUGGAUUCAUAAAAGAUAUUAAGAAAACUUGGGUAUUUAGGGAUGACCAUGCUACCAUUCUAUCAAUUCCAGUUGCAACUUAAUGUGAAUACAAGAUUAUGCUUAUGCAUUCUUAAGCUAUAAGAACAAAAAUAGAAACCCUAACAAACUAGAGUUACUAAAUUUGUAAUUCGGCCUAAAGUAUGGUUUUAGUUCUUUUAUUGCAAGUUUGGCAGUUUAAUUAUUUUGUGUUGGAUCAUAGUGUUGAACUAGAUUGACCAUAUUACAAUCUCGAUAACAAAUCAUUAAAGUAUGAUGAUGAUAAUGUCAACACUUGAUGUUUAUAAAACAGUCAAUUCCCAUAAAAUCUAGUAUUUGACUUGUGGCUGUAUUUUCACAGGGCAUAUGUAAACUUACAAAUUCUCUUAAAUUGUAAUACACGUAUUAUUCAAUGAAACCAGAAGUUCUAAAUUACGGGACUACUAACCCUACACAUGUUACAAUUCUUGAAUACUUGUAACACCCUGUUAACAUAGUCGGACUAAACUAUUCAAGUGAAGGAAGGACCACACAUGGUAUGAAAAGGAAUAUAGUAUGAAUGAAGAAGAAGUAAUCUUGUCAUUUGUAAAAAAUUGUUUAAGCAUUAACAAGGGGAAAAGAUGAAGUUGAAAGAGAAAAGAAAGGAAGAAGAGAAGUAGAAGUGUAGGAGACGCGGGAAAGGAAGAGAGUGAGGAGAGGAGGGGGGGAGAGAAGGGCCACAACAAUACGAGGUACAGCAAAUAGGAAGGGGCAUUGGUCGCUAGAAGAACGAAAGAGGCAAAGGUGGCCCUCUUCCCGUACUCUUGGAUUGGACUUUUUUGGAAAGACCUUCCUUUUCCUACCAUUAUUCCCAUUUCCUUUUUCUGAUACCAAACCAAACCCAGUAAUAACAACCCAGUCACCACUCACCACCUCUCUCCUUCGAGAGAGAGGUCCUUGAUUUGAUAAUUACACCCUUUUUUUCUUUCCCAAAAUGCCCCGGUUGUCCACCCACUAUUUACUGCCCUUCUUCCUUAUGGUAAAAACCAGGUGAAACACACAAGAUACCUGAAUAUGUGAAAAAAAGUGAAAUCAAAUAUUUUUGUAUCAAUAUUUUAUUGAUUUUGUUGACUUGUGAUGUGAACGUUGAAAUAAUUAAGUUGCUAAUAAAGGCAAUAGAGUAAUUAGCCAUCUAUUUUAGUGUUUGGGCUGUCUAUUUCCAUUAGUGGGUAAAUAGAAUAGAGAGAGAGAGAGAGAGAGAGAGAGAGAGAGAGAAGAAUGCUUUUCGAUUUGGUUAACGUGGGAAAGUUGUGUAAGAAAGAGAUGGUUCUUUCUUUUCUCUCCCCAUUACCCCAUCUGAUCCAUGCUCCUUUGAACCCACCAAUAACCUCAAAAAAAGAGGAAAAAAAAAGAAGAAAAAAAGAAACAGAGAAAGAGAAAGAGAGACAACAGUAAAGUUGAACUGUACACAACAAGUUUAAAGCCCAAAAACUUCAAGUUUAAUCUUUAUUUAAUAUAGAUGCCAAAAAUGCAUACUACAAUAUUUUAUAAAAUUGAGUGAUUGCACAAAAUAAAAAGUAAAGAGAGAGAGAGAGAGAGAGAGAGAGAGAGAGAAUUAUGAGUCAUUGAAAGGAAAAGGAAGCAAGUGGUUAGAGAGGGAGAGAGAGAGGGGGGUAUUAAGGGUGGGGUGAGAAAGCUUGAGGCUAAGGCUUUACUGAAACUGGCCUCGUCUAUGCUGUAUUGGGCAGUUUUAGGCGCCAUAUACAAGCACAAGAUCUUGGAGUCCAUAGCUCCAUAGCUUCAUAGCUCCAUAGCUCUCUCUUUCUCUCUGUCUCUCUCUUAACCCUCCUCCUCCUCUUGCCUUUUUGCAAAGACACAAAACCUGCAACAUUACCCACCUCUCUCUUUUCUCUCUUUAACUUUUCCUUUUCGUGUUUCUUGUUGAGGCCUUUUUUUUUUUUUUGCCACGCUGAAUUCUGGGUUUGAUGUAAAAAAAUAAAACUGAACACCGAGCAAACAGCUGGUAGACAAACCCAACAAAGAGACAGAGAGAAAAAAAAUGUGGGAUCUCAAUGACUCGCCUGAUCAGCGUCCACGUGGCGAUGAAUCGGAGAGAUGCUCAUCCCAGAAGACCUCGGCCGACGGAGACGAGGAAAAGGGCAAACGGGUCGGAUCCGUGUCCAAUUCAAGCUCCUCGGCCGUGGUCGUCGAGGACGACGGAUCAGACGAGGAAGAAGACGACGACGGCCCCGCCAAGCUCGCCAAGACGCGGGGAGGAGGAGGGGGCAAGAUAUUCGGGUUCUCCAUGGCCCACGAGGAGUCCAUGGAUGGUGAUCCGCCCGUGACCGUGACCGUGACCCGACAGUUCUUUCCGGUGGAGCUAGACUCCACCACUGAAAUAAUGGGGCCCACACGGGGUGCCGUCCCGCCUGCAGCUCCUCCUUCUUCGUCGUCGUCGUCGUUUCCCAGGGCCCACUGGGUCGGGGUCAAUUUCGGGCAGUCGGAUUCGGGCAGCCCCGGGAAGCCGCCGGCCGCGGUGGAGGCAGCCCACCAGCCCAUGAAGAAGAGCCGGCGUGGGCCUCGCUCCAGGAGCUCUCAGUACCGCGGCGUGACGUUUUACCGGAGGACUGGCCGAUGGGAGUCUCAUAUUUGGUCAGUUAUUAGUUAGUUAAUUUCACUUCACAUAAUUAGUAACUAAUUUUUUUCAGUUACUAUUCCUAUGUUUCAAACAAUUUAUAUAUAUAUAUUUCUAUAUUUCUAUAUUUAAUUUAUUUUGUACUUUGGCACAGGGAUUGUGGGAAGCAAGUUUAUCUUGGUAAGACUCUGACAAAAAUGAUGCCUUUGUGUUUUGGCUUGCAAUUUUAAUUUUAUUUUAUGGUAUUUUUACUGAUGGGACUUUUUUUUCUUUCUCCAUAAUACGAUUAAUAGGUGGAUUUGACACAGCACAUGCAGCUGCACGGUGAGCUCUUUUCCUAAUUCGUCAUCUCGAAAAAACCAAGGUUUAAUUUUGUGGGGGAAAAUGUGGGGGCUGGAAAAAAUAUGAGAAUUUAUUUUGUGUUAUGCAGUGCUUACGAUCGAGCGGCCAUCAAGUUCCGGGGAGUGGAGGCUGACAUAAAUUUUAGCAUAGAGGAUUAUGAAGAAGACUUGAAACAGGUGAGAGAGAGUGUACGGUCCCCGAAAUAAAGAGAAAGGGCUUUGAACUUAUCUUCAACAGUUUUAUUUAUUUAUUUUAAUACCUUAUCUUCAACAGUUGCAGAAAAUAAAUAAAUAAAUUUCUUUUUUUCUUUUUUUUAUAAAUUUUAUUUUUGAGUUUUGGUUUGUUAUAAUUUUCUUGGGAUGUUUGCAUGAAAUGAAACACAGAUGACCAAUUUAACAAAGGAAGAAUUUGUGCAUGUACUUCGCCGACAAAGCACCGGGUUCCCCAGAGGUAGCUCCAAAUAUAGAGGGGUCACCUUGCACAAGUGUGGGAGAUGGGAGGCCAGGAUGGGCCAAUUUUUAGGCAAAAAGUAAUCAACCUCUCUCUCUCUCUCUCUCUCUCUCUCUCUCUCUCUCUAGCUUUACCCUUCAAUUCUCAUUUCACCAUUUUUCUUCUACUACUUCCUUGCUUCAUGAAUUGCUCAAUGAUUUUCAUAGGUACGUGUAUUUGGGCUUGUUUGAUACCGAGAUUGAUGCUGCAAGGUACAUAUAUAUACAUGAUAUCGUACUACGGAUCUGCUCUCUAUAUAUAAAUAUGUAUAUCUCGUAAUGUUGAGUUCAUUUACGGUUAGAAUGUUCUUAAAAAUUUGAGUUUUUUUUGGGGGUUAAUUUUAUGCUACUUCAAUUCUUGUAGGGCCUAUGACAAAGCAGCAAUCAAGUGCAAUGGCAAGGAAGCUGUCACUAAUUUUGAUCCCAGCAUCUACGAGAACGAGCUCAACCCCUCCUCUGGUAAUUCAAAUUGUAAUAACAUUAUUAAUGCAUUGUAAUUAAUCUGAUCAUUUGGAUAUACGUGUUUGCGUAGAAUCAUCCGGCGUUAAUGCUGCAGAACACAAUCUCGAUUUGAGUUUGGGCAGUUCAAACUCGAAGAAAAACAAUCAAGCUUUUGGGAGUAGUGAUCAUGGCCAAAAUGCUGCAAUGGAAGUUCAACAUUCUGCCUCAAUGCAACUCGAAGCCGAUUGGCGGAAUCAAGGGUUUCGACAAAAGGUUUCGUAACAAAUUAUUUUUAUUUAAUUACAUUAAUUCUUGUCUGAACGUGUGAUUCAUACAUAUUUAUAUCAUAUAUCCGUCUAAUUAUUUUUGUUUCUUACAUUUAAUAGCUUAACCUACAAAGGGAUCGAUCUAGAGAGGAGACUGAUGCACACAGAAGAGAUGGAUACUUAGAGACAGAAGCCAUGCAGCUUCUACUCAGAACCAACCUUCAUUCUCCAGCCCCCAAUGAAAUGCAUAAAUAUGGGCAGUUUAGUAGGAGGCCUACCGUUGGAGACACCCAAAUGCCUCACACUUUCCCACCACAUUUCAACUCACCAAACAAUUACCACCAUGUAAGCACAAUUAAAUAAUUUUCAACUCAUGAUUUGCUGCGUUGAUGAUGAAUUUGCUUAAAAUUAUUGUGAUUAUUUUUCCUUUUGUCACAGGUUCAGUUUCCAAGCAGCAGCGAAGGAGGCCGCAUCGGCAGUGAUCUUUCACUCUCGAUGAGUGACCACCCACACCAACAACAAUGGCAAUCCGGCACGCCGACUUCCGAUAUAUUUGCAACUGCUGCAGCAUCAUCAGGAUUCCCACCUCAAAUCAGACCGUCCGCGCAAAAUUGCUGGCUGCAGAAAAGUGGUUUCCACUCUCUCACAAGACGCUAGCUAUAGCUCUUCUCUUGACCAUUGAGCCAUGACCCUCCCUCUGCCUAAUUUCCACCAUGUCCCAUUUCAUCUAAUUAUUCACCAAGCCCUCUUGAUAUGUUUGUGUUUGUAAGCCUUUUGAUUUGAUCCCCAACUCCAAUUUUUUCAGAGUGCCAAAAAGAGAAACUAGUCAAGAAGAGGAAGAGAACACAAAACGAAAGAGAAAGGAAGGAAAGUCUCCUGUUUUGUAGGAAAUGUAUGGUCAUUGGUCAAACUAACAAGUGGAAAAAAUCCAUCUUCAACUAGAUAUUCUGAGUUCUGACAACAAUAUAUAUCUGAUUUAAUUUUAAUAGUUGUUUUAUUAUUUUAUAUGUAAUUCAAGACCAUGUGUUACUGACUUAUUGCGCCCUAGCUGCUAGAUUAAGUUAUGAUAUUUUGGAUCCAAAGGUUGUCAUCUUUCUAUUUUUAUAAUUCAACUUUUUUGGCCUUAAAAGUGGGGUUGAGGUUGAGGUGAGAAAACAAAGAGGAAGAAAAUCUAAGCUUCAAAGAUGGGGUGGAGACUCAGAGAAAUUCAGGCAUACGUAAACAGGUAUUUUGUAUUGUCUUGGAAAUAUCACCCGAUGGUGAUGAAUAGUCCCCAUCAUCGGUGUCCUUUGAAUCAGUUCUUUCUCCAAAAGCAAUAGUCAGACACUGCUAUUAUGACGAGAGGGACCUUUCAUAUAUUUUCAAAGGACAUAAAAAAUUAAAAGAUAGAGACCAAUGGGGUUAGGGUUCUACUUGGGAUUUAAAAUUUAGUCAUAUCAGUUUGGAGAGGGAGAUUCGAACUUGCGACCGAAUGAUCUUAAACAACUCACCUAAUUCUCGUAUGUUUAGUCCUGUCUGUUUUAAUUACAAAGCAAACACAAAAGACACUUUAGAAAAAUGGAGCGAAGUUAGACCUAGAACAUGCGACAAUACGAAGAACAUAUUUUUAUUAUUAUAUUUAUUUGUUAUUUUUAAUAAAAUAGUAAAAUAGUAUAUUAAUUAGAUAUUGUAAGUUAGGCAGAUGCGAAUAAAAUACAAGAGCUGCUUUCAUCAUCAUGCGCGUCACACCAAGAUUUUUCUGAGGCGCAUACAAAUUAUAUUCUCUCUCUCUCACUGAGCCAUUUCUUGAAGUCUGCAUUAUAUUAUAAAUAUAUGUAAAUGCAUGCCUAAGUUAAGGUACAUUGUAUAUACCUCUGGGUGAAAACUUAGCUAAAGCUGGCUCGACAUUCUUGUGCAUCUUUGAUUGAAGUUUGAAAUUUGCACAAAACAAAGCAAACAUCUGUAAGCUCAUUGUACUUUCAUUUUUAACAAGGAAAAUGUAGAUUAAUUAAAUAUUUUAAUGACCAAUUAAACUUUUAAUUAGCUAGGCAAGGAGGAAUAAUGCAAAUCUAAAAGUUGCUAACAAAAGAGCCAGAGAUUCUGUCCCUUGCAUGUGAAAGCAGCGAACUUGGGUUUUGAAGCAAAGAAUCCUUCGUACCCCUCUGAUUUUCACUGCCACUUUACCUCAUUGUUAUUUUGACCUAGACUAGAAGCAAGCAAUACAUACAUACGCUUAUGUUUUACUUUGAUUUUAUUAUUUUUUUAAAUACAAGCGAUACAAAGAGUAAGAGAGUUUCUCACACAUACAAAUAAUGUGCAAGUACUUAGCUAGAUCCCAUUAGUUAUUUUACUUUGAUUUUUAAACAAGGAAGAUAAAUAUGUUUUUUAAUUUUUUAAAUUUUAGAAUAAUACCAAAACUUUUGUGUGCCGUAGAUUUCUUCAUAAGUGAUCCCUGAAGUGGUCCAAAGCACUAACGCUGCCACGCGGCUUUAUAUGAUUUGGGUGUGAAUUGAAUGGAGGAAAAACUCCAAUUUUCCAAAAGAGAACAAAGCGACAUUGUCCUGUAGUAGCUUAAAGCCCCUUGCCUAAGAUCCUUUCCUUUGCAUCGGAUCUACGAAGCACUGCUAUAACUCAGACAAACAGAUUUUAUCCCACUCUCUCUCUCUCUCUCUCUCUCUCUCUCUCUCUCUCUCUCUCUCUCAUAUGCUUUUUACCAUUAAUUAUUAUGGUGGAAAAAAGAACCAAAAAAGAAGAAAAGAAAAAAAAAGGGGAGAGGCUAUAAUUGAUAACACAGCUAUGUUGCAUGUGUGUUGAAGUGUACUAGGUCUGUACAAGACAACCCUUGUUGAGCAAUGUGGGGACCAAAGGAAGGAAAAUUAAACAGAAAACUAUGAAGAAGGAGGACGAUAGAUAGAUUGGGUAUAUACAUGGGUAUGUUGUCUUGUCAACAUUCUUGCAACUUGCAACAUAACGUGAUGUCAUUUAUCAUGUGGAUUAGUUCUUGUUUGAAUACACUUAUCGUAUUGAUAAGCUGAUAAUAACAUGUCGGAGAGUUAAUUACGUGCUAACAAACCAUGUAGGCUGUUUAGAUUUUCACUUUCAUCCUCAUAGUUUUGAUUUUGACAAUAAUAUAUGUCCUCGUAAUUAACUAAUGUUGAAAUAUAUGAACAGUUGUAGGGUUCUAUCUAUUCUUUAAAGUUAUAUGAAUCAUGUUUUGUGUGAGAGGUUUUUCGUGUUAUUUUGAAUGAUUAAGGUAGUUAUUAUAGUCGAUAUCCUUUUGAGUGAUUAGAAUAAAGUAUGUAAAAUUGGUCGUUCAAUUACAAUAUCAAGUAAGUAUAGGGAUAAAAAUGAAAACCCUAGUCAAGUAUAAGGACCAAAAGAAAUGUCAUUUGGCCUAGAAGGUAUUUAUAACACAAACAAGGGUUGCCUUGGGAUAAUUAAAUUUUUGCUUUUUUUAAAAAAAAUAUUUUUUUUUUUCCAUAAAUGUGAUUGCUUUGCUUGAAUGGUUGGAAAUGGUUUUGGAGAGGUUGUUUUCUUUAUUUGGUUUCAUUAUUGGUGAGAGUGGUGCGUGUAGCGUUUGUCCUUUCACUUUUGUUUUCUGUCCAAAACCAUAUACGUAUUUCUGAUGAAUGUGACUGUGACUCUGUGAAGGACUCAGACUGGGACUUGACUGUGAAGGGUGUAUAAUUAUAAUAUAUUAUGUAUUUUCAUAUAUGUAGAUGCUGUGCACAGUGCAGUGUGUGUGUUAGAUCGCUUUCAUCAUUCACUGAGACAAACUACUUCUUUGGUUUCCCUUUCUGGGACGCGCUUAAGCUUUCCACUCACUCUCUCUCUCUCUUUAAAACACCCAUCAAUUCUUUUGCUUUAUCUCUCUCUGACUUACUCUCUUUGCAUCCAUAUAUUUCCAUUUUUGGGCAUUGUUAUUAUGUCCACAAAAUUCACACCCCAUCUGCUCCCUCACACCUUCCCUUGCACGGACCUCUUUAACAAUAUCAUUCAAAAUUUAACAUCUCUUGUCCCACCUGCCCUUCAACAAGAAGCCUACUUGAGAGAGAAAGAGAGAGAGUGAGCGCUUUAGCAGCCCUUUUCUGUUAGAAGCAUGUAAAACUUUCAUUAAGGAUCGAAAUAUUUCUAAAAGAUAGUUCAGAGGUUCUCAAAAAGUACAAUUGUUUAUUUUGAUCAUACUGUACUGUACUAGUAUUAGAAACAGUUUGAUUAUCUGAAAAUAUGUUUGACACGUAUAUGAAGAAUACUUAUAACACAAAUUUUCGUUGUUUGAGAGAUAAGAACCUUAUUGAUGUAUAAUUGUGUGGUUUCAAAGUGUGUAGGCGUGACAUUGUCCUUCUCUUUUUGAAUUUUUUAUUCAAGAGCUUUAUGUACGGAACAUAACCUUAAUUAAGGACUAACCAUGUCACAAAAAAAACAUAAAGGAUCAAAGACGAUUAUUCCGCAAAUCUCAGGAACUAUUUGUAAUAAAAAAACCUAUAUUAAUAAAGAUAGUUUAGAAGUUCUCAAAAAGUACAAAUUUUUAUUUUGAUCAUACUGUACUAGUAUUAGAAACGGUUUGAUUAUAUGAAAAUACGUUUGACACGUAUGAAGAAUAUUUCAAACACAAACUUAUGUUGUUUAAGAGAUAAAAACCUUAUUAACGCAUGAGUGUGUGGUUUAAAAGUGCGUGGGCGUGACAUUAUCCUUCUCCUUUUGAGUAGAGCUUAAUCAUAAAGCAUGGCACCUUUGCAUAUGGAAAGGAUCCCCCCACUAAGGAAAGAGCCUGCAUUCAAAGGAUUGGGACGAAACUAGCCUAAAUAUGUAGAAUCAUAGAUGGAGCCAACUUAGGCGAUAGCUAUAGCUGCAUGAACGUGUCUGAAACUUUGCUAACAAAAGCAAAAAUAACUUGUCCUCAGGCUAACCCUACCAGCCGAUUCCAUUCUAAUAGGUUAAGAAAAAUGGACAAGGCAUGUUUUGUAGGUAAGGGCUAAUCUAGGCUAUUCACUAGCCAAACUGUUGAAAACCCAGUUGGGUGGAAUUGGGAUAUAACUUAUAAGUGGGAAAGGUUUUUAAAAGUAUCAUUUAGAUGCCUCAAGAAAAUAAUAAAUAACAUGAUAUAUAUGCAUGGCCUAGACUUUAUCAAUUACUCUGCAAAUUAUAAUUCAGGAAAUAUUAACAGAUUUGCUUGGUCCAUUUGGGGGAAGGGGAAUCAAAAGUUUCCUUUCCUAGAGGGCCUCUUCCUGCCUCAAAAUGCUAAGCAAAACCCUAGUCUCUGAAUAACAUGAACUCCAAUUAUGGUAUCAUGGGAGUUCAGUGAGACGGUGGGUGAGGACAUCAAUUUCCUGUAACAACAGUCCAACAAUUUUAUUUAUGGUUGAAAACGAAAAACAAAGGAGAAAGUUGUUGCCUAGGAAUCAAAGAACCCACAGAAUUGUUUGUGACAAUAUAUAUAUAUAUAUAUCCUCAGAUGUCUAAUUUUCUCAUCCACAAGUUUCAUAAAUCGCAAAAGAUAAUGAGCUGUUCUGUUGUGAAUUCUCCAUUGGUGUCCCAUUUAGCAAUUGGAUUGGACCACCAGACCAAAAGUACUGUUUGUGAAUGCUACAGCUACAGAUAAAGUCGAUUCAUGGUCCCCCUUUCAGAAAGAGUUUUGUUGCAAAGGGGAUGCUCUUAAAAGUUAAAACAUUAUCUCUAUUUAUUUAUUUUAUUUACAUGUAUGAUGCAUACAUUCGAAGGCAGUAAAAUAAAUAGACAAACAUAAUAUUUUCGAUAAACUACUUAGUUGAUUAUUUUAGUACAAAUGAUAUUUGAAGAAAAAAAAAAAAAAAAGGGAUGGUUCGGACCGUAUUAAAUUACACGGUGGUUUAAUGAGGUCUGUACAAUUGGAUGCAUAAACCAAAAACUUUAUAAGAAUCCUCUUCAUUUUGUCAUAGAAGAUGUAUGGAGGUAGAAGGAGCUGGAGUUUGCCCGGUAGCAGCAAGCAGCUACCAGCUAGCUUUUGUCCACCCUCUGUCUUCAAUACAACAAACGAAACCCAAUCAUAAAGGAACUGUGCUGGUAUUGUACCAUACAUCUGUUUAAUUUCUGAGCAUUAAUUAUUAAGAAGUUUGGGUGAAUAGCAAUGCUUCACCCACCAUAAAAUAUAAUAUAAUAUAAUAUAAAAUAAUUAUUGAAAAUUCCCAAGUACGUACCUUCUUCUCUUUUUAUACUUCCAAAUUCCAAUCCAUGGACACAAUUACAGUAUCGUUUUUUCUGAAAUUCUUUUUCAUGGUUUAAGGUGCAAAAUAACAUUUUUGAAACGCAACAAGACUAUAUUAUAUAAAUGCAAUGAGAUGCUCUACCUAUGAUCUUAGACUUAGGUGAGAUACGGUUGGCGAUGAAUUACGAAUAACGGUAAGCUUGCAUUGAUCUCUUAUUCAGAAUCAAAAAAAGUAUUGCUAUUUAUAUCACAUUGCUGAUUACCUUUCUAAUACACUCGAACUUAAAGUAGCUUUUAUUUCUAUUCCUACUCUAAUCCCAUUAAUUUUGACCCUCAUGAUCUUGAAUGAAAAUACUGCGUUUUUCUUUGCCUUCACUUCACCGAGGACUGCCGUUCUGCAAACUGCACAGUGCACACCGACCGAGUUUAAAUAAAAAAAAUUAAAUUUUCCGACGAAGUAAAUUUUUACAUUACAUUCUAUACCUUCACAUGCACGUGGUAUAUAUUAUUGCACACAUACAAAUUACAAUACAAUAAAAUUGACCCAUCCUAACAUAUAUAACACUCACGCACUUUGCACAUGAGUGAAAGUUACCCUUAGAAAUUAGACACAAAAAUUAUUAAUAGCAAGUGGAACCCAGAUGACAGAGAUGAGAGUGAGAAAAACCCAAAAGAGAUAGGCCUCUUUAUCUCUCUACCUUAAUCUAUAAUUGGAAUUGAUUUUGAGUGGUUUCCAAAAAUAGAAAAGAUUGUCGACAAGAAAAACAAAAACUCGGUGGGGUUGCAAAAGCGGCCACGAAAAGCCAUUCAUCUGUGGCCAUUCGUUCCCUCUGAGGUGGUAUUAAUGUAAAAUCGAAUUAUUGGGGUUGGAUUUUAAAAGGUUGCUUGCAUGUUAGGUGUGCAUCCCCCACCUUCACACUUUCCUCUCAUAAAGAAAGUGGUGGGGUGUGUGAAGGUUAAGCUAGCAACUAGACUCAAUGACAAUGAGCACACACAUGUUGCUAGGAUGUGAAAGAUGAUAUCACAUCGGAAAGUUAAGAAACCUUCAAAAAGUUUAUAUCUAUCUAUUAUUAAUUAAUUUUUAAAUUAAAAACUUUAAGUUUCUUUAUGAUAUUCGAACCGGACGACUACACUUGCCCCAUGUGACCCCAGUUAAAUAUUUCCUCUAAUUUUUAGGUUUGCUUCUAAUUAAUUAUGACCAUGGCUUGGAUAUUUCCAUUUUUAUGAAAGCAUCAUCUUGCAUAUGUGAUGUUCCUGAAAAGUGUGAUGAGUUGGCUUAGUAGAGGGAGAAAUAGGCUAGUGUGGGAUCUAGAAAAAGAAUGCACACAUAUAUAGUAUUUCAUUGUGGUAUGUUUUCUCAUGAAAGUUCGUACGUAUAAUAGUAAGUAACGCGAAAAAUUGAAUAAUUUUCAAGUACAAAGGACUCAUGUUUGGUUGGUUGGUGCUGUCUCUUCCGCUAUUGUCAUCAUAACCAAAUGCAGUUUUGGUCUUUUUCAUCAUUGAUGGGGUUCUGGGUAAGAUGGCCAGGAACAGCUAACUAAACGAUUCAAUUAAAGUUGUAUUUUUCAUAUCACCUUGAUGUUUUGUUGACAGCAAUCAUGAAAAUAACAGUUCCAUUUAUCAUCUCAAUAUGUUCAUCUAUAUAUGUAAAAAGGGAGAAGGCGAGUUUGGUGAAACUUUCAAACUUAUGUUCUCUAUUACUUAUCAUUAUAGAAUGAGAACAUUUGGUGAGAAAUUUCUCGCCACAUUGGAACAAGGUGAGUGAUAAGCAUUGUUCGGUAAAACACUAAUUAUAUACGAGCCAAAUAAUUUGAAUUAUAACCCUAAUUUUUUAAAAUUCACAUGUCAUGAAGUAAAAUUCACAAUUACAAAUCUCAUUAUUGAUAAAAUUACCCUAAUUUUUAAUUAAUCUACCUUUUAUAUUCUUAAAUUCAAGCAUUCAUGUAGCCCAACAAUGAGAAAGGAAAAAGGAAAAAGACAAUCGAGUGAGAUUGGUGGGAAAGAAAUAGAAAAAUUGAGUGACAAACAGCCACAUUACUAUAAAUAUCUGACAAGGCUUGGAUAUCACUCAAGAAAAUUGUGAUAAAAGGGAAUGCAUAUGUCAACAAAGACAAGCAUACAACAGUUGCUCAUCACGGUUCUUGUCAAAAUGUCAAAGUUUGCUGAUUAAUUAGUAGCAUGAAGAAAAUGAAUAAGUUUCCAUUUUAACGUAUGAGCAAUUUGGUUACGAGUUUCCAAUUUCCAAUUUGGGAAAGACGACUCUCUGUCUCGCGUCUCAAACAAAAAGCCAUCACAAAAAACAAAGGUUGGAUGUCUCGUCAUAUUCAAAAUUAGCAAAAACGGGAAUUGAUAAAGUUGUUUGAAUUCCCAAUUUAGGGUUUUCUUUUUUUUCGUGAUUGAUUUUGAGGCAUGUCGUUUCAUAUGGACUUUGGGGCUGCACUCUGCACUCACUCUCUCUUCCCUUUAAAUGGAAGUUGCUUGGUUUUUAAAGCAACCUUUUCCUGUCACCUACCCUCCAAUUGUAGUCUUUUCUAUUUUAUAAGCCAAGAUGCCUUUAUUCUCACACAUGUUUGUGGGUUUGCUUGCAACUUUGAAAGACUGAAAAAUAAUUUACCCCAAAAAAAAUAAGUUUGAAAGUGGAAAUGGCUUGAUAUGUACUUUUUGUUGCAAUUUUGAAGUUUGUGAUGAGAGGUUUCUAACAGUUUGCCAGAGCUGGUUGUUGAAACUCCAAUUAUAGUCUACAAAACAAAGCAACCAGCCCAAAUUUUGAGGGUUUAGGGUAGCUAGGUUUCAGGCCUCCCCCUACCUAUCUUUUUGUCCUUGAUCAUUUGGACCAGGCUAGGUCUAUAUAGGCUUCAGCUGCAAGAAGAGGAUGACCCAAUUAGGUAGAUUGGUCUAUGUAUGACCACAACAAUAGGGGUUGGCAUGAAAUUAAAACAACCUAACAAGAAUUACCAAAGGGGGCCAAAGAAAAAUUAUUCUUGUUUAAAAUUGUGCAUUGAUAGAUAAUUGUAGGCUUGUAGCUACAAACAAGUAGCUUCUUUCUUCAAAUGAGCUAAGUUUCUUAAAUGGGCCUUGGGAUGUUUUAAAGAUUUGUUGGUCCUAAAGUUAAACAAGGCUUGGGCUUUUAGACAAAGUUUGUUGUUUGACUGGCUUGAUUGGUUUGAUAAAACCCAUCUCCUUCCUUCUUCAAAAGUUGAUUGCAACCUUUCCACAUAAGGAAGCAGUAAUACAUGUAAAUCAACCCUAACCUCAAUCAGAAUCUAAGAAAUAGGUUGUUUUCUUGGAGUCUGGGGCAAAGACUGCAAACUGUUUGAUAAAAUGCCUCAAAGAAAGCUAAGGCUAGGCUCCAUUAGUCAUUGCAUGCAAGGCCAGACUUUACAAGAUAUUUUCUCAAGAAAGAAAAUUCAUGGACCCCCUAGUGCAUCACAUGGUGGGAUCAGACUACACAUAUGACUGGCCACCUUAAGAAAAUCAAGAAAGACGUCUAUUCUCAUAUAGCAUCUCUGUGUGACCUGAAAACUCAGUUUUUAAUCUCAUGCACAGUCGUAAGUUUGGUCAAAUUGGGGAGAGUAAAUACUUAUUCAUCACACCCAGCUAAUAUACGUAGCUAUAAAUGUGGGCUACCUAGAGAACAGCUUGCAAAGGGAAGCAUCAAAGAGUUGUAAAUGUAGUGCCACAGUGCCAGUAGAUCCAUUUACUAUUUGCUAAAAUUGAGUCAAAUCUCAGUCCACCAACCAGCCGACUUUAAAUUAUUGUUGCCGCUUUUGCAAGGAGAAGAGGCCAUAGAUGUGACCUCAAACCUAUUCACAUAAUUCAGGGGAGUGAAAAAGACGAAAAAGAAGAAACACAAAAUCUAGCUAAGAUGUGACGAAAGAACAACCAACACUAAGCGUCUAGUCUGACUCUAGUGCUCCCUAUACUUGGCAAAGUGGGCCUUCAAUCUUCUAAAUCUUUGCAGCUCUCUUUCCAUUUUACUUUAGCCACAGAGAGAGAUCUAUAUAUAUAUAUAUAUAUAUAUAUAUGGCAUCUGGCAACAGUAAGGAAUUAAAACAUGACAUUUGACAAAGCCAAGUGCCAUUUUUGGAUGAAAGGAUCAGUGGAGAACCUUGCCACACAACUUGAUUAGGCAAAGCAUCAAUUCAACCCCAUUUUGCACAGGUUUAGGUUUUCACUGUUGAUACUGUACUUACUAUCAAAGCAAUAUCAUUGCAUAUAAUACUAUGUAAUUAUAUUUUAGUGUACGUUUCGAAUACGUACUAAAUUCCAAAUUAACGCUUAAUCUUAAACCCUAAGACGAGGAAGAUCGGUUAGAACUUUAGUUAAACUUGAUUAUUAGGAGUUCAUGCAUGAACCAUGUAAAGUUCUUUGGUCCAAGUCAUGACGAUAUCAUCACACAUCAUGCCUUGUACGUUAUUAACGUAAAGUAACUAGCAUCCGUUUUCACCAACUUUGUCCAACAUAUAUAAUAGUUACUUGCCACCUUAAAUUAAAAGGCCGAUAUAUAUAUAUUUAUAAAUAAUAAUCCUCAGCAGUAGUAUUGUAAAUAUCACGUGUGGUUGUUUGUGGUUUGUAGACACGGAGCAAUACAAUACAAAAUUACAUGUAAAUUAAUAUAUAAAUUGUCCAAGAAAGAAUCAACCAAGAAGAGUGUAACGCAAAUAAAGGGCUGGCUAGAAUAUGGGGCAUCUCUUUUUUUAUAAUUUGUUGUGGGUGGCAACGGCAUUCAACGGAGGGACCGCAGGUCAGCUAUAUCAUCAUGAUGAUAUCAGUUUUAUAUAUAUAAAAUAUUACGUUUAUAUUAUUAAUCAUUUUUAUAUUUAGCAUGCAUCUUGUUUUUAUGUGAGAUCGAUCCGGACAAUAAGCAUCAUGCUGUCUUUUUACCCUUUUCCCUUUAGAAACAAAAAUUUACACAAGUUUGCCAUUGAAUGUACAUAUGGUUUUUCAGGAAUCUCUUGUGAAAACCCUGGUUUAUUUUUUCCCAAAAAAUACUUUAGAGUCGUUUUUAUUUUGAGGGGGAAGAAAGCCGUGUUCUUUCUCCCCUCCCCGCUUCUCUCUUCCUCCAUUCUCCUAUCUUCCCCCAUUUCAAUAGAUAAAAAGUUUCUCCUAUUUGUCUUCAUUUUGUUAUGAUUUUUCUCAACUUAAUUAUCACAGGCAAAUACAUCUCGGUGUUAGAUCUCUACUUGCGUUUCGGUGUUGGAUCUCUAACACCAUCAUUUUUGCAGUUUCUUUAUGUUUGGAAUCGAUUUUUUGUGUAGUUUUGACAUCUCCUGUUGUGAGAGGCUUUCACCUCUCAUUCAUGAGAGCUUUCCACCUCUCUUAUGUGAGAGUUUUAUUUGUAUUGUUAUGGCUUGAUUUUUUCAAGCUUUAUAUUUUUUUAGUUGUUAUGAGUUUGCACUCUUAGUUGGAAUGACUAUGUCAAAGUUUCUUCGAUCGUGCGUGAUUGUUAAUGGAGGAGCCCCAUAAUAUCUUAAUCUUGAUGUUAGAUCGUUUCGUUAUUGUAAUGACCUUUGUGGUUAAUUUAUAUUGGUCCUUUGUAGUUAAUAACUUUUUUUAAUUAAAUUAUAAAUGCAAUUCCAAAAUUAUUAUUAUUUAAAAAAAAAAUGUCAAACCACUUCCUCUUGCACCUUUUUUCUUAUAAAAUCAAUAUCUUAUUCUAUUGUCAUUUAUUACCACCUACAUAUAGAUAGAUAUAUUCAGAAGCUUCACCGACUCUAAAUUUUUUUUUUGUAGAUUUCUGACAAAGAAAUAAGAUAUGAGUUUGUGUGUGUGUGAUUAAUAAUGAGUAUGAAUCUCAUAAUGCGAGUUAAAUUUAUAGACAAUUAAUCUUCAACGACUUUUCUGAGCUUUACUCAAUAUAAUUUAUUUUUUAAUAGAAAUUUGAGUAAUCUAUAGGCGUCAAGCAGACUGAUGGCUUCAAAAUUUAAUUUCUAAUUAGCUUUCACUUUGAAAAAAUUAAUAAUAGAAUUAAGCUCGAAAUAUGUGAUAAAUGUCAUCAUAUAAAUUAUAAUCACAUUGACUAAAUCGACAUUUUGUGACUCUUAAGUUGAUAACAAUGUGUUACUAGGUCUAGGUAGUAGUAGGUACAAAUUUUAUUCUCUUUUUCCCACACAAGUAUCAAAUCUGUUGAAGACUCUUGUCAACGAAGACAGAGACUUCCGCUCUUCCGGUCCGUUAGAUGAACGCAAAAACGACCUUGAAAAAAAACAUACCCAACGACUGUUGUCCCUCAAAAUAAAUAUUACUAAGAUCAACGGCUCCCAUUGCCACACGUACGAUUCGGCUCUCGGGUCAGAACCCAGAUCCAAAUCCAAGGCCCCCCUCCCCCGGUAUCUUCCUCCAUACUCUCUCUACAUUUUCCCACUCUUACUUUUCUCUCGUUUCACUUUUCCGGGUUACCAAACACACACUCUCUCCAGUACUCUCUCUCUCUCUAGAAAAGCUAAAGCUUUGGUGGUUGGUUUUCUUUCUAUAUCGUUAUCAUCUUCUCCCACCUUUGAGUCAUCUCUCUGCAAACAAAUCUCUGUGUCGGUGGUGGGAUCGCUAUCAUUCACAUUGAUGAUGUUCUCUGCCUGAUUCGUUUUUUUGUUCUUCAUUUCUCAUUAUUGCAUUUCCUAUAGAGAAAGUUCAAUUCUUUUUGCAUUCUCUGCUCUUGGAAUGUGGAUCAUCAUCCAUGCAAUGCUCACCUGGUUGGUACUUCAUUUGUUGAUUUAUUAAUUUAUUUUUAAUUUUUGGCAUUUGGGUUAGGCUGUUUGCAUGCUCUGCUUGUUCUGAUUGGAUUGACUGUUUGGCUUUUAGAGAAGAAGCAAGUGUAUUUCAGUGGUUGGUGAAUGAAUCAUGGACCACAAGCCAUGGCUUUGGAGGAAGAAAUCAACAGAAAAGCCCAAUGUUGGAGCAGCAGCAGCAGCAGAAGACAAAGUCAACGUCUUGGGCAAAGGAAAUGAAGAUGAGGUAACUAUGAAUUCAUAGCUUUAGUGAAAUCCAUGAUUGUAUAUUCUAAUUUACAUUACCUAUAAAUGUAUAUGGUUUGUCUUGUGUUAUGCUACUUUCCCCUUUAGGCACACUUUUGGAGGCCCAAGCUAGAGCUUUACUUUAACUUCCCAGUCCCCAGAGGGUUGUUCUUGUACAAUCCAUAGUUGAAAGUGCUCCAUCCUCAAUGCUUCACUUGAAGAUACUUAAAAUCAAAUAAUUUUUGCUCUGCUAUUUUUUUCUUUCUAUAUUGGCUCAAGGAAAGCCAGGUUUUAUGAAGAAAAUUGGUUAUGCGUUUAAUAAUUGCAUGGAGAGAUUCUUUUUUGUUUUCUAUAUAUAUCUUAUUGGAUUCUGAUGAUUAGAGAUUUUACUAGGGAGGUGGGUCAGUCUAGACAAGUACAAUUUUCUAUUUGGAUACGUUUAAGCCUUCAAACUUGAGAUCAAUAUUUAGAUCAGUCAGAAGUUUUCACCAGCAAGACUUGUGUUAUAUCUAAAAGUUGAUACUAGUGUUGAAUUUCGGUAUGAAUAACUACUGCCAUCAAAUUAUUCACUUCUUUGAUCACAUUUUGUUGAUAUACUGAAUCACGCAAAAUAAACAGGCCCUUCAGAUGUCUAUACACUCGUGUGAGAGAGACCUCUUUCUAGCACUUCCAAUUUGUGAUACCAUACCAAGAUGCAAUUCCGAAUCUGGACUAAUUGGUCUAAUAAAAUUUUAAAUUACAAUUUGAAGGCAAUUUCACGUUUUUGUCUUUACGACAUCAUACCAUAUUUGUCCUAAAUUCUCAAAGUUUUCCUUUGUCAAAAAUUAGCAGUAAAGAGAGACACUAAAUUUGAUCAAGAUUUUCUAUUCCACAAACCAAGAUCUGAUUGGGGCUACAAUAAUAAAUAUGUCAAUCGAAAAGACAUACUGCUUAGAGUAAAUUUCCUAGGGAUGACAGAUAUAGCUCCCCUGUGUGGCUGUGGGGAUUCUGAAACCAGUUUUAAAAUUUUGGCGACCAUAAUCAGUCAAGUGCUGUCAAAUAGUUGUGUAAUGUGGACAAAAGAACUGAAAGAUCGAAUUCCGAAGGGAGUAUGUUAAUUAGUUAUCAUCAUUUAAGAAUUUUUAAUGAUGCCUGUUGUUUUAGGUUGCUGUAUAUGUCUUAUUAGGAAUUUUGUUUUUCAUUUAGGAACUGUUUAGUAUAUUUUGUUUUUCAUUUAGGAACUGUUUAGUAUACUUUGAGGCGUUAAUGGUACUAUUUUUCACUUUACUCUGUUUUCUUUUUCUUUAGAUAGAGGCAAUUCGGGCUGAGAAGGCAGAGCUGGAGAACAAUCUGAAAACUUUAAGUGAUAAGCUUGCUUCAGCUCUCUCUGAAUGUAACAGCAAAGAUGAACUUGUGAAGAAACAUGCCAAAAUGGCACAGGAGGCUGUUCAAGGUAAUUCAUUAGUUUAAGAGUUGUGUUGGAAUAUAUCAAUAACCUGUGCAGUGAGUUAAUAUAUUGUCUCAUUUUUCAUAUGAGUGUUUUAUGCAGGCUGGGAGAAGGUAGAAGCAGAUGCGGGGUUUCUAAAGCAAGAACUGGAUAAAGCUUUACAAAUCAGAGCAGCUCGUGAAGAAAGAAUAGCUCAAUUGGAUGCAGCCCUCAAGGAAUGUAUGCAGCAGCUACGAUUUGUUCGAGAAGAACAGGAGCAAAGGGUUCAUGAUGCUAUGAUGAAGACAUCAAGAGAAUUUGAGAAAUCCCAGAUGGUGUUAGAGGAGAAAUUAGCAGAGACCACUAAAAGGCUUUCUAAAAUAGGUGCUGAAAACACCCAUCUUAGUAAUGCUCUUUCAGUGAAGGAAAACUUGAUAGGAGAUUUAAGAAAACAAUUGACUCAGGUGGAAGCUGAUUUCAAUGCACUCACGAGUAGAUUAGAAUCCACUGAGAAAGAUAAUGCAUCUUUGAAAUAUGAGGUUCGAGUGCUUGAGAAAGAGCUUGAGAUCCGGAAUGAGGAGAGAGAAUUCAACCGUCGAACUGCUGAUGCAUCACACAAGCAAAACCUGGAGGGUGCAAAGAAAAUUGCUAAGUUAGAAUCAGAAUGUCAGAGGUUGCGUCUCCUGGUCCGGAAGCGGUUGCCAGGUCCUGCUGCCUUGGCAAAAAUGAAAACUGAAGUUGAAAUGCUAGGACGGGAUUCUGUUGACAUGAGGAGGAGAAAGUUGAAUCCAAAUGGUUUAAUGUAUGACUCUACUGUUGAUAACUUUCCUGAGACUCCCAGCAAAAGGGUUAACAUUCUGACUGACCAGUUAUAUGCUAUGGAAGAAGAAAACCAGACUCUCAAGGAAGCACUCAAUAAAAAGAUGAAUGAACUCCAGUUCUCUAGAAACAUGUAUGCUCGUAUAGCUUCAAAAUUAUCACAAGUUGAAACACCGCUUGAAGAAUCAUCAAGAGGCCAGACAACCAUGGAGCCAAUGAGGAGUAGUCUUAUGUCUCGUGAAGUCUCUGUAGCAUCUAUGUCUGAUAUUGGCAGCGAUGAUAAGGUUAGUUGUGCUGAUUCAUGGGCUUCUGCCUUGAUUACGGAACUGGAGCACUUUAGAAAUGAAAAACAAAAGGGAUCACUAACAAGCAAAACUGUCGGAGCUUCUGACAUAAAUCUGAUGGAUGACUUUGUUGAAAUGGAAAAGCUAGCAGUGGUUUCUGCUGAUAAACUAAGUGUAGGUUCUCCUGUUUCUUCAGCUAACGCAUUUGUUGGCACCUUGGAAACUGAGUAUUCCUCAGCACUUGUGGGUAGCGAGAUGGUUCCUGUUUCUGACAGUGAGUCAGGCUUCAAUAUGUCAAACAGGGAGACCAGAUUUAAAAAUAUUCCUGAUGGUAAAGCUCCCAAUUGGAUUCAGGAUAUGGUGAAACUGGUGUUGGAGCACAACCGUGGUGCAGGAAGAAAUCCUGAACAGAUACUUGAGGAUAUAAGAUUAGCUCUGGCAUCCACAGAAAAUCAAAAGCCUGGUGAGUUGGUUAAUGCAAGGACAAAUGGAAACCAUUUUGAUGCAUCCAAUCCUUCCUCUGUUAAAAGCUGCAUCUCAUGGAAAGGUUCAGAUAGAUCUCUAGUAACUGAUUCACCCAGUGGAGUAAGUGAUGUGGACAUCUCAAGCCCAAAGAGGAGUAAUCAGCAGUUCCAGCCAGAUCUGAGUAAAUCAUUAUGUAAAAUAAUUGAGCUUAUUGAGGGAAUCAGUGUGCCAUCUCCAGAUUAUAACCCAGAGAAUGGGACCAGGAAGGAUGGGAACUUGUCCACAUAUAAGAAUUCAGAAUACACAGGCUACAUGGUUCGUGUUUUCCAGUGGAAAACUUCUGAACUUGGUGAUCUUCUACAACAAUUUGUUCAUGCUUGUUAUGAUCUGUUGAAUGGAAAGGCUGGUCUUGACAAGUUUGCCCAAGAGCUCACUACUGCUUUGGACUGGAUUUUAAACCAUUGCUUUUCACUUCAAGAUGUUUCAAGCAUGAAAGAUGCAAUUAAGAAACAGUUUGAUUGGGAUGAUACACGAAGUGAAAGCGAAGCAGAAGCUGGAGUGGUUGGUCACUUUUUAGAUACAGACAAAUUACGUGUUCGACGAGAACAGUUAUCAUGUGUGCCCACAUCUACUUCUUCAAAUGGCCAUAGCAUCCAAAUAGAAGGGCUGCAGGCCAAUCUGGUCAAUGAAAACAGAAAAUUAAAGGAUGAAUUGGUGAAUGUAGAAUCUGCAAAGAGAGAGUUGGAAGGGAGAUUUCAGUCAGCUUGUGAUAAGAGUGAAUACCUGAUGAAUCAGCUUAAGGAAUCAGAAAAGGCUAUAGCCAGUUUGAGAACAGAGUUACAAAGUUUAAGAGACUCAAAAGGAAUCAUUGAGGACCAAAUUAAAAAUCACAAGGUGAUGAAUGAAGAUCUUGACACUCAGCUUACAGUGGCCAGAGUUGAAUUAAGUGAAGCUCGCCAAAAGUUUUCAUCCCUUGAAGUUGAACUGGAGAAUAAAUACAACUGCUGCGAAGAAUUGGAGGCUACAUGCCUGGAACUACAGCUUCAGCUUGAAAGGUACAGAUGCAUACCACCAAAGAUAGUAUACCUACAUAUUAAAGCUUUUACUUAUUUAAAAAUAUUGACUAAUGUAAUAAAAUAAUUGAGGAGUCUUAUGCAUCUGAUAUAUGUUUCUUUUGGCAGUGUGAAGAAGAAAAGCCCAAAUUCCGAUCCUAAUCCAGACGAAAGGCAAGCCCAAAAUGUAAGUUAAUGUCUUCUUGUUACACCUACAUUUUACCAAUUUGUCUGAGAAUUCUUAAUUUCUGUUUCCAGUUGCACUAACAUAUUCCAAACAAAAACCAUAUACCUGAUGAAAGAAUUUAUCUUCUUUUACAAAUAAGAAAAUUUUUCAUUGCCUAGGAAAUGAUAUGUGAAUAGUAGCUCUUUUCUUGUUCAAGGAUGAGUCACUUGACAACUGUAGCAUUUCAGAUUCAACUUAUAUUCAUAUUUCAAGAUUUAGUGGUCUACUUUACCUACUAAUUCUGCUCCGAAACAGUACAGUCCCAUAAGAAACACCAUUGAAAGUGAUCAGCUUAAAUGUGAACUCUCUCUCUCUCUCUCUCUCUCUUAUGGUAAAAGGAGAAUUCAUCUUGAAACAAAACAAUUCAAUCCAAAAAGGAUACUAUUGUGCUUUGUUGGCAACUUGUCAUUCAGAUGCAAUAUUGCAUGAUGUGCCUUACCGUUCUUAUAAAUUCAAAAGAAUUCCAAUUCUUUACUUGUUGCUGCUUAAAUUGAUGGUAAAUAAUGUUUGAUCAAUUUUUCAGGAUUGGGAGAUAACAGCUGCUUCAGAAAAAUUGGCCGAAUGCCAAGAGACAAUACUUAACCUCGGGAAGCAGUUGAAGGCAAUGGCUGCACCAAGGAAGCAGCCCUUUUUGACAAGUCAUCACUAAUCCCACUGAUAUAAAUACCCUCAAAGCCAAAGCCACAUGCCCAACCCCACAGAAGAAACUGAACCCAACGAUCCUCUCUACUAGAUCAAAUGUUAGCAGAAGAUGGUGCUGGCAUCAAGAAUUUAAUGUCUCCAAAGACAAAAGAGGUCGACAGUAAUUCAACUUCCACGUACAGUCCUAAUAGGGUGACAGAGCCCCUCGAGAAUAUCCUUGUUCUAAAUGGUAAAUACCAGGAUGACAGUGCUACUGUUGGUUCCUUAGCUAUAGUGCCUGGCAAGAAAAGGGGAGGGGGGAGUUUAUGGAAAAAGCUGUUAUGGAGAAAGAAGGGUAGCAGCAAAAAAGCACCCCUUCCGAUCGCUUCAUGAUCAAUCUCUAUCGUAUGAUAAGUUGAUUACAAUGUUGGUGUUCCUUGCUCUGUUUUGAUGGCAGUUUGGUUUGUCACACGCCUGUAAUGCAAAAUAAUAAAGGCUAUAGGUCUGUUGGUCAUUCUCAUUCGAGAGAUACUGGAGAAUGCGUGAGUGAGGGUUUUGUUUUUGUUUUUGCAUACGUUAUGUAUUGCUCCUGUAUAUAUGUAUCGUUCUAGGCAACUGAGAAUUUGCAACAAUGUCAGCAGAGAAGUCGACAUUUGUGUACCAUUAACCCAAAAAAGGAAAUGAGGGUGAAAAAAAGAGAAUAUGUAGUUAUGCCGUAUACACCAUGUAAUUCCCUGUUUUGUACACGUGUAAAUUUUCCCAUGAAUAAAAUAUGGUUUUUUAUUAUUAUAAAUAUCCUGGUGUUUCAGAUCAAAUCAUUACCACAUGGAUGAACAACUUGGCGGCUGUCUAAAGUAUUGAAGUCGGGAUAUAACAAAAUUUUCAAAAAAGAAACUCCUGCAUGACCGUUUUAACAUCAUGCAUUAACACCACUCUCUCCUUCAUCAGAAGAGGGAUCACAGCAGACUAAGCAAAUUCACACUUCCUUUUCAUUUCUCUUUCUAUAAUGGGCCAAUGCCUCAGCAAUCUCAGCUGGAAAUCAACCAGCCUUCACAAGAAAAAUAAUAAAAAGUGAUAUGUUAUGUACCAACAAUGAGUCAACAAAUUAGGUAACAGAGAAAAAUCCGGAAAGACGGUGCACAUAUUAAUCACUCGGCAGAAAAAUUCUCUCCGGUCAUGAAGCUGGUUCUGCGACCCCGUAUAUUCGGUGCGACAUAAAUCUCUUUAUCUUCAUUAUCAAUCUCUGUAUUGUACAAAUCGUGCAAAAUCAGUGAGGCCAGCCUCUCUGUAACGAUCAGCAACCUGCUCCACAUGGUCAUCCCAAGUCCCUUCAAUAGAAGCUAGAUCCAACAAAAAAGCUGCUUCAUCCAAUGCAACCUGCAAAUGAUGGAACUGCGAUGAUAAGAAAUCAUUUUAACAAAUUGUUUUUGGGAGUUCAUAAGCAAUAAUGAUUUGAAAACCUGAGCUGGGGCCUUUCCCUUUUUAAGAUCUGCUUGCCUUCCCUCGUCGGUCACCUUCUCCUUAAUGUACUCAAUUUGCUCGUCCUCCCAUUGUGCUAUAUCAGCAACUUCCUGAAUUAUAAGUAUUCAACUGCAUAAUGUCAUAAAAGGAACUCUUGCAGAGAAAAGUUGGCUGGGACAAUCUAGGAAUGAUCAAGGAAAGUAGAAACCUGGUAGCUGCAACCCAGAGUCCACCAUGGUGAUUUAAGAGCUCCCCUAGCAGCAUCUUUUGCUUCAACAGUACGCCCAACCCUGUAAAAUUUACACAUGGGCUCCUUAGAAGAUGGAACUUAAGUGAUUCAACUGACUAAAUCACAACAAACGUUUAGUAGAAAGUAACUGGAAAAGUUUCCUACGAACUUCAGCAAAACCUCAGCAUUGAAUACAUAAGGCCGUGCAAAUCCAGGAAAAUGCUCCUUCUUUGUAUAGAAUUCUCCCGUCACCAAAGCCGAUACCUUUCAAAAGCACAUACUGUAAUUAGACUGUCAAAUACACACUAACAAAAUGAUGAUUAGAGGAAGUAAGCAAAGUCAGGUGAUGAAUCUUACAUGGUCCCCUUCCUCAAAAUGCCACUUCACUUUGCGCUCCAAGACAUCUGGAAAUAAACCAACCUGAAAAUGAACCAUUUGUAACCGCUUCAUUUUUUAAAAAAAAUUUGAAAAGAAAGGAAACAAAGGAGGAAUGGGAGGCUAAACAAAGAAGAAAUCUCUUUCGUACUUUUCUUAAAAGGUAAAUAUCUAGUUUUGAAAUCUGCGACUUGGCAAAGUCACCCUUUUUAUAAAGUUUCUCCCCAACAUCAGCAGAAGCACGAAAUAGCUCAUCAUUGCUUUCUCCAGAGUUUUUAGCAUCUUCUUCAACUAGGAUUCUGUGAAUUAAUUGGUCCACCUGUGGAUGAAAGAUAGGACGACUGCCCUGAGAAUAGUUGUAUAACCAGUACAAAAAUGCAUUUACAAUGAAAUUUUGGCCAUGUAUGUGGAACACUGGCAUGUUUUACUCACAUUCUUGGCUAAAAGCCACACCCCAUGUUUCCUGACCUCAACCACUGGCAUGUCCAUACUGCAGGCAUUGGACUAGAUGAAUCAAGCUUUAAAAGAAGGAACAAAAUUGUUCAGGCCAAACACUUACCCUGAAGGAGCUGUAGGCCACCGAAGAAGUGCAGUUACAGCACCUAUUGGCAAAGAAAUAUUUACAAAAUUAGAACAGCUUGAACUACAAGUCAAUUCUCGGGGAUUCGUCAAUUCCAAAUAUAUUCAAAGCUUUUCCAUACCUGAGCUAUUUUUUGCUAGUGGUAUGGCAAGGGGGAUUAGCCCUUCCUUGGCUCCUGGAGAAAUAAUAGAUUCACCUGUUACAUAAAUGUAUGUGAGAAUUUACUUAAAACUUCAACUAUUUCAAAGAUGAGCAGACAUAAAAAAAAAAGAAAAAAGCAUGGAUCAAGUAUGAUAACUGCAAAUUAUACAUCAAAAGUUCAUCCAUUUUCUUCCAAUGCCAUACCAUUCAACACAAAGGCACCACAACCCAGCAACUAUAAUCUUGAGAUUGAGAAUGUAGCUAGGCGAGAUUUGUAGAACAAAUCAUUGCCUUUUAAAGAUUACAUUGUCACAUUGUUCUCUCUGAACAACCAACAUGGAAACAUUGAAGAAAACAACCAACACAUGCAAAUCCCAAAACACAAGAAUUGAAAUAUGGAAAUAUGAAUCUUGAACAGAGGUUUAAGCAAUGACCCACCUUUUGUCUUGAGCAUUGUCAGCAACUGGCUCAAAUGCUGUGGAGGCUGAGUUGCUGCCACCUCCUUAAUGAAAGACACAUGGUCUGUAAAUUGCAAUUUUCACCACAAUCAGUUCACAAAUCUUUUAAAACAGUUAUAUCAGUAGGCACUUCCAAAAUUCAAAGCUAAACAGAGCCCUAAGUUACCAGGAGUGGCAGAGGAGUAAGAGCAGCGUGGUCCAGCUCUACUGUGCCGAAGAAGAACAGAGGGCAGAGCGGUGGCUCGAGGUCCUCCGUACACCAAUUCGCUGCCAACUUUCAUUUUUGUGUUAAUGGAGUCUGCUGCUCUGCUUCGUCGUCGUUUAUCUUUUCAUCUUUGUAUAGAAAUUCUCAGCCACAAUAGAUUGGGCCUCAAAACUUCUAAAUUGACCACCCAACCCGACACCAAGAGCCUCAGACCCAUUACCGUUGGGCCUUAGUGCUGGACAAUUGAGGAGAGGAGCAUUCGAAAACACUUAAAAAUUCGACCACAUUCGCAAGAGAAUUAUAGCUCAAAUGCUGAAGAGUAAAUAUCUUUAUACUCAAAGUUAUGUAUUGGAUUCUUCCCUUUUUCAUUAUCGCUCGUAUCAAACCACAUGAUUUGCCGACUUGGUGUAAGUAAUCGAGUUUAUAAUAAGGGUAGUAAAUGUACAUAACAAAUUAAUUGGAAACCAAUGACUUGCUUCGACAAUAAAGUUGUGCUUUUGAAGCAUUUUCAUCCACUUGCGUUAUGUACUAGUUAGUACCUGCAAAAAGUGCGAAGCACUCCAAUUAACCGAAUUAAGUAAAAUAAACGACUAAUAUAGCUUAGAGAUAAUCCAUGGUUUGUUUGGACUCUUAGGCUUGUUUGGUAGCUAGAAUUCAAUUGGAUUAGGAGGUAGAAUUGGAUUGCAUUGGAUUACAUUGGAUUGGAAAUGAUGUAUCCUUCAUUGAUACUAGUGUCCCAAAUUUUUGUGUUGCGACUCUCAAAUCUUGAGUUCAAGGUCAAGGGGUUAGAGUAGUGAGAUUAUGUAUCCCACCUUCUUGGUAGGAUAAGUUAUCCUACAAAACUAAACAUAAGGGGUUUAUAGUGAGAUUAUCUUUUAUCCUAUCUACAAUCAUAUUUUAGCUCCAAACAUGGUAAUGGAUUAAACAAAUCUAAUUAUGUUACUUAUCCUACCCACCAAACGAGACCUUAGGGAUGCAAUACAAUUAACGUGCUGUGAGAAUAUAUCAAGCGGAAGAAAUUGCAAGUUGAAGAGAAUAUUGAGACAGUAAAUUUAAAUUCGAACUGCGGAUAUAGUAAUUUGAUUGGUGGUUGUUUCUGGGUAAUCAUAAGGCUUGGGUUGGCAAAAGCGUAUCACUUGUAAGUUGUGUGAGAACUGGUGCGUAGACGCACUGAUCACUGACCACGUGAUCUAAACGACGGGGCACGUGGGAAUUGAGAUUUGAGGCAAUAUAUCAUAUGAGAAUACGCACAGAAUGUGCUCAUGCAGAGAGCGUGACCAUGGUGUUUCAUCACGUGGCCAUUUACCACUAUUCAGCUCGGGACCACGGGCCACACCCUCCAGUCUCCUCCUCCACAGCGCACUCAUCUCAUUUGACACUACACAGCUCCCUCAACUUUUUUGUUUCACCUACAACAAGUUCAAAGGGUUUGGCUUGCCGUAGUUUUCACAUUUUCAACAUUUUUUCACCCUCGGGAGCCUCUUUCUUUUUUCAUCUAUAAAAAGAAAAGUGAAAUUACAUUGCAAAAGUCAUAAAUUAUUGUUUGGUUGCCACUCACUCACGUCCGUUGGUUGAUUGCUAACUCUGCCCUGGAUUGAGACACUACAAUGACCCAAAAAUAAAGAGAGACCAGAACAAAACAUAAGGCACAAAAGGCAACCGAAAGCGGCUAGAUGUGAAUUAUGGUGAUGAUGGAGGAGGAAGGGCCACCAGGGAGUAAAAAAAUAUGCUCUCAAGUUAUGGAUGACGAUGGUGGGUCAUGUUGGCAGCUUGGCUAAAUGCAAAACUGAGCCAAGAGGAUAAAAAAAAAUCAACUCUCAAGUUGACAAAAUAUCCAGUUUAGCGCAGCACCAAGCCUAGCAUCACAAAAGAAUACCAAGUAGAUCUUCCCUUUAAAAGUGACAUCUAAGCUGUAGCUCACUCGCUCAAGUAUUGUAUUAUAUUUGAAUCAUGGACCCAAAAGAACCAUCUCAUAAUAGGGGUAAAAGAAUGCAGCAACCUUGAACCAUUUCACAAGGAAUAAAAAAACAACUUGAGAAUCAUGAUAUUUUCCCAAUGCAACUGACCAUACUUGACAAUUUUGAUGUGUCAUUGACAACUUUCAAUAAUGUCUGCACCUACUUUCAGUGCAUGCACAUCAUCAACAAAUUGCUGUUUUUUAAUUGUCAACAGCAAUAGACUGAAAAUGGGAGAAAAAGGUACUCUGCAAAUUUCCUCACUUACCUUCUGUAACUUCAAAUUCAAGUCUUAACAGUGACCAACUUUUCCUCUUCUACUUCCUCAAAGUCGAAAACCCAAAUGUUAAAUAGGCAAUAGCACCAUUUACUGGGAGACUUGUAUUACUAGAUUGUAAAGAUGCAAACAAAGAAAAAGAAAUGAGUUUUCUCACCGCAGUAGCAUUCAUAACUGAACAAGAACUGCAAUUAUAAAACCAAAAUCAUUCCAUGUUCCACCAUGCGAAUUUCUUACAGUGGCUUAAUGACAAUGAACACCAGUAAGGAUUCAAACCAAAUAUUUCUAGACUUGACCUUUUAUACAGUGGCAGUGGGUUUUUGAUGGCCAUAAAUGAUGCUGGGGGAUGGAAAGGCCAAAUCACAGUGGAAGAUAUGGAACUUGCACUUAGGGCUAGCCUAAAGAGUUGGAAAUUUGUCUUUGUGGCGAACUCUGGGGAAUUUAGCAAUAAGCACAUCGUCUGACCUCCUAAUUUUUUCUGCCUGAAAUAAUCUUUUCUAAAUUUUAACUUAUCAAUUCCUCCCACACCACCCUCUUCCUUUAUUGUUGGGUCAAAGGAACCCCCAAGUACUUCAAAGCAUAUUGAUACAACAAUACCGAUGAUCAUCCGGCCCAGAAAAUCUCUUUAGGAAAAUGACUACAGAAAUCAUUCUCUCUGAAAUGAGCAAUUUCAAAUUUCUCUUAAAGAGCAAAUAUAGACCAGUCCAAGUUAAAACAAAAUGACUGAGUUUAGAAACUGAUUAUCUUAAAAGAAAGAUCACAUGGUACCUUCACAAUUCUGCAGAGUGUCAAUCUGUAAGAGACUUCAUGUCAUCUGCAUCUUUCUUCUUCGUGAGGAAGACACACGGGGUCGCAUUCUUCUUCUACUACAUUGUUAUACCAGCAAGUGUUUUUAGUUCCAGAAAUGCAACUCACGAAGCCGAUUUCCAUUUGCAUCCUAGCAACCACUGCCAUUCUAAACACAAUCUGCACUCCAAGAUAGCAGAAAUUCUUUCACAUAAACACAAAGUUCUCUUCAUUUUCUUGUCUUUCUAAAAUUUGAAUUUAGAGAAAAUCCCUUUGUAUGAUGCAGUCCCUUCAUCUUGUUGUAUUCUGGGUAGUAUUCAAGAAUGUCAUGUCCAUCCAUCAAACCAAAGUAGCAAUCAUGUGACUCCUAGAGUCGAAUCGUGCUAAUGGAUGUGUUGUGACUGAGAAGCUUGUAAAUACCAUGAUGCAAAAAAGUAAUGUCAAUGCAUCGAAGAAACCAGUUUCGAAUUGGUGAAAAAUAAAACGUAGCAAACCAAAAAGCAGCAAAUAUGCACUCUUUUCAACCAGGGACAGCACUCAAACCAAAAAUUUACCGGAAAUGAAGGGGCUAAGAAAACCUUACAUAAGUACAAACAAGACAAAUUUAUCUUUCAUGUCCAUUACAAAAUAGUUCAAGCACAAUAUCAGUUGUCAAAAUAUCACAUGUUCUCAUUAACUAUCAAAGAAGGUUUCGAUCAGCAGCACACAAGUCAGGUAAGAUCUUGGACAGCAUUGCUAAAAGGUUAACUAUCGCUAUUAGUCUUGUCUAAGGUCAUCUUGAAACAGGAUCCAUGUAUUGGAGCUGAUAAUAGGAAUGGUUAUGCCGUAUUGAGCUAUCUACAACUUGCUAUUUUGGAAAGAUCAUUUGUUUGUACUUCUCAUAAGAUUGGGCUAAUUUUCAUAACGUCUUAGUAUGGUUUCAAAUGAACAUGAAAAGGCUACAGAACAAGCAAAUUAAUAAACAGAACAGUAGACAAAUGGUUGCACAAGCUUUACUGAGAUCAAUAAGACAAAUAUCAGUAAUUUCAUUCAUAUUUUGACCAAAAAAUUGUGUAAGCACAUAACUGGGGGACAAUAAUGAGCUGAACCUACCUAUAAAAAAUAAAACAAAUAGAGUACAACCUCUAAAUAAUCAAUUCUUAUCACUCUAGUUCAUCAAGUUUGAUCUCAUGUUGUUCACCGGAAGAAAGGAUUUUCACACCCACCAUACCCCUUUGCCACUCUGAAUCUCCCACCAAUAUCAACCUAUUAGCAUUUAUUCUUGCUGCACGCUUGAAUACCCUGACACAGAUCAAAUUCAACCCAUGGAAAUAUAACAUAUUAGAAACAGAAUGAUUGAAAUAGAAAUUUGCAAGCGCCUAAUAAGAUGGUGGCAAAUACCAUUUCAGCGGUUUGUUCUCCAAGACUAAAUCAACACUUUGACCUUUUCCCCUGAGUAUGGUGGCAACUGUGGCAGCGGCUCCUUGAAGUCCAGGAUCUAGAGCACACACAAUGUUUUCUACUUGCAGGCUGAGUUCUGGCAGAAGACCCUUCUCCUUUAGCAACUGUAACCCCAAAACCAAAAUGUCAAAUAAACGAUAAACCAAACGAAAAUUCUAGGAGCCAAGAAUGAAGUAUAUUUAAGUACUAGGAGUAUUUAUCCCAACCAUAAGCACAUAUUGUGCUUCAACAAGAAAACUUAAAUGUAAUAGAAAGUGGCUUCAUAAAGAAAGGAAUAGGAAAUAUAAGCUGAAACUCACUUCCACUAUGACAGCAUCACCAAAUCCAAAGCCACAAGCAGGAAUGUCAUCACCACCAAAAGUAGAAAGCAAGCGGUCAUAUCGCCCGCCACCACAAAUGGCUCGCAACUUUCCUCCUCUAUCAAAACCCUGAGAAUAAAAUUGAUCAUUUAGGGGCUGUGUUCAACAGUGAAGAAACCAGCAGCAAUUUUCUUUACACGCAAGGGAGAUCUAAUAUUCAUGAACAGAUUAAGUAAUCAUGCACAGCCAAAAGCUGUUGCCGUUUUUUUUCUAUCUACAGCACAAACUUUGUUCUUCCAAGUAGACACAUUAGUGCAGAAUUGAAAGCAUUUUCUACAUCUGAAAUUUUAGUGGCACAAGUUUUCACAUGACACGGGUAUGUCACAUGCCAGUUGUUUCAUGCAUAAGGGAUGAAAGCAUCAUAACCAACUUACAGAACACCUAAAAUACUCUACUGCAAUAUCUAAUAACAAUGCUACUAACGUUUUGCUCACAGGCCAUGCCUCAGCUCAGUACUUCCAAAAUCUAUAAUUGUAUAGACUUACAGGAAGAUAAUAUCUAUAAAUUACAUCCUCAUGGCUAGAGUGAUGCCUGAAAUAGAAGCGUGGUAACAAAUAUGAUACCCAGCCCCAGGACAUUAUUUAAACUCGUAAAGGUAUGUACCAGACUAUACAGGAAAGUCAUCAGUCCCCAAGAGCAACAGAACAACUAAAUAAAAUGGAAAAAAAUGUUUUAACUCGACUCUAUUAGUAUGACUGAUAUCUGCAAUUAAAAAGUAUAGGGGGGAAAGCAACAUGGAAUAUCUAACCUCGAAGACAAUACCAGUAUAGUAGGCAAGGCCACGAACAAUAGAAGCAUCAAACUGAAUCCAUUCAGAAUAACCAAAUUUCUCAGCAAGAGAGAAUAGCUGCUUCAGAUCAGCAACUGCUUCACCGGCAUCUCCAAGUAUCUCUACAUAAGAAAAACAUGGAAUGCAUACGAUUACUAAGUAAGAGUUACAUCAUCUCUCACUGCAAAAAAAAUUUUUUUUUUUUUUUUCGGUUACACAAUAAAUAGAACCUUUAAACCAGCAUUAACGAACGAUUACCAAAAGCACCUUCCUCCUCAACAAAUUUUUGAAACAAAUAUGAAAACUAAUUUAUUUUUGUCACCGCAACUUAUAUAAACUAAAAAUUUGAACCCACCUCCUCUAACUGUACCUUACCACUUUCAAGUUUGAACUUUAGUUUACUUUUCUCUGUUCUACAAAUAACUACCAACUUUUGAUCUUAACAUCACCAUUCCACAACAUAAUUGUCUAUUUAUUUUUUCACUCUUCUUCAAUUCCUACAUAGGCAACCCAUUAAUUAAGUUUUCCUUGUUUGGUCACCUAUUGGUAUUUCUCCACCUUUUUCUACAUACAAAGGCCUAGCUAAGCCUUUACCAUGUUCAAGCUAUCUGUAUUACCUCACAUUAUCUUAUCACCCUUCAUCUUUUGCUAAGAUACAAAAGCCUAGCUAAGCUUUUAUCAUGUUCAAGCUAUCUGUUUUACCUCACAUUAUCUUAUCACCCUUCACAUUAUGUUCCUCAACCAUCAAGAGAUCUAGUAUCAAGACGCAUUUUAACUCAUCCAUGCUCAUGUAACUUGUAUAGCCAAAAAAUAUAUUAUCUAAAUAGCUUCUGAAUCAAUAACGAUAAGACCAACCUUCCAACUUUGUCAAAGACUUUAUGGAAAGAACUUGCAAUAACUGCUCAAUAGCCUCUUCCGAUACACCAGCAGAUUUCAACUCGUUUUUUAUAUCAUCCACUGGAAUCUUCUCUAUCUGUUCAUAAUUAAAUCCCAGAAAAAGGAUUAGAAACCUAUAAACAAAAUCUACAUUCUCAUUACCGUAUAUGGUUAUGUAUAAGAAAAUGUGAAAAUAUAAUAUUCACUGUGCUAUCAGACACAUAAGAGCAAGGUUAGAUUCUAAAUCCAAAAUGCAUACAAAGUUCAAGGACCAUGACCAUAGCAGAUGCAUAGCAGACGCACAUACAGAAGACAUGGAAUAUAAGUAGAAUAUCUUGCUACAACUAAUGCAUGUCAAAAGAACUUCAACGAAUCAACAAGAACUAUAAAAAAUGUCCUACUAAAAAAAGUUACUAGCAAUGAACUGAUUUGUUAAGUUUACAUGUGGGAAACCUAGAAUCAAUUGAAUAAAGAAUUUCUACUUUAAAAGAAUCUAACAAACUAAAUAACAUGAUUGUAAUCUAAUUAUUUUUCAACAAUAAAUUAUUAAACCAAACUACAAUACUGGUCAUAAUGGCAUUCACAUCUGAUAUUUUUUCAAGAACAAUAAAGUAGAAAACCACAACAGAUUCAGAUGCAAUCCAAAACUUGCAACCUUGAACAAUUUACCUUGUCUAUGAUGAUGCAAACCUUGCCAAAUAAAGCUUCAGGUAUGGAGUAAUGCCUCAAUACUUCUUGCAAAACCUGUAAUGUAAGAAAAGUAGAAGAAUCAUCUGCCCUGGUUUCCAAAAAUCAAUAAUAAAACAAAAGUUCUAAUGUGAGGAUGAGUGUGGAUCAAAUGUCUCUUAAAACUAAAAAGAUUAACAAGGUAGACUAGUAGUCAUAAACUAUAGCCAAAAAAAAAAAAAAAAAAUCCUCAAAACUCAUUUUAAUGAAACAGACAGUGGCAAAGCUUUUUUAUUUUUAUUUUUUGUGUGGCUUCUGGCAACUAUUGUGAGUAUAUCAUAAUAUCCCAGAAUAUUAUAUUGUUCAAAUUAAUUGGGAUGUAUAAGUUAUUUUCAUUUUCUAUCUUGAAAAGCAACUUGAGAAGCAUGUGGCAAUACAAAGCCUUUGGAAACAGACCUCCCACAGAUAGACGAACAAUAUCGGAAAGACAAAUGUUAUGAAGACCUUUGAAUCUGAUUGUCUAAGUUCAUGCAAGGAAAAACCAUCCACACCUUUCGACUUGAAACCUUAAAUCCAACAUCUGAUGCGGUAAUUCCUAAUCGCUUGAAGAAAGUGACAAUUGAAGAAAUAAGUUCUGCUUCAGCCUAGAACAUGGAGAGAAAAAAAAAAUCCAAGCUUGUUAGGGAAAUGCAUAUAACAACAUAAUACAAUCAAAUACAACAAUGUGCCAUGCAUCAUGUGGAACAGAUGGAGAUUUCAAUCAAUGCAAGAGUGUUGGGCAAAAUCAUAAAUAAAUAAAUAAAAAAAUUCAGAAUCAUAUAAGCAUGCAAUACUAGUUAGCAUGGAUAAUCUUUUCCCGUACCAAAAAUUUCAGUAUCAAAUAUAGUAGUAUUGAAUGGAUUAUCAAAAAUUUCAGCUCUAUACCGAAACUUCAUGUACACCAAUAAUGUCCAUAUUCCAUUGGUAAUGCUCCCUACGCCGCCCCCUCGUCAUCCUCUCAUACCGCCAACACUGCCCCACGGCAAACCAUUUCACUGGAAGGGAUAGAGAUUUUCUGGACAGAAAAAAACACGGGAAUCAAAAUUUCUGGCAUCUGUACCUGGAUAUAAAAAAAUCACGAGUAAACAUACAGAUAUACAUUAUACAGCCAAGUCUUUAAUUAGCAACAAGAACAUGAAAAUGCUCAGCAGAAUCAGAAUUUCAGUACCCUUUCUGUAUCACCAGUCUUGCCAAAGAAGGAGUGAGCUCAGGCCUCAAUGCAACUCGACGAUUACCCCGGUCUUCGAAGCAAUAUAGCUGCACAAGACAGCACAUUGCAAUGUAAGUACAUGUACGUAAUUACAAUUGACGCAAUGCGAGUAAAAGAAGAGCUAUAAAAACCUGGUCUCGAAUUUCCUCUCCUGCUUUUCUAAUAUACAGAGCCUCGGACUCGAGAACUGGAAAGUCGACCUCUUCGAAGCCAAACAACCGCGAGACCUCUCUGAAAUGGUAGAAAAGCCAGUUGCGGAGCCGCAUAUCUUCGGGGGGGAAGUCCCUGGUGCCCUUGGGAGGGUUGACGUCGAUCUUCUGGAGGUCUUCGGUGAUCGGCGCCGGAGAUAGAGCUCCGGCGCGACCGCCGGCGCCGACUGCAUUGGGGGUGAGAGCAGAAGCGGCGGGUGAGAGAGAAGAGAGGGGUCUAGGGUUUGGAGAGAGAGGGAGUUUGGGGAUGGGGAAUCUGAUAACGCGAGCAAAGGGCUUGUGUAAGAUAAGGAGGGAAGAAGAGACCGCGGAGGAGAGCAUGGUGAUGCCAACAAGGGCUCGAUGGUCUUUUCGGUUACAGUGGGGUUUUUGCUUAUUUUUGCUGAACGCAGAGGAAGAGGAAGAGGUUGAAGUUGAAAGGCGAAGGAAGCUCGACGUUGGAGUUUUCAGACCAACGUACUGAUUUGGCGGGGGCCCAAUUUGAAUAGUGAAGACCCAAACAGAUUGAAAGGUUGAGACUAUUUGUUGAGCUCUUGUUGUGAGUCCAUAAAUGCGUCACGUAUGAACCCAUGGGCCGUGUUUUGGCCCAAUAGGAAAACCCGGCCGUAAUCACCGCGCUUACCAAAACUACAUAUGCAAUUUUCUUGAUACUUGAAGCCAGAGGCGACAAACAAGUCCCGUUCCGUCAUGGUCAUGUAGAGCCACCUUAUGCGAAGGGUCACAUGCCUUCUCUGACUCAAGGUGGCUUCGCAAAUUUUUUCAUGUAAUACAUGAAAAGAAAAAUAUUAUGUAAUGUUUGUAAGGGUAGUAGUGCUCUUUAAUUUACAUGUUUAUCGCCUGACAACAUUAUACAAUGUUCAUAAAUUGAGCAUAAAUAAUUGCUAGAAAAUCAUGAACACUUUGAAAAGUUUAAAAGGUUUAUAAAAUUGAAUCAACGUCUUUUUCAAGAUUAGUCAUGUCAAAACCUUCAUGAUUGUCCGACAAAUGGUGGGUUAUCCUUUUAAUCCCAUAUGAUGCGAAAGUGAUCACCAAUACAAGUUUACUCAAAAGAAGCAACACACCAUCCAUUUCUAAGCAAAUAUAUUUCAUGGCUGAUGAGAUUAGUAGUGCCCACAACAAGUACAAAUAUUCCUAUCUUCCACAGAAACACAUUUAUUAAAGUUUCCUUUUGCUGGUUUUGAAUAGUUUUUCUGAUGGAUAUUUUUAGAAUUUAUGAACAUGAACUAUAUUAAUACUUAUCUCUACUUAUUAUUUUGAGCCUACCCAGAUGUAUAUAAAAUUUCGAAAGUUCAUGUUUAUCACGCAUCUGUUUUUUAUGUUUUUUUUUUUUUCGGUUUUCUGGACCGCACAUGUGCAUCCAAAUUUAUCCAACUGAAUACAUAUGCACUGACCCAUUUGUUGAUAAUAUUUUAAUUAAUUUUUGACGUUUCCUCAUGAAUAAUGGCACUCAUCACAAUUGCCUCCUGAGUCCUGCCGCCAUGCUUACAAAUAAAAUACCAUUUCUUCAAUUCUUUGAAAAGGAAAUUAGCAUGACCCAAUUAGAGGAACAAAUCCUGUUUUAUAUUUUUGUGUUAUUUCAUGUGUAGUUUACUCAAAUUAAACCUUGUGAAUUUAAGCACUAAACUCACGUUCACUAGCAAUAAAUUGAGGUAUUUUUUUCGGUUCUUUCAUGUGGAAAUUUAUAAUUCUAUCCUGAAAGAUUAAAGACAAGAUGACUACUACUUGCCGCGUACAACACAAUAUUUUUAUCGUUAUGUGCAUGUUUCUUCAUGCUCUUGUUUCAAGAUCUCUCUCUCUCUCUCUAUAUAUCAUUCCAAAUUUCCAAUUAGGUCUGAUGUCUCAAAGAGGCUUCGCUUUCUUUGGUAUUGGCGCACGUAUUGGUGUCCCCAUUGCUUUUCCUCACAGCUAGCAGAAGAUGCCAACAUAUUUCCCACCGCUUCAAACCCCUACACGAUAAACACACAUACACAAGAGCCAAAACUUUUAACGUCUCCCCAGCUCACAAUGCCUAACCUGCCUUCCCCAUCAAAGAUAUUUGAACAAUUUUAAUGACCUUUUCGGAUAUCUUGAAUUUGAAGAACAUAAAUUUUUAACAUCAUUGCUUUCGACAUCUCCCCAACUCGCAAUGCCUAACCUUCCUCAUCAAGUUUCCAUUCCAAAAUGUCCCCAGGAUAUUUGAACAAUUUUUUUUUAUACCCUUUUUGGAUGUUUCGAAUUUGAAACCUAUAAUUUGUUACAUCAUUGCUUAGCUAACUUUGUUGGCAUCCACACAAAGUCAAAACCCAUCUCCCUUUGCCAAUUUCUCACUAUGCUUUUAAGGGUAUUGCUUUUGUGGGGUUUCGGUUAGCACUUAGAAACCCUUAUACAUAAUUGGGGCAUUGCCGUUUUGAUGUUGAUGUUGGAGCCGAAACCAAAUGCGACCCUAAUACGCAAUUGGAGCAUCAAUCGAUCGAUUAGGGUUUGGUCAAUACAUGCAUAAUUGCAUAUGAUGCUGAAAAAGAUUAGUUUCAACCCUAGUUUGGAUUUUAUUCGUUAGAAGUGAUGGGAUUCAAAAGCUGUACAGUAAAGGUGCACUCAAAUGGAAUUCUAAUGGCCAUUGAGUUGUCAAAUCUGCCUAAACUUUCAACUGUGAAAAUAGUAUGCGUGUGUGAGCCUUCCCCCGUGACAACAUUACAUUCGUCAUAAAAUAUUUUGAAGCGAAUUCAAUAACAGGACCAUAUAGUAAAGAUAAGAAAAAACGUGAGGAUGCUGAGACCUGCACAUCUUGGGCAAUUCCAUGCCUUGAAAAUUGAGCGAUGAUCAUUCAACGCAGCCUUUUCUGAUUGAAACUCCCUAUACUAGUAGUAGUAGUAGUAUUUAUUUUUAAAAUAAACAAAUAAGUGGCUACCCAAUAGGAGGUGCUCUAUCUAACAUACACCACUCAAAUUGGUGUUUGCAAAGACUACUCUACAGUUGGGGUAAUUGGCAAUGUCAACAACCAACCUAUAAUGCAUAUUUGAGUUAUAUCAAUUUGGCAGAACAGUGUUUUAGUUAGCUCUCACACAAGUUCAAAUUCCCCUUCUCAUUUAAAAUGAAAAACGAACCUUAAUAACAACUGUCCAAAAAGGAUUUUUAUCAUAUUGUCCCUCAUUAUGAAUACAAAAUUGUUUAGUGGAGGUUUUUAUAUAUAUAAAAAAAAUAGGGAUUUUUGUAGAAAUGUCACAUGAACUUAUACUUUAGUUUUAAUUUGUCACAUUAAAGAAAAAUUUAAGAGAAAUAUCACCUUAAUUUUUAAAAAUCCAUGAUUUGUCAUCUUACUUUAACAUCAUCCAAUUUUUCAUCUAUUUUAAAGGGUAUUUUAGUCUUCAAUUUUCAAAGAAAACAAACAUAUAAAAAAUAAACCUCUCUCUCUCUCCCUUUCUCCCCCAUCCAAAACCUCUCUCUCUAUUUGGGUGGGCUGACUGAAGGUAUUUGUGUGUGGGGGGUAGUUCUUCCAUAGUAGAGAGAGAAGGAGGAAAGGAAAGAGGAAAGUGGGAAUGGAAGAAGAGGCAACUUGGGCAGGGUUGGUUGGAGCUACCGGUGGCACACAGAGGAUGGGGGAAUGUGAGAUUUUUUUAAAUACAAUUUUUGUAUAAUGAUUUUUUCAUUUUAAAAGUACCUUUAAAAAUGUAAAGACUAAAAUACUGUUGAAAAUUGAUGGUAUUAAAGUCAGAUGACAAAUCAUGAAUUUUGAAAAAUUAAUGUGACAUUUCUCUUAAAAAAAAUUUAAGGUAACAAAUUAAAACUAAGGUGCAAAUUCAUGUGACAUUUUUAUAAAAAAUCCUUUUAAAUAUAUACAAACAAUACUACACGAUAGGGAAUUUGAACAUAAAAUAUUGGGUGAAACUCUUAAUCAUUUGAGUUAGAAACCUUACGGAUAAUGAAACUAUCAAUUCACCAUAUUUCUGGUAGAAAAACUAUUAAUUCACCCUUCUUCACCAUAUUUAUAUUUUCAUUUAAUUAAUUCAGCAAGAAAUAGGAAGGAGGUUGAUUAAGACACGUCAGGGUCUAGUCACAAUUAGCUGACUUGUCCGGAUGCCGUCGUUUCCGACACCCAUUAGUCCAACGCGGCGGCAAUCUCCGAAGCCCGUAGUGCCACAGCCCAUCUGUGCUGACUACACCCCCCAAUGCCCCCACCCCUACCAUUAAAACAAAUUAAAUACACCCAACGGCAGAAACGAGAAACCAAAUAAGUAUACGGUAUACGGUAUACGGUAUACGGUAUACCCAUCACAACACAUACAUAACAUAAAUCAUCACCCAUACAUACAUAACCAUCCAUAAAUAAUUUUGGAAAUUCCACGUCAGCUUCAACAAACCCACCUCUCCCUAUAUAUCUCCCCACCUCACCUCCUCAUUCUUAAUUCUUCAUUUCAGCAAUUUACCAACCCAAAAAAAAAGAAACCAAAAAGAAAAGCUCUUCAUAUUCAUUUCUUGUAAACCAACACCAACACCAUGGGUGAGGUGAGUAAAAACCAAAAUUUGUACAUUCUUCUUCGUGGCUAAAAAUUAUUUCCGGCCAAGUUCUCUGUUUUAACGACUGUUUAUUUGUUGUCGCAGAAAAAGGAAGGCGCAAAGAAUGAGGGCGAGAAGAAGCCCGCCGCAGCCGACGCCGGAGCCAAGAAGGACGACGGCUCGCUCACAGUCGUUUUGAAGACCGACAUGCAUUGCGAGGGGUGCGCCAAGAAAAUCAAACGAGCUGUUAAGAAUUUCCAAGGUACAGCUUCACCAAUUUCAUAUCAAAUUUCAAUCACAUGAGAAUUCUGGGCUUCUGGGUUUUUCCGAUUUUCGCUUUUUUCAAUUGGGUUUUGUUUUUCGGAUUUUACGAAGUUCACCGGAAUCAAAUCCGCAUUCAAUGGUCCGGCUCAGAAAUUUUUACCGUUGAAAUUUGGGGACCCAAAAAAGGGUCCAAAAUUAUAGGAUGGGAAUUGGGAAGGGGUAGCUAAGUCUAUGUGUUGACCAUUAAUAUCUACUAAUCUAUUAAAUUUGGAUUAGAUUUAGGGCUUUUGGGUGCGGAAGCAAGCAAACAGUUUAGAAUUUUGACUUCAAUUGAGUUCAUGCAUUUUCCGUCGUGUAGUUUAAGCUUGAUUAGUUGGGCCAAAACAAUCUUAACGUACAAAACACGGUUCCUUUUAAUUGUUGGCUAAUUAGGUCGAUCUUUUUGUGAAUUAAAUUAGGCGUUGAACAAGUGAAGACGGAGUGUGCAGCCAACAAAGUGACUGUGACCGGGAAAGUGGACCCCGCCGGGCUGAGAGAGAAACUGGAACAGAAGAUCAAGAAGAAGGUAGAUCUCAUUUCUCCUCAGCCCAAAAAAGAUGGCGGUGGAGAUAAAAAGCCAGCUGCUGCAGAGGAAAAGGCUGAGAAGAAGCCAGAAGAGAAAAAGCCGGCUGAGAAGAAGACAGAAGAGAAAAAGCCCAAAGAGGCACCCAAAGAGGUAAACCUCACCCUCAUGUAUAAUUUGCGAUGCAUAUUAGCUGAUUGGUACUUGUUUAGUAAAAUUUGUUUGUAUUAUAAUAUCAGCGAAUAUUUAUUUAAAAGCAGAAUAUAUCAACUCGUGGCUCACCCGUAUUAUAAUACACAGAUUGUACAUCUGUAUUUCGAGCUUAAUUUGGUUGUAUUUUCGUUGCUAAUUCUUUUCUUUUGUUGGGUGGUUUCAGAGCACUGUGGUCAUGAAGAUGAGAUUGCAUUGCGAGGGGUGCAUGCAGAAGAUGAAGAGUAAAAUCUCCAAGUUCAAAGGUGAGAGGCGAUCUCAAUUCUCGAAACUUCUCAAGACUUUAUUAAUAAUAUAUAUAUUUAAUUUGGAUUAAAUUAAUUAAUCAAGGAUGAUGCAAGCACCCCACCGGCACCACGCUCUUAAACCUUAAUUAAUAUUUUAAUAAAUUGCAUAAAAAGACAAAGUUAGUCAAAAUUAAUAGAAAAAUAAAGCCGUACGUAUAUAUUCGCUCAGUAAAAAUUAAGUUCACAUGUGUAUUUCCAAGUGGUAAUUUUGUCAUUUUAAUAUCUAAAGAAGUGCAUUUUGUUGUUGGCAGGGGUCAAUACGGUGAGUUUUGACGCACCCAAAGACAUUGUAACGGUCAAGGGCUUCAUGGACGCUCAAGAACUCGUCCCCUACCUCAGAGAGAAGUUCAGGAGGUCCGUCGAAGUGGUCCCACCCAAGAAAGAUGACGGUGCCGCCGCCAAGCCAAAAGACGCCGCAGCCGGAGGUGAGAAGAAGGAGAAAGACGGCGGCGGUGAGAAGAAAGAUAAAGAAGCUGCCGCCGGUGGAGGCGAGAAGAAAGAAGUUGUCGCCGCAGCACCCGGCGGCGGAGCCCCCAAGGUAGAAGUGAACAAGAUGGAGUAUUCUGGGUACCCUUACCCUCCUCCCAGUUACUAUUGGUACGACGAAGGACACGUAUACAACCACAACAAGUUCGUCAUGGAGGCCCAAGCGCACCAGGCGCAUGUUAGCCAAGGCUCUUCGAGCCAUGGCUACGCUGUGCCGACGGAACACUACCCUGCUCCCCAAAUGUUCAGCGACGAGAAUCCAAAUGGUUGUUCGGUGAUGUAGAGUGCUGAACCGAUCGAACGGUGGUUGGCUGACGAGACGAAGAUAAAAUUAAAAUUUAAGUUUUACGUUAAAUAGAGGGGUAAAAUCGGAAUUACAAAAAAAUUGUAAAUAAUAAGGGGCAAAGGUUAUAAGAGAAGUAAAUAUAAUUACGAGUAGGUAGGUAUGGAAUUUUGGUUUUAUUAUGGGUUUAGUUUUAAUUAGGGGAUGUAAUAGAGAUAGACCGACCGGCCGGCCCCGCCAGCUGGUGGAGCCGUUUCAGAUGUUGGUUUGAUAUGAAUAUGAUGGUGGUUCAAUAUGAUUAAAGUUUCUGCUAAUUAAUUUUUUAUUUGGUAUUUUUAAAACGUUUACGUUUAUAUUAAUGAUGAUAUUAAAUCUUCACUUUGUAUUGCAAAAUAUAUUUUACUUUGUGGCACAGACGAGGCCACUUGGUUCGAUUGUUGAUUUCUUCGGUUUAAUUAAUAUGGGAUUUAUAUCCGAAUCUGAAUUACAUUUAAUUGCACAACAUCAGCACGUUUACUACCUGAGGUUUUUUUUAUAGAGUUGCUUUUGGCAUUUCAAGAAAAAUAUUCAUUCACUUUUCUUUUUUUUUUCAACACAUUUCCUCGUAUUUUUAUGUAACGAUAAUCUAUUUUAAUAUAAUUUAAAUUAUGUGAAUGAAUUUGAACUCGAAUACAGAAUAAGAGCAUAUUCUCUCUAGCGAACUGAAUUAAGGCCAUGAUGAUAUUUUUUGGAUGUUAUUGAAAGCUUUCUUUCUCAAUCAUUCACAAUCUAAUAUCUAUAUAGUUUACAAUAGGAAUUAGGACUGUAGCAAAAAAACAAAAAACAAAAGGACCGACAUUAAAAGUGAUAUGAGGAUACAAGCAUAUGACUCCGUAAUUAAAAUGUGGGGCUUUGGUGGUGGGGGACUCUUAUUAAUUACAAAAAUAUUUCAUUUUUGCAUUUACGAUUUUGAAAUGCUUGCUGUUCUGAGAGAGAAAGGGCUUGGCUGGUGUUUUAAAAGAAAAAAAAGGCCUUGGCUGGUAAAAUUAGGGAAAUGCACAACUUAUUGUAUGGUGUAGAUUGAUCCUCUAAUAAUACUUUUUGGUCAAUAAAAUGACAUCUAUAUAUUCAUUAUUUUCUCUCAUAUUUCUGUAGGAAAUGUCGUGACGAUAAAGAAAAAGUUGUAGAAAGUAUGCGUCCAAUUUAGAAAAACCAUUAGACUUUACAUCAUUUCGAAUGGGAUUAACUUUUCUUUUUGCUAGCAUGCAAAAAUGAAUCAACCAAAAAGGUACGUAAGUCAAUUAUUUAUCCCUAAACUUUUCCCUUUUUGCGUCACGUAUUCACAACAUUAAGUGGGAUUAGUUGGAAGCUAGGGCCAAAAACCAUAGAGAAGAUUAUCAAACUGUGUGUUGUCUAUAUGCUUAGUCUAGUUUAAAUGUGUUUAGCUUAGAUGUUUUUGAGUGAUUUGAAGUCCGUUUGAUAUGAUUAAAGACGUUCUUAUUGAGAUGAUCAUACUUGAAAUCAGGUGUUAAGUCCCCUUCGUCAUUUUUGUAGUAUUUAAGAAAUUCUUUCAUCAUACCACCGAAAUUCUCUAAAAAAUUGUGUUUGUCUAUUGAAAGAGAGAGUAAGGCGUUCUAGCAGGUUCCAUAUCUAAUUAACGUCAAAAUGUAACUUAAUUUUCCAUAACCCUUCUUAUUAAUUAAUUAGCGACGUCAUUAGAUCAGAUUAUUAUAUUGGUUAAUUAAUUAACAUCUUAUUUGACCUUUUUAUUUUAGCCGACCUUUUAGACUUCCAACAGCUAAAUAUAUAAGGGGUUCUUAUUAGAUUUAACGGCUGAUUCCAAGUGAAAGGACUGUGGCAUUGCCUUUUCAAUGCAAUGAAGGCUAAUCGACCAUAUCUAACGAAUAUUUCAAGCAUUAAUUCAUUAUAGUCAAACGUCUCAUGUUGGGCGUGCUGAAAUUUGGUUCACAAAGAUAAGAUCGACAGUGAUGAACAAAAAUAUGAUAUUGGUGUACUUUCGGCUAAAAAUAUUUCAAUUAUUAUUGUCAACUGGGGUGUAGUUCAAUGAAAAAAGAUCUUGACUUGUAGACAGGAGGUCUCAUGUGCUAAUCCCAUGACAUCUUUUUUUUUAUGAUAAUCCCAUGACAUCUUAAUUAUGUAUAUGUGUGAGAAAUUUCUCUCACUUUUAAUUUAGACCAUCAUUUGUGUUAAAAAAAUCAUAAUUAACACCCUAAUACAAUUUUAAUAUCUUAAACAUUCUCAAUAUGAACACCUCUUUUUUUGGCACCCCGCGUGUUGUUUAUUUAUAUUAGUAAAUGUUGAAAUUGAACAUAAAAAUUUGCGCACCACAUACACUCACACGCGAAAAUGAAAGAACUCAUAUGUUAUAAUCGAAGCAACAAAAAGGAAUCAGAAUCCGUGGGAAUUUGGAACAUCAUAUCCUUAAGUUACAGAUUAGAAUACAAUAGUUGUAUAAACUUUUAGCGCCAGCUACUUCUACUUCCAAAUUUGAAUCACUAAAAACCAAAGCUUAAUGAGUCGAAAGUGCGUGGCAUACCCUAGCACGGUGCCUUGGAUUUUAGCGUAAGGAAAACUGUAUUCUAUAAAAUAUGAACUCUAAAUCCUAAAUUCUAAACUUCAAGCUCAUAUGAACCGGAUUUGAAUGAUAAUUUGUUCAUAUUGACUCGUGUGACACCCACCAAAAAAAAAUUAAUACGUUAUUUCUAUCAUUGUCCUUGCUAGCUCAUGACAAGUAUUGAUUUAUACCUGAAUAAUAAAUGUAAAGGAAUUUGAGAACUAACAUUGCUUUUAUGUUGUCUUCUUUUGCGAUGGUAGGGAAUAAUGAGUCAAGGACUUUGUCACCAUGGGGCUUGACAAGACUAUCAUGCCAACAAAAGCCAUCAAGCCACGAUUGAGGCCUUUAUUAUUAGAGACAUUUCUUAAAGCUUAGAAAAGUAAUCCUCUCUCACACCUUUCAUUCUGACAUGAAGGCGUUUUAAAAAGCACCCCAAAUCAUUUUCUGGUUGAUUGUAACCCGUGGGUGAUUGAAAUGAAAUAAUAUGCAGAUAAAGUAAAGCUGACAAAAUAAAAUUUAUAUAAAAUUUAGAAAAAUCUAUAGGAGACGUGAAGUUGGGUGUAUAUACUUAUUUUCUUAGUUGAAUGAGGACGAGAGAGCAGCCAAUCAUGCUGAGGAUAAGCAUCAGCAUGCAUGCUUGUUGCCAGGGACCCCAAUUGCGCCAUUAAAAGUUUAAGAUAGGGACAAUUAAUUGGUGAAAAUUAAACAUGAAUAUCGCAUACGAAACCGCCUUUGCAUUUAUAUAUUUCAUCUACACCAUCUACAUUGUAGUAUAUCAUUACUUUAAAUUUAUAUGUGUAUGUAUGUAUGUAUUUUUUUCUUCUUUUUUAUCGAAAAGAAGUAAAUUUUAUUAACCAGAAGUAUUGGUUACAAUAAGGUUAUCAAAAAUACAAUUCAUUAGCCACACAGGGCCUUCUUAUAACCAAUAAUAAGAACCUUGUUUAUGUAAAGCAAAACGGGCAAUAGCAUGAGUCACUUUGUUACACUCACGAGGUCGAAAUUGGACUUCCUUUACAGAAAACUGCAUGAGCAAGUCUCUCACAUCAUCCACAAUGUUGCCGAUAAUAGCCCAAAUAGUCUCCCUUGAAUUAUCAUCCACAAUGUAUGUAUAUAUUUAUCUAUCUAUGUACUCCAAGUCUUAAUUAUAAACUCUUUUUUUUUUUUCGUUGAUUGAAAUAUGCAUUCACAGCUAAUUGUGAGAUGUAUGAAAUAUGAUGGUGCUGGUGGCCGCGACGCAAUGAUACAUACAGCGACAACAAUAUCGAUAAUAAUGACAACGAGGAUAAAGAGGUGGCCGCAGUGAUAAACAUCUUCGUCUAAUUCUACCUCAUAUCAUUGAUUAAUGAGUUCUUAAGAGGAAGGCCCAUAGAACUAAUAUAUUCUUGAUAGAAAUUCAACCAUUUUUUUCCUUCCAACGAAAAUUCAAAUUUAAAAUAAGUUGUUAUGUAAGAUAUUAUUUGUCUUAAUAUUACACACUAAAUUACAAUCUAUGCCACAUGCACUGUGCACAUUCAAGUUUUGUAAACGAAUGUUACUUGUUUUUCAUAAUAACAGUUCUAAUUUCUAGCAUUUUCCUAUCCGAUAAUGCUAUUUUUUGACUUUAACAUCUAAAAAUUAUAUCCUCAAUUUUAAUGAUUGUUUCUAACAAAUCAAAUCCUAGUUAAUUUCAGUUCUCGCCCACCCAUGCAUGCCCAUGUAACGUUUAACCUAAUAAUGUACAUCAUGGAAAAUGUAUUCACUAUUUCUCAAAAAAAAAACAAGAAGAAAACAUAUUCAAUUUAAAUAUACGAUGUGGGUGGUAUUUUGUAUCAAUUUGGCAUGUACAAACGUGCCUACAUUCUCAGUAAACUAUAAUUUACCAAUCUUUUUAAGUAAACUAUUUUCAGGUACCUAUAUUUUCCAGGUUAUUUAUUUUUAGGUAAAUUAAUUUUCAGGUUAUUUAUUUUUUGAUGAAUUAUUUUUCCAUGCAUGUACAAUACUUUACCUAUCUUUGUAGGUAAGCUAUUUUUUAGGUACCUAUAUUUUCCAGGUAAAUUUUUUUUUUUCAGGUAAAUUAUAUUUUAGGUACUUAUAUUUUUUGUCAAUAUAAAUAUAUGGGAUAGGUAAAACAUCUUUUAGGUACCUAUAUUUUUCAGGUCCCUAAUUUACCUAAUAUUAUACAAGUAAACUAUUUAUCUAUCGUUUUUUCUUUUUUGGUUAAGGACUAUAUGAAUAUGAAGUUACCUAUAUCUGACAAAAUUUGCAACUCAAUGUGUCUUUUUCGACUUACCUAUAAUUCGUUAUUUUUUUACCAAGAUAACGUACCUACAAAAUUUGCUUCAAUUUAAUGCUUCCAAAAAAAAGGAAAAAAAAAAGGAGACUUAUUUUAAGUUGAAUAAUUAUUUCCUCACUUUUAGGGAUUAUGUGUCCCAAUGGAUUAUAUAUGUGUUAAAUAAUUUGAAAUUUAAAACAAUCAGGAGAAUUAAAAUGUCAAUAGAUAAAUUUGUAAUAAAUUAAGGAAAACAACACUUAAUACGAGGGCUGGGCAUUCAAACCGGUAACCCAGUUAAACCGCCCAAAUCAAACCAAUGGUUUGAGUUGGUUUGGUUUUUUUUUCUCAAUCUUUUUUUGGUCAUCGGUUUGAAUCCUAAUCAAAUCGAAAUAUAUGGUUCGUUGUACGGUUUGCAAUAUUUAAAAUCACGGUUUAACCAAACCAAACCGAUGGUAUUAAAAAAAUAUUAUAUAUAAUAUUAUUAUAAAAAAUAUAUAUAUAUAAUACAUAGUUUCAAUAUUUUCUUUUUCUUCUCUCUCCAUGAGUCACUUUUUUUGUUCUCUCUCAUUCUUCUUACGUUUGUCUUCACUCCCUCUUUUUUUCCUUCUUCUUCUUCUUCUCCAUCUCUCCCUCUCUCCAUCGCUUUAUUUCUUCUUCUUCUCCUCUCUUUCUCUCUCUCUCUCUCUCUCUCUCUCUCUCUCUCUCUCUCUCUCUCUCUCUCUCUCUCUCUCUCUCUCUCUUUGAGAAAGCCAAAAAAUCCAAAUUGAACCAAACCAACCCACCAAGUCUGGUUAAUUGAAGUGGUCGGUUUUCAUCAAUUAUGCUUUGGUUUCGGUUUUGGUUUUCAAAAUAGCCAAAUUGAGGCCUACAGUUCAGUGUUCGGGUUGAGCCUAAAACCGAACCAACCCAGGCGGAGCCCACCCCUCCCCCCCCACAUAAUACUGAAAUUGUAAUUAAGGGUACUUUUGGAAUGCGAAAAGGAAAAUCAAUAAGGUUUUAAGCUUAAUUCGGUAACUUGUUUCCUAGUCAUUAGGUUUUACUUAGACAAAUAGGAUUUUAGUUGUAGAAAAAUAAAGGGAUGAGUUGCAAAUAAGGAAAUAUGAGUUUGAAGGGGGAUAGCAAAAUUUACUAUAUAUUGAUUAAUUAAUUGCUAUAAUUAUCAUUACCAUAAUUGUUUUUCAUUUUUCCAGACACAUGUUUUAACCAAAACUUCUUUUUGUUGGUUGUGGAAAAUGAUAUGUUUCAAAAAUGCACUUUUCCUUGCAAUGUUUUGCUUCAAAUUAAACAAGAGAAGCCUUGGUUAGAAGAAGGGCUUCGACCAGGAAGAAUCCAACACAUUUUUGCUACAAACAGAUUAUUCUGAUUGAUCAAGACAAAUCAUCAGAAUUAUUUAAAUAAAAAUAUAUAAUUCCCUUGUGUUUGCUUAGUCAAAUCUCAGUUCAAACCUUCUAUCCAAUUUAUCCUCACUUAAAAUCAAUAUACGCAUCACCUGUAGGGGUAAAAAAGUCCUUGUAAGGAUCGAACAUGCUUCUAUGAUUUGAAAAGGACAUUUUUACCUUUAUAUGAGACGCACGCAUAAACAUCACAUAGAAUUUAGAUUUAAAAAAUUAAUUUGAUUUAAACUGAGAUCGGAUAUUAUUAAUAAUUUUUUCACCACAUCAACUCACAUUGACAUAUAGCACACUCCAAAUGCAUGAUUCUUGCGAUUAGGCCAAAAAUGAUAGUAUAUAUAGUUGGAGCUAGCUGCCUAAUGGGAACUAUACAAAUUACAAGAAGAUCAGUUUUAUAAAUCUUUGUUUGUAUAUUAAACAUUAAGAACAUCAAUUUAACUCAUACAUAGUCGUUUUGCAAAACACCACACUCCCCUUGUCGCUUUGAUAUGCUUUAUUCGGCCACUCGAUACUCCAUUCUAUUGGUUCUCACGUUGUUAUCAUAGAAAUGCAUCAAGUGCAACGCCAUUUUAAUUUUUUUUUCGUUUUCAACUCUACCCUUACAACAAUUCCCCUAAUUAUUUUUUUAUAUCACGACUUUUGGAUUUUGCAUAUGUUCUGUUUCGCCAAGGGUUUAGACUUUAGAAGAAAAUAAAAUAAAAGUCAAAUUAGUAUAUUCUAUAAUGAUGAUCUAGGUUGAAACAUGAUUCCUCCUUAGUAGCAGUCCUAAUUCACAAUAUGACAGUAUAUGAUGGCAACUUCUAACACUAAUUACAGAUUAUAUAUCUAGGAAGCUUCAGAGGGUGAUUUACAUUGUUUGAAAGAAAUAAGAAUCGCGGGCCCGGCUCUGUAUUUAUAAUUCAGGGAUCGACACUGUCUAUUUUUAACUCAGCGAACUGCAGUUCAAAAGUUUUGCAAAAAAAUUUAGUUAAAUUAGAAACUAUUAAAACAUCUAAUUGUGAACAAAGAUAAUUCUUCUAUUAAACAUAGAGAUUUCAUUAUGGUAAUCAAAUGGUAAAAUUCUAUUAUAAAAUUAUAUUGGGUCCAAUUUCAACACCAGAAAACCACCUAUAUAUUUUCAUGGCGGUUGACACUUCUCGAAGCCAAUUUCUUUUCUUCGAUUACUGUGGCGGCCUGCUGAUUUAUAAAAACCACUAAAAAUGACUAACUAAAGAUUCAUUUAUAUAGUAAACCGUAAGUGUGGUGGUUGGAUUAGUCAAAGUAACACCCUACAUCAUAACCCACGUUAUAACUUUAUACAGAUAAUUCAUUAACAAAUUAUCUAACCAAUGGCCGAGAAUGUGAAUAAAAUAAUAAUAAUCCCACGUUCAAGAACGACAAUCUAACAACAUAUAUAACAUAUUAAAAUAUUUAUCAAGAAAAUAUUUUCCUCAUAUAUGCACGCACACUCACAUGUAUAUAUUAGACUAAUUAGAAUUAGGUAUUCAUUAACUAUAAAAUGCAUGAGUGAACCAUAAGAAAGCACGCAUAAUAAAUGUGCCGUUAAUAAUGAACGGCACAUUUAUUAUAUAAUUAUGAUAUAUUAAGUCAUUAAUCAUUGUUCGCAGUAUAACACGAUACAUUAAAAUUGUCUAAAAACUCAACAUGCAAAAUCUUUCGACAAAAAGAACAUUACAUUUACUAGUAUAGCAUGCUUUGUCUAAUAAGGCUCAUAAUGUUUAUAAUAUUCAGUUUACAAGUAUUUAAAUUUUUCACCAAAAAAAAAAAUUAUAAUGCUUAAAACUUGAAACCAUGGUUCACAUGUCACAUAGUUGAAGGUGUGCCAAAUUUUUAUCUUGGUUGAGGAGGUGGCAAGCUCCCUCCACUAGUGACACCAUGGUCACACCAAAAAAUUCAAAUAUUAAAUUAGUUUUGUGAUUUUACCUAAUUUAGCAAUAAUAGAAGAUAAUGAAAUUUAAUUGAGAAUGGGAUUUGUCAUUUGUCUGCAAUAUCAUCACCAUAUCAGCACAAAGACAAAUUGGGAAAAAGAAAAGAAACAUCCAGCGAGACGGAGGAAGGUGAGUCAUGAAUGAGGUCCUAAACUCUGACUCAGCCAUGACUAUGACUCAAAACUAUAGCUGGCCUGGCCAUUUCUAGAUGCUAACGUUGCGUGGCAUGACAUGGAUGCAUGUAUGCAUGGUGGGUAUGGCCAUGGCAUCCAUCCAUAACAUGGCAUGCAUGAAAUAAGACCUGUGGGGGUCAUGAAAAGGGUUUUGGGUUUUAGGAAGUGGUGGGCUUGGUUUUGACUCAUCAUCCGAAAUGCUGUUAGCCCCCGGACAAGAAGGGACCCUAGGUCCCACUCCACGUCAGAUGCCCCAUGGCGCCGUGUUGGAGUUUGAAUUUGCACGCCAAGAGGCAAACAAAGGGGUUCGCUUUGCCCCAUUCAAAUACGUCUCUUCCAUGUUCUCAAAAAACCAUAGUCUUUGUUCUUAGCAUGAGAAGAUUUUGUUGACCAUCUUCAGAUUCCCAAUUCCUCCAUUAAAUUCUGAGUUUAGGACUUUUUAAAAAUUGAUAACAUAAUUAAAACAAAUUUAAAACCACAUCAAUUUUGAUAUAAAUAUAAUAUUACCAUACGAAAUACGAGUAGUCCGUCAAAACAGUAAUCUUAUAAAAUCAAAAUUGAUAAUAUAAUUAAAACAAAUUUAAAAUCACAUCAAUUUUGAUAUAAAUAUAAUAUUAUUAUACGAAAUACAAGUAGUCCGUCCGAACAGUAAUCUUAUAAAAUCAAAAUGUAUGACUUCUCUUGUUUGUUUAACCCGCAAACUAUAUUUUCUAUUAGCAGUCAUCGAAAGUUUCAACUUUCAACCAAGUAGACAACCUCUAGUCUCUAGACUAUUAGACCAGACAUUAAUUUUUUCGUAUGACUUUGUUGGCAUCAUUAGACUUCCCUUAUCAUGCUUUAAUGAAAGAGUGAAAGAAAAACAUUGUUUUGUUUUGUUUUGUUUGUCUCAGCAGCCUUAGUCUCGCCAGAUACGUUGUUUCAGUCAUGUGUUUGAAGCUAAGAAUUCUUCCCUGCUUGUAAAUAUAAAUGUUUGAAAUUGAAAGCGACAAUUGACCUAGCUGCACCAGCCGGCAUGACUUGUCUUAUUCUACACUACACGUGAGAUAUGUUUGAGAAAAAGAAAAAUAAGUUACACACACACACAAACAAACGAGAAAGUUAGUUUGAUUUUUGAGUACAUAUGACUGUAGAACCGUAACAUGGGGAUACACCGACGUGCGUAUACUUCAGCUGUUUUUGACAUUUGAAUCGUGGAUAAUGUUUUUUACUUAUUUUAUAGAGGAAAACAAUAGUAAAGAGAUAAGGGUUGAGGCUUUUGUUCAUGAAUGUCAUGAUUAUGGUGUGUAUUGUUUGCGAAUAAUAUCUCUUUUUUACUUUUUUAAGUGUGAAGUAAGUUUUCAUCUCCAUCAUGAAAAGAUUGCGACACUGUUUUUGCUUUUCCCUUUUCUUUUUUGCCAAGCAUGAAAGACGUUUACCAACCAUUUCUCUAGAGGGGAAAAAAAAACAAAAGAGAAAGAAAAAAAGACUUUUACCAACCUGGUAUAUAUGCACGUUUGCAUGUAUAAUUAGAGAGAGCUUGUAGCAUGUUUAAUGCUUUCUGCCGUUAAAGUCAAAUGUAAGUGUGCUUAAUGCAUGUAGUCAUGUAAGUGUGCUUAAUAUUCGUCCAUAAUCAUCCUCAAAACAAAGACGGGUAGCAAAGAUUUGCUAAAUGCAAUAAAAACUUAAAGCUGUGCUAUGUGCGCGGCUGACCUUAGCAAAAUCCUAAAACUUACGAGCAAACUAUGAUUUUGUAAUUGUUUGUUUAGCAACUAUAACAAAAGAAUGCCAAUUCACUCUCUCUUUUGGGUAGCCACAUUUUGUGUGUGUGGAGAUAGCUGAGAAAUUGGGCCGGAAGUUGGCAUAAAUUCUGUAUGGAAGUCAAAAUCAAAGCCUAGUAUGGGAACUUGUUGGGUUUAAAGCUUCAAAAUAUUAAACUAUAUGGGCCUGAUAGAUAAAAUCUGCUGCAAUAGAAACCAAGCACCUGAUUCUAGAAAGUAAGGCGAAGGAAGGAAGGACGGCUAGGAAUUAAUCAGAAACCUCCUGAAGAAACCACUGAUAAGAGUCUCCACCUCUCCUCUUGCAUUUUAUGAUUUCAUUCUCUGUGAUGGAAGGUUGCAGCUUCCAACUUACAAACGUCCAUAUAAUUAGCACACUUUGAGAGCAAAACUUCAAUAUGCAAUCAACCCAUAUAAGCAAAGAUGAAUUGAAAUCUCUACAUUUUAGUAUUACAUAUCAAUUCCAACAAACAAGCAUUAAAAUUUGUAGUUUAUUCUUGUAAUAUAUAUGGAGAUCAUGCAAAUGGUUGGUUAAUAGGUAAAACAUAUCGGAUUUUAUGCAAGAUUAGAGAAGAGAAUGAUAGAGACAAGAUGAACUCAUCAGAGGUCUAAAACUCAGACUUGAUUCAAUAACUUGAGGUUUGUCCUUGUGCAUGCAUGAUGCAUGAGAUUAGGUAUUAACUUUGGACCAGUUUCCACAGAGGAGCAUCAACUGAUAUUCAUACAGUACAGAUGGAUAGAAAAUUACCCCAAAUUCUUAACUUAUUUUUGGGAGUGAUAUGAACCAAAAAUUUAUUCCAAAUAAAGAUACUGAAUCCCCUUGCACGCAUUAGACCCUGAAGCUUAUACCUGUAGCAAACCGAAAUCUCGAGCACAAACAGAUCUGUGGUGUUACCAUCCGAGAUUUUGUUGGCCACGUCAUCGGCCACGUAAGCGUCGAGCGUGGAGAGUUUGAAACUAACUAGUGUUUGGUUGGUGGUGGUUAGAAGCAAAGGACGCAACGACGUUGCGGCGAGCAGCACACGUUGGUACGUUUGAUCUAGCUCCGUAAUAUGUUGGUAGACGGGACUGUAGUAGAAGAGCGAGGCCUGGAGGCUGUCACAGUAGAUGUCCCACUUCUUGUUGGGGUUCAUGGCUAGGAGCGUCAGGUUCCACAUGACGGUAAACUCGGAGGGGGUAUUGUUGCGUGGGUAUUGCAGGGCCGCUGAGUGGACUAGGAACUCAGGGUCAUACCCUCUUGGAAGCGUCAAGAACAAGGUGAGGACCGAUGGGGCUAGAAUGAAAUAGGGGACCACGAUACUGUACACAUGAUGCAAAAAAACGUUCCCUCACAGUCGAAGAAGGGUUGCCGUAUGGGCUGAUCAUUAGAAGCGGAAGCCGAGAUUAAGAUGUUGGUGGAAAACUUUGAAGAAGGAAAAUCAGAAUCCGUUAAAGGAGAAACUGUAGAAAAUGAACAGAUUAAUGCGAUGAAAUUUAUCAAUAUUAUAGAUAGGGUGAUUGCACAAAAAUGGUAUGCAAUGAUAACUGUUGUGCCAUCAACUGUGAGCCGAGCCCCUCAGAAGAAACCAUACGACGCUAGAUGCUAACACCUUCAUACAAAUACUGAGCCGAGCAUGUACAGAGUACCCUCGGUCUCAAAAAGUAAAGCUUCAUGGGAGAGGCAUGGCUAUUCAAGGGUUAGACCUAUGGUCGGGUAGACAGACCCACCCGACCACUAUGGCACCAUGGCCAACUAAAAGGUGCAUUUAAUGUAGCCUGAAAGGUCGGUUUUGACAAACAUCCUAUUCUUAAAACAGGUGUCGCCUACGCUUUGGUCUCCAAAUAAACAGGCUGGCAAUGGAAAGGGAUCAUUUAAUCCACCUCCCAUCCAGGUCCACCUGUCACUUCGCGACCUAAUUCCUGUCAGAAAAUAGGAUGAUUAGAAACAGAGCAAUAAAUGUAAAACUCAACUCAAGGGGAUAGGAAGAAAGAUCUCUUCCAUAAAAUAUCUUAGGUCCUCAUUCCCCCUUAUAAAUACUCCCCACCUAUCUCUGGACAAAGGUAAUAACUACUCUCAUUGUAAAAACCCUACAUCCAUUCUCUCUCCAACUCAAGUUAGUUUCUGACUUAACCAUCGGAGAGGGUUAGGCUGAAUCAGCCUUAGUCCGCCCUAAUUCUGAUAUCAUUCGAAGUGUGUAGAUCUUCUUUUGGAGAUUAUUCAUACUCAAAGGUCAAGUACGGGCCUAGACCAUCUAUACGAGAAGGAUGCGUGGUUAACAUUUGGUGCCGUCUGUGAAAAUUCUUUUUAUCACGAAUAGAAGCUGCAUCCCCUCAUCCAUCUGAGCAUUGAUACAAGGUGAACCAAGCCAUGCUGAGAAAUCAGCACCUUAGGAAAGGAGCUUCUUCGGGUACGACAGGGAGAAACGCCCAGAGAAAAGAAAGGCUGAGGUUGGAUCAUUUGAAAGGUUUGGAGGAGAAGAUGAGCCGAAUUUUAAAGGGCGUAAAGGACGUACAGAAUCUCAACAAUAGCCUUUGUGCGCAAAACGAGAUACUACAGGAGAACCAAGCCUAACUGGUAGGCCAAGUGCAUGGACAAAGAGAGCCCGAGCUGACCAACACCAAAAGUACCUGUGGAGCCUCGUCCUCGUCAACAGCAGCUGAAACACCGAGACGGAACGUGGUCGACGCCAGAAACAUCCUGAAGGAGAAGAAAGCAUGGCGGGAGCGCAACAAACGCCUAGUAAGGAACCUUUGCAAAGGGAAAAAUAGGGUCGGCUUGGAGAAGAGCGAAGAAGAAGUCGACGGCAUCACCUCUCAACUCAGAGACUUGGUAUUAGGAACACCCUUCAUUAAUAUGCUUUAUCCAUUUUCUGUUUCUGAACAAGGCAUAGAAACAAAGGUAGAAGGUCAGCCUAUUAUCUUUAGGUUCUCCCAACCUCCAAAGCAUAAGUAUAUUAAUGAUAUACAAGAAAAAAAUUAAGAGAAAAGAAGGUUGUCUUUGUCACCUGAAAGAAGAAUUGCAAUUUAAAAGAAUAGAUGAACAACUGCAAUCUAAGAUGAUAAAAGAAAAGAUUGAGUCAAUCCAAAAGGAGUAUGAGCAACAAGUCUGUGCUGAAAUCCCAAACGCCUUUUGGAAUAGAAAGAAACACAUUGUUGAAUUGCCUUAUGAGCCAGCUUUUGAAGAAAAGAAAAUUCCAACUAAAGCUAGGCCAAUUAAGAUGAAUGCAAGACGUAUGGAAAUAUGUAAAGCUGAAAUACAAGAAUUAUUAACUAAAGGUUUAAUCAGAAAGAGUUCAUCGCCUUGGAGUUGUGCUGCUUUCUAUGUAGAAAUGGCAGCUGAGUUAGAAAAAGGAGUACCAAGAUUGGUGAUAAAUUAUAAACCUCUUAAUAAAUUUUUGAGAUGGAUUCGAUAUUCGAUCCCCAACAAGAAAGAUCUACUUGAUAGAUAAAAUAAAGCGGUUAUCUUCUCAAAGUUUGAUAUGAAAUCAGGAUACUGGCUAAGGAUGGCAGAAAUCCCCACAAGGGCCGGUUCCCGACCCUAAUGAGGAUUUCGAGACAAAACGAGUAUCGGGUAUGGGGAUCCCCGAACUUGAAAAAUCCCUGAUAGGUAUGGGGCGGGGAUGUUAUUGGCGUCCUCGUCCUGGAGCCCAACCUGAAAAUAUAUAAUUAUAAUAUUUAUGUUUAACUCUAAGUUAACCUCCCUCUCCUAAUUCUUCCUAAUCUUCUCUGGGAUUUCAUAUUGAUGUGAUUUUAAAUAGUUGAAUUGAACUUUAUAGUUAAUUUGGAUGUGUUGAAUGAUAAUUUAAUAUAAAACUUAAUGUUAAAAUGUAUGAUAAAUAUUUUUUUUAUGUAUAACUGAUUUUUCCUAUUUUCACCAUCUCUCUCCCAAUAAGAAUUCCCCUAACUCUGCCCCUAAGCUUGCCCCUAAGCUUAGGGGUGGGCACUCAAACCGGCGAACCGGGAAUCCAAACCGAACCACAUCGAACCAAACCGAAAAAAAAUCGAGUUGACCAAAAAGUCAAAAACCGGUCAAAAACUGAACCGGACCGGUUUGGACCGGUUCCGGGUUCGGUUCCAUGUCUUCAAAAAUCGAACCGGGCCGAACCGAACCGGUGAAACUAAAAAAAUAUAUAAUUUCAAUAUAUAUUUAUAUUUAAUGCUAUAUUUUUAAUUUCACUAAAAAAAACCUAAUAUUUAUCCAAGUUCAAUGUCAAAAUAUCUCUCUUUUCUCACUUUAAUAUUUAUUUUUUAUAUGAAAUUGAAUAAUUUGUUAAUUUUCAAGUAAAAAAAUAAUAUUUUAGUUGAGAAUUGUAUUAAAAAAUAAAUUUUAUAAUCCGGUUCAAAAUCGAACCGAAACCGGAACCGGACCGAAACCAGUUCAAACCGAACCGGACGGUUUUUGAAAUUUUUUUUAUUAAAACUGAACCGAAUCAAACCGAAUGAAUAGUAUCGAAUCGGUUCUAAUUUGAGGUAAAAACCGGUCCAAACCGAACCGUGCCCACCCCUACCUAAGCUUGCUAUAAUUGUAAUUGGGUUUGGUUGCAUGUAUGUGGACCCUUGUGUCAAUUUCCUUAUUAUUUGGUUAAGUGAUAGGCUUAUCACUCAUUUGAAUCAUAGGAUUUUUGCUAAUGUCAAAAAAAUUGAACGUACAUCAUCAAUAUUGUCCUUUGUUCUUGCUAUGAUUGUGGGAGUGAUGGGUAAUUGCUUUAUCGAAGGCUACUCUUUUACCGAUGGCCUUUACCUCUGAUUUGGCUCUCACAUUGGUGGGUUAUGGCGAUUUACACUUUAAAACAACCGGUGGCAAAUAUUUUGCCAUCUUUUGGUUGGCUUGGAGUACCCCUAUUGUGAAGAGGGCGAUUGACAUUAUGCAUCGCCACUCUGACUCGUGGAGGUAUAGGUUUCAGCCUUUUGUUGUUGCUGUUUACUUUCACCAAUUUAAACAACAAUAACGCUACGAGUACCAACUUGUUUAUCAACUUUUGGAUACCAACACAUGCGGCACAUGACAUGACAACCUAUGUUAUCUAUUUUAAUUACAUAAUUUGUUAUAUAAAUAAAAGAAUUUCUCAUUGAAAAAAGAUAUAAUUAAAAAAAAAACCCAUUUAAUAUUUAGGUCCCUUCCGUCUUCCUCCUUGCCCCUCCCCCCUUCUUGAAAAACCCUAGAAAUUCAACAGUCCUUCAUGUAAAAAAAACCCAUUUGUUACUGCUGGAACAUAUUGGUUUUCCAGUACCCAGGCUUCAAAUUGACUGUCCAAACCGACAUUAACAAUUUCUUUAGACUGCUCAUUAAUGAGAGAUGGCCCAUAUAUAGGCUUGGUGCUUUGAAUUUGAGAAGUUUCAACUGGUGGCGGUUGAAAGGAAGGAGCUGAAUGCUUUGAUUGGAAUUGUUCACCCAACUAUAGUUACAAUAUGAAAAACCCACAUCCACGACACUUGCACCUAGAUUAUCUUGCAAACAUAUAUUUUGACUUGAAUUUUGACUUUGAUUCCCAUACUGAUACCCACCUUAGAAAUAUUGGCUAUCAUGAAGGACUGUUGAAUUUCUAGGGUUUUUCAAGAAGGGGGGGAGGGGCAAGGACGAAGACGGAAGGGACCUAAAUAUUAAAUGGGGGUUAUUUAUUUAUUUAUUUAAAAUUAUAUCUUUUUUCGAUGAAAAAUUCUUUUAUUUAUAUAACAAAUUAUGUAAUUAAAAUAGAUGAGAUGGCAGAUGACAUGGGUUGCCAUGUCAUGUGCCACAUGUGUUGGUAUCCAAAAGUUAAUAAACAAGUUGGUGUCCGUAGCGUUAUUGUUUAAACAAACUAAAACAAAUAGACACACAAACACAUAUAUAUUAAAACUAAAAUUAUUACAGUUGUGGUUCAUUAGGCGCAAAUAACUUGAGUUUAAUUAAUUAGCACCACAAUAAAUAAGUCGAUAAUCUGAAGCCACCAUAAUACCAGGUUCACAUGAUGCCUUAAAUCUUAAACCUAAAAAUUGGUUAGAAUAUUACCCAGGAAAAGUUUUAUGUGCGACAGAUAGUGCAACAAUACUGGUUCCACCUUCAGUUUUUGAAGCUGACCAGUAAAGAAAAUACAUCAACAUGUUUUGCACGUUGUCUAAUAAGUUUCAUAAUGUUAAUUCUCUCUCGUUUGUUUAGCAUAGCAACUAUGACAAAAGAAUGCCAAUUCUCUCUCUUUUGGUUAGCCACAUUUAUUUUCUUUGCACAGAUAGUUGAGAAAUCGGGCCGGAAGUUGGCAUAAAUUCUGCACGGAAGACAACAUCAAAGCCUAGUAUGGGAAACUUCUUGGGCUUAAAAGCUUCAAAAGAUUAAACCAUAUGGGCCUCAUAGAUAAAAUCUGCUGCAAUAGAACCCAAGCACUUGAUUGUAGAAAGUAUGGUGAAGGAAGAAGGGACGGCUAGGAAUUAUUCAGAAACCUCCUGAAGAAACCCACUGUAUAAAGACAAACCAAAAUCAAAAGUCAAAAGAGAAUUGAAUGGCAUCAGCAGCAAUCUCAGUGAGGCCACUGAUAUCAGCUCGACACAAAGCAAACGCAGCAACCAGAUUCCUCACAUCUCGGAGCAAUACCCAUCCACCAACAUCACUAGAUAAAUGGACCCUAAACGACACCGCAAGCAAUGCUGCUAGUUCUGCUCUUAGACUCGUCCCCCAUCUCCAUAAUCCUCGCCAUCAUCUUCUUCAUCCUCCUCUUUCGAUUUGCCGUCUUCUUCUUCUUCCUCGCCCUCCUCUUUCUCCUCUGCUCAGACCUCGUCCACCUCUUCUUCGACAUUAUCUGCCCCUGAUGACCACUCCCCAUGCCACCUCUGAUUCGGCCCAUUCCUCCUCAGCCUCCUGCAAAACGGUGCGUACGUUUCCGUUCUCCAACUCUCCUCUUGCAAUUUAUGAUCAGUUUAGAGUAAUGGGUUUCUCUUAAUUUAUUCUUCUCAAUCUAAAAAUUUCGACCUUUAGCAUUUUUGUUCAGUUUGCAGUGAUGGGUCUCUCUUAAUUUACUUUUAUAAAGUGUAUAAAAAAUCGGUCGGAAUUUUUUUUUCCUGACUUCAAAGAAAACCUAGGCACGCUGUCGCCCCCUUCUCUCUCUCUCUCUCUCUCUCUCUCUCACGAAUCGACCACCACCACCAGGCCGCGACGACCCCUUGCCCACCCGCGACCCCCUCGAAAACACCCGCGACCCUUUCUCUCUCCGUAAUUAUCUUUUGCUGCUGUACAUGCUUUAUUUAUUCCUUUAUCAAUGUAAAAUUUUGAUCUUUAGCAUUUGUUGUUCAGUUUAAACCAAUGGGUCUCUGUUAAUUCCUUUAUCAAUGUAAAAUUUUGAUCUCUAUCUUAGUUUUAUUGUUCUCAAUGUUAAAUUCUGAUCUUUUGCAUAUAUAUAUAUAUAUAUAUAUAUUUUUUAUCGGUUUUAAAGUAAUGGGUCCCUGUUAAUUUCUUUUUCUCAAUGUAAUGUUUUUGGUUUUGGGUGUUUAGGUGAGGCUUGUGGUAAAGGGGAGGGUGCAGGGUGUGUUUUACAGGAACUGGACAAUUGAGAACGCAACCCAAUUGGGCUUGAAAGGUUGGGUUCGGAACAGAAGAGAUGGGUCUGUGGAGACUCUGCUUUCUGGGAACCCUGAUGCGGUUCAAGAGAUGGAGCAGAGGUGUCGACGAGGUCCUCCAUCUGCUGUGGUCACUGGGCUCGAGGUCUUUCCCAGCACUGAGGACCCUGGGGAUGGAUUUGAGCGCAAACAAACGGUCUGAUUCAUUAUCCAUUUCCUGUGUUAGCUAGAAUGUAAUAUGUAUAGUCUUAUUCAACUCUAUACUAUAGAUUGUCGUUCCAAGUUCUGAAUAAGAGGACACAUGUGCAAUGUGGUUCUUGUUUAAAUAAUAUACCACCCAAUGACUUCAUAUCAUACAUUGGUUUCUACUUUCUGUUUUGUGUUGGUAUUUGUUAAGUGGAUGAGUAUUUUGCUUUUGAAACUUUAAAAGAAGCUCGAUGGAUGCAGCGACAAUCACUGCAUUUUUAAGCUAAACCAUUAUAGACAUUCAUGUAAGGUUGACAGAGUACAGAUCAUGGCCACUUGAGCGUUGAGGCUUAAAAUUGUUUGGUAAAGUAGAGAAAGUUGCUUGCUAGAGGCAUAUGAUGAGUUACACCACUUUCAUGCAUCUUUGGGUUGUUUUGCACCCUUUUAACGCUAGCAGAAAGUUGGUCUUCAUUCUUGUUAGGCUGAUCCUAGAAAACAAAAUUUCCGAACUUAUUAGAUUAGAAAGUUUUCUUAACUUAUUGGCUGCCUUUAAAAUUAUAUGGUUGGGUAGAAGAGUAAGAUAGAUAUUCACCAAGGUUGAGUAGACUGAUCCUCCCUUAAGCUUUGAACUGCUCCCUGGUUUGCUUGGUUGACAAUCCACUGGUUUUUGUUCCGUGGUUUGGAGAAGUCUUCGGCGUUAAGGGGUCAUUUAGCUGUCCUAAGUCUUUAGUCAAGGAAGGUACGGUUUUCACUGGUAUAUCUUGGGCAUGCAAUACUCAAUAAUAAAAUAUGUAAUAUGAUAGAUUGUUAAGGAUGCAGGUUAGGACUUCAAAUCAGAUUGGUAAAUCACCAUACAUAAUGUAAAAGAACACAAGUUGAUGCAUGAAUGGAUAAAAUGUGGAUGGACUCAACAAUCUAAUAUAGGAAUGAGAUGUAGCUCUGUGAGCAGCUCAUAUUGUGUUUUUUAAGGAUUCUCCCAAACCUGAGGGUGUUUAUACAUGUUCCGAACUCCUUUAGCGGAAAGCAAUUGCUAUCCUUUAGCGGAAAGCAAUUGCUACUCACAUGAAUUAAGAUUAUCAGCGACCCCUGGAGAAGACUUUUGCUUCAAUAAGGUAGAGCGUCCCGAUGUCCGUUAUAGCAAUGUUCUGGACAAAAUGUACCAGAUCUUUCUUCAAAUCAGCUGGUAUAUUAAGCUUGUUUGUUGUGGUUUCUUCAAUGACAGUUGUAAGCAUGCUCUGAUAAGAUGUAUGUUAUUAUCUUAACCCCACCUGGUGCUCUUACUAGUUGAUUAUGGACUGUCACGAUAAGAGUUUUGUGGUAUGCUAUGGUGAUGAGCAAAUUAUGUUUUGAGUUCUAACCACCACCUACUGAGAUAAAAACAGCGACGUUGAUGCAAGGAGCUUAGCACUACACAUGCGCAUGUCUGAGUUGCACUUUUUUGAAGUUUGUCGAUUCAUUUUCUUUCCCCAAGGUCUCCCUUCAUUAUUUAGAGUGGAUAUGCAACCUGGAAGUUUUCUCUGUAAGCUAAUGUCAGUUCUGCUUGAGUGGAGAUGGCUAGAAUGGGAGGCGGUCUUGUAAUGCCGAGGCUUGUUAGGACUUGGGUGGAUGUUUCCUCAGCUUACGAAGAAAAUCAAGUUCGAUUCUCGCAGGAAUUGCUGCUGGUGGUGGUGAUUUGGGUCCAUCGUUUCGUUUAUAAUUUUUAGAGACAGACUUGAGUGAUUAAGACUAGUUUAUGGUAUGACCUUGACACUAUCAACAUCGAACCCUUUUCUAGUUGUAAUAAUUCACCUGCCUCAGGAUUGAAUACCAACUUUACGGCAGCCCAUUUCAAUAAGUGAUAGAAUAAAGAGAGAUAACAGCGUUAGCCGGUGGGGGACCCGGUUGGAUCUCCUCCGUCUGGCGGUCGUUCACGGUUGAAUUGAACCCAUGCCAUCCUUUUUGUCUUGGAAAUAUCCUUCAUGUACUGGCUCUCAUUACUCUCAUUUCCCUUUCUUCUCGUCAUAUCAACGCAGUCACCAAACCCCUCACUGGGUUUGAGGAAUACCUUACAGUUGUAGUUCGAGAAAUACCUUACCGUGGAGAUGUUGUCAAUGUACCUCUUCCCUGUAUUGGUGCUUGUGACUAGUAAUAUUUUUGAUAGAAACAAAAAACAAACCCCCCAAAAAGAAAACCUCAGUGAACAUUUUAUCACAACUUGCACAUGGCUGUGUUGCUUUAGUUCCAGUGGAAUAAUCGAUCCCCGAUCAGAUAUGCAAUGGCUGGAUAAAGAACACUAGGCCUUCUUUCUGAGAGGUACUUUUUGUCCUAUCAUUCGUAUAAAGUGCUUCUAGGACCCCAAUUAUAAGUUAUAAGGUACAUCAAAGAUCCCACUAAAUUGGACCCAGAAAAAGAUAAAAGUGGUGUACUGACAUUGAUAAGUCGAUUAAAUUACACAUGCAUCCGUCCCAUCUUAACUUGGCUUUUAGGAUUUGGAGACAAUGUUGAUGGUGAAUGAGUCAUGGUAAGUGGGUUGGUGACAAGUAUAACCUGGCAAUGUUUUCUUGCCACAUCAUACUGUUAAUUUAAAUCACACAUAAUAAAAUAUAAAUUAAUUUGAUCAAUAAUUUAGAUUUAUAUUCUUCGAUCUUUGAUAUCAUAUAAAAUAUGAAUAUGAUUUGAAUAUUUUAGAUUUAUUUUAUUAGGAGUAGAAUCAUUUAUUAUAUGAGACAUGUAGUUAAGUUAGGAACAAUAUCGAUGUUGCUAGUAAUAGACCAAGAGUCCUCCCUUUGAAAUCUUAACAUAUGCAUACACUAUUCUUAAAUUGAUUGAUUGGUAAAGGAAUAUUUUCAAAAUGAAUUAUGCUAGCCGUUAUACACGUGACUGACAUUAACACAACUCUUAUUUAUGUGAAUGCGUACACAAGAGUAAGUCCAUGUACAUAUAUUUGCCGCCAUACCAGGAGUGAUUUGUAGUUGCCAUCAGCGCAGAGGUUGAAGAGGGAAAUAUGAAGGAGCAGCCAAAUGAUGAGAUAAAGCAGCACCAUGGAAUGACCCCUUCCCAUCCCUUUUGAUUAGAAACGUGACCAUCUUCCCCUGCCCAUUAGGCAGAUCCAGAUACAUUAUAGGUCAUCCAAAGUAAUGCCUUUAUGAUUUUUUAACGCAUUCAAUUGUAAGAUGCAGAGCUGAUUAUGUAUUUUCAUACUGAAUCCAAUGAUAAAGAGUUUCUUCUUUUAACAAUUCUACAAUUUAGAGAAGCAUAACAAAAACUCAACUUCAACUAUGCUUCAUAUUCAACUCCUAAAAUAGUAUGACCUCGAGAUGCUCCUAAAUUUGAGAAGAGAAAAACGGAUUCUAAUCGCUCAUAUUCAUUGUUAAAUCAAAAUUAAGUUAAAAAAGAACUAAAAUAUUUGACUCCUUAAAUUAUGAUAAAAUUUGUGUGAGGAGAGAGAGAGAGAGAGAGAGAGAGAGAUAGAUAGAUACAUAAGGCGCAGUCUCCAGUUAGAGCUAGCGCUUGUUCUAAAAAAGUCAUGGGUUCCACACCUCCAAACCCCACAUCCCUUAAUUAUUUGUUGAACUUGAAUUGUAUGAGUUUGCUUAUCUUUAUCCAUCACGUGGAAAAUGAAACCGUAAUUGAAUACGGUGUUAUUUUGAUAUACAUUGUCAGUCAAUUUCCUAUAACAAUUGACCAUUUUGAGUUUAUUAGUUUCCUAAAAGAUUCAGAUGCUUCUUUUUCAUCAAAUAUUUCUGUUGAAGCAGUAAUUUGAGCUUAAUAUUACAUGUUUAGCAAAUGUAGAGAGGCAUUUUGUUUUGCAAGUUUCUGCUGCUUCUUCCUGAAUUAAUAAUAUUGAUUUCCCAAAUAUGUGUACCACAGACGUCAUGGCCUACUCAUCCAAUCACUGGCAAUAGUCAAAUAAAUAUAAAAUAAAGUGGAUGGUGGUUGGUCGUAUGAACAUCGCUUUUACUGCUGCUUGUCUCUAAGACUAAGACUAAGACUAACUAAGAAACACCAAUUCUCUUCUCGCCGACACACCAAGAAACUUUUUACUUCCAAACACCACAGUAACUAUACAGAAACAAGUGGGUAAAAAAAUAAUGCAGGCUCCCGCAGCACUAAUUUUACCGUAAAUUAGGAAAGUAAGUCUCGUGUAUUCGUAAUGCUCCUAUGUAAACUUGUCUUGCACUCCAAGACAUUUGGAUUUUCUUGUGUACCAAGUAGUGUAGAGAAAGUUUGGUAUACAUGUUAUGUAAUUGUUUAAUGAAAGAUCGGCUUAGUGGCUCGGCACAUGCUUUUCUCUCGUUCUCCUUAUUCUUUCAUGUCUCCUUCUCAUUAUUCUUCAAUAUAUCUAAGAAUUAUUCAUUCGGGACUCAGUAUAUUAUUAUAUCUAAUAGUGCAAGAUAAUUAUCUGCUUAACUAUUUUGUAUCAAUCAAUGUAAAUUUAUGUAAAUUUCAUGCCAACUCUAUGGUAGUACGAUUUUCUAAUCUUUAUUAGAUUGACAUACGGAUUCAUUUUUCUCAUGGUAUAGUACUUUAGAUUUGUAAAUCACCGUUAGACUUAUUCAUUUUAAAUACAAAUCUCAAUUUUAUGUCAAAAUGUAAUAUGAUAAAAUAAAAAAAUAAAAAAUCCGUGUGAAUUUCGUGUUAAUAUUUUGUGAAGUUUUGAAUCACUGUACAAAAUUUUACCGUAAGAUCGAAGUCCCAAUUCCCAUCACAAACUCACAAAUCAUUAAACAAACUCAUCAUCAUCAUGAGUGAUGAGAUGAGAAGAGUUCCGCGUGAGGACAUUUGGAUGCGAUGUUGACUCAUCAAAACGUUUGCAUUAAAUGACAUGUCGUCCAUGGCACCUACAUUUGAUGCAAAUGGCUCCACAAUGAAACAGAAGUUUCCUUCUUUUCCCACUCUGGCUUCCUUCUCAUAAAAACCCACUAUAAAACACACCCUCCACAGAAAAUCACCAUCACCCAUCAAAAUAAACAAAGCAAGCAAGCUCUUGAGUCCAAGUCCUCAACACACAAUAAUAUGUCUACACUGAAAAUCCGAUCAAAGAAACCAGACGACAUUCGAGGUCUCGUGAUGCUGAGGCUGCUCAUUCGGAAGCUUGUGCAGAAGGGUCUCUCCAUUUUAUCAGCCAGAGGCCUUCAUCACCACAAUGAUUUUGAUGAAGCCACAGUGGUGCCAGAAGAUGUUAAAGAAGGGCAUUUUGCUGUUUUUGCAGUGAAGGGCAAGGAGGCAGAGAGGUUUGUGGUGAAAUUAGAGUCCUUGCAAAACCCUGAGUUUUUGAGGUUGCUAGAAGAAGCUGAGGAAGAAUAUGGAUUUGAACAGAAGGGGGCUCUUGCUGUUCCUUGCAGGCCAGAGGAGUUGCAUAAGAUUUUAGAAAACAGGAGGGAGAAGAAUAGCAGUAAUAAUAAUAAUAUUAAUCUUAGAGUUAUACCAGGAUGCUAGCUAAGCUAGCUACCCGAAUGAGCCCAUUUUCAUGUAUGAUUUAUUAGCCAUGUAAAUUUCUCUGUCUAAUUAUUUCCUCUGUUAUAUGUGCUCUUUUUGCACUGGAUGUAGACAGAUUUCUGCACGGAAAAAAUAUAAGAAAAAUUCAUUCUUAUAUCUUAUAUCAUUUCUUCCUUCUGAGGUAAGCAGAGUGGGUUGGGGAAUGGGAUGACAACAAUUAAGUGUGAUCUGAAAAUUAUCAUAUUAGAAAGCAAGAGCUAUGCCUAUCCAAACUUCCACUACUUUCAGUUUUUAAUUUUUCUGUGCCUGUAUGUUGAACCAAUACUAGAACUUUUUUCAACAAUGACAAAGUUUAAUUUAAAUUUAAAUGCUAGAGUUUGAGGCCGCAACGGGGUUUGAGAGGCGGUAGUUUACCCUGUGGCGGAUGUCAACAGUUUAAGUCUGUUUAUCUUCACUUCAAAGCAAAGUAUUGCUAUAUUUUUCUCUUUUUUCUGUCGCAUUAAUGAUCAAAUCCAUAAGCGUUAGCACUUCUAUUUUCUAGAAAAAUGUUUUCGCAUUUAUUUUAGACUCAUAUGUCUUGUAGUAUGUCAUUCUCAAAUGCGGGAUGUGAGAGAAUGUUUAAACACUCAUGAUUUAUAGUGUUAGAACAUUCAUCAUAAGUAUCAGAACCCUCACUCUGGCCCGCAUUAAAGAAUUCUUGAUUAUACUAAUACAAAAGGAGAGGUGCUCCUGGAAAAUACUACACCUGUAAACCGAGUGGAAUAUUAUUGAUUCGGGCAGAACACCGAUUCUUGCCGUGUUUGGCCAGGUAGUACCAACACGUUUGGUGCUUUUUUUCCUUUUCUGAAAAGAGAUAGUUGGCAAUGGACUAAUGAUCUGAUCAUGAGACUUACGACGGUGGCAACCAACCAACUCCUCCGUUAGCAGUUGUUUUCUUUUUUCAUAAUUAUUUCUUUAUUAGACAAGGUAUAUUCCAAUUGUGUUCAUAUUAUUUCUUCUUUAUUAGUACUUGGUUAAUUUUAUAUUCACAAUUAGGUCUUGGUGGACCCUAUCUAUUUGGACCUUGAAAGAACUUGCAUUUUGGUGCAUAUUAUGAAGUCCAUGGUCCUUCCCUUGACUUUACAUGCCACCUCCACCAACUCAAGAGGCUCAACUUUUGAGAUCAACCCAUGUGAAAAUAUUAUACUAGUGAGUAGAGACAUGUGGAAAUAAUGGAAUUAAUAUCACGCGCGAUUGAUGCUAGCAUCUUUUAUAUUUCAUACUUGUAUUGUAUGUAUAGUCAUUGUAAGCAAAGUCUUGAGGCACCAAAACAAUGAUGAUUGAUGACAACCCAAUUUGAAAGACAUCGAAUAAUUUAAAAGAUUAGAUGGACUGAAAGUCAUUUUUAUUGUCAGCCCAAAGUGCAGGAUUGCUUCCAAAACUUUGAAGCUAUAGCAAACUAAGCUACAAUUGAGCUUCAAUUUGAGAUCUCUUGUGAGAACAAUAUGGUGAAAUAUGGUCAUAUGAAUUAGUACGUACACAUUAUAAUUAAGCACAUCUGCUUGCCCUUUAUAUUAUCAACACAUUUUCCAACUAUGCAAGCGAUAUUGUAUAUUUUUUCUUAAAACAAACCCUUGAGAAAAACACACGGUUAUAAGCGUGCUCAAUUUGCUUGCCUCCCACACAGUUCCAAUGAAGAUGGGCAAUUCUGGCAAAAAAAAUGAAUAUGGGCAACUCAAGCCAUAAUAUGGGCCCGACCCGUUUAGAUUGAGCAUGUUAGGAUCUAUGCUAUGUUGGGCCGGGUAUAACAAUACGUUCGGCAUUGAAAGAAAAUUUUAACAAAAUUGAUGCUAUUUUUUUUCUUUGAUACAAGCAAUAGGUGAGGGUAUUUGAACAGAGAAACUCAGGUGCACGGAUAACUAUUCUUAACCAUUUGAGUUACAAACCCUUUGCAAAAUUCAUAGUAUUGAUAAGAUUAUGGAAUGAACAUUAUUCUGAUUUUCACCACAAGAAUAGUCACUGAGAAGUUGCUCAUUUAGAACAAGCAAUUUAGCAUUUUGUUAACCAAUGUCAUACAAAUCUCAACAACAUUUACAAAAUGGACAGGGUGCAAAUGAAGGAGCAGUUGUUAAGUAAUCACUGUAUUAUUUUACCUCAGAGCAAUUAUCUGAGCCUACAGGUUCUUUCAAACAGCUAGAUAUUGCCACUACUGCAGCUUCAAUCGCUCCGUCUUCUCCCUGUUCCAUUCCAUCCAGCAGAUACAAGUUACAACCAUACUCUUUUUCUUCAGAAAAUCUUGUGCAAUGCAAACAACCUCAUUACAAACAUAGAUAUAUCCGAGCAAUGAGGGAACUUCACCUUCUCUUUCCAGUAGAACAUAUUUCCAUAUUUCCCGGCCAAACGGCUCCAAAAGCUACGUGGAACAUCAAGAUCAACGGAAGCCCCCACGUUGAAGUUCAGUAUAUUGCCUGCUCAAAGAGAGCAAGAGACCCAUCAAUACAAAUAAUCUAUGGUAGAGGUAGUACAAAGAAAAGAAGAAAAAAUUCAUACAAUAUAAGUUAUAACACAAGAUUGGUAUGUAUGAAUACAUUACCAAAGGUGGGAUCAGCAACAAAGACAAUAGUUCUAUCAUCCACUUGCCAGAAAUCUUUAAUUGCCAAACCUGCAAAGCAUGGAAAUAUUGCAAAACCAGGGUUAAUUUUAUCUUCUCACACAUUCAGAUUGGCCUCUUAACAAUAAUUCUAAUUUACAAUUUGGCAACAUAAACAUGUUAGACUGUGUGACAAGAGAGCAUUUGCUUGCAAAACCCUAAACAAAUAUAUAGAAAUUUAAAAAAAUAAAAGAAAACACUCUGAAUGCCAAAGUCGUACAGAAUAUUAGGCACACCUGGUGUAUCAGGAUAGUUCUGUGCAAGAACCCUCAACUUGAAUCCAGUAUCUUUCUCUAUGUCAUCAAUCUCUUGGGCUAGUCUUUUCUCCUGAAAAUUACCAUACAUAAUUAUAAGCACAUCAGCUUAAUUCUUAGAUUUCAAUUUUGAUGUCAAGUUCAAAAGACACCACUACGGUAUUAUCAAUGUCCCAUAUAAUAGAUGCAAUGCAAGUUUUCGAUUUUCAAUUUCAACCCAACCCAAGAAUCCAGGAAAACCAUAUAAAACCAACAAAUAGGCAAUAAAUAAGAAAACACACCUGACCAUCAGAGAGGAAGCCAGCUACAUCAAUUACAGGACUGAACUCUUUGGGAAGCAAUUCUGGCUUGUUCACCCCAACUUUUGCCUCCACAGGUCCUACUCCUGCAGAAAUUUAAAGGCUUUUUCACAUUAUCAGCAUGUUAAUCUUUUAUGCAAUUGCAGAAAAUGAGAGUACUUGCCUGAGAGAGAGAAUCCGAGCGUGAGAGCCCCUGAGAACACUAAAUUUAAAGACUUGGACCGAAACUCCGAGACCCAGUUGCUCAAUUGUGUUGGCUUUUGGGUUGAAGAGAGAUGAGAGGACGCAGUGAUCAGUGGCGUGAAUGGAAGACGUGAGGUUGUUUGGGAAGUGGGAGAUGAACAAUGGAGAAACGCCAUUGUUUAUUCAGCUAGGACCGUGGCAGCUGCAAAGGCUUUUAGGAUAAUGGAAGCCGUGGGCUAUUUUCUAUUUCUGUUCUUUUUUGGGGGGUUUUUAAAAUUUUCACCAGGGAUUCUUUAAAAAUCUCCAAAAUUCGGCUGUUUUUCAUUACUUUAUUUUCUAAAUUAUCCGGUUGUUAAAAGAAGUCCCAAAUUCCCAAAUGAUAAUUUUAUAAAAAAUUUAACCCGCAUGGAAAAAAAUACAUGUAAAAAUUCAUACAUCCUAAUUUACCUAAUUUGUUUGACUUACACAUGAUUGCACGUAUUCGAAGUUUAGGCUAAACUCGUAAAGGAAGUAAGUCGUAAACAUUUUCUUCACAACUCAGCAAAUGGAACUAUAGAUUUUUAGAUUCCAUUUUCUUUUGGGGUACUACGGCUUAAUUGUAUUUUGGUGACAAAUUCCGUGGGAGAGGAUUGGUUUCUUCAGACAAUGAGGUCUCUCUUUGAACCAGACUGCCUGAAAACAAUUGUGACUUAAAAUGAGAAAGCUCAAAGCCUCAAGCCUGCUAUAUUAAAGCUUUUAUCACAAUCUGCGGAAAGCAAUUCUAGUUCCCUUUCCACUCAAUAAACUUGUGUUUGGGAGUUGUUUCACUAACUAUAGCUGCGGGCUUAAACAACAUUAGGAAAAUAACCCUUUUUCGAAACAGCAAUUUGAACAACAGCUUCUCAAGACUUCCACUGUCAAGCAGAAAGAGAUGCUGCAUCAUGUAGCAACUCAGCUAGCAUUAUCCAUUAUCCACCAUUUAUCAAAUUGUUCAUCAUCUGCACCUCAAAUUCUCAAUUGCUUAAAUUUCAAAUUAUCCUUGCAAUCGAAAAAACCAACCAUUUGCCGAAGAAGGAAAAAUGAUCAUAUGACACAACUCACUGCAAUUCAAAAAGGCAUGAAGCCUGAUACUGAUAAAGGAGAAGAUUCUGCUUUUAGCCUUCAAUACAAUACAUAAUAGACAUUAUAUCCUUCAUGCUAUGAGAGUUUCAGCUCAGUAAAACUUAAACAAGGCCAAUUGAAACAAACAAGUUUACAACUAAGGGAAAUAAACAGGCCAGUUGAAAUAGUAGGAAUCUCUGAGAUCCUUGUCCAUGUACUGGUUCCACUGCAACAAGAACAAAAAAAAAAACCCACGUUUCAUCAACAAAAGAACAAUAUCAAAACCCACAAUAUCUCCUAAAUGGGUUCUCAUUAGAAUCAGAGAAAUUCUUGAAAUUUCAGCUUGCCCAACAUUUGAGACACAACCCAACAUACCUUAAAUUUGUAGGGCUCCCCUUUCUUCAUGGCCUUCUUCCAGUGAUACUGCUCAAAGCACAUUGCUUUGUCAUGCCAGCUGCAACAAUUUUCAAAUUGUGAAGAAAAAAAAACAGAAUUAACAAACAGAAACAAAAAAUAGCAACAAAUUCACAAACUGGGUAAUUAUCAAAACUAAAAAAAGAUGACCUACUUGAACUGAUUGGAGAGCUGCCACAUGUAGGGGUUGACCCAAGUGAGCGCAGAGAAGGCAGCGGACCCGAUCCAUAUGUUCACAAAGCGUUCCGGGUCGGCAUGUGGGACCCCCGGGUCUCCUCUGUACGCGUUCCCAAAAUACUUCUCCAUUUCUGUCUCUCUCUCUCUCUCUCUCUGUGGUUUCUUAUCCUUGAUCUCCGAUGAGCACAAAGAACAUAUUUAUACUAGUGGGUUUUUAAUUUGGGCUGGGCCGGGUACACUAAAAGGCCCAAAAAGAAGCCCACUAAAGGCCCAGAUGCCUCUUAGUUUAGUGGUAGAAUUCUAUAAAAGUAAACCCAAGACCCCCCCAAUUAUCUUCAUCGAUCUCACUCUUCUCUCUCUCUCUCUCUCUCUCUCUCUUCGUUCCCAAAUCUCCCUUCCGUUUGAAUUUUGAUACCAACAUUGCCAAAGGGGUCUUACCAGGGAUUUAUCAAUUUCUAUUUUUUUUUCAAAUUCAUAAAUUCCCUCCAUAUCCUCAACCUUCUUCACUCUCUCAAACCCUAACCCUACUUGCCUCUCCUUCCUCCUCUAAGGUUUCGCGAUAUUUCGCUCAAUCUGAUUCCAAACUCUGCUCGUUUACUUCUGAUUCGUGUUCCGGAGUCUUCGAAUCGCUGCAAGGCUCCGAGAAUUGCGUUUAUUUCACUCCAAUUUCUAACUACCUCUCGCUGCUUCUCUUUCUGGGUUUUUUCUAGGGUUUCUCAGUGUCAGCUGGGUAGAGUCCUAAUUUCUUUCGCUUUUAUAUGUUUUUGUUUGACUGCCGAGAAAACGGGGGAAAGGGAGGGAAGAUGCGCGGGUUUUUGGGGGAACAGGCUCGUGGGUCGAAUGAUUUGAGGGUUCGAGAAAAAGCUGAGUGAUAUGAGGGUUUGAAUAUGAGCCUUGAAUAUGAGCCAUGGAGAAGCGGACAGUAGCAGCAGAGUGAAUGAACCCAGUAGCGAAGCGCCGAGAAGAGGAGGAGGAGGAGGAGGAGCCGAUGAGUUUGGCCGAGCCAUAUCUACGGUUGCGGUGGCGCAGAUAUGCGAGAGCGUUGGGUUUCAGAGCUUCAAGGAGUCUGCUCUGGACGCUCUCGCCGACAUUGCCAUCAGAUACCUCCGUGACUUAGGGAAGAUGUCGAGCUUUUAUGCUAACUUGGCUGGCAGAACCGAAUGCAAUGUGUUUGAUAUUAUUAGAGGGUCGGAGGAUUUGGAGUCACUGCAAGGGUUCUUGGGUGCUGCUGAGGUCAGUCAAUGUCUUGCAGGGUCUGGGAUAGUGAGAGGCAUUGUUGAGUAUGUGGGUUCGGCUGAGGAGAUCCCAUUUGCACAGCCAUUGCCUCGGUUUCCGGUGAUCAAGCAGCGGAGAUUAAUUCCGAGUUUCGAGCAAAUGGGGGAGGCGCCACAGAGUAAACAUUUGCCCAAUUGGUUGCCCGCUUUCCCUGAUCCACACACUUACAUUCAAACACCAAUGUGGAAUGAGAGGAAGACCGAUCCCCGAGAAGAUAAAAUCGAGCAGGCUAGACAGAGGAGGAAGGCUGAGAGGUCUUUGUUGAGUCUGCAGCAGAGGUUGUUGUGCAACGGUGAGGCAUCUGGUUCAGGAGGAGUCUCUGUUGCAGUACCAUUGGUUAGUGGUGGUGGUAAUGAUGGAAAGGGAUUAUUAUUACAAGGGAGUGAGAGUAAUCCGAGUAAUCCGAGUAAUCCAAGUAAUCCAAUUAAUCCAUUCCUUGAACCGCCUAUCCAGCCGGGAGAGAAAGAUGUAUCAGUGUCCGAAGUUGUCUUGCCAUCCAAGUUUUUGGAUGAAGUGGGGCAAGGGAAGAAUGGCGGUUCUUCGGUUUUGGAUGCGUUUACGCCCGCCAUUGAAGCAGUGAAAAAUGGGGUGUGGAGUGACGGAGAUGAUGAGAGGAAGCAGCUUCUUCCAGAUACGAGGCCUGCGAUUAAUUUCAAGUUCAGAAGUGGGAAGAAGUUUCUGGGAGAAUCUUCGGAUGUGAGGCUGCAAAAGAAGGGUUCUGUGAGACCAGCUUAUUGGUUUGGGCGAGAUGAGGAGAGGGAUGACAAGAAGAGAAGAGCUGAGUUUAUUCUUAGACAAUCUAUGGAAAACCCACAGGAACUCACUCAGUUGUAGAUUAAUUUUAUUGACUGGUUUUCUUCAUGGGAAGCUCUUAGCACCUAGGGAUUUAGCAGUGGGCUAUGGAGGCUCAAAGUAGAGGCUGUACUUGUUGUUCUAGUAUACUCUAGUUUUAGUCCCACUCUUACAAAUUUUUUUAGAGGUAUGUGAAUGUUUUCUUUCAAUUCCAUGUUUACCCUUUUUCUCUGUGAACCAUUCUUCUAGGAUGAAGAUUUUAUUUUGUUUGCCCCACCAGCUGAUAUUUUGUAUCAACACAUUGAAUUCUAAUAUUGAGAUCUCCUUUUUAGCUUGUCCAUUUUCUCAACUUCUAUUCAAAGAAAAGCCAAAAGGACAACCAAAAAGUAUGAAUGGAUUAUAGAGUUUUGAGUCAUGAUCACAUGCUGCUUCCGUGAAUUGGAAGGGAUUAAAUAUAUACGAAAACAGCACAAAACAAUUCGGACAAUUUUCUCAGCCAAAAAGAAAGGAAAAAGCAACAAUUUUGCAUCCCAUAUAACUAGACGGUUUUCAUUUUCUAUGACAUUGAUGGGAGAAGUGGUCGACUUGAAGACAAAAUGAUGAGCUGGGAUCAUCAGCUGUAACUGCAUCGUCCGCUUAGGUAUGGGGGAGGCUAAGUUAUCUGUAAAUUUAUUACUACAUUUCACAAGCACAAGCAGGCCUAGCUGCUAUCAUGGGUCCACUGGAAUUAUAAAUAGAAAGCUCUCAAUCACCUCAAAGUUUCAAAUGGCUAGGCCAGGGCAACAACAAAGUCAGCAGCUAUCUGGUCAAGGAGCUACAUAUGUGAAGAGAAAAUACAACAUAAUCCAAGAAAACUAAAACAUGUAUAGAAACAGAGAAUUCAUGAUUUGCCAAAUGCAGAAACAGCAGUGAUCUGCCAAAUGCUGCCGCUCUCACUAGAGGCCAGAAAAAAAACUGAAAUCAAUGCCCCGCUUGAAUACACCUACUUCACUUGAUUGAAAAGACCUCAAUGUUUCAAGUUCAAAUCCAUCUCCACGGGGAACACUCUGGCACGAUGGUUGAAGAUCAUAAAGUCAAGGUUGGCUGGUAGAGAAACAAUCCUGCAUUCCAAAAUAAACUGGAUGUCAAUAAUCCAAUCAAGCAUCUCGCAUAUAACAUUUUUAAAGUCAAAAGAGCUAUUGUUCCACACUUCUGAAUUUCAAGCGCAUAGACCAUAGAGUAAAUAGCAACAGUAUCUCACUCAUACAAUUUCCUCUUACAAGGUUUAUACUUAAAAGGAGCACAGAUAGCUGGCCAUUGCCAUGAUGAAGAGUACACAUUAGUCUUCUGACUUGUCUCUAUGAAUAUGCAACAAAACUUGGCCCUCUUUUAGUCUUAAUAACAUUACAAAUUUAUUUUAUGCAAGGAUGACUUAGCUUGAGAACUGAUGGAGACAAAAUAAGGACAAUCCAUAUCUGAAAGUAACCUUCUACUUCUACAGUAUCUUGCUGUGCAGAGAGGAUUACAAUAUAUUUUCCAAUUAAUAAACAAACCCAGAUAGCCUAAGAAGGUAAGUCCCAUAUCAUGCUCAUUUGUAGGUUGCACACUUCUAUUUUUUCGUUAAAUUUUUAUUUUUGAUACGAAACAGAGUCCCAUUACUAAAGAGGGCAGCUAAAGAUUAUAGAAAGACAAAAAAUAUUUUGCUUUCUCCUGCUUUAUGGUCUCUAAACUCAAGAAUGCUAACUCCUAUUGUUUCUAUCUUCUUACGAAUUUCCCUCCCUUAAUCCCAUUACGCUUACUUCUACUCAGCUUUCUCUCAAUAAUUUGAUAUUUUGUCUCUUUGCAGAUAACCCCCAUUUGAAUACUCAUAACAUGUUUCAGUUCUAUAACAUAAUGAAGCAUGUCAGUGAACAUUACACUAGCAUUCAACAACUUUAGACAGUAGAAUGAGAUACUAAGUACUGCAUCUUUGCCUACAGAAUAUUCCAUUUACUUUGUAAAAGAAAAGGUUCCCUUUUCAAUCUGUAAGGACCUUUAUUCAGAAGGGCAUGUGAACAACUAAUAAUCUUAUCAACAACCCCCACUACAAGGAGAUAUACAAUUCAACUCUUAACCUAUGUUUAGAACCCAAUAAUAGAGAAAGAAAAGAAUUACACUCUUUAUCUUUUCAUUGUUUGGUUAUUGAUGAAAAUAAAGAGGAAAGGAAAACAACUCCAUGUUUUCCUUCUCAAGCUCUCUCUUCAAAUGGCGUAUAAUUUGAAGACAAAGUUGGCUCAUAGGAAACUUUACCAUAACUAUAUAUUCUUCUCUUUAUUUACCCUUAACCAAACAGAAGAAAACAAAAACUUCCGGAUUUUUUUUAUCUUCUCUAUUUUCUCUAGCUGAAAGAGAACCAAACAUAGGGUUAGAAUAGAAGUUGCAACUAGCAAUGUGCAAAUUAGGUAUUGACAUGGCAGUAACAUCUAUUCUAUCAUCAGUCUUUGCCAAUUCAAACAAUAAAAAAAGAGUUCGAAUCAAAAGCAUAACAAAAUUGAGAUUGUAGAAGGCACUGCAAAGCUCAAGUACACAAGCAUAACAGAAGUUACUAUAAAUUUGUUUCAACUUUCAAUUGAAAGGGAUUGAAAAGAAAUCCAAUCACACCAUGAACAAAACAAAUCAGGCCUUGAAGAGACAAAAUGCACACAUACCUAUUCUCUUCAGAAUGGGGAUGUAUUGAAAGAAACGUGCCGGGGACAGUAAGAGCUGCCCACAUACAUAACACUAACCCUAGAAGCAAUUCAACAACCACCUGCAAUUUCAGUUACCCGUUUAAUCACCGAAACACCUAAACAAAAUAAUACCCAUUGUUAGAAUUUGCCGUGUUAAAUCUUACAUUCAAUGGAGGUCCUGAAAACUCUUCCUCCAUAAUCUUCAACAAUCCCCUGUCUGCAACCAAAUCAAAUCAACCAAUCUAAAAAAGGAUCCAAUUUCAAUCACCAAAAACCCUAAAGUUGUUGACUUUCAAAUCCAAAUAGAUACCUAACUACGUAUAUACUAAUUAUCUGGGCUUACAUUGAACGGUUGAAUAAGCGGCAUGGGAGAGAAUUACAACUCCAAGGAUGCCAACCACGAAUCCCAAAUUCAAAGCCAUUUUAGGUCCGAUCUCCGUCAGGCUAUGGCUUCUGUAUCGGCUUCUACGACGUCGUUUGCGAUGCACGCACGAAUUGUCGUGAUUGGGUAUUCGACAGUCCAGACUGAGCUUUUCCCUUCGCUUUGUUGAAGAAGCUGUAAUUAAAACUUCAAAAGACUCCAAAGCGGUGUCGUUUAAGUAGUUUUAUUUUUAUUUUUUGGUGAAAGUUUCAUAGUAUUACAAGGACACUAUUUCCUGACACGACAUGUCGUUACUUCUUUGUCAUCUCCUCCGCUUUAAGCGGCCACAGCCAGACGCUUCAUAGCAGAAGCAGAGUUGGGUGUUGGAGCUCUGAACUCUAAUACUUAAACGCAAUCACAUAACAUGGGUCACCUUGUGAAUCUACUUCAACUUCAAACAACUCUGUUUUUCAGCAACUCUCCCACAUGUUCAAGUAUUGCUCUCAAGCCUCACACUUUCGAAUAUCUCAAAGCAAAUGUCUUAACAUCCAAGUGUAAGGUAAGGCACUAGCCCACUAGCUAAAUUUCAGUUCUUUCUUGUUUUGUGUUACUUUUUUUAAAUUGGGUUUUGCUCAUUUAGGCCUUUGGAGGAGGAGAAAUGGAUGCCUUGCCACACUUGCAGACUCUUAGAAAGUUUCCAAGGGAGGAGCUUGUUGCAAAAGUUGUACUGGUCAGAUUUGACUCUACCCUUUUGCUUCGGGAACAAGGGGAGGAACAGCGAUUUCAACCCAAUGCACUCUUCACCAUUAAGUAUUUGCACCAGUCUGGGGCUAAAGUAGUUCUUGUUAGUGAUUGGAGUGUUAAAACUAAUCCUAGACUGUUUGUCGCGCAGUCUGUUGCAGGUAUAUAAUGCUUCACACUAAUGUUAGUUUUUUCGCUAGCAUUUUUGCCAUUAUGAUGCUUCAUGACAGUGAAAAAAAAAAAGGCAGAGUUAUUUAAGCAUGAAACAUGGGGCUAUGAUAUGACAAUUCGACAUGUUGAAUUGCUGAUCAUUGUUUAUUGCUUGAUGGUCUCCACAUGUCAGAGUUCUUGUCAUCUCUUCUUGAGUACAAAGUUGUUCCAGUACAAUGCAUUUCUCAAAACGUGGUAUCAAAGAGGGAAGGCUUUGAGAAAGGAGAUAUUCUUCUUCUUGAGAAUCUUUCUGCGUUUAGAGGGGAAGUUGCCAAUUGUUCAAAAUUUUCUCAAGCAUUGUCAUCAGGAGUGGAUAUUUUUGUUAAUGAUUACUUUUCCCGGUCUCAUAAGAUUCUUGCAUCCACCUGCGGAGUCACUCGCUUCUGCUAUGCCAACUUAGCUGGUUUUCACUUUGAGGAGAGCCUAUCUCAACUUAGAAGGGCUACAGAAAGCAACACAAAACCACAUGUAGCAAUUGUAUGCCUCCACUGCUAGUAUAUUAGUUCCAUUAUUUGUGUCUGGUUCCAGUCAAACUGAAAACUUAUGGACUCUUAACCUUAUUAUCUUUGGCAGUGCAGAUUGGAGGGGGUAAUCUCUUUGAUAAAGCAGCUGCUUUGCAUUCCUUAACUUCCCGAUGUGAUGGGUUAGUCUUUGUUGGAAUGAUGUCAUUUCAAAUAAUGCAUGCCUUAGGGCUACCUGUUCCCUUGAAUUUGGUGGAACAUGGGGUACUUAAAGAAGCUCUAGAUAUAGUCCAGGUUGCACACAUUAGAAAUGUACAGAUCCUAUAUCCAAAAGACUUUUGGUGCAAGAAUGAUCAUCUUCCAAAGCAAUUGGAAAUAUUUCGUGCUCAUCGUAUUCUGGAUGGUGAGCCUGCUUUUGGUUUACCAAAAAUAUGAUGCCCUUUGACUCCUUUUCUUUUCAUGAAUGAUUAGAACAUGUGUGAAUUCACUAGUCCUUUUGACUGCUUUUGUUGACAAUAAUAUCAUUAUUUUUCAGUUUCCUAUGUUGCAACUGUGUAAUCUGAGUGUCAUAUAAUAAAUUUUGUGAAAUUGGGUUCUCAAAGUCUUUUCCCUAUUUUAGGGUGGGUGCCUGUUGAUAUUGGGCCUGCAUCAUUUGUCGAAAUGAAGUUCAUGCUUUCAAGGUGCAAGGUAAAUAAAAAUACUUAUGAAGUAAGGCAGAAGAAUUGUCUUUUGGUUUUCAAAUACUAUUUUGAAUUAAAUUUGAGGUGCAGUAUCAAUUCUUAAGUCUCUAUCUUGGUAUGUAGGCAAUGCAUCUUUUGACCGAUAGAUUUUAGCAUAAGAGUGUUAUGAUACUUUAUCUAAGGACUAAAUUUAGCAUGCUUAAUGUAGCCCUCGAAAAGUUUGUUUCAUUUUCAACUUUCAACUUUCCAAUUUUAGGCUCCAUAUUCAUUAUUCUGUUCUUUCACAUAUUUAUGGUCCUUUAUAAUUAUACAGUGUUUUUAAGGUAUAUUGUAAAGUUUCAAAGUUAAAUUUGGUGAGUAUAGUGGUGUAGAUGCACUUUGUCUGGUAUAACCACUAGGAUUAAAUUCCACCUUGAUGUCAUAUGUAUUUUCUUUCUUGAUCGCAGUCUGUUCUCUUUUGUGUUUUCAAGUACGCAUUAUUGCUGGCCUUGUGUGGACUCAUUGUCAGACCUCCCUGAUUUGAAUUGCAGAAAGUCACUUGGAUUGGUCCAGUGAAAUUCCGUACGAGUAACUGCACAAAAGGAGAUUCUGAACUGGCUCAAAUGCUUAAUCAACUAAGUCAAAGCAACUGCAACAUAACUGUUGUUGGGAAUAAGGCAUGUGAAGCAAUGGUGAAGGAAUCAAAUUUCACCUUUAAUUUCACUAUGAUUAAGGAUGCUUCAGUUGUGUGGGAGUUUCUCAAAGGACGAAAACUUCCGGGGGUCAUGGCCUUAGAUAGGGUACGAUUCAUAUCUUCUUUCAUAAUGUGGAUUGAUGCAUCAAUCUGACUUCAAAAUGUAAAUAUUUUCCAGCAUUUCAUAGCACUAUUUUAAAAAAUAUUUUCAAACUUCUUAAAGUAGUUAUCUAGUGCAGGCAUACCCUUUUGAUAUUGAUUGGAGUGAUGCCUAUUCUGAUCCAGCUCAACCUUUGGUAGUUGAUAUUGGAAGUGGUAUUGUCUUUCAUCUUCUUCUCCCUUCCUAUGGAUUUCUUUUUCCACUUUUAGGUUUCAGUUUGUUACCUUAUUGUUGUUCUCCAUGUAUAAGCUAGAUAUUAAAGAGAGAGAGAGAGAGAGAGAGAGAGAGAGAGAGAGAGAGAGAGAGAGAGAGAGAGAGAGAGACAUAAGGAUUAGGUUCUAAAAGAAGCUAAAUUUGAUGCAACUGACAAAUUUCUGAUUGGAAUAAAUAAAUAACAAGGCUUGUUGAGUUGAAACAGUUGUAUAAUUUCAACAUGCCCUUUAUGAUUUGGUCAUGAGAUAGUCAUAGCAGUUAUUUACUGACUCUGAAUAAUACAUGGCAGGUAAUGGAAUGUUUCUUUUGGGGAUGGCCAAAACAAGGAAGUAUUUGAAUUUUCUUGGUUUGGAGAUUAAUAAAAAGGUUUCCAGGAUGUGGAAAUUUUGUAUUCUUUUUGCCUAUUCUUAUCCUCUAUUACUGACAGUUUUACAGCUUUUUUCAGCUUGUAAAACGCUGCCUGGACUCUGUUCACUGGCGUGGGAUAAGAAAUGGGUAAGGGUUGUAGCCUUGGUGCUGCACAAAAAUUAUGGCCUUGUGAAUUUGCUUGUCUAACUGACUUUUGCUUGAACUUUAAUGACCUGUGUCUGCAAUGUGCAUGUCUGGGUUGCUUUUGCCACAUAAAAUUGUGUGUUUAAUGUUGUAAGUUAAAACUUGAAUGGAUCUAGUCUGUAUGUGUGUAUGCUCGCUCGUGUGUGUUUGAAUUUGGGGUUGGAGGAUAGGAAACUAUGAUGUUUCCAUUUAUAGAAUUUGGUGUGUUUAACAUUAUAGGUCCAGCUUCAUCAUCUUACCUAUAUUUGUCUUGCUUUUGUCUACUUUAGGUACUUCAUCGCAACAAAUGCUACUUCAACAUUCCGAUCCAUUAUUUCUAGUUACCCCGGAAAGCUAGUGCUUGUUUCAAUACAGGUUGGGAUUGCAACUCUAUGUCUCUUUUCAACUUGAAACAUCUGCUUCUUUUAUCAAGUGACUAUCCAUGUCAAUGUGCGUGUUAGAGUUAGCAAUAUAUAAUCUGUUAAACUUUAAGAACCUACAAAAUGAUAGCCCUUUAUGCAUUAUGAAAGACAUGCUAAACCGAACUUUUUUCAUUUCGUCCUUUCUUUAAAGGAAUGUUAUAUGUGAUUCAUAUGUUUCAUUAUCUUCUCUAAAAUUAUUUGAUAACUUCUAAGUAAUUGCCUUGUAUAGAACAACCUGAUGCCACAUUUUCUCAUUAUAAGUUGAGAAAGAUAUGGUUCUCUGUUAAAAAAAAAAGAGGGUACUGUGUUAAGUUCUCUAUCACUUUACUUGAAAAUGACAUGCAAAGUAGGGCAGUAUAUUUGAUGUAAUGGAAAAUUAAAUGCAUUUUCUUGUCCUUAUAGUUUCAUCAGUCUUGCAUUCAAUGCUUAGGUUUAUUUUUAUCAAUAAUUAAUUGGGAUUUUUUUCCCCAUUUAGUGCCCGAAUCCUGAUUUCAACGAACCAGAUCAUAGAUGGAGUAUGCUGCAAAGGUCAUUAGUCGAAGCAGUUGCUGAUCUGCUUACAGCUAAUGGAAGGGUAAAACUAUUUUGCAGCUCCACUUCCAUAAGGAGCUCCAUUUUAACUCUGUAGUUAACUUUCUUUCCUCCCUUCUUCACCUUUAUUUCCAUCACUGAGUAAUGACACCAUAUACUCCAUGAUUUAUACUUAAACUUAAGACUGCACAACUAGAAAAUCAAUGUAGGUCAGCUGCACCUGCAUGACAGUGAUUUGUCAGUUUAUUUGCUAAUUUCUGUUAUAUUUACUAGGUCUUUCUGCAAUCUGACAUAGAGGCCGUCUCUCUGAGAAUGAAAGAACAGUUUCAGAGAUAUGGCAAGGGUAAACUUACUGUGGUGCAUGAACAAAGUUUUGCCAUAACUAAUAGUGGGUGGCUUAAGGACAACCCGUUUGGAGUUCGAUCAGACUGGGAACAACAUGUCUUAGCUCGUGGGGACCCUAUGUACAGAUUACUGCUUUGUAAAUCAACCACUACUGAAUGAAGUUGUUGCAGUCGCCGGUGGAAGUAAAUGGGACAUCUCACUUUGCAGUGGUCCAGGGUCCUUUCUUGGUUCUGUUUCUCCAAGCAAAAUAUGCUUCAGUGGUGAUUGAUGCGGGCUGCUGCAUUUAUGAUCUUACCAAAUUAUAAAUUGGUAGCACUAGUUCCAGAUGGAUGGAAAUCUUUACUUAUGGUGGUAUGUCAGCAACAUAUAGUGCAACUGCUCUAAAACAAAGGAUGGUGGUGGGAUGAAUGGAUACAAUGUGUAGCACAUACAGUAUCGAAAGAAUGAGAGGAACAGAAUAUGUUUUGAGAACAUUACAAAAGGUUAUGAUCGAUAUCCUCCCUGGUGUCUGUAAAACAAAGGAACCAUAGAACAAGCUUCUACUGUAGCCAUCUGAAGUUUCUGUGUGUAUCAUUUUGAUCCUUAUUACUACCGUUGUAUUCAUUGUCACUUGUUUGUAACAAUUUUGGAUGUAAAUUCUGUUUUUACCAUAUAAAUGCGCUAGUUUCAGGAAAACAUUGUUUCUCUUGACGUAACCAUUCAAUUACCUCGUGUUGCUGUUCUACUGCCUCAGAAGGGACCGGCUUUAAACUUAUAAGAAGAUGAGAGGCCCCCUUGGCAAGGUUCUCUUAAACAAGGCCAAAUGGCUAAUGGAGCCCUGUUUGACAUAAUUGUAGCCUGGCCUUUUCUUUAGUGUGAGAUUAUUCCCUUUGUCUCUUUGGCUCUCUUUUUCUUUUGACAUUUCCUGUUCUCUACUCUAAAUCUAAUUCGCACACAUGGUUGAAAAGGUCUUUAAAAGUAAAUUAUGCUUCCUUCUUUCUGCGAUGCUGCCAUGAUUGAUCACCUGCAUUGCAUGCAUGUGGAAAAGUCCACUGUUGGACUUCUUUAUUGUUUGGUCUUUAGGGUUGCGUUCAUGAUGGAGAGUUAAUUAAUCACUUCGUCAAAAUAUGCAUUGGUUCAUAAAGUUGUAUAGGUAUAGUGUUUUUUUUUUUUUUUUUUCAAUGUUGGAAGAAGUUUUAGUCUUAAUAAUUUAAAGUAUGGGACAUAUAUGCCAAAUUAGGUUCCUUUGUGUCUUUGUGAUGAGGAAUAUUGUAUAAUGAUAAUACUGCGACAACAGUAAUAGUAAAUAAUUUUUCUUUUACAUACCCUAUUGAAAAUAUAGGCUUUGCGUUAGCAUUGGAAAGUUUGGGAAUAAGACGUCAAUUCAAAUUCAUCACAUGCUAUUCACAGUGAAUGCAAAGUUUGGGAAAUGAGACUUCAAAUCGAAUUCAUCACACAUGUUCAAAGUGAAUGGUUGAUUGUUAGAAGGGAAAGAAAAAUAUUAAUGGCAUAUCAUUCAUGAUUAUGAUAUAUUGGGGGCAAAGAAUCCAAAUUGAACAUUGACAUGUAUUUCAUCCAUGAGAUUGAUCUAUGCUAGGUGUAAGAGUAAUAUUUUGUACAUUGAUUGUAUCAGUAUUAUUUGUGUCAGAAGUAUUAUUUACAUUGUAUUUCAGCUCAUCAUUUACGGCCGAUAUAACUUUCUCAUAAACUAUAGCUCAAAUGACAUAAAAUCAAAUCCUAGGUUAGUUGGAUGUUUGAUAACAACCUCAAUCAUAUCAUUAUCAUAACAACCGUGUCAAUCAUUGAUAUCAUAACGAUCGUUGUUUAUGUUUUAUCGUAUCUAAUAUCUAUAUGAUCGAUUAGAUCGUUAAAAUAAAAAAAAUAACUUUUUUUUUUCCUUUUUUGAUUAGAAGUAAUAAAAGCAUCAACAAAAUUAGUCUACCUUCUACUAUUCCUAAAAAUUUAGGUCUUCAUAGAAUCACUUGAAAAGUUGUAAAAAAUUAGGUCAUGUUGAGUAACCUCUAUGUCCAAGUCCUUGCAAAAUAAGAAAAAAAACCCGUUCCCUUUGUGAUAUGAUCCCAAUAUGCCAAUAAUCCUUAUUUUUCGUCCUUUCCAGUGAAUUAACUAAUAACGCUUUUUUUCUCAAAGUAAAAUUCGUUCCUUUUUCGAACUGUAGACGUCUGUCGGAAGAUUCUAUCCGGUUUUUGUUCGCAUUUCUUCAAUCUCAGAAGCUCGUCCGUUCGAUUUUAGGGUUUUCUGGGUUCUUCGAAAUUUCUAUCAGGUAAUUUAUGAGUGCGAAUUCUCCAGAUUCAUUGAUUUAUGUGGUUGACAGAGCAUAAGUUGAUUGAUUAUUUGCUUGUGUAGUUGGAAACCCUAGCCGUCGUUUGGCUGCUGGGAAAGUUAAGAAAUUACAAUUAGGGUUUUUUUUUCAAUAUUUCUUUUGUACUUCUGUGGAUUUUUUUGAUAUGAAAAGGCUAAUUUUAACUCUACAUAUCGAGGAAAAAAAAAAGUUUUCUGAGGUAGAGUUCAGUUGAGGAGUUGUGAUUUGGAUCUAAAUUCUUGAAGAGUAUAUUCUCCAUGUCUAUUGUUGUUUUCUUGCAUUUUUUUAGCUACUGAUUACAGUUCUCUUUUAUUUUUUAUUUUGAUUACUGGAGUUCAAUUUCUUGCUUAACUUUUACUGAAUUAGAUUGUUUUUUCUGUAAGCCAAUGUAGGCUCUGUUUGCCAAACUGGAUGCUAAAAUGAUAAAGGAUUUGUUAGCAUGAGCAUGAUUUGAUAUUACUAUUUGCCCGGUUUGGAGUGCUAGAUACACUUCGGGUCUUCUAAUACAAAUUCCUUAUUCAUGUGAAUAGUUUGAUUACAUUUGUGAGCUUCAGUGCUUGUUUGAUGGAGUGCUUUUUUGUGAACUUACUUUCCAAUCAUUCUCAUGUAAAAUUUUACCCAAUCAAGGGAAAUUUGAAAAUUUAGAUCUGUUAUGUAAAUGAACUCCAAAAUGCAAUCAUUUAACAUUAUGAAGUAUCUGGAGAACCUGAAUUUGGGGUGCAUGAAUGCGCAUCUUUUGGUGCAUUUGAAUGUGUGAACACACUGAUUUGGUUGUUGCCUCCUACUAAUUUAACUUUGUGUCAAUCUACUGCAUUGCUUUUUCCAUGCUAAGCUUAAAUCCUCUUGUUACAAUUAACAGUCCGGUUUGCACCAAGUUAGAGGUCAAACAAAGUAUUGCUUGAAACCCGGAAGCUGAGAGCAUGAGCAUAUAGGUUAUGCAUUCAACAUGCAGAUAGGGUCAACAGUGAUCGUGAACUCCGAGGCACAUCCUCAUCAGGGGGGUUUCUUUGUUCAGGAUGGAGGUCCAGGUUUAGCUCCAUCCACCUCAAAUCACGUUGCACUGCAGCAGCCUGGUAUACUUUAUGCGAUCAAUUCAUAUGUCACUUACUUAUUAUGGGCUUUCUUCUGAUUAUUUUACCUUCCAAAGUACAAAUUUCCACCUUCUAAUUGUUGUGAAUUUGCAGUGAAAAAACCAACCAGGCAAUGGGCUGCUUGGACACACCAAGAGGAGGAAAGUUUCUUUGCUGCUUUACGACAAGUUGGCAAGGCAUGCUCCUGUCCUUGGUUUUUUUGGUAAUUAAAUAUUUUACACAUAAAAAUCCCUAACUGUGCUAUACUUUGCAGAAUUUUGAAAAGAUAACUUGUCGUGUUCAAAGUAAAAACAAGGAUCAGGUAUUUUCUAGAACAAUUACUUUUGGCUCUUUCCAUUCAGUGGUUGAUUGAUUCUCCUGUCAACAUCUUGAUUUUGAUUUUCUUUCUCUUUUCCCUUCAUGGUUUCCAGGUCAGACAUUAUUAUUAUCGUCUUGUGAGGCGUAUGAACAAGCUGCUGGGUCCAGGAUUAUAUUUGGAUUCCAAAAAUUCUAAAGAUACUAAUGCUGCUAUGCUUCGAUGGUAAGAUUAAUUAUCAAUCAGUUUUGUCAUUUUUCUUACCUUUGGAGAUCCUCUAAAAAGAUUGCAGCCUGGAGUUGGAUCUUAGUUUUUAACAGUUACUGUUGGGAGCAUUUGACCCAAUAUCUUUUGUAGAGAAUCUGUUGUUGAUAAUAUGGCUUAAAGACGUCAUGAUUUUUUUGUCCAAAUUGUCUUGUUAAAUAGAAAUACAAAUGCGCAGAGAAUUAUACGUUUUGUGUGACUUUUGCAGGUGGUCGUUGCUGGAAAAGUAUAGCUGCAAAGCAUCAAAGCUUCACUUGAAGCCCCGAAGAUUUAAGAUCUUUAUAGAAGCAUUGGUUAGUAAAAACAUUAAUUUUAAUCCAGGACUAUGUUCCAUUAUGUGUGUGUGUGUGUGUAUAAUAUAUAUAUAUAUAUAUUUGUUGGAUAAAGCAAGAUUUUUCAUUUAUUUGAUAGAGUAGAAUUUUACUGACCACCAAUAGCCAUGAUACACCAUUGCCUCUCAACUCAUCACUUGCCAUGUGUUAUGCUUGGGGUGGUAAAGGUGCACCAUGGUUAAUGUAGUUGAGCAAAAGUGCACUAUGUCUGAUAUUGAUAUAUUACACUGGUCUUGGACUUACUGUCAUGUUUUUUGCAUAAAGGAACACCAACUCCUGAAAGACCGGAAGAAGAGUGUUAGGAAACGGCCUUCUCAGGGGGAAAACUGCCCUCCUAAUGCUCCAAGCACAGUUUCCAAUCAGAAUAGACCAUCAGGACAUGAUAAUCGCACAGUUAAACUGGUUCUUGUUGACAGUCACAAUAUUCAGAAAUUAGGACCUGGAAAAGCGUCAUUAAAGCGCAAUGUAAAUAUAGGUGUUAAUCGUAGCAACAAAGGAGACUCAAGUACCAUGAAACCUGCUAGACAACGACGAAAACCAGGUGAUUCUUUUUGUUAGUCUAGCCACUUUUGCAUAGUCUAUCCUUUACAGAAGCUAGGGUAUGUGGUCCUUUAAUUCUAAUUUCAUCCCAUUGACAAUCUUCUCAUGUAAAGUUUAGAAUUUAAUUGCUAGUUGCUGAUUUGUCUCAGCUGUGCAAAUUGGCUUCUAAGUUCAGUGUGCUUUUCUUCUUUAUAUAUAUGCUUUAAGUGAACUGGUGUAAGAAUGAGCAUAGAUAUCUGAUGUCAGAUUUGCAUGAUUCUAGCAACCACUUAAUACAGCUGGGAAUAUUUCAAUGCAUUUGGACUUCAGAGUUUCACCCUGAUUAAAUUUUUAUAUAACUUGCUUGAAUCUUUGGAUGGUUGAAAUUACUCUAGGUUUAUUAACUUUAAGUUUUUCAAACCUAACUUGCGCCUUCGUGAAGUCACAUUGCUGUUCUUGCCUCCUUCAAACAUAGCCUCUGAUUUUAUUCUUCGCGUUUUCUUUUCCCGUGACUAAAUUGUGUUACUUGUCUUCCUAAUAAAUAAAAUAAAUUAUUUGAAGGUUUAACUUAAUUUGUUUUUUCCUGUGUUGGCUAUGGUGAACUAUCGCUUCUCAUUCCAGGUACAAUUGGUGGCAUCAGCUGCAUUUUGGUAGAUUACUUAUGAAAAUAAGCAGUACCUGAUUUUCAAAAGAAACUAGUCAACAUAUUGACAAGGAUGAAAAUAUCGGCCAAUACAUCCCUUUUUUAGGUGUCGAUACAGAUACAGGGGGGGUAAGCCUAUUUCUUCCUCCUUAUCGGUGAUAUAUCUCCGAUAACCCCCGAUACCAGACAGAUAACCCAGAAAUUUGUCUUUAGUUUUGAAAGUAAUCAUAGGUCCCAGCCACUGAAUCAAUGUCAAAAACCAAGCUCGAAUACUUAGUAGCUUCUCCUUUCUUCUCUUCCCUGUCAUUUCGGCAAUCUUUGGCUCUUCCUCCCCUCUCUCUGGUUGCUCGGUUUUUUGUGUGUUUGAUUUUAUUUUUCACCUAAUCUUCUGUCUCUCAUUUCCUUAAUCAUUAAGUCUGAUUCUUGUAAUAUAAUGUUGGGUUGGGUUAUGUUUGAAUAAUGUUGUCUUUGUUGUGUUAAGUUCUGUAUUUAUUUUCAGGAUUUUCAUCGCGCAUUAUAUACACGUACAUUUCAUCAUAUGCAUAUCUUAUACUUAGUACAUUUUGAAUUUUAUUAGUUCUAUACAGUCAUUGAUAAUGUGCUUAAUAUCUAUGAAAGUUUCACUUCAAAAUUCCGUGUUUUAAAGCCAUUAUCUGUCUUUUUUGUUGAUUUUCCCCGAUACCUAAAACGACAUCGAUAUGUCCCCCGAAACAUCCGUAAAUUGAAGGCCCGAUAAUAUCUGUAAAUCGCCGAUAUUUUCAUCCUUGAAUUCACAUAUUCUCAAUGCUAGUGCCCCUUUCAGGAAAUUUGGUAUUGGUCUGGUUACUAAUGUAUUAUUAGCAGGUGCAAUCUCGUCAGCAGCGUAUAAAAAGUGGGAAAAGGCUGCAAUUGCUGGGGUUUCUUUGGUUGCUGAUGCUGCUGAGCACCUAGAGCGGGCAAUAACUGAUAAAGAAGUUGAGCAAGACAGAAGUGCUGCAGGUGAAUCAUGUCCUUGCCAGUUCUUGGUUAUUUUUUCUUGAGUGGAUUAGACUCAAGCCAGUUGGGGAAAAUUUAUUAAUGCCAUGGUUCUUUCCAUUUUAAUUUUCAGGGCAAAGUAGCGCUGUUCCUGUUGGAAAAGUUCUGCCGCCUAUGCCCGCUUUUGUACAAAAUAUUGAUGCAGAGAGUGGCACAAACAAUUGUAUGAAACUUAAGCUCCAGUUGUUCCCAAUUGACGAUGGUACUAGAAGAGCCUUGGAAAAUGUGAGCAUUGUCGUAACUUAUAUUUUCAAAUUUGUUUUGAAAUAAAAUUUUAUCACCUGAACACUUUUCAGAGUGAUCAAAAUUUGGGUUAUUAUGGUUUCACAGGAUAAACAUAAUCCAUACUUGGAACUCACUCUUAGUACUCGGAAAAAGAUAUCAUCAGUUUUGGAUCAUCUAAAUCGCAAAUGGGGAAAUUCGAAUGUAGCAUCAGGAGAGCUAACCCUGUUCCAUUACAGUGUCCAGAGGGAUAACCUGAUGGGCUAUCCUAGAUGGACACAAGACUCAAUUGUCAGCGCGGCAGAUGUAUAUGCAACGAUUGGAUGCCCUCCAGUUUUCCGUUUAAGGUUCCUACUUAUUUUCAACUCAAAUAUAAUGUCACACACUAUAUUACUAAAUAUCAUAAAACGAGUCGCAAUAUUUCCUUGCAGGUAUGGUUGGUUCUCCAAUACUGAGCUUGGGUCUGUUGGAUUGCAAACACCUGUAGCAUCUUGCAGCAAUCAAGGUGAGCAUGAUAUUAAUGAAGAGAAGAGGAAGGAGCAGAUUGUGGAUUCAGCGCCUGUAUCUCCUCUUUCAACUGAUAAUCAGUCUGCCGAUAUCCAUAAGGAUCACUUAACUUCAACGAACAAUAGUUGUGUUCUCUCUGCACUGGCUUAUCAACAUUCUCAACCCCAACUACCCGAACGUGGUAAACCACGGUACAACCAUUCUCUUGGUUUGACUUCAGAUGAAGAGCCCAAUGAGAUAAAUGGCUACAUCUGCGCAAGUCCAAACGAUAACUUUGUGGGGGACCCUACGGAAAUAACGUCAUGGCAUAAAAAGGAGGCUGGUGAUCAGAAUACCUCAAGACAUCGGGGAGAGGUGGUAAAUGUCCUUUCUCUGCUCCAUGCUUUUAAUGUUAUUAAACUGUCAGCCCACAGGUAUGAAUGUUUGCAUAUUUUUAACUAGGGCCCAACAGAGGAACUUGCAAUUUGCUUUCUGUACUAACUGUUCCAAUCACAUAGCAUUGUCUUAUCUACCCAUCUUACUUGUACAUUAGAUGUUUCUCAAUAUGACUGUCUCCUGUUGUUUCUUGGAUAAAGCAAGAUAUAUAUAUUUUUUUUGGUUGUGUAUUAAAAUCAAUGCUUACCCUUUUUGUCCUCCUCGACUUACAUUUUCUUUCUGUAAUCUUUUGAAUGUGACAAUUGCCUUGUUCCUUAGUUUAAGAAUUUUUUACAGCUUGGCUAAAUUAGUCUUAUGAACAGAGAAUGUUUUACUUGCAUAACAAUCUGCUUUAUGCCAUCCCCACCCCCGUGGAAAAUAAUAAUAAAAGAAACUUUUUACCGUCAUGGCAACUAAUCAGAUCUCGACUGUGUUCAUAAGAAAGAUGUGAAUAACUUUACCUCUAUUUUUCAAGAACAAUUGCAAAAUGGAAGGAAUAAUGUGUGGAUGUCUUUCUUUUUGUACUUGUAUUAGUGGGAAUCUUAUUUUCUAACCCAUGGAGGAAAUUGUGCUGUAAAUGCUUUACAUAUUUUCUGGGUUACUAUCGUGCUAUUUCUCUGAACAUUAAUUUGUGUGUAUAAUAAUAGGAUGACCUGAGAUCAAUUACUGGCACUGCACUAUCAGCCGGGGUGUGGGCGGAUAGCCUAACCAACAUAAGCAUGGGAGAUCUACUUUCAGGAGUAUCUCAUGAUUUAGAUACUAACUGCAUCGAUCCACCCGUUGCUGAAGGCUCCCAAUGCCUUCAGCAGAUCCCAUUUAGCUGUGAUUCGUUUGAUGCUGUAAUUGCUGCUCAUAUUUCUAGACAGAACAAGACGGGAUGCCAACCUACUAUGGAAUGUCAUGUAUCUUCCAUCUGGGAUGCUGAAGAAACAUGUGAUGCUUUCUCAUUUCAAAAGAAUUCUGUUUUCUGUCAAGAGGUUUCCAGUUUAUCUGCUGUUGCUCCUCCAGGGGCCUGCAAACAAACAGCUGUUGCAAGCUCAGCGGGCUCUGAUUGCAUGGUUGAGGUAUCAUUUCACAAUGUAUAAUUUUUUUUAUUGAAGCACUCAUGUGACUGAGAAAUAGGAAUAGUUGCUUGCAUUGUCAAAAUGCUUGUAAUAAUAUAAGUUUCCUGCAGGAGAUACCUGUAGUAGAGAGGCCCAUUGAUGAUCCCCCUCGAGGUCCUAUAGAUGAAUGUCAGUCUGAUCCACGUAUCCUUGAGAGUUCAGUAAAAGAUUUCAAUGCGUUAACAGAUAUAUACUGGGUAUGUUUCUUUUUCAGCAUUUUAUGUCUUGAAAGUUGAAUCUCCAUGACCCUCAUAUUUCUUGCUGGGUCCUGCUGAAAUCUGCUCCUGUUGUUUCAUCUAUGAAGCAGAGUCAUUUAAACUUUUAUGUAACAAGUUCGUUUAUAGGUUCCUUGACAUCCUUUUUAAUGGAGCUAAUGGAAUUAUAAAUAUAUUUUUGUAUAACAAGGAAUUAUAAAUCUUUUUAAAUGGGAAUUGUGUGUUAACAAUAUAUUUGUUUAUUUUCAGCAAUUUUUUGUGGAUACUUCUGAUUUUUAUUUUCCUUUCUUUGCAGCCUGAAUCUUUAGGACCAUUAGAUUUGGAGAUGCCAUCUUCUAAAUACCAUAGUGAAGAUUUUGUUCUGAGUGAUAGUCUUAGUGGGUUGAACCGCCUUAUUGCCAGCAGUCUCGAUGCAUUUCAAAAUUGCUCCUUUUUUGGGGCGAACAAGAGAGAACCAACAGCAUCAGUUGAAGCUCGAGAAACGGCAUCCUUUUCAGAUUUUAAAAUUGGCAAUGGUGUUUGAGAUCUGCCAAAUGUUGGGGCUUCAAUUGUAGUACAGUGACUAUAACAUUUUCCUAAUGGCGGGGCUUCAAUGGGAGUUCAGUGACUAUAACAUUUUCUCAGUUUAGCUCUGACGUGAGGAUUGCAUGCCAAAGGUGCCCCUGCGAGCCCAAACGGAAUUCGAGCUUUCGUGUGUACAAUUCUCUGAUCAAAGGUUUUAAUUUGUACAAAUGUAGACAAAUUGUAUUUCGGCUUUUUAUUUGUUACUUCUUUUGUAAAUUGUGUAUUCCAGCUGAUGUAUGACCUCUACAACCUGACCGCAUAAAUCGGGUUUCAGAUACCCUGAUGUUGUCGAGUUAUUUGUACAUUCUUUCUUCCUCAAUGUUUAUUCCGUUUAUGCUGUCGAUUUUGUUGGCUGUCAAUUUGUGUUUCUUGACCAAACCAAGAAAAAUGGUCACAUUGGAUUCUAUGAUAAUUUGGAUUAUUUUUUAAUUGAGACUUGAGAGGUUUUAAAUGUCCUGACUAGUUGAAAAAUAACAUGACUAAAGUCACAGGGAGAUGAAGUGCUACAGCAUAAUGGAAUUGUGGAAGCAUGAAGACCCUAAUGUGCUAAUGCAUAAGAGAAAAAGAAAGUAUUAUUGGAAAAUAAGUACGUGUAUAAUAUUAGUAUUAAAUGAGAAAAUGUUAAAUUCUUUAUACGAAUAAUAACUUUGGAAAAUUAAAAAAACAAAAGGGGACAAUAGAGACUCCGGUAAUGGCCUAAUAGUAAUUAAUAAUGCUUUAAACUUCUUUUAUCAAUAAACGAAAAUCAGGGGGAAAAAAAUGAAAAAAGGACUAGCCGCGCGGCUAUACUAUUAAUUUAAAAAAAGUACAUAAAAAAAAAAAAGACCCGCCUAGCAAUUGAGCGCCCGAAUCUUCUUUUUUCCCUAGCGUAAUACCAAGGCCUCUUUCUAUCUACAGAUCUAUCUUGUUCUACUCCAAGGAUUUUGAUAUUCUCAAGUCCUAGGUACACUGAAAUCAUCUUCAUUGUAUAGUUUAAUAAUUUUUAAUAUAAAUUUUUUUAUUCAAUAAUAUGUAAAAAUUAUGUGUAUAUUAUUUGAAUUUUGUGUGUAUUAUUCUAAAUUUUGUAAAAACGCAUGUAUUAAACAUGAAAAAUACGUACGUACGUGUACAAUAUGUGUAUUGUACAUUUGCUUUUUAAAAAACGUGUCUUCUACAGAAUCUUUAAGACGUGUAUGGAAAAUGAAAGUAUCAUCGAAAAUUAUGUAUUUGUAUAAUACGAGUAUUGACUAUAAGAAAAAACCUUUUCUGUGACCAACGCAACUUCGGUCACCCAAUAGUGUUAUUAGCGAGGACAUUUUGUAAUUUUAUCGCCAAAAGUUUUGUGAGAUUUAGGCAUGGGUUAAGACUUCAACCAACCAACCACAAGGUGUGGUGCGGUUGAUAAACUGCCACCUCCAGCUCUGGCGAGCUAUUGGUUUUAGUGUAAAAUACGAUUUAGGCUAAAAAUGAUGGGUCAUUAAGUCAAUAUAUACUUCAUACUAAAAUCCUAUAAAAUCAAGUUUUCUUAAUUGAUGUGUAAGGAAUAAAAGCCGAAAAAAAAUUAUCUUGAGAAAAUGAUUAUUCCGAAAAAUCAUUUUUCUUACUUAGUCAACAUUUUUACACAAAAUAUUUUUUCAUGUAUGAUAUGAAUGCAUUAAGGGACCUAAGGUUUUUUUUAAUUUGUGAAAUUUUGAUUUUUUUUUUCUUUCUAUUGGGUUUAAUGGGGGAAAAAGCUUUAAAGAUAUUUGCUAAAUCGCUACUCUUUGUCUAUCUCUUGCAAUUUUUCUUGCUUAGAAUGUAUUUGUCUAUCCCUUUGUCGAGGACAAUUAUGAUUGCAACCAAUAAGCAAUAUAAUUCUUGAUAAGUGAUAUAUAUAUAUAUACACACUAUUUUUCGUAUGUAUUGUGAAUUCGAAUUUUUGAUUCUUUAUAAUUUGUAAGUGCCCCCCACACACAUGAAAUCUUGACUUCGCCACUAGCAGGGGUUAGAAACCAGUUGGAAGCAUUUUGUGGCCAUGGGCAAGCCGAGCCCCUGGGGACACCUCGUGGUAUUUACCACCAAAAAAAAAAAAAAGACUUCAACCAACUGAUUGGCGACAAAAUCUUUUCGAAGGGUGAAAAAAAUAUUUCGACGUUGUUUAAUGAAUUUGCGACCAAAUGCAAUUUUGGUAGCCCCAUUUUCAAUUUUGUUAGGGGUAGUUUAGUCACUUUUUGUUUAGAAAAGAUUUUGGGGAAUUGAGAAGCACCAUUGAGUAGAGCUCGUUGAAAAAAAUUCGUAGACUGGCGGUCAAUUUAAAACAGAGGAGUUAUGAUCUACGGAAGUGCAGUGGCACAAUUGUAAUUUUUACAAAGUUAAAUUUUUAAAAAACUGAUCAGUGUUGUAAACUAAAUAGAUUAUGGAGAGAAUUGAGAUGGAGAGAAGGCAUAGAAGCCUAAUAUUUUCAUUGAAUGUUUUCUCUGUACAUUACAAGUGAGGAUGAAGUCUUAUUUUAUAGGCAACAAAAUCUGGUAGUGUUAUUGCCUCCUGUGGAUAUGUGAUUGGCUCUCAAGCGAUGAUGGCAAACAAGCUUCAUCAUUUCUCUUCAAUCAAUUAGGUAGUGGGCUCUACCAUUUUGGGAUCCAUCCUUGACUUUACAACACUCCCCCUUGGAGACCACAAAUGGUAUGGAAUAUGCCUCGUUAAAAAACCCUGCCAGUAAAAACCCAGUGGGACAAAAACUGGUCGAAGAGAAAAAGAGUACAUAACCAUGUGUAACAUAAAAUUCUGUGCAUAUUGACACGCGUGCGACACUGCCUCGUUAAAACCUUGCCAGAAAAAAUCCAAUGGGAUAAAAACCUAGACGAAGGAAAAAGAGUACAGUGUGUGAAGAUCUUUAUUGACAGCACGCUCCCCCUGAUGCUUGGCAAAAUAUCUUUAAGCCAUACUGUUGAUCAUCUUUCUUAAUAUCAGAGUUGACACUGCUUCUGUGAGUCAAUCUUGAGCGACACUGCCUCGUCAAAACUUUACCAAGAAAAAUCAAGUGGGAUAAAAAACUGGAUGAAGGAAAAAGAGUACAGUGUGUGAAGGUCUUUAUUAAUACCACGCUCCCUCUGAUGAAUAUCUCCCCCUAAAAACUUCAUGAUUAGCUUUUCCAGUAAGCGACCAUAGAAAUUUCCAGAGUCCGCAUAUCUAAUUACACUUGGGCUAUUUGUAAGUUCACUCAAAAAUAUGCUCGUAUAUGGUGUUAUGCUGAGAUAGCAUCAAAUAUGCCUCACAUCAUCCCAAAAUGAUGGUGAUGAAGUUGAGCUCUAUCUGGAAAAUACGAUGUCCGGUCCAAUAUACUUCCAGAAAAUCCUUAAAGUGUCCAACGAAUAAUCCUCAUAAAAAUGCUUCAAUACUUUCUUCGUAUAAGCAAGAAUCUCGUUGGCAUAAUGCUCGAUUUUUAAGUCGAGACAAAUAUUUUUUGAACUCUUCAAAAGCUUUAAUGUGUUGCAAACACAUUAUAAUCAAUAUACUUACUGAGGCAAUUUAUGCACAUUAACAUUGAGUACAAAUUUUGUGCUUCAGGCACAUGUCCUUCAGGGACUUGCUUCAUGCAAUUUCAUCCUUUCAAGGAUUUUGUUUAAAGGGAUUAAACUUUAUGACACAUUAUAUAGCUUUAAUCCAGCUAUUUAUACAUCUUUAGGGAAUCGCUUAUGGCGAUAGCUUUAACCCUUAAAGAUAAUAUGUUGGUCUCCGUAAUUGUGCGGUAAGGGGGCACAAUUGAAUUUGUAAAUAUGGAAAAACCCAAUAUUCCUUGUUUAUGCCAGAGACAUUAUGUCAUACAAAAUAGGUAUAUUCCCUUUUAUUCCGAACACCCAAGUAUAACUUUCAGUAUUAACAUCUUUUGGGGUUCGUACUGUGGGUUUGUUCUUUCACGUUCAUUCUCAUCUAUAAUGGAAUUACCUCAUUCCAUUUUGGCCAAUGAUAUUGUCGACAUUUAAUAAUUGAACGUGGUUCCAAUCAACACAGCCCAUUGAUGAUUUGAGUAGCUACUCUAAAAUCAAAAAUUGUCAUUCAUCAAUUCAUGAUCUCAUUAUUCUCAUUUGCAUGCGCACGCAUCAAUUAUAAGUAUUUCUUUGCUUUUGGGUACCCAAGCCACUUCAAGGGGCUUUUAUUAUGUGAGAAUGUGGAUUAUAACCUCCAAUGGAGCGUUAUUUUACAGUAGGGCAUGGAUAAUCUCUAUUUAGGGAGUUGGAACAUUUAGAACCCAUAUAUCUGUCAUGUUGCAGGCAUGCCACAGAUUAAUACAUACAUGUCAAUUAAUUUCUGGGACUUUAACCCAUACAAUUUGCUACACAUUAGGCGUGCACAAUAUCAAUAUUGACAUGUCAAAGGUGUUGGCGUGACUUGUGGAUAUUGGCUUACUUUCCUUACACACAAAAAAUUCCUAUUAUAAUUGUAAUUGAUUUACUUUAAUUCCUGAUUUCCUACUGUAAAUAGAUUUAGGAAUUUAUUAUUUACUUGCCCAUUCAGAUUUCGUUGUAUUAUAAAUAUGACCUCCUACAAGGAGAAGAAUACACAGAAAAUUCCCACAAACAAAUAUUCUAUUAUAGUUUUCAUAUUUUAGCAUGGUAUCAGAGCUGCGAUCUUGGAAUUGCUGACUCUAGUUUCAAACUCCCGCCGCCGCUAUGGGGGUUGAUGAUUUUUUCAACCCUCGUGGAGGUAGCACCACCGACUCCUUCUCUCAUUCUCAAUCAACCAUCGUUGAGUUGAGUGCUCAGAUGGCUUCGCCCCUAUAGAUGUAGACUUUGACCCCGAACUCGAUCCAGAAUCAGGAUCCUCUUUUGACGACCCCGACCUCGACCCCGACUAUGACGACGACGACCCCGACCUCGAAUCCGGAUACGACCGCGACCCCCACUCCGAUCAUGACCCCAACCCCGAAUUUGUCUAUGAUUCAGACCCCGAUCCCGAUUUCGACUCCGACUCCAGCCCCGACUCAGGCUCAGAUUCUGAUCCAAAUUCCUACUCAACCUGUAUCCUGUGCAUCUUCCGCUGCACAGAUUAUGACUUCUAGACUAACGACCCAGACACAUGGACCAAAUUGCGCAUAUUAUGGUGAUCCGAGACACACUUGUGAGACUUGUUUUAAAUCGCAUGGCUACCCCGAUUGGUGGGCUAGUCUUACAGAUCGAGGACAAUGCAAUAUGACCAGUAAUGGUACUGGUUAUGGAUUUCAUACUUCCGAUAAGAUUGAUUCCAAGAGCUGGAUAAUUGAUUCUGGUGCAACUGAUCAUAUGACGUUUGACCCUGAUGAUUUUUUGAAUACUACACAACCUCGACGAACCUGUAUUGCAAAUGCCAAUGGUGUUACUUAUCCUGUGACAGGGGCUGGCACUGUUGCACUCUCAUCCUAUCUCACCCUGUCUAAUACUUUACUUGUUCCAUCUUUAUCCACUAAAUUGUUGUCAGUUAGUCAGCUUACUGAACAAUUGAAUUGUUGUGUACUCAUUUACCCGAGUUUUUGUUUGCUUCAGGAUAUUCACACUAAGGAGAUUCUUGGUCGUGGUACUAAGAGAGGGGGGCUAUAUUAUGUUGAUGACUUCAGUCUCGGCGUGGCUAACAGUGUGACACAUCCCUUGGAUAGCAAACAAAAGCAAAUCUGGUUGUGGCAUCGUCGAUUGGGACAUCCGUCUUUUAGUUAUAUGAAGCAUCUUAUACCAGAUUUAUUCUCAGGUUUCAAAGACUCCGACUUCACAUGUGAUACUUGUAUUUUGGCCAAGAGUCACCGUGUGCCCUACCCGUUGAGUACGAACAAGUGUACUACUCCAUUUACGUUAAUUCACUCUAAUGUCUGGGGACCUUCGCCUAUCACUACUCCUUCUGGUGUUCGAUGGUUUGUCACAUUCAUCGAUAAUUGUACACGGAUGACAUGGCUUUAUUUGCUGAAGAAUAAAAACGAAGUGUUUUUCCGUUUUCAGUCCUUCCACAAACAGAUGAAAACUCCGUUUAAUGCUCAAAUCCAGAUUCUUCGCUCAGACAAUGGUGGAGAAUUUGUCAAUCAUGACUUUCAGACUUACUUCCAACAACAUGGAAUUAUCCAUGAGACGACUUGUCCUGAGACACCACAACAAAAUGGUGUGGCUAAACGAAAGAAUUGACAUCUUCUUGAAACCGCCCGAGCACUUUUGAUUGGCGCUCAUGUUCCUUGCCAUCACUGGGAUGAUGCUAUUGUCACUGCAGUUCACCUGAUUAACCGCAUGCCUUCUGGUGUAUUGACCUUUAAAACUCCCUUACAGGUGCUUGCGCAACACAGACCUCUGCCCUCUGUUUUGGUACUCACACCCCGAAUCUUUGGAUGUGUGGCUUUCGUUCAUCUCCACAAAAAUCAACGUAGCAAACUUGAUCCCUGUGCGCUUCGUUGUGUUUUUGUGGGUUAUGCCACUCAUCAGAAAGGUUACCGUUGUUAUCACCCUCCUACCCAACGAACCUAUGUCACUUUGGAUGUGACCUUUCUGGAAUCUGAGCUGUUCUUUCAUUACCCAUCAUCCAAUUCUGCGCUUCAGAGGGAGAUACGAAGUGAAGAGCAGAAUUGGAGCAACUUGGAAAACAAAGAAAUUCUCCUAUGUACAGAAAUGAUUGAUCAUCCCGAGUCUGGAGCACGAGAUUACUCUCUGUUGAAAAGCGACCAAUCGCCCAUUCAUAGCGAUCAAUUGCCUGACCCACCUGAUCCAUGCGAAGAUAUUUCUGAUCCAAGUCUCAUACCUGCAGACAAUACAAAACAACAAGAUGAAGACCCCAUUCUAACUCAACGUACCAACAGACCAAUCUCCUGAGAAUAUCCUUGAGGUAACUACUCCUACUAGACUUGUGCAUUUAGAUGAUAAAACUAUUGGAUAUCAAUUACCUUUCAGGCAAAAUCGUGGGAAGCCACCAAACCGUUAUUCACCUGAUAUUGGCAAGACAUCCAAGUAUCCAAUUGCAAAUCAUGUAUCCACUGAGAAGCUGUCUGAACCACUCAAGGCUUUUGUGCAUCAGUUGUCUGCUAUCCAUAUUCCAACCAAGGUUUCUGAAGCAUUGAAAGAUCCUAAGUGGGUUCAAGCUAUAAAAGAGGAGAUGAAAGCUCUUGAGAAAAAUCAGACUUGGACAUUGGAGACUAUACCACGAGGAAAAAAGACUAUCAGAUGUAGAUGGGUGUUUACUAUAAAACACAAUGCAGAUGGAUCUAUCGAGUGAUACAAGGCAAGACUUGUGGCAAAAGGGUACACACAGACCUAUGGUAUAGACUAUGAAGAAACUUUUGCACCAGUUGCAAAGUUAAACACCGUCAGAGUCUUAUUGUCCCUUGCAGCUAAUUUGGAUUGGCCACUACACCAGUUUGAUGUAAAAAAUGCUUUUCUACAUGGCGAACUCACGGAGGAGGUGUACAUGGACAUUCCUCCUGGAUAUAAUACUAUUCAGACUGGAACAGUUUGCAGGUUACGAAAAGCAUUGUAUGGAUUGAAACAGUCACCACGUGCAUGGUUUGGACGGUUCAUCAUGGCAAUGAAGAACAAUGGUUUCAAACAGUGCAACUCAGAUCAUACUCUGUUCUUGAAACAUCGAAAAGGGAAGGUAACAGCAUUAAUAAUCUAUGUUGAUGAUAUGAUUAUUACUGGGAAUGAUAAACAGGAAAUAUCACAGCUACAAGACUAUCUGGCUACGGAGUUUGAGAUGAAGAAUCUAGGUGGACUCAAGUAUUUCUUGGGAAUUGAGGUGGCUCGAUCGCAGCAAGGCAUAUUUCUCUCUCAAAGGAAAUAUGUCUUGGACUUGUUGACAGACACAGGAAUGCUAGAUUGUAAACCUGCGGACACUCCUAUUGUUCAGAAUCAUCAUCUUGGAGAAUAUCUGGAUCAAAUUCCAACUAACAAAGAAAGAUACCAAAGGUUAGUGGGAAGAUUGAUCUAUUUGUCACAUACUCGACCAGACAUUGCUUAUGCGGUGAGCGUUGUCAGUCAAUUUAUGCACUCUCCAAGUGAAGACCACAUGAAUGCAGUUCUUCGGAUACUUAGAUAUUUGAAAUCUGCACCUAGAAAAGGACUUAUGUUCUCAAAGCAUGGUCAUCUAAAUAUUGAUGGUUAUUCAGAUGCAGAUUGGGCAGGUAAUGUAACAGAUAGAAAAUCCACAUCGGGUUACUUCACAUUCGUGGGAGGUAAUUUGGUGACAUGGAGGAGCAAGAAACAGAAUGUAGUAGCUUUAUCCAGUGCAGAAGCCGAGUUCAGAGGCAUGACUAAAGGGAUUUGUGAACUUCUUUGGUUAAGAAAGUUGCUUAUUGAACUCGGGUAUAAACCUACAUCCACAAUGAAUCUCUUUUGUGACAACAAGGCUGCUAUAGCUAUUGCACAGAAUCCGAUUCAGCAUGAUCGUACUAAACAUGUUGAGGUGGAUCGACACUUCAUCAAACAGAAGCUUGAGGCUAAAGUGUUUCAGUUUCCUUUUGUGAAAUCCGAGGAUCAAUUGGCAGAUAUUUGACAAAGGCGAUUUCCAGUAAAGCAUUCCACAAUUCACUGGAUCAGUUGGGCAUUGGCGACAUCUAUUACACACCAAAAAUUCCUAUUAUAAUUGUAAUUGAUUUACUUUAAUUCCUGAUUUCCUACUGUAAAUAGAUUUAGGAAUUUAUUAUUUACUUGCCCAUUCAGGUUUCGUUGUAUUAUAAAUAUGACCUCCUACAAGGAGAAGAAUACACAGAAAAUUCCCACAAACAAAUAUUCUAUUAUAGUUUUCAUAUUUUAGUAAAAGGAUUGUCCUUUCGGGACUUCAAUCCACAUCAUUUGCUACGCAACAGGCGUGCAUCAUAUUGAUCACUGCUAUACCCAUAUUCUGUUCUUAUGGGACUUUAAUCUGUGCAGUGUAUUAUCAAUGUAUCCAACUUGCAAUCUGUGAAAUUUGCAUUAAUAAUUCACGGAUACAUACAAGCCAUUCUUUUAGAACGGACUUAUCUCCCCAUUUGGUUACCUUUCAAGAUAAAAUAUCAAAUAAGUAUAAUAGCAUAAAAUAACACAAGUAUUGCUUACAUCCUUAGGGGGGAGAAACUUUUCUCAAGUAUCAUUCAAGCUCGUAUCGGCCCAGUAAAUAUAAUGUAGCUCUUGAUGAUCUAGUUAUAUCCUGCAAGAGCAAAAAUCACAAUUCUUCUCUCUGUCAAAAACAAAUAACCCUCAGAGUUAGGAUCACUACAUGGAUUCUUUCUUCGGAUGUUCGUUCUAAAGAAAUAAAAUCCCUUAUGAACAGAUAGUUAUAAAAAGAAAGAAAAGAUACAAAAAUUGUGAUAUUGAUUGCAAGGUAAGGUAAGCAAUCAGGUGAGGAAGCUGAUGAGAGCAGACAACAAACUCUCAUUUCUCCUAGUCUAGAAGAACUUCAGGAGAUUAGAGCAUGUGGUCGCCUUCACAGUUCCCCGAUGUAGCAGAAACGUGAUCAGGGAUAGUCUUGCUUCCUGAAUAGAUGAUCAGAGAUAGUCUUGCUUCUUAAGCACAUUGAGUGCUCGCUGAUAUGAAAAAUAAGUGGAUAUCGCAUCUCUCGAUCUGCAAAGAAAAUUUCGUUAGCAACACAUUUAUAUACAAAUACAAGGAAUAGGUAGAACCGGUGAAUUUCAAAUUAACUAUAGGAAAAUUACGAGAUUCUCGGGGUACUUUUGAAAAAGUAGCUCCGUGAAAUCCAUAAAGCAAGAUCGGCUUUGACGAAAAUAAUACUUGAAAAGGCCGAAAGUGCCGACAAACAUUAAUGGAGGCCGCGUGAAGUUUUGGAAUCUGGAAAAGAAAAAGAGAAUAUGGGGAUCUGAGAUAAUAUUGGGAUCCUGGAAACUGUAGCCAUAUUUCCUCCUAUAGAUAUUGCCUUUGCAAAACUUGAUUGGAGCAACUGCGUUUCAACUCAACUUCCUUCAUUUUCUGAAACUUUAGUUUUUUCUAAGACUUUCUUCUAAACCUUCUUAAAAUGGCUUCCUCUUCUUCCUGCCCAAAUUAUUUCAAUUUAAAUGAUGCUCCCACACCAACCAGUGACGCCAAAGUUUGGCGUCCAUCCUUUGUAUCCCAAAAUCGUCAUCCCACAGUUAAUAAUUCUGUGAUGAUGAAUGAUGCUACUGCUGUCAUAGUAGCUAGGAAUUUCAUUACUCCAAUGGAUGAAAUACUGUUAACAGGGAGGUCUGAGGAAGAGGCUAUUGAUGACUCAAUGACUUCUAGCAUUCAGAGUGCUGCUUCUGUUUCUAACAUGGCUGAUCGUUUGCGUGCCAGAGCAAACGAGGUUCAGAAGCUAACAACUGAAAAUUCGUCUUUUCAAAGAAUGCUUCAUGAGUCUCAACAGGAGGUUGAGAAACUUAAAAGAGAGAAUAAUGCCUUGUUGAAACUGGUGAGUUCGUACUCCGUUGAUACACUGAGAAGGCUAGACAUGCUGCAGGUCUCCAAUGAAAGAAUUUUGGGAGACCACGAGAGUCUUAUGGCUAAGCUUAAGAGGCGCCGUCCUCUUCCUUCAGAGGCUUCCAGAACAUGAUGUAAUUUUAUAGAUUUUACAGGGCCUGCACCUUCAUUGCAGGUGGAAAAAAUUUAUCUGUUGUAUGCUCCUUUCCUGUUAUAAUUAUUGCGCACAUUCUUAAACUUACACCUGUGGUUUUUACGUCUUUUCAAAAUGACGGUUUGGAACCUUGUGUCUUAUAGGUUCAAGUAACCACAUCAAAUCUCUCAAAUUACAUAUUUUCAUGCAUUUGAGCUCGGAACUUUUGGUCUGGGUUAAACACAAACUCAUAAUUUAUUCGCCCUUUUCAAAUGGACAUGAAAUAUGGAUUGAGUAAAAGCCAUGAUAAUAUCGCAAUAUAGUAGUGAAGAGCAUUAACUACUAUAUACCCACAACCUCCAGUUCGGGAUCUCUCAUAUAUCUGGAUCCAUGGGCUUCCAGCCCAGAUAUAACAAAAUAUGUGGGGAGCCUCAAUUCAUCAUUUGAGGUUUAUACUGAUAUUAUCCAUUUCACGGUGUAUUCUUAACAACCGGAAUUCACAAAAUAUAUUUCUUCCUUGAGGUGUCGAUUAUAACAUAAUCGAACUUUAUUAAAUUCAUCAUUCUCUUAUGCCAAAGAAAUAUAUGGUGUACCAUAAUUUGCAAUAAUACCUCAAGGGUUGUUCAUUUAACUGUUGGAACUUUAGGUUCUCAACACUGUUAGAUUUUGAACUUCAGGCCAAAAUCACAUAUUCUCAUGGUAUGGACAUUUUAAAAAUUUUCUAUACAUAUUUCGGGACUUCAUGCCCUUACAUAAUUGUCCAUAUUUUGAGGAACUUCUAGCAUCUCAUUUAAUUGCUCAUUCAUGAGUUUAAGGAACUGCAGGUUCCCUUUUGUAUAUAGUGACGGUUUACCCAAAAUGGUUAAUAUUUAUGCAUACGUCACUAUUCAUGUAUCCGAUACUAUUCAUCAAGUCAUAAAUACGUAUCUAUUCAUGUGUACAGUACAUUUGUCAGUACAGUUAUUAUCCAUGUGUACGGCACUAUUAACCAAUACGGUACUGUUACAUCAUUAAGGAACCCCAGGUCCUUACUUACAUGUCAAGGAUCAAGGACCCUCAAGUCCAAUCACAUGUUUUCAAAUAUAGUACCAGAGAGACUGUCAGCUCUCAUACCAAUAUCAUCAUCAAGGAUCUUCAAGUCCUGAUGUAAUUGUAUGAUGAGGAUCAAGGAACUUCUGGUCAUGAUCUGUAUACUGAAAAAACUCAUCAUACCACACAAUUAAUCCAUAAAAUAAAUUGCUUAUAAAUAAAUUACUGGUAUGGACGAUAAACCCGCACCAUACUUUAAAUAAAUGUAAAUGUGCGGUAAAAUAAAUUCAUAAAGUAUGAGGGUUAAUUCCACAUCAUACUUUAAGUAAAAGUAAAUUUGCGAUAAAGUAAACGUGCUUGUAUGGGCACUAAUUCUGCUCUAUACAUUUAAAUAAAAGUAAAGGCAUGGACGAUAAACUCACGCUACCCUUUUAAAUAGAUACUGUUGUAUGGGUAAUAAACCUACUUCAUACCAUAAAUAAAAUAAAUGUGAAAAUAAAAUCGCCACUAAAAAUAUAGGAGGUGAAACCAUCCAUAAUAUUAUAUAUAUUAUUAUACUAUAUGUUCUUAUACUAAUAUAUAAUAAGAAAAAUAAGGAAAGUGAUUAGUGGAAUAUCACGCAUGCUCCAGGCUUUCAAAUCAGUUGCUUUUAUCCUGUCCCAAAGCCAAUUACUUUCUUAUUAUUAUAAUAUAUUAAACCAAAGUAGCUUUCCAACGUAGUUUUGUGCUGGUUUGAAUCCAUGCCCCUCAUUUUCCACUGCCACCACUGUACCUGCACCAAUUGGCUUAUUAAAUACUGUAGAGAAAUAAUAAAGUAAUAGAAAGCAUAAGGGGCAGAGGGCUUAUUGGAUUUUUAUUUAUUUUUCUUUCUUUCGGUGGGUUUGCUGUUCUCAAAACAGGCUUUAGCACUUCUCCUUUCUGAUAUGGUGCUGCUCUGGGAUCUCCAUAGACAUGGGCUCGAAGCCUCUUGUGCACCCAUACUCAAUUAUAGUGGCUUAUUGCUAGCUCACGUGGUGUUCUUUUUGCCAUUCUGUUUCCACACCCAUCAAUAUCUGGAGAAAUUAAACUGAUUGGUUGCUCUAAUGUGCUAGGAGCUGGAGCCGCUGAUACAAACUUGGGUGUUGCCGACAUAGGCAAAAGCGCAGCUACCGGAAUAUUCCUCUGGUUCCGGACCCUCACGGCCCAAACAAUGUACGGAUCAGCAAUUAUGGUGCUCACCGGCGUCCACGAACCCAGAAAAUUCUUUUGCUCGGACGAGCUCGGAGUAGCGUGGCAAGUCGGAUGUUGUCAGGUUUCGGGUCGGAUCCGAUGAAGCCGUACCACUCCUUGGUGGCAACGAAGGUGAUGAGGGGUGUGUUGUCGGGUUUCUUUGAGGAUAGGAGUUUGCAGAGGUUCAUCAUGGGAUUGAUGUGGCCUCUGCCGGAAUAGGGUAGCGCCACCACGUGACAGACUGAGAUCAGUUCAUGAUGAUGAUGGGGAAGAAGAAAAAAGGAAUAAGAGAUCUGGGUUUCAUCAGGGAAUUCAGCUGGUAUAUUUGAGAGCGAAUUCGUGCUGAUAAUGUGUUGUAAACUAAAUAGAUUAUGGAGAGAAUUGAGAUGGAGAGAAGGCAUAGAAGCCUAAUAUUUUCAUUGAAUGUUUUCUCUGUACAUUACAAGUGAGGAUGAAGUCUUAUUUUAUAGGCAAUAAAAUCUGGUAGUGUUGUUGUCUCCUGUGGAUAUGUGGUUGGCUCUCAAGCGAUGAUGGCAAACAAGCUUCAUCAUUUCUCUUCAAUCAAUUAGGUAAUGGGCUCUACCAUUUUGGGAUCCAUCCUUGACUUUACAACAAUCAGCUCCUUUCUCUCUUAUUUUUUUUCUCUCCUCUCCCGACUCUUGUUUCUCUCUCUUCGUGCAAACCGGCUAACCACUUUGGCUAGUGAUUUCUGUCAACUCCGGUGACCGUUUCAGGCGAGACUGGUCCCAAAAUCUUCAUCUUGAUGUCCUUUUCGAAGCUAAAAAACCCAAGAAUUUUGGAUUGGAACAACGUCAAGUUUCGGCUGAAACUUCCAUCGUCGCCAUCAACAUUUCUGGCCGCCUCAGCUGCGCCUCCACCUGGAUCGGGUUCGUCUCCUCUCCCUCUUGCUUUCCUAGAGGUUUCGCAACCUCAUGGUUGGGCAUAGAGGCUGGCCUGAGCUCAAGAAAAAUGCCACUUUUUGCCCGUGAUUCACCUAGUUCCGGCCACUUUUCGGCCAGGGUCCGAAAACAAAAAACGAUCCCCUAGGUGUGCUGGUUCUAUGGUAGAAAGAUUGGUCGAUAGUUUGAAGAUUUUCCGUCGCCGAAAAAUCUCUCAAUCCACCCAUCGCUGUCGACCUGCACGGCCCAUAAAAUUUCGGCUCGUCGAGUAAAAACCCAGCUUGCAUGUCAUAGCCCUGCCCAUAAACUAAAGUCUCCUGCGUGAAUACCCAUUAAACGGGAAAAUGCUAAAUUCUUUAUACAGGUAAUAACUUUAGAAAAGUAAAAAAAAUUAAAAGGGGACAAUAGAGACUGGGGUAAUUGCCUAAUAAUAAUGGAUAAUGCUCUAAACUACUUUUAUCAAUAAACGAAAAUCAGGGAAAAAAAUAAAAAUAAUGAAAAAGGGGCCCAAGUAUAGCCGCAUGGCAAUACUGUUUAAAUAUAAUAUUCAGAGAGUAUAGCCGUGCGGUGGUACUAUUUAAAUAUAUUAUUCAUAGAGUAUGGCGUGCGGCUAUACUAUUUAAAUAUAAUAUUUAACGAUUAUAGCCUUGCGGCUAUACUAUUUCUUUGGAAAAAAAGAUUAUAUCAAAAAGGGAACCUCCUAGUUAUUGGGCGCCCGAAUCUUCUCUUUUCCCUAGCGUAAUUCCAAGGACUCUUUCCAUCUACAAAUCCAUCUUUUUCUACACCAAGGAAUUUUGAUAUUCUCAAGUCCCAGGUACACUGACAUCAUCUUCAUCGUACAGUUUAAUAAUUUUUAAUAUAUUUAAAUAAUUUUUUAAUAAUAUGUGAAAAUUUUGUUAAAAACACAUAUAUUAAACAUGAAAAAUGCAUACAUACGUGUACAAUAUGUAUAUUGUACGUUUGCUUUUUUUAAAAACGUGUAUUUUAUCGAGUCUUUAAGAUGUGUAUGGAAAAUGGAAGUAUUAUUGAAAAAUGCAUACAUGUAUAAUAUAAGUAUUAAACGGGAAAAAUGCAAAAAUCUUUAUAUGGAUAAUAACUUUGAAAAAGUAAAAAAUCAAAAGGGGACAAUAGAUACUCGGGUAAUGGCCUAAUAGUAAUGGAUAAUACUCUAAACUACUCUUAUCAAUAAACGAAAAUCAGGAAAAAAUUUUAAUAAAAAUGAAAAAUGGACCAUAGUAUAGCCAGGCGGCUAUACUAUUUAAAUAUAAUAUUUAAAGAGUAUAGUCACGCAGUUGUACUAUUUAAAUAUAAUAUUCAUAGCGUAUAGCCGCGCAGCUGUAAAAUUUAAAUAGAAUAUUUAAUGAGUAUAGCCGCACUAUUUAAAUAUAAUAUUUAACAAGAUUAUAAAAAAGAAAAAGGACCCUCCUAGCGAUUGGGUGCCCGAAUCUUCUCUUUUCCCUAGCGUAAUUCCAAGGGCUCUUUCCAUCUACAAAUCUAUCUUGUUCUACACCAAGAAAUUUUGAUAUUCUCAAGUCCCAGAUACACUGACAUCAUCUUCAUACUACAAUUUAAUAAUUUUUAAUAUAUAUAAUUUUUGAUUAACUACAGUAAACCCCCCAAAUUAUAGGGGUAAUUACAAAAUCAUACCCAACAUUUAUUGACCCGUUUGACCAGUACAAAAACUUCAUGGGACCUUUCAAAAGACACCCACUAUUAGGAAAACCGUUAAAAAUUAUGUUAACUGCUGACGUGUGUACAUGUACAAUACGAGUAUUGUACGUUUACUUUUUAAAAAACUUGAAUGUUACCAAGUCUUUAAAACGUGUUCAGAACAUGGAUGUAUUAUUGAAAAAUAUGUACGUACGCGUAUAAUAGAGUGUUACACAUGAAAGUGCGAAAUUCUUUAUACGGGUAAUGACUCUGGAAAAGUAAAAAAUUAAAAGGGGACAAUAGAAACUCGAGUAAUGGCCUAAUACACGUGUCAAAAAGCGUAUAGCAGUGCGGCUAUACUGUUUAUUUUAAAAAAAAAGAGGAUCGUCUAUCGAUUAGGUGCCCACGUGUCAAAAUAAGUAUAGCCAACCGGCCAGAUUAUUAUUUUUUUUCAAUUUAAAAAACUGAGUAUAGUCAUGCGACUAUCCUUUUUAAAACUAAAAUAAGAGGGCUCCCUAGCGAUUAGGCGCCCAUGUGUCAAAAUCGGUAUAGCCGCACGGCUAUACGAUUUCUUUUUUAAAAAAUUGUGGUAUAGCCGCGCGGCUAUACGACUAGACUGUUUAACUACAUUAUAUUUAAAAGGUAUAGCCGCCCGGCUAUACUAUUUAAUUACCCAAAAAAAAAAAAAAAAAAAAAAAAAAAGGGGACCCUCCUAGUUGUUAGCAAAGAAAGGAUCGGCUAAACGAAAACAAAUUUUUAAAUCCAAAAAAAAAAAAGAAAAAAAAAAGAGAGAUAAAUUGCCGAUUGAUUAUAUGUUUAAACAUUGGGAAAUAUGAUAGAAAUAUUGUUCUAUAGCUUAGAUUAUCCAAGGACCCUCCUUGUUGGAUUAGUUUAUACUUUAUAGAUAUUAAUUUGCUAUUUUCAACAUAUCAAAAGCAGAUAUUAAUCGCCCACUAUAUAAUAUUUUUAAUAUAUAUUAUUUUAUUCAAUAAUAUGCGAGAAUUAUUUGUAUACUACUUUAAUUUUUUUUUUUUGUCUUAUUGAAAAUUUAAUAUGAAAACUACGUAUAUUAAACAUGAGAAAUACGUACGUACAUGUACAAUACGAGUAUUGUAUGUUUGCUUUUUUAAAAACGUGAAUUUUACUAGUCUUUAAGACGUGUACAGAACAUGGAUGUAUUAUUAAAAAAAUAUAUAUACAUACGUGUAUAAUAGAGUAUUAAACGUGAAAGUGCAUAUAUAAAGCGUAUAGCCGAUUUAUCAAAAAAAAAAUUUAACAAAAAAAACGCAGUAAAGCCGGUCGGCUAUACUAUUUUUUAAAAAAAAUUAGAAAAAAAGUCGAGUAUAGCCGCCCGGCUGUACUAUUAUGAAAAAAUAUAUCAGAGUAGCCGCAUAGCGCCUAGUUGCCCACGUGAAAAAAGAAAUCGCCUCACGGCUAUACUUUUUUUUUGGAAACAUGAAUUUAAAAAAGUAUAGCCGCGCGGCUAUACGUUUAAUUUUUUUUAAUUUAAAAGACCCGUUUAGCGAUUAGGGGCCCAUGUGUCAAAAAGACCCUUUUAGCGUUAGGGGCCCAUGUGGCAAAACUAGUAUAGCCGCGCAGCUAUACUAUUUCUUUUUUAAGACAUGUGGUAUAGCCGCUCGGCUAUACUAUUUUUUAAAAUUGAAGAAAAAAGGACCCUCCUAGUUGUUAGCAAAGAAUGGAUAAGCUAAACGAAAACAAAAUUUAAAAUUUUUUUUAAAAAAAAAAACAAGUAAAGAAAAAUGGCCGGUUGAUUAUAUGUUCUGUUUGGUUCACGAGAAACGCUGGGAAAUAUGAUAGAAAUAUUGUUCUAUAGCUUAGAUUAUUCGAGUUUUCUUCAGAAACCAGGGUAUUAAAAUGCAGUUUGAUAGUCCUUGUCUCAAGCAAAAAUAAUUCCAUGGAGCUCUGCUACUCGCUCCGACUCUGAUGUUUCAUUUGAGUUGAGUAUGCUAGAUUGGCCAUGAAAAAGAAGCGGUGCCGAUGUGCCCUUUCACUUGGUCACUUUGUGCUUGCUGGAUUGGGAGAGCCAAAAUUGUUAAGAAAGAACCUUUCAUAAAAAAUUGGAAGAAAGCAACGUAAGUGUUUUAUUCGGCCUAAUUUUAACAGGAUACAACUGAAAAGUUCGGCCACUAGAAUUACAAUGGAAACUUCCAUGCUAUGUUGCUGCAUUAAUAAGAACCAAUCUUUAAUGAGAUGUGUGACCAAAAAAAGUCUUUAAUGAGAUGAUGAAGCAGAACUACUUAGUGGCAGUGGCAAUAUGAAAAAUCAAAUUCGUGUUUGAAUUUUGGCCUUUACAUCACUAAUGAAUUGACAUAAGUUCUUCUGUGAUGACCCAUUUACAGCCAAGCCAUCCUCCAAUUUUUGCCUCAUCUUCUUGAUCUCCUUCUGCAAUCCAUCACCCAACCUUCCACUCAUCAGACGGUUGAUCUUCUCUGCUACCUCCAUCCUUGUAAUGGGUUUAAUCCUGUCACAAAGAUUGAGUCCAAUCCCCCAAUCAUCAACUACAAGUUUCCUAUUGGUGGUUUGGUCAGUCAAUAUAGGAUAACACAACAUUGGAACACCACACCACAUACUUUCCAGUAUGGAAUUCCAUCCACAAUGAGUCAAGAACCCUCCUAUUGCUGGAUUUGAAAGCACCUCAAUCUGAGAGCACCAUGGCACAAUCAGCCCUCUAUCUUUAAUCUCAUCUUCAAAUCCGACAGGUAGGAUCGAGGUUUCAAGUUCACCAUGACUUAUAGUAUCAGGGCGUAGCACCCAAAUGAAACUCACUCUACUAAGCAAAAGCCCAUGAGCUAUUUCUUCUACCACAUUCUUAGUAACUUGAGCGUAGCUUCCAAAUGAAAUAUACAGAACUGAACCAGGAGGCUUGGCAUUGAGCCAUUCUGUACAGUCAAACUCGGAGAUGAGGUUGGUUGCCACCACCACACUCUUGGUGGCUUUACUGGGGAAGACAGGGCCAAUUGCAUAUGCGGGUUGCUUCUCUUGCAAGGCUAGAAGGGACUGGGAUUCGAGUUCUUGCACUGUGUUACACAAAAUAAAAUUUGCAUUUAUAACUUGUUGGAAGGCCUUGUAUAGGAUUCUGUGAGCUGCUGUUGAUGUAUUAGUAGCUUGGAGGUGUGAUACCAAGUCCUUUGGUUCAAUAGCCUGCACACCAGGUAUGUAAUCGAUCGUGUCCUCGCGAUUAUCUAAUAAAUCAACCAGGAAAAUUAGAUAUACAUAAUCAAAAAAUCUUCUCUUGUCUUUUUUAUCGACAAUCUGAUAGCAUAACAUGUUGGAUAUGAGAAGGUUAUUACUUACCAUGAGAACCAAAAUGACCAUUUUUUCUGAGGAGGUCCAUGUGAUAGUAGAUGCACAAGACGAAAGCUGUUUCAGUCCAGAAGGAAAUGUGGACAAGGUUAUACUUGUUGGCUAUGGUUGCUGGCCAGGUGUGGAAGGUAUCAGCAAUCAAGCAAGUGAUUGAAGGGUCAGAUUGGACUAAAUUUCCAACAAGUUCAUCAACAUGUGCAGGGAAGACAUGCAAUAGACCCUCAAGAUAUUGAUCAAGAUUCUGAGACCGGUUGAAGGCUAGUGGAAAACCAUCACUCACUGUUCUGUAGCGAAUGUCUAGACCGGACUUACGCGCUGCAGCAAAGAUGUCUUCUUGACCUUCACUGCCAUUGGAUUCGGAUUUGGUUAUCUGGUGGUGAAUAAUUUGGGUGUUGACAAAAGUGAUGGUGAAACCAUUUGAGGCAAGCUUCAAGGCCAGAUGGGUAAAUGGGAUAACAUGGCCUUGGCGAGGGAGAGGCACCAUGAUUGCAUGAGGCUUUGAAUGCUUGUCCUCCAUGGCUCCCUCUGUGUCUGUUUCUCUCUCUGUUUGUGAGUUUGUGGCUCUGUGUGCUUAUACAAAUGCACACAAAGUUUUGUUUUCUUUCUUAGGAUAAGGGGUGGUGGGGCAGAAGUCUAAUUUUCCACAAACUGUUUUUAAACUAUAAACAAAACAGUGUCUUUCUAAACCAAUAAAAUGAAUCACACUUUGGAUUCUUGUGGACAAAAAUCAAAAGAUUCACCGACAAUAUUCUCAAAGUAGUGGAAAGACUUAUUAUAAUUUGGUUUUGUGCUAAUUUAGAGGGUGCGCUAAUGACAAAGAUGACAAAGAAAUGAGGAAGCAGCACAGAACCACAUAGUAGCAAUGUGAAAGUCACACUCGUUUUUGAAUUUCAGCCUUUACAUCACCAAUGAAUUGAGAUAAAUUCUUUUGUGAUGAUCCAUUUACAGCUAAUGCAUCCUCCAAUGUUUGCUUAACCUUCUUGCUCUGCUUCUGCAAUCCAUCACCCAAUUUUCCACUCAUCAGACGGUUGAUCUUCUCUGCUACCUCCACCCUUGUGAUGGGUUUCACCCUAUCACAGAGAUUUAAUCCAAUCCCCCAAUCAUCAACGACUAGUUUCCUAUUGGUCACUUGAUCAGUCCACAGAGGGAAGCACAGCAUGGGAACACCACACCACAUACUUUCAAGUAUUGAGUUCCAUCCACAAUGAGUCAAGAACCCUCCUGUUGCUGGAUGUGAAAGCACCUCAAUCUGAGAGCACCAUGGCACCAUCAACCCUCUAUCUUUAAUCUCAUUCUCAAAUCCAACAGGUAGGAUAUAGGUUUCAUCAUAACUUGUAGUAUUAGGGCGAAGUACCCAGAUGAAACUCACUUUACUAAGCAAGAGCCCAUGAGCUAUUUCUUCAAUAUCAUUUUUAGUAACUAGAACAUAGCUACCAAAUGAAACAAACAAAACUGAACCAUUAGGCUUGGUGUUGAGCCAUUCUGUGCAGUCAAACUCUGACAUCAGAUUGGUGGCCACAAUACUUUUUGUGGGAUUAUUGGGGGAAACAGGGCCAAUUGCAUAUGUGUGUUGCUUCUCUUGCAAGGCUGAAAGGGUGUUUGAUUCAAGUUCUUGUACUGUAUUACACAAAAUAAAAUCUGCCCUUUGCACUUCAUGGAAUGCCUUGUGUAGGGCUCGGUGCAUCGGUGUUGAUAUAUCAGCUUCUUGGAGGUGUGACAUCAAGUCCUUUGGUUCAAUAGCCUGCACCCCCGGUAUAUAAUCAACGGUGUCCUCUCGAUUAUCUAAUAAAUCAACCAAAAAAAUUGAGAUUCGUAAUAGGAUGUUUUCUCUUGUCAAAAUGUCAAUAUGAAGUAUUGAUCAGUGAAUUCUUUUAAAACUUGUGAUUCUAAUUGACAAUCUAGCAGCAUAACAUGUAAGACGUGAGAACAAGACCGCCAUGUAAGAAUGUAAUGUUAUCAAAGCUCAAGCGAAUUUAUGUGAAAGUUAUUACAUACCAUGUGAACCAUAAUGACCACGUUCUCUGAGGAGGUCCAAGUGAUAGUAGAUGCUUAAGACUAGAGCUGGUUCAGUCCAGAAGGAAAUAUUGACAAGGUUGUAUUUGUUGGCUAUGGUUGCUGACCAUGGGUGGAAGGUAUCAACAAUCAAGCAAGUGACCGAGGGGUCAGAUUGGACUAAAUUUCCAACAAGUUCAUCAACAUGGGCAGGGAAGACAUACAAUAGGCCCUCAACAGCUUGGUUGUGGUUCUGAAAUCGGUUGAAGGCUAGUGGAAAACCAUCACUCACGGUCUUGUAGCGUAUGUCUAGGCCGGACUUGCGUGCUGUGGCAAAGAUGUCAUCUUGAUCUUCAGUGUCAUUGGGUUGGGAUUUGGAUAUCUGGUGGUGAAUGUGUUGGGUGUUGACAAAAGUGAUGGUGAAACCAUUUGAUGCAAGCUUCAUGGCCAGAUGGGUAUGUGGGAGAAGAUGGCCUUGGAGAGGCAUAGGCACCAUGAUAGCAUGAGGCUGUGAAUGCUUGUCCUCCACGGCUCUCUCAGUGUGUGCAUGCAUCUCUCUAUGUCUGCGAGUAUGUGGUCAUUUAUCGGCGCGAGAGAGAGGGUAAGUGCUGAAAUCACAAAAGCUAAUGGACUGAUGAAAGAGAAAGCACAUCUUUUGCAAUGUGUGGUCAGAUGAGGUGAACUGCUUUUAGCACAUGGUGUGGGGCUAAUGUUCCAACUUCCCACAAACUAUUUUUAGAAUUUAAACAAACAGUAUCUUCUUUCAUCAGAGACUGGAACUCAGCUCAAUAAUAUUGAUUUAAAACAUGAUAAUAGAUCCUCAGAUAUGCCGCAUUCUUGUGUAUUUUGGAUUUUACAUUGCUAGUGAAGCGUUUUAUGCUAAUGAUGAUCUAAUGACAAUGAGAUGAUGAAGCAGAAGCACAAGAUUGUGGCAAUGCGGAAGUCAGUUUCGUGUCUGAACUUUGGUCUUUACAUCACUUAUGAAUUGAAAGAAAUUCUUCUGUGAUGACCCAUUUAAAGCCAAUGCACCCUCCAUUGUUUGCCUUACAUUUCUUAUCUCCUUCUGCAAACCAUGGCCCAAUUUUCCACUCAUCACAUGGUUGAUCUUCUCUGCCACCUCCACUCUUGUGAUGGGUUUUACCCCAUCACAAAUAUUCAGUCCAAUGCCCCAAUCAUCAACUACUAGUUUCCUAUUAGUGAUUUGGUCAGUCCAUAGAGGAAAACACAGCAUGGGAACACCACACCACAUACUUUCAAGUAUGGAAUUCCAUCCACAAUGCGUUAAGAACCCUCCUACUGCCGGAUGUGAAAGCACCUUAACCUGAGAGCACCAUGGCACUAUCAUCCCGCUGUCUUUAAUCUCAUCGUCAAAUCCAACAGGUAGGAUAUUGGAUUCUUCAUAACUUGUAGUGUCAGGACGAAGUACCCAGAUGAAGCUCACUUUACUAAGCAAAAGUCCAUGAGCUAUUUCCUCAAUAUCUUUUGUAGUAACUUGAGCAUAACUACCAAAUGAAAUAAACAAAACUGAACCAUGAGGCUUGGCAUUGAGCCAUUGAGUACAGUCAAACUCAGACAUCAGAUUGGUAGCCACAAUACUCUUAGUAGUUUUACUGGGGAAGACAGGGCCAAUUGCAUAUGUGGGCUGCUUCUCAUGCAAGGCUGAAAGGGUCUCAGAUUCAAGUUCUUGCACUGUAUUAAUCAAAAUAAAAUCUGCUCUUUUAAUUUCAUGGAAUGCCUUGUAAAUGAUUCUGAGCAUUGGGGAUAAUAAAUCAGUAGCUUGGAGAUGUGACAUCAAGUCUUUUGGUUCAAUUGCCUGCACACCCGGUAUGUAAUCGAUGAUGUCCUCACAUUUAUCUAAGAAGUCAACCCAAAAAAACACAGAUACAUGUAGUUAUAUAACUUUGCUAAUGUUCAUGUUUAAUGGCUUAGAUUGACAAUAUGAGACUUCACGUUCUCAAAUCAAAUCAAAAUUUCGACCAAAAAAAUAUUUCAACUAGAAAUCAUUCCAUAUGUAACUUAAGAAAAAGUUGUUGAGAUUUAUGAGAGGGUGCAUACCAUGAGAACCAAAAUGACCAUUUUGUCUGAGGAGGUCCAAGUGAUAGUAGAUGCUUAGGACUAAAGCUGGUUCAGUCCAAAAGGAAAUGUUGACAAGGUUGUACUUGUUGGCUAUGGUUUCUGGCCAGGUGUGGAAGGUAUCAGCAAUAAAGCAAGUGAUUGAGGGGUCAGAUUGGACUAAAUCUCCAACCAGUUCAUCAACAUGGGCAGGGUAGACAUGUAAAUGACCCUCAAGAAAUUGGUCAAGGUUCUGAAAUCGGUUGAAGGCUAGUGGAAAACCAUCACUCACUGUUUUAUAGCGUAUGUCAAGUCCGGACUUGCGCGCCGCGGCAAAGAUGUCAUCUUGUUUAGUUUUGUUGUUGGGUUGGGAUUUGGUUAUCUGGUGGUGAAUAUAUUGAGUGUUGACAAAAGUGAUGGUGAAACCAUUUGAAGCAAGCUUCAUUGCCAGAUUGGUAAAUGGGAUAACAUGGCCUUGGAGAGGGAGAGGUACCAAGAUUGCAUGAGGCUUUGUGCAUUGAUUGUCCUCCUCCAUGGCUCUGUUUCUGUGUCUGCUUGAGGAAGUAGGCAAGCUCUAAAAUCACAAAAAUCUGAUAUGUAGCCAGAUGACUCCCAUUCAGUCAAGUCAACUAUUUUUAGCAGAUAACAUGAAGUGGUGUAUUAUUUUUUAUUUCUAUAUGGUAAGACAAUAUUCCAAAUUUCUUGUAACCUCCGGUUUGCUCCAUAAUUCAACAAGUUGCCUCACCUCACCUCCUUUUAUUCUCUUUUUUGAAUAAACAACCCAAUAAACAAUUCAGUGGGAGACAAACUUGGACCGCUCUUUCACAAGGUUCACUAACCACCAAGGCAACUACAAAAAGAACCCAACAAAGACUUCAUAUAUAUAUCCAUUUAACUCCCUCAUCACACAUGGAACCCAUCAAGAUAACCCUUUUCAUAUGCCACUUACGUGCUAAUUUGAAACACAAUUUCUUUUCAAGUUACAGAUUUUUUACACCUAUAAAUUGAAACACAAUUUAUUUUCAAGUUCAUGUGGUUGUUUCCAUCUUUCUAAAACUAAAGUGACCAUGAUGAGGAAGUCAUAUUCGUGUCUUUUGUAAUUUUCCAAUCAUCAGAUUGGUUGGUAGGCAGUACAAUCAUGGAUUCUGUAAUUAGUAUAAUCAGCCACUUGUAGCUAAUGAUAUCCUCUUUACACGUACGUCUUAAAUUAUUAAAACUUGACAUCUCAUAUCUGUAAUUAGGCCAAAGUACGAUUUUAAUCCGUGUAGUUUGAUUGAAACUUCACUCUAAUCUAUAUAGUUUCAAAUUUCAAUUGUUGUGAUUUUAAUUCAAAACGGAAUUCAAGAACAAUGACUUAUCUGGUGAAUUAUUUCGACAUAAUUACCACGCAUCACUUUUCCAUUGCAAAAGGGAGGGACUUGUGUUGCACCAAAAUCAUACUUUGGCAAUCUCAUUGAUGAAGUUAAGGGGUGAUUCACUUUGUUUCAGAAGAUUUGUCUUUCUUAUAUUCCUAGAUGUUGUAAUAUUGUAGCUCACAAACUUGCUGCUCAUGCUAUUCUGCACUGGAUGAACCCCCUUGAAUUUACUCAAUGGAAAUAUUAUCCUAUUUUUCACCCCGAAAAAACAAUAUUCAUACUUCCGCCUAAUAAUUAUGCAGUAAAACUCCAAAAGUAAAAUAUAUAUGUAAGAUUCCUUUUGUCUGGUUAUAUCAUCGAUGGGUCCCUUGUCAUCACUGUGACUAUUAUUAGACAUAGUAAUAAUUCAAGCACAUCACCUAAGCUGUAUAGGGAUCUGGUUGCUAUAUAGAGCUGUUGGCUAAUCUUGAUGCUUCAUGCCCUGCUCUGAGCUCCAAAGUGUUUGGGAAAAAUCCUUUUAAUCUCUUCUUUUUCUUUUCUUUUCUUUUCUCUUUGGUUUGAACCUUCUCCCAAGUUUGAGCUGCAGAUAUCUUGCACUUAUAGGUCAUCUCUCUCUUUCUCUCGCUCUCUCACUCACACCCACAGAUGGAAAACAAUACAUCAAAACAUCCUCAUGCUGUCAUAUUUCCCUACCCUCUACAAGGCCAUGUAAUCCCAGCCGUCCAUCUUGCCAUAAAGCUUGCAUCAAAAGGCAUCACAGUCACCUUUGUCAACACUCAAGCAGUUCACCACCAGAUAGUAAAGUCCCACGCCAUGGAAGAUGAUAAUAUUUUCAAUGGGGUUCGUCAAUCUGGCCUAGACAUACAUUAUGUAACAAUCAAUGAUGGCUUCCCGGUCGACUUCGAUCGAUCUCUCAACCACGACCAGUUUUGGGAGAGUGUUCUACAUGAUUUCCCGGCUCAUGUUGACGAGCUUCUAGCAAAACUAGUCCUCUCCAACCCACCAGUCAAUUGCUUGAUAUCAGAUACUUUCUUUGUGUGGCCAACAAUCAUAGCCAAAAAGUAUAACCUAGUCACUGUCUCAUUCUGGACCGAACCAGCUCUGAUCUUCAACCUCUACUAUCACGUAGACCUCCUCAACAAAAAUGGUCAUGGUCAUUUUACUUCUCAUGGUAAGUACCCUUUUCUCCAAGUAACUCUCUCAUACAUAACUAUCUCUUAUAUCCGACAAUACAAUAAUACUAGCUAAUCAUCACUGUUAUUAAGGAUCACUGACUACAAUAUUGUGGUCCAGAUUGACAGUAUAUCAACAUAACAUAUAUAUCAAAUAUCUAGCAUGACAACAUUAUUUCGUAUUGAUGUAUAUUUUGUGUGUGUAAUAUUAGCUAAUCCUCGCCAAGACACCAUCGAUUACAUACCGGGUGUGCGUGCAAUUGAACCAAAGGACUUGUCAUCGUACCUUCAACCUAGUGAUUACACUUCACCAGUACACCGCAUCAUAGUCAAGGCCUUUGAGAAAAUUAAAACCGCAGAUUUCAUUCUUUGUAACACAGUCCAAGAGCUUGAAUCUGAGACCGUUUCAGCCUUGCAAGAAAAGCAACAAAUAUAUUCAAUUGGACCAAUAUUUCCCACCGGGUUCACCAAGAGCCGUGUGGCCACAAGCCUGUGGUCCGAGUCAGAUUGCAUCCAAUGGCUCAGCACUAGGUCACGUGGCUCAGUUUUGUACGUGUCAUUUGGUAGCUAUGCUCAUGCUAGCAAAAGAGAAAUCGAGGAAAUAGCCAAUGGGCUUUUGCUCAGCAAAGUUGGUUUUAUUUGGGUACUUCGUCCUGAUAUAGUCAGCUCUGACGAACCCGAAAUCCUACCCUUUGGAUUUGAAGAUGAGAUAAAAGAUCAAGAGCAAGGGUUGAUUGUGCCAUGGUGCUCUCAGAUUGAGGUGAUCUCACACCCUGCAAUUGGAGGCUUCAUAACACAUUGUGGAUGGAAUUCAAUAUUGGAAAGCAUAUGGUGCAAUCUUCCCUUGUUGUGUUUUCCUUUGUUGACUGACCAAUUCACUAAUAGGAAAUUAGUGGUUGAUGAUUGGAGGGUUGGGCUUAAUCUUUGUGACCAAAAACCAAUCACAAAGGAGGAAGUGGCAGAGAAGAUCAGCCAUUUGAUGAGUGGAAAAUCAGCUGAUGAAUUGAGGAGGAAUGUCAAGGAGGUCAGAAAAGCAUUGGAGGGUGCAUUGGCUAUUGGUGGGUCAUCACACAGAAAUCUUGAUCAGUUCAUAGAUGGUGUGAAGGCUAAAGUCCAAGAGAAAACUGGGUUUGGCUUCAACAACACUGAAGUUUCCUAGUUUUUCAAAAAUUCCAAAUACUAUAUUUUGUCGAUUGGAUUUGAUCAAAUUAUAAAUAUAAAAAAUUGUAAGAACAUGGUCUCUAGGUUUUUGUGAAGAAAGUAGUUUUGGUUUGUUUUAUCGAUAAAUUAUGGCCUACUGUGCCUCUUACGUAAACUGUUUGUCCAUCCCAUCCCAUGAAUGGAAAGAUUGCACUCGGUGUGUCGCUUUGUGGUUGCCUUCAGUCACAUUUCCGUUUUAAUAUUGAAAAAUCUCAACUUAUUGAUUUCAUCAUAACUUGUAGUAUUAGGGCGAAGUACCCAGAUGAAACUCACUUUGCUAAGCAAGAGCCCAUGAGCUAUUUCUUCAAUAUCAUUUUUAGUAACUAGAACAUAGGUACCAAAUGAAACAAACAAAACUGAACCAUUAGGCUUGGUGUUGAGCCAUUCUGUGCAGUCAAAACUCUGACAUCAGAUUGGUAGCCACAGUACUUUUUGUGGGGUUAUUGGGGGAAACAGAGCCAACUGCAUAUGUGGGUUGCUUCUCUUGCAAGGCUGAAAGGGUGUUUGAUUCAAGUUCUUGUACUGUAUUACACAAAAUAAAAUCUGCCCUUUGGACUUCAUGGAAUGCCUUGUGUAGGGCUCGGUGCAUCGGUGUUGACAUAUCAGCUUCUUGGAGGAGUGACAUCAAGUCCUUUGGUUCUAUAGCCUGCACCCCGGUAUAUAAUCGAUGGUGUCCUCUCAAUUAUCUAAUACAUCAACCAAAAAAAUUGAGAUUCGUAAUAGGAUGUUUUCUCUUGUCAGAAUGUCAAUAUGAAGUAUUGAUCAGUGAAUUCUUUUAAAACUUGUGAUUCUAAUUGACAAUCUAGCAACAUAACAUGUAAGACGUGAGAAUAUGUUGGGUGUUGACAAAAGUGAUGGUGAAACCAUUUGAUGCAAGCUUCAUGGCCAGAUGGGUAUGUGGGAGAAGAUGGCCUUGGAGAGGCAGGCACCAUGAUAGCAUGAGGCUGUGAAUGCUUGUCCUCCAUGGCUCUCUUUGUGUGUGCAUCUCUCUAUGUCUGCGAGUAUGUGGUCAUUUAUCGGCGCGAGAGAGAGGGCAAGUGCCGAAAUCACAAAAGCUAAUGGACUGAUGAAAGCGAAAGCACAUCUUUUGCAAUGUGUGAUCAGAUGAGGUGAACUGCUUUUAGCACAUGGUGUAGGGCUAAUGUUCCAACUUCCCACAAACUAUUUUUAGAAUUUAAACAAACAGUAUCUUCUUUCAUCAGAGACUGGAACACAACUCAAUAAUAUUGAUUUAAAACAUGAUAAUAGAUCCUCAGAUAUGCCACAUUCAUGUGUAUUUUGGAUUUCACAUUGCUAAUGAAGCGUUUUAUGCUAAUGAUGAUCUAAUGACAAUGAGAUGAUGAAGCAGAAGCACAAGAUUGUGGCAAUGCGGAAGUCAGUUUCGUGUCUGAACUUUGGUCUUUACAUCAAUUAUGAAUUGAAAGAAAUUCUUCUGUGAUGACCCAUUUAAAGCCAAUGCAUCCUCCAUUGUUUGCCUUACAUUUCUUAUCUCCUUCUGCAAACCAUCGCCCAAUUUUCCACUCAUCACAUGGUUGAUCUUCUCUGCCACCUCCACUCUUGUGAUGGGUUUUACCCCAUCACAAAUAUUCAGUCCAAUGCCCCAGUCAUCAACUACUAGUUUCCUAUUAGUGAUUUGGUCAGUCCAUAGAGGAAAACACAGCAUGGGAACACCACACCACAUACUUUCAAGUAUGGAAUUCCAUCCACAAUGCGUUAAGAACCCUCCUACUGCCGGAUGUGAAAGCACCUUAACCUGAGAGCACCAUGGCACUAUCAUCCCUCUGUCUUUAAUCUCAUCGUCAAAUCCAACAGGUAGGAUAUUGGUUUCUUCAUAACUUGUAGUGUCGGGACGAAGUACCCAGAUGAAGCUCACUUUACUAAGCAAAAGUCCAUGGGCUAUUUCCUCAAUAUCUUUUGUAGUAACUUGAGCAUAACUACCAAAUGAAAUAAACAAAACUGAACCAUGAGGCUUGGCAUUGAGCCAUUGAGUACAGUCAAACUCAGACAUCAGAUUGGUAGCCACAAUACUCUUAGUAGUUUUACUGGGGAAGACAGGGCCAAUUGCAUAAGUGGGCUGCUUCUCAUGCAAGGCUGAAAGGGUCUCAGAUUCAAGUUCUUGCACUGUAUUAAUCAAAAUAAAAUCUGCUCUUUUAACUUCAUGGAAUGCCUUGUAAAUGAUUCUGUGCAUUGGGGAUAAUAAAUCAGUAGCUUGGAGAUGUGACAUCAAGUCUUUUGGUUCAAUUGCCUGCACACCCGGUAUGUAAUCGAUGAUGUCCUCACGUUUAUCUAAUAAGUCAAUCCAAAAAAACACAGAUACAUGUAGUUAUAUAACUUUGCUAAUGUUCAUGUCAUCAUGCUGUGAAUCUAGUAGACUAAACAUUCGAACAAGACUCCACGCGAUCAGAUGGUUUAAACUUUAGAUUGACAAUAUGAGAUUUCAUGUCGUCAAAUUAACUAGAAACCAUUCCAUGUAUGAGUUAAGCAAAAGUUUGGGAGAUUUAUGAGAGGCUGCAUACCAUGAAAACCAAAAUGACCAUUUUGUCUGAGGAGGUCCAAGUGAUAGUAGAUGCUUAGGACUAAAGCUGGUUCAGUCCAAAAGGAAACAUUGACAAGGUUGUACUUGUUGGCUAUGGUUUCUGGCCAGGUGUGGAAGGUAUCAGCAAUAAAGCAAGUGAUUGAGGGGUCAGAUUGGACUAAAUCUCCAACCAGUUCAUCAACAUGGGCAGGGUAGACAUGUAAAUGACCCUCAAGACAUUGGUCAAGGUUCUGAAAUCGGUUGAAGGCUAGUGGAAAACCAUCACUCACUGUUUUGUAGCGUAUGUCCAGUCCGGACUUGCGCGCUGCGGCAAAGAUGUCAUCUUGUUCAGUUUUGUUGUUGGGUUGGGAUUUGGUUAUCUGGUGGUGAAUAUAUUGAGUGUUGACAAAAGUGAUGGUGAAACCAUUUGAAGCAAGCUUCAUUGCCAGAUUGGUAAAUGGGAUAACAUGGCCUUGGAGAGGGAGAGGUACCAAGAUUGCAUGAGGCUUUGUGCAUUGAUUGUCCUCCUCCAUGGCUCUGUUUCUGUGUCUGCUUGAGGAAGUAGGCAAGUUCUGAAAUCACAAAAAUCUGAUAUGUGGCCAGAUGACUCCCAUUCAGGCAAGCAACUAUUUUUAGCAGAUAACAUAAAGGGGUGUAUUAUCUUUUAUUUCUAUAUGGUAAGACAAUAUUCCAAAUUUCUUGUAACCUCUGGUCUGCUCCAUAAUUCAACAAGUUGCCCCACCACCUCACCUCCUUUUAUUAUCUUUUUUUGAAUAAACAAUUCAGUGAGAGAAACUUGGACCACUCUUUCACAAGGUUCACUAACCAACAAGGCAACUACUAAAAGAACUCGACAAAGGCUUCUUCACACAUGAUUGAUGGAACCCAUCAAGAUAAACCCUUUUCAUAUGGUUCACUGACCAACAAGACAAACUACAAAAGGAACCCAACUCUGACCAAAAAAAUACUUUAUUUAAUAUAUUCGGACAGAAAAAAAGGACUCAACAGAUGAAGUAAUCUUGGAUUUCCUUCAGUUAAAUCAAUUCAUUAGAUAAUCGAUGCUGUCCUCACGAUUAACUAAUAAAUCAACCAGUAAAAACAUAAGCAUGUAAAUAGUAUCAAUAAGUUAUUGUCGUCAGACUGUCAAUCUAAACUAAAAAAGUCGAGCAAGACUCAACAGAAUCAAGACUUAAGGAGAUUUAAAUAGGGAUAGGUACCAUGAUUGCAUGAGGCUUUGAAUUGUCCAAGCCAAAUUAUGUUUUCGGUCCAUCUAGGAUGGGCAAAGUUUUAUUUUGGUACAUGUAAUUUUAAUUUUUGCAAUUGUUGGAAUGCAAAUUGAAAGACAUUUGGUUAUUUUCAUCAUAUUUCAACGGAAUUAGCAAGUAUAUGAGGUUUUUUACACCUCUAAAAGUCUAAUUUAUCCUAACAUAUGCAACUUACGUGCUAAUUUGAAACACAAUUUCUUUUCAAGUUAUAGAUUUUUUACACCUAUAAAUUGAAACACAAUUUCUUUUCAAGUUCAUGUGGUUGUUUCCAUCUUUCUAAAACUAAAGUGCGUGCUAGUAUUGGCAUCAUAGAGUUGCUGGGUUGAAAGGCCACCACCGUCUCUUCAGGGAGUGUCGGAAGCGGAUGGUCUUCCAGGACCACCAAACUAUUAAACUAAUGUUCUUAUCUAUAUUUUGUACUAAGUUAGCCUCUCCACUUGCUUGCUUUGGCUGAGUGUGUGCUGGCUUAAGGAAGUUCCUUUUCGUCCCAAAAAAAAAAGUGACCGUGAUGAGGAAGUCAUAUUCAUGUCUUUUGUAAUUUUCCAAUUAUCGGAUUGGUUGGUAGGCAGUACAAUCAUGUCUUUGGUGGGAGAAAGACUUUAAUGCAAUGGGAAUAUCCUUUUUUGCUAUUCCAGUCAAUGACGCAAUGAUACGUGAGAUAACUUUUUCACGUGUCAUUGUGUUUUUGGCCAAGGAUAGCAAAACAGUGAUAUCUCUUAUGCAAGUAAAUUUUUUUGCUUUGGUGGGGUUUAUUGGUGAAGUGACAUGCCUUGAAUUCUCGACUAUCCCCACUAGAAUCAUCCAUCCAAUGAAAUAAAAAGGGUUAAUUAGUAUAAUUACACAUCAUACUUUGGCAAUCUCAUUGAUGAAGUUAAGGUGAUUCACUUUGUUUCAGAACAUUUUCAUCUCUUAUAUUCCUAGAUGUUGUAAUAUUGUAGCUCACAAACUUGCUGCUCAUGCUAUUAAAUAUUAGGAUGUUGUAAUAUGGGAUGAAGACGUCCUCCUUGGUUGGAAUUUUCUGCACUGGAUGAAUCCCCUUGAAUUUACUCAAUGAAAAUAUUAUCCUAUUUUUCACCCCGAAAAAAAAUUCAUACUUUGGCCUAAUAAUUAUGCAGUAAAACUAUAUUUAUGUAUGUAAGUUUCCUUUUGUCUGGUUAUAUCAUUGAUGGGUCCUUCCUUAUCAUCACUGUGACUAUUCUUAGGCAUAGAUAGUGACAAUUCAAGCACAUCACCUGAGCUGUAUAGGGAUCUGGUUGCUAUAUAGAGCUUGGCUAAUCUUGAUGCCUCAUGCCCUGCUCUGAGCUCCAAAGUGUUUGGGAAAAAUCCUUUUUCUUUCUUAUUUUUCUUUUCUUUUCUUUUCUUUUCUUUUCUUUUUUCUUUGAACCUUCUCCCAAGUUUGAGCUGCAGAUAUCUUGCACUUAUAGGUCAUCUCUCUCUCUUUCUCUCGCUCUCUCACUCACUCCCACAGAUGGAAAACAAUACUUCAAAACAUCCUCACGUUGUCCUGUUUGCCUACCCUCUGCAAGGCCAUGUAAUCCCAGCCGUCCAUCUUGCCAUAAAGCUUGCAUCAAAGGGCAUCACAGUCACCUUUGUCAACACUGAAGCAGUUCACCACCAGACAGUCAAGUCCCACGCCAUGGAAGAUGAUAAUAUUUUCAAGGGGGUUCUUCAAUCUGGGCUAGACAUACGUUAUGUAACAAUCAACGAUGGCUUCCCGGUCGAAUUCGAUCGAUCUCUCAACCACGACCAGUUUUGGGAGAGUGUUAUACAUGAUUUCCCAGCUCAAGUUGAUGAGCUUCUAGCAAAACUAGUCCUCUCCAACCCACCAGUCAAUUGCUUGAUAUCAGAUACUUUCUUUGAGUGGACAACAAACAUAGCCAAAAAGUAUAACCUAGUCACUGUCUCAUUCUGGACCGAACCAGCUCUGGUCUUCAACCUCUACUAUCACCUAGACCUACUCAACAAAAAUGGUCAUGGUCAUUUUACUUCUCAUGGUAAGUAUCCUUUUGUCCAAGUAACUCUCUCAUACGUAACUAUCUCUUAUAUCCGAUAAUACAAUAAUACAAGCUAAUCAUCACUAUUAAUAUGGAUCACUGAUUACAAUAUUGUGAUCCAAAUUGAUAGUAUAUCAACAUAACAUAUCAAAUAUCUAGCAUGACAACAAUAUUUUGUAUUCAUGUAUAGCUUGUGUGUGUAAUAUUAGCUAAUCCUCGCCAAGACACGAUCAAUUACAUACCAGGUGUACGCGCAAUUGAACCAAAGGACUUGUCAUCAUACCUUCAACCUAGUGAUUACACUUCACCAAUACACCGGAUCAUAGUCAAGGCCUUUGAGAAAAUUAAAACCGCAGAUUUCAUUCUUUGUAACACAGUCCAAGAGCUUGAAUCUGAGACCAUUUCAGCCUUGCAAGAAAAGCAACAAAUAUAUUCAAUUGGACCAAUAUUUCCCACCGGGUUCACCAAGAGCCGUGUGGCCACAAGCCUGUGGUCCGAGUCAGAUUGCAUCCAAUGGCUCAGCACUAGGUCACGUGGCUCAGUUUUGUACGUGUCAUUUGGUAGCUAUGCUCAUGCUAGCAAAAGAGAAAUCGAGGAAAUAGCCAAUGGGCUUUUGCUCAGCAAAGUUGGUUUUAUUUGGGUACUUCGUCCUGAUAUAGUCAGCUCUGACGAACCCGAAAUCCUACCCUUUGGAUUUGAAGAUGAGAUAAAAGAUCAAGAGCAAGGGUUGAUUGUGCCAUGGUGCUCUCAGAUUGAGGUGAUCUCACACCCUGCAAUUGGAGGCUUCAUAACACAUUGUGGAUGGAAUUCAAUAUUGGAAAGCAUAUGGUGCAAUCUUCCCUUGUUGUGUUUUCCUUUGUUGACUGACCAAUUCACUAAUAGGAAAUUAGUGGUGGAUGAUUGGAGGGUUGGGCUUAAUCUUUGUGACCAAAAACCAAUCACAAAGGAGGAAGUGGCAGAGAAGAUCAGCCAUUUGAUGAGUGGAAAAUCAGCUGAUGAAUUGAGGAGGAAUGUCAAGGAGGUCAGAAAAGCAUUGGAGGGUGCAUUGGCUAUUGGUGGUUCAUCACACAGAAAUCUUGAUCAGUUCAUAGAUGGUGUGAAGGCUAAAGUCCAAGAGAAAACUGGGUUUGGCUUCAACAACACUGAAGUUUCCUAGUUUUUCAAAAAUUCCAAAUACUAUAUUUUGUCGAUUGGAUUUGAUCAAAUUAUAAAUAUAAAAAAUUGUAAGAACAUGGUCUCUAGGUUUUUGUGAAGAAAGUAGUUUUGGUUUGUUUUAUCGAUAAAUUAUGGCCUACUGUGCCUCUUACGUAAACUGUUUGUCCAUCCCAUCCCAUGAAUGGAAAGAUUGCAUUCGGUUUGUCGCUUUGUGGUUGCCUUCCGUCACAUUUCCGUUUUAAUAUUGAAUUGAUUUUUGAGUUGUGUUAGAAUCAAUCGCUCACGCCGCACGCAAGAAAUAUUUUUGAUAUUUAUUAUAAGUGGGGUAACAUUUGGUCGUAUUAGGCUACUAUGGGUGAGGAAGUCGAACACAACCCCUUGAAUAAAUAAAUAUUUUUACUAUUCAAUUGAAAUUUUAAAAGAUUAUUUUAGAAUAAAUAAGUCUUAUAGUAUUAAAUUAAGAUUUUUAAAUAAUCUAAACAAGUCUUAUGAUAUUUCAUUAAGACUAUUAUAAAUUUUAAAUGAGAGUGUCGAAAUCUAGUGGUAUUCAAUCAAGACUUUAAAUAAGUAAUAAAAAGUUUUAUGUUAUUCAAAAAUUUGCUAAUUUCGACAAAUUUUUUUAAAUAUGAGAUUGUGUGAGAUUUUUUAAUGAAAUAUAUGAAUACCAAGCCCUAUCUCAAAUCCCACCCUAAGCAAUCGGAUUUUUCAUGUGGGAUUUUUUUUUUUCUCUCUCUCUCUACCUGCUGAAGAAGAUGAACAACAAAGCAAGCAGCAAGCAGCAAGCCCAAGCCGAGCUUUUCCCAGACACCCACCAACUUCAUAUGCUAAAAAUAACAUCAAGGAAUUGUUAAACUCCUUGGCGCCAAGCCAAAGCACAUGUUUCCCCGCCAAGAAACCCAAAAAACCCAAUAUUCCAACAAAUAUCAGAAACAGAAAAGAGCAAGCAGACAUUUGACCCGAAAAUCUGGCAUGGUAGGUGUUUGUGAUUAUGUCCCAAUGACCCAGGUUCCUUGAAUUUUGAAUAGUGCUUCCUUUUUGGUUGUGUUCGAUCAUGAUUCAUGAAAAGAGAGCAAAUGUAUUUUUGGAAUGUAAUUAAUAGGUGCAUUCUUUGCUCUGUGUCUGGUAGAGCAAGCAACAUAGAAAACUAUUCCAGUCAGCUUUGCUAUUAGUGAACCUGCAAGCUGCAGCUACCUAGUUUGCUUUGUAUAUAUCUUAUGUAUGCUCAACCGAUUUCAAGGCAAGUUAUUUUUUUCUCAUUAUUAUUUGACGAUUUCUUAAUGCUGCGUAUUAUUGUUCAAAUCAAAUGGUGAUUGUAUGGGGUUUGGAGGAAGGAAUGAAAAACAGAAAACACAAUGACUAGGGAAAGGGUGAUGAUAAAUUUAAAAAAAAUAUGAAUAAUGAAUGGUUUCUUGAUAUACAACUUGGCUAGAUGACUUACAGUUUGCCAACUUGGUUAGUAAGUCGUCCUAUAAGUCAAAUAUAUGAGGGCGCAUGUGAUGUUAUUGUUGACCUUUCUACACAUACCAAUAAGGCUUCAAACCUAUCUUCCUUCUCAAAUGCAAGUUUUUUUGUAAAAGAAAAUGAAACUAACGAAAUAAACAACUGCUUGCACAUGAGAUCUGCACUGGACUAGGCGGAGGAUGUUUAUUUUGAGUAAUCUGAUUCCGAUUCUGAAGGGACCUGGUGCUAGAUAGUAAAAAAUUUCAAUUGAAUACACCCCCUAAGUUACCAACUAUUUAUUACUCUUUUUAAGCCGUAUUUGGAAUUAUGCAAAUUCCAGCAUUUACUUUUUUAAACAAUAAUUAAAAGAUAGAACUUGAUCCAUCUUCUUAAAUGAUGGAUAAUUGAGGGUUCAUUUGGAUUAAUCGCUAAUACGAAUUCAAUGUUUUAUUGAUAUUAAAAUGGAUUUGGUAAUUAGUAAGAUUACUUUUACAAUUUUAGAAUCGAUGUCAAUCGGUUGGGUUGAUAUAAAUUGAAUCAAAUUAUAGUUGUUAGUUAAGCAUUCGUUCGCAUCGACGGCUGUGAUUGUAUUUAAUACAAGAAGAUGAUGAGAAGUUGGCCAUAUUUACGAGGUGUCGUCAGCACCUGGGUCACUGAUCGGCCUGUCGUUUCCGAUGUGAAACCAAAAAGCCCAAUAACUUCACCGCCAAAUUACAAUAAAGAAAAGGGCUCUUUAGACCCAAUAGCCAACCAGCCUGUAAUUCUAGAAGAAAAAAGAAGACAAAUAGUAUGAGCCCAAUUUGGUUGGACUAAGGUUUUGUUUUGUCAGAGUCCACCUUAAGACUCAGAUGAAAACAAGAACUUGGAAUAGAAGAUUCUAGAAAUUUUAAAAAUAUGCCCAUUAAUUUUUAAGUAUUAAGAUUUAUUAGUUAUCUUUAAGGUAAUGAAUGAUUAAUCCAAAAAAGAGAAUAAUUAGAGUUUCUCUCUAUAUCCUCUUGAUUGAUUUCUCCUCAUCCACAUGUAUUUUUGUCCUCUAAUUACGUUGUGGGUAUUCAUGGUAAAAUACUUAUAUUUAUUCUUGUUGUAUUUUUAUUUGUCAUAUAAACAAAAACCAAAAAAAACCAAUUAUGUUAACACAUAUAUGUGUGCUCCUCGUGCUGUAUCCGAAUUUGAGCUCCUUCUCAAUAUUAGAGUAGUUAGAAUAUCAUUUUGUAAAAACAAAAACUAUUCGAAAAACCCCUUCAUAUUGUAUAAGGAUUUAUGAUAUGCAAAUGCAUAUAGAACUUCUGUAUAGAGAAUUGCCUAUCCCUUUUUUGAAAAUCCAUUUUUAUUAUUGACCUUGCAAUUAAAUAUUGCAAAAGAAAUAAAUUCCUAGCAAAAAAAUUAAAGGGAAAAGAAAAUAUUUGUAGGUAUACAAAAAGAAAUAGAAUUUCCAUUCCAAAAAUAACAAUGAGAGAAAAAAAGAAAGAAAGUAGAAGCCAGAGUUUGAAUAAUAUUCCUGAACUAAAAAGGAAGUAAACCAAAACCAAAACAUUUCUUUCCUAACAAGAAAAGGAGUUACCUUCGCUUAUAAAUAUCCCAACCCCCCAUCUCUCACCAAAUUGCUUUUAGCUACUCUUCCGCUCUCUCUCUCUUCGAACUCUUCAAUCGACAAAACAAUCUCAGACUCUCUCUCUUCGUCUACUUGGGUCUUCUCUGCUCCAUCUUCACGAUGACUGACAAGGCUGAAUCUUCAGACUCGUAAGUACCCAGAUCCCUGUUUAAUUCAACUGGGUUCUACUCUGUGUUUCGAUUGAAUUUAAGUUAUUUUCUUUUGGGAUUUUCUGGGUUUUGAUGCGAUUUUGCUUUUCUUGUUUGUUUGUUGCAGUAAGGGAACGAAAAGGGACUUCAGCACGGCGAUCCUUGAGCGCAAGAAGGCUGCGAAUCGGCUUGUUGUGGAUGAUGCUAUCAACGAUGACAACUCGGUCGUCGCGCUCCAUCCAGAUACCAUGGAGAAGCUCCAGCUCUUUCGUGGUGACACAAUCUUGAUCAAGGUUCGAUUUUUACAUCAUGUUAUAUAUAUGCGAAAGAUGAAAUGUUGAUAGAAUUUUGCUUACAAGGGUUUUCUAGUUAGGGCUAAUAGGAAUUACGGUUUUGGGUAGUGAGUGAAUGCUGUAAUUGUAUCUGGGUUGGCAGGUUUUCUGUAUUUUAUUUGGGAUCUGGGAACUGGGUGUGUUCUGGUGUCUGAAGUGUUGGGAUUCAUGUAUCGAAAUUCUGGGUUUAGAUGGUUACUCCUUACUUUUCUACUGAUGUAGAACUCUACUAUUAAAAACAAUUUUAUUGUAUUUAUUUACAUGUUGGAAUUGGCUUUUUCACAAGGUUCCAAAAUUAGGCAUUUAGAGAAGGGGUGUUGUGAUUUAAUAGGGAUGUCUUUCUUUCUAUCCUCUUCUUUUGAAACUGUGCAUGCGAUGUUGUGGUUUGGUUGGCUUAGUAUUGUCAUUGGCUGUUCAGGUCUUGGGCUUUGGUAUUAAUAGCAUGAACUCUCCCUAAACUUUAUUGUUCUGCAUGUGCUUGGGAUUAUAAAGAUAAACAGCAACUAACUUUUCGUGUUUAUAUAUUUUUAUUGGUGUUUAGGGAAAGAAAAGGAAAGAUACAAUCUGCAUUGCCCUGGCUGAUGAUACAUGUGAGGAACCAAAGAUAAGGAUGAACAAGGUUGUCAGGAGCAACCUAAGGGUUAGGCUGGGGGAUGUUGUUUCUGUUCACCAAUGUGCUGAUGUCAAGUAUGGAAAGCGUGUCCACAUUCUUCCUGUGGAUGACACUAUUGAAGGGGUCACUGGAAAUCUGUUUGAUGCAUACUUGAAACGUGAGUUUCUAACCCUUGUUAUUCUCAGGUGCAACUGGAGCUAAAAUUUGUAGCACAUCAUGAAUUUAAAAAAAGUUUGCUUUUGUUUGAAACUCUAUCUUUCCUAGUAAGCUAUGUCAAUAUCAAUAUCAAUUGCAACCCCAACUCUCGAAAGUUUCUGUUCAGUAAUAUCUGUAUGCACAGGGUAAUUAUAAUUGCACAAAUGGAGAGAGUGUUUGAUCGUAUUAUUACUUCAUAGAUGCUUGCAUGCUGAGAAAUUUGAUGCUUUUUCUUUAAAGAGUUGAAUCAAUUUAUAGUGUCCAAGUUGAAGAGGAUGUUACAACUCUUAAUUUAAUUGGCGGUGUUCAGAUUUAAAGAGUAUAUGAUUAGGGGAAAAUGGUUUAGCAAUAUAUCCUUGUUGUGUCACACCUACUGUAUAUAGAGAUUCAGUAUAUUGUUACCAUUGAUUUUGGAUUUAUAUUCGAUUAUAAGUUUCUGUUUAAAAUAUAUUUUAGCUAUUACUGAUAGUUAUGAGAACUAAAAUGGUUUUACCAAUAAGUUCUUGUUUAAUUCUUUGCAGCAUGCAUUUUUACCAAAUCUCUUGUCUACUUUUGCAGCUUAUUUCCUGGAGGCCUACCGUCCAGUGAGGAAGGGUGAUCUCUUCCUUGUGAGAGGAGGAAUGAGGAGUGUAGAAUUUAAGGUUAUUGAAACUGACCCUCCUGAGUACUGUGUGGUCGCUCCCGACACUGAAAUCUUCUGUGAGGGGGAGCCUGUGAAAAGGGAGGAUGAGGAGAGAUUAAAUGAGGUUGGCUAUGAUGAUGUUGGUGGAGUUAGGAAACAGAUGGCUCAGAUUCGUGAAUUAGUGGAGCUGCCACUGAGGCAUCCUCAACUAUUUAAAUCGAUUGGUGUGAAGCCACCAAAGGGUAUUCUGCUGUAUGGACCUCCUGGAUCGGGUAAGACUCUAAUUGCCCGAGCUGUGGCUAAUGAAACUGGGGCAUUCUUUUUCUGCAUCAAUGGACCUGAAAUCAUGUCAAAAUUGGCUGGGGAGAGUGAAAGCAAUCUCAGGAAAGCUUUUGAGGAAGCAGAGAAGAAUGCACCAUCAAUUAUCUUUAUUGAUGAAAUUGAUUCAAUUGCUCCCAAGAGAGAGAAGACACAUGGAGAAGUUGAGAGGAGGAUUGUUUCCCAGCUCUUGACGCUCAUGGAUGGACUAAAGUCUCGUGCACAUGUAAUUGUUAUGGGGGCUACAAAUCGGCCAAACAGUAUUGAUCCAGCUCUCAGAAGGUUUGGAAGAUUUGAUAGGGAAAUAGAUAUUGGUGUACCAGAUGAAGUUGGGCGUCUCGAGGUUGUCCGUAUUCAUACAAAGAACAUGAAGCUUGCUGAAGAUGUAAUAUCAAAUACAAUCUUUUUCUUUUUCAACCUUUUUUUCCCAUAUUUCAGAAAGUUCUUACAUAAUGUUUUGGACUUUUAUUGCACAGGUUGAUUUGGAAAAGAUAGCUAAGGACACACACGGUUAUGUUGGUGCUGAUCUAGCUGCUUUGUGUACUGAGGCUGCUCUUCAAUGCAUCAGAGAGAAGAUGGAUGUGAUUGACUUAGAAGAUGAGGAAAUAGAUGCUGAGAUUCUGAAUUCAAUGGCAGUGACAAAUGAGCACUUCAAGACUGCUCUUGGCACAAGCAACCCAUCUGCUCUUCGUGAAACAGUAAGUAUUUACAUUUUGUUUCAAGUGACAGUUUUGUUUUGAUUAUUAGACGCCUUGUGUGCAUUGGAGGAAACUCAUAAUUUCAUGUUUUUGAUUGGCCAGGUUGUUGAAGUGCCCAAUGUUAGCUGGGAAGAUAUUGGAGGUCUUGACAAUGUUAAGCGAGAACUUCAAGAGGUAAUUGAGUUUACUACAAUGGGUUGAUCUUACAAAACAUUUAUCUCAUUUUUCUUUGUUACUUAUAAUAUCUAUUCCUGUAUUAUCUCGUCAUGCAGACUGUUCAGUAUCCUGUUGAGCAUCCUGAGAAAUUUGAGAAAUUUGGAAUGUCACCUUCAAAGGGAGUUCUUUUCUAUGGUCCUCCUGGAUGUGGUAAAACUCUUCUCGCCAAAGCUAUUGCCAAUGAGUGUCAAGCAAACUUCAUCAGUGUCAAGGGACCUGAAUUGCUAACGAUGUGGUUUGGAGAGAGUGAGGCCAAUGUGAGGGAAAUUUUCGACAAGGCCCGUGGGUCUGCUCCAUGUGUCCUGUUCUUUGAUGAACUCGAUUCCAUUGCUACUCAGGUUUGAACCACUCUUUAUGUAAAAUCAUUUCUUGUUACUGAUGCCUGGUUACUAAUUUGCAUAUCGCAAUUAACAAUAAGUUUUAUUUGGAAAUAUAAAAAAGGUUUGCACCAUAAUUUAACAAUGACUAAAUAGGAGAAAACUUAGCAUUCUGUUACAGAGACAACAGUAGGUUUAAUUUGGAAAAAGAAAAAAGCUUUGCACCAUAAUUUAGCAAUGAGUAAAUAGGAAAAAACUUGGCAUUCUUUGGCAGAAACUUGAAAUGUUAGUUCUGUUUCAUAGAUUAUCUGGACUUCUAAUUUUUACUGUGGGGCUCUGCAACUAUUGGCACAGCCUCAGCAGAAAAGCUCUGUGACAAAAGAAUUUCUGCAGUAUUUUCCUUUGGGCCCUCAUCUGAUGUGUUUAUCCAUCUAUGUGCUUAUUACUUUCGUUUCUACAACUUGCAGAGAGGUAGUAGCGUAGGUGAUGCUGGGGGUGCAGCUGACAGGGUUUUGAACCAACUCCUUACAGAAAUGGACGGAAUGACUGCUAAGAAAACUGUUUUCAUUAUUGGGGCUACCAACAGACCUGACAUUAUAGACCCUGCACUUCUACGUCCAGGACGUCUGGAUCAGUUAAUUUACAUCCCUCUCCCUGAUGAGGAAUCUCGCUUUCAAAUAUUCAAAUCUUGCUUGAGGAAAUCUCCAGUUUCCAAAGAUGUGGACAUCAGAGCACUUGCCAAGUACACCCAAGGAUUCAGUGGUGCUGAUAUAACUGAAAUAUGCCAGCGUGCUUGCAAAUAUGCCAUUAGAGAGAAUAUUGAGAAGGUAUGAUAUUGCAGUGUUCAUAGAUACUUGGAUCAACUUUUUGUCACUUUGGAGGAAUGUAAAGACUUCUUUCUCUGGAUCCAUUUCUGAAUAAUCGUUGUUUUCUAAUCUUGCAGGAUAUCGAGAGGGAGAGGAGGAGAAGCGAGAAUCCUGAGGCAAUGGAGGAGGAUGUUGAUGACGAAGUAGCAGAGAUCAGGGCAGCUCAUUUUGAGGAGUCGAUGAAGUAUGCUCGUAGGAGUGUUAGUGACGCUGAUAUCCGCAAAUACCAGGCAUUUGCGCAGACAUUGCAGCAGUCAAGAGGGUUUGGAACCGAGUUCAGGUUCGCAGACAAUCCUUCUGGCACAGCCGCUGGAUCCGACCCUUUUGCAACUGUUGCUGCUGGGGCUGAUGAAGAUGACCUUUACAACUAGGAUAGUCUCUCAUUACGCGUCUUUUUCAUAUUUGAAUUUCAACUUUGCAUUUUGUAUUCCAUUGAUGAUGUGGUAGAACCGUGAAAGUGCCCAUUUAAUCACAUUAUUGUAUCCAGAAAGUCCUCGGGGUUUCCAGCCAUUGGGUGACCCCUGGAUACUACGAAGUUUAAAACAGUGUUAAUUAUUUUCUUUUCAGAUUAUAAUGGAUAAUUAAAAAACACAGCAGGUUUUACUUCAGGUGUUGUGAACAGUGUUUGAUGUUAUAUGCUAAUUUUUCACCUUGAGUUUUACUUUUAUAUUUUAAUCCCUAUUGUUACUUUUAUAUUUUAAUCCCUUCCCUGUUCGAUUUUGAUGCCUGAUUGUGAGAAGUCUUUACAAGUUUUUCCUUUUCUCGGUUAUUAUGAAUUCGGAGUAGAAUAGGAGAAAUUGGAUAAGAACUUUGGUAAAAGAUGAAGUAGCUGAUUUUGGUAGAGAUCUCUACCAAAGAAGAAUCCUGCUAUUGGAUUUGGAAUCAUCAAUAAUUUUUAGCUUUUCAACUUUCAAAAACCAUCAUUAGUUGAAGUAGGUACCACCAAUUACCUUUUGUUUUAAAACAAAAACAAAAACAGAGAAAUUCUCAAACAGAGAAAUUCUUCUUCCUCUCAAAUCUCACACUCUUGUUCUCUUAACAACUGCAUGCAGCAGCAUACUCAAACCUGAGAUUAACUUGACAUCUUAAAACUGACCAGCUCCUCCUUAAAAGUAAGGUGGGUUUGACAUGGCAAAAUUGACAAACUUGUAACAGAAAAAAAAAACUGCAUUAGUUAUAAAAAUGAGCCCCUCUUCGAUUUUACGUAGCCAAAACUUUUUCCUUGAUUCUAAGGAUACAUGCAUACUCGCCCUGCUUUUUCUGUCUGGCAAAAUGUGCAAAGUAUGAGUUCAAAUAUUAGAUUUCAACCGUUAAUAAUAAUAAUAUCAACUUGGCUCUAAUAUCGUAUUGAAUUCUCUCUCUCUCUCUCUCUCUCUCUCUCUCUCUCUCUUGUUUUAUAGCAUUUGGAAACUGAGCACAAUAUGGAUUUAAACAUAUCCACAACUGUAUAUACUCGUUUGAAAUCCUGAUCGAAUGAACUUUUAAAAAGAGAGCUAAUUUUCCCACUCUUCUUUUCUUUUCGUCACUUACACUCUCCUUUGCUUUUUAAUAUUUUUUAAUUAAUUUUGUUGUUUCUCUUUCCUAUUCUAUUUUUACCCUACAUUAAUUUCUUUUUUACUUCACUUUUAUAUUAUUUCUUUUUCUUUCUACUUAAUUUUUCAACUUACACUCCAUUUUUAGUAUUAAAGGGGGAAAAAAAUUCUUACUCGAUUAAAGGGAAAAAAAACUUAAUUUCUUACUUGAUUAAAGGAAAAUAAAAUAAAAAUUAAUUUCUUACUCGAUUAAAGGGAAAAAAACUUAAUUUCUUACUUGAUUAAAUAAAAAAAAUAUUGAAAAUGGAGUGCAAGUUAGAAAAUUAAGUAUAAAGAAAAAAAACUAAUAUAAAAGUGAAGUAAAAAGAAAUUAAUGUAGGGUAAGGGUAGAAUAGGAAAGAGAAAGAACAAAAUUGAUUAAAAAGUAUUAAAAAGCAAAAGAGAGUGUAAGUGGAGAAAAGAGGAGUGGGAAAAUCAUAUCCCUUUAAAAAUCCAUUAAAACCUCAAUAAAAUAUCAAGAGCGAGACAAGCAUAGCAGAUUAAGUUGACUUAGAGCACUUCCACCAUUGCAGUUUGGCUCGAGCAAAGGGGGCCCAAGCCCCAUAUCGCGCUUCCAAUGAGCUUCAACAGUCUGAGUAGGAGGUGGAUCCCAGCAAAUCGGGCAAGCUCAAAGGCAAAACGAGCCCAAGCUCGUGCCUUGGGGUUGCUGACAUCAGUAAUGAAAUUUUUAAAAAAAGAAUUUACCAACCAUAUUCUUCACUUCUCACACUAAAACUCUAUACAAAUUUCUCUUCUCAUAUCUCAUGUGAAUAAUGAUUGCCCUUGAAUUGUCAUGACAAUAAUUAAAAACAUAACAAGUCUUUUACAAGAGCUAUUACUAUUUACAUAAAUAGUAACAGAGAUUGCCUUGUCUUCGCCUUUUGUUAUGUCAAAUGAAUGGAAGUGUUGUAAGGAAUGCAGGGCAAUGGGAGUCAGGCCGAUUAAUUGUCCUUAAUAAAGCAGGCAUAAAACAAAGAAGAAAAGGUGGAGAGAGAGAGAGAGAGAGAGUAGUGAUUAGACCAUGCAUGGGGAAACAAGAAAUUAGUGGCACUGGCUCCUCAGUCCUCAUUUGUAAUGUCCUUGUGUCACGAUCCAUUGUUUUCUUCACUUUUUAGCUCUCUUUCUUUCUUGUCUUCGCCUUUUACAAUCUAAAAAGCACUCCACACCUUUAAAAUCGUACACAUAAUUAUUUGAUUUGAAUUUUUUUGUAAAAUUUAAAACUUUACACGUCUCUUUUAAACUUGGUUGUUUCAAUGUCUUUAAAAAAAUUAUUAUAAAGGGAAUCUAGAUCUUAUCUUUCAUGUGACAAGUGCAAAACUUUCCUGAAACAACCCCAAAAAAUUUCUGAUAUAUAUGACAGGAACAUGGUUAGUUGGCAAUCCUCUCAUACGGUAUUAAAAAAAAAACAUCAAAUCAUAUCAUAUACCAUUCAUAAUAAUGGUGUGAAAGAAGAAGCAACACCCCAUCUUCGACCUAGCUAGAUCGCAAUUAUGUCUCUUGACAAGCCCUUCUACCCCACCACAUUUCUCAUCUUGCUUCAUUUUUUCCUCCCAUCUUCGUAAGGGUUGCCCUACACCCCUGCACCCUACACAAAAGGGUCAUAUACCCUAACGUUAUGUGACUCAGCCAACACUUCACUCACCUAAAUUCAGACACAUAUGUUUCAUCUCUUAUGCCAGAUUCCUAAAUUCAAACAUCUUAAAUUCGAAAUUCUCUCAACAUAAAAACAACUGAGUGUUAAGUAAAUUGUCGGAGUUUUUUUAUUUUAAAAAGAAUAAAAUUUUGAGAUGGGCAUAGAUGGAAACUUCAAACUUGGUGAUCCGUGAUAGCUAUUUGGUAGUUGAUAGAAUUUGGCAAGAAAAUGAAUCAUGGGACAACUGAAAUGGUUGGAGAAGAUAACCUAAAAAGGGGUAAAGAGUAGUAGGGUUCUUCUUCACUGGCUGGCUGCGUGCUCCAGCUCUGCAGUACUUUUUGUUACAACUUUACACACACGUGCGGCUCCACGUGGUAGGUUGUGAAUGGUUGUUGCACGUCAAAUAUUGUGGCUUUUGCCAGAUGUAAACUCUGUAACAUCAAAUUUUCAACCAUGUCAGGAAUGCACGUGCAAUUAGCCCCCAACCAGGCCCCACACGUAAGCAUUUUGUUCUUGACUUUUACAUGUACAUCUUUAUGUUUUGUCAUUCCACCAGCCUAAUGUGAAGAGACAUGGUCUUUUGUUGUCUGAAUGAUAUUUUGAUCUCUUAUGUGUAUGUAAUACUAUGUAUAUAUAUAUACAAUCCCGAUUUCUUGAACCACAUGAGUCUAAGAGAUUGUGGUCACCUAUCUUUGGAUAUUAAUCCAAUGGUUCAAAAAAGUUUCUUAAAAGAAGUGCAAGAGUUAGUAAACCGUUGAAUUUAUAUCCAACGGUGAGCGACCACAAAUCUUUUGAACUCCUGUGGUCCAAGAGAUCGGGAUUGAUUACAAACUAAUGAUAAUUUGACACGUAUUGACUUGUUAAAGAGAAUCACUCAUUGAAAGAAAAAAAAAACGAGAAAUUAAACGAGCAUAAUGAAUUGUAAAUAAAUACAAUAAAGAAUGAUUUCUCACAUCUUAAGAGCUAAAUAGGAAUACUUAAAAAUAUAAUUUGAUGUACGCACAUAGGGUUUUGUGAACUAACUAAUUUGCGAUACCGCGCUGUCUCUUAUCAAUAUCUAUAUUUAUAGAGAAUUAAAGACAAACUUUUCUUGAAUUUUAAAAAGAAUUCUAAAAGCCUUGAAGUUUUAAGUUAGUAAGAAAAUGUGAUGACAACUUCAUGUGCAAAAACUUUGAAACCAAACCCACAAGCUAUAUUCCCAGCUAACUUGAGCAUCGAAUUAUUCACAUAUAUUAAAUAAAUCAUAGACGACACAUUUACAAUCACAAAAUGUGAUUUCUGAGUAUAAAAAAAAGUGAUGAAAUAUGUGUUUUAUAAAUAAAUAAAUAAAUAAAAACCUUAUGUAAUAUAUAUAUAUAUGUUUUUAAACCAACUAGAUGGUCGAUUAUAUGUGAAAGGAAAUGUCCCUAUCUAAAUUCAAACUCCAAAGCAUCGAUUUGAUUGAACUAAGGUCCUAUUUGGUUUAUUUUGGAAUGAAUUUGAGGGGAAAUCAUUUCUCAUGUCAUUCCCCAAUGAAUGGGAAUAGAAAAUUCCUUUCCCACAUUUGGUAAUACUGGAAAAGUAACAGGGAAAUAUCACUUUAUUUCAUUUUCCAUGUUUGUUUUGAGUAGGAAUGGAAAACAAAGUUUGUAUAAAUUUUCAAUUAUAUCCAUAUUAAAUCAAAUAAAAAAAGAAUGCAUUUAAUGAUAUAUUGUAAUUCUAAAUUGUAUAAAAAAUAUAUAUUUAAUGUUAGCUCAUUUUCUCAAACUUUCUAAUGAGGAGGGAAAACAAAACUCAAGUUAGUAGGAUGACUUCACUUUCCCCAUACUUUCCUAUGAGCCAAACAACAAUUUCCCAUAUCUAGACUUACUAAACAUGAUAAAACAAUUAAUUUCCUAUUCCCAAAUCUCUUUUUUUAUAAACCAAAAUGGGACCUAAGUAUGUGAAUAGACGGUAAAAACAUUAUGCCGGGCGAAGUUAGGUCGGUGAAGAAGACAGCGGACAGUAAUUUACCAAUAAUCUGAAGGUCAAAAUUGGGUGGGACCCAUCCAAACGUACCUACAGGGACAAGAGAAGGCCGCACGAGGGGGUGGGGUGGGAGGGGCACUUUUCAGCCACAGGGGAUCGUACCUCCUCCCUCCUAUCUCACUUUGCUAUCAAUGAUUCUCGCUGUCUGCUGUGCUGACCUACGUAGUGGGCCCCAGCUCUACAUCCAUCGCCAUCGGCCCAUACAGUCUCUUUAUAAUAUUCACAAAUAAUAAUAAUUAUUUUUUUUUUCAUAUAUUUUUAUUUUCACUUCUUAAUUCUUAUGUUACUUUUCUUUUUAAUGUGAAUCAAAUGCGUGAUGAGAUGAUUUAUGAGAUCAAUCCAUAGGGUAGUCAAAGUGAGGUUCAUUCAUCUUUGAAAAUGACUGUAUUUAUGAGUGUCUCAAGUUCAAGGGCAAAUUCAUGAAUUUUUCAAGAAGUUGGCCAAAAAAAAAUCUAUAUUUGGAGAGAUCUUUUAUAACUAGGAAUUUUUGGGCUAAUUAAUAUUAUAUGGUAGGAUUAUAUAAUUUUUUUUUUUAUAGAAAAUAUGGUAGGAUUUCAGUGGGUAGAAGAAAAUAAAAUCUAAUUUGGGUGGCUAGGAUAGAUUGAAUUUUAAAAGAUAAUUGAGUUAAUAUUUAAUUGUAGUGGAACGGACUAAAGCUCAGUUAAGCCCCUUUGUAGGUCCGUCCUUGCCCAAAUUUGACUAUAAGACGGUCACAUGUAGAAAAAAUAACAAAUUUUCAUUUUACCUUAAUGUUAGCUUAGCACAAGGAAUUCUUAAAUUUUUCGACAAAAAAAGAAGAAGGACUUCUUAAUUCUAAAUAAUGCUUUUGGGAUGCGCAUAUUAUGAUAUUAUUAUAACAUUAUAUGGUAGCUUACCAAAAAGUCUAAAAUGAUAUGUUAUAUGUUAGUAUAAAGGGUACUUUGAUCAUUAUGUAAUUGUGUGUCUCUUCGAUCAUUAUGUCUUUAUAUCUUAAUUCAUAAAGUCUAAUAUGAGAGAGUAUAAAAUUUUAUAAAAUAAGUUGUAAUGUAAUUGUGUGUCACUUUGAUCAUUAUGUCAAAGUACCUUUGGUUUUCCUUCAAAACUUAAGGGUACAAAUGUCCAUCCAUGUUGUAUAUACUUCUCUAACCUCACGCUUCUCAUAUUUUAUUUAUAUAGGUAAUAAAAUAUGGUGUGAGUAGAUAUUUAUGCUCUUAAAAAUGAUAGAAAAAUUAAUAAAUUACGACGAAAGGAUCAAAAUGAUAUAACAUUAAAAGUGUGAAUCGAGGAAUAGUUGAAAGACCAUAACAGUGAGUAAUUCAAAUUGAAAAUCUAAGUUAGGUUUGACAUUUUGAUAAGUAAGCAUUUCUAAUGCACAAGUUUUACACUCUCUCUCUCUCUCUGCGGGAGCAAUCACAUUUUGACAUGAAAAACUUGCGUGAAAUAUUUUUUAUUCACUUUAAAGUCGCCAUGUUGGCAUGUCUAUUUCUUGUUUGUGAUGUAUAGUAAAAAGUUCUAUGUUUACAUCCAUAUUACAUCAUCUUCAUCUCUCAACACUAUUAUUAUUAUACGACUCUAAUGAGUUUAUAAGUUAAUAUGAUGUCAACUUCUCGUUUGAGGCCCCUCUUACAAAAUCGUCUACUUUUUAAGUGAGCAAGUAUCGCCAAAUUAGCAAUUGCUUUUGUUAUUAUAGGAAAUGUAUGUGGUCUUACUUCUAUUAUUGACAAGUAAGAGUGAUCUGCAUAUGCAAUUGCAUGCUUCGUCCGGACCAUAAAUUCUUGUUGCAUGCCAAGGAACAUUAAAAAGAAAUGAUGAUGGGCUUUGAGGACACACAUGACCCUAAAAACCUAACUAACAAUUUAGAAUAUAGUCCAAAGAAAAUAAUUAUCCACUUGUUUCCUUGCUCCUGUCUGGUGUUCCCUAACCAGGAGGCCUCUUAUUGGGAUUAGACUGUCCGAAUUGACAAAUCAAUUAGGAUAUUGUGGGUAUUCGCUGGAAUGAUUAUAAAUGCAUUAAACUAUAAAUUAUUCCCCUUUGUCCAUUUUUGGAAAAGUAAUUCAUAUUUGCAUGCAUUAUACCAAUAUUCUGAAAAUAAUACUAUUUUUAUUUGUAAAUUUUUUUCUUAUAAAAAAAAAAAAAGCCAAAAAGCCAAAAAGCGAUGACGAAUUAAGAACUGGAAUAACAAGCUUGAGUAAAAGAAUAUAGCAGAACGCUGAGAAACAAAAAAGGACCUGUAUAUAUGGAAAUUCAUAAAAUAAAACUAACAGAGAAUUUGGUUGAAAAUCAAAUCAUGAUGUAUAUAAACCUGAAUUGAUUUGUACGCCAUCAUAAUAUCCCUAUGAACCCACCAAAAAAAAAAAGGAUUAUGCAUUAUUAAUUCAGACCUGGUUUUUUUAUGAUUAAAUAUCUAAAUAUCAUAAAUCCAUUCAGUUUUUAAUAUAAUUAGGAGUUUAUAUAGUUCAUACAAUACAAUGAAUAUAAAUGGAUGAUGAUAAUUACACAAACCAAGAGAAACUGAUCACCUUGAGAUCAUAAUUAGCACCAUUAAAAAAAAAUUGUAGAAGAGAGAGAAGAAGAGGAAGAAGAAAAGUGAGAGAAAAACCAAUAUAAAAAAGCUAUGAUAAAAUAAAAAUACAGUGGACAGAUCUUAUUGGCUCCAUCAAAUUGGAAACAAAGUUCAUGAACAGCCUUCAAAUAUACUUCUAUACAUAUAUAUAUUUAAGCAGAUUAAUAAUACUAGAAAGAGAAAAAGAAAAUUAAUUAAGAAAAAUGAACUAACAAGCUAGGUAGGUAGGUAGGUGUGCCUUGCUAUUAUAUCAGGGUUCAUUACGUUCGUGCCAGCAGAGGAGCAUUGCUAUGCAGCGCCGGAGGAUGUAGAAUUUAGUCCGCUGCUUCUUCAACAGGUGACGGCACUUUUUCCCGAACGGCGGCCUCUGGCAGCCGGAUUCACACUCUCCGUUCAUCAUGUUCAUCUGCGCAUUUUGAUUGAAGCUUGUAGUUGUACUAGUAGUAGUGUUACUUUCGCUUUCCUCCACCGCCAGUGCCAUAUUGACGAAGACUUGAAAUUCAAAGGUCUGAUCACUCUCACCAGCUUCUGCUGCACUGCUUCUAGAUUUGUCACUACUAGUCCCACUGAGCAGUAAAUAUAUACACAUGUGAAAAGGUAAUACAUGUAUCUGUCUCAUGAUUCAAACUGUUUACUUUUACGUCAUUGUUGAAGCAUUUAAUUAUCUACGUGUGACUUAAUGAAUAAAUGAAACAUAAUAUUUCUGAUAAUCAAGUGACUAAACAAUCCUGACUUGGAUGAAAUUUUAAAAGGAAGAUAAUCUUUGAAUGAGGAACUAAACAUUGAAUUGUUUGGAUUAUAAAAUUAUAUUGUGAAAUAUGCACAUUUAUUCAUCAAAUAAGGUGACAAUUUUUUCUUCUUUUAUUUAAAUAUGAACUCAUUCAUUCAGAAUCUCUUUUAAUUCUAGUAGAUAACUUACAGGUGCAACCUUAGUGAAUAAAUUUGAUGGCUCUACAAUAUAAUUAAUUUUUAUUAUUGGAGAUUGCGGGGCCUGGGGUUAGAUUAAGUAGAAGAAAUGAUGGGAGCCAUUGGUGCAGGCAGAAGAGAAAUUUUUAAUAUGGGUUGGAUAUGAACUGUGAACACUGCAAACCCACCAGCUGUCAGGAGGAUAACAUAGCAUAUGAAACAUAGAAUGGGCCAAGUUUCCUGCCAUUUUUGUUACCUGAUAUGUUUUCAAUUAAAAAUUCACCUUGACCCCCUCCAAAGUCCUCCACAGAUCAAGUGUCUCAGUACUGCAAAUAUAUAUAGUAAUUCUCUACACAUUAUUAUCGUAUGGAUAUUAUAGUAAAUAAAAAAAAAAUAGAAAGGGGUAAUAAAAAAUAUAUGACGUCCGUACGAUACUAACAUCUAAAUAUCCGCACAAGAAAAUUUAUGUACAUAUAUAUACAUAUUAUUUAGGGUUAACUGCCCCCUACUUCUACUACCAGUAAAAAAAUUUCAAGUGAAAGAAUAUAACAUCAUGCUUUAAGUUUUCAGGUAACUUGAAGUUUAAAUAGGAGACUAGUACAGUGUUACAUUAUUUUGGUCAAAGAAUUGCAAUAGAAUCCUUGACCCCCACCCGACACCCAUAAAUGCCCUCAACUCUAGAGACUGCUGUAUAUAUGUGUCACUUUCGUUUCAUUUUAUAUUUAUUCUUUUUGACACAGUUAGAAAGGAGGAGGGAUAUUCAUACACGUAAACACGGUGUCAUACGGAAUUUAACUGUAGAUCACUAGUCUGUAUGUCAACAAUUCUACCAUUAAUUAAAAUCCUAUUGACCACGUGUGCAAAUAUUUUAAUAAAUAAUUUUUGCAUAUAUGUCAAAUUCCGAUUUGCAGAAAGAGGACAAAAAGUGUCUCUAAAUUGAAAACCAGAGGGGGGGCAAAACAAAUUGUGGAACGAUCUCCUCCGCAUAUAUAGUCGUUCUUGGCAUUAGUACCACAGGCAAGUAAUGGAUAUCAUAGUUCAUUAGGGUUAAGAAAAGUGAAGCUCGGAAGUUUUUAAGAAAAUGCAGGCAAUCAGUGGCCAAGAUACCUCAGCUUAUCUGUACGACUGUGAAUUGUCCUGAUGACGUUGAUUUUGUUUUGUGAUGCCUUCUGCUGACCAAGCAAAUUUAAUUAAAGGCUCAAGAGCAUGUACAUGGGUCCAGCCAUGUGCUAAGCCAGAGGGUUUUUUAAAUUAUAUAUAUAUAUAUUUAUUUAUUUAUCUAUUUUUUAAAGGCUUUGAGCUAAUAAGUGUUCUUGGGCCAGCUACAAUCUGCUUUGUGUAUUUAUGUAGAUCACAGUUUUACAGUUACCUAGCCACAGAGUGCAAUAGGUUAAAUUGGCUAAAUAGGUAAGGUAAUAGGCUAAACUAGUCAAUAAAUUAAUGAUGUCAUAUAAUUAUUUGAUUCUGCAGCUAGCAGCUAUGCUACUCUUCCUUUACAUUAAAUAGAAGAAAAAUUUUCAUGUAGCUGAUGCCACACUACAAUCACGUGUUGAAAAAGCACGUGGCAGUGUGUGAUUUGCCAAAUGGCAUCCCAAGUAAGGAUGAGCAUCAAGAUCAGAAAACUGGAACAUUGAGGCGCACUGGCAGAAAAAAAUCGUGUUAACUAAAAAGUCAACAAAAUAGCACCAAAUCGAUUCCAAUGCUAAUUUCACAUCUUACAAAAUUGGACCGGACUAAACUGGCUGUGUAUUUUUUUAAAAAUAUUUUUAAAAAUUAUUUAAAUCCAAUGCUAAAUUUAUAAUCCCGUAACUAAUAUUUCUCCAAGCACAACUUCAAAGCCCAUAAUCUUUCUUUGCAUGAAAUUGGGUCAUUUAUAAAUUUUUAAGUCCACAAAAAUAAAAUUUUAGUUGAAAUUGUAAAAAUAUAUAUAAAAAAUCCAGUCCAAAACCGAACCCGAUUUAAAAUGGAACGAUCAAUUUUAUAAAUGUUCUUCACCAAAAUUGGAUUGAACCGCACCGAUUGAAUUGUAUCGAUUCCAGUAUUAAGUGGAAACCAAACUGAACUGGACUGCGCCCUCCCUAUUCCCAAGUGCAAAGAAGUUCCUCUCCUAUCUCAUAAGGACUUGGACACAGUUUAAUGAAUAAGAUUUAUUAGAAACCUCUCAAGCAUGCCUAGAAAGUGAUUUUUCCAUAACAAUUCUUGACUAUGGCUCUCUAAUUACAUGCAAACUAAAUUUCUUCUUACAAAUCAAUUACAAUUUGAUGCGGUGUGUGGACUCAUCAAGUUGAAUUACUCAUUAAGAAAAGAAAAAGAAAAAACACAUGACAAAAUAAGAGGGAAAAAAAACACACUUCAAAUUGUAAUUGGUUCGUAAAGAGAGAAAAAAAAGAAAAGGAAAACACAAAAAAGGAGUGCUAAGCAUCAAAAUAAUUAAUGAUGGGUAGGUACAUGAGAUUUCUGUUGCACCUAAAAAAUGUGACUAGAGAGAGAGGAACACCCUUUAACAUGAAUUUUACAUAUUUAAAUCACAGCAAAUUAAAUCUUCAAAAAAGACUUUUUGUAAACUUGAAGUGAGAGAAGUGUUUGGUGGGUUAUUUUGUGGCCAUGGUUCUCAUAAUAAUUACAGGAGGGCAAGUCACCCCUGAGAUUGAAACACCACAUUCUGCAACAAUUCUUGAUGUGAAGAGGGGGAUUGAGGAGCGUUUGAAUGUUGAGGUGAAGAGGCAGACCCUGUGGCUAGACGAAAUAAUGCUGCAGGAUGAGGACAGAGUUGGAAAUUACUUCCCCCAACGAUAUGGUGUUUUAAGACUCAGUGUGACACCUUGGCCUGGAGACCCAAAAUGCAUUAUUUGGGUGAGGAAUAAAAACGAACAUUUAGGGUUUGUGAGAAUUAGAGAAACAGUCAUGGUGGCUGAUCUGAGAAGCAAAAUUGAGAGGCGUUGGGGGAUUCUGAGUGGCGUGACUAUGUUCCAUCUUGAUACGGAAAUGAUCGAUGACCGUCCUCUUUCUGCAUAUUAUAUAACUGACAAUUCUGUAGUUGAAAUUAAAAUUGAGAUUGAAACUCGUUAAUUGAGGUAUUUAAAGAUAAUAUGGUGAUAGUUAACAAUAAGUCUUUGGUUUUUUGGUUAGAAGGAAGCUUGAUAUAAUAUGGAAAAGUUCAAAAAUAGAUGAAAUCAUAUCAUAUGGAGAACUUAUAUAUCUAUCCCCUAUUAUAACAUAUUUGUAUGAGAUUAUAAUAUCAUAUCAACAUGUUAUGUGGUGUUACAAUUUGAUAAAAUAUGAAUUACAAAUAGAGAUAUUUAGUCAUAUACCCAUUCUUAGCACUAGUAAUAUAGAUAAACCCUACAUCAUUUAAUUUCUAAUUUUGAUUAUUAAAUCACUUUGAUGUCCUAUUGAGUGUUUUGAGUUUUUUUAUGAGGUUUUGAGAUUGAGUUUGUUUUAAGAAAUCAAUGGUAGUUUUGUAAUUUAUAAGAAGUUAAAAACCUCAUUGUUAUGUGUAAAUGAGGUUUUGGUGUGUUUUGAAAGUCCAUUUCAUAUAAAUUUUUUAAUAAUUUGAGCUCCUAUAUUGGGUAUAAUAGUAAAUAUCUCUUAAAAAUAUUCAUAUUUGACUAAUUACAUAAUUUUGAACCGGACCAUAUAAAAAUCCGACCUAUUGACUAGGGAUAACGGGUCAAAAAAUAGAAGAAGAUGAACGGCCACGAUCGUCUGAUCGGUUUGAUCAAUGCAACCACAUUUAUACCCGCUAAAAUUGACCCCUUUCUAAACAGAUCUUCUAAGCAAAUCGAGCUUUAGACUAAACAGAGCUUCUUCUUCUUCUUUGCUUUGACAAACAAUGUCUUCUCAGAAAACCUUCAAAACCCUGAAGAAACUCUUCCCAACAGACCCCACAUUGAUAUCCAACCAAGAAAUUGCUAAGAAGAUUUCUAAAACCCUAAUCAAUUCAGGCCUUCAACCCCUCAAAUCCACCCCAUCUCUGCUCUUCAAUCUCAACCCCCACAUAACCAACCUUGUCCUCUCAAACCCACUCGUCCCGCCCCUUUCUUGCUUGAGCUUAUUCAACUUUCUCCAAACAAACCCAUCUCUCACUUCCCACAAGCCCAAUCUUCAAGCCCAUGUAGCAAUCAUUUGCAGGCUCUAUCAAGCUAAGAAAUUUGCCCAAAUGAAAAUUGUAUUGAAUGGUAUUGUCUCCAAUGAUAUUCUUCGAUGCCCUGUUUCUGAAAUUGUCUCUUUGGCUGAGGAUGAGCGUAAAGGAGUGAAAUUUGUUGAGACAUUGUGUGAUAUGCUGUUCAGGGUUUAUGCAGAUAACAAAAUGUUUGAGGAGGCUGUUGGGGUUUUUGACUAUGCGGAGAAGAAGGGGUUUGAGAUUGAAGAAAGGUCCUGCUUUGUGCUUUUGCUUGCCUUGAAGAAAUGUGGUCAGGUGGAUUUAUGUUUGAGGUUCUUUGAUCAAAUGGUUGAAAAGGGUGUUCAAAUCACUGUUCAUUCAUUGACGCUUGUGAUGAAUGAGCUUUGUAAGAGAGGGGAGGUGAAAAAGGCAAAGGCUUUGAUGGGUGAAAUGGCUGGUAGACAAGUUAAGCCUAAUGUUGUUACAUAUAACACACUUCUGAAAGCAUACAUUGAAAGGAAGGAUUUUGAGGGUGUUAAUGAGGCCUUGAGCUUGAUGGAGAAGGAUAGUGUGGGUUAUAAUGCGGCAACAUGCACGCUUUUGAUUGAUUGGUUUGGUAGCUGUGAAAAGAUUGAAGAUGCUGAAAAGGUGUUUGAGGAAAUCCAUGAGAGAGGGAUAGAACCAGAUGUGUAUCUUUAUACUUCGAUUAUUAAUUGGAAUGGUAGAGUGGGAAAUAUGAAAAGGGCGUUGUUUCUGUUCGACGAAUUAACUCAAAGAGGCCUUGUCCCGAAUGUUCACACUUACGGGGCAUUGAUUAAUGGUGCGUGCAAGGGUGGACAGAUGAAGAUGGCAGACAUCUUGGUGAAUGAGAUGCAAAGUAAAGGCAUUGACGUAAACCAAGUUGUGUUUAAUACGCUGAUUGACGGGUACUGCAGAAAAGGGAUGAUGGACGAAGCUCUAAGGCUGCAGGAUUUCAUGGAAGGGAAAGGCUUUCAGACUGAUGUGUUUACUUACAGCACUAUAGCUAGUGGAUUGUGUAAAUUGAAUAGGAAUGAGGAGGCAAAGAGUUUGUUGUUCACAAUGGAAGAAAGAGGUGUGGCUCCAAAUGUAGUGUGUUUCACUACUCUAAUUGACAUAUUCUGCAAGGAAGGAAACUUUGUCGAGGCAAAGCAGGUAAUUCAAGAGAUGGAAAGGAAGGGAGAGAGACCUAACACUGUAACAUACAAUGCUCUAAUUGAUGGGUACAUCAAGAAAGGUAAGAUGAAGGAAGCUCACAAGCUAAAGAAGGAGAUGGAAGACAAGGGGUUGAUGCCAGAUACGUAUACGUAUUCAUCGCUUAUACAUGGCGAAUGUAUUGAUGGCAAGGUGGAUGAGGCACUGAAAUUAUUUCAUGAAAUGUAUCAGCGGAAUUUAACUCGUAACGUCGUCACGUAUACAGCAAUGAUUUCAGGUUUGUCUAAGGAUGGGAGAACAGACGAAGCUUUUAAGUUGUAUGAUGAGAUGAAAAGAGAAGGCCUCACACCUGAUGAUAGAGUAUAUCAUUCACUUGUAGGCAGCCUUCAUACAGCCAAGUCUUAACUCUAUGCACUCAUAUAAUUUUUUUUUUAUGUGACUAUCCUCUCUCUACCUGAAAAAAUUCAAACUUUCUUUGCCUAGUAGAGUAAGUUGCUUGAAUUUGAAAGAAGGAUUUAAAAUAUAUGAACUAUAAAGAAUGGAUGAAAUAACUUUGGAUUGGUAAAAUAUACACAAAUAGGUUUGCCUAAGAUUGUAAAUUCGAAAUGCGCAGUUCAAGGAAGUCCUUGAGCAAAAUUUGAUCAGUUGGCUUCUGCUGAAUGACACAAGAAGCGCCCACCCCUCAAUUAGGAGUGCUAGCUUUGAAUAAAAAUGUGAGAAAUAUACAAUAACUUACAGUAUAGAGUUUCAACUCUUCUACAGUAGAGCAAAGAAAGCCAAUAUUACAACUUUGGAGCAUUGAAACCUAGCCUCCGCUAAGCUCCAAUGUUUUUGACCCUAAAGCCUAAGUUGUUCAUUUUGGACGUUCUCUAUAUUCCAAGCCUCAGCUUGCUGUACAAUCAGCUCCAAAAACUGGGAGCUCAACAGCUGAACUCCAGAUUUCCUUAAAAGAUACCAGAAAUCGAACCGACGGAGUAGAUACCAUAGCCUUGUGCUGCAUUUUUAAACAAGUAAAGGACCAUAAGCCCCAAGCCCUUGGCUUCCAAGGGACUGCCUGAGCUUCAAGAAUGCUCGGCUCUCCAGCUGCCGCACCCGCUCCUUGGACAAUCCAAACAUGCCACCAAUCUCUGAUAGUGAUCUCUGCUUGCCAUCUUCAAUGCCAUACCUCAGCCUGAUUAUCUCUCUCUCUCUUAAAUUGAGGAUGCUUAGGAGGUGGCGCACAUGUUGCCUCAUCAGCUGCUUUGCUACACUCACAUCUGGGAUCUCAACCCCAGUGUCAGCAGUUACCUCCUGUAAUUGUGAAAGAAAAAAAUGUUUGCUUCUUAAACCAUUGGAGAAACCAUGCUCAAUAUAGUCCAACAAAUUACAUCACGUUCAAAAUUGAGGUUGUAUACAGCCAAAUCAUAUACCAGAAAAGUAUGAGAGAGAGAGAGAGAGAGAGAGAGAGAGAGAGAGAGAGAGAGAGAGAGGUAUAUAAGAAAAUCGAGACAAGAAGAAUCUUUACCUGAAAGGUAGUAUCUUGGUCAGCCCAGACUGGUUGUUGCAUUGAAAGUGGCAUUCUUGUAGCAUAUAGCAACUUUUCCAACUUUUCAACUGUAAUACCAACCCGUCUCGCUAGUUCUUCUUUGUUUGGGUUGUGAUUUCCUUCCUGAAUGCAUGAUUUCUUUGCCUCCAAUACUUUGCCAAGGAGGCUGUACACAUUCUCCUGUGAAUAACUGUCAUAUUCAGUAAAGUUCUUUUUGCUUUGCACACGCUACGAAAUAGUUAACUUUUGAGUAUUCAGACAUGGGCGAGGAUUUAGUAUAUUAGCAAGGUAACACUGUAGAUUUUCCACUAUAGCGAAAAGUGGUGACGAAACUAAGAAUUCAAGGUACAGAUUUCAAUGGCAACAGUACUUUUCCUCAUCAUCUGGAUUAACCAAUUCAAUAAUUUUCAUUCUGUUGCAAAAUCCUAUGGAGACAACAGAAAUUUUUCAGAACAGGAUACAAUCAGUUGACACAAAAGAUAGAUACUUAAAGAAGAAUCUCAUUGCAAAGUAGAUGGAGACAUGGUAAUUUUUUCAUUACCGGCAAGCGGAUGGUCCUGGAAUGUUGAAAUAUGGCCUUCCUAACUGUUUGCCUUAUCCACCAGUAUGCAUAAGUAGCAAAUCGGCAACCAGCUUGGGGCUUGAACUUCUCAACACUCUUCAUAAGACCCAUACUUCCCUCCUACAAAAGUGUCAGAUAAACAUAGAAAAGCAAUUUAAUUCUCAAGUCCAGGCCUUAUUAUAAAAUCAAAAUACUGCUCUUUGGUUGCAAUGAAGUUUUCUGAAAAGAAUUCUUGUUUAACCUCCAAUACAACCUAACCAAACAAUCAGAUAGAGCAUGUGUAUAAUAUAUGCCAUCCUAGGAGGUGCUGACAUUGCCGAGAUGAAUGCAAUAAUAUCCAUUAUCUGAUCAUGAAGGAUACAGACGAACAAUAGUUGAUCCGAACAGAUGGCACAAAUUUAAAAUUUCAAUCUGGCAUGUAGGAGUUCCGAAUGCAAUUUCAUGAUCUAAUACAAUGCUUUACUGUAUUCAAGUAAGCAAAAAAGAAAAAACUUUGGCGUAGAAGUCAAAAUUUUGUCGGUAAGAUGUGGUCUGUGUAACAAAAACCGUCAAGUCUUAGCCCUAAGGACUACAUAUAAGAAAGCAUGUCCCAAUGAAAUUACCUGCAUUAAGUCCUGGAGGCCAAGACCUCUCCCUUGAUAUUGUUUAGCAAUGUGAACCACCAUACGUAAGUUAGCAUAAAUCAGCUUUUCACGGCUGCUGGUACCAGAGCGAAGCUGUGAUUUCAAGAUCUGACAACUAAUUCCAACAGCUUCAGCCCAUUCAAUCAAAGUUGGUUCACGGCCAAACUGUGUUUGAAGUCUACUCUUCACUUCUUCUAACUUGAAUAAAUCCUGUUACAUAAUUCGACACAUGAAUGCAGUAUCAGACCCUAUAUAAACAAGUAAUCCAAAAAUCAGCAGACAAACAUUACUUAGAUAUACACCUGAACUCGGGCAAUCAAUUCUGCCUCCUCUUUAGCAGUCAAAAGUUGUCUUGUUUCAGGACCCCACAAGAACAACCGCAGGGGAUCAUUUGGAUUAAAUCCUUCACUUAUCUUUUUCCGCACAUCUGAACCUGUAAAACUGUUUGACUCGUGACCUAUAACUUUUGACUUAGGCACCUUCCUUGUCUUAAUUCGCUUGCGCCGCCUCUCUAGAAUCCGGGUUGACCUUACAGUUUUCUCCUCCUCAACUAUCCAGUUGGCCAAACUUGUAUACCCCAAACUAGACAAAAAUUCUUGACUUCAGUUCCAAAGGAAUUUGAUAGGGAAAUCAUAAUGAAACAAGGAAGUAACACAAAACUGACCCCAGAGAAAGAGACUCGUCAAAAUCAGCUCCCAUUGAUUGGGAGUCUUCAGCUAAUGAGGCUGCUUCUCUGGAGGCUGACAAAGCUUUCUUAGCCAGGGCAACUACGUUACAUGGUUCCACAUCCAUAUGCUUAUUGGAAGCAGUGGUCAAAGACUCCAGAGUCAAAGGUGUGGAUGGCUUUGCUCCUGUUUGUAAGGAUGAAAAUCUGCAAGGCAGAGAUACAACAUGAGCAUCACAUAAGGAUGCAAUUUGGUAAUAAAAUUGCAAUCACCUGAAAAAAGAAAAAAAAGAAAAAAAAAGGAAGAGGAGUUUUAUUCAUCUUACACAUCUAAAAUAUCAUGGUUAAGCAAUUGGGGCUUAGAGCUGUUCACCAACGGGUAAAAGUCAUCAAUGUCUAAAUCUUCAUGGACAGAGGCCCCAGUCUCUAUCUGCAUCCUAUCUAACGCAGCCUAAUUAAAAAACAGAAAAUGGAAAUUAAUUAGGAGUUUCCCAGGAGAGAAAUAGAGACAGCGUAUGAGUCAAUUUCUAAGAAGUAAGGAAUACCAAGUAGGUGUGUGAAAUGGUAAAUGUGUAAGAAAGAAGAAGCCUCUCAAAAUCUUGAAUUAUACAAAUCAAUGGUGGCAUUUUAAAAAUGAAAAUUAUUAUCAUCAACAGGCAUAAUUUCAAAUGAGGGAAAACAGAAGUUUGAGUAAGGAGUUUUACGCCAUUGAGGAUUAUUCAAUUUAUACGCAGUACACGUCUAAAGCGCACAUCUGAUCUAACUUAUAUGCAGAGCAUUUCUACAACAGAAGUCUAACCUCAGAUGUUUUAUCUUCUUUCAGUACAUGCAAUAGAGGCUUGAACUCAUCACGCUGCUCUUGUAAAAGAACCGAGGUAGGAAAAUGGCGAGCUACAGAUGUAAUCGGCACAGAAGUAACUGCAGGAACUGCUUGCUCAUGAAGCAUCAACACUGAAAAAUUAGGAGAACCAACAAGCCUGACGUUAACCAACAAUCGACAAUAGGGGGGGUAAACCAUCCCUUACUCAAACAUUUUUGUAGACAAUUACUAUCAGCAUAAUAAUCUGCAUCUCUUCAUGAACUCCAAUAGUAUCAGACUCUAAAGAAUUAACUUAAGUAACUCAGCAUCUCAAUUCUCAUUCUAGAACCUUUUAUCCUAGAGGGAUAAACACACAAUCAUUCACACUCCUAUGCAAGUAAGCGCAGGAAAAUAAUCUUUUUUGAGAACUGUUUCAACAGGAAAUAGAAUAUAAAAAAUAUCCGCUACUUCCAAAUGUAGCUCUUGCAUUAGUAUUUUACGUUGAAAAGAUUUAUGCUAAUAGUCUUUGUUCAACAAUUUAGCGCAUCAAUUCAAGUUUAAGGAAUAAAAAUCAAACACAACAAUUAAAUAUGUAAAACCCAUCUCAGAAACACAAAAGCUCAACAUACACAGUUGCUGUAUUGGGAUUAAACACAAAGACCAAUCAUUCCCAACUUAUGUUUAAGCACCUAUGGCUGAAUUCCACAAACUAUAAACUUUCCCAGUAAAUUAUCAGCAAGCAAACAGAAUAAAUGAGAAAACGGAAAUAUUAAAGUAGUGAACUUUUUUUACCUGAAGUAGAGGGAGAAGAAGAAGGAAGAGGAUGCCUGAGGUGGGUUGUUGAAGGAAAGGCUGAAGAUGAAGAAAGAAAGUGUCUUCCAGCCUCCAUUGGAAGGACAAAAUAGUUAUUUAUCAGUGUAGCUAAGCUAGCCGUAUAUUCAAGUAAAGCGGUGUAUAUUCUGCCCUGCUGCUGUGUGUACCUUGCAUUGGCUUCCUGUGUUUUGCAGAUAAUGCAGCAGGGGAGGUUCUGCUCCUGCUUUCAGAGACUAUUUCACACCUCAAAAUCAUUUACUUUGUUUUCUUUCAAAUGGAUCAGGUUGGGCAAUUUUUCAUUUUUUUUUUUGUUCUUCAGUUUUGAAUGAAAAGAAAUCAAUAUCUUGGGCUUGACCGAAUAACACAGGCCUUGUUAAUGUAGGCCUAUUCUUUGGGAAGUUCCUGCCCAAGUUUGAGCAUAAGGGGCUUGAGCCAGAAUGGCUGACGGACCUCUAGUCUAAACCUGGGCCAUGAAAAGACUUAUCAGCUCAAGGCUUUUCUUGUAACCCAACCCGUAGUUGAUUGUCCAUCUCUUUUUCUCUGUGUCAUUUCUACAUGUGUGAAUUGUUGUUAGUCGUUGAUGCUGUGUGAGAUUCAAUUGCAUUAACAUCCGGUAUACAACUAACCACAUGUGAAUGACUGUCGCAAGCAUAUGACCUUUUUCUUUUGUAAUAUUAGUGGUGAUGUUUGGUUUAAUAGAAGGAAAAGGAAUGGAAUUCUUAUAGAAUGGACCCAAAAUUAAGAUCCAGAACAAGAUAUUGAGUCCGAGCCCACACCCCAAAACCCAUAUCCGAAACAAGGGUUGAAAUUUGAACUUAAAAUUUAAAACUAACAAACAAACAAGUCAUAAAAUGUUCUUAACAAACAAAAAUAUAAAUGCACUAACAACGAUCGCAAGAGAAUUAGGUAACAAAACUAUAAAUUCUCUUAUGACGGUAAGUUGGAAAAUUACUGAGAGAGAAGUCAUGCCAACACAAUGUUGUGCUGUAACCCACGAGCGAGUGGAUUUGGAAUUGGAUAGGAGGGGCCUUUGUGACAUUUCAGUCUCAGUGUCCGACAUUGGUCAAACUGUCAGAAACUAAACCACCAAACAAAAACCUGAAACACUGGUUACAAGCGCGUGACACGACAGAGAAAGAGGGGCCUGCAUCAGGCGCUUUUUCUGCUGAUAAAAAGACAAAAAAUAUCACACAGUAUUUUCGUUUUGUUUUUAUUUUUGUAUAAAUUAUUAUCUAUUCAUAAUUUAACAUAACAAAUUUUAUCAAAUUAAGAAAAUAUAUUUGUAUACUCCUUUUCUCUUUAAUACUUUUUUUUUUGGGUUAACUUUAAACAAUUAAAAAGAGAUGAAACAUAUUGAGUAUUUUUCAAAAAGACUGUGACCACUAAUUCUUAAAAAGGUGUGCUUAUAUUGAUACAACUCAGUAGGCUGAUUACAGAGUCAUGAUAAUAAAGUAAAGGUUAAGACGACACCUCACAUAUGAGUAGCAUGAGGGCAUUUUAAGUUCCGAAGAUGUAGAGUUAUCACGAACGACAGUCGUAAAUUUCAUGUACUUGAAAAAGUAUUAUUAUCAUUUUCCAUAUUUAAAUUAUUAUUUUCGUACAAGCCUAAUUGACAAAUAAAUAAAUAAAUAAAUAAAGAAGGAAAAUAGUGAGAGAGAAAUGAAGUGGGGAGUGGAAAAGGAAAGAGUCCAAGAAAAGACCACCGAAGCAAAACUAAUUCAUGCAUUUAUUCAAUGUAAGCUCUCUCUCUCUCUCUCUCUCUCUCUCUCUCUCAUCAGGUACCUGCUGCUCUCUUCAAACCAGCGCGUGUACCCCUUUUCCCAAAACAAGUUCAAAAACCAUGCAAAUCAAAACAAACCAAAACUCACUCUCUCUCUCUUCACUAGGACCCACCGAGCCCCGACGGGGGCCCACCAUCAACCCGCUCUCGCUGCCUUAUCCCCACAUUUCUCACUCACACGAGAAAUAAAAAGGGCCCCUCUCUCUGUGUGGGGUCAAUCGAAUUCCCCCACCCUCUCAAAGCCCUAAUUUCCCCUCUCUCUGAGCGCCCAAACCCUAAAACCACCACCACAACCACCACCCAUGGGCUCAGAGAUGGCCCUUGCCCCUCUACGCAACCACGAAGACCCGACCCUCAUCCCCACUGCCGUUUUGUCCUCCGCCGCCCUAGAAACGGCGUCGUCCCGUCAGCACUCCCAGCAAUCCAUACAAUCUCUACAGCCCAAGACACAUAACCAGCUCUCUCAGACCCGAAAGUCCGCGUCUUCCAGGGACCGCCACACCAAAGUCAAUGGCCGGGGACGGCGAGUCCGGAUGCCGGCCAUGUGCGCCGCCCGGAUCUUUCAGCUGACCCGGGAGCUCGGCCACCGCUCCGACGGGGAGACCAUCGAAUGGCUCCUCCGCCACGCCGAGUCCUCCAUCGUCGCCGCCACCGGUACCGGCACUCUCCCGGCCGAGCCGAUUUCGACCUCCGCCCCCUCCGUCUCCUCCCAAGUGCCCUCCCUCGCUUGCCGGGCCCACCCGCUCAGCUCCCUCAACGGCGGCGGGCAGUUCAUGUACCCGCUAGUGUCGUCGGCUCAUCAGGCUCAACCGAAUCAGCCGCAUCAGCAGCCGAGCAUUCGGCUGGACUUGUGCCAGCCGGCGGGGUUGGACUACACCGAGUACAGGCAGCACAUGCCGUUCACGUCGUUGCUGCUGCAUCCGGCGGAGAAUGAGGAGGAGGAGGAUGGGCAGCAGGAGGAGGCUCUGUGUCUUGAGGAUGGAUAGAUAAAGAAAAUGCGUGGGUGUGUGUGUAUAUCAAAGUAGAUAAAGCAAAUAGGAAGCAAGCAAUAGAGGGUGGGGUUGGUUGGGUACAAAAGGUGUAAGGUAUGUGAGUGUUGUGUGUGUUUUGGGGUUUUACGUUAAGAAGAAGAGGAGAGAAUAGGUUUUGGGUUUUUGGGUAGUUUAGACAAAGGCCCUUGCCUUUCUUUUAUGAUGUUGUUCAUCAAUGGUUUCUUCUGUGUAGUAAGUAGCAAGCAGUCUUGGUCUAGAAUGGGGGAGGAAAGAUUGGGGCUUUAGAGUUUGGCUCUUUAAUCUGUAAAUGUUCUUCUUCAAGGCGUCAUCAAAUCAAAUUUAAUAAAAUGAGAGUCUGUUUUGGCUUAAAAAUUUGGAUGAAUUUGUGUACUUUUGACUUCUCACUCAUGGAGGAGGAAGGAGAGGUGGACCAUGGUUAGAUUUGGACCCACCAUUGUUGUACUUUAUAAAAUUCAUUGACGCAAGCUGAGAGCUGUAUGUCUCAGUCUAAUCUUGUAAACCAACCUCAGGGAUAAUAAGAAACCAAAAAGCAGAAAAUCUAUGUUCUUGUGCUGUUGCCAAGAAAGCAGAGAAGCGCUUUUAUUCUAAGCUACAAUGAAACCUGAACUGUUGGCUUGGUUGCCAUUGAAACCAGAAGCAAAUGGUUGAUAAAUCUUUUGAGCUGCUCCUAAUACUCUGCAUUGCCCUGAAUUCAAAUGUGCACUUCAACGGCCAAGCAAGUAUACCACCACUCUGCACUGAAACGUAUACUUCACCAAUGGCCAAGAAGCAAGUGCAUGAUUUAUUAUGAAGCACAAAAAUGACAUAAUCAAUGGCGGAGCUUUCCGAUUUAGUUGGAAGUCACCGGCGGCAAUUCAUUGAAGAUUUGUAGAAUUUUAUUCUACAAUCACACGUUUAAACCGGGAAACUAAGAGCAUGAAACUGUACAAAUGAGGGUACGAUUAUUAAUAAAAGCAGAGUAUCAUUGGAUACAAAGAACCGCAUAUGUGGCUUUAGCAAUAGAUUGAUUCAACAGGAAUUACUUUGGUCCAAUCAAUCCCACUUCUGCUAUGGUCAGCAAAACAUUCAGAAAACAAUCCACACAAAGAAAAGUUAUUCAUCAACCAGUUUCAAGGAUAGCCUGAAACAAUUUGUAUCCUUCGAAUCUCUGUAUGCGUACUCAAGCAAGUGCAUAUAUUUCACUAUUGACCAAACAAACGAAUCAACUGUUCGAGAUAAAUGACUGAAAGGUUAUCAAAACCUUAGUUCCCCUCUCUAUAUCUCCAACAAAAAUCCUGAAUUUAACCAUAUACUAUAUGUCAAUAUACAGCGCCACAAUAUUUCCGCAAAAUUAUCGUGCUUUCCGUUUAUGACACCUGCCAAUUAUACACAAUUUUUGCAUAGACCAUGAAGCAUAUAUUUCACUUUUGUGUUCCUAUAAAAGCAUACCUGUACUAUGGAAUGCUUUCCAUGAUACUAAUGCAUUCAUUUUGGGUAUUUUUUUUUUUUUUUUUUGGGAAAGAAUUCAUUUCAAUUAUUUGAAAUAUCUUUGUACAUUCCAAAUCUACUGAACCGACCAAGCUACACGUGAAGAAAACAAUAAGCCGAAGGCCGAGGAAGAUUCAAUGAAACCCUUUCAACUCUGUUUUCUGAAAAUGUAUAAAUUCAUAAUCAUAUUGUAACUGGUUUGUUCCAAAAAUAUCAGAUGGUACUAGCAUGCGACUACAAAAUUCACACAUGCAAGCAACCAAAAUAAUAGAAAUUUAGAAACGAAAAAAUGGAAAAAGAAACUAACUUACUCUUACAAUGAGAUAAUCCAGCCUGGACGAACAUUGGAAGUGCAAAAAUAUGAGAUCUGAGCAGGUCCUGAACCACGAAUCUACAUGGUUUAAGCAACAUCAGCAACAACAGGAGGAGAAAUGUGCCUAAUGCCAUCCAAACAUUCCUAAUGUUUAUUCCCAAAUAUCCGCCACUUUUUCUUCUUUUUGUACUCACUUGAGGGCGAACCUGAAAUAAAACCAAAACCAUAAGUCAUGCGUUACAUUUAGAGGGAUAAUGUAAAAUCCUAAAGCAUGCAUGAUGGCAUUAGCGUCAGACAACUAAACCUAUCCAGACUUAGAUAUAUAACAAGUCAAUAUGGAAAGGGCUAGUGGAAGCUAGUUGCAUCUGAUUGCCCACAAAAGAUUCUUUACAGAAAAUCACACUUGAAAGUUCUCAGAUCGGAUAAAGAGCCUAUUAUGGUGUUGCGACUUCCCCCUCCCCGUCUUAUAGUUGGUAUUACACAUACACACCCCAAAGGAAAGGAGACUGUCAGUUAAUGUUCAGUCAAAGACUGUUGGCUAAUGAUACAGUGUUAUUGCUCCAACUGGUUGAGUUCAGCUGAACAAGUUAUCCAAAAUCCAAGUUUCAUUUUACUCCUUAUCCCUUUGCAUUCUACAGAUGUACAUGAAGAAGAUAAAAACAAUUACCUCCUUGAGGAUAAAUUGAGUUGUAAUGCACCUCUGCCCAGAAACUCAAAUAAAUAACUGCACAAGACAUAAGAGCUUUCUGUAAAGCUUAAUGGACGACAGAUAACUAAUAUUUAAGGAUAUCACAAUAAUUUUUAAUUGUUUAGCAAAAAUUCCAUGGGAUCUGUUCAUCAGAAGUAUAUGAUUAGGCUAACACGUGGAUUCAAUGAGAUAGUAAUAAAUUUGCUCAUUGUAAGAGAAAUGGAUUUAGAAACAAGACAAUAACAUGUGGAAUAUGGAAAUCUGAAUCAAUAACAGAUCUAGAAACUAUAUCACAUUUUAACAUACAGAUAACUGAUUACUUCAUAAAUCCAACUGUCUAUGCCCACAACAAAAACUAAGAGCGCAACGAGCUUACCUUGUUUUGAAGUUUGGAUAUUAGGAAGAAUCUCUAUGCAACAGUUAUCCUUAAAAGAAGUCAAGACAAAAAUUUUCACCCCAUACUGCAAAAAAUUAAUCACAAGAAUCAGUCAUUAUAUUAAUUACCACAAGUAUCAGCCAUUGUAAAAGAUCUUUCAUACCGAAUCAGCAGCUGCCUGCAAUGAAACAUGGUCACCCCACUCACCAUUCCUGGAUUCAUUCAGAUUGAUGGUUAUUAAUUUAGCCCAAAAGAUUAAUGACAGGAAAACAAGGAAACACUAUGAGUUCGAUUAAUACGUGGACAUCUUCUCCAAAUAGUCAUCAUAUGCCAUGGGAACAUAUCCCUCGUAAAUCUCCGGAUGAGACUUCAGCUGGUAACAGUAAACCAUCAAAGGAUAAACCAGAAUCCAUGGAAGAUACAAAAUUUCAUGGUCCUAAAGUUCAGUUGAAAGAAUUAGUAGAAUAUUUCCAAGAGAGCAAACCUGAUUUACGACUUGGCUUCUCACGUACUUGUGGUGGUCAGGUGUGUGAUACAAUUGGUCUGAUAAAGCAUGGAACUGGAAAAUUAAAGCAAAACAUGAGAUAAACAUGUGUAACCCUGAAAGAUGCUAAGAUCAAUAUACAGGAAUAAAAAUAAAACUGAUAGGUCCAAAUGAGAGCUACAAACUUGCUUUAAGGAAAUAAACAACAGAAACAGACAAAGGUACAGCAUGACUAACCUGGCAGUUUCCAUCUCCUUCAACCUUGCGUUCAAGGAAGCCAAAUAUCUGCAGUCUACAUUAAAAACGCAAGAAAAUAUUACAACAACAAAAAAAAGGACAAAACAAAUAAAAUGGAUUCUACUAACUAGGCAUUAUUGAAAUACAUACUACUAUAUUUAUAGAAAGGAAAAGGGCAGGUAUUACCUGUCAAGCAGCCUUUGAUGAUCUGAAGUCGCUUCAUCAAAUGAAGGAAUUUCUCCAUUAAUUCUAGGAAUAUGCUAAACCAUAUGAAGGACAAAGUUAAUACUGGUGUCAACAUUUGCAAAUCACGCCAUAUGUUGGCAGAAAAGUAGCAAUCCAAAUAUACAAUUAGUACUCAUGAAUUUGCAAAAUGUAUAAGUUUCUUUUGGGUAGGGGUGGCGGGGGAGUGGGCAGGUGGGAGGAAAUUCACAUGAUCAACCAAAAUGCUAUUGAAAUAUCUACGUAAAUUCCCAUGUACAUUCCCUUCUCAACGUCAGAUUGUCAGCUAAACUUUAUAAAUUGAUAUAGAAUGGCUAACAUUUCCUAAAAGGCCAAUGAUGACUCUUUAAAACUGUUUAAUAACAAAAACAUGAUGAAGCAUUUGAGAUUACAACAUGGUGAAAAAUCUGGACAGCAUAAACUUACAGGAACGGGAUUCAAGCUCCAGUCUACUUCACCAUCAAGUGCACAUUCAUCAGUUAGCUCCAAAUGAUUACCAGGGCUAGAACAUAAACUAGAAGCUUCUUCCUGGCCAUAAUCAUGGUCUGCAUGGUGCCAAAAAAAAAAGGCCUAUGAAGAUAACUACAUGGCAUAGGUUACCUUAAUAUGUAUGAAAAGAAGGCACAGGCAGCAGGUUUCCAGAUACCUGAACAAUAAUUCCUUGUAGAUACACCAUGCCACUCAUCUGCAAGAACGGAUGCUUGUGCUUGCGCUUCUCCUGCAUGUGAGUAUUCAGAGGCUUCUGUUACAGAUAGUCCUGAAAAUUCCUCUUGAAGAGUUCGUGCAAUGAUCUCAUCAUUCUCCACAUGGUUUGAUUCUGUAUCAUAAUGACUUCUGAAAUACUCUUCAUGGUAGAUAUCAUUAGCAUUGUGUUGUAUCAUGUCACCGUAGUAGUAUGAAGAAUUAUAAACUGGAUCACCAUCAAGUAGACGAAGACCCCACUGAAUAAUAUCUGAAUCAUGCUCAUGGGAAGCCAUCUCCUUAAAAAUGCAUAUGUCGAAUAAGAAAGCUUAAUCUUCUUCUAAGAGCAAUGACGGAAUCCCCAAGAAGUUCAAGUAAUAGAGUAAUCUCUGCCCAAAAGCUACCAAGUAUGUUUAAAAAAAAUUAAAAAACCUCCAAUGCUUUGAGGUUCUUUAACCACAACUUUAAUUUAAAUUACAAUAUCCAUCAGCACAAAUCUAAAUUAAAUCACAGCAAGAAAUAAUUUUAUUAAAUUAAGUAUAGUGCUACCAAUUUUAACAUAAAUCCUUAUUAUAAUAAAGCAGUUGACUUUUUCAAAUAAUACUGGACAAGUAUACAAUAGAAGAUUUAGCUGCAAUUGAUUGGACAUCUAACAGAGGAUAUAAUAAACAUAUUUGUGAAAAUGAUGCCUGCUGUGUGAUCAUAAUUACAAACUUUGCUAAGUUCCAAGUAUGUUUAUUAUUAACUUUAAUAAACAGUCCCAUGUAUACUAAAAUUGUGCUGAGAUCAGCAAAAGACUUCAACCCACCAUCAAAAAACUGGGAAAAAAACAGAUAAUUGCUGGUCUAGAAUGACCGGCUGGAGACUUUGAUUAUCCUCAAAACAUCAUAAAGUGACAGACAAACCUGUUAACCUAACAACGCGUGCUCACACAUUCUCAGUAUUUCUGAAUAAAAUAUCGCACAGAGAGAUAAUGACCUAAGGCAGCCUACUUUCCCAAUAUUAAACUAGCUGCAUGACAACAAACACAUAACUCCCGGCAAAGAAAUAAGGAUCAACGUUAACUCGGAGAGCUAAAAACACCUAGUGCUUAACCAUUUACCUCACAUGUUUAGGGGAAAAAAUCCAAAAAAUGAAGUAAACUUUAACUAGCACAACAUUUAAUCUUUACUUCAAAUAAAAUUUCAUAGGACCCUUGAUAUACAUACGAAAACUAAAAGAUCGACUUUGCAAACAAAGAAAUUUAUUUAAAUAAUAUCCAAAACAAACUACAAUUACUCUCCAUAACAUUCAUAUUACUAUAUAUUCAACCCAACAUCAGAUUUUGUUGAUGAGUUCAAGACUAGACCUAUAUCUCUUUUUAUUUAUAAGAAACUAGAUCUAUAUCUUUUAUUUUCUUUCUCCAAUCUAAACGAAAUCGGUUCACCCCACAAGAACACAACAAACCAUCUGAACAACACAACUGCUACAUGCAUAUCCUUUAUCAAAAUCAUAAUAUUAAAAACCACACCGCCUUGAACUACACCACUCUCCAUGCUAUUCAUCAUCAACAUACUCUCUCUCUCUCUCUCUCUCUCUCUCUCUCUCUCUCUCUCUCUCUCAACACAACACAAAUCAAACAAGCACCAAAACAGAACACCAAAACUACCCAGAAAACAAAUAGUCCCCACUAAAACAACAACAAAAAUCUCAAUCUCAAUCAGCAAUAAAAUCCCACAUAAUAAUCCACAAAAAGAAAAACCCCAAUUAUAAAUAAAUAAAUAAAGGAACACUAAACAAUUUCUUCACCAAUCAAUAUAACAAUCCAACAAGAUAACAGAGUUUAAAACAGCAAAAUCAUUAGAUUAAGAACUCACCCAAUCAGCUUUCGACUUAGAGCCAAUAAAAGAGCUUUGAAAGCUGUCGUUUGCAAAAGGAAAACUUAGGGUGAAAGGUAGAGAGAGUUGAGUUGGAAACAAGGCCCUUCUUAUUAAUAGGACGGUACGAAUGCAUUGGCUGAUGAUGAAGCAUUGAAAAAUUGAGCAGAAAAUGGAAAUGGGGUGUAAGUGCACCCCAUUAUAUACAGUUUGCCAGGCUGUUAAAGGUCGAGCAACUUUUUCAUCGUACGGAUGCUACGGAGACUACAUUUUCUUAAGUAGACGUUAGACGGUUGUGAUUUAAGCGGCAAUUCCUUGAACGGUUUCUGAUUGCCUCCGUCCAAAAAAUUGACUAAAUUAUGAUUUUAGUCGUUAUAUUUGAGCGAAGUUUUUUUUUUAAUUUUUGGUUUUCACAAUUUUACCGGUCAGAGAGUUCGUCCUCUUGCACCAAGUUCGAUUCCCUCUCAACAUAAGUGGAGUAAAAGUUUUACACAACUCUUACUUUUUACAUGCUAGUUUCUUAAAAAUAUUGACGAAAUUAUAAAAUUAUCUUAGAAUUAUGAUAAGUAAUGAACUAUAAAUGAAAAUUGAGAAAGUUGAAACUACAUGUAAUCAAGCAGUAUUUCCGCUUACAUUAUAAUGACAAAAAUUGUAAUUUAAUUGGCAACAAAAUUGUAAAUUGUAACUCAAACUGUUAGAGUAAUUGUUCUUCAUGUCAUGUGUUCGAUUUUUGUAUCCCCCAAUGUCCACCAUUCAAAACAAAAAAUUCAUAAUUCGGCUGGAUAUUAUGUUCUUAUGUGAUAGGUUGGCAUGAUAUUGAUCGCCCUUCUAUGAGGAGAUGGAAAAUGGACGGUUGAGAUUGGACUGAAUUGAAUGUUUGGUAGAUCGAACGGAUGUGAUUGAAGGGAUUUGGUACAAAUUUGGCUGCUGUCUUCUCAAGCCAGAAGGUCCAUGAGUCCAUAUGGGGUUGCUUUGCUUAUAUGAAAAAAGAGAGGAGAAAGCUUAAGAUUCAAUUAACGACCAAAAGGUCCACACAUGGGGGCCGGUGGCGACGUGUCACAGUCGUAGUGGUUAUAAUUAAUAAUUUAUUUUUAAUAUUAAAAUUUCGGAGUGACACAAACGUUAAUGUUAUCGAAAUUCAUCAAAUAUUAUUAGUAGUACUAGCUAAAAGGAUAACAAUGACACGUCCAUGGCACUAGCAAGCACCAAGGAUUCUCUCAUUAAAUUGUUGAAUAAAAUUAGGGGUGGUAAUUUCGGACACGACUCGAUACACGACUCGAAACCCGCACAAUAAAAAAACAGGUUAAUUUCCGAUCAACCCGCUAACUCGCUAUAAACAGGUUAAUAAACGGGUGGGUUUCGAGUCAAUCCGCUAACUCGCUAUAAUACCUAUCUAACCCGUUUAUUAAACGGGUUGUGUCACGGGUCGUGUCAACCCGUGUACAAUCCGCUAAAAAAUAAAAACAAAUGGAGACUUUAAUUUCCGAUCAACCCGCUAACUCGCUAUAAACAGGUUAAUAAACGGGUGGGUUUCGAGUCAAUCCGCUAACUCGCUAUAAUACCUAUCUAACCCGUUUAUUAAACGGGUUGUGUCACGGGUCGUGUCAACCCGUGUACAAUCCGCUAAAAAAUAAAAACAAAUGGAGACUUCAACACACACACACAAGGGUUUCGAACCCUUAUCAUCUUCAUUUCUCUCAAAUAUCUUAUCCACCAUGUUACAAACAACUUUGUGAUUUUAUGGUAUGCCUUUUGAUAUUUAUAAUGUUUUUUUUUCUUUUGUGUUUUCCUUUCUUCUCCGUCUCUCUUCUCCUCUCUUUUUUCUUUUUUCUUUCUUUUCCUUCUUUCUUCUUUCUCCUCUUUUUUUUUUUCUCUCUUUUCCUUUCCUCUUCUCUCCUUUUUUUUUCUUUCUUUUCCUUCUCUUUAGUUUUAUCUCCUCUCUUUUUUCUUUCUUUCUUUCCUUCAAUCUUCUCUCUCUCUCUCUCUAUGUUUUUUUCUUUCUUUUCCUUCUCUCUUCUCUCCACUCUCUAUCUUUUUUUUUUCCUUUUUUUUCCUUAUAUUUUCUCUACUCUCUCUUUUUUUUAAUUUAAAUUUUUUCUGUUGUGAGUUUUGUAACAUGCAUGUUAUUAUUUAUGAACCCGUUACACGACUCGAAACCCGCAUGAUAAAAGACGACCCGAACCCAACACGACACAUUUAUUAAAUGGGUUGGGUUCGGGUUGAGCAUUCUUGACACGUUUAUUAUCUCGACACGACACGAACCCGACACGACACGACCCAUUACCAGCCCUAAAUAAAAUUGUCAAGCUAUUGAACUGUGGCACAUGCAAAGUACUCAUUAGUAUAGUUAUUUGGAAUAAUUGUUUUUUCAGAAAGUGUCAUGAGUUCGAGUUUUAGUAUUCGUGUAGAGUAUGUGAAUUUAUAUACUAUCAUCUCUCUCAAUACAAAAUAUCCUAUAAAUAAAUAAUUUUUUUUUACACAUGCAUGUGCAAACAGUGUGCAAGUUGUAAGUUGCCCUUAUAAUAAUAAUAGUAACAGUUUGAUCCGAUUAAAUCGAAGUAUGAUGUCAAACUAUGUUGAUGUCUUUUAAAAUGUUUAGGCUUAACUACAUGUAAACCCUCUCUUGGUUGAAAAUGGUACUAGACAAAACUCGGAUGUUUUUUUCCCUCAAUUUUAACAUUCUCGAUUUCGUCAUAUUUUGAGAGAGGCUAUCAUAGACUGAUCAUUGGCGCACUAGUUGAUGUUAUUAAAGAUGUAUUACUGAGAACAAUGAUGAGAGUAUCUCACAUUUGAUUGAUGAAAGUUUAGCUUAAGAACGAGUCUUUUCACCCAUAACUAAUUGGCCUCGAAUUAAAUAUUCACGUUUCAAUUACUCAUGUAGCACAUGCACUCACGACACUUAAUAAUAAUUAUCCCCAUAUACAAUAUAGAACAUUUUUGCGUUUUGUUUUUUGCUUCACCAAUUGACUAAAGGGUCAUAAACCAGAGGAAGAAGCUCAAGCUGAUUAAUCUAAAAGAACUACACUGAUUAGCUUUUUAACCCUACUUCAAAGUUGAAAAGUGCUUGGUUGGUACUAUGGUAUUGGUCGGCAAUUCUGCCUUUGCGCUUUUUCUUAACUUUCGGGUGAACUUUUUACGCCAAAAAGAAGAAUCAAGAACAACUUUUAUAACUUAUAGAUGUCUAUGAAAACUUUUGUUGCCAACCAACCAACCAAGUAAAAUCUCUUUUUGGCUUUUAAGCUUCUUCACAUAUUCAGAUUCAGAAUUUUGAAUGUCAGUUUGCCAAACGACUUUUCUUCAAGCAUCUUUGGAAAAUAUUGUAAAUUACAUUGAGUUGAUCUAUUAAACCAAAUAUGCAUAAUUCAAAAAAAAAUUUCUUCCAAAUAUUACUUCUCAGUCAACACAAAUUCACCUCACAUAUUUAAUGUAUUGUCUAAUUGUUUGUUCAAAAAAAUAAAACAAGACCCUACAUGUCAUGGGGAUAGCACUGUUUUGCUAUUUCUAUCUAAUUACGUUCCGUCAUAUGAAAUCUUUAUCACGCAUGACAUAACAUGAAUAAUUUAACCCCGUAACAUACAAGUUUUUCUCCUAUUUCUGCCACCCUUAACUUCUCUCUCUCAUAUUUUAUUUGUCAUUAUUGAUUUACCUGUGACAUGUAAAAGCUAAUAAUCUAAGUGGCUGUUGGCUUAUAAGCAUGGGUUUUCCAAAAUAAACCCCACGCACGUAGAGUAGCACGCAGCACGCUAUAUAUACUGUCGUUUUAUGCUGCUCCCUUAGUUUAUAGAAUCGUAGGCAUUACAAACUCAAGUUGAUGAUAUUAUAACUUCCGUAUCUGAUAUUAUUUUUUGUUUUUUUGCUUUGAUUUCUAUGUGUGAUCUUGAGCAAGCCAAAUUCUUUAUGCUCUUUUGUACCAUUCAAGUUGACAUGGUGUCAUCUACUUCUGGAUUUAUCCAUACGCAUUGCCUUUGGGUACACGUAACAAACAAAUGAAAGGUCCAAACGUAUAUCAAUAAUUGAAUGAUUAGGUUUAUGAUUCAAUCGUUUUAUAGCCCCAAGUUUGUCUUUUUAGUUAAAUAAAAAACACUUAAGUUAAGAUUAGGGGUCCUCAGGAAUAUUUAUGAACAAGUUGAGUAACAUGAUUUUUUUCUCAAAAACAACAUAUUACAAUUCUAUAAUUAUUCUACUUUUCCGAAUGAUUUCCAUAAUAUAUAUGUAUAUAUAUAUAUCUGAUUUAGUAAAAGCUGUAUAGAUGUCUCAAAGUUCAAAUCCUCGUCCAAGCAAAAAUAUCAUCCAAUGAUUUUCAUAAUUAAAUACUCAAAUGUGUAAAAGCUUCCACUGCUUAAACGCACUCUAAAAAUUAAAGAAUGCAAAGUUAAAGAAAAGAGGUUUAACAACACAGUUGACAGUACUGAUUACAAAGAUUUACUAAUGAAACUCAAUAUCUCGUAUAUAGGCUUCUCCGGGUACCAAAAGAACCAAGUUGUCCCUCCAUGACAGAGGCCACUACAAUUAGCGUCUGCUCUGAAGCUUCUUGUAAACAGGACUCACAACUUUGAAAUGGAGAGAAAUCCGUCGUUUAUCUGUUACAUUCUUGUUUAAUGUCUCUAAAACUUUCCACACAAGAUUGAAAAUUUGACCAGAUUUAUACAUAUUGCAUAGAAGAAUUGGAAAGUGAGGGGGAUGGUAUUUACAAAUUAAGUUAUUUAUGCAGAAGUUUUUCUGUGUUUUCCAUGUCAAACCAUAAUUUAUGCUUCAGAUAAGCCCAACAACCACUAUGACCAGUUUGCUAAAAUGUACUUACAAUCAGCAUGUCCUCAAAAGUUUCGGUGUCCACACGCGAGACAACCAGCCAGUUUCUCCUCUCCUUAAAUCCGCAUUUCUUCUCUUGUUCACUGUUUCAACAUCCCGGGAAGUUUGUAUCGGUGCCAAAUUCUUCAGGGGCAGUUGCGGACUUGCUGUUCCUGUUGGUGCCUCCAUAUUUUUCCUUUGGCUUGAUGGCGCCUCCCUAAUUUUCUUUUGGCCUGAUGAUACGUCCCUAAUUUUAUUUUGGCCUGAUGGUGGAGCCUCUAUAAUUUGAUUUACCAUUUCCAAUACCUCACUCAUCUUUGGACGAUUCUUGGGGAGUCUGACCAAGCAUCUGUUGGCUACAAUUGCAAGCUUUUGAACUGACUUGAGGGGGUAUUUAGCUUCAAGCCUAGGGUCUAUUAUUAGGCGGAACUUCUUCAAGUCGGAAAGGUAUGGCUUCACCCAUUCUAAGAGCUUCUGCUCACUCUUAGGGCGGUUUCGAUCUAGAGGACGCCUACCUGUGAUGAGUUCAUAAAGGAAGACCCCAUAGCUCCACACGUCAUUCUUAGCUGUUAGACGUCCGGUCUGGAUAUACUCUGGUGCUGCGUAUCCCAUGGUUCCAACAACCUGAUGAAAAAUCACUAGUCAUGUAAGUGCAAGAGUGUAGUACAUAGCUGGACCAUUAUAAACCGUUACUGCAUUACUCUUUCAUCUAUGGUGAAAAAAGGCUAAAGAAUUGGGUAUCCAAACAAGAUAAAAGCAGUCAUAACUAUAGGGCCUAGGCUCUGCCAAGCUGUCCAUUUUACUUGAAAUGAGCUUGUUUUCUUCCCACCAAAACUCCAAGGAUGAAUCAAGACAUCCUAAAAUUUAAGUAGAAGUAGCCAAUAAAUGCAAGACCUAUCCACUUAAAGGGAAAACUAAUCAGAUGCAGGCCUAAGCAAUAAUAAAAUUAUGAAAGAAAUUCAAUGUGCUCAUAUUACAAUUACUAUUAGAGACAACUCCACUCAUCUUUAUCUAAAGUAAACACAAUAGGCUAAUUCAAUAUCCAUAGAGCAUCCAAAUGUCUAGCAAAGUAAUAAUUUCCAUUCAUCAGAUUCACGGCGACUAAAUUUCACAUUAAACACUGUCACUGAUAGCUCAGCCAUUGCAAUAUUAAACAACACAAAUCUAUUAACUUUACCGACACUUUCUCAAUGUGGAUACUCUUGAUUAUACUAAUCAACUUGUUUCAGAUGUAGAUAUCUUGCUUUAAUAAGAUCAUAAACAAUGAACCAAAAACUAAGAAAACAAGCUUCAAGACUAAAAGUUGAUACUGGUUCAUGCAAUAGAUGGAAGUAUAAAUAAUUAGAUCAUUUUGUAUGAUGAUCAUACCGCUGUUGAGACGUGGGUUAAUCCUUCUGAAGGGCCCAACCUAGCCAUUCCAAAGUCUGACAGCUUUGCAUUCCACUGCUCAUCCAGAAGGAUAUUCGAAGAUUUAAAAUCCCUGAAAAUGAUCUAGACAACAAAAAUAAAGAAAAAUGUCAGUUUGAUAAGUUGUAUUACUCACAAAACUUAGCCCCUCUCCGCCCCUCUCCCCUCCCUCCCACUCUCUUUUUCUUUUUUAAGGGUUUUGCUUUUGGGUUGGGAUUCUAACACUUCCGGGCGGCCUCAAACACAUUAGAAUAUCAAAUUCAUCAAAAGGGACUAACAAACUUACACAUAUUGAAAAGGAAAACAAAUGUUAAAAUACCUGAAAAUCCAUUUCUUCAUGUAAAUAUGCCAGGCCACGAGCAGCAUCUUGUGCUAUUUUCAAUCUCAUGGGCCAUGGAAGAGGAUCUGAACGACUGGAUAAAUGGUUCUCUACACUUCCAUUAGGCAUGUAUUCAUAAAUUAGAAGUCUCUGGAUUCCUCGCUCAUCAUCCUCAGCACAGUAGCCCACUAGUUUGACAAGGUUUGGAUGCUCAACCACCCCAAGAACAUUAACUUCUGUCACCCAUUCCUUGUGCCCCUGGUACCAAAAAGGUGGGAUCGUAAGUUUACAAGCAUACAGUAGAUAGAUUUCAUUUUUUGACAUAAAUGGAAAAUGCAUCUUAUUAGACUAUAUAUCAGUUGGAUCAAAAAUCUUCGUGACAAGCAUAAAACAAAGUCUAUUACUUUCAAGUACAGAAAUAUGUUGUUAGAAAGAAGCAAGUAUUUGUAAACGGUGGAACGAAAGACCCAGUGUGCUAAUAAUCAUCAGAACAAAUUAAAAAGCAAAUUCCUUGUGUGAAUGCAUCAUUAUCAUGUGUAUAUCAUUGUGAGCCAUUAGGAUUUUUUUAUUUAUUUAUCAAACUUAAUGAGGAACACUGUACUUCCUUUAGUAUAAAUCUCGUAAUUAUCAUCCACUAAUCUUAAUUCAUUUGAAGCUAACAUGGGCAAUGAAAAAGAAUCUGUCUAAAGUUUUGCCAAUAGAAAAACAGUCUUGCCUGCAAGCCUCUUUUACUGAGCUGUUUCACCGCAACUUCAAGUUUUUGAGAUGGAUCUUCUGCACUCUUAAUCACCCCUUUAUAGACACACCCAAACCCACCUUCUCCAACCAUGACAGAGCGGCUGAAGUUCUUCGUGGCAGAUUUCAGCUCAGAAACUGUGAAUACUCUGAGGUUGCUGGGUCUCUGAGAGAAACUAGGAUAUUGGUUCCUCCUCAUGGACUCUGUGCUCGCAUCAGAGAUAUUCUGGGAAUCCAACUCAGAUCCAGAUCUCUUCAUUUCACCAUCAGUAAAUGUUGUAAUUGUGCUCUUCGGUUCAUCCUUUUUUUCUCCAAUGUAGAAUAAGAAGCACUUCAUAGCUCCUAACGUUGUUAAGUGUUAUGAUCCCUCACCUAAGAUUCAGAAGCUGAAGAGAGCCCUAGAAUUAGGGAGCCAUAAUAAGCAACAAUUCAAAACCAUCAAAAGUCAAGAUAAGAAAACACUUCAUAAUGUAGCAAACACUCAACAUGUCCCUCUCCAAUUCUUCAAAUGUGACGACUUUUAUGAUCAACAGAUAUCACACAAAGCUCAAAUUAAAAAUUAAAACUUUUUACAACUGCCAGUUUUCCUCCCCAAUACAGGUGUUUUGCAAGUGCCCAAGAGGAUGUAACAAGUGACCAAGUUUUUCCCUACUCGGUAACUUAAUCAAAAGUUAAGGAAAACCCAAAUACCUUAACUCAGAAAGUAACUCAUGCCUUCCCUUUGUUUUCUGUUUUUCUCCCAAAAAUAACCAUCAAUGAAAAAUCAACUGUGUUUUUCAUUUUUUGCAUAAAUCCAACUACUUCUAACAACCCAGAUUUCAGAUAAGGAAACUAAAAAUGUUAAACCAUCCCUAUUUAUCAUUCUUCAUUAGAACCCAAGAAAAAUCAAAAUCAGAGAUAUUCUCAUUUCGUUUACAAGGCCCAAGACAAAAAGUUUCAAACUGGUAUAUUGCAAUCCAACAAAACAAGCUGAAACAGAGAAAAAGCAAUGAUAAAAGAUGAUAAUUGAAAUUCUGGGAAAGAAAAUAAAAAAGCACCUUGCUUUACUGAUCUCAGUCUGCUUGCACAAAACUGUGUCCUUGACUCCUAGAGUUCACCAAUUCCUAAGUAUGAGAGCAGCCCAUUUAAUUCAUUGACACCCAAAAUGACCUCUGAAGCUACAGAAAGAACGCGCAGCCCAUGGUUUAAAGUUUUAAGAGAAGCUUCAACACGGCAUUUAGAGUCUAGCGGUCAGCUCAAGCUUACCAACCAAAACGCCAAAAUCAAAACCCACAUUAAAUAUAUAUAUAUAAAUCUACCAACAUGGGCAAAUCAUCUUUCUUUUUUUCUUUGUUUCACAGCUAGUAAAUGUAACCCCAAGUGUGAAUGGAGGCUUUGAAAAUUAGACCAAAAGGACAAGAUGGAGAGAGAGAGAGAGAGAGAGAGAGAGAGAGAGAGUGUGUCCUUAUGUAGAAGAAUGAGAAUGAGUACUGGUCAUUGGUCAACAAGUCCUGCACACGAAAACUUUAAACAAGGUUAUCCUAGUCUUACAUUAACAUUUGAUUUGAUUAUGGUUUAUGGGUUUUUGCUGGUGCUGUCUUUGCGUUUAACUGCAACCAUGAACAAAUCAAACGUCUCAUGCUCUUGCAACUUGCAAGUUGUAACUUGUAACAAAAAAAAGAAAAGCGUCUCAUGUUAUCGACAAAGCACGAAACAAGACAAAGAAAGGUCAUUCUUCGUCUUGACUUGAGGAUAGGGACUGUGCUGGAUAGUUUUUCAAGACGUUGGAAAAUGAAAAAAAUAAUCCAAUAAUGUGAACAGGAAUAUUAGAAAUACAAGGGCAAUGCACACGCAGAGCAUCUCAAGAUGAAUUUUAGACGUUAAAAAUUAAUCCAGACUUUGAACAUUGAUUAGAUAUGAAACUCUUAUUAUUUUAUAAAGAAAGCAUUUUUGGUCAUAAAUAAUUGUAAGAAAUGUAUUCCCAAGAAUGAGAAUGACAAAGUCAAGGGCUCAUGGCAUGGGUUUCAAAUUUCUCUCUUCUUCCUGAACAUCCUAUAUGGUGUAAAAAGUACCUCAUCUUCUCUAGUGUUCAUACUAAAUAUGGAAAUGGCAUCCCAUUCUCACAAACCAUUUCUCUCUUCUGCAUAGCAUCUUAUAUGGUUUUCGUAAUCAUUACAUGUUAGAAUGCGAACAUUUGAUUAAAAAUCAAUUUGGUCAAGAGUUAAAAGUCCAAGAUCUUUAAGUUAAUUUUUUUUUAUUAAGUGACGUGGGAGCUACCAAACUUGUUACUUUUGAUCAUCUAUAAUUAUGUUGGUUCAUAAUUUCAUUUGUGUUCUUCGGUGUUAUUAUUUCUAUUAAUUCCAUCAACAAAGAAGAGGGUCCCUUUUAGUUUGCAUGUUUGUGAUUUAAAUAUUGUUUCCUGACCUUCAUUGCAAAAAUAGGAACUUUUGUUUUCACCAAAUUUUUGGUCAUUACAAACAGAUUUUGGUCAUUAAAAACAUUGACUGUAUUUCAAAAACCGCGUCGACAUAUAAACAAAUAGAGGCCGACUUAUGAAAUUUAUUUAUGAAAACUUAAAAUCAACUAAUUAAAAAAACAGAGAUGAUUCUUUAAGAGGACUGCUAAACAAAUUCUAAAAUUAAUUGAGUACACCUCACUAUUAAAUUAUUUAUUGAAUUAGUACUUUAUCAUAAUAUAAAAUAACCAAAAAGGAUAUAUUGAAUUGUGAGAAAAAAAAAUUAAUAAAUACACCAUACUCACCAUAUUCAACCAUAAUCAAAUGUAGAGAAGUUUUCGCAUUACUUGGUGCCCAUGCCGAACAAUACAGCAGGUACUAACAUAGGCGCAAUUGCAUAACGGAAGGUUCUUCCAUUACUUUUUAUGAUAAUUUUUUGUUUUUGUUGUUGUAUUUUUACUAGAAUUUUAUUCAAUUUGCUUGAUUAGUGUUUAUUUGUAAAAUUCGCUAGUUACUUUUCCGAUAACUUUUGACAAAGUUUCACUCAUCAAUUGAUGAUUGCUUGUUGCCAUAUUUUUUAUUUUCUUCAAGAAAUUUUGGCCUUAGCAGUAACGGGAAAUUUAACUUUAAUAUUUAUAUAUAUUUCAUAUAAAUAAAUAAAUAAAUCUAUCUAUAUAUAUAUGAAGCAAAAGGUAGAGAAUGGUGAAAUAUUUAAAAUACUAGAAAAUGCCCUUAGUUAAUUCAAACAUUAAGAAUUGAAAUUAUUAAUUAAAUGGGGAUAAUAUGGUAAAUUCAUAUUUUUUAUAUUAUAAAAAUAAAAAUAAAAAUAAAAAUAAAAUAAAAUAAUAGGUCCUACUUUCAUGGAACAUAACUACCGAUAUUUUCUUUUCUUAAUUCUAAAAAUAAAAGAAAAAAGAAAAAAGAAAACCAAUUGGCACAUGCGUAAGGCAGAGAAUGGUGGAACAUUCAAAAUACCAGAAAAUGUCAUUAGUUAAUUCAAACAUUAAGAAUUAAAAUUAUUAAUUAAAUGAGGAUAAUAUGGUAAAUUCAUAUUUUUUUUGUAUUAAAAAAAAAUCUAUAUAUAUAAAGCAAAAGGGAGAGAAUGGUGAAACAUUCAAAAAAUCAAAAAAUGCCCUUGGUUAAUUCAAACAUUAAGAAUUAAAAUUAUUAAUUAAAUGAGGAUAAUAUGAUAAAUUCAUUUUUUUCAUAUUAAAAAAAAUUAAAAACAAAAUCAGAUAAUAGGUCCUACUUUUAUGGAACAUAACUAUCCAUAUUAUCUUUUCUUAAAUCCAAAAAUGAAAUAAAAAGGAAAAAAGAAAACCAAUUGGCACAUACGUAAGCAUGUGUCAAGGGGCUAGUAUAUAUAUAAUACACAUAUUCAUUAACAAAUAAAGUAGCAAGUUCAACUGAUUUAAUAGGAAUGACCUUGCAAACAUUGUCAGACGAAGAGAACAUAAACUUAUAAGAGAGCUUCUUGCGGAAUCAACAAAACAAAUAUAAAUGGUAAUGUGGAUAAUGGUGUGGCUGGAAUUCUAGAUGCAACCAAUGAUUACAAAGUAACAGUAACUUGGUUUAGGAUUGAUAUUAGGGUGGUGUGUUAUAAAGUGUAUUAUAGUGUACUAGGGAUAUUUUUCUUAGUUAAAUAGGGUGUACUUAGUUCAAGGGUAGUGCUAUGCACAGGGCAGGCUAGGUGCCUGCCUAGCCCAAAAUUUUUCUUUAAAAAAAACAUGUGUUAUAAGUCCAUCCCAAAAUAAAUUAAAAGCUAACUUUACACAUAUGUUGCCCAUCCAGAUGGUCCCAUAUCUUCUCUCUCCUUCUCUUUUGGCCAUUAGACUUCUUGUUUCUUUCUCUCUCUUUGCUACCUGACAUCAGCAAAUUUCUCCCUUUUUUUGUGUGGUCAAAUUCUCCCUCCAUUGGCUACAUCUCUAUUAUCUUGGGUGGGCAACUUGGCAACAACAUCUUCUCCUCUCCUUUUGUCAACAACAAGUAUUAUUCUCAUUCUCUCAUUUGCUAGAUAUCUUUAAUUAUAGUUUUAAUUUAAAAUAGAAUAUUCUAAGGUUUAAUUAGGGAUGAAUUAUAAUUUUGAGAUUUUGUUGAAAUUAAUUAGGGCUUUGAUUAGAGAUGAAUUAUUCUAGGGCUUUGAUUUGGGAUUUUGUUAAAAUUGAUUAUUCUAGGGUUUAAUUAUAGAUGAAUUAUAAUUUUUGGUUUGGUAUUGUUGAUAUGCUAUUGUGAGAAUUUGUUUGAUUCAAAUUCUCUCUACAUAUUAUUCAUAGGCUAUCUUUUCUUAUGUCGGAUCACAAUCGGAAUCCUAAGAGAGCAAAGAAUUGUUAUCUUUUUUUAAGAAAAAGAAUGAUGGGUCAUCAUCUAGUACAUUGCCUUCUAGCACUUAUUUAUCUACUCCAAUAUGUGAUGAGCAAAAUCUUAUUGAGUUUCCCAUUGUCAAGCCUCCGGUUGAAAGAGUUCAAUCUCAAAGAGUCGAUGAUGAUCAUGAUUUUAAUAUCAAUUAUCUUGAGCAUGAUCUAGGAUUACGUCGUCUAAUAUGCAAAUAUAUGGUGAAUGAACAAGAUAAUGUGCGAAGAGCAUUUCUAUUAGGACCAUGUCAACCCGAGUUAGAAGAUUAUCCAAGCCACUUAGAAGGGCGGGACUUUCGUCGAUUUAAUAAAAAGUGGUUUAGCCAAUUCACUUGGCUUGAGUAUUCAAUUGCUAAGAACAAAGUAUUUUGUUUUCAUUGCUUCCUUUUUGACAUGAAUUCAGUCACACCCAACCUUUAUUGUUGAUGGGUAUAAAAAAUGGAAGAGAAUUGGUGGGAAUCAAUGUGUAUUUCAAUAUCAUGCAGGCAAGCUAAAUUCAUCACAUCAUCUUGCUAUGCAAAAGUGGAUUAGCUUGAAAAACCCAUCUCUUCAUAUUGAAAAAGUGAUAGAUAAGCAAUCAAAGCAACAAGUGAUGGACAAUCGGUUGCGACUUACGACCACAAUCGAGAACAUUAGGUAUCUAGCAAAUCAAGCAUGAGUUUUUUGAGGUCACGAUGAAUCCGUUGACUCAUCUAAUUGGGACAAUUUCAUUGAAAUAGUAAAGUCUUUUACAAGAAUGAAUAUAGAAGUUGCAUUUACUUUUGGUUUUAGUUUUAGUUUUUGUAUUUGUUCAACUUUUAUUUAUGAAUAGAGAUGCAUUUGAGAGUAAUGCUCAUUAUGUCCCCUAGUGGUGGGCAUCGGGACAGGAAAACCGGAACACCGAACUCGAAUCAGUGAAAAAAAAUCGAAAAAAAAUCGAAAAAAAAUCGAUUGACCAAAAAAGUCAACAAAUCGGACUGAACCGGUUCCAAUCGAUUCUGGUUUCGAUUUUACACCCCACAGCACCGCACCGGACCGGUCAUAUAUAUUUUUUAUUUUUACAAAUUUUUAAAAUCUAAUGCCAUAUUUUAAAUUUUAUAAUCACUAUUUUUCCAAGUUCAACUUCAAAAAGUUUAUAAAUGUAUGAAUUGGAUUAUUUGUUAAUUUUUAAGCCAAAAAAAUAAGUUAUUUAUUAUGAUUUUUUUAUAAAAAAAAUAAAAAAAUUAUUAUUUUUUAAAAAAUAAUUAAAUUAAUAAUAAAUUAAUAAUCCGGUUCAAAAUUGGAACCGAUCAGAACCAGAUCGAAAUUGGUCAGAACCGAACCGACCGGUUUUUGAAUUUUUUUUUGUCUAAACCGGACCGGUUAAAUAGUACCGAUUUGAGGUAAAAACCAGAUCAAACCGGACCGCGCCCACUCCUAAUGUCCCCCUGACUAAGUAUAUCUUUUUAUGUUUAUUAAUUAAAUUCACUCGUACCAUCGAAUUUAAUAUGUAAGUUUUGCCCAACCGACUUUUGAAUCCUGGAAUCGCCACUGACUUAGUUAAUUUUACAUUUUCAUUAAAAUAUUAGGGUAUAUUUAGAUCAUAUGAUAUACUCAGUUAAUUUUAGGGUUCAUUUAACACUCUUUUUUAAUUACUUUUUAUUUUUUUUAUUUCUAUGUACGUAAGAAAUGAAUGUUGUCAAUUAAUAAGCAUCUAUUUUGCCGAGUGUUUAAAGAGGCACAGACACAAACAGAAAGACUCGGAACAAAUUUCACGCACAAACAGUCAUGUGGUUUUGACUACCUUCAAUGUGGCCGCUGGCCACACAUUUCUCCCCGCCAUUUCCUCAGCCCAAAUUCCGGGCCUCCUUCAGAAUUCACACGGACCCUUUGGCCAAAAAUCUUUUCCGUUUCUCAGCUCUGGUUGCAUUCGAGCCCUCUGCCACGUUCAUCUUCAACCUCCAUCGCACCCACGCUAACUUGCAAUAGUUUUUUCUUUCUUUCACUUCUCAAGAUUCAAUUUUUUCCUUUCGACCCAAAAAAAAAGAUUCAAUUUUUUCUUUCCAGCUUACCCAUUUGCUUCAUUCUUUCUUCUUGGUCCAUAAAAACCCAGAACUUUUAGUGUACUGCACAAUACCAUUGGCAUUUUCGAUAACCCAUUACUCAAUUUUGUGUUCCUGGUCCACGUGGGUUCACAAUUUGUCACAACAUUGCAUGAUAUGCUUGAUAUGAUGAAGCAUUAGAGAGUGUUGCAGGCAAUUAUGAUCAAUGCCUCCAUGGUCAAUUUUCCAUGGACCACCUGCAAAUUUGAAUGCGAUUAAAAAGAAUAUUCAUUGAGUGUGUUAUUAGAAAGUUGGAUUCUUGGAUGGUUUUGCUACAAUGUGUGAUGUGGGGAGUUCCAACUGCUAGAAAUGAGAGGAUUGAGGAUUAAUGCCUGUUGGGUUCCCCAUGCUUUUCUGUUUCUUAUAAUUUUUUUUAACUUAUUGCCUCGCACUCGGUGUGUGAAUGGAGAUGAUUACAGCAGGACCAAAAACCCAGCUGUGCUUCCUAUGGUUACACAGCUAAUCUAUAGCCGGCUUACAAAUAUCACUAAAACUUUAAGCACUGACCUUAAAGCUGAUAUGGGUUUCUGCAUAAAGAAUGUGUGAGUAAAACCCAAUUGCCCUUAGUUUGUUUCUUUGCUACAAAUUCCUGUUUUCAACCUAAGAUGUUCUUUUUCUUGGCUUUUCAGACAUGAUGAUUGGAAUGGAGCAUUCAAUUUUACGGGAAAGCUGGGAUUCUUGACUGAUUGUAUAAAGCAGACAAGUGGUACAAGCUUUAGUCAAUUCCCUAUUUUUUAUUAUUAUUUGCUUUGGUGUGUUUUCAUUGCUAGUCUUUCCCCCCUUAAUUGUAAGUGCAUAUGUGUUCUAGCAUGGUAACAUAAAGCCAAUGCCAUAAUAGAGAAAGGGGCUCUUAGUUCUGUUGGUGUGAUGUCCAUGCUUUGUUUUGUACUACCCUGAUUCGUUCUAAUGAUGUGAUGGCAUGCUACAUUCUUGUUAUCUUUUCUCCUGGAGAACUUGUCUUUAAAUGUAUUCAUAUAGCUUAUACCUCUGUAAAGUUCCUAACGAAAGAUGUAAUUCAAUCACCAGGAGAUGUCACUAAUAGACUAUGUACAGCAGCAGAAAUAAGGUCCUAUUUCAAGAGUUUCACCGCGGGUGGGAUAAAACGUUCAAACUACUUAAAACUAAACAAGAACUGCAAUUUGACCUCAUGGGUUUCCGGAUGUGAGCCUGGUUGGGGCUGUAGUCUCGGCCAGAACCAGAACGUUGACCUCAAAGCUUCAAGCAUACCAUCUAGAACUCGGGAUUGUCAGCCUUGUUGUGCAGGGUUCUUCUGCCCUGAGGGCAUUACGUGCAUGAUACGUAAGUAUGUGAUGACACCCUCAUUAUCAUUAGUAGAGAUGUGGUCUAUAAUGUGGUCCAAAUAGUUUUAUUGUUAUUAAUAUAUGUUCAUGAAUUUAUUUAUUUAACAUGUCAUUAAUUCUUUUGGGCUGAUGCUUCACUUUUUCCUGCUGCUUUUUUAUUUUGUCAUUUUCUUAAGCUCUGUGCUUAUUUGGAUCUAGGAUAGGGUUUUCAGUAAUUCUUUCUUCUUGUUUGAGAGGGCUGGAAGUGUUCAUGCAUAGUUAUCUUGCCACAUUCUUGUGAUCUUUGUUUGAGUUCAAAAUUAUAUUGUGUCUAUAACAUUUAAUGUUAAUGUAUCUGUCUGUAUAUUGAGCAAAGUGAAAUAAAAUUCAUGAACAUUGCAGUUUAUGAUUCUUUUUGUUCAGAAAAAGAUUUUCUUGAUAUACAAUCAGAAGUAUACAUAUAAAUAACUUCAGGAAUGUAUGCCAAAUUUUCUCAGUCCACAUAAUUUCAGUCUCCUGAGCUGAUUUGAAAGUAGGCAACUUAUUGAUCUAUGAUCUAACACCUUUUUGUUUUGUUUUAAUUUUGUUGAAAAUGAAGCUUGUCCUUUAGGUUCUUUCUGUCCCAGAGCAGGAUUGAACAAAACGACUGGAUUAUGUGACCCGUGAGUUGAUAUCCUAGUCUUGACAACCUUUUUGUCCUCUCCUAUCUCAGGUUUCCUAUGGGCUUAUAGUAUGCAUUAGUAUUCAUUGGUGGAUACAAUUUUGCAGAUAUAGUUACCAAGUACCCGCAGGAGAACCAAAUCAUACUUGUGGUGGCGCAGAUAUUUGGGCUGAUGUUGACAGUAAAACUGAUAUUUUCUGUUCAGCUGGAUCAUACUGUCCGUCUCCUAUACAUAAAAAUAUUUGCAGUAGUGGGUAUUGAUUCUCAUCCCCGGAACUCAAAUAACUUUCUUACUUGCUUGCAUCGUACUACUCUUCUAUUUUGGCCAUUGCGACUUGCUACUUAUUGCUACUUACUGCAAGAUAAAAAUAACCCUGAGGGUAAAGUCGUUCGGAAAUAAAUCUAAUCCAUCUUGGUGUUGCUGCAUGAUCUAAGAAUUAGGCAACUAGUUGUGCUCAGCAUCUGUAUUCACUAAGAUUGUGUUCUCAUGCAAUUUCAGGCAUUACUGCAGGAUGGGUUCAACUGCUGAAAACUGUAAGUUUUGUUAUAUGUUUAGUCCUUCCAUUUAUAGCCUUUUAAUAAUAUAGACAUUACCUUUUUCCUUAUGUUCCUGCUCCAUUCGUGACAUUCGGUGUUAGUUUGGAGUUUUUACUUUCUUGAAUAUAGCUUGGUUUGGUUGGUUAAAGAUGUGUCUUUGAAUUAGCAAACUUUGCUCCCUUUCUCUGCUACUGAGGUUUCAGAAUCUCAAAUAUUAUAAAGAGGAAAGGGGCUCGCAUAUGGAGUUGUCCUUUUAUAUAAGUUAUGAAUCUGUUUCUUUACUCACAAAGUCAUUAUAUGUUUAAUGAUAUUUAGUUUUGCACUAUUAGGUGCUUGACCAAAAUACAGGAAGAGUUGCGUACCAUUUUCUGAUGAAUGCAAUAAAAUAGGUUACAUGCACCAUAUUCUCUUAGUAAAAGCAUAUGAUAUUUCUGUUGACCAUAUCUCUUAGCCCUGUACCAUUUCAUUUUCACAAAUCUGUGCUCCUCUAAGAUUUCUGCCGCAUACUCUACGUUUGACUGAGAAGGGUUGUGGUUUGAUAUAUUUUAUUGAUCUCAAUUGACCAUUUGCAGCGUGCUUGAAGUUGACUGCAUGUGGUCGUGGUACUGCAAACCAGAAGAUUCAUGCUUAUGGGAUCAUCCUUAUUGUAAGUGUUUCCUACAUAUUCUUGGAUCAAAUUUUGUAAAAUAAAAUCAUAAGCUAGUUUUGGGCAGUUCAUUGUUUAAGCAGGUGAGGAUCAAUUUUAGUUGUGAACCUUGUGGUUUUCAAUUUGGAUUUAGUCCUUAUUGAAGAAUAUAAAAAUUGAUACUUGCUAUCUCACUCUCUUAAGAUUUGUUUAAUUUUUGAAACCUCUGUGUGUUUUGUCUGAAUAAUAAACUCUCUAAAUACAUUUUCUCAUAUUCAUUAAAAAAAUCCUGUAAUUUUCCUUUUGACAACAAAAAAAUAAAAAAAAGGCCAAAAAAUGGAAUGACAUACUGCAUGACAUGAGUAAAGCAAUCUCCCAAGUUUAGGUUCAGAUUCUUCAGAACAUGCUUCUGCAUGUGCAAGACAAUUUAUAGAUGUAUUUGAUGUAGGAUGCUCUCGUUCUCUCUCUCUUUUUCCCUCUCUCGCUCUCUCUCUCUCUCUCUAAAUAUAUAUGCUUCUAUAUAUAUAUAUAUUUGUAGGGCUAAUUGAUCAAUCAGAUACUGUUCACUUGCCUCUGUAGGUUUUACUGAGUCUUGUUCUGCUCGUAAUUUAUAACUGUUCUGAUCAAGUUCUUGCCAUUCGGGAAAAAAGAGCAGCUAAGUCCAGGGAAUCUGCAGCAAGACAUGCACGAGAAACUGCACAAGCACGCGAAAGAUGGAAGUCUGCAAGAGAUGGACUCAAGAAGCGCAAAACGGGAUUGCAUGAGCAGAUGUCCCGAACAUUUUCCCGCAAAAAAUCUGCAAAAUCAGAGCAACUGAAGGUUUUAGGCCAAGCUAAACCUGGUACAGAUGACUCUUUGUUACCACCUAAGAUACCAGGUACAUUAAGCGGGGAGCAGUCAUCAGCAGCUGCUUCAAAAGGAAAGAAAAAGGAACCAAGCGACCUUACGAAAAUGAUGCAAUCCCUUGAGGAUGAUCCAAAUAGUAAUGAAGGUUUUGAUCUACAGAUCGGGGAUAAAAAUAUUAAAAAGCAAGCACCAAAAGUUAAAAACCUGCAUACUCACAGUCAAAUUUUCAAGUAUGCAUAUGGGCAACUUGAGAAGGAGAAAGCUAUGCAACAACAAAGCAAGAACUUGACCUUCACAGGACUAAUCCAAAUGGCUACCGAUACUGAUGUGAAGACCCGUCCUACGAUUGAAGUAGAUUUCAAAGAUUUAACUCUCACUCUGAAAGGAAAAGAAAAGACUCUUCUGAGGUGUGUCACUGGGAAACUUUUACCUGGUCGAGUUUCAGCAGUCAUGGGUCCUUCAGGAGCUGGGAAAACAACUUUUCUUUCUGCAUUGGCAGGAAAAGUAACUGGAUGCACUGUUACGGGCUCAAUUCUUAUAAAUGGAAAAUCUGAACCAAUGCAUUCAUAUAAGAAAAUAAUAGGUUUUGUGCCUCAAGAUGAUAUUGUGCAUGGAAACUUGACCGUGGAGGAGAAUCUCCGAUUUAGUGCAAGGUGCAGGUAUGUAUGUUACAACUUCAUGCAGCAGUUUAACUGCAUUUUCGAAUUAUUUCCCUUCUACAGAGUUAUACAUAUGUGGAGUUUUUUUAUUGCUAGUUAGUAAGUAUCAUUUUGUCGUGGAGGAUUACACAUCCUCACAUUUUAAUACAUGUCUGUAAUUUCAUUUGCGAUUUAUUCUGUCGUAUACCUUCAUUUCUUUUUCAUGGCAGAUAUAUGAUGCAAAUUAAGCAUAUACCAUAGUCAAAACCUACUAACCCAAUAUUGAGAAUACUAAAUUCUUUUACUAAUUAAAAUCUGUUACAGGAUACCUAUUUUAAACAUGGUGUUUUUAUAUCUAGAUGUUUUUAGUAUUCUUAGGUACCAGUGUACUCUUAUGACAGAUGAGAUUCUGAUUUCCGUAUGACCCAUUUUAUUUGUUCACUUGAUCGGUUAUUUCUUCCAUCAUGCUUGAAGAACACAUAUUUUCUCAUAUUUACAUCAUAGCAUAUCUAUGAAUUUGUUUUAUUGAAGAAUUCUGACCAGCCAAGAUUCAUCAUAAAAAGGGAUAUAUUUCCUGGUUGUUUCUCAUUUUAUCCUUUAUCAGACUUCUAAAUGCUGGCUGAGGCUGACUCUUGAUACUCUAUGUUAUGUUCUUAUUUCACAUACAAUUUUUCUCAUUUUACAAAAAAACUUAAUGAUGAGGCUACCGUUACAAGGUAAUCAAUGCACUCGGGAAAUAAAAAGCCUCAGGCAUGUACGGAAUGCAUGUCAAGAGGCUACCAUUUAUGAUUUGCUCUUUAUUCAUAUGACAACUUUUUAUCCCAUACUAGCUAAAAAUUUAUUGUUGUCAAUUAUGUUUCGCAAUUAAUUCUUAAACAUACUGUGUAAUUUUUGUGUUGAUUUGAUUGAGGUCAGCAAUUUUUGUUGGCUUCAUUUUGAUUAUAUUACAUCUUUGUUUCUGGGCCCCUUCAUACUGCAGGCUAUCUGCAAACAUGCCAAAACCUGAUAAAGUCCUGGUUGUUGAAAGAGUUAUUGAGUCCUUGGGACUACAGUCUGUUAGAGACUCCCUGGUUGGUACCGUGGAGAAGCGAGGAAUCUCUGGAGGUCAAAGGAAACGUGUAAAUGUCGGCUUAGAGAUGGUCAUGGAACCUUCAUUAUUGAUCUUGGAUGAGCCUACAACUGGUUUGGACAGUGCAUCUUCCCAGUUACUUCUUAAAGCGCUUCGACGUGAAGCUCGUGAAGGGGUAAACAUCUCCAUGGUAGUUCACCAACCAAGGUAUGCUCUCUCUAAAAUUUCAGGAAACGACCAAAAGCAUGAGAUAUAGCGACCAGAAUUUCUGAACAUGUGGUCUGGUAGUUGAUGUGUUAAUAACAACUGGUCGUAAUAAUUGACGUAAUAAGUAUACAUUAACUGCCACAUCAUGUAGUCCCUUAAGCAUGUUCCUAAGAACAAUGAACUGCCACAUCAUGUGGUCAGAAAAUAUAUAGUUGUUUUAGCAUUUUCCCAAGAAAGCAUUGAACUUGAGUACUGCUAUUUCUUUCUCUGGAAAGUUCAUGAUGAAAAGUAUUUAAUUAUCAAUUAUCAGGUUAAAGAAUAAGAAGCCGUUAUUGGUUGCUUUUUCUUCUGUUAUCUUUGUAUCUUAUUGACUUAGAGUUAGUGUUUUGAUCCUUUUCUCUCUUUUUUUUUUUUUUGGGGGUCGGUUCAUACAGCUAUGCCUUAUUCAGGAUGUUUGAUGAUUUCAUUCUUCUAGCCAAAGGAGGUCUUACUGUAUAUCAUGGAUCUGUAAAGAAGGUUGAAGAAUACUUUGCUGGCAUUGGGAUUGUUGUACCAGACCGUGUUAAUCCUCCGGACCACUUCAUUGACAUUUUGGAGGGUAUAGAAAAACCAAGCUCAGGUGUGACUCAUGAAGAACUUCCCGUUAGGUGGAUGCUUCAUAAUGGGUACCCAGUACCUCCAGAUAUGCUGCAUCAUCUUGAUGGUAUUGCUGCAAGCUCAGCUGGCCCGAAACCUGUAAUGAAACGAGAUCAAUCUUUUGCUGCAGAUAUGUGGCAGGAUGUAAAGUCUAAUGUUGUGGUGAAAAAAGAUCACCUACAACAUAACUUCUUCACAUCUAACGAUUUAUCCGACCGAAUUACUCCUGGUGUGGUUCGGCAGUACAGAUAUUUCCUAGGGAGGUAUAGCAUCCAUUAUUCAUUUUUAUUUAACAUGCAUAAGAAUCCAAAUUCUCUCUACUGGUUGUUGAUACAUUAUUGGAGGUACAGUACUAUCCCCAGAAGCCUAUCCGGGUUUGCUAGGGUUACAUAUCUGUUUAUAUGCAACUUGCUUUUGGGUGGCUUGUUUUUGUUUGUCAGUUUUUCUGGUAAUUUUGGAAACUCUCGAGUCAAAAAGGGCAUUCUUUGAUCAAUUUUCAGCUUAAUAUUAGUACUCAUUUGAGCGUUGCCUAAAUAUCUGUAAAGAUGGCCCCUAUUGAAGAUUGAACUACAAUUUAUUUGGAAGAAGUGUAAUUGAUAUUCCUUCUUUGGCUGUUGAAGUCCAAGGACGUUUUAGUUUUUAACCUGAAAUUCUUAUAGGUAAUUUCUCUCAGGGUUGGUAAGCAGCGACUACGAGAUGCUCAAAUGCUGGCUGCUGAUUAUCUGAUUCUAUUACUGGCUGGAGCCAUCUUAGGGACUCUUGGUAAAGUGAAGGAUGAAACAUUUGGUGCCCACGGCUAUACUUAUACUGUCAUUGCUGUUUGUAAGUUUAGAAACAAACUUUCUAUGUUAAUAUUGAGUCUAACAUGGUUUCUUUAGCCUUAACUGAUGAGAUUGGAAAGUGUUAUUUCUCUCAGUUUUCCUUGCCAAAGUUAUAAAAUGUUGCAAUAACUAUAAGUCGCAGUGUUUUAGACUAGACAAUUUUCUCACCGUGUCUUCGCUCAUUUGAUAUAAUAUUAAUUUUGCUUAUUGCAGCACUGCUAUGCAAAAUUGCAGCAUUGAGAACCUUUUCCCUGGACAAAUUACAGUACUGGAGAGAGAGUGCAUCUGGGAUCAGCAGUCUGGCUCAUUUUCUGUCCAAAGAUACGCUGGACCAUUUCAAUACAAUCAUCAAACCAUUGGUUUAUCUAUCCAUGUUCUAUUUCUUUAAUAACCCAAGGUCAUCCUUUCAGGACAAUUACAUUGUCUUGCUUUGCCUUGUGUACUGUGUGACCGGCAUAGCUUAUGCAAUUGCCAUCUACCUUGAACCUAGCCCUGCCCAACUGGUAUAUAUCGGAAUAUCAAGCUGAUAAACUAAUUACAUGCUCAUGAAUGUAUGUAUGUAAUACUUAUAUUUCUUCUAAAUCUAAUCAUUUCUGUUUUCAGUGGUCCGUGCUUCUUCCUGUUGUUUCGACCCUCAUUGCAAACCAAGUGAAAGACAGUGAAGUAGCGAAGCGUGUAGCAAACUUUUGCUACACGAAGUGGGCACUAGAGGCUUUUUUCAUUGCAAAUGCAGAAAGGUUUGUUGUGACCAAUCCACACGUGCAUGCAAAUUUGUUCCGUGGAACAAUCAACAUUGUUACAAAUUCCAGUGUUCAAAGUUUUCUUUUGUAUUCUGUUGCGAAUCGGGAUGCUGAUUUCAUACUUUCUUGAUCAGGUACUCUGGGGUGUGGCUGAUUACUCGCUGCAAUCAAUUAAUGAAAAGAAGCUAUGACCUUGAUGAUUGGACUCUUUGUCUGGUCGUCCUCAUCGUCAUUGGCGUGCUUAGUCGUGUCCUGGCUUUCUUUCUGAUGGUGACUUUUCAGAAGAAGUAGGUUGGUCUGGAUAUCCCCUUUCUCUGCAGAUUUUCUUGUAUAUAGAUCAUACAAGUCUGAUUUCAACACCCUUGUAAUUUGUAUCAUAGUCACUGAUGAAGGUGAAGCAGAAUUCUUUAACAACAGAAAAUUGAUGGCUAACAUUGUAAGCAGAAAUGCUCAUGCCUAGAUGAGUAUAGAGGGCCCACACAUUUACUUAAUUUUGUACAAAAAAAGGAACUGUUCAGUUUACUUUGAUCUCUAUGCAUGCUCAGUAGUUUGACACCACAUAUAUAUUUAUAUUUUCUCAAAUUUUGAGCUUGAAUCAUAUUAAUGAGUCAUUACCAAAUUUUCCUAAAGAUUAAACCUAUUUGAUGCAAGGGAGCUAACAAUUGCAGCCAUUGAAGUUUUAUGACACCAGUUUUGGGUUACAUAUAUUUUGUUGUGCUUGUCAUUGUGCAGAGGUAAAACUUUAUAUAUCCUAUUCAAGAGAGAUCUUUUUUUUUUUUUUUUCUUUCUUUGUUAAUCUAGGGAAGUAAAAUCCGGAUGUAUUCUAAUUCUAACUCAUUACUCCACUCUUAUUCAUUACGUGAACUAACUCCAAAGCCUGAAGAGAAAUCUUUCUCUCAACUAUGUAAAUGUGAAGUCAAUUAAGAGCAAUGUUUAGGUCGAAUCUUGAGCCUUGAUGUAUGUGAUGUUCCCAAAGUAUUACCGGGAUUCACUCAUGUCAUGUGUGAUUGUGCUGCAUUCUUUUCAAAUCAAUCUCAAAAUAACAUUUUUAUUCGAAAAUAAACAGAUUACUUUCCCCAAACUGAAAAUUUGGAUUUUAUCUAGGUAAAACUAUUUAGAAAACCAAAUACAGUGACCAAAUUGAAAGAAAAUAAAAUUACAGCCACCAAACUGAGCAACAUACACGCAUUUUACGCGCGCAACACGUAUCUAUGAACAACAGAAAAACCCACGAAACGAAAAAGGAGUAAUGAAUAUGAAAUCAGCGUUUCGAAACGUUUAUUGUACGCUCUUCCGCUCCCUAAACCCUAACCUUCCCUCCAAUUUCCUCCCUCGUCGUCUUACAUUCCUCAUCCCUCCCUCAGCUCCGUCCAUCAGAGCCCAAACGUUUCGCUCGCUCUCCCCCACUCACUCCUCUGAAUCCAUGCCGGGCGGUGAAGCUCACGCGGCUCCCCUGCUGGAGAAGCAGUUCGAGGACUUCCGAGCGCAGCUCGAAGAGUCUGGAACCUUGCGCGAGCGCAUUCGAACUGUGGUUAUGGAGAUCGAGUCCACCACAAGGCUCAUUCACUCGAGCCUUCUCUUAGUCCACCAGUCUCGUUCAACUCCUGGUAAUUUCAUUUCAUGUGAAAUGUAGAAAAGGAUUUUCCUUGAUAAAUUACAUUUUGUUUGUUUUUAUUUUCUGGUUUUAAUUUGAAGCAGAGGUUUUGGAGAAGCCCUUGGCUCAGAUUGGUGUGCUGAAGGAGCUCUACAAUCGACUCGCUAAGAUUGUGCUCGAGUCUCCUGGGCAAUACUAUAGGUUAGUGAAGUGAAACAGGGGCAUUGUUGGAAUUUUAAUUUGUGGUUUGGUUUUGGGACUGGCUUGAUUGAUGUGGUUUGUGUUUAGAUAUCAUGGUGAUUGGAAGACGGAGACACAGACUGUGGUUUCUCUGCUUGCUUUUAUGCAUUGGUUAGAGACAGGGGCUCUUUUGCUGCACACUGAAGCUAAGGAAAAACUUGGGUGUACGUUUCUACUCUCUGUUAUUGUUUGUUUAUGGUGAAAUGUUUGUAUUUUUGUCUAAUAUGAGCUUUUUUUUUUUUUUUUUUUGGAAUUGUGAUUUUGCCAAGACGGUGUGUAUAUAUGUAGGUGUCAAUUUCGUGAAAUGAAAUGCGUAAUAAUAUUGACAAUCAGAUUUCAACCAAUGGGUUGGGGUACUUUUUCAUCAUUAGAAGAGCAGCCAUGAUCAUGCUUUUUAACCAUUGAUUUAACAAUCAGGCUUCAGAUUGAUCUUAAUCUGAGUCUAAUGCAAUGUAGAAACAAAGAUUCGAAUAGCAAUGGUAACCAAAACACCAAAAUCUUCUAUGAUCUGAUUUUAGUUGAAAAACCUUGAGGCAGGGUCAUGUGAUGUAAUGAUGUCAAUUACAACCCACGAGAUCCAUGACUGUUUAUAAUGUGUUAUGUUUUUUUCUUUAAAUAAUUUAGUCUUAAUUGCAGUGUAUUAUCUUUAGUUUCUAAUAUGAGUUAUUUCCAAUUUUGCAGUGAACGAUUCAGAGUUUGGUCUGGAUGUUGAAGACUAUCUUGUUGGUGAGUGUUGUAAGAUUUCUUUAUACAUGAUUGCAUAAGAGUGAUGUUGCUGUGAAACAAGUCAAAAAAGUUAUCUGUUGAUACAAUGUUGUUUUGUGAUAAUCUGGAAAGGCACAAGAUUUUGAUUCUUAGAUAUAUAUUUCAUGGUUUCAUUACCUUCUAUCCAAGGUGCAAAUAAUAUAAUUUUAAAUCUCCUUAACAGCACCUCAUUCAAAUUGUGUGGGAGUCAAUUGUAGGGUGUGUAUAUCUAAACCAUUGUGAGGAGUCCAGUAGGCUUACUUGCAUGGAUUAUUAUCGCUGCUGGUUUCUCUUGGUUAAGUUAGACGCUGAUGUGAUUUUUUUUUUUCCUGCUGUUGCAGGUAUUUGUUUCAUGUCCAAGGAAUUGGUAAGUAGUAUUCAGCAAUUGUGAUAGCUUGCUUUUUUGUACUUGUUCAAACUGCCUCAAAAUGUUUUGAUUGUUGUCUUGAAUUUAAUACCAGCAAAAAUUUAAAUUGAUAAGAAAAUAUGAAAAGUUUAUACUUGAAUAGGUAUAUAGUUGGGUACAGAUGUAUAUCUAGAAGGAUGUCUUUUUUGUGGUCGGAUAAGGAUGUCAUUGUGCUUCAACUGAGAAAAUUCAUGAGGUGAAAGCACAAGCACAUUGAUUGACAUGCCAUUCCGCAUGUCAUGAAAAUAAUUGAUAGCUUUGUAUUGAAGUAGGCUCAUUAUACAAUACAUUGCUGCAGCCGAGGUAUGUGGUUAACCAAGUGACAGCUGGGGACUAUGACUGCCCAAGAAAGGUGCUGAAAUUUUUGACAGAUCUUCAUGCAGGCUUCCGCAUGCUUAAUCUUCGGAAUGACUUUUUGCGCAAGACAUUUGAUGGUAUGCUACUCAUUGUGACUUUACUUCUCAAUGUUUCUCUUUUCCUUUCAAGUUACAAUCCUUGCAAGCCUCGUAAUUUUUCAUUUUACUUUUGCAUUCCAUUUGCAUGAAAUACUUUGUCACCUGUGGCAGGUAUGAAGUAUGACCUAAGAAGAGUCGAAGAAGUUUACUACGAUGUUAAGAUCCGAGGCUUGACAGCCAAUGGUGAUCCUGUGGCAGACCAAGCAGCACAAUCAUAGAUUUCAAAAGUUGUAAACUUCCUCUUUGUUAUCAUGAUUACUUGAAAUUCCAGAGAGACAGAUGACGGAAGAGGGUUUUGUGUCACAAACUCCAACCGAAUCGGGUAAAUCUAGAAUCCUGCUACUAGUUACAGGAGAAUGGAAGCAAGGAAAACUGUAACCAAUGCCUUGCUUCUGAUGUCAUUUUCCGACUUCUGUGUAAAUCAAAAAACAAUGAAACAUGGUUGAGGAAGAAUGAAAGUUAAGAGUUUUGUGAAUCCAUCAGUUUGUUUGUAGAAAGAAAGGGAUAUAUAGAUGCAAGCAGAAAUGAUUCUGCUGCUCUGCAUCGACUUCAUGAAAUACCAUUUCCAGGCUCGCUCUUACCAUCAUGUGACCAAUAACAAAUAACUUUCAAGUGUUUUUAAUUUUACAGUUACUAAAUAUUAUUAUCUUCUUUAGGGACGGAAAUGGACAGAGAUUUGAUUUUCAACUGUUAUGGUAAGUGGCAUUAAAACUGGAGAGCAAUAUGCUCUUGUAGGAAUAGGACAGGAUCGAUCAACUAAGGCCCCUGCCUGCAACUUGACCACAUGUGGACAUAACUAAAUUUGCCCUCCUGUCACAUCUAAAAGUUUUUUUAAAAUCAUUUUCCAAUGCCUAUCGUUAGGGGUAUUGUGACUGGGAGGUCUUGACUAUUGCUAUCCAUCCAAUUUAGCGAACCUCAUUUUCUCUUUUCGCGAAUCAAUUAUCAUGCUUUAUGGGUAAAAGGUAAUGGUGGGAAGUAUAAUCUGUCUUUUUUGAUUACCUUAUGAACUGUCAAACCUCUUUUUUCCAUCACAAAUUAAUGUCAGAUUUUUAGGUCCAAAAAAUAAAAAAAAUGUCAAAUUAGAUACACUUUGCUAAGUGUAAUUAUAGAUAAUGAGUCAUUGAUACGAGACCAGUAUAGUGUCUUGUCUAAAUCAACUGGCCUAAUUCACAUACCCUUUUUACAAACUAACCUAACUCACGCAGCGUAACCUUUUCAAAGACAAAUUAUGGCGUUCACCGGCGGUGGGGUUCAAAUUCAUAACGCCGUCAAAAGAGUCAUAACGUGGAUGACCACAAACGCAACAACCCCAUUUUAAUGUCCUCCACGUGUCGGUGUAGGUCACGGCGGACUUGAAACGCACCUUGAAGCGUUUUUCUUUCUUUGUGAGCAGCAGAGCGAGAAAUUAAAUGAAAAUGACGAAACACCCCCAUUUUUCACAUUCAUCCAUUUACUUAUAUUUCCCUCUAUCUCCUCCAUUUCGUGUCGCUUUUUGGCGGUUUUGAGGCUCUUCGGUUUCGAACAUUCGCACGAAUUUCUCUGACCUCUCUCUCUCUCUCUCUUUCACUCACUCAGGUCAGAUCUCUGCUCUCUAGAUUCUGCUAGAUCUCCAUUUAUCUUGAUUUUUCAAUUUUUAUCUUCUCUGAGAUCGCAGAUCGGCAAGCUUUCAGCUCAUUAGGGCUUCCGUACUCAUUAAUGAGGUACUGUUUCUACUUUAAACUCGUUUUCUGAUCUACUUUUUUACUUACUGUUUGGCUGCUGAGAAAACGAAGCAAGAGUUGCGGAUAAACUUUGCUUUCACUAGAUUUUUUUUCAUCAUCUUUUUAUGUUUUAUUUUUUUGAGCUUAGCUGAAGUAUACAGCUAUAUACUGUUUACUGCUUAACCUGUGAUUUCGCUUUUUUUGUUUUUUUGUUUUUUGUUUUUGUAUUUAGGGUGCUUUGCAUUGGAUUGCAUUUUAUAAUUAUUUAUAGUUUUUUUUUUUUCCUUCACGUUCUGAAUAACUGAUCAAAACAUAUGAAAUCUCUUUUCUUUGGACAAGAAAACGUUUAAUUACAAGGCCUGUCUCUUAUCUGCCUUUCUAUUUUAGACUGGUAUUAAUCUGCAUCAUGCAGAUCCUAAUUUGGAUGGCUACUCGUUUAUCCUUGUGUGUUUUUCUUUUAAAUUCUAAAACAUAUGUAAGCAAGUUCAUCAAGGGCAUGCGCCGUUCCCUACUAUGUCCAAUCACUAACAUGGCUGCUGGUGAUAAUGCAGCAAUCAAUAUUGAACCAUACAAUUGGCCCCCUUGCCGUGAUUCUAUAAUCUUGAACUAAAGUUCAUUAAUGCCUCAGUAUUGAUCGUGCAAUUGCAAAUUCGAGUGACUGCAAACCAUUUGAUAUUCUUUGCCGUAUGAAAUGCAAUCCAGGUGGCUACAAUAACUAGCAUGGUUUCAUAAGUUAGUACAAAUUUGUAGACAUGAACAGGCUAUGUGUACAAUAAUCAAAAUGUGAAGGAGCCUGAACGUAUUAAUUGAACGGCGAUCUCUGGCAGCUUGGAAUAGCUACUUAUAUCCUUUCUGUUGUCAUAUUGAUGUACUCUGUUGAUUAAUGAAAUCUGUAUAGUUUGUCUAUCUGGGUUCUUUUUGGUACAACCAAACUGAUGAAUGCGUGAAAUUAUAGGAUCUGUGUUGGAAGCAUGAUAUGAAAUGGAUCAUGAAGCACACUCGCGUAACAAGUUCGUCAACAUGAAAUCCCAAAGGGUGAUGAUUUAUUAGUUUUUCGAGGAAAUGCUUUUAUCAUCAUGCUUAUGUGCACUGUACAUGACUCUAGUUCUUCAUAUAGGCUUUGCCAUCUUUUCUGAAUUUCUUGAAAUACUAGGCAUCUUAGUUGCUAUUCUUGUUGCAACUAUUUAACAUUAAUUUUUUAUUAACAGUUGAUGCUUGGUCUCUGUAAUUAAAUUUAGUCCUCCUUUAGUUCCUUGUUUGGGAUAGCCACUGGUAUAAUUUUUUUUCCUUCUAUUUUUCAAUUUUUCAUAGGUGAAAGUAGAAGGUUCUUUUGCUCCUGCAUUAGAAGAUGAAACUGAAACCAUUGAGCAUUUACUAGCAGAACCUAAAAGUGAAUAUGUUACGGUAGAUGGUGUCUUAUGCUGUGGCAAGGAGAAUGCAGGAAAGUGCAUGGACAUUGAAGAUUUUUCCUGUGGAUAUGACUUUGGGCUUAAUACAUACAGUGGUAAUAAUACUAAAUGCUACCAUUCUUGUUUCUAGCGCCCUUAUUAGUUAAAGUAUUAUAUCAAGUCCUUUUGUUGUAGGAUUUUUUAUUCCUCUAAUUUGAAGUAUAGGAAAUUUCCCAAGUGCCUGGGGAGCACCUUGUGUACAUCGUCAUGAACAGUUUUGACAUGUAUUAGUGGAUUUCUUGACCUUUGAUCCCUAGACUGAAAUUCUUCCACCCCUGAGGAAGAUCCUCUUGCUGAAAAAAGCAAAAUAUAAUAGAAGAAAAAGAUUAUAUUAGGGGUUUUUAACAUCUGACACUUGCAUGUAAUGAAAUCUUGUUUCUUUGAUGAUAGAAUGCAUUCCAAAUGAUUUUAUUCAAAAUUAUUUAUUGGUAACUGAAUUCGAGUGACUCUACAAAGGUUUUUGGUUUCAUUUUGUCAAAUAAAUUUUUGGAAUCACUUCUGUUAUCAUUCUAAUCCUGUAUAUUUUUUUCCCUUCAUAAGGUGGAUUGCAUUCUGCUCAUCCUCGUGGAAGAUACGAUGAAUUAGAAUUUGGAGUAUGUAUUUAACUUUAUGGAUAGAUUUAUAUUAUGUCAGAGUUAUUCUGUACAUUCUUCUUCUCUUUGUGAAAAUUAGCUUCCCUUUAAGUUUUAGGUCGCAUCGUUUCCCUAUAUUACUUGAUAUGACAGUUUUAGGGAAUGCUGUAUGUAUUUACUGCUAAGUUAUUUGUGGUGAUUGCAAUUUUGAUGAGAUAGUGAUUUAGUAGGUUCUUGACGGAUUGUUGGACGAAGUUGAUGAAGUGGAGGAUAUUCAUGCAAUAAAUGGUCUUGCAAGCCCCUGUGAUGAUUAUCUUUUAGGUGAAAGUUUGUCUAUACUGUCUGGUUAAUAGUGACAUUUACGGUGUGCUUUCUCUUUCCUUUUGUUUUCUGAUGUUUUUUUUUUCCUUCCAAUUGCAGAUAUUGGAUUUACAGGAAAAGCUUCUGAACUGGGUUUUGGUCCUUGUGAAAAAUCACAUCUGGGAAACUCAAGUUCUGAAAGUCAGUCUCCACGAUUAAGUGGCAGUAGUAACGGUGCUGUUGGGAUAUCCGAAUCGUCAACUGUGACUAUUCAAGAAUUUGAAUGCAAGAAUAAUUCUAUUGACAAGGCAGUAACUCAUGAAUUUCAUGGUGGGUUCAGGAGGAAAAAAAGACAUCGAACACCUGUUGAAGGCAAUGUCUAUCCUGCUUCAAUCAAUUUACAAAAUCUUGAGUUAGAUAAUGAUGAAAAGUCUUUAGUAAGGGAAAUAGUGUCUGGUGAAAAUGAGAAGCUCUCUGUUGAAGCAACCAAACUUGGUGCUUUUUGUAAGGAAAAAAGACUGCGUAAGCCUACUUUGAGAUAUAUUGAGGAAUUUUCAGGUAAGAAGUCAAAAGAUUCCAACGAGAGGGAAAAUUGUUCUGCUGUUACUGCUACGCAGGAUCGCUCAAAGGUCAGAUGUCAGAAUGAACAUCAUCAUAUGAGUCCUGGGAUAUUGUCAUCAGUGCCUGAGGAGGAUUCAAUUUCAGAAAACCAGACACUGGCUGAAUUUAGGACUCAAAGAAAACUUGCAAAGAAGCAUGCAUCAAUUUUGGUAGGAAAAGUUUCAACCCUGCACAUAUUUAUUCCUUCAACAUUUAAAUUAUUUAGAAGAAAACUCCCGUCUUUUUUUUCCCAUCUCUCCAGUUGUAUGGUUGUUUCUCUUUCCUUGUUUGCUUUAAUUUACCUUAUCAGAAGUUACUAGUCUGAUAAACAGUGAAAUUUAAGUAUGACAGGUAGUCCAUGAGGCACCGUUGUCUCUGGAUCACCCUCUUAAAACAUGUGAGAGAUUAUUCAUAGCCAUCUGCAGAUUGCUGUGUAUUUUUCAUGUAGACUUGGAGAAUGUGAGGACUAGACUGUGAGUCUAUUAUUCCUUUGUGCUUGUUAAAUAGUGUUGCGUUACCUGUGAGUUACCUAUUAUAUUCUGCAUCUUUUGUAGAGAAUGUGUUGCUGCAUUUCUGUAGUUUUAAAACCUAUUGAUUUCAGGGGUACUGAUACAUUGAUUUCAGGAUAUGUGUUGCAACCUGUUUCUUAGGUUGCAAAACUUGUUUUUUGGAUCUACCCUCUGGGUAAUGGCGUUCUUUGCUUUGCAUUGAAGGGCACAGCUGUUGUGAUGUUCAUUGACUGGAAAAGAAAAAAAAAACCAUAGAAAUCAGUGUGUAUUAUUUUUUCUUUCUUUAGACAACUAGGAUUAUCAGUAGUACUGUGUUUUUCCUCUUUGAGUUGUGUAAUGCCACGGUUUCAGAAGUUUAAUUGUCUGUAUUAUUCUGCACAGGCGCUUGAGUCUGAUGAGCAACCUAUUACAUCUGAGUCUGAAGAUGACCAUGUACCAAAAAAAAGAUCUAGAAAGCAUGAUCGAAGGAAGCAUCAAAGGAUGUGGACGCUCUCUGAGGUGACGACAUUGGUUGAUGGUAUUUCUGAAUAUGGAGUUGGACGAUGGACAGAUAUUAAGAGGGUCCUAUUUUCGUCUUCUGCUUAUCGCACGCCAAUAGAUCUCAGGGUACAUUGCAGUUCUCUAACAAAGGGAAUAGUAUGCUCUCCAUUUGCACAGAAAAUGGAGAGGGCCAGUUCUUCAAUCUGAACCGCCCAAAGGGGCAGGGCCCCCUGAAUUGGGGACAGGCCCAUGAAGGCCUGACAAGCUAUCUAUGGUCCAGAUUUUAACUGGCUUUCUCCAUUUUGUGCUGUACCGGAGAGAAACUGGAUUUCAAUUAAACAGGUGUCUUUGUGUUUUAAUUUCUAAUUCUCUUUGCUACUUGUGCACGCUACAGGACAAAUGGAGAAAUCUUUUAAGAGCUAGCUGUGGAAAGAAAAUGAAGAAAGAGGCUAGAUUUCUAUCUAUUUAUAUUUUUAUAUUUUGGGUACGUGAAACUGUCAUGCAAACUAAACUUGUCUAGAUGGUUUGGCUGACACAGGUUGAGCAAAAGGAGAUGCGAGCUUUACCAAAGUCUUUGGUACGCCGUGUCCGUGAGCUGGCGAUGGUACACCCCUAUCCUAGGCAGCGUGGCAAGAAGUUUGCCCCUCCCAUACUUCCUACUCCCAGUAAAAGUGCUUCAUCUGACCUAAUCAGAAAGUAUGUCCGAAGGAAGAAUCGAUCUUGAAGUUCAAUAUCCCUGUUGCAGUAAAUCAAUAGUCAGGAAUGUACCAAAGUUUAGUUGUAAAAAGUCUCUUUUCUCAUCAACAAUCUUCUGUUCUUAACAUGGAGCAAUUGGAUCCUCAGGAAAAAAAAAUAAUGAUUACAAGCUCUCUGCACCAGUUGGGCCAAAUUUUCUGUUGUAAUAGCGUUUUGAGAUGUUUAGGUAUGCUCAAGCAAGAGUAGUUUGUAUUUGACAUUAUUGAACACACCCCUUCACCUUUCUAGGAAUUUACUUUGGAUAGUUUCAAAACCAUGGCUGCAUGCUCUGUUUGAUCAGGUAUUAGUUGUUUUUGGCUCUAAAUGUGCUAGUGGUUACCUAUAACAAGUUAUUUAGAGGCGUUAUAAUUGCUGACAGUUGCGAUUUUUCCCGGUAAUGUUUUCAAAUAUGGUAUAGGUAACUCGUGACAUCAUUGAUGCCAUUUGUAAAUGGGUUGCUUUGAGGAGUUGAAUUUUGCGUGAAAUCCUGCAAAAGGGUAUUCAUUUUUGGAUUUCAAUUUUUCUCUUGCAUCGACACUCAAAAACAAAGAAGCGAAGGAAAGAAAAAAUUCAACUGCAACAUUUAUAUACAUACGAACACACACACACACAUAUAUAAAAUAAUGGUUUGCAAUUCCUUGCAUAAGCUUCAAAUUUGUUUACAUCCAUGUAGUUCUGAUAUGAGCGUUAGAACAUAGCAGUUUUCCCAAAACGAGAGUUAAACACAGCAAAUCUUAUGUAGCCACUUGAUAUGAGACUUUUUAAAUCCAUUAAGAAUUUUGACAUGAUCAGUCCCCAAGCUCAGUUGGCAAUUUCUCACCAUUUAUGUGAUAUGGUCAGGAAUUAUUCUCACGCGUGGGCGACUGACUAUAACACAAUUCAACUGUAUAAAUCGCUGUCGGACUCCAGACUAUACCAGAUAAUUUUUAUAAGAUUACAGGCAAAGCGCAAAUCACCAUCCAUACAAAAGCUUAUAGGAGAAUAUACCAAAGCCCAAGUAGAACUAAUAACUAGUGUUCACACCAAACUAACAUCACAUAGGAUUUCCCAUCCAUGCAGGACCAGCUUUUAUUUACCCAUUUCCACCAUCACCACCAUCUCCUUGAGAAGAGCCAUUGGGGUCAUUGUAAUGCUGUCUAGGUAUGCUGUGGUGGUUGUCGAUAUUGUGGUUGUCCAAACUGCUUCCUGGGUACUUUCCAAUGCUAUUUUCCAUGGAUUUUCCGCUUUCGACAUGCCGGUGUGGCUGCUCUUCUUGUCCAUACGUUCGUCCCAACAUAGCCCUCCUUGGCGCUGCUGCCAAGCAAUAGCUGGCCAUGAACAUCACAACCAAAAAGAAUGCCACCACCUUCAUUUCAAAACUUGGUGUUAGAGCAAAGGUUUUUGAAUACAAACGUGUAUACAACUUUGAUUUUUGAGCAAAGGGUUUGUGGUAGUUUAGAAGUUCAAUUUCGUCACAAAACCCAAGUGGAAAUAGAUGAAGAGAGAAUGUGAGAUGGUUUUUUUUUUUUUUUGGGAGAGUAUGCUGCUUUAUAUAGAGGAACUGAGGAAUAAAAAAUAGAGAUAUUUAGUCAUAUAUCCAUUAUUAGCACUAAAAUUAUAAAUAAAUCUUACGCUAUGUAAUUUCUAUAAACAAACAAAAAAAAACUCAAAAAAUAACAAUUGGCCCUAUUGAAUUUAAUUUUGAUUAUUAAAUUACUUUGAUGCCUUAUUGAGUGUUUUAGGCUUUUUUAUGAGGAUUUUGGGAUGAGUUUGUUUUAAGAAAUCAAUAGCAGUUUUGUAAUUUAAAAGAAUUUAAAAGCCUUUUUGUUAUGUUGUAAAUGGGCUUUAAGUGUGUUUCUAAAGUUCAUUUUAUAUAAGUUUUUUCUAUAAUUUGGACUCCUAUAUUGAGUAUAAUAGUGAAUUUUCCUAAAAAAUAACGAUUUCGGUUGAAAUUAAAAUGAGUAAUUAAUUAUGGGUCUCCACCAAAUACGGGGCAAGAUUGAGUGGGUUUCUAUAUAAUUUACCAGCUUAUAAAUUUUAAAAAAUUAAUAUAAGGCUCUGUUAAUGAUGGUUGAGAGCACUUCUUGUCCACUUAGCUGCCUCAAUAGGAAAAUCCCACCUUUCAAGUGGGAUUAUAUUAUUUUAUUCACCAACACAAAUUAAGUCAAUCCAGCAUAAUGGUUUUGCUGUUGGGUCACUUUAAGUUGUCAAAUCAUGAAUAUAUAUUGCCAUACAAAAUUCAGAAUUAGGCCAUCAGUCUAGAUGUUUCUUGCCAAGUUGUCAACUGGGGAUUACAGAUUUUGUAUUUUUUUUAUUAUCUAAUAUUGUUGUUGCAAAAGAAAAUAUAAUAAGAGGGUGAGAACUAGUAUUACAUCAAGAUACUGUUUGCCUCAUUUUUAAUAAGGAGAUAAUUUUAUUUUAUUUUUUUGUGAAUUACAAUUUGACACAUAUAUAAAAAUAAUUUAUGAAAAAUACAAAAAGAAAAUUUAUGCACACAAAUCACACUAUUAUUGACAGAAAUAUAAAAGCUCUUAUUUAAAUAAUAAAGAAUGAAACCGUAAUCAUUAAGAGAAGAAAGAUAAGUUAAUUAUUUUGAAGAGAAUCUCUAACUGUUAGGCUGUAGAUUUGUUCCUCCACUUUGUGAAAGUGGGAUAAAUUUUGAAAUUCAUUGCCAUUGAAAAUUUGAUAAUUGGAUUGGUGACAGGUAAUUUUCAGAUUUUACUAUAGCCCAAAGAUCAAGUUGGGUUUGGGAAAUAAAACCACUAAUUUUCUUUUUCUUUGUGAACGGUUUUGGAAAACAAAUACAAAAGCAACAUGUGCCCCUCGUCCACUUUCAACGUCCUAAUCCCAACGAUAAAUAUCUCCAUAUUCAAUUUGGAAGAUAUUAACCACUUUCAACCUAACCAGUCCUUUGCACACACAACAAACAAAGAAAAGGGCUCGAGGAGAGCAACUUCCAUGAGAUUGUGAUUCCUUGCACAAUGGGCCACUUGAUUGUGAAACUAGCCCAAAGAUCUGAUGAUCCAUUGCAGAGCAAAUUCAGAAAUGGAUCUUUGGGCCAUAACCAAGUAAUGUCAAGUAAUCCUGUGUUGGGUUGGGUUCUUCCCCCUUUUAAUAUUCAAAAGGGUAGGCACGACGAUGACUAGUUUUUCUUCGGUGCAAGCUCGGAGUGGUAGUGUGUCCGCUUGGAAUGGCUAGUGCAUCAGGUUCAAUCCAAGUGUUUGUGCUUGGAAUGGCUAGUGCUAGUCCAAACUCAUAUAUAUAUAUAUAUAUAUAUGAUGAUGAUGAUGAUCCAGCUGCAUUUCUACAAGACUACAACCUAGAUAAGAAAUCACAUGUUUUGUGGAUAUAGAAUUUGGAUGGCCAUAUUUCUUCAAAUUAUGUGUUAUUUGUCACAUCCAUUAAAUUUACUUAUCUGUUAUGCAUGCGUUCAUGUUGUCAGAUCAUCGUGUUCCUCCCAUGGCCAUAUAGAAACGGGUAGAGCUAUCAUGCACAGGUGGGACUCCACAUGCAUUCUAGCCCUUGACAAUGUUUUUUCUCUUUCGCAAAAGAUGAUAAGCAAAACCUUCACAAUGAUUGAUAUAGUUGUACUUGAGGCUUUAUGAAAUGGUAUGUUUUUUUUUUUUUCACUACUUGUAUUCACUUUGGUGUAUUUGAGGUUUGAUGUAAUUGUUCAGUCCAUUUAUGUGUAUUGAAUUUUGUGCAUUCGAGGUUUGUUGUAAUGAUUUGUGAUUGUAUUAAUUAUGCGCGUGCAAGUAGGCGACUCUCAACCGUUGAUGCAUUAUGAGCUCUACAUGUAUACUAACGAACACACAUUAUGAGCCAAUUUUUACUACAACAGUAGGUGUGUGUGCAAGAAAUGAAUACAAUGAAAUUUGGCAAACUCAGUUACGUAAUGUUUGAACAACAUUAACUGAACAUGUAAGCUAUUAUAUAUUGUCUCACCAACACUGCCAGAACCAGCUAACCUAAUGUUCAAAAUAGCUCAACAUUAUCACUGUAUGUAUGGAACCUCUUGAAUGUAUAGGUUUGGUCAAUUCUAGCUCAACAUUCAUUGAGGCUGACUUGCUAUCCCAGUACAAAUAAAUAGUCUAUAAAAUAGUGUAAAAUGACAAAGAAUACGUAGCUUCUUCUCACUAGUGGAGAGAUGGGUUUUAUGUCAGUGGGUGAGUAGAGUAGGUGGAUUCAGUUUCUUUUCUUAACUCUCUUUUAAUCUUUUUAUGUGUCAUUUUUUUCUUUUGUGGUCUAAGGAGAGCUGAAACCCAAUUUGGGUGUAGAGACUUUAUAUGUACCAUUUGAUUGAGAGGUAAUGGUAUUGUUGAAAAGUCUUGUAAAUUUUGAAGAGAAGCGCAGUGUGUUCUUGUCUUUCUUCAUGGAUGACACACUACGUAAGGAGAGAGACAAAUGAAAAAAAUAUACACCCGUGAUAUGUAAGUUGUUUCCAAAAUUAGGUGGGUGAAACGAGUGAAAAUAUCUAGUAAACACACAAAAGGAGAAAAGAAGAAGAAUAAAAAAAAAAAAAUCAGAGCAUUGCUUCCCGAGAGGAAGCAUGGGAAGGAAUUAAUGGGAAGGGAUGGGAGGAGGUAGUUGAAAGUGAAGUCGGAAAUCGAAGUGGCAGGAGUGACAGCUAAGAAGAGCUGACGACUACACAUGGAGGGAGAUAGAUUCCAAUUCAAAUCAAAUCAUUGCUGAUCUUGCCAAAUAUGAGUUAGGGUUACUUGAGGUGUCACCAACUUCUCAACCCUUCUCUCACUUCUCAACUUCUCACUCACCCGUGAGCCAUAUUGGCCCAACCUCAUGUGCACCAUUCCAUGUCCCUUUGCUAAGCUCCCCUACCCUCAUGACCCACCAUCUUAAUAUGCUUCCAAGAUGUAUGAUCAUGAGAUUUGAAUUCAGGAGAACAAGUUUGUUCAUAAGAUUUGAAUUCUCACGACAAUCUUUAAGAAAGUGAAAAAUGAAUGUCACUAAACUCAAUGUUGGUUAACUCAGUAUCUUUUGUAAUGUCAUCACAAUGAAAUAUAUGAAUAAAAUGGUUUCCUACUAACAAGCACAUAGCAAUUUGUACAACGUAAUAUAACUUUCUCACAUUACCUAAAGCUUGUACAUGUUGAUUUAAAAGUCCUCAACAAAUGGAAGUUGAUUUCUAUCUGUACUUUUAUUUUGAUAGCUGGAUCUUGAGAGUUUUCAAAGAUAUUAACUCUCUUCCACUCCCUCUCCAUGUCUGCAGCAGAACUGUUGCUAGUUUUUAGUCAAAAAUGAUUGGACAGAGUGAGGAACUAUGCCUUUCAACCAACCUAGCACAGCAAACUUUGUCUCCAGGGGGAUGAAUCAGUGUGCUGGCUCCUCUCUGUCUCUCUCUGUCUCUCUCUCUCUCUCUCUCUCUCUCUCUCUCUCUCUCAGCAAAUAAACUUCAAACAUCUGAACCCACUCAGAAUCACAACCACAGGAUCCACAACAAACUGCACCGUUUCACUAUUUGCUUGCUUUUUCGAAUUUAUAUUUUAUGAAAUGGCUUGAUUUGACUGAAGUGGUCUCUUAGCUGCCUGUAUGUAACUCCACAAUAACUAGCCAGAGGAUGCUAUGAAAAUCACAUAUAUGGGUACCUAGAAAGUGUCUGGCUAAUCUUUAAGCCUAAACUUGUAUCUCCAUGCAAGAUGGUAAUAUUUAUUUAUCAACAAAGUGGUAGGACCUAAUUUGAGGACUUGUAUAGUUUCUAUGGUAAGUUUUUCUUGCCAAACUUAUGUUGUGAAAGAGAUGCUUAUACUAUUAAGAACUAACAUGAUUAAUUGUUCAUUUUCAGAGUCUGAAAAUAGAGCAUUUCCCUCCACUUAGGUCAUCGUUAAAAUACCAUUGUUUAUGCAUAAAUAUUGAUCAUCUUAUUUCUUAGAGAAACCUUAAAACGGAUCCCAUUUUGGUUGGCGAGGAAAUGGAGAAUGUUACUACAAUCGAGAAUUGAAUUUUCGUUCUAUAAGAUUAUAAAAUGUGAGUCCCAUUUUAUGCUCUGCAACCCAGGAUACAUCCAUCCAUCCCUUCUGCUACGCAUAGCCCAUCUCCUGCUUAGAAAGUCGGACUGCAAAGAUACUCAAAAACUUAUCCAAAAUCUAAACAGCAAAGAUACUUGUGGGAGCAAAUUUCCUCACAAGAAUAUUCGCCCAAGAUUCCUUCGUCUUUUCCGCCUCUCUUUCUCCCUGCAAAACAGAUCGGAGUAAAAGACCACACCCAGGGGUGUUGGCCAAAGGCCCUCCGAUACUUAAGUUAGGUAAGGUAAUUCAAGAAAAACCUGGUGGCCGGAGCCGUGUGUGGUGGCCGGAGCCUUGUGUGAGAGAGAGAAAGAGAGGAGGUGGCUAGGGUUUUGAGAAAUAAUUUCUGCAUAGUUUUAGUAAGAAUUUAGGCGUACCUCAACCAUUGUGUGGCUAUGCUUUUAUAGUAGUCUCUUAGGCUAGGGUUUCAGAGGAAUAAUUCCGUAGAUGGAAGGGAAUUAUUCCUCCCCUUUUUGGAAUUGAUUUGAUUAAUUAGGGAUUUGAUUAAUUAGGGUAAAUCAAAUCCCUAAUUGUGGUAGGUAUUAAAUCAAAUCCCGAUUCAAUUAGGCAACUCCUCAUUUAUUUGGGGAUCGUGGUAAUUAACCAAAUCAAUUCUCAACCUAAUUAGGUAACGUUCAAUUUAAUUGGGUAAUUCCCAAUUAAAUUGAGUAACUCCCAAUUAGGUUGAUUAAUUCCCAAUUAGGUCAAAUAAUCCCCAAAUAGUAGGAAUUAUUUGACCUAGGGUUUGAUUUAAUUAGGUUCCCACAAUACUCACAGGAUAUUAAGACUGCAGAGCAACAAUGUUGUACGUACGGAUGGUACAUGGUGCAAGAAGUGAUAAAAAAGCAACAAAUUAGUGCUGCUGAUCCUGAUUAAAUCUUGAAUGCAACUAAGUGGGAAAUAAUUAUUAUUAUAAAAAAAAAAAAAAAAAAAAGCAAAUGCCUUAGCUCAUAUCCCAUAUAUCCUACCCCAAAUGUGAUCUACAGCAGAGCAGGAAGGAAUAUCAGAAACUUUUGACUUGUAAUUGGCUUUCUCAUUAGCCGACCAUCAUCUUCAACUCACACACUAAGCAAAACAAUAGGUAAAAUAAUAUCUUGUGUUACAGCUAAAAGAAUGUUGCUUGCACUUGAUGAUGUACUCAAAAGGCACACAAUCUAAUCUCUCUGCACUACUGGUUUUUUAUGGAGCUGUUUCCUUUUUCUUUCUUUUUUUUUGGCAGAUUCAUAUAUUAAAUUCAGCAAAAAAUCAUGGCAUUACAAAUAAGUGGGAUCGCACACACUUUGUCCAAGAAGCUUAUCCCAUCCUUAGUUUCAUAUCUUAUCUUUUCCACUCCCAACCUGUGGGGUCUUUAAGUUUGAGAACUACGAAAAAUCACUCUCCAAGCACCAUGCUUUCUUAAGAGAAAGAGAAGAAAAAAAAGACUGCUCACAGUGUGGCAUGUUUAUUUAUGUAUGAUUUUAUAAUCUUUGAUAUGCAUGUUCGUACAAUUUCGUAUCAAGAUGCAUUUAUAUUAAAGGAGUGAAGGGUACAGCACGGUAGUGCAAAGUUAUAUAAUUUGAUCACAUUUAAAAAGAAAAAAGAAAUAUCAUCUCUCUCAGCUUCCCUUCCCUCUCUUAGCUAGCCUAUCAUGUCAACCAUUUAAUGCUCCAAAAUAGUGCCUCCUCUUCCACAACUAUAUAUAUACCUUUCACCUUCGUGCAAAAUAAACCAACCCAUCUAUUUCAGUUCUUCUCUCUCUCUCUCUCUCUCUCUCUCUCUCUCUCUCUCUCUCUCUCUCUCUCUCCCUCUGUGUGUAUGCAUAUAAACAUGAUGAAGGGGAAGUUUGUAAGGGUGUGUGCAAACAAGUGGAGGAAGAUAGGAAGUAGAGGGAGCUUACCUUCUUCUACAUGCUGUGAGAAUUGCUGUCAAUGGGCUUUGUGGUCUUCCAUGCAUGAAGAAAACUCAAUCCCAAAAGAUGUCCCAAAGGGUCACUUAGUAGUCUAUGUGGGUGAGAACCAGAAGAGGUUUGUGAUCAAAGUCACCUUACUUAAUCACCCUCUCUUUAGGGCAUUGCUCGAUCAAGCUCGAGAAGAAUACGAUUUCCAUGCUGAUUCGAAACUCUAUAUACCGUGCGACGAGAGUCUUUUCCUCGAUGUUGUUCGAUGCGCUAGCUCUCCGGUUGAUCGAAGGUUUCCUCUGUGUCUUUGAGAAUUCAGUUCGGUACUAACAGACAACACUGAAGUAUUUAAUUGAUUCAUGAGGUCUGUGCUCCAAUAAUAAUGCAAAUCAGCAGAUAUGCAGCCUUAUUGUUGUACAAUAUGUAGAGUUGUAAAACAUUUAAUAUGUUCUAGGUCACCAAUGUAAUUCAGUUCAAGAAUAGUAAAUUCUGUUCUGCUUACUUGCUCAGAACUUGUGCUGUUUUUUUAUAAGCACGGCGCAUAUGAAACAAACAUAAGUGAAGUGGUCCAAACUAGGUACACCAGAGCUAAAAUUUGAUGCACACCGGAUCUCAGCAGGACCAGAACCAACCAGCCAACUAACUGAGACCAACUUGUCACAGUUUUUAAGUGGGCCAAAAAUUUCAGUUGCUCAUGCAAUGCAAGAGCACUCAGAAACUAGAUGCAUAUUUGUGAGUGAGCUCAGUUUACAUUUUGGCCAUUGGCAAAGCGGUUGACUGGUUGCUGGUUGCAUUUAUUUAACCAAAAAAGACCACCAAAAAAGGAAGAAGAAGAAGAGAUGGAGGUUUUGAUGUCUGAAUUAAAUGGAACCCAACAAAUUACUGGCUAUAUUUGAAACCAUAAUCAUGGGAAUGAGGACUUUUUAGUGAUUUAGUAAUUUAAAAUUGCAGCAUAUGAACAUCAUAUAUUUGAGAUUUUAUGCCAUUGACUUCCUACCCUGUAUCAGCAGUGUUCCAGAUCCCUUCUUCCUCUUUUAUUCAUUGUUCCAUUGUUAUUCCAUGUGGCAGCAUUGGAUUUGAUAAUAUUAUUUUAACUGAGAUAUUAAAAUAACAGUCAUUUCAUGUUCCAUAUUAGUUGGUGCCUAAAAUUUGAGAUUUUUUAAUAUAUUUUUGUCUCUAGUAUUAUUAUUAUCUUUUGAAGUAAAUAAAUAUACAGUCAGUUCUUUGUUAACAGUGUGGGAUCUGCAGAUCCAGUGAACAGCAAGUCAUUGCCUUUAAUUUUCCAGGUUUCAAGCCAAAGUUGCAAAAGACCUUCCAAGAGCUGCUUUCUUGCCAUAAAAUUCCAAAGAGGAAGGCUACCAAUUAAAGAUACUGUACAUGGCUCAGAUGACUUAAAAAUAUUGAAAACUGACUAAUUCUCAAAGGCCCUUUUAGCAUACCAUCCAAACAUAAACUCUAUCAAUUUAACAGGAUGUUGGAAGUCAACUUCAAAGCUAUAAUGAAUCAGAUUCUAUGUUAGUUUGACGAGACAGGGCAUGCUAUGAACCAAUCAAAUAAAGGCCUGGAUUAAAACCCACUAUUCUUUCUUGAUCCAGUCUUGGUGGAUCAAUCCCCACGUCAUUAAUGGAUUGUUCAUCAGUCAUCACCACAAGGGAAUUGCUUGGCAGCAGCGAGCCUAUCUAUUAGGCUCUUACAAGAUAAAGCCUAUCCAUCUUCUACGAUCUCAUCAUGAAAUUAUACAAGUUGCCUCACUGCACAUAAUGAAUAUAGACCGUAUAAUGAAAGCUCUUGAUGGCUCAAUGCAUAUUUCAUAUGACCCUAGACUCAUUUAUAUACAUAAAACACCUCAAGAAUGCACAAUUAUGUACUCUCACAAAGGUUAUCUACUUUUCUCAUCUCAUCACAUUUAGCUUACUGUAACACGAACACUAAUACAUACCUAUACGGUGGCCCAUAAAGUAAAUUAAGGUGCAUUCACAAAUCCUGUACAAUGUUUAUAACCAAAAUGAAAACAGAACAGUAUCCUUCAAAAAGAAAUUCCUCUAUAACAAAAACAACCGAAAAAAUGAAGGCUGAAUGCUGUAACGAUCUAAGUAACUCUUACAAUGACGAUUAUGAAUUGCUUUCAUUAUCAUCAACAAAAGGAGCAUGCAAUACAGGGAAUUAAAACAAUGAUUGCAAUGUCAUUUACACAUGAAGGAUUCUUGUGCAAGGUAAUACACAAGUAGUAUACUGCUCUCUGAUACAUUACAUACAACAACAUUGUCUAGCGACUACACUAAACAAUAGCAGUGCUGAAUAUCAGGGAAUCCAAAGCAGGAACACACAGAGCACUGAAAGAUUACCAGGAAUGUAGUGUUACAACUGAAGCCUGCAAGAGAAACUGCCAGCCAUUUACUCACAAGUAUCAUCUAAGGCUCUCAAUCUAGAGCUCCGAUCCUAUCCCCCUGAGAACUAGCAUCCCUACACCUCGCCCUCGCUGCAAAGUAAAAUAUCAGCCAAGCCACCAUAAAGUAGACUUCCACAGUUGCCUGAAAAAGCUUGGCAAAAGAUUUUCCACAAAUUCGAGCUACAAUCCAUCUUACAGAUGACCCACAAAAUAUAGCUUCCAAACACUUAAUCUGGAUAGCUUGGCGCAACAUUGACAGCAUCAAAUAACAUCCUUCCUUGACAAUCUCCCUUCCAUUCUUCCUCGAAUCCACUAUGGCAACCCAAGCAUCGACAGCGAAUACGAAUGCCACCAAUGUAUCCAACACGAACCACAUUAACAGAAACCCAGAAAUCUCCUUCUCAUAACCUCGAAUCCACGGAGGCAUAACCGAAAAAGGCAUCAACUUUAACCUGAUGAAAAGUUUGAAAAAUGAGUACUGGUCCUCAAUUUCCCCGAAAUACCACAAGCCGAGAAGCUGAGUGAGAGCAUCUCUCACCGCCCACCUCAUGAGAAUGAACCCAGAGAGCCUCUUGACGCCCAGUCUAGACCCAUCCCAAACCAGACCAACAAACGAAGUAAUCCUCCCGAUCAGAUCAUUCACAACUGUGGUAAACACAACGCCAAGAACCCAUGAAUACGUAAUAAGAAACCCAAGAAUUACCCAACCGUAAGCUGCAGAUAAGAAACUCACAAGAAAGAACAACGUCGCCACAUCUCGGCGACCCAGCUCCAAUCCCUUGAUGAAGAAUUGCAAAUCGACGACCCGAUCAUCCAAUUCCUCAUCACCGCCUUUCUCCUCUCCUUCACUGCUAUUGCCUUCCCUAUCUCCCUCUCCAGCUCUGUCAUCGGAAAUGGUGAAUUUAUCGGCUUUGAACGUGAGACCGGAGCGGACAAUUUCAGAAACCCUAGUUCCGUAAGUUCCAUUAAACCCUAAUUUGGAGGUGGAGUGAGAGGCGGAGGAGAAAAUGAGGAUAGGGGCGAUGCGAUUGGGGCCGAAUUGGGAGCGAGUGUCGCCGUCGUCGCCGGAGAAGAAGUCGUCGUCUAGGGUUCCGACUCGGGUGAGGUGGAGAAAUGGACGGUGGCGGCGGCGGAGGGUGACCGGAGAAGGGGAAUCCGCCGGAGAUCGGGAAGAGCGGUGGUUGGGGCUGGCAGCGCCGGCGAGAUCGAGGCGGGAGAGGAGGGACUUGAGAGAAGGGUCGCGGUCGAUAAAGGAUGUGAGGAGGUAGGUCCCAUUUUCGACGACCGUACGGAAGGAGAAGAUGAGGAGAGAGAGGAAGAAGAAGGUGAAGAGGUUGCCGGCAAACGACGUCGUCGCUUGUCUCAGGACUUGGGCGGUGCUGCGCAGGUGGUUCAGCCGUGGAUGCUGAUCGCUCAUCGCGGUUUUUUUCGAAAAAAAACGUUUCUUUUUUUCUUCUGUUUUUCUCGGCGUUUUUUGUUUUUGUUUUUGUUUUUAUUGUUGGUGUGAGUUGUCUUGUGACUUUGUGAGGGGAGAGAGAGAGAGAGAGAGCACGACCGAUUGGUGUGUGAUACAACACUCAGAGAAAAAUCUACACGCGUCGUGUUGUAGAGCUACGACGUCGUCUGGAGAUGAAUACAAGGUGAAGGUCAUAUCAGCCAAUUUGUCUUGUCUGAUGAGGCAGUCUGUGAGUGUCACAAAUUAAAACAACCUUUGCCAAUGCUUUAGGACGUUCGAAAAUUGAUGUUUUUUUAUGGGUAAAAACUAUUAUAUUGUGGUUUUACUACGUCGAAAAAAUUAAAUUUGAGACAUAGUAAUUACCUUUUAAAAUUAGCUUCUCAAACUCUUUCUUUUUUGGGGGAACCUUUCCUAUUGGAGACCUAGGCCCUUUUUUUAUUGGGCAAGUACUUGGACCAUUUUUCAUCAUCCUUGAUGAUGGGCCAGCAGUAUAAUGCGAUCAAAUAUGGGACGGUAUCCCCAAAGUUUAUUUUGUGAAAUGCGGCCAACAUAAUAAUUGGAUGAUGAUAAAUUGAACAAGAAAGACAAAGGGAAGAUAGCUAGCAUUCCUCAACACAAUAUAACGUAUAAAAUUUCUUCUCACUUGUUCAAAGAAAGGGUUGGGGGUUAAAAAUCCCAUACCAAAUAACUAGGUUUAGUGGGCAAUUUCCGGAUGCAUAGUCCAUCCAAAUGACUAUAAUAAUUAAUAAGCAAAUACAAAGAUAGAAUACUAGAAAUAGACUUCUAAACAAUCAAAAUUUUAAAUAACACAUAGGAAGUGGAGACAGACACAAAAGGAAUGGCUUAAUUGAAAUCAGGCUUCUCUGGGUAGGUGCAGCUAGACCUUUGGAUGACAACAUUCGCGGCAUAGUUGCCCGCUUUCACACAGUCUUCGACUGGUUUCUCUUGAACUAACUGAGAUAGAAAACCUCCAACAAACGCAUCCCCUAGACCAAAAACAACAUAACAAGUUAAUCACAAUUUCAAUUGUUAGUCUCUGUUAUUUUAACUAAUCUGAUGGAGCAACAUUGAUAAAAGUCGUAAUCUUACGUGACAAACAUUUGGAUGCUUAUGUUAAUGCUUUCAAGAAUGCCCUAAAAGCUGCUACACAAGACAUACCUGCUCCGUUGGUAUCAACCAGUUUUUCUUUGGGCAACCUUAUGACUGGGAACUUUUUCACUUUCCCAUCCUCAGCAACAACUACGGGAUCUGCACCCUGAGUAAUAACAGUAAUCCUCUUGUGUGUUCCUGAUGCUUUGGGCCACUGGGAGAUCUUUAGAGCUAUUUGCUCGACAUCAUCAGUCUGUUAACUCAAUCAAUCAGAAUCAAUUAACACUAUGAGUGGAAACCAUUAAUGUGGUCUGGCACUAGGAAAUUACCUCCCAGCCAUGGACUUUUGAAAAGGUUCUAGCUUCCGUCUCAUUUCCAAAAACAAAGUCCAUAUACCUAAAUUUCAAUAAAUAAAAAAAGGCACAUCUACAUCAGUAUGUCCAUAUUACUCUAUUACUGUAACAAAAAGGAUAGGAACUUACGGCAAAACUUUCUCCUGAGCAUCCUUGAAAAAUUCACAGAUAAAUGGAGCAGAAAGGUUCAUUGAGAAAACCUGCAGAUAAAGGGAAUGGUCAAGACUGUUUCUUGCAAACGCGAUUGAGAGCAGAAAACAAGACGAAAUUUCAAAGAUAUAAUAUUUCAAACCUUGUUAGUUGCAGCUGCAUGUUCAGCAACAAGCUGAAUGGAGUCUGGGGAUACAGUAAGAAAAAAACCAGCAAUAUAGAAGUACUUGGCCUUCUCAACUGUCCAAUCAAGAUUUUUCAGAGAAAUCGGGUCAGAAGAAUGCAUUACUAGAGAAAUGAACCACAAACCUAAAACACAAAGGUUGAAAGGGUACCCAAAGCCCAAUUUUCUGGUCUUUUUAAAUGCUCAAACUUGUAGCAGUUAGCAGCUGACAAAUUGGCAAUAAGUGACCUGCAUAUACAUACCACACGAUUAUUGUCAGUCCAAUAGACAGAAAAUUACAAGUAUAUUUUACAGCUACACUAACAUUUAGAGGACAGUUAGUUAAUUGGAAAGCAUAAUUUGAAAUUUCAAAACAAGCUUGAUUUUAAACUGACCUUUCACCACCUACAACACAAACAGCACAGGUUCCGGUUGGUGCAGACUCAUCCUCAUAAUAGUGAACCUAGUUCAGAACAGCAAUAGGUAAUAUAAGUUGGUGAGACAAUUUAAGAGGAAAAAGAAGUUUUACUUUUUUUAACUGCAAAAGAGUUCCUGUCUUUGCAUGUGUACCUUAUUCAUAAAUAAGGAAUAAUGCAGAAGGAAACAAAGAAGACAAUUACAUUAACACCAGCAAGUUUUGAGUUCUUCUUCAUCUCUUCCCCAUACUUGUCCUUUCCUAUGGAACCCAUAUAACUUGUUGCACCAGGUAUUUGAAGCAUCCACUGCAGAAGGUAAAGAGAAAUACACUCAGUGGUGAAUUGAUGAAGGAUAUAAAGGAUCGAAUUUAAUUAUCACAAGAAACAUUUCAUGAAGUACCUGGGCAACCCGGAUUGAAUUUUGAGUAGCACCUGCAGAAAUCAAAAGUUCAAAUUCAACUCAUUGUGAACGUAUUUAUAAGUUUAAUAUAUCCACAACAAGACUGUUUGAAAAGCCAGGCGAUGCAAAAUCAAUGCUGUACCUCCAGCAAUGUACUCCACAUUAUACUUGGAAGACAUUUCAUCAUACCUGAGACAAACAUCCAUGUUGGUCAAGAUUUCAUCCAGCUAAAGAUAUGUCUAACAAGAAAGUAUUGUGUCACAGUCGCAUCGAAGAGUGGAUGACUUUAAUUUUACAUAAAUGAAACUGUUGAAGACCUUUUAGAUAAAUAUAGACCCUAAGCUCUCCUUACUCCUUCAUAGGCGUACAUGUAUGAUAUUUGUUGAAUGGAAAGAGUAACACAUUUUAAAUUCCAACUGGUCAUGUCAAUGUAGUUUAACUAACACACGGUUCACUUUCCCUCUCUUUGAAUUGGCAAAUUAAGCAAAAAAUAAUGGCCCACAAAAUCUCUAACAGAUUCAUAUCUAGUCUACAAAAGUACACAUCCUAGAUACAAGAUUAAAUUGCUUACAUGGAUAGGUGCUUGUCCUCGGCAAGAAUCGCAUUGUUGAGCUGCAGGUCAUAUCUGUUACACAAAAGCAAACAACAUCAGGUUUCAAAUCAAUCCCAGGACACCAAAUUACGUGUUCCUGUAGUUCAGCGUAGAAAGCCUAAGCUUAAAACAUGAGCUAAAACUACGUAGUUGAGCUAGAAAAGCUCAAGCUAAGCAAUAGAUCAAACAGCUGGAGGGCUUGGAGAAGCUUCAUGGAUCUAAGGAUUGAGCAAAAGGUGGUUGAGAGAAAGCGACGUACUUUUGCAAGAACUCGUCGUCGACGACGGCGGAGAUGUCAAGGAGGGGGUUGCCCAUCCCCAAUAGAAUUCCUUCGUACGCCAUUGGAGAGGAGAAGAAAUGAGAGAGAGCUAAAGCUGAAGAUUUGGGUUUAACAAAGAGUAGCAAGUAGCAAGAUUCAGAAAUGAGAUCAGAUCUAUAUUGGUAAUGGCAUGUUGGGAGCCAAAUGAGUAGGUUUAUAUAGGUAGAGAGGUUUCCUUCUGUGCCUUUGCAGUGAAGUGGGGUUAGUGGCUCUCUCGCUAUUUCACCAAACCAAACCCACUGGGCACGCAUACUUAGGAAAUGCUUUUCCCACUAUUUGGGAUUUUUUUUUCGUUAAUUAUCGUAUUUUGUUUAAGAAUUAAGUAAGAAAUUAUUCUUUCUUUCUUUUUUUUAAUGAAAAAAAGUUAAGGGGGUAGGGGAGGCUACCUCAUCCAGGAUCAUGGCAUAUCAAAGCCUAUUUGAAGACUUACAAAGAGGGUCUUAUAAUAUAGUAUAGUAUGCUAGGAAUCGAACUAAAGACCUCUAUUUAGGGAGUAAGCAAUUGCUCCGAACCACUAGUAGAUCUUUCCUAUUUUGCUUAUUGUAGUACACAAUGAUGCCUAACAUGUCUACUAAUAAUUGUUUUGGGCUUUUUUUUAAUUUAUUUAUUAUUUUUAAGAGCAAGUUGUGUAAUAUUUUGCUUAUGGUCUCAACUCAACUAGUAUGUGAACUAUAAUCCCUUGUUAAAUCAACCACCGACACAACUGGUUAACUAGGUAAUAAAAAAAUAAAUUUGAGUUAUUAUAAGAAAGAUCCACAUCCAAAUGUGCAUGAAUCUAUAUAUAUAAAGCAAAAGACAGAGAAUGGUGAAACAUUCAAAAUAUCAGAAAAUGCCCUUGGUUAAUGCAAACAUUAAGAAUUCAAAUUAUUAAUUAAAUGAGGAUAAUAUGGUAAAUUCACACUUUUUCAUAUUUAAAAAAAUUAAAAGAAAAGGAAAAGGCAGAUAAUGGAUCUUAUUUUUAUGGAAUAUAACUAUCCAUUAUCUUUUUUAAUUUUAAAAUAAAUUUACUUAUUUUUUAAAAAAAACCUCUCGCAAGCGCGGAAGCGCGUGCAGAGAGGCUAGUUAUGAAUUAUGAAAAAGAUCCUUGGGGUCGUUUUGCAAUAUAACAUAUUUGUGUAUGUGGGGACUCGUGUGCGUUUGUUUUGACACAUUUGUCCACAUGGGAGAAGUGGAUGAACCAGAGGUAACAGUUGAACUUGAAACACAAUAAAACGAAAAAAAUUUAGGAUAUAAGGUAAGAGGGAGACAGAUAGGAAAGACAUCAUAUGAUUCAUAUUAUUGUGUUCUUAUUUCACCAAAAAUUUUGACAGAACAAUAAAAUAAUACCAUAGAAGAUCCAUGGCACAAUGAUUCUCUGAGAAGGCACCUUCAACACAAAAUGUUUAUUUUGAGAAAUAUUGCAUAGGAAGAUGAAUAUGUAAAUAUGUGAAUAUGUUAGUUUCUCCACUUUUUGCCCUUCAAACCUCUCCGUGACUGGACAAAUAUCUUCGUAAUCAUCCAAGUGAAGUGAUAUUAUUCCCCUUCAGAAACAACUGAAGAAACGCGAAACAAAAGUUUGAAAACAUGACUCCAAAAGAAGUCACAAUAAUCUGUUGACUACGAAUCCAAAAAACCCAAAUCCUACCAAGCAUCAUCCUCUCAAAGAUGAUCGCAGAUUGCCUUCGUAAAGUCGGAAGUUGACGAUGCGCCACCAAGGUCAGCUGUUCGGAACUUCCCCUCUGCAAUUGUGCUGAGGAUUGCAUUCUGGAUCCGAUCAGCUUUAUCGUGAAGCUCCAAAUGUCGUAGCAUUGUAACAGAACUUAGAAGCAGAGCAGUUGGAUUUGCCAAGUUCUAUGAAAUUUAAACAAAAGAAGGAUGACUUAGCAGCAAAUUGAUACUAAUACAUACAAAACCUAUUUCUAAACAAGCAGAGCUUAAUAAGUUUACCCUUUGAAAAAAGAAACAAUUCAUAUAAAAUGUACUCAACAAUAUCAAUCGUAAUAUGGCUUUCAUUAUCAAUUUAUGCUAAUCCUCUUAAAUAGGACCACAUCAACAGUUACCAAAUACCAAACGACAGGAUGGGGUAGGUGAGGGUAUUGAAUGGACUUCUUGUGUAAUUACAUACACUGCAGAUUGAACAUCACACGGUUCAAGAAUGCUCACCUUUCCAGCAAUAUCAGGUGCUGAACCAUGUACAGCUUCAGCAAGGGCAAUGCCUCCCUCACCAAUGUUGCAACUGCAUAGGAAGGCAAUUGGUGUCAGAUGAUUUUUGGAUCGUACUACAGAAAGGAAUUAAAAAUGCAUAUUUUAAGCCAUACCUCGGUGUUAAUCCCAAACCCCCUAUCAACCCAGCACAAAGGUCACUAAUAAUAUCACCAUAGAGGUUAGGCAUGACUAGCACAUCAAAAAGUGCUGGAUUCUUCACAAGCUGCAUAAGGUAAAACAAUUAGUUAGCGUGACCUUAGUUUUUUCCUCCAAAAACCCUCAAACUACGUGCUUAAUAUAUAGUUUUUUCCCCUUCUUUAAAGUAAAUACUAAAGUAUACAAAUUUUAAAUAAAUAAAAAAAUUCCCCAAGUUUAAAGGGAAAUUUAUCCAUACCAUCAUACAGCAAUUAUCAAUGACGACUUCCUCGUAUUUUAUGUCAGGGUACUUCUCUGCAACCUCACGACAACACUGAAAGCAAAGAUCAAACCAGUUUCGAUGCGAGUAUACUUGGGAAAACAAUCAACUAGAAUGUAGUUGGCAAACCUUAAGAAAAAGACCAUCAGUUUUCUGCAUAAUGUUUGCUUUGUGUAUCGCAGACACUCUCUCUCUUCCAUGGGUUUUGGCAUAAUGGAAAGCAUACUCAGCCACCCUCAAGCUUGCCUGACGGGUUAUAAUCUUGAGGCUCUCAACAACACCUCUCACCACCUACCACAAAAACAAGGAACUUAAUCAAAUUUAUGUACAUAAAAAAUAUCUGACUAUGUUAUUCUGCUUAUUCGUUAAAGACUUACUUGAUGUUCAAGUCCACUAUACUCCCCCUCUGUAUUUUCACGAAUAGUGAUAAGAUUGACAUCGUCAUAUCGAGUUUUAUAUCCAGGAAGGCUGUAACAAGGCCUGACAUUUGCAUACAAAUUAAGUUCUUUCCUCAGAGUAAGGUUCAAUGAACGAUGACCUUUCCCAAUUGGUGUGGCCAUCGGCCCUUUCAAGCCUACCCGGUUCUUUCGUACCGAUUCUAAACUUUCCCAUGUUAGAAAACUCUGAGUUCUAGGAUCAAUUUGGUCCCCAACGUAAUGCUCUUCCCAUUCAAUUGGCACUUCAGCUUCUCUGAAUACCUGCACCCACGCAAAUUGUGAACUGAAUCAGAACUUGAAACCAUAACAGAGUAAAUACAAACAACAGCCAUCACGCACCCAUUAGUUAUUAAACUAGGACAUUGUCCUAAUCAUGCAAGAACUGAAUUUCGGCAUUUAAAUUAUCGACAUUUUUCUGGGAAAUGUGAUCUCUUCUUUAAAUUUGCAUUUUUAUGGUGAGGUAGCUCCCUGAUCGAUUCAGGAAAAGAAAUUCCCAUUGAAGCAAACUUCACAACAAAUCAAAUCAUCAAACUCUAAACCGUUAAUAUUAGUACUACACGACAAAAAUACUUGACCAGCCAAAAAUUAUUAUCUUAAUAACAGACUAAUAUCCAAUGAAACAUCUAAAUUCCACAAAGAUUUCAAAACCCUAAACUUUCAAGUGCAUGCCAGUGCAAGUGUGCGCAUAUAUGUCUGAACGCACACAUACAAUACAUACAUACAGAUAUUAAUAUACAACUCUGAUGCAAAAUAAAAGGCGCGCAAAUGGAAAAUUGGAACAGAAGAAGGCGAUAGAGAUCGGAGAGGGACCUGUUUGACGGACUCGGCGAUCUCGGGGCCGAUACCAUCGCCGGGGAAGAGAGUGGCACGGAUCGGAGUGGAAUCAGACGAGAAAACCCUAGCUGCUUGUGAUGACGGUGAUGAGGAGGAUAGAAGGCUAGGGCUAGGAUUCGCGGCGCCGGAGAGAAACUGGGUCGAGCGGCUUCCGAGGGCGCGCCUCAAUAGGUGGGAAGCCAUUAUCGCUGCUUGUGUAAUUUGGCGAUCGCAGAGAAAAACACUUAAAACCUUCUUCGGUCUAUAACUAAAUGAACAGACAGACUGGAGGAAUAUUAUUAUUUUGUAUUUUUAUAAUUAUUUAUUCCAUUGACUAGCAAUAAUUUUAUUUUUUCAAUUUCUUUUGUUGGAAUAAUAUAUUCUCCGCCAAUUACUUAUUUUCUUUUUUUAGCCUUAAAAGAAAACCUUUAUUUUGGAAACAAAAUGUUAAACUUUUUUUUAAUGAAGGAGAAAGGGGAUUAUAAUACAAUUUGACUAAACAUUUUGUUUGGAAAUAGAAAUACAAUUAGACUAAAAAAAAUUUGAAGCUUACAGAAUUUUGGGAAUAGGAUGAUACAUGUCGAAAAAAUAAAAGAUGAAAGACUAAUAACACUAAACCUAAUGCUAAUGGGUCUAGCCUAGUGGAAAUGGACCUUGACUUACAUACAAGAGAUUUCAAGUUACAUCCCCAUGACAUAUUAGGUGUAUGUGUAUGUGUAUGUGUGUGUGACUUACAUACAAAAGACUAUCACUUGUACUCAAUAACACUAAACCUAAUAGUUUCACAAACCUCAUGAGAACUUUUUUAUUUAUUGUUUAACUAGUCUCUCCGUACGCGCUUCGCGCAUGCGAGAGACUUUUUUUAACAAAAAUUUAAAUUUAUUUUAGAAUUAAAAAAGAUAAUGGGUAGUUGUGUUUCAUAAAAAUAGGAUCUAUUAUUUGAUUUUUCUUUUCAUUUUAAUUUUUUUUUAAUAUAAAAAAGUGUGAAUUUACCAUAUUAUCCUUAUUUAAUUAAUAAUUCCAAUUCUUAGAGCCAGUUUGGCAUUGCUGUACUGUGAAAAUAAUCACUAUCAAAUUUGCUGUGAGAGAAAGUAGUUUGGCGUUUGAUAAAAUUUUUGUUAAAAGUGUUGUUGGUAUUGAUUUUACUCAUAAUCAGAAAAUGAUUGCCGAUUAAUCAUUAAACCCAGCUCCUCUUCGAAAUUGAUUCCUGCAUAAUCAGAAGAUGAAAGCACCUCAUUAGCUGCUUUCUUUUAUAGCUUUCUCUCACAGCAAUUUUUAACAAUAAGUGAUUUCUCACAGUUUACCAAACGAAUUGGGCUUCCCAAAAUUUUUAAAAAAUCACUUAUCACUCCAAAUAAGCAAUGUCAAACGGGCACUUAAUGUUUACAUUAACCCAAGGUAUUUUCUGGUAUUUUAAAUGUUUCACCAUUCUUUGUCUUUUACUUUAUAUAUAUAUAUAUAUAUAUAUAUAUAUAUAUAUAUAUGAAAAACAUAACCACUAAGUUGGACUUGCCCGACAUAACUGAAAUGGUCUCAGUUUCUGUAGCCUUAGGCCUUCUGAGAGCUUUAAACCCACCAGGAAUGGCCAAUGGACUUUAUAUGAGAGUCUUGUUAUUCUCCCUUAAUACUUUACCCAACUUAUGAGUUGGGUUGGGUCAGGCCCAGAAGAUACUCUUAUGUCUUACCCAAUCACUUUAUUCUAUUCUUGUGCACAAUCUUGAUGUUCGUAAGAGCAUUUUUAUUGGGAGGCCCCAGCCUGAGCAAGAGGCCAUCUAGGCCCCCAAUUCAGUUUCCAAAGCUCAAGUCUUGCCAGAGUAAGAGUUGGGCUCCAUCAACUUGGGUAAGCCCAAAGGCAAGACUUGUCUGGACUGUUGCCUGGGCAUGCUAACAUCAUUGUGACCUUAACAACCAAUUUAAAUAACAAAAAUAAUUGAAAAAAUAAAGGAAAAAAAUACAAAAGAUUUCAUAUAUAUAUAUAUAUAUAUUUAUAUUUAUAUAUAUAUAUAUAAAUAAAUACCUAGCCAUAUUCUUCACUUUUCACACCAAAAUUCUAUACAAAUUUCCUUUCUUUUUGCCAUGACAAAUGAGUGGAAAUGUUCUAAUGAACAUAUGCUAGCUCCAUUUUCUCAACCUAGGCAGACUUUGAUAGUUUGUACUUUUGAACAUGUGGGUUUGAUUAGCAGGGAAUACAUACUUUCUUCUAACCUUCGAUAGAUAGUCAUUCACACAUGUUUAGACAAUUGUUAAUCGUGAAUGCGUAUGGACUUUACAAUGGAUUAAACAUACAUCAAUAACAAACUGGAGUCUACAUGUGCUUGAAUACUUGUGAAAGCGAAACUCAUACUUGGAACUUAAGUUUGGUUUUAAACAAUUACUCAAGAGCAAAACUCAUCUUUAGGCAUUGAAGUAUAAAACGAGGGGACUUAAUGCUGGCACAAAAUGGAUGUAAGUCAGUGAACGAUUCACAAGCAUGGAUGAUUAUUUCAUUUGGUGGUUGGGAGCGAUUGUGCAGCAAAGGCUCAGACAAAAUAAUGUACCAAAACAAAAGGCCCAAGAAAAUGAGAAGAAAGACAAACCAGAGUCUUUCAGUGCCCCAAUUGCAUCCUUUUGUUCAAAAUGAAGCCUUGAUGGUGUCACAUCUCUGAGACUAGAAGUAUGAAAUUCAGCUUUAUGCGACAAGCAAAAUAAUGAUAAAGCUGCUAAUGGGUCAGAUUUUACAACUCAUGCUAGAACUGAUAAAUUCUUCAUCCCAACCUUCUCUAGCAGUUGUCAGGCUUUCACAACCUCCUACUGCACACAAUUCUUCAUCCCAGCAAGCCUCAACAUCACAAACUGUCCAAAUAAGGAGACUAAAGUCUCCAGCAAAGGAAGGCCAUGGAGAGUUUGAGAUGAUGUUUUAUGGAACUGUAAUUGGUUUUUAAUGGAAGUCGUCUACGGUUUUUGAUGUAUGAUAUUGUUUUUUGAUGGAAGCUUUCUAGGGGUUAAAGUGAUGGAACUGAAAGUAGUUUUUGAUGGAAGUCAUGUAGGGGUUAAUGUGAUGGCACUGAAUGUGGUUGAUGAUGUAAUUGAAAGUGAUUUUUUAUGUAUGGAGUUGGUUCAAUUUGUUCAUAGUGGUUGAUAAUUUAGUUUAUUCAAUUUGUUCAAUGUGUGUUGUUUAUAGUUCAAUUUGUUCAUGUUCUUCCCUUCCAUUUUCAGCGCUUCUUCUUCGUCCGAAGUAAGAGAUUCUUCUAGGAUGUGAAAAUGGAACUGUAGUUUUAGUUGAGCCCUAAACACAAACACCUAUAUAUAAAGCCCUUCUUGCCCGUCAAUCCAACAAGAAAUGGAGGGAAAUGGUUCCAAAUUGGUGGCACAUGGGUCUGAGGCGUUGAGGAGGUCAAAGGGGGUUGGUUUGACAAUUAUAUCCUUCAUAAAAUGGGCAGGUGAUUCACAUAAUGAGAUUUAACGAUUUUUUUGACGGAAAGUCACGAUAAGGACUAUUUAAGAACAUACAUAUUAAGGUUAGAGACCAAGAUUGAUACAAAAAAAACUUUAAGGACGCAAUUUGAUAGUUUCGUGAACGUCAUGAAUGUUUUGUGAUAAAAAACCCUUUAUGUUAUAUCAAGAUUACCUAGGACGGUUUGUUAACGAAAUGAUGAGACAAUAUAUAGAAUUUUUAUUUUUUUUUGGUCGUAUAGACAAUAUAUAGAUAUUGUUGAACUAUUUGUUCCAGUAACAAUAAUGUUAUUUUAACAACUUAGUGGUAGUUAAGAGCAUUUUUAGUACGAUAUCAUGUUUUGUAUGUCCAAUAAUUAUUCAUGAAAUUUGAGCUCUUUGGAUUAUUGAAGUGGACAAGACUUGGGCAGUUGAACAGUGUCAAAGCAGCAUCUCUAUCUCUCUCUAUCUCUCUAUGUCCAAUGAUAUUCAUGAAAUUUGAGCUCUUUGGAUUAUUGAAGUGGAUAAGAAUUGUGCAGUUGAACAGUGUCAAAGCAGCAUCUCUAUCUCUCUCUCUCUCUCUCUCUCUCUCUCUCUCUCUCUCUCUCUCUCUCUCUAUGUCCAAUGAUAUUCAUGAAAUUUGAGCUCUUUGGAUUAUUGAAGUGGACAAGACUUGUGCAGUUGAACAGUGUCCAAGCAGCAUCUCUCUCUCUCUCUCUCUCUCUCUCUUUUAUGGUCUCAAAUUGGUAGAAGCUGACCAGGAGUUUGCAUUUUCUCUAGUGCUAAACCAACCAGGUGGAUCUCGAGCCAUCCUUUUGGUCUUAUAAUGGCUUAUGGUUGCUGAGUGCUUGGCCUCUCUGUAUGGUUUAGACUCUGAUGGGGGAUUUUCCUUCUUCUUUUGUUUUUGUUUUGUUUUGAUUAAUUCUAUUUGUUGCCAAUUAGUUUUCAUAAUCUUGUAGGUCUAGGCAGGCUUAAAAAGGGCUAAAAAGUAUUUGAAGUUCUGGUGUAAAUUUUGGUAACAUUUUCUUCUGCAUCAUCUCAUUUUAACAUUAUGGUGGUCAUUUAGGAACUCAAAUGAUUAGAUUAUCACUUGAAUUGAAAUCACAAAGAUGAAAUAAGAGAAGUGAAACUCAUCAGCCUCAAGAAAAUAGAGAUUUUUCUAAAAGAAAAUGAAGAGAAUUGAUAGCCUCCUGUGGGAGAUGCUUAUGUAACUGAUGAGAGAGAGACAGACAUUCAACAUUUUCUGAAAAACAUUUCCUGACUAUUUGAAUACUAUUCUCACUAAAUAACAAAGAAGUGGUAAAGAACUUAGAAAGAAUCAAAAGGCAUAAAGUAGAUGGUUUUACAUUUAUUAGGUAAAAUAGGUAUAGUCACACAGGCUACCAGCAAUGCAAUCAAACUUAUGGACACAGAAGUAGUGGAAUGGAAUGCAGCACUCAAAGCGUAACGAAAUGCUAACAGAUCGGAAGUGGCGCACCGUUCCAGCCCUCGAGGCAAUCCAGAAUCGGGUCGAUAAUCUUUCCCUCGCAGAUAGCUGAGAACACCUUGUCGCAUUCUUCGCCCGGUGACCUGACCUCUUCCCCUGUUAGGUACUCUGCACCCAACUCCUCCCUCACAAAUUUGUACAAUGGAUAAGACCUGCAUUCCGUAAUCCUAUUUGGAACUCCAGCAGUUCCACUAUCCAAUGCAGCCCUUGCACUAUCCACCUCUUUAGGCAAAAGCACCUUCAGCUCUUCCUCAAAAGCAACAAUCUUUUGGAAGAUUGAAGUGCUUGCAUUCUUCUCAUUCUCACCAUUUGUCAAAGCAUGCUCAACCAGCACUUGCCUUAGUUUUUGCAUCAAUGGGUAAGUGGCAUUGCAGGGGUCGUCGAUGUAGGCGAAAACAUAUUCCCUAUCAACCACUUUAAGCAAAUCCUUCUCACAGAAUCUUGAUGGGUGGAGCUCUCCAUUAACCCCAGUUGUCAAAGUUCUCUUAGCAACUUGGCUCACUGUGUUCUUAACUGUGUUCCUCAAGUUCUCCUCCAAAUGCCUCAAAUCAAUGGCUUGGCAAAGUGCCACCAAAAAUGUGGAAGACAUGAGCUUCAAGAUAUCAACAGCUUCAGCUGUCUUUCUUGAAGAGAUCAACCCCAAAGAGUUCACGUCUUGGUUGUGCUGCUCUGCACUCUGGACAUGGUUAGUGACCGGGUUUGCGAGAAACUGAAGCUCAGAACAAUAAGAUGCCAUUGCAAUCUCAGCCCCCUUGAAGCCAUAAUCCAAACUUGGGUUCCUGCCUCCAGACAGAUUUGAUGGCAAUCCAUUGUUGUAAAAGUCAUUGACAAGCUCAGAAAAUUGAGCAAACAUGAGCUUCCCAAUGGAUGCAAUAGCCAAACGAGUAUUGUCCAUAGAGACACCAAUUGGGGUCCCCUGGAAGUUGCCACCAUGCAAGGCCUUGUUCCUUGACACAUCAAUCAAAGGGUUGUCAUUGACUGAGUUGAUCUCCCUCUCAAUAGAUUUGGUGGAGUACCGGAUCACUUCGAUCUGUGGACCGAGCCAUUGAGGUGAAGUUCGGAGAGCAUAUCGAUCCUGUUUUGGCUUCUGCAGAGGGUCCUGCUCGUGCAACUUCUUAGCAGCUUUAACAUAUGAGCUACCAUCCAAAAUAUGUUCCAUAAUUGCUGCAGCCUCAAUUUGGCCAGGGUGGUGCUUCAACUUGUGUGUCAAGUGGUCAGUAAAUUCAGGCUUCCCCUGCAUAACUUCAGCAAAAAUUGCUGAUAGAAUUUCUGACAGCAAUGCCAAAAUGUUAGUAUCGAAAAGAACCGUGGAAGCCAAGCCAGAACCAACAGCAGUGCCAUUAACAAGAGCCAGGCCUUCUUUAGGCUGCAACUCAAAGAACCCGGAAUUGAUACCAACAAACUCAAAAGCCUCUGCAGCACUCAGGGUCUGGCCAUCAGGUCCAACAGCUUUGGAAUUAGGCCUGCCAGUUAGCAUCCCGGCAAUGUAGGACAGCGGGACAAGGUCACCGGAGGCUGUGAUCGUGCCGCGUAGGGGCAAGCAUGGAGUGACAUUGUUGUUGAGGAACUUGGUGAUGACUUCCAAGAUCUCAAAUCUUAUGCCAGAGUAGCCCUGGAGGAGUGUGUUGAUCCUAACCAACAUGGCUGCUCUUGUUGCCUGGUGAGGCAAAGUGUGGCCUGACUCUUUCGUGCUCCCAAACACUCCAGCGUUCAAGAAUCUGAACCAAGAAAAUCAAACCACAAUUAUCAGCCAUGGUUUGGUGAAUUAAGAAAGUUAUUGAAAAACAAAUGUAACUAAGGAGGAGAAAAGCUGAUGGCAUAAAUUAUAAAAUUCAAAUCCACUUGGGUCCAAAAUUAUUAGUUUAACAUUCAAGAUCCACUAUAGCAGAUCUUUCACCUAAUUAUAAUUGUCACCUCUAGUGACAAAACCCAACUUUCACCUUGUCAUUCUAAAGGUUUCCUAUAGCAAAAUUCUCAACCCCCAAGUCCACAAAACAUGUUCUUCCCCCCAAAAAAAAAAACAGAGAGAGAGAGAGAGAGAGAAAGAGAGAGGAUGGGCAGUCAACCCGUCCUGACUCAGUCAACUCGCCCGUUUCAACUCGGUCCCUAUAUAUUCCACUUGCAAGUAAUUAACUAAGCAAUGCCUAUGACCCCCAUACCCUCCACAACAACAAAUCAUUCAACUCGUCCGCCAUACACUGGGUCAACUCAGUCGAGUCAAAGUUCUAGACGUGAGGCAAGCGGUGCAAAUAAAACGAUGGGAAUUAGUUGGCUGAGCUACUGACUACCAAUCUACAGUAUAUGAUACGCUCACGAUCGAACAUCAACAGUGUACAAAUAAAUAUCGACAAUGUAGCAGAUACUGUAAAUUGAUAUUCGGUGUCAUAAAACAUGUUAUGAUGAGGAGGAGCUAGAGGUUACCUAAUGAGCUCCUUCUGAAGGGCAGCCCCUUGCUUUGUUCUUCUGUGGGAGGUAGCACCAAACCCAGUGGUGACACCAUAGCUGUCAGUCCCUUUGCUCAUGCUGUCCAUGACCCAGUCGCUGCUGGCCUUGACGCCGGCCCGGGCUGACUCAGAGAGCUCAACCUUGACCCCAGAGUCAUGAGUGGCUAUGGCAGCCACUUGGGAAAUGGUCAGGCUCUCUCCACCGAGCUUCACCACCGGCUUCCUGUACUCAGCCACCAUGCGCUUCACCUCAUCCAAGUGGCUCCCUUUUAGUGUCUCUGCUGCCACACCCCAGUUCAAAGGGUCCUUCUUUAUGCAGAGCUCAGAAGACUCUAACGAUCUGUUUUGGUGACCAUUUUGCUUGAUGGAGUUGGUUGCCAUGUUAAUUACCAAAAACCCAGAUGGGAAAAUACAAAAACUGAUGAGAACAAAGUGUUUGAUGAAUGUGAGAAGAAUAUGGAGGAGGAGGAUGUGCAGAGUGUUUUUCUGAGAAGUGGAGGGAGAGAGGAGGGUGCUUAAAUAGAGAGAUGGUGGAUGGAGAACAAGUGUUAAAAGGAGGGAGGGUUUUGAAACGGGUCAUCUUUGGGAAGUGCUUGGUAGGUGAGCAUAAGGGUGGCAGAGAGCCACACGAGGGUUGGUUGAAAUUGAACGUGACCGUAUGAUCAUCUGUGGAUCCAACGGUGGGGAUGCAGGCUACGUGGCUUCUAAGGUGGAUGAUUGGACGACCGUAUUCUUGUUAGUUGCUUGGUAUAGGGGUAGGAGACGACACCAGGUAAAGUGGUUGGUGAGGAUUGUUGUGAGUGUGGAAAAGUAAAAGGAAAAACAAAAAGAAAAAUAAAUAAGUUUUUCUUUUGUUGUAUUUAUGCAAUUUUAUGGUCAACUUGUAUCGGUAUUGAAUAUGGAGGUUUUACAGCAUAAGUAUUAUUUUUAUUUUUUUUAAACAGCAUUCGUAAAGUUUUCCAUUGCCUUUUUUGGGUUAUAUUUUCAAUCAAAUCAUUCUCUCAAAAUUCGUUUUCUAAUAUCAUUCAAGUUCUCUAAAUUUGGUUAUAUAUUGUAUUUGAUGAAGGUUGCUACAAAUCAUUCAAUUAUUCUUUGUCAUGGUUUUUAUUUUUAUUUAUUUGUUCACUCUUAUGCACAAAAUAGUUAAAAUUGAAAUUAUUAAUAAAAUGAGGAUAAUAUAGUAAAUUCACUUUUUUUAUAUUAAAAAAAUUAAAAUUAAAAGAAAAAUCAGAUAAUUGAUCUUAUUUUUAUGAAACACAACACCCAUUAUCUUUUUUAAUUCAAAAUUAAAUUUAAAAAUUUUAAAUAAAAGAAUGCCUCUCGCAAACACGAAAGCUCGUACAAAGAGACUAAUUUUUUAAUCAAAUAUGUAGGCCUAAGUGUUGGCAACCACAUGGAUGAAUUGUUAUACCAUAUAUUUUGUAGCAUAAAAUGAAAAAAUUAGCAAGGAUACUCGAACAAAAUUUAUGGUGAAGUUUUGGCAUUUGAGUGUGCAUGAUAACGUCUUUUGGAAUAUAAAGGAAACUAGCAAAAAUUACUUUUUUAUAAAAUGACUUGUAAGAACAAAUUUACAACUCUCUCACACAAACACCCACAUUCAUAUUUUUUUUUUUCUUUUGUUCAAAAUCCACGCUGACCUUUCUUUCCAUCCUUCUCCACCUUGCAAUUUCUCAGCACUCCCAUUAACUCCACCCUGCAAUUUCUCAGCAUUCCCAUUAACUCCAACCCCAAUCUUAUGUCUCAAUUGUAGCCCCACCCUCCCUGCAAUUUCUCAGCACUCCCAUUAACUCCAUCCCCAAUCUUAUGUCUCAAUUCUAGCCGCACCCCCCCUGCAAUUUCUUUGAAUUUCUGUACCCAAAAAAAUAAAUAGAUGACAUGGUCAUCAUCUUCUAUUUUGGUUUCGCCAGAGGAGGAGGCGCGUGGGUCCGGUUGGGAAUAUCAAAUUGGCGGCGGGGGUCAGUGGCCGACCCAGAAAAGUUCAGCAGUGAGGGACAUAGAUAUGGGUAAAAUCCAAAUUUUUUGCAUGUAGUGUGGUUAUAGCCAAAAAUGGCGCAGAGAAAGAAGAAGAAACAUAGAGAGAAGAGAUAAGGAAAUAAAGAGGAAGAAGAAACGCAAGAAAAAAAAAAGGGAAACAGACAGAAAAGAGAGAAGUAAAGGAAAGAACACGAACAAAUCAAAAAGAAAGAGGGGUGAGAGUUUGCUUGAAUUAAUAAUUAAAUGGAAACAAGUUCAUAAAGAAAACACUGAGAAUGUUUUCAUAAAAUGAAAAUAAGUUCAUGUGUACUUGUAGAAAACAAAAAAAAAUUGUUUUCAUUCUCAUGGGAAAAGUUUUUAUUAAAAUAACUCACAUAUUAUUAUUUUAAAUUGCAUUACCAGACACGUUUUCAUUGUUUUUGUUUUCUGAAUAUGUUUUCUAAUUAAUCUACCAAACUCAUUUUUAUUUCCUGAAAAUGCAAAUUUGUUUUCUUGUUUUCAUUCUCUGAAAACAUUCUCAAAAAACAUUACUGGACGGGCCCUAAGUUUUGUGUUUUUCAAAUUUACAUAGUAUGUGAGAAAAUAAGGUAGGUGAGAAAAUAGGAUAGGGGGUGGAAACAGCAGCACUAUUUAAAUCAUAAGUUUUUUCUGUUAUCCUCAUCCACAAUAUAAAUAAAUUUUUUACUAUUAUUAAUCAAAGUUUUUUUUUUACAAACCAUGAUGCAUAUAUAAAAUGUUGGAAAAUAUUGCUUUUUGCAUAAGACAAAUAUUCAUAUUUUAACCAAAAAAUAGAAGCCAAAAUAUCCGAAAAAUUAACACUUUUGCUCUCACUUUUCUAUAAUGAAAAAACCAUAUACUACAUACAGUCCCGAUCUCUUGGACCACAGGAGUCCAAGAGAUUUGUGGUCACUCAUCGUUGGAUGUAAAUUCAACGGUUCACUCAAUCUUGAAUUCCUUUUAAGAAACUUUUUUGAACCAUUAGAUUAAUAUCCAACGGUGAGUGACCACAAUCUCUUGGACUCCUGUGGUCCAAGAGAUCAGGACUGAUACUACAUAACUAUACUACCGUAUUAUUGUUUUUAAGUCUCAUAACACAUUCAAGUGGAAAUAAUUAAUAUAUAAUUUUUAUGUGAAUUGGAUUAUGUUAUGUUUUACAUUAACUGACGAGGUGGGUCAAGCUUUUCACAUUUAGAGCUCAUAAAUUAAAAACUCAACUCCACCUAUAUAUCUUCUUCUUUUUUCGUUUUUUUUUUAAAUUUAUAAAUGUAAUUGGUGUAUGAUUAAUUUUUUUUUCUUUUAAAAAUAAAUGUAGAUGGAGCACUCAAACCCAGGGAGUCCAUUCGUGGGUUGAUGCUCUUUAAUUGUGUCAUUCUAAAGAUGGAUGCAUAAGAAUGAGUGGUGGGCAUUAUGUCGGCUGAGGAGGAAAGAGGUGGAGGAACAGAGGGUCUUUUACUUGAUGAUGAUGCCAAGAUGUCUGUUAAGCCAAAUUCAAAGUGACUUUCUGUCAAUGAAGCACCUACAUGGUUGCUUCUUUUUCUUUAUGAUAAUUUACUCUCUUCUUGAGUUUUUAUUUUUAUUUUUAGGACCACUUGCAAGUACAUCAAAAACUUAAGUCAAUUUAACUAACAUUUUAUUGGUGUAGCAUACGUAUACGUGUAUAUGAGGUUUAUACAAAUUGGGAGCCCUCCCAAUUGAACGGCCUUAAGCGACUGCCUUGUCUGCCUGUGCCCAAGAGCUCCCCUGAUCAUGUCCAAUUAAAAGCUCACAUGUAAGUUCGUCUACCAAAUUGUAGACAAAAUGCUAUAAAUUAUAGUUGUCUAUUCACUGGCAAUUUGCAAAUAAUGUGUGGCAAUUUGAAGGACAACUUAUACUCAAUGUGAACCGCUCGUCUGGUCUGGAUCCAAAUCAAUAUAUUUAAUUUAACACUCCAUUUUUGGGGAAAAUUUCAACAACAAAAUAUCUAUUUUGUUAAAGGGGGAAAACUCACUCAAACCACAUAUUUUGGUACUAAAAACUUUUGUUGAUAUUUAUUUCAAAAUUUGUUUGAUUUUCUCAUGAGUCGUAUUUGGCCCGACCAAGAUGGCUAGUAAUGCUAUUUUCCUUUUGGCUCUUUCAAAUAAUUUAUAUUCUUCUAUAAUUUCAUUUCAAUUUAAAAGACCAAGCCAACCAGGUCUAACCAUUAAAAAAAAGUUCUAACUUGUAGAUGUCUCAGGUUCGAAUUCCAAUUACAUCAUGGUGUGUGUGUGUGAGAAAUUCUCAUUCUCAUACAGUUUAAACUAUCACUUGUACUAUAAGAAGAAAAAAAAAAUCAAUUGUACUAAAAAAAGGACCAAAGUUUAGCUCGGUCGUCAAUCAAAUAAAGAAUAUUAGAGAUAAUGUUUAUGAUACUUUAUAUAUACAAAUCGGGUCGAGCUACACAUUUGUAUAACUAUAUAUUAGUUCUCACUGAACAUUGUACUUGUAGUAUUUGAUCACAGAUCAUUUAAUUAAGGUUAGUUUGUCACGUUUAGUCUUAUUUUCCCCUUCAACUGGUAGCUGAAACUGAAACAUUAUAAAAUUAUAGUAUAUGCAACCCUAUGUGUGUGACUCGCAAUUGAAGGUAACAGAAACAAAGCUUAUGGCAUGCAUUAACUACUAAUUAAUCAUUGUUAAAAACUCAAUAUUCUCAUUUUGUCAUUUUCAUAUGCCUUCUCUGGAUCUUAUUAAUUAAUUACUUAAUUUGGUCUUUUUUAUUCAAGUCAUCUUCUUUAAUCUUUAAAAGCAAAAUUAUAACCACAAGGCGUGGUGCGGUUGGUAAACUACCACCUCCAGCUGGCAAGUUACCUGGUGCUUCAAUGACCGGGGUUCGAAACCCGUUAGAAACACUUCCUGACCAGAAGCAGGUCGAAGGAAGUGUGGAAAAAUAAUAAUUUCCGAACCAAUUCUCAUGAAUUGCUUCGCAAGUCCUUAGUGGGCAAGGUUGUUGCCACAGUAUUUUUAGCUUUCAGAUUUUCCAUCUCUUCAUUUCGGUGCAUUGCAUGUAAUGUAUGAUGUUGGUCAAGUAACUCAAGUCAAGUCUAAAGGCAUCGAUGAUUAGUCAAAAAGCAACCCACGACAAUGUGUACACCAAAAUGUCUUCUAAGAAGAGUUUGACUUCAAUGCCUUGUAGAGAAAUUAUUGGACUCUAUUUUAUUAGGUUGUGCUGCUGGAUACAAGUUAUGGAUGUGUAUGAACAUAAUAAUACGUUGAUAAAAUACUAUAACAAUAUACGAGUUAAAAGUAAAUGGUUCAUCACUUUAAGAUAAAAUCUCACAUAUAUAUAUAUAUAUAUAUGAGUAUACUAUUUUGAAUCUUAUUCAACUUAAUGAGCUUAAAUAAUUAAAUUUAAGAUAAUAUCGGUAUUGAAUCGGAUUUACUUGUAGAUCCGUGUUGUUCUAUUGGACAACAAAAACAUUAUAUGUAUUCAUCAAACUAAUAAAAGAAUCUAGAAAUCCAUGACAAUGUGGUCCAAUAUGGUCGAGCCUUCAUUCCAUAAAUGUUAGUACUUAAUUUGGUCAAAACAUGUGCAAAGAUUAAUUGUAGGUUUGAUAUAAAUGUUGAUACGAAAUUGAACAACACAACUUCUUCACUCUAAUUAUAUAGAAGCACCACUUGUUUAAACUUUAAACAAAAUGAUGCAAUUAGGUGAUUUGACUUUAAGACCCACCAAAUUUUUUCUAAACAUAAUUAGCAAAACUUUUCCCUUGCUAGUCGGUACAGAAGCCGAUCAAGUUAAGACCACCAAACAAAGGAAAAAUAAGGUUAACUUCACCUAAUACUAGACUAAUUAUGUACAAAGACUAGGCUGCUGCAUACGCUAAAAUAAAACAUAUAAUUAAUUAACAUAUCGAUUUUCUUUAGCACUCCGAAAUAAAGAUUAUAAUUAAAAAAACUAUUUGUGACGCAGACAUAGAUUAUCAAAUCAUAAUCCUUGUUGGGUGGUUGUGGAUAAAGAUGAGAUAUAUAUAUAUAUAUAUCUUUUGAGGUUUGACCCUUUGAAAGCUGGGGGUUUUUUGAGCUAACUAGUCUUGCUGCAUGCCACCACCAACCUCCACUUUGAUUUUCUUUUCCUUUCCCUUGAUUUCAUAGCUACGUAGGUGAAGAAGAAGAAACAAGAAUAUAAAAUUGAGGCUGCGAUGCAACUGAAAGCCGCGGACCACUUUCACAGGAUGGGAUCAUGUGCUGUGUGUUUUGACUUGGGAUAAUUCUUCAACCAGAUCCGAUCCAAUUCAAGCAUGAGCCAUAUAAAAUUCGCAGUAAAACUACUUUUUCCAUUUUUUUUUUAAUUUUUAAAACCUUCUUGUGUAAUAAUAAAAAUAAUAUAAGCUACAUGGUUUUGUCUUAUUUUAAAUGGAACAUGUUUUUAAUAUAUGCUUUCAAGAAAAUAAAAAAAAACUAUAUGAGUUUUUGUUUUACUUGAUAAUCUUGGGCACCCACAAUUUUGUUUAUAUAUAUAAAUCCCUGGAUAUAUAUAUAUAUAUAUAUAAAUGUAAGAGAACAUCCCCAAGGCCUAAUCUUUUGGGGAUCAUUUUGUAUCAAAACUGCCAUGAACAUUAUUCUUCACUUUUAUGCUUUUUGGAGCUUUCCCCAUGAAUAUGCCACAAUGAUGUAACUGAAUUAACUUUAGAAUUUUUAUGUGCGUAGGCCACAGGCUCUCCAAUUUGUCAAUUAUUAUUCAUGAGUAAGUAACUUUCGACAAAUUUAAUGAGAGGUAUCUUUGUAGAUAUGACGAUCAAAGUAAUUAUCAAUCUUAAUUAUAAAAUGCGCACCAACGAAAAAUUAAGUUAUACAUACAUUCUAUAACGGAGUACACCGAAUUUUGAAUUAAAAUUAACUUUCAGGAUCACAUCAUUACAAGUGCUAUUUUUAUCCUCAUCAUUUCACGAUCUAUCUCAAGAGUUACGUGAAUUGUUCGUGCAAGAAAAUAAAUAGGAAAGAGAAAAAAAUAACCCUAAAAGCUGGAUUCAACGCAAUACAUCCCCACCUACCAAAACCAAAACCAAAACCAAACCCCAUAGCAAAAGCAUGCAUCAUACCAGAGGUUCCCCUCCCACUUACCACCACACAUUUUUUUAAUGGAAUCAAGGUAUGCAACGCGUUAGGGUUGAUGUGAGGAUGAUGGAAUUUUCACGAAAAAUACAUAUUUCCUAUUGCCUACCAAACUCCCAGAGAAAAGAGAAAUGCCCACUCAUGAUGGGUCACGUGACUUGGCCUAACACUCUCCACUCUCUCCCCUUCUACACUUUGAAACCAAAGGAAGAAACUAGAUGACAGCACGUGAUCUAUAUAUAUACUGUUGGACAAUUGGUUUGUUUGUUCAUCAUGCACUUAAUAAAUAUAUAUACACCUAACUCCCUGUUUAAGGCUGUCCAUGCACAUGUUGUUGUAUCGUCGUCUGGUUCAGUUCGAUUUGGAAAUUGUUGUGUUUCAUAUGUAUGUAAAUGCCAUGAUCUUCUUGUCUACCAGAGCUUCGCUCAGGCAACCUAAAACAGGUGGUAACUGCCCAUAAUUCGAAUUCAUCCAACCAAUUUAUUUCCUAAUUUGAUUGGAUAUGAUUUUUUUUUAAUAAUUUUUUUGGUAUAUAAAAAGAAUGAAAUUGUGUUUUUUUAAAAAUAUUUUUCUUUUUAUUUUUCUUAUCUAACCUUUUGGGUUGGUGCCGCCUCAGCAGAUCUCAACGGGGUCAAAUUGAGCCUUCUUACCAAACACCUUAAUAAACAUUUGUAAUUAAAAAAAAUCGGAAGACUUUUUUGGAGUGCGAAUAACAGUUUUUAAAAAAAUUCAAUUACAUUUAGUAAACAUUAAAAAUAAUAUUAUAGAUCGUAAAUAAAUCUCUGUCUGCUACUAAACGUUGUUAUUUGGAAGGGUAUUAUUAACAUUAUCCACACCCAAAAAAAAAAAAACCACAGAAUUAGAAUAAUAAACCUGAGCAGGAGGCUGGGCUGAAGGUGCUGGAGGCCCAUAAUUCAGCAUGGCCCAACCCCACAUGUAAUAAGCCCAAGCCAGGAUCAAGAGCAACGGUAUACCACCGGAACUGAUAACCAUCACAAUGCAAUAUCCCAUUUUAGAAUUUUGAUGAGGUAAAAGCCCUGCGACUUGAAUUAAAGAAUAUAAUCCGGUUUCGUAAAUUUGUUGACUUUGUGAUACAACUAAAGAUCAACAUGUCUUUGGUUCGAGCCUUGGCCUUCCUGUGUGCCUUGAUUUUCUAGACCAAGCUUUGUAAUGAGUUUGAGGUGAAACAAAAUUGAUAAACUUGGUCUCAGGUGAGCUGAUAUCAACACGUGUCAUCGAUCCGACGGUGGAUACUGGAGACUUGCAAAUUAAGAAAGUGGAAGAAAUCUCAUUACUCACACUAUGCUGUCAUCUGCCUUUACUUGCUCCAUCUGCAUUGUAUAUUGUGUUGUGGAAAUUGUUUGCUAAUUUGGUUUCUCUAAAAGAGGGGCGCUAUUUAAAACAGCAUUUGGCUUUCUUGGUUCUUUGUUGCAAAUAGAAAUCUCCAUGGACCCUAUUGAUGCGAAAAAGUGGUUCGACACGUAUUUCGUCAACUUAGUUAUAUUAUGUCUUCGGCAGGUGACUACUUUCGGAAGACGUCUUGCUUCGGAAGGGUGAGUACCUGCAAAAGGACGCUUUUGGUAAGUCCUUGGGGUACCGGUGUGGUAUCGGCCGAAGGCUCUCCGAUACUUUAGUAAGUACGGUUUUAGUAAUGUUAACUGACAGAUCAAUCGGUAGCAUACCAUUAAUUCUGAUCCCCUCCUUUUGGGGAUUGGGGUCUUCUUAAAUAGGCCUUGGGAGGUGUGCAUUGUGCUCAUAUUUCUGAUGUGGGGCUGUGGACAUGGAUUGUGAGCAUGAUACUUGUCCGAUGGUAAAAAAGGCCAAGAUAGAUGGCUUCGGUAGGAAGCAUGCCGAAAGGAUUCUGUGAUCAAUAUCGAUCCUGUCCACGUGUUCGGUGAUCAUAGGUCGUUUGUUUCCGGUAUAAACAGUAGUCCCCCAAGUUCUCUUCCGAAGGUCCUUCGGAAGGGAAUUUAGUUCUCUAUGGCAGUUCGGAAGUUACACUGCCGUUCGGUAGGCUCGUUUGGGGAGAGAAAAGGAUGCUGAGAGGCGAGAGGGCAGAGAGACGCUUCGUUUUUAUGCUUACAUUUGACGCUUCGUUUCUAUAAUUAAUUAUUUUUCAAAAUUAUAGAAAUCAAUUGUUUUAUGCAUACAAGUAAAAUUAUUUAUACAUUUGACGGUUUCUUUUCUUACAACAGCAGACACACAAUUUUUACUCUCAGGAUUUUUCAGACCUGGUCGGACUUUUCCUGGGCCUGUAGUGGAGGAGGCACUGGAGGCCCAAAAUGCUGUUGAGCAGAGACAGCUUCCCUUCGGCCGUUUGCCCUACCAAUGAGGUAAAAAGCAAGGGCUACAAUCACGAUGAACAAUAUCACAGGAACUGAUACCACCACAACAUAUCCCAUUUUGAUUUGCAGCCAAAGAAAUGUCUGCACUGCAACAUCACAAACCCAGAGAUAGAUUCAAAGUCAAUGAAAAUAAAUAAAAUUAAACCCUUUCUUUCUUCCAUUUUCAGUCUAAAAUCCCAUUUUACUUUCAGUGUGAUGCAAUUUACUUUUUUUAUACAACGAUAUUAAGGAGGGAUUCGAACUCAGGAACUUAGAUGCAAGUGCGUAACUGCUUUUAACCACUUGUACAAUUAUUAUUUCGAACUGUUUAUUUCCAGACCAAGUACUAACAGGACCUUAAAUAUGAAACCUUUAUGAGUUUUUGGGUGUACAAGUUAUGGACCACAAAUUAAACCUCAUCAAACAUCCACUAUCUCUGUCUCACUGUCUGUUAAUACUUGUAUAGACCUAAGCAGCAAAACCACAGGGACUUACCUAUUGGGUGUCUUGGUGGUGGUGUUGGGUGUGCCUUGGUUUUCCAAACAAAGCAAAAGCAAGCAAAUAUACCUGCCUGGAGCCUGUGAACUCUGGAAAAUACCACAAAAGACCAGAGAGAGAGAGAGAGAGAGAGAGAGAGAUGAUGAGGAAUUGUUAGACCAUGAUAUGUAUUGUCCAACCAGUCACUCGGUUGAGCUGAGGAGGUCUGUAGACCCUCCACGUGUCAUAAAUAUGACCGUGGAUACGGGACAGUUGUCAGCAAUUCGCAUAAUAGGUGGGGAAAUUUGGGGCCACGUCACGUUAGAGGAAGCAAACUAAGAAACAUGUAAUCCACUCAUUAAGUUGAGGUUAUACAAUACACAAAUAUUAUGUAUAUGGCCGUUUCACUCAACUUUAUGGUCACUCUUAAUUUGUCCAUUGAAUUUAUUUUCUGAAAAAUUUGGGUUCCAUCCACCUGCAAUAUUAUAUAUAGGUUGGUAUUUUGUUUAUCUAAAAGGUGGGAUUUAAACCAACUCUUGGUUUUCUUGGUUGUAUGUUGCUGAUAGAGACAGACAACCUGCUCCAAAUUCCCAAUGAACUUUCAUUCUCAAAUAUUUGAUAGAUAUUGUUCAUUUCUUUGAUGUCAAACACCACCCUCACCAUGGGAAAAAACUUGGUUGCAACGGAUAUAACACUAUUUUGCUAUCCCCAACCAAUAAUGCUAUAACACGUGAAUGUGUUAUCACGCAUGUCAUAACGUUAUUAGUCAAAUAUAGCAAAAUAGUAUUAUUCAAGUUUCAUGGAAGUCUUUCUCCUCACGAUGGCCCAAGACCACAGAAUUGGGUUGGAAACAAAGUGCAAUGGAAAAAGAUUAUCCAAAACACUUGGGACUCAAAAAUCUCCAAAAGGAGCAUACAGCUUUGGAUAGAGGCCCCCGCACCUGGCAUUUUUCAACUUUCCAUCUUAUUAGAACAAGUAACAGAAGCAAGCGAGCAACACAAGAAUUGCAAAACAACCAAUUUUCAACCUUCUACCCAUUUUCUUUGAUAAUGCUGCAAUUACAGAUCCAGCAAUUCUUACCUAUGCAUAUGUUAACAUACAAGGAAAUACAAAUUGCAGCAAUGGCUUUUGAUACACUGAGAGAAAUUAUGCCUUAACUGAGGGUUUUGAUCCAGAAGAUGAGCCGUUUUCCAAAAUCUAACAGCUCAAUAACCCAGUUGAGACAUACUGUGUUUGUCUAUGAAAGCUAUGACCCAUAAGGAGCAGAUGUCUGAACCUUGCGUGAACCAGGACCCUCGUGAGCGCCAGCAGUUUUGUUGGUUAAUCGACGCUUGUAGCGUUUGAGUACAGACGCCAGAUUUUCUUUUCCCUUCGGGAAAGCUACAUCGCCAGCUGCUGUCCCCGUUCGGCCCUUACGACAAGAUAUUGCAAUCUCCACAUCCUUGAUUAUGUCUAGAAGCGUUACUGCCGUUGUGCAUUUUCCCCUGGCUGGUUUUGCAGCAGGGGGUAUUCCAUUUGAAAAAGAUGGACUUGACUUCAGCUGGUGUACUGCAGAAAUUUGAAGGCAGAAGCAUGGCGACAUUGGAGUGCGAGGCUUUGAAAAUGCUGAAUCAAUAAUCCCCUGACAUUAACAGGAUACGGAGACAUUAACAUCACUGAUUUAGAAGCUUUGGAAAUAUUAUAUGUACAUAUAUAUUAGAAGAUAAUCUACUUGUAUACAGAAGUAGCAUUACUGCAAUGCAAGGAGAAAAUUUCUUCUAAAUUCACCAAUAGAAAAACACUAUAUUUCACAUAUAACUUGGCCAAAGUCUUCCGAGAGUCACAGGAAUGAUAAAAGCUUAUCACGCAUAAUUCUCAUCUCGCACUAGGCAGCAAUAAACAGUGCUCAUGUAGAAAGCACAGUGUAGAAUACAAAGCACUCAAGGUUCAACAUAUAUGAAAAGAUAGUAGGUUACCAAAAUGAAUUUUUUUGAGACUGAACAUUGGAGGACAAACUUAUAAGUUAACUAAAUAUUUUAGUUGCCUAAAGUGAAGGCCCAUAAGUGCAAAAAGCAGUAAACAAAUAUUUCUGUCCGAAGAAUCAUCCUAGUACAAAGAAAACAAUUACCUGCUUUUCAAUACAAAAAAUAAAAAAAAUUUGCCUAUUCAUGACCGAAAAAUGUUGUCCUGUAAAUUAAGGAAAGUAACAGAACUAUAGAUGAAUAAUUUUGUUUAGAGUUCAUAUAGUCAGUUUUAUUCACUUUCCUAUAUUAUUUUGGGAGUUUUCCAUUACCCUAAGAUUCUAUUUAUGGUGUGAUUUGAUUUGAUGUUAGUUUCCUUGUUUGACUUGGAUUGGCCUCUAUAAAUACCCAUUGAUGCAAUCUUUCAUUAGGAUUUUGCUACCGGAUAAGGUAGACUAGCCUGACAAAAGAAUUAAAGAAAUAAAGUGAAAUUGGCUAAAAUAGCCCUUUUUUACAAAUUCUAUUCUAAAAUAGCCCCCCUUGCAUUAAAGAGAGACUAUAGGUACAACAAAGAGGGAACUAUAGGGACGAGAAAGCGACACUGUACGGGCAAUUAUAGAAUAAAAGUUGUGAAAAAGGGCUAUUUGAGCACAAGCCCCAAGUUAAAUGUAGACUAGAAAACCCUAUAAAACAGUCCUAUUUCUCAUCUUCUCCCUUCUUUCUUUCUUUCUUUCUUCUCUUUCCAUCUACUUUAUUUCUUUUCCAAGGAAUCAAAAAGUAUCCAGUGAUGGUGAAGCCCAACGUGAAGAUGAGUGUCAAGAGUAUGAACAACUACUGUCAUAAUUCCUAUAAAGGGAAGUACUGUUGAGUUAGUGUGAUCCUAGAUGUGAAUCCAGCAGUGGUGUGUGGUGAAGUGGUUUGGUGGCAGGAAAUUGCAGUGUCUUCUACCCAAGUUCCAGUUUAGGCAAGUGUGUUGGGUUUCAAUUUAUAGUGGAGCUCUAGAGGGUCCAAAUUAUAGCCACCCUCGCUGUUGGUGGUGUUUCAUCUUUGGGUGUUGAAGAUAAGUGCCAGUUUCCUUGUUCUUUUCAAGAAAAUUGGGCUCAUAUUAUGAAAAUCUUUUGGCGUGCUAAGAAAGAAUUGAAGUAUUUGACAGAGCAUUCAGUUUUCAUGUAACAAAGGUUGUUUUCUGUGUUGUGUCCAAGGCAUGUUUGACCCAGCUUCAGUUGAGUGUUAGAGUCAAUUUAGUCUAUUUGAUGUUUGCUUAAUUGGCUUAGGAACUUUGGACUAUUCUAGGAUUCUAUUCAUGCUGUGGUUUGAUUUGUUUUUUUUUUUUCUUGUUUGACUUGGACUGGCCUCCAUAAAUAGGCCUUAAAGAAACACUUUAAUUAAGACUUAGAUAUUCAAUAAUGUAAAAUAGAAAAGCCUAGCCUCUCCUCUCCCCCGUUCAUCCUUCUCUUCUCUUUUCAUCUACUUUGUUUCUUUCAACAAAUUUGAGUUCCCAGGGUAAUCAUGAAAGCCAAUAAAGUGCAGAAACUCAUUUAAUGCAACAAAUGGAGCAAAAAUGCCAACAGUAAAAUAAACAAUCAAAACCUUCUAGCAGUUUGAUCAAGUCCCAAGGUAGAUAUACUGCCUAGUCAAACCCAUGGUGAAGCAUAACUAUUUUCUGCUUGGUUGACAUACGGUAACCAAGACGACAAUCUUACAGAAGAGACCAUAAUUUCCUUGCAAAAAUUGGAGUCACAGAAAUGUAUCCUAAUAGACAGAAGUUUUUCAGUGUUUACCUGAAGUCGGUUGAGGACGUAGGUAUAUUUCCCCCAUAGCUCUGGCCGGCUUUCCAUGAGUGACAAAUCAAGAAUACGAUGGAUACACCAGACCCCGAAGCUUACUAUCAAAUCUGAUCUCCAAAUACAACCCUCCCCACAAGUAGGAACCAUAAAAGAGGUGCAAUUUGCAUCAUUAUUCUUCAAUGCAGAAACAGACUUCCUAUCAGAAGGAUGGUAUUGAGGUUCACCCAUGUGAACUGUUCGAUUCAUCUCUCUAGUUUCAGCUUCAUAAAGAAAUUUCUCCCUUGCAGCCACGCGAUCAAUUAGAUCCUCAUCAACCCCAUCAUUCUGCGUAAACAACCAGUCAGAUCCUUCCAAUUUCAAAAGUUUCACAAUGCAAUGCCUGAAAGACUGAAGAAGCUUGGCCUCUGAAUCUGCAACUGAAGUAGCUUCUUGACUUACAGAACCUGCCCGAUAACCAAAUCCUCCACUCCCAAUAGUACGAUUAUUAUCAGCUACACCAAAUUGCUCAAAAGGCUGUCUAGACCAGAGGGAUCCAGUGUUAAAACUAGAAUUUUGCUGUGAUGAAAAAGCAUCUCUGUAGACUUGUGAUGGAGAGAGUUGAUCGAAUGCCAAAGGAGCUCCUGUUCGUGCUCCAGAAUUUGAAUACAAGGAUGAUUCAUAAUUUGUUAUCCCAGUAGAUGAUCCAUACCCCACAGGACUUUCCCAGUUGGCACUUUUCUCCGGCAUGUAAAGAUCCCGGUGAAUGUCGGGUAAACUAUGGUAUUUCUUUGCAUUUGCUGAACUUACCACAUUCUCAGCAAUUCCAGAAGGGUGCAGAUCAUAAUACGGUCUUUCAGAUUGCAACGGACUAUUUCUAGAUACUGUAUGAUUUUGGAAAAUGGAGGCCUGACCAGAGCCUAACCCAUUUUGUAACUUCUGCCCCAUGGUAAAUGCAAGUGAAUCUCUGUAGUUUGCAGCACCCAAUGAAGAAGCGGAUUGUAGGGCUGCUGACUCCAUUUGACCGUUCAAAUUAUCAAAACCUCUGUCCUUUGCAAUUCGAUUGAGAUAUGAGGGAUGAUAACUAUGUAUUGUGGCUGGCUGGUAGUCCCAACUCUCAGAAGACGGGAGACUGCGCACACUUGAAUAGCGCCUCUCACCAGAGUCAAUAACGCUGCGGCUUGAAUUUUGCACAUAGGCAUCCAACAACUGCACACGGCUGGGCAACAAUGCGGAAGAUCCCCUUUGGACCCCAUAUGACUCUAAACUGCUUUGAACCCUCUGCUGCUUCGGAGAGUCAUAUAAACUUGAGUUCAUAAUAGGAUCAGAUCCUCUGCCUCCUGCAGAUGGAAAAUAUCCGGAAAGCUCCUUUGCACUAGUAUCAACUUUCAAUGAGGAGGACGCAGCCUUUGAAUCUAACCCCAACAAAAGAUCCAGUUUCUUAGCCUUUGCUUCUUGAAUUACAUUCCCAUGGAAAUCAUACAGCUGUCCCCAAAAUUCGUCAAGUACUGCAGCUAGUUGACGUCUCGCAGCACGCCCCAACCCUGCUAAUCUUGAAAGGCUACCAGCACUACUCCCCCCUUCGUCACCUUUUCCACUUAGACUCCUAAAUGAUCCUGGACCCUCAGAUGUCAAUGGAGCAGUGCUCUCAGAAACCCCUUUCAAUGAAUCUUCAGGCUCCCAGGUAUCUCCCUCAUCAUCAUCUUUUUCAUUUGGUAAGUCUCCUUCAACUCCUUCAACUCCAACAGUCUUUUCAAUUGGCUCUGUUGAUUCGAUCUUCAAUGCACUGGUGCCCUCCAAUGUAACAUCAGAAACCUCAUUAACCACAGUUGAGACUGGAGUUGACUCCACUGUAGAUGUGGAUCCCUCCAUAUGGCAUUUAGGGGAAUGAGGAAAGGUAAUACGAGAACCAUUUUCCACUACAGUAGUUAGGUGAUGCUCCUCAUCAGGCUCUGUGAUAGUUUCAGGCAGAUCAAGAUCAAAACUCGCUACUUCUGAAUCACUAUCCAAAGCCCUCCCAAAUGAUGGUGAUGGUUCAUGCUUCUGGACACUUACCUCUCUAUGAUAUUUAGGUUCAGAAAUAUUGAUCUCCUCUUUCUUUGUUAUUGAAUCAGGUGAACCCAUAUGCAUAUCCCAGUUCCACACCUGAGCCUCUAAUCGUGCACUUGCAGAUUUUAAUGGGGUAGCUGCCAGCCAAAUCAUCAAACAAAAUGUUGCACAAGCAGUGAGUAGAAGUACACAAGGAACAGACAUACUACUCCCGGCAUUCGACCUCAAAUUAUUAACCCAAUCACUAUUCCCAACAAUCACUUCUACUACAAAUAUGAUUUUCAAUCCAAGCAUCCCAAUUAGUGUAAUCAGGGAUAAAAAUUCAACAAAUUGAGAAACUUUAUGGACACCCAUUAUUGGUCUUGAAGCAGCAAUUCGAAAAAGAGGGAUCACAGAAGAUGGCAGUAGCAGAGCUGCCAACACUUGUGUGAAUAUAAGAAGUUGAUACAUCCCUUCAGCUCCUGAACUCCAAACGAAAUAAAGAGCUGGAACAAUAGCAAUAAUUCUGAUUGUGGCACAAUGAAGCCAACCAGGAAGGUCUAGUUUCAAAAAAUCAUUCAAAACUACUUGUCCACCCAGACUCCAGCUUAAUGUUGUGAUUUGAUUUGAAACAAAGAGAACCAGCAGGAAGGCACCAGAUACUAUUGGACCCCAAAAGACCUGUAUAAUUUGAAAAGAAAAUCAACUUGGCUCAGUGUGCUGCAUGAUAUUCAACCGUUGUCGAAAAAAUAGAAUUCAUCACAAACUAAUGGGAAGAAAUUGUAACCUGUCCGAUUAGUGACAUUACAUCCUGAAAUGUAAGCAAACCAAGGCCCGAGUAUUCAUUCUCCGCUGAGGUCAUAAGGGCAUAAUUCACCAGAUAAAUACCACUAAAGAUGCACAAGAUGGCAACUAAAUGGUGGUGACACAAAGCAUCCCUGGAAACAGUUGGCUGACACUGAUACUGCUGCAAAAUUAGGGCAAUUGAGUUUCAGAGAAUUGACCGUUAACACAAAUCAAAACAUUAUUCAAGUGGUUUACAAACAGGAUGGACGGGAGGGUACAGAACUUAGUGAUACAAGCACAUUAGUUGAUGUACAAAUUAAAAUUGAUUAUUUUUCGACUCCCUACUCCAACAAGAAAAUCUCAAUGCUCCUGUUAAUGAAGCUCUUUUUUUCUAUUUAGAAAGGAAGUAGAAAUUUGAGUGCGACCUCAGUGAUCUCUAUCGAACUGCAGUGACCAUUGAAAAGGAAACCAUCUAACCUUCUUAAUCAAAUUAGUAUGUUAAAAGGUUCUUUUAAACUAGAUGCACCGAUGACUCAGUAACAUGUCCUGAAAGGAAUGUCAUAUUGAGAAACAAGAAAAGAGCUAGACACUGUAAACACAUGCAUUGAAUGUAUAUCUAAAUACGUCUAACUGUUGAGAUUCAUGAUACAUCUGACAGAAGAAGCGUUCACAAGGAUUUAUAUUAAAACAAAAUCUCCCAUAUGAACUCAAGAUGCAAGAAGCAACUGUGUAAACCAAAGAUGCACAGGCAGACAUAUAAUACAACAAAUAGCAGAUGCUGCCAAUAGUUGACCACCUGUAAAAGAAUCAACAUAUAUAAUAUAUAUACAACAAAGAUACGCAUACAUGCAUAAGCUCAUGUUCAACAAAAUACGGAUGGAUGUGAAACGUAAUUGCAGAGGCAGAAAACAGGGAGCAUGAGAAGCACAGAUACCUGCACAAUCGAAGAAUGAAGAUAGAGACUGUGAGGCAUUAUACUUGCUCCAAGAAGACUCAUCAAUGCAAAGGCACUCUCCCCACUCAGCUUUGUUAGCAUCCCAUUCAUGGAAAAUGACAUUUCUGGUUGACUGAUAAUUACUCCAAGAACGAAGGAAAGCUGUAUAAAUCCCGCAAUGCAUACGCAUAGGACCUUCGCCUUGCAAGUCUCCUGAUAUGGAUACUCAGUAUUUUAGUAAUAAAUAUUGCAAAUGCAAGACUAUAAAGGAAUAAGUGCAAGUAACAGAACUUACCAGGAGGGUGGAAAAAAGAGGGUACAAAACAGCAUUAACAGCAGUCAAAAACACGCAAGUGAACAAGUCCCACCCAAACAGAAGAUUAAGUCCAUGUGCGAUACCGAGGAUCUAGUAAAAUAAGUGCAAUCAUAUGUCACGCAUAUAACAAAUCUAGUUUCAACAAUGAUACUGCAUAUCAUCACUUAUGCCAUAGCACAACAUAGUUUAGACAAAUUGAGGGCAAAUGAAUAAGUUGAUGAGGAUAGAGAAAUCACCAUGGUAAGGUCUGACAGAAUCACAGAAACCUCUGUUUGAACUCCUAAGAAUAUGCAUGUGCCUUUGUCAUACUCCUCACUGCAUAUCUUUUGACAUAAACGAAAUUUAAGAAAAGAAAAAAGUCAAGGAGCAUGUGUGCAUGCAACUGUCUCUGUACAAGCAAGAGAGAGAGAGAGAGAGAGAGAGAUCAAACAGCCAACUACAUAGUAAAUCAAAUAACAACAUGCGAAGAGAAGGGGUAUCGUGGUUAGGACGCAGCUCAAAAGCAUGAAUGCGAACAGAGUAAGCGCACAGCACCUCCACAACUAACCAUGCAUUAAUAAAACCCUGCAUGAGAGAAUUAAUACCUGCGCAAGAUCUCUUCCAGUGACUACACCAAUCCGAGCUGACAGAUAGUGACAUAAAAUAGCUGCAAAAUUGAAAAUAAGCAUCAAUGCUGCCAGGUCAGAGCCAAAACGGGCACCUGCUUCAGCAGUUGCCGCCCACUUUCCAGGGUCAAGAUAUCCAACUGAAAUCAGAAGCGCCGGUCCAACAACAGGAAGCAACCGAUGUAGAACGCCCAACAUAUUGUUAGCACUAGGAUUAGCAGAUUCCAAAUUAGCCAUUGACUCUUGGACAAACGAAAUUUCCAGUGCAAAGAUUUUUUUGGAAACGAUGGAUCUGUCUUACUAAUAACAAUUAUGGAGGGCCUUCCUGAACUAUUUAACAAAACUAGACUCACGAACUGAGCGAACCACCGCUUCAGGAGGAAAGGAAAUAUGGAAGUACUUUAAAGACAGGAGAGAAAAAAGAGAGACAAGCUCACAACAGGAGAAAGGACCUAGAACUUAGGGGCAAUAAAAGAAAAGGAAUGAACAAAGGCAUAAAGAACUAGAGCAGGAGGCCAGGUAAAUAUGGUUCCAGUGCAUCAGCGUCCUGAUAGGUACAUGAACCUAGUUUACCGUCUUUAGAGAACAUAAAUAGGUAAACGAAAGUACAUCCAAUGAAGGUCCUGAUAAGGUGAGUCGCGCAGGCUAUUCCAAUACACUUACGCAGAUCAACCUAACUUCUCGACAUGACUACUACAUGAUCCAACUUUACGCACUAACUGAUAGUAAUCUGAUGCUUCCAAUCAUAUCCAAUUGGAUGCCAUUGUAGGGUAAACUAUUUACCCUGUUAAAUUUAAUAUUUAUCUGCUGAACAUAAGUAGAUUGGUCCAUCCAAUCAUUGUAAAACUUCGAGCCAAGUACUAAAUUACAGAGCACAACUAGCAGAGACUCUCAACUCCAUCCAUGAAACAAACUUCAACCACUCCAAUCACUUGCUACCCUGCCUUUGUCGUCCAACCCUGAUUCAGAAAAUCACAUUAGCUUGAUGCACCAAAAAAAAUAGGGUAAAUAUCAACAUCAAUACAUCUUGACAACCUAUUUUUAUGACCAAGUCAAAAUUUUAUGAGAGCAAUAAGAGUGACCCAACAGUAUCAUUUACAUUUACACCAUUAAGUAAGAAAAUUAACCAUGACUUAAUCCCUCCAGAAAAAAAUGCUUUUCCCAAAAUUUGAGCAAGAGCAAAACUAGCACACAGGAUAAUUAAAAUUACCAUGACAAGAAUCUAAUAGCAACCAAUCAAAUUCCAAACUUUAUAUUCCAGCAGAAAUGCAAAAACCAAGCUCCAAACCCAUGUCAGAUCUUUGCCAACACUAAAAAAGAAAAACAAUCCUAAACAGAAGCAACAUGCACAUAAAAUUUUAAAAUUACAAUAACUCUACAGUUGAAAAACAGCCCAAAACCCUAGAAUCCCAGUACGAUGAGAAGAAUAUCAGAAUCCAUCGCCAUGGAUCUGAGGCACCCAGACAAGCAAAACCCAAAAGCCCGUUUACACAAAUACCGAGGAAGAUGAUAAAUAUCGGGUUAAAUCAAUUAAUCAAUAAGUCAAAAGCACAAAAAGUUGGUCUUAGGAGGGUAUGAGUUUUAGGGUUUUCGAAAUGCUAGCUUACCUUACCUUCCUCUGAGCUUUCCUUUUCACUUAUAUUGUUUGUUUCAGUUUCUCUGCCAAUCUCUAUCUUCUAAUCUAAAGUCCUACACAAGCAGUAGAUCUCAGAGGAGUUUAAAGAAAGCCACAAAACCUAUAUAUUUUAUUCAUAUAUUUAUAGCUUGUACUGGAUAGAGAAAGAGAAAAGCUCAAGUUUCUUGGUAGAGAGAGAGAGAGAGAAAAUUAUGGGUUGGCUUUCAAGGCCAUCUUGAAGAGAGAGAGAAAGAGAGAGAGAGAGAGAGAAAGGGAAGACAGAUAGUGAAAGUGAGGUCUUGAGAAAAGUUUAACAAAAUGUGUGUCUUUUUUUUUCUAUUGAAAAAAAAGAAAAGAACAGAUGGAAAGGUCCAAAAAACAGUUUCUACUUUCAUUUAUGGAAUCAUGUGUUACUUUCUUUCUAUCUCCUCUCUCUCUCCUUCAUUUUCUGUUUCCAAAAUAAUUAUAUAAAAAAUCUUCAUCUAUUUCUCUUUCUUUUUUAUGUUUAGCUACAAACUCAAUCAUAUUUAUAUACAUUAGGUUCCAACUGAAAGAAUAGUUAAUAUUCUCUUCAGGAAAGAAUACUUAAUAUUGAUUAUGACAAUGUGGGUAUAAGAAAAUAUUGCAAUACAAGUAACUGAUGUUUUGUCAUAUUUUAAGAGACAAUAUAAAAUGGCUAUAACAAUUUUGAUAUUAUUUCUAAGAGGAAAUAUUUAUUACUUUUUUUGUAACUUCAUGGGUUGGACAAUGACUUCAAAGAGGACUUUAAAAGCUUGAACACCAAUCAUAUGUUCUCUACAAGCAUCCAAAUAUGUAAUUAAUCUCCUCUAAUCAAGGGGUUUCUUAAUAGAAUUUUGUUUCCGUUAGUUCCCAUGCUUUCAAGAUUUCUAACCAUAUAUUAAUACGUGAUUCACAAUAAAAUCUAUAUCAAUCUAUGAUUCGACGCAACUGUCUGUAUACACGUGGAUAACUCGCGAUAGCAUUUACUUUCUUACGAAAUUUUUCAUUUCAUAAUUCUCUAACUUGAAUUUGACAAUUAUGCAUAUUUAUUUAAGAAUUUUUUUUAGUACAAGCAAUUGGAGGAGGGGAUUUUGCACAAAUAUUCAUUGAUUAAAAUGUCAUUGAUUUUUCAUGAAAACCAUUAAGUAUCAUUUGAUGAUAUAAAACUAUAUCAAAUUGAAUAAUGAUUGGCCAAAUUUUCAUAUAAAUAUUAGUGACAUUUUGAAAUGACAAAGUUAUUAAAAUAAUAGUUACUUGCAUAAAGUAAUUAGAAUUUUGAAUGUUGUUAGUGUGUAUUUGAUCAAACAAAGAAUCCCAUCUUGUCAAGUUAUUAUAUGAUUGGUUCUAUAUAACAUCUCUCGCAAUAUUUUGGGGAGUCUAAUUGUUACAAACUGGAUCACACAUGAUUUUUCUUUGUACAGUUAUGGUCGAAACCCAAUAACCAAUCUAACCACAAUCCAAUCUAGACCUAGUCACUUGGACGGUAUCAUUUUUUUAGAGAAUAAUGAUAGUAUUUUAUUGAUAAGAGGAUAAGUAAAUGAGAGAAGGAACCUUGCCACUGAUAUAUUAUUCCCUGGUCCCUCUAAGAUCAUGCCUGUAAAAACUACUAAACAAUAUCAUUUUGGUAAAUAAUGUUUGGGUAAAUAAAAGAUGCAGAUCCCCUGAAAAUGCAUUAAUGAAAUUAGGAUUUUCUCGACUACUUUUAAUGAAGCUCUCAUUACCGGUUUCAUAUGAACAUUUUGAAACAAAGCGAUAGUAUUUAUUGAAGAAAUAGAACAUAGUACAAAGCCACAAAAGUGUCGAAAUGAGUACAACAUCUCCAGUGACUAAAUGAAUUGAUCUAGAGAGGAUUACGUCUAAACCAACAAAUAUUCAAACUCCUGAUUCAGCAACCCGAAGCACUUGUACUUAGACUAACAAUAUAAAUCCAUUGUCCAACGACAGAUCCGUAUCGCAGCCGAAAGCAAAAUACAAACCAAGAAACCCCUAAUGAGUAAUAGACUAAAACAGACAAAGAUAUCCAAAGCGCCAUACCGGCUAAACCGAAACCCACAUAAACUAACAAUUUCCAUUAUUGUAACUCCAAACUCUAAACUGGAGCCAAAACCCUGUGUAUGUGGGCCAAAAACGACAACUAAAUCAUGGCGACAAUGAUGUUUCAUUGUGGUUGCUUCAACAACCUCCGAAAUACACAAGAGUUCAAGCGAAAUCACCCAAGUCGACCAAAACUAAUUGUCAGUCCUUGAGAAAAGUAUAGAUAUAGAAUAGACUUAUAUAAGAAUUUCUGAAUCUACAAAAAAACUAAACCAAAACUCAUGCAAAAACAAAAGAACCUCACAAAAUCAAAGCAAAAAAGGAAUUCAAGGGAAAAAAAAUUGAAGAAGGGGAUGGCGAGAAGGGGGAGGGAAGGGAUGGGAAGCCAUGGAAGGAAAAACAAAUUAACUCGCACUGGUGGGGUUCAGAGGGAAGAGAGAGAAGGAGGAGAUAAGGGAAAGGAAGGGGAGAGUGUUCUGCGGGGAAGAGUGACUUCUGAAAUGCUAAAGUUAUUAGGGUAACAUUUAUUUUAAGAAUAUUAAUUUGAUUAUUACAUGUUGUUAGUGUGCUUGAAUGAACAAAGAAUCUCAUCUCUUGACUUUUAUAAUUGUAGAGGUGGGCCCUAGGUUAUCGAACAUGUUAGCUGCAAAGUAUCUUUUUAUAUGGAUAUGAGUAAUACAGAUACUGGAUGAGAGUGAGUAGUUUAAAAGCGUCACGACGUCCUUCAUUUUCAAAUGCAUUACUAAGAUGUUUAAAUCAAUUAAUUCUUAGUUUAGUGGCGUCUCUCUCUACUUUUAUGAAUUUGUAUAAUACAAUUAGUAUGGUUGGAAAAUAGGGUUUUAUUACUAAUGUUAUGAAUUUAAAUAAGGCAACGAGUAUACUCUGUCCCUUUCUCCUCUCUCAUAUUUUUUUAGCCACAAAUUGUCAAAAUCUGAAAUUAAAAUCAGAUAUUAUUAGGUCAUAUCUAUAUAAGACAAGUGCUCGUAAUUUUGGUAAUAAUAUCUAGAAUAUAUAUAUAUAUAUAUGCGUGAUUAAUUUCCAGGUGAUAUGUUACCAAAAAAGAAGAUUUUUCUUUGUUUGUCACAUUCCAUUUUGUACUAAAUCUCUCCUAUAUAAGUAUAACCACACACACAGUACACAAAGAACACAUCAUGGUGGAAGCCUUUCUAAAUUUGGCAUCCAUGAACAAAAAAUAAUAAUUUCUUCUUUCUUGUUUUGGUAAGCACAGAAAACCAUAAUUCACAGAAAUGAGAGAACCCAUGGAUUCAUAUGGGUAAAUCAUAAAUAUAUAUAAAAUCCAAAUUGUUUUUUCCUUUUUUUUCUUUUUCUUUUGUAACUUAAUCAAUGCUUUGACUGUCAACUCCCAUAACAAUUCUAAAUUGUCCAAUGACUGUUUGCCACGUAGUGUCGUCCCUAACAAGGAAACAACCAGAUGAAGCCAAGUGUUUCAAAAGCAAUGGGGAAGCUCGUGAUCCCAGAUGAUGACCGACACUUUGGAGUUUCAAUUUUUUUCAGGCCACUCCUUCAGCUUUUUUGACAAUUGGCUUUCUCACAUGAUUUGUGCUAGCUAGUAUUUGGUUUGGUGCAUAUUUAUUCAAUAAAUUUUUCUCUCUUUUUCUUUUAUACUUCUUGUGGAUUGCGUGGUUCCAAUUUCAUGGGACGUCCACGAAAUGAUAAUGUGUGACCUAAAAGAUACGAAACUCUACUCAAAAGUCACAUCUCUAAAUAGAGACAUUAUUGGUAUUUUAUCAAUACAAUAACGGCUGUGAACUGUUGAUGUACGUAAAAUAACGGUUUGUAAAAAAAACAUUACUUUUGAUUAAUAAUUAUAUUUAGUUAAGAUAUUAAUUUUCAGUUUGUGCUAUCGAGAUCUCUAAAGGAGAUAGAGGAGGAAACCAAAAAUUCAACAUAAAAAGCAAGUGCUCUGGUUUUUUUUUUUUUCCUUUUUUCGCUACAGUUAGAAAGAGAAAGAGAGUAUUCUCACAAAUAUACGCAUACCACUAUCAUGCAUGACGAAAGCUCCACCACUAAGCUAAGACCCCAUUGGCAAAAGCAAGUGCUAUGAAUGAAGCUAUAAUUUCAAACAGCUUUUUUUUUGGGGGUUUUCUUUUCUCAAUUAGAAAGAGACAUACUAGAAUUGCUUACCACCACUAUGUGAGAACAAACAACAAAAGAACAAUAACAAUAAAAAUAAAAAUCUAUCAUUAAUUUUGUCGUCCUAUUGCUCAAUUGCUCAAUUGCUCUCUCUCUCUCUCUCUCUCUCUCUCUCUCUCUCUCUCUCUCUCUCUCUUAUCUUCUUCCACCUAGUCGUUAGCCAUGCAAUGCAUCGAACUGAAAUCCCUGUCCCCGAGCCUAUAAUUUCAUUAUAAUUAAUUAUAAAACGAGAAACAAAAACAAUAUUAUAUCUAACUCAGUCUGUUGAACAUGAACAUAUACAUUGAACUUCAAUCAUCCAAGCCCUUUAAAACUAAAUUAUAUUCCUUAAUUUAUUUGAGAUUAUAAUUAAUUAAUAUUGUUUUGUGCAGUUAAAGUUAGAGUUGAAGGAGACCAAUCCCCACAUAACCAACAUGGCUCAUAUCACCAUGCUGCCAAGAAUCUAGUUUCUGCACUCUUGUGUCUUGUUUACUAGAUUCAGAUUUUUGGGGUUUUGUAGCCAAAGUUUAGGGGAAAAACUUGUUCAUUGUAUCUGCACAGAUUAAGAACAAGUGCUAUUAAUUAUUGAUUAAUUUUAAACCCAAAUUGUAAUCUUUAAUCGAAUUUCGAUCGAACGUGUUUGAUUUCAAUUAUUUUGAAUAAAGUUGUGCAUUGUUGUUCCUACAUUGGUGGCUUCGGGUUAGGUUCCAUAUACUACUUCCAUGUGAAUUUAUAUACAAUUAGUAGAUGAACUCUAGCUUGGAAAAAGAAAAAGACUAUUGUUGCUCACAAGAGUUCACUUUCAUUUCAUGUGGUGGGUUUCAUGUAUUUGUAUCAAGUAGGUAAUGUGUGUAGCACUCGCAAGCAAACUUGUGGAGCUCAGUUUCAUCUGUUGGGUUUCAUAUAUUUGUAGCUCAAAUUCGUCUUCUAUUACAAUGUAUUUAAGUUUAUACAUAAAAUCCUUACUUGAGAAGUUCUAUUCUUUUAUUUUCAAUGUAUACUGGGAAAAUGUGAUGAAAUGAGAGAAAAAGAGAUAAGAAUUAUACAUAAAUAGUUUUUUUUAAUAAAUAUUUUGUAUGCGAAAUAGAAGAGUCAUUACAAUGAAAACGUCGAAAAGCCUCUAAGACAAGGGGGCCCAAGAAAAUCAAAAUGAAAAGCUUUUAUAAUAAACAGAGGAAGACCAUGCUCCCAUUCAAUUAUUUAGGCGUGCUUGAAUGAUUGUAGAUUAUUAAUUUAUAGAGUUUUUUUGCUCACCAUUUUAACUAAAGGUGUAUGUUUAUCACCACUUUUAAAGAGUGACAUUUGUCAUAUUAUUAACCUUAGUUAUAAAGAGAGAGAGAGAAAAAAAAGAGGAAAAAAAGAUAAAGAGAAUCGGGAUGUGUGUUGCUGCCUUUUUCAAAAUUUAUUUAUUUACCCUCACAAAAAAGUUAACUAAGGUUAUCAAUUGGAUGAUAGCAUCCACCAAUGAAUGCGCUCACUUGAGAAACUUAAUUGGUUAGGCUUUGGACUUUUUUUAAAUUAAUUAUUUUUGAGAAAGAGGCUUUAGAUUUUUUAUUUUUUUAAAUUUUUUUCUUGGGGCUUUAGACUUUAGUAGUGUUGAAAUCGACGACCCAUAUUGAUGAGCAGCAGAACCUUCCUUUUCUGGACAAACCCUGAAAAAGGCAAAAGGAGGAGAGAUUAUCGACUUCCUAAUCACUUUCAUUCAUCACCGCACACGUGGAGCGUGGACCAAUAUUCCUCAUAUAAGCCGUAAUUAUAAAGUAAACCCCCUUCGUUUUGUGCCACGUGGAUUGUACAACGACACUCUAUUUUGGCAGUUUCUGCAUCAGCUUCACCCCUUUACGUUUCCGAUUUCUUUUUCUUGCAUCUUUUCCCUGCCCUUUUUAUAAAAAAUAAAAAAUAAUAAAAAUAUUCUUUUUGUUCGUUUACAUUUUUAGUUGGGGUAGGAAAAAAAAAAGAACAUGAGAAUUUUAAGUUUUUUAUUCGAAAUCAUUGGAUUUGGAAUUGGGAUUCCGAUCGGUCUUCUACUGGGAUUUUUCAUAUUCAUAUACUCAGAGCCAGAUGAUGUGAAGGUGAUUUCAAAAACAGAUUAAUUCAAUGCCUUUUUGUUUUUAUAUUUUUAUGUCUAAUUCUUAUGCUUUUUUUAAAUAUUUAUUUUAUGAUUUAAUUUCCCCUACACAAUUUGCACACAUGAUUUAAAUUUGAAGUUUAUGGUCAAUGCUGAUAAUGGAAGUGAUUAAAUAUUUGUUUCUGCAUCUAAUUAUGCAGGAUCCAAUAAUUAAACCACUUAAUGAGAUUGAUACAGGCUCUCUGAUUGAUCUCUUGCAUGAGAUUCCUCCAUGGGUGAAACAUCCUGAUUAUGAAAGAGUAAGAGUUUAACUUGAGUUUUUUUUACUAUUUACAUUUCACUGUCAAAUUUAAUUUCCAGUCCAAAUUAUUUUGAUGUGCCAUUUUCUGUGUGUAGAUUGACUGGUUCAACAAGGCUUUAUAUGAUAUGUGGCCUUACCUUGAUAAGGUGAUUUGAAGCUCACCAUUGUGACCAAUGACCAAGCUUAACUAUAUAGUUAGUGUUCUUCAUCUGUCAUCACUUCUUGUGUUCUUUGAUUUUAUAGGCAAUCUGCGGUAUCAUACGAAGCACGGCGAAGCCUAUAUUUGCAGAGUACAUUGGGCAGUAUCAGAUAAAAUCAAUCGAAUUCGAAACCCUGACUCUUGGAAGCCUUCCUCCUACAGUUUAUGGCAAGUUAUAUUGUGUAGGCAAUGUUGAUAGGCUGCAGCAGUUGUUGUGCUGCAUAAAAUUCUUAAAUACAAGGAACAUUAUUUUAAGUUUGUGUUAAUUUCUUUCUGUGCUUACUUGUCUGUUAAGAGAUCUUACUAAUUUACCAAAGCUUUUGCAGGUAUGAGAGUGCAUGAAAGCAAUGAAAAUGAACUGGUGUUUGAGCCUGCAAUUAGAUGGGCCGGAAAUCCCCACAUAACUGUGGUGUUGAAACUUUUGUCUUUUCGAAUUUCAGCGCAGGUUAGAAUUCAUUGCAGAACCAUAUGCACCCGCGCACACACACACCCUCGUCGGAUAAACUCUGCUUACGUGCAAUCACCAGGAAACAUAAUUAAAUUUUCACCAUAGUUUGAAAAUGUGUUUGGGAAAUACUUACACCAUUUGACUUCAAUUGCAUCCUGUCACAGAUUCUCUUCAUCUUAACCUUAAUGAUUCCCUCUCUCUCUCUCCUUAGACUCUCCCUUAAGUCAAACUGGCUAUAAUUGUUAAUUCUGAUGACUUUCUGGAUUGAUUGACAAUGAAAUUGUUCAAUUUGGUUCUCAGCUGGUAGAUGUCCAAAUAUUUGCUGCACCAAGGAUCAUUUUAAGGCCUCUUGUGCCAUCAUUCCCAUGCUUUGCAAACAUAACAGCGACUUUGAUAGAUAAGGUAAACUGACACAAGAUUUUGAGAAACUUGUUUCUUUAAAACUUCAUGUAAGUGCCAUGCUCUUAUCUUAUGGUGGCAGAUAUGUUAACUUAUAUACAUGCAGCCACAUGUGGAUUUUGGACUCAAAAUACAGGGAGGGGAUGUCAUGGCAAUCCCUGGUCUGUAUCAGUUUGUUCAGGUCUCUCUCUCUCUCUCUCUCUCUCUCUCUCUCUCUCUCUCUCUCUCUCUCUCUCUCAUCAAUUUGAAUUAUUUAACUUAUCUUCAGCUUAACAAUGUGGACUUUUUGAGUGAAUGAGAAACAGCCAACAUGAUCAUAAUCAUAGAAUAUAUAAAAAUUAAAGUACACGUUUCAAAGUACUAUGAGUUCUAAAGCAACUCUAAGAAUUGAAACAAGCACGAACCCUUUUCUUUUUUUAAUACCUUUUUAUUUUGAGUUGACUUUCUGUGUGGUCGUUUUCAAUUUCUCAUCCCUAACACAUGAUGAUGUUAGGUGGUCAUAACCUUUCAAUGCUUGAAGAGGUUUAACAAGCAAAUUGAUAAUGAUUAAUAUUCUGAACCAAUCAUAAUAAGGACUGAUAUUCAUUGUGGGCUGGAGUGGGGAGGACUUACUGGGAUUUUUUAGCAGACCCUGUUUGGGUAGCUGAGCCCAAUAGCUCUGCCACUUACUGAAUUUAUGAAAAUCUUUGAAACCUGCAUAAGUUUCAGCAAGCUUCAUUCUGCAUUUAUAUAUGAUUAUUAUGUUUUUGAUAUAUACGAUAUUCUAUUUUAAUUUAAUCUAAACUAUGGAGAGGGGGAUUCGAACUCGGGUGCAUAAUAAAGAGCACAUCCUUUCCAGACAACUUGACUAAGCCAUGCUUGCGCUUUGUAUGAUUAUUUCUGUGGUUGCAGGAAUUUAUAAGAAGACAAGUUGCUAGCCUUUAUUUAUGGCCCCAAACUUUGGAAAUACCAAUUCUUGAUGGUUCCCUGUAAGUUUAAAUGACACUGCAACUUUUAUGCCAUGGAGUUUAACAUUGCAAUUCAAUGAUUUAUGUCUGUGUUAUUUUGUGGCUCAGAUCAGGGGCUAUAAAGAAGCCUGUAGGCAUUUUACAUGUGAAGGUUGUAAGAGCACUCAAACUCUUGAAGAUGGACAUUAUAGGAACAUCUGAUCCUUAUGUUAAGAUCAAGCUAAGUGGGGAGAGGCUUCCAUCAAAGAAAACUACCAUUAAGAUGAGGAACCUCAACCCUGAAUGGAAUGAGAAUUUCAAGCUUACAGUCAAAGAUCCCCAGUCCCAAGUUCUUCAGUUUCAUCUUUACGACUGGGAACAGGUUUGUCAAAAUUAAAUGGUGCAUGUUUUUAGGUACCAAUAAUAAUGAGAUCUCGAAUCGAUGUCCAAUCGGAAUUACGUAAACUCAUUUCACCUUAUCGAUGAUCGUAAUUAACAGUGUGACAACAUAACAUAAUGUGUCGGUAAUUUAAUAAGACGAGGCGUGAUUGUAAGUUACAGAUGUUGAUUUCAUACAGAUUGGGACACAUGACUUUUUGGGGAUGCAAAUUGUUCCACUGAAGGUGCUUGCCCCCCUUGAGAAAAAAGAAUUAACCCUUGAUUUGGUGAAGAACACAAACCCUUAUGAUCCUCAAAACAAGAAAGGGAGAGGCCAACUGGUGGUGGAAUUGACAUACAAUCCUUUUAUAGAUGAUAAUGCAAAAUACAGUGGACCUCUGGAUGCAAGUGUGGCAGGAGAAAACAUUGGAAGGAGCCGAAAGGCAUCCAUAGACUUUUCCUGCCUUUCAUCGCUAGAAGCAGCUGGUUUGCUUUCGGUUACAGUCCAAGGAGCUGAAGGUGUUGGAGGCAAGAACCACACCAACCCUAACCCUUAUUGUUUGGUCAGCUUUGGAUCAGAAACGAAGAUAACCAAGGUGUGAUUUAUGCAAUCCAAUCAUAGUUAAAGCGCAAUGUUUUCUUACCAUAGUGUGAAUUUGAAUUGUAUAUUCAAAUUAAUAGUUAGACAACAUAACAUGUGUUCGAUUAUUAUUUAAUGCAUAUAAUUUUGUGUAGAUGCUGAGGAAAACCCAGCGUCCAAGUUGGAAUGAAGAAUUUCAGUUUGUGCUAGAAGAGGCUUCUUUAAAGGAUAAGAUCCAUAUUGAAGUAAAGAGUAAGAGAAGAUUUGGUUUCCGUCGAUAUGUAAGCUCCUCAUCAUUUUAGGUUUUUCAUUUGUAUUUUUGUUUUUGGUUGAUUUAAAACUCUCUAAACCCUACUAUUUAUUUAGGAAUCGUUGGGGUAUAUUGAGAUCAGUUUUAGUGACGUGGUACACAAUGGACGCAUUAGAGGGAAGUACAAUUUGAUAAACUCGAAAAAUGGAGUUUUACAUAUUGAGAUCCAGUGGAACUCCACAUGACACACAUCAAAGCUUUGCAGUAGUAGAAUCUUUCGGUAGAGUUUUGCUAGCAACAAUGGUUGAUUAUAAUUGUAAGAUUGAUUCAUAUCAAUCAAUGAUUGUCAAUUACUCACACAAACGUAAGUAGUUGAUGACAGGAGAAUGUAUUUUUGUAUUAUGGUGAUUAGACAUUGUUUUCAAUCCACAUUAUGUGUUAGAAAUAGGAAUUCAUUCAUUAUUUUGUACAAUUAGAUUUUGUAAUUGAGCUUCAAUGGUGAUAUUAAUGAGAUCAUCCCUUUUGUUUUGUUAUUUCCAAUUUGAUUCUGUUAACAUGCCUAUGCUAUGGGCCAAGCUAGCAAAAACCAUAACAUCCAAGCCCAUCUAUGCAAAAUGGAUUGAGCCCAUCUUGGAUUUCAAACAAGAACCAGAUCCAUAUCCAAAAAGCCAAUUGGCAAUGCACAGAAAAUAUCUUAGGCUGCUUUUGUCUUCAACUGUGUCCUCCCAAUCUAAUAUCUCACAUCUGCAUCAAUAGCUGGCAACUGCAAUUGCAAAUGGACGGUUGUGAUCUGAUAACAAGUGGGCAACUGGGCCAUACACAUACCAUAAGAGCUUCAUGAUCCUCACUGCAGCAGAUCAUUAUCUGUAGUUUCAACCAAAACUAGGGGCAUUUCUGUCACUCAAAAUAUCCAAAACUUCUUCAUAAACCCUGAGUCUCCAAAAUCCUCAAGCCUCUUCUCUUCUCUGUAACCUUAUCUGUUAAAGAGGCAAAGAAAAUCAAAGCAAAAGCCACCAUGACUGCCUCCACGGCUUCGCUAGCUCUUCCUUCUCUUUACCCCAAAACACUAGCCCUUUACACUCCCAAACCCACUUCAGUCCCGUUCUACUCUGUCUCUUCGUCAUCUCUAACGCUCGGCUGUAAGCCCAUUUCAAUUUCGGCUUCAUUUCUCAACUCGGGAAGGUUUCAGAGCGCGUCGUCUCGGUUCGUGCGAAACGUCGCCGUUUCGUCCGAGUUCGAGCAGGAUGAGGAGGUUCUCAGCGACGAUGGAGAGGCCAGUUUCGCGCCUGACCUCAAGCUCUUCGUCGGAAACCUUCCCUUCAGCGUUGACAGUGCUCAGCUCGCUGGGCUCUUCGAAAGUGCUGGAAAUGUCGAGAUGGUUGAGGUAAUAUUUUGUUUUUCGUCUAAAGUUUGUGUCUUUUAUGUAAGAUUUGCCUGAAGAAUGAAAUGGGUUGUCGCGGGUUUAAAGUUGUGUGGUAAUUUUGUUGUACUAAAGUGUCAGUUCUUGGCAGGUGAUAUAUGACAAGACAACUGGAAGAAGCAGAGGAUUUGGGUUUGUGACUAUGUCUAGUGUCCAGGAAGCUGAAGGAGCUGCUCGACAGCUAAAUGGUUAUGUAAGUAUGAUAUUAUGUCUAACCAUUUGUUGAUAUAUAAGCAAAAAUGUGAGAAUUUUUCUGAAUUCUUUUUCAUCCGUAGUCUUAUAAAGACUCAUUUGUUGAACUGGUCAAUAUAUGUUUUGCUAAAAGAAUGAGUGUCGGAGCUUAGUCUCUGGCCUUUCUUAAUGUGUAUUUUUGUUGCCGUGUUGAUUGCUUGUUAACCUAUUGAUUGUUUUGAGUCUUGAAGUCAUUUGGUUACAUUUCACCAUGAGAAGUUGAGAACCCUGUUUAUUGUAUAUAACCAUAUGAGCUAGACUUUCAUGACAUUUUCUCAAAACCAACCUAAUUGAUAGAGUUAAUGAGAAAACUUUUUUAUACAUCCAAAAAUACCAAUUGGUUUGAGAAAGGUAGAUUGAUGUCACUUGUCAAGAUUUGUUGCAUUCAGGAAAGAUUGGCUUUGUCUUUCCUUUCUUGAUGUGAUUUUUCAGGGUAGUGAUUGCUUAUUUUCCCAAUGGAUUGUUCUGAGUCUUGGCAUCAUGUGCUUGCAUAUUAUCCAGAAGAAACCUAUUUAUUGUAUCUAAGCAAGACUUUGUGACAUUUGGCAGGAACUUGACGGAAGGGCAUUGAGGGUAAACUAUGGACCUCCUCCUCCUAGGUCUGAAGACUCUUUUAGAGGUGCCAGAGGUGGUGGAGGUUCUGACUCCUCCAACCGCCUUUAUGUGGGUAACCUCGCAUGGGGUGUUGACAAUCUAGCACUUGAGAACUUGUUUAGUGAGCAAGGAAAGGUUUUGGAAGCCAAGGUAGUUUAUGACAGGGACAGUGGGCGAUCAAGGGGUUUUGGUUUUGUAACUUAUGGUACUGCCGAUGAAAUGAACAGUGCCAUGGAAUCGUUGGAUGGAGUUGUAAGUAUAUCAUUUCCUUUUCUUAACAAUUUUCUUUUUUCUUUCCAUAUUUUGUUCCAGUUACUUCUACUAUUUUGUGUUUCUAAAUUUUGGUUUUUGCAGGACUUGAAUGGAAGAUCUAUCCGAGUAACCGCAGCAGAACCUAGGCCAAGGCGUCAGUUUUGAAUGUAAAACUUUGCGAGUCAUUGGCCAACAGAAGCGUUGAUGUAUAGCUUUUGACCUAUUGUCAUAUUUGAUUACCGCAUCAGUUCUAUAAAAUUUUAUUGGACAUGCAUCAUAAUAGGAUACAUCCUGCGAUUAAUUUCUGGAUUAGAAAGUGCAUGUUCUGAUGCUAUUACUUGUACGAAGCAUGAGCAUGAGCUUUUAUUUGGUUCCCCUUUUUUGGGUGUGUAUUAUUAUCCUAAUAUAUGCUGAUCUUCAUGGCAGAUUGGUAGGAUAUAGCCUUUUCCCGUUGCUGUUUGUGAAGAACUCCAAGAUCAUGCUGCCUUGCGCCACAGUUGGAUUCGCGAGUGGUGGUAGUGAUGGUUUUUGACAUUUGCCUAUAGAUGGCCAAGAGCAGAGAAGAAUGUUUUGUUUUCAAAUUUAUAUUCCGAGUGGCUGGGCCAGUUAAGGAACUGAUUUGUGCUAGACUUAUUUUAACAGUUUAUAGAUUCGGUACAUCGUUUGUGUUCUCGUUAAUUGCAUAGUCUGGCUUCCCUUUAUAUGUCAUUAAAGGAUAUCUUGAUUGUGUAAUGAAUUGCAGGAGAAAUGUACAGCCAGGUCACCCUUAAGCUGAUUGAAUAUCUCGCAUUCAAAGCCAGAGUUCAAUUUCUUCUCUUCCCCUAUUCUCCCCUGUAAAACCAGAUAAAAAGAAAAAGAGUAUUGAAAACGCAAUUAGGUUUAAUAGCUAUUAACAUGCAAAUUAGAGAGCAAUCCUGUGCAUUUUAAAGUUUGAAUAUUUUUUUUUUAGGUCACAAGCGAUGUUGGGGUAGAGAGGAUUUGAACACGACUUUUUCUCUCAACCAUUUAAGCUUUGGAACUGUUGACUGCAGUUUUAUGAUUGAAAGCAAAAUUGAUUUAUAUCUAACACUCAAGACCUUUUUUUUUUUUUUGGACAAAACACUCAAGACCUUAGAGAUGGGCAAAGCAUGCAGUCUCGAACCAUGUCAAGGUGGAGGUGCUCUGUAAACCAAAUUGGAAGCAAGGCAAAGCCAAGGGAAGCAAAGAUGGGGCUUGAGUGGCUCAUAAUGUGGCAGCACGAGUUCACACAGAUAUUCAAAUCUGCAAACACACGAGCAUUAAGUUGUGGAAAUUAAACCCAAGGGUUAGCUGAUUGGGGCCUGGAGUUUAAAACUACAGAAAAUAGUGGCGCAUUAUGGGCAUGAGCAGCAGGAUUAAAUGCUCAGGCAAAACACCAAAUUAUUAACUGGUGGCCCAUUGGGUAUAGCCUAUGUUAAUUGGAAACAGGCCUUGGCCAAGAUAAAAAUAAAGAAAUUCAACAAGUAUGCAAACCUCAUGCCACUCCCGUUUACUGUUUAUUUCAACAACUUAAUAUGACCUAAUUUUUUGAUCAAUUAAUUACGGAUCGAGCUAUUUUUCUAAACUCCGAGAAAAGGAAAGCAAAUUAGGUCUGACUUUUUUAAUGAAUUUGGGGUCAUAGAUGGGGGCAGUCGAAUCCAGUGUCGACAUCCAUUCAUUUUGGGUGCUUCUCAAUCUCUUUAAUGGCUCUAAUGAAGUUGAGGGCAAUCAUGGUUUCACGUCACAUUUUGAUAUGAGUGGGUUCACAUGUGUUCUUGCCCUAUUGUUUGAUUGGUUUAUAGCUUCUAUAUUAUAUGUUAUAAAUACAUAAUAUACGUUCAUUAAGUUUCAGGCUUUUUACAGUGUCUGUUUGAAUUGCAAUCAAAGACAAAAAAUUGUGAGCACAAUGAUUCUAUAAACUUUGUAGUUCGUAAUCUUUGACUUGAAGCCUAAGAGAAGGGAUAUAAUAUUCACUGCACACAUUUGAAUUUUUUAUGCGCGCAUUUUAACUCAACUUAGCUAUAGGAAAUACUUACUUUGUCUCUAUUAGCUUUUUUUUUUGAGGCUUUUAGAAUAUUUUUGUUCACCAUUUUUUGCCAUGGUGUAGUAUUACCGCUUCACUUAAAAUUGUCAUGUUUACGUACAUAAAUGUAAAUUUUUUCAGUAAAAUGGUGAUGUUAUACCAUAAGCGAAGAUAGCGAACAAAAUUCUUCUGUUGAUCUCUUUGGUGACGGCUAACCAGAAAAACUUGUACGACUCACUUCUUUAGUUGGUGGAUAACCUUUGCUAUUUACAUCCAACACAAAGGCACAAGGCUUUUAGAAAAUUGAUGUUCUCUUUAAAAGCAGCCACUAGCUUCCUUCGAAUUAAUGGGAAAUGACUAUUAUUAUUGGAGAAAUGGGAAUCCAAUGACUAUCAACUCGAGAAACAACAAGAAGAGAAAAAUAAAAAAGUGUUCAAAAAUAAUAAAAAAUACAAAUGAUAGUAUAAACUAUAAGGAGGGGGGAGUUUCACACACAUACACAUUACUAAUGUGUCAUGAGAGUUCAAAUUUGAGAACACUGAUCUACAAGUUAGUGUCCGUUUCAACUGGAUUAGAAUCCAUUGACAUUCUAAAGUGCUCUUAAGAUUUUGUUAAAGAAGGCACAUCAACCAAAAUCAUCAAGCCUUCUUAUGCGCAAGACUUUGAAAAUAAACCAAGCAACAUAUGAUUUAAUGUCUCAUAAUUCAUUUGAAGCAAUCAACAAAUGACAAGACUUGGGAAAAUCAAAAGUGGUAAUGAACUAGAAAAGAUAAUGUCACAUAGCUAGGGGAAGUGGUGGUGAGUGGACUGAAACUUCCCCUCCAAUUGUGAGCAAGUUUUACUUCUUCUUCAAAGUCCAUUAUUAUUAAUUGUUGCCUGUUGCGUCUCUUUAAAUUGCUCUUAUGCAUGCUUGAAUUGAGCUUCAUCUUCAUGUUACUCUCCACUCAAAAACCAUUUUAAUAUUGCAUGACUAGGUUAGAAAUGGGGGAAGCUUACAAGAAAAUAAUUGCAUGCGAAGAAAAUUGUGCUGAAUCCAUGGAAAUUAGCAAGAUGAGACAAAGCAGAAUGAUGGGUGGGAGAUUAAAAAAUCUAAUUAAUUAAUUAGACAAAUUAAGUAUGUAAAAAUCAAAUUAAUUAAUUUAACAAAUCUCUGUCAAUUUCUUUAGUCUGUACUUUCCCACUGAAGAAAUUUAUUUAUUUAUUCAUAACAGAACAGAUGCAUAGUUUGGUCUUCGCACGCUAUACUGGUCUGUGGACCCCAGUGUUUAUGUCAUUUUGUAAACAAUUCUGUAGACUGUCUCAUUUAUCUAGAAAAAGAUGAUGAGUUUUUUUUUUUCUUUUCUAUUUAAAGCAUCCCAUUUUGACUUGUGUGGCUGAAAAAGCAAUCCAUCUGUAGACGCCAAUUAAAUUGUUAACUUGAAAAAAUGAAAAGAAAAAAAAGCACUUAUAACUUCAGUGAUAAAAUACUAAUCCUUUCAUUCAGUUCGAUUCUUAUAUUUUUCUUCCCCGAAUCAAGAAACGAAAAAAGAGAAAAAAGAAACAAACCGAAGUGUAGCAUAAUUACCCCAACUUGAACAUGACCAGCAUAAGUGUGGGUAAGCUUUGAUCAUUCUUAAGCAUGUGGUUGUUUUUGCUUAGUUUGCUAGUUGCUAGUCCCAUCAUUUUAGUAAAUAUGAGGAUUGUUGUUGAGCCAAUGAACUCACCAUUACCAGCAUAAUUUUUGGGCACAGUAACUUCUGUUGCCAAAGUAAAAGGUGCAUGUGAGAAGCCAUCACUGUUUAGUAAGGCAAUUGAGUAUGGAAUUCGAAUCCCAAAACCCAAAAGCAUCUGACCAAUUAUAUAUCUAUGACCAUUGACCCAAAAAAAAUGCAAGAGUUGAAGACCAAAAGGGCUUUGUUAAAAAAAAAAAUAUAUAUAUAAAACUUGAACUGUUUCAUUGAAAAUGUUCUAUCUCCUUCUUAUUAACUGGUUUCAAACUCUUCCCUCUCUUUCUACAUUUUGCUUAGCAUAAAUAUUUGAGCAAAUUGCUGACUGCAGGGACCACUGUGGCCCUGGCCGUAAUUUUGAGAAAACAGGAUGAUGCUGAUAAAGAUGAUUGAACUCUGCAUCACCGGGACAAGACUUCCCUACUUCAUUCUUUUGGUUUCAAUAUAAUUGCUCACACUAUAAACUCAAAACCCACUUGGUCUAUAUGCUUGCUUUAUAUGGAUUUGUAUUAACAGGCAACGUCACCCUACACAUGUGAUUUUUUGGCUGAAUUAUUGUGCAACUCAGUACUGUCACGUGGCACUGACAGGAACAACCUCGCAUAAGCGUUUCUUAUGUCCUAAUACGAGGAACUUUUAUUUGGGUUAAAUAUGAGGAAGUUGAAUUCCAAACAUCUCCUAAUCCUAAUUUAUUAUCUCACUCUUAAUCGCGAAUUGAGCUAACAUAUGGAUCAUAUUAGAGCAGUACUAAGUGUAAUUAACAAACUAUGAUGGAAAGUGGGUAGGGAUAUGACUAUGUCCUAGAAAUAGGGGUCAUUGUGCUUUAAGGAAACCAAAUGAUUUUCUCUUCAUGUUCCAAUGCUCCUUCAACUAUGUGACUUUGUCUUCUCUCCCGAAAUAAUCGGGCUUCUCUACGGUGGGAAAAUGUCAAGUACUGCAUAAUUAUAUAGCUGCCAAUUAUGCAUUCAAAGAACUUAUGGUGGAGCCUGGAUCACAUUCUGAUUACUGAGAUAAAGUUUUUUAGUUUUUUCAUUUACUGUGAAAACAGUACAGAGUCAAAUCGCAUUUCCUGAAAUUAUUUCCAGUUCAAACAUAUCAUACUCCUUGUAAUCUUUUUGUCUACACCACAUGAACAUGGAUCUGAGAAAUCUAAACUUUUGCAUCCACUACCCACCACUACUAAAGUUUGAGUCAGAAAUGAGAUAUAAACUCUUGCUACACUUAUCUACAAUACUUUUUUCAGAGUAUAAAAUGUUGGAUUUGGAAAAUUGAUCGUGCUAUUAACUUAUCAUAAUACGUGAUUUAGAUUCAUAGUCAGACAAUACCUGAUAUGAUAAUGAUCUUAUUAUUCCAUCCACAGUUUAGUCGUUGCAUUCGCCUCUACUUACCAUUCUCAUCUCCUUUUAUUUCUCUAGAAAUUCAAAGAAAGUGUGCAGUAUUCUGUGACUUUAUCCAAACAUUGGCGUGUGUUUUGUUAGUUGUUAACUGAUCUAAAAACUUUUAACGAGUUAAUUUAAUUAAUUAAAGAAAGUAUGAUCGAUCAUCUGGUUGGACUUACAUUAACUAAAUUAACUGUCAGACAAGUCCAAUAAUUCCUAUAUAUCAGCAAGGUGGGGUCAAUAGAAUCUCUUGAAAUUGUUUGCAGUCAGUCCUCUCUAUCAAGGUUCAUAUAAAGUUUUCGAAAGGCCAAAAAAAAAAAAAAAAAAAAGAAGCUUUAAUUCAAAAGAUUUAGAAAAAGCCAUCUGAUUUUCUCUUCUUUAUUUGUGUCGGCAUGUGUACAUAUUAUUAGUAAACAAAUGGAGUCAAAAAGCAGCUUACAAAUACGUUAUAUAUUGUUAUGAUUCGAGUCUUCCAGAGAGAGAGAGAGAGAGAGAGAGAGUUCUAGACUGUUCAUUUCAGAUUAAACCAGAAUCUAUCAACCCCACAAAAAACACACUUUAGGGUUUCGAAAACCAGUCUUUUGGUUACAUGCAUGCAUAAAGAGGACCUUUAUUUGUCUUCGUCAAUCAUACUUUUCUCUCACUAAACACAAAGAGCUCUGUCAACCUCUCACACUCAUACAAGCAAACAAAGCUUCUUUCCUAACUUUUUUUUAUUUUAUAAUUUUUUUAUUUCUUUUUUUAGGGAACAGAGUUGAAUUGAAUGACAUCUAAAAGGAAAACCAACCAAAAGAAGAUUGCUAAAGAUGGAGGGUUUAAAACGCGUUUGCCUUGUCACUUUCUUAGGCCAUCUUUUAGUCAAAACACCAUGCAAUUAGGCUUUUAUUGUAUGCCCAAAUUAAGAUAUUGCAGCACCGACCUCAAAUCUCAAGCAAGUCACCAACUAACAUGCCAACAUUGAUGCGAAAUCUUUAAAAACCUCAACCCUGCCCAAAUAGGCAUGCUUUGAACAAAAAAAAUUUCUUAGCUUGUAAUUUGCCACUAGCACAUCUUAGACCCUACUUAACCAUAAAAGUCUAAACUCUAUCAAGUAAUAAGUCAACAAUACUUGUGGAGUCCCUCACCUACAUCUUUAUCCUACAUGUGAACAGGUUGACAAAUGGGGACAAUCAAAAUAUGUGAAACGCGCACGUUAACAAGUACGUGACUAGUGAAUAUAACCAAAAGUUUUAAGAGAACAACACAAUCGUUGUCCAUAAAAACUUAAGCUGCCAGAGAACAAAUCGAAUCAAUAAUACACAAAAUACAUUGCUGACUUUAAUUCCGUAUGAUGUAACAUUAGAGUUGUGAUAGGGUCACAAAUGUCCACACCACAAACACUCUCCAAGAGAAUAUAUUGCAACUUGUAAGUUGUGAUGUGAUUACCCUAUUGAAAGGUAACCACAAAUUGCAACUUGUAACUUGCAAAUGGCAUUAUAUGAUAGCGUACAAAACCUCAAAAACCUACACUAGCUAGCCAUAAAAAAAAAGUCCUAAACAUUAACUUUCCCAGUUGCAGGUUACAAUGCACCUAGCUAGCCAGGUACACCACAUGUUGCAAUAGAGAUAUGCUUAUAUAAUGCAUCGAUGGAGUUGGAAAAGGCCACGCCAAUGUGACUGCCACGUAUGUAUGAGACUAUAUAUAUUUUAUUGAAGGGACAACAUUUAGGGUCUAUUAAAUUAUUUUUUCUUCAACGAUCUAAAUUAUUUAUUUCUUAAGUCUACAUCAUAAACUAUUUUUGCAAAAAAUUAGAUAAAUCAGAAACCGUUGCGAUAUCUAAUUGUGUCAUACAAAAUUAGUGAACACAGUGCUUCAAGAAAGUACUAAAAUUUAAAUAAUUUAAUUAAGUGAUCAAAUGAUAUCGGAUUUAAGUUUGCAGAGAUGAUCUUUGAAUGAAUAUCUAUGAAAUAGACGGUUUGGAUUAGUAAAAUACAAUGUUGAGUGAGCCAUACAAAAAUGUCUAUCAAAUAAACUUAUUUAAAAUACCCCUCAACUAAAAUAAAUAAAUAUAUAUAGGCAUUAAGUUCAACGUGGCUUUGCCUUUGCUCACACGGAGCAGUGAGAUAAAGGCCAUAAUAUAUGGUUCUCUGAGGUCUGAGAUUAUUGCGAAGGCUCAUCUUCUUUUGAUCUCAGUCGAGACUUUGAAAUUGAAAGCAUUUGUUUUCUUGUAGAAGAUGCCAAGCACUCUUGGACAAACAACUUGGAAGAUCCUUAUCUUGCUCCAUAUAUCUUGCACGAUGUAUAGGGGAUUAGUGACAAUACCAUCCUUUUGUUGUAUUAUUGUCGACGACUAUCAUGUUCUUUAGUUGAUCAUAUGGACAAAGUGUUUAUACCAUAAAUUAUUACUAUCCGAGUCUCAUUUUAGUCUUGUAUAUUCGGUUUUUCAUGUGUCCGGCACAUAAAAAAAGAAAAAAAAACACUAAUUAUGGUAAAUUAGUAUGUCACUAGCACAUCAUCUUAAUAAGAUAUGCUUGUAUUGUAACGAAUAAUUUGAUCAAAAGGAAUAGAAAAUAGAAGGGGAAAAAAUGGAAAUGGGAGGUUUCCAAGCUAGGAGAUGGCAGAAUUAAUAUAAUGUGAUGGAAAAACAUGAAUAAUGAACAAGGGCUAGCUAGGCUGCCUAGCUAUGUUGUUGUAACAUAGGACAAGACGUGACCACCGAUCUUUUAUCCAUACAUUUGAUCAAAUCUCACCCUGAGUCAUGGAUGGAGAGAAAAUUUCUAGGGUGUCAGACAUAUGUGUCCAAGUCUGCAUUAAUCCUCAAAAUUAGGUUUGUCCACUUCUUCUUUUGUUACAGAGUGAAAGAUAAGUUGUGUGAUUCGUUUUUUGUGAGGUUUUGCGUUUUGGUAACCAUUUUCCAUGUACAAUUCAAGUUGCUGACGGAUUUUUAAGGAUCUUUUCAAUUUAACUAAAUUCAUACAUACUACACAGAUACUAAAAUUUGAAUUCAGGACAUUAUUUAAAAGAGUAAAUACUCUAAACCACUAUACUAGUGGGUACUUUGUUGUUGACGAAUUUAAUAAAUAUUAAUUUUGUAAUUCGUUUUUAAAGAAUAUCCUUUUGGCAUAUAUAUGAACAUAUCGAGAACAUUGAGAAAAAUAAAAUCUAAGAAAACUAUUGUCAAAGUAAGGCCACCUCCAGCGCAAGGAUCCAGCCCGGGCAGAAGGCAAUCUCAGGCCCCAAAACUCCCACCAGGACGCAAGGUCCAGUCUAAGCAAGAGUUGGGUCUCACGAGCCCAGACAAGCCCACAUGCAAAUUCAGCUCGAGCUGCUACCUAGGUAAAAUGACACAAUGUUGACGUCAUAAUGACAUCAGCAACAAAAAAAAAAAAAAGAGCCCAAAAUUUCAGAAUUUUUUUAUUUUGUAAAUACCUAGCCAUAUUCUUUACUUCCCAUACCAAAAACUUUAUACAAAUUCAUCUCCUCAUAUCUCAUGUGAGUAGUAAUUGCUCUUACCCUUGCCUUUGGAGUGGAAACAAAAAAGGUAAGGGCUGUCACUAUUCAUAUGAAUAAAUGACAAAUCUUGUCUUGUCUUUUCCUUACCCUUAUCCUUUAGAGUGGAGGUGCUCUAACAGUCAACAUAUAUGAAUGUGAGCAAUGAGCGUGACUCUUUAUAGUAAAGGUAAAGCCUUCCCUUCUGGGGUUUGUAUAUGUUUGAUGGGAAUUUUUCCAAAAACACAAAAAACAAAAAAUUACAAAAAAGUCUCUUUUUCGGAAGUGGGUUCACAUACAUAGAUUCCUUUAUAUGGGAAUCUUUAUUUUAAAAAAAAAGUAAAUUGUGUUAUGAAUAUGUAAGCAAAAUUGGAGUGAAAAUUACCCAGAACUAACAACAAGCAGUCUAAGCAUGAUCAUGAUCAUGAUGUUCUUAAUCAUUUUCUAUGAUCCAAAAUUUCCCUCCAAGCAAUAUGUAAAGAGGCUAGAAUGAGGGGGUCUUUAAUAGUAGUCUGAUCUAGUGCAGAAUUAAUAUUAAACUGUUGGAUUGAAUCUCCACAUUGUAAACCCCCAAUAUAAUUUUACCGCCUCCAAGUUUUGCAAGAGCAAAAGUCCAAAAGUGAAAAAAGAAGAAAAGGGUAAAGCAGAAAUAUAAUAAAAUGGAUUGAGUGCAGUCUAAGUAAGCCCAUUUUACAAAGACUAUAACUACCAGUCACAUGAACCCUUUUUGGUAUCUCAAACUUUUAGCUUUUGCUGUCUUAUAAAGUCCAUCAUGACAAUUAGCACAACUAUUACCAAUAAUCACUUUGAUUAAACUCCAUUGGUGGUCAAGUAAAGACUUAGAAGUUGCGCUAAUUGGUCUUGAAACAAGAAGUCAAAAAGAACCGAAUUUUACUAUCAAACCCGCCAGCAUCUUUUAUGUUGAGAUGCCCCCAUUAGAAAUUGUUAGCUUUAUUUUUGGACAGACAAAGUGAAAGGGGGUCUCUUGUUGUGCUUCAACUUUGAGAGACCAUACAAGAAAAAAACACAGAGAUAAGGGUUUCUUCCAAAAAAUUUAAAAAGGAACAAAACAUUUGGUCGAUUGGGUAUGAGUCAUGUAAUAGGGACAAAUGUCCCUUCUUGUUUGGGGCCGUGAGCCUAAGUAGAGUGAACACCAUUGAAGCUGCAGGGCAACUCUGCUACUUUUUGUGUGAGUCUUCAACACAUAAUCAGUGAGCAAAGCUAAAGUUUGCUACAGUCAUCCAAUGCUGUGGCGCCACAUGUCGUGCAAGGGAAAUUUUGCAAUUAUAGCACAGGACAAUGUGGUGGGCAGGCUUUUUACCACCAAACAUGAGUGCUUCUGAUUCCGCAUUGCAGUAUAAGGUGAAUUUUGAUGCAGAGCAUGAUGGCAGCUCCCCAAGUCCAUAUGCCAUUUUAGUUUGUCAGCAGUCAAAUAACAAAUUGAAAAUGUGUAAAUUAGAGUAUGUUUUGGCACUGCUUCUAGAAAUGUUAAAAGCAAUUCUGAUAGUAUUUGACCUAAAAACUCAAAAAGUGUUUUUUGAGUAUAAAAGUGUAAUAUAGGAACAAGCGUUUAUGAAACGGAAAUAACGAAAUAAUGAUAUCCAUGUUGCAACCAAGUUUUUCUCCCCUCCCACAUUUUACAGAGCUGCCAUUGCCAAUUUUCCACAACCAUAAAUUUAUGUAUUAUGUAUGGAAUAUUAACCUAAUUAUGAUAUCGCCUUGGAGGCAAAUUAACCUCCUUAAGAAUAUUCCUUCUACUAAUAGCAAUGGGAUCUAAUCCAAGUAACAGUUGGAGAACACUGGAUAGUCUUAAAAAAGGGUAUCAUUAGCACUAAUGACUUAGUGCGUGUAUGUUCUGUAUGUGGGUGUGUGAUAUUUUAAACUUAAUCAAAUCAUUCUGUUCUGUUUCUGUCAAUUUUUUUGGCUAAGAAACACAUAAAAACAUGAUUUAAACGCGCAUGCAAGCAUGCACAAGGGUCAUAAAUAGUAUAUUAGUAUAAGCUCAAUCCCUACUAAGAAUAGUAAUUAUGAGUUUAUAAUCUCCAAACAUAGGGAGUUAUAGGGAGGUGGGCAAAGAAUUAAGUAGACAGACAACAGAGACAGAGAGCGUUAAAGAGAAACAGCCAGAAAGGCCAAUUUUGGGGAUUGAGGCAUUUUAAAAUGAAUGUGAUACUAAACAUUAGUUUAAGGGCAUGGGUUCAGUUCCUGCAAUCCUGGCAAAGAACACACCACUUAAAAUAUAAGGUUAAGUUAAUACUGAGUCCAUUUAGCAGCCCACAAAGUAAAAUGAAUAUGUUGUCUCGUAUAUGAUGCUUGUGUUAUCCGAUUGUGAAUUUUAACUGCAUAUUUUAAUAUAAAAAAAUAAAAAAAUUAAUGAUCUAGAUUCACAAUAUGACAAACUACAUAUUUUAGCUGAAAUCAACAUGAUAAAUAAUAGAGAUUCGUAGUUUGACAAUAUAACACAUCAUAUGUUUCCUGAUUGAUCUAGAUCGAAACAUAAACAUAUGGGUUUUUGAAGAAGGAGGAGAUGUUAUUGGUGGAGAAGAGGGCAAUGAAUUUAGUGAUGUGUAGAUGAGAGUUGGGGACAGCAUGCUUGGAGAAGUGAGGUAAUGGUGGAUAUGGGGAAGGGAGAAGGAGGGCGUGAAAUAAAAAUGAAAUGUUUCCUAUGCUUACAACAGGAGUGUCGAGGAAAGGAGCGUUGAUGGGGGCACAAGGUGAUAGGUCAUAACCCACUAAUGUUUUUAUUCAAUCAUCUAUGCACAAUGCUCCAUAUCACCCACCAUCUCUCACUCAGUCUCUGUGUGUUUGUGUCUACUGAAAUUACCCAUACUUGCUCUGUUUCCUCACAUUAAUAUGUAAAUGUAAGAAUGUCAUAAAAAUACAAUUAACUAGUCAGUGAAGCCCAUCUUGAUAAAUGUAUCUACCCUUGUGGGAUUGUCCAUUUUUGGCAUUUUCCUUCCAAGGUUAAAAAAUGGAUGUUUGUCUCAUUUCUAAAAUUGCACAUAAAAUAUACAGAAUGGGCUAUGGCUAGACAAGUGGAGCUUAUUCAUCCCAAAUAUUAAAUCAUUAUCAUACAAUUCACAUCAUCUUGAAAAUUAGGGCAAGAGUCCAUAUUGUUAAUGCCAAAUAUGCUAAAAUAUGAAAUUUAUGAGAGAAUAUUAUUUGUGGGAAUUUUUUAUGUAUUCUUCUCUUUGUAGGAAGCUGUAUUUAUAAUACAAUAAACUCUUGCAUGUCAAGGAAAGUAAUAACUUAUAAUUCUAUUUACAGUAGGAAAUCAAAAAUUAAAGUAAAUCAAUUACAUUUUAAUAUAGGAAUCCUUCGCUUGUAAGGAAAGUAAUUGCGGGUCCACAAGUCACGCCAACACUUCCCCUCAAGUUGGUGCAUAGAUAUCGUCAAUGCUCAACUAGUCCAGUGAAUUGUAGAAUGCUUUACUAGAAAUUGUCUUUGUCAAAAGAUCUGCCAAUUGAUCCUUGAACUUUAAGAAAGGAAACUGAAUCACUUUAGCUUCAAGUUUUUGUUUGAUAUAAUGUUGAUCUACCUCAACAUGAUUGGUACGAUUAUGUUGAACUGAAUUCUGUGCAAUAACUAUUGCUACCUUUUUGUCACAAAAGAGAUUCAUUACAGAUGUAAGUCUAUACUUAAGUUAAGUAAGCAGCCUACGUAGCCAAAGGAGUUCACAAAUUCCUUUAGUCAUAUCUCUGAACUCGGCUUCUGCUCUAGAUAAAGGUACUACCUUCUGUUUCUAGCUCCUCCAUGUCACUAAAUUUCCUCCCAUAAAUGUAAAGUAACCAAAUGUGGAUCUUUUAUUUGUUACACUCUCUGCCCAAUAUGCAUCUGUGUAACCAUCAAUAUUCAUAUGACCAUGUUUUGAGAACAUAAGUCAUUUUUCAGGUGCAGACUUCAAAUAUCUAAGUAUUCCGAGAACUGCAUUUAUGUGGUCUUCACUUGGAGAAUGCAUAAAUUAACUGACUACACUCACAACAUAAGUAAUGUCUGGUCGAGUACGUGACAAAUAGAUCAAUCUUCCCACUAACCUUUGGUAGAUUUCCUUGUUAGUUGGAACUUGAUACGAGGAUUCUCCAAGAUGAUGAUUCUGAACAAUAGGAGUAUCUAAAGGUUUGCAAUCUAGCAUUCAUGUGUCUCUCAACAAGUCCAAGACAUAUUUCCUUUGAGAUAUAAAUAUGCCUUGCUUUGAUUCGACCAUCUCAAUCCCCAAGAAAUACUUGAGUCCACCUAGAUUCCUCAUCUCAAAUUCAGUAGCUAAAUAGUCUUUUAAUCGAGAUAUUUCAUAUUCAGCAUUCAUGGUAAUAAUCAUAUCAUCAACAUAGAUUAUUAACGGUGUUACCUUUCCUUUAUGAUGUUUCAAGAACAGAGUAUGAUUUGAAUUGUUGUGCUUGAAUCCAUAAUUCUUUAUUGCCAAGUGAAUUGUCCGAACCAUGGAUGUGGUGACUAUUUCAAACCAUAUAGUAUUUUUUUGCAACUUGCACACCAUAUUAGUCUUAGUAGAUGUUGUAUAUCCCGGUGGAACAUCCAUGUACACUUCUUCUGUGAGUUCAUUAUGCAAGAAAGCAUUUGUUACAUCAAAUUGGUGGAUUGGUGAAUCCAGGUUAGCUGCAAAAGAUAGUUGCACUCUGACUUUGUUAAGCUUUGCUAUGGAGACAAAAGUUUCUUCAUAAUUGAUGAUGUAGGUUUGUGUGUACCCUUUUUCUACAAGUCUGGCCUUGUAUCUUUCAACGCACCCAUUACCUUUCCUUUAUGAUGUUUCAAGAACAGAGUAUGAUUUGAAUUGUUGUGCUUGAACCCAUAAUUCUUUAUUGCCAAAGUGAAUUGUCCAAACCAUGCAUGUGAUGACUAUUUCAAACCAUAUAGUGUUUUUUUGCAACUUGCACACCAUAUUAGUCUUAGUAGAUGUUGUAUAUCCCGGUGGAACAUCCAUGUACACUUCUUCUGCGAGUUCAUUAUGCAAGAAAGCAUUUGUUACAUCAAAUUGGUGAAGUGGUGAAUCCAGGUUAGCUGUAAGAGAUAGUUGCACUCUGACUGUGUUAAGUUUUGCUAUGGAGACAAAAGUUUCUUCAUAAUCGAUGAUGUAGGUUUGUGUGUACCCUUUUUCUACAAGUCUGGCCUUGUAUGUUUCAACGCACCCAUUGACAUUGUGUUUGACAGUAAACACCCAUCUGCAUCCAACUGUUCUUUUUCCUGGGGGUAAUAUCUCUAGUGUCCACGUCUGAUUUUUCUCCAGAGCCUUCAUUUCUUCCUUCAUUGCUUGGGUUAACUUCGGAUCUUUCAAUACUUAAGCCACCUUAGUAGGAAUGACAAUAGCAGACAACUGAUUUACAAACGCCUUCAGUGGUUCAGGCAAUUUUUGAGUAAGCACAUGGUUGACAAUUGGGUACUUUGACAUUUUUCCAAUAUGAGGAGCAUACCGGUUUGGGGUUUUCCACAAUUCUGCCUGAAAGGUAAUUGGUAUCCAAUAGAAUCAUCAACUAACUUCAUAGAAGUUGUAGGAAUAUUUACCUUAGGGAUAUUCUUAGGAGAUUGGUCGUCUGGUACUGUUGAAUAAGAUAGGGGGUCUUCAGUGUGUUCAGGUUCGUCUUCUUUCACAAGGGAGUCAGACGUAGUCAAAUCAGCGGACGUUUCAAACACAGGCGACUGGUCAAAUUCUUCAGAGCUACCAGUCGUUAUUGUUAGAACGACCGGUUGUUUUCGUCCAGACUUUGAUUUUUCCAUCUUUUAUGGUGCUCUAAGUCUGUGCUUCACCCCAUGAAGCAAAGAAUUUGAUACUGGGUCAUAAAAAGAAUGUCUCAUACUCCAAAAAGGUGACAUCUAUAGUGAUAUAUGUGCACCAGGAAGAAGGAUGAUAACACCAAUAGCCAUUCAAAUAAGUGGAAUACCCCAAAAAAACACAUCGAAGCUCAUAAGGGUCACGUUUGCUUCUUUGGUUUUUAUGAAGAUUAAAAACGCACCCAAACACUCGUAGUGUGAGCAUCAAGAUAGAAGGCAUGGGCCCAUAUUGAGCAACAACUUGUACCGGAGUAUGAUAGUAAAAGACACAAUAAGGCAUUCGGUUAAGCAAAUAAACAGCAGUGAUGAUGAUAUCAUCCCAGUGGCGGCGAGGAACAUGAGUCCUAAUCAAAAGUGUAUGGGCUGAUUUAAGAAGAUGAUGAUUUUUUUUGUUUCGCAACACCAUUCUUUUGUGGAAUUGCCAUGUCAAACGAGUACAAUCAUCCACAAAACGUGACAAACCAUCUAAAUCCAGAAGUAGUAGAGAUAGAUGAAGCGCCCCAGACAUCAGAAUGAAGUAAAGCAAAAUGAAUGGUACUUUUAUUCAUACUUAAUAGGGUAAGAAACUUCGUGACUCUUGGCUAAGAUGCAAAUGUCACAUUGAAAGUUUGAAUCUUUAAAAAACAAAACAAAUAUGGGACUAAAUGUCUCAUAUAACCAAAAGACGGAUGCCCUAAACUGUGGUGCCAUAACAAAAUAAGUCGAUGCUUGUCAUCAAAUGGAUGCUUCACGAUGUUUGCGAUGACCAUACUAAAGUCAUCCACAUAGUAAAGCCCAUUCUUUUAGUACAACGUCUAAUGAUCUCCUUGGUGAGAAUAUCUUGAAGAAAACAAAAAGUGGGAUAAAUUAGUGUACAACAAUUCAAUUAUUCAAUAGCUUGGCCAACAAACAUCAAUUUAUUGGAUAUAGACAGAACAAGUAAAGUAUUGGAAAGUGAAAGAAAAUGGGAAAAAUGCAAUAGUGCCCUUUCUAGUUACAUGAUAAGUAACGUCAUUCACAUUAGAAACACUGGUGCGGCGGGGAUGAGAGGUGCUCAUAUGGUCAGUCGCGCUAGAAUCAAUAAUCCACCCAGGAGCAUGACUCAAUGCAGAAGUAUGAAAUACAAAGCCACAGUUGCCUUAGUCACUCAGAAUCUGGGAGUUAUUAGAUUGAGGGGAGGGUGGAUCCGACCUGAUGAGCCAACGAUAAUUGGGGUUCGGUGGUGAUGAGAGCGACACGACCAACUCCAAGUGCAAUUUUCUGAGCUUUGUAUCAUUCCCACCAAUCGAGAUACUUGUGCAUUUUGUAACAGGUUUCCCAAGUGUGUUUAGGAUUUCCACAUUGAGUGUAUCUCACCUCUGUAUGUCGGACUCUUGGGUUUAUGAGGUUGGGUAGUCGAGUUGGCAGACGAGCCAAUGGCCAUGACAUAAGACUGCAUCUAAAGAGGUACGAUUGCAAAAGAAGGUGGCUGGCUAGGCCGAUCGUUCAAGGUGUGGCAGGUCGGUGGAUGAGUUCCCUUGGCUGCCAACAACGGUCAGUGCCUGAGUACCCAAUAUGGCAGCUUGUUGGAGAUCUUCACGUCAGACAAAAGCAUAUGCUUGCUAAAUAGUUGGAAACAGAGCCAUCUUAAGAACAUCACUGCCGGCCUUGUCAAGUCAGUCAUCCAAGCUAUCCAAUAAGAUAUAAACAUGAUCUUCUUGGAGAUUGACGUUGUGCUCCUUGAUAUCGGAAUCACACUUCAUCUGAUCUGGAUGACGAAAGUCGAUUUCUUGCCAUAAGCUUUGUAAAUCGUUGUAGUAGGCUUUAAUUGAGCCACCUAGUUGUCGCAUACGGUGAGUGAAUCGUUUAAGAUCGUACACCUGAGAGGUGUCAGUGCCAUCAAAGUAUAUCAUGGCAAUCGCAUCCCAUACUACUUUUGCAAUUGGAAAACGAAUAAAUGUGCUAAUCAAUCGAGGCUCCAAAGAAUUGAUUAGCCAGCCUUUCAUAACGGUAUUCUCAAUGUGCCAAUAUGGAAACGCGGGUCAGUCGGAGUAAGUGGUGGAAGUUUCCUUAUGAGGUAUCCCAACUUGUCUUUGCCGGCGACGUACGCCUUGACAACUUGGGACCAAAGAGGGUAGUUGGAGCCAUCCAACUUGAUUGGGCAGUGGAAGCUUCAUAGGUAAUAGUCAGGAUCUGUGUGUUGGUCAUGUUCGGGGUUAGGUUCUGGUUCGAGUUUGGAUUCUAGUUCUGGUUUUGUAUCUUUAAGAACUGGGUCAUCUGAGCGGCCAGUUCGGUGAAGUUUAGUUGAGAAGGAGAAGCGAAAUCUGUCGUACUCCCUUCAUGGUGGAGCAAAAUAUCUUCAUCCCCCAUGAUGCCGGUCAUGUUUUAAAAACAAGAGUCAGCAAUUCCAAUAUCGUUGCUUUGAUACCGUGCUAAAAUAUAAAACUUAGGAGAGAAUAUUGUUUGUGGGAAUUUUAUGUGUAUUCUUCUCCUUGUAGGAUGUUGUAUUUACAAUAACCCUUUAUAGGUCAAGGAAAGUAAUAACUCGUAAUUAUAUUUACAGUAGGAAACCAUGAAUUAAAGUAAAUCAAUUACAUUUAAUAUAGCAAUCCUUGGCGUGUAAAAAAAGUAACUGCGGGUCCACAAGUCAUGCCAACAAAAUAUUCAACCAUUGAGUUGUACAUGAGCUUUAUACUUGAAAUUCAGCUUAAUCUUCACCAUCAAGUACGGGUCUAAUACUCAAACUCGAAGACUACAGUGCGCUACUUGGCUUGCUCUGGCUAAUUAUUGACUUCAUUUUGUUCUUCCAUGAAAUAUCCAUAGUCCGUUUGAUUUAAAUAAGGGACUUGUAGCUCAAAUGAUUAAGAGCAAUUAUCUUUGCAUCCGAAGUCCUAUGUUUAAUUAUCCUCUCACCCCCCUUGUAAGGGGAAAAAAAAUCAAGUAUAAAUAUCAAACUCUGGUCGUGACUAUAAAGGGUACCUAUUAUAGUAAGUAAUAAGCCUCCACAACCUAACCUAUGUUUGAAUAUGAAAUAUCAAACUUCUUAAUCUAUGAAGAAGGAAAUGCAAGAAUCGAACUCUAACUUUGAGCGUGAGAAUAACUAGUAUUUUUAAGAAUGAAGUAUGUACCAAUCUAUUAAGCCUUCCCUCAAGUUAUUCAUAUUUCACAAGAGAUGGACAUGUUGUUUUGAAAACCAACAAGUGGAAAGACAGGAAAAUACAGUAAUGUUAUUGGGAUAAUACGUAAAUGGAAAGCUUAUCUUUAUUUAUGCUCAUAAUGGUACAAAAGCAGUAAGGGAGGACUAAAAAAUGAAAAAAACCAGGGAAGGGAACGAAACAAAUAAAACAGAGUGGUCCACGCGUGCCAAUGCCUGUAUUUAUGCACUUGUGUUGUGUUGUGUGUGGGUGUGCAAGCGUGUGAAUGUUUGUGUGUGCAAGCGUGCUAAGAGGUUCUCACGUGUGAGCGGCUUAUAAAUACGCAUGUGGAGAACGGCACCACCAAAGAAGUUUUCUAGUGGGCAAGCUAUAAAGCGUUUGUCUACUUGAAUUUUUCUGUAACACAGAAGGUUAGAAGCAAAGAGACAGAGGACUUAGAAAAAAAAGGGAAUCUCUUUGUGUUGCAGAGGGAUUUUAAUUUGAUUUUGUAAGCAACAAAAACAGUUGAGUGAUUUGAGAGAAAUGGAGAUUGAGAGUGAAAUGAAGCAGUCAAGGUUUGGGAGGAUUUGUGUGUUUUGUGGGAGUAGCCAAGGCAAGAAGAGUAGCUACCAAGAUGCAGCCAUUGAGCUUGGCAAGGAACUGGUAUACAAUGGCUUUUUCGAACUUCAAAUACACAGUUUUCUUUGGGUUCUGUUAUGUCACUUGAGGUUUUUCAUACUUGGGUUCUUUUAAAAAAGAUCAAAAGUUGAAGUUUUAUCCCGUUUGGUUUUGUUGGAGUUUACUUUUGACCAUCUUUUUGCUUUUGUUUCUUGUUUAUGUCAGAUGGGUUUUGGUAGGAAUUAGUUGGAAGUUGCUCAAACUUGAUCAUCUUGUUUAUGUUUGUAACAUAUCAUGUUGUUCUUGUUCUAGUUUUUUGGGGCAAGCACAUUAUGAUUAUAACUUGUUUGUCACUUGGUUCCUGAGAUUUUUUUUCUUCGUUUUUUUUAAAUUAGGAUUUGAUUUCUUCAAACUGGAACUUUCUUCCUAAUUAAGUUUGUCUCUAGCAGAAGGCAUGCAAAUGUUGCUCUCUCUCUCUCUCUCUCUCUCUGUCUUUUCUUUGGUAAAUGCUCCUCUCUCUGUCAUUAUCAGAAAACUCAUCAACACUAAAUAAGCCCAUUUAGAGAUGGAAAAUGAUGCCACUUUUGCAUUACAUGUGUUUAAGUUUUCAACUUUCAGUCUGUCAUAAUUCCAAACUGACCAACUCAAUCACUUCAACGCUUUGUUAUUUUGGCAUUUGCACCUCUCCUCGCGAAUAAACAGAUAUGAACUUAGUGUACUAAACGUACAAAUUUGUUGUAUGAGCAUUGAAGAAUCCUUCCAUUCUCAAUUUAUUAGAUGUACUCAAAAGUGCACUAUUUUUUCCAAAUGGGUUCUUGAAAAGUACAAUUUGUUUUGCUAAUGUCUUGAAGGUUUCGAGGAACAUUGAUCUGGUCUAUGGAGGAGGCAGCAUAGGCCUAAUGGGUUUGGUUUCACAAGCUGUUCAUGAUGGUGGUCGGCAUGUUAUUGGGUAUUCUUUUUACUCCUUAUCAGAUCUCAGAUGAUAAACAAAUGAAAUCACAAAACAAACAAACAGAUUAAGAAACAAUAAGUGAGUUGGGACAAUCGUUAUGGUUGGUUUUGCUCUCAAAAACAACUGAUUUUGUCAUGGUAUUGUCUCUCUGCAGAGUUAUUCCCAAGACGCUCAUGCCUCGAGAGGUAUGUUUCCUAUAGCCAGAUAAAGUGCUUCAACUUUUCCAAUUGUAAAGAAUAGAAAUUUAUACAUGGUUUAUUAUAUAUAUAUAUAUAUAUAUAUCAGAAUUUAUUGGUUAUUAGAUUCAUGUUCAAUUCUUUUCUACAUCAAUUUCUUUCUUUCUUUGUUCUUUUUCUCUUCUUUUUUGGGUGGGGGAAUGAUGUGAGCACUUUUAGCUGCUUUUCUUUCUUUAUUUUGUUUUUUUGCUUUUAUUUUUAUUUUUAUCUUCUGUUUAUUCUCUGUUUGGUUCCCUUCAUUUCUGUUUCUUCAAUGGAUGCUGGGGAGACUUAUCCAUAGCACACUUGAGUACUUGAACUACCCCACUAGUAUUGUACAGUUUUGAGUCUCUGCUGAUUUUUCUGAUUUCUUUUCCCUUGUAUCAGUUUUAUAUGGUCACUUGAGCUUUAAAGUAAUUUUCUUCUUGUGCUUUUCUGCCUUGGCCUUUUCUAUUGAUCGAACUUUGUUGAUUUUGCCAUCUGGUGACCACUAAAUUUACUGGCUAGGGAAUAGCCGGAUUUUGCAUUAACUUCUUCCCCCAAAAAAAAAAUUGUAUUAAGCUCAUCAUUUCUGCAACACUCAUCAUUGCUUUGCUGCACAAAGCUCCAAAUCUCUCUGUCUCUCUGUCUCUCUGUCUCUCUUAACAUCAAUUUCUUUAAUCUUUUUCCGUGCAUUGAUACCAUUUUGCAGUUAACUGGUGAAACAGUGGGGGAAGUGAAGGCAGUUGCAGGCAUGCACCAAAGGAAGGCAGAGAUGGCUAAGCAUUCGGAUGCCUUUAUUGCCUUACCCGGUUAGUAUAAGCCCUGAACAACUCUCUCUGUCUCUCUCCCCCUCUUUCUCUCUUUGCCUGCCUGCGUACCUUCACUUAUACCAGAAUUCUUAAACAAAGCAAAGAACAUAUGGUCCUUCAUGGCUUUAAUUUUUACUAAUUUUAGCUUGCAAGUCCACUUUUUUUAUUCUUGUGACCCCUUCCAGUAUUAGACCAUAAUCUCUCCAAAACCCAAUAAACUAAUUUGGAAAUAUAUGGAACAGCAGUCAAUGACACAACAAAACUACAAACCACAAGAGAGGGCAUUAUGGCUAAUUAACCACUAAUUCUUUUAUUAAUUAGACUUAGAAUUCUCGAUUUGAUGUCUUGAUGGAUGUUCUUGAUCGUUCUUGAACUGAGUAAAUGACAAAAUAUUGAAGCUUGGAGGAAAUGCAGAAAGGGUGAAGAAGGAUUUGGCAAUAAUAAGUCAAACUAUCUUUAUAUUUUAUAUUUUAUAUUUUACUCUUGUAGCUGUUGUCUUUUCAUGCUUUAAAUGCACUAGUAUUUGAUAAUGCUGUGAUUGCGAUUGUGUGAAUUCUAAAUCAUCACACACAACUUUCUCAAACUUGUGUCCCAAAACCCAAGACACAUGAUUAGAGAGCAACCCCUCAAACCUCAGAGUCCAUGACCCAUCAACAUCUUACACUGAAAAUUAGAGCUUCUGAGGAACCCUGCAUCUGUGGUUAAUAUCUCCUUUUGCUAAAAAUAGUCUGUAGCCUGUGAUGUUGCUGCAUCAAUUGUUUCUUGCCUCAUGGAGAAAAGAUAACAUAAAAACACUUUCACUAUAUAGGUUUUGCCAACUAGCACCCCAAGCUGACAAGGAAUGAUGCUUACCACUUUCAAAAACUUCACUCAUUAACAUCUAGAGUUUUAUUGGUAAGAAACUUGUAAUUUAAGUAGUUAAGAGCAUUUAACUUUGCACUCAAAAUCUUAAAUUCGAUUUAUUAUUGCUUGCUUGGGUUGGCAAAAAAUAAAAAUAAAGCUGGUGGAAAUAAAUGGUCAUGUAAAUCAUCAUAGCUGCAUGUAACAUGACCAUUAGCAUCAAACGGAUCUGAUAGUAAAAGUGUGAACUAUUCAUAGUCCGCGGUCAAAGUGCGUUGCACCAAGGUUGAAAUGGUCAAAGUAUAUUGCACCAAGGUUCAAAUGAGCAGAUGGAGUAGACAGUAUUUUCAGUCUUUUUACCCUUCUUUUGAAUGGAUCAGAGAAAUAAUGAUUAACAGCAUAAUCCUUGUCUAUAGUCUAGUACGAGAACUAGUUGUCUUGUUUUGCCUCUUUCUUCUGUAGGCAUCUUAAAUAGUGCAACAUAUUGUACAUAAGCAUAAUUUGAAUGAUUCCAAAUAUUAUCUUAUAUGAAGCUGCUUGGACUGUAAAUCUAGAUUGUAAGUACCAAUUUAAUUUUUCUUGCAGGUGGUUAUGGAACUCUGGAAGAGUUACUUGAAGUGAUAACAUGGGCUCAACUUGGAAUUCAUGAUAAACCGGUAAUUCAUUUUUAUGCAUUAUGAAUACAAUUUAUCGUAUUUCUCUUAUAUAUAUAUAUAUAUAUAAAAUUCCAUGUUGAUGGUAAACACGUGAACUUUUAGGCUUAAACCAUUUUCUUUUUCUUUUUUGUCUAUAGGUGGGAUUGCUGAAUGUUGAUGGAUACUACAACUCCUUGCUAUCAUUUAUCGAUAAAGCUGUGGAAGAGGGAUUUAUUAGCCCCAGUGCACGCCACAUAAUUAUAUCAGCACCAACAGCAAGGGAGUUGGUGAAGAAAUUGGAGGUAAUUAUCUAAAGCAUUGUUUAAUGAUUUGUUGUAAUUUAGUCAAAUACAUAAUUAGUGCAUUCAACCUCAACCUUUGUUCAUUGAUAACUAAUUUGUUGGUUGAAAACUUCUUUUGAUGUUUAGUUGAUUUUGCUGAUGUAGGAUUAUGUCCCAUGUCAUGAAAGAGUUGCUUCAAAGUUGAAUUGGGAGAUGGAGCAGCUUGGCUACACACAAGAAUAUGAUAUCUCUAGGUGAUCAUGGGAUUGCAGCAUUCAGACACACUAAGCUUGUUGGAAUUUUGGAAGUUGAAGAAGCUAAUUUGUAGAACUCUAAAUUUCUGAUAUGGGGAUUUUUAUUUUUUUUUCCUUUUCUUUUUUAUUCCUUGUGUAAAUUAUUGCAAUUGACCCCACUAUGUGAAGUUUCAAUAUUCCCUUUUGUGGAAAUUUCCUUCCCCUUCUUAAUUUGUAAGUAAGUAACGAAGCACUAGAGGCUUGUGAACCUUCCCCUUGUAUUAACUAAUUUAUACUUUUAUUUUUUUCCUUUUGUAGCCAAACCAAAUAUGUGUCUCUGGCCACAUGCUUUGUUUUUACUUUCUUGUGUUUUAUCACAUUUAUUGGGUCACUGAAAAGGAAGCUUGAAAAUGUCAAAACUCAGUGAUAAGAACAUUUGUCGGCAUAGUAGUGAUCUCAUGUUCCAACCCAAUGACACUUCCCAUCCCCCUCUCAAACAAGGCAAGCUUGACAAUGGAGUCCAUUGACAUGUGCUUGCAAACACAGAACCAAAUGGUCCCAUUAGAACAAGAUAAGUGUCGUUAACCAGGAAAGCAAGAAGAGAGGGGUGGGGGGGGGGGGGGGGCAAGUUUUGUUGCAGACACAUAUAAAGCCCAUCUUUUCAAGUAAUGCUUUUCUGUUAAGGUUAGGCGCUAUCAGCUAUGGCCAACAAACCAAAGGUGUUUUGAGUCAAGUAAUGGUUGAUGGGAAGAGGAGAGGGGGCCAAUCUUGAGAAAAGAGGGAGUGCCCUUUGCUGCCCGACAAAUGGGACAAUGACAUGUGACGUAUGGCCUGUGGAGGGCCACAUGUUAUGAACAUGGAAAAGUAAAAGGCCAAAGCCUUUGGGGCAUUUAGGACCCAGUUUUUCUUCUAAAGGGCCUGUGGCUGAUUCCACUAACCGUGUACAAUUUGGAAGUGCUUUCAUGAGUCAAUUUUUGAAGGGUUUUUUUGAGGUUGAGAUUGGUUUCAAACUUAACGCAAUGUGAAAGCUAUAAAGAAAAAUUUAAUCAAAAUGAUGUUGAAACAUUGGAGAUAAGAAGACGAAAUCCUGGCUGUCCUAUCUGUUGUUGAUUAAAACCCUUAUGAUUUGUUUUGUUAAAACGUCCAAAAUAUUAUUGAAAAAGAGGGAAAUAAGUGUUCACUCUCUCAGAAAGUUUCUCUGAGCAAGUUAGGUCGACAUGUACGGGAAAUCUCAAGGAAAUUCCAUCUAUGACACCAAUUCUUGACUAAAGCAUCAUAAGAUUCGAUUUCUAAAGGUGUGGCAAAGUAUAUAGGUGCAAAUCGUGUCAUGCUGUGGGACAUGCCAUGUGUGCCGAGUUGUCUUGACACGGUACGUCUAAUUUAUUAUGUUCCUAUAUGCCGAACUCAAUUUUAGCAGCAAAAAUAUCAACUAGCUAUUGGUUUAGUAAUUGUUAGGAUUAACCUAAAAGAAUCAAGCCUGGAAUCCACUAGAUAUAAGAAAACCUCUUGUUUAUUGAAUUCAGAAUGAUAACAUAAUACCUUAGUCAUGAACUAUAGUUUGUUUAAAUACUCCUAGAAACCCUAAGAAACAAAAAGGGAAUUAAAAGAGAAAUUAACAAAAGUUUCUAAAAAUUGCAAAAUAUUAAAAGGCCCAUUUGGGCCGCUGAAUGAUCUCGAAUGCCCAAAAAUGCUCAUCAUUAUGGCAAAACGAUGAGUUUUACUCGUUGUGCCAUUCUCUUCGAAACGGCGGAUCAUGGUCCCAAAUCGGAACUUGGGGCCCAUACUUGCAACUUGCCAAUUUUGCAUUUGUGGGCGUGACGUUCCAACUCUUCUUCUAUUGCCUCAGCCAUUUAUUCUAUAUCAGUUAUCUUCUCAACAUUAAAAGACAUCCCAAUUCGAAUAUCCCCUCCUAGAUUAUUACCAAAAAACAAAAACAAAAACAAAAACAAAACAAAAAACAAAAAACAAAAACCUACCACAACAAAAAUGUAUACUGCAAAUGAAAAGGACAACUCAGUCCCACCAAUUCCAGUGUUCUGAGUUUACUUUUAAUAUUCAGGGACAGUUUCUGUUGAUUCUUUGAGAACAAACACUUUUAUCAUCACUGGCAUUUUUAGUUAAGGUGGGAAUAAGAGCUCAAGGUGUAAAUAAAUUGAAUUAAAGCCUAUCUUCUAGACAAUACAUCACUUAAUCCAGUUGACACACAUGCAAAAGAAUUAGCAACUGUGAAUCCAAGAAUUAAUUUAACCUAAAUACAAAGAUUUUGAGGCUUUGAAGUUGAAUGAGCCACUUCACUAGCUGUUGUCAUGAUUUUGUUGCCCAUUGCAACAUGGUGCUGGUGCUGGUGCCAUCCUAUCAGAGGGCUUUGAUUCUUUUGGACUACAAGGCUCCCAUUUUUUUCUAAAACCUAGCCUUUUGGGAAGGAUGCUCCAACUUCUCUUGGUCUUCACCAGCUUCUGCAGCUCCAUUUUCAUGUUUGAACACUCCUUUUGAAGCUCUAAAACACGUUCCCUCAUGUCAUGAUGAUCAACACCUACGGCCCGGUCAUGUGCAGGUUCCACUUGACCAGAGACAUCAUUUUUGGUAGGGAGGCCAAGGUUUGCACUGGGGUUCUGUGAGUUCUCAAGAUUGUCAACAAAAAACCAUCCAGAAAUCGAUGUACGGAGUCGAAGCUGUUCGAAGAAGAGGACUUGAACAAUUACUCGAAGAGGUAACCUCUCAUUCUGAGCUGCAUGGGUGCUAGCUUCCAGUGAGAGCUUCUGGCAGUUCAUGAGUCGGCAGAGUUGCUCCCUUUCAGAAUCUGUAAGCCAAGGAUGUGCCUAAAGUUGUGAAAUAUGCAAUGUUAUUAGCAUGCAUGUUUUAGUAACACAUUAUUAGUAGUGUCUUAGUUUAAAAUUGGGCAUAUUAGGACCCAAAAAAUUGUAAAAUUUUAGAGUGCAAUGCUAUUGACAGAAUGCUAGUCUAAGUAUCUGUCAAAGUUCAGCAACAAAGAAUCCAUUCACAUUAAGAAAGGUUAAACUAAAUAUCAUUAUAUCAUGAAUAUAAUAAGUUCAUAAGCCAUGCACUUAAGUUUGCUUUACCUUCAAGAAAACAUCAAUUGCAUGAUAUAUGCCAUCAUCCAGUGGCCUGGCAUAUUCAGGGAUGACAGCAGCAAGUGCCUGAAAUUUUGGUAACUUCAAAUUGACAUCUGGCGCUACCUCAGCAAGAUAUCCAUCCACCAGAUUGGCUACCAUAGUACUAGGUGUCAGUGGAUCGGUGCCACUCAUCAAUUGUCCCUCCUCAAUUAUGCACGGGGAAGUUGAUGCAAGUGAAGCCUGGUUUAUUGAGAUGAAAUGAUCAAGAAUCCUCUGAAUGCAGUCUAUGUCAUAAAGAGUCUCCACUGAAUAACCCAUAUUUGGUAUGAGAAGAUCUACGAGCACAGCUUGGUCCAACUGAGCACCUACCCUUUUCUCCAAAUUUUCUCUACAUGAUGGACUUGCAUGCAAGAUCAUAGCAGUUCGUAGCAGCCUAAGCAGAAACUUUGAGGAUGUGACUCCUUUCUGAUGAGGAAGUAACCCCACAAUUUCUUCAAGUAGAGCCCUCUGGUCUGCCUCAGAAAUGUUAGAAAUGGUUGUGCCUGAGUUUACAUAAUUUGUGUCGUUAAAGCUCGAUUGCCUAUUCAUUAAGGGGAGAUACUUUCUAGCGUAGAAUAUGAGAGAAGCAGCAAUACUCUCAGGCCUCAUUCCUUUCGAUUCAACUGCUUGAAUCAAUCGUUUAUAGAGAGAUAAGCUAAGUAAGGAUGCAUCUUCAUACCACCAAUCAUCAGAGGGAGGUUGUGGCUUAGCGUCAUCAGAAACUAUUCCAUUCCAUAAGACAGUGGCUGUUGGGUUCUUCAUGUCGUCAUUUCCUCCUACUAUAGGCCAACUGAAUAACUUUGGGUCUGCACAAGCUUUCAUGGCCAAGGAAUCAAUGCAUCUUGAAGCAAUGUGGAGAUCUUCAGCAUAUCGUUGAACUUCUUCACAUGUUUCGAGAGCUACUAUGGAGUCUCUCCAAUUGCUGAAGACUUCAGAAAGAAAAACCUCUGCUUGUGCAAUGAGAUUUCCUUGUUCAUAAUCUUCACUCAUUUGGAGGUAUUCUGCUGCACAUCUAAGGAUGACUACAUUCAAAGCAGUCAGUUCUAUUUUAACACCAUAGCAAAAUUUGGUCACAAGCUCAAAUGCUUUAGCGCCCCCGGGAAUGCCAUGAAGUUGCAAGGAACAAGCAGAUCCUUCCUCACCAGAACACUCUUCAAUAAGCCUCUCUAAUAGUCCACUUUUAGAAAGCAAGGGAAACUACAGCAAUAACGAAAAAGGGGACAAGAAAAUGAGAGCAUAGCUUGAAUGCCAAUAAGAGUUUAAUCAAUAAGCAAAUUAGGAAAAGUGUACAUAGAGCACUCCGAAAUCGAAAGCAAAGAUGAAAUUGAAAACAAUAUAUUCUCAGCCCGCACACACUUACACAUGCAAACAAUAUAAUCUAUUUCAAGAUUCAAACAAAAUGCACCAUGUGGAGGUUAAAUUGAAAACAAAUAUGCCCCUAUUCUCAGAAAACACGCACACAUGCAUACAAUACAAUGUAUUUCAACUGUCAAGACAUAUCAAACAAAAAUGCACCUUGUGGAGGUGGAAAGACAUUUCCCCAACUUGAAUUAUAACAUCGCUUGGAAGCCCAGUUGUGCAAAGCCUGAAAGAAAAACACAAAUCGGAUCCAUAUAAGUAAAAGCUAAAAUCUUCUAAUAUAGCAUCAAAAGAUUGCAGAAAACCUCAUAUUCGCUUUAGCACAAACCCCUAGCUAAUUUCUGUUGUCAACCUUGUAGCCUAGGCAGGACAUCAUGGUUGUUUAAGCAUUUUGUAGCAAUGGGGCUAAGCUAUCCCUUAUCAGACAUAUAUAUAAACAAAGGGCCCUGCUUUCUUGCUGCUUCUACAUUACUGAAAUACUAAAACCAACAGAGUAAAGACUGAGACCACAUUGCUUUUAAUCGAUUUCAUUAAGUAAAUUAACAAACACCAUGUGGGCUAUCUCUAGCUCAUCAGUUGCAUCUAUUUUGUUUGUUGAUCAAAGUAUCAAGGCCUUACCAAGUUUGGCCUUCCCGAUGAAAAGCUUCAGACUUAGCUCCCAGCUUCAUGCAAGCCAUCUCUUGAGGUGCUGGUCUUCUCAAAUGGGCAAACUUAGAACCAUGAAAUUAAGUGAAGCAAGAGAGAGAUGCAAAUAGCAUAAAGACUUGGGUGAAAAUGUGAAUGAGAGUGAAUGUGGCAUACUUAUCAUUUUGGCUAAUAUUUUCAGAGUGCAGAGAGAGAGAGAGAGAGAGAGAAGUAGCGAGUCUAAAGCAAGAAGUGAAGGAGAGAAGGAAGCGGUUCAACCGUUACAGUGGCUGUUGCGCUUUUCUUUCAUGUCUUAUUGCAUUGUCCUUCAUUUUCACUUGGGUUUUCGACACUUCUACCAGGGCUCAGAAAGCCCAUAUAACAUAUACAAGGGAAAUGUUGUAAUAUUUUUCUGGCCAUAAUAACAUUAGGUAUUUCCAUUUUAGAAGAUGAGUGACAUAUAUAUGUUAAUGAUAUGAAUGCAAGGGUGCAAUUUGGAUGGGGUCGACUUGACCUGACUUUUGAGCACGUAUAUAUAGAAAAAGUAUGAGUUGGGCUUGGAUGGAAAAAUUUCCAACUCGAUUUAUCCCUAUAAUCGGAGUUCUUAGGAUCCCUUUGAGAAUACUUUUAUUAGAAGUAUGUCCAAAUUUUUAUUCAACAGCUUUUUGGAAAACAAAUUGAAGAAGCAUAUGCAUCUAGUUAUAAUUUAUGAACACUUUUAAAUUUUAUUAUCAAACGAUGUUAUAAACGCUUUUAAUUAUUUGAAAGCGUUUUUAACAUUUCUAAAAAUAUCACAAACAUACUCUUAUCAUAAAGGGUAGUCAAAGCCUUCCCACACUCAUAACAAGGAUUCGACUCUCAUUCGCCUCUCCCACUCCCAUUUAUAAAGACCGUAUAAAAUUAAAUUACAAACAAAGAUAAGUUAAAGAGACCUAUAAAGUUAGCCGGAUAAAGUUUAAUAUAUCUCAUAUUAGCAAGAGCAUCUGCAAGAAAAUUAGGUUAUUCAAUGUUUGGUUUACAUAAAUAUGUUUUUGGGCAAUGACAAUUUUCCGGAACAAGGUUACAGUGUUCACGUGGGGACUUGGUUUCCUCUCAAUUGUUAGAUGAUGAAACUGAAAUGCACCUAAGCUAGGUCUAGUGUAGGUGGUAAAUUGGUAAUUGAAGAACAAGACCAAAGUUGCUAGAAAAGAUACAAAGGAAGACGGAUUUGAUUUGAGCCUGGGAUGUGUUGGUAUAUUGGGGUUGGGGACCCAGACCUCACCCCACUAAUUCAAAAAAUUAAUUAUUUUAUUUAUUUAUUUGUUUGUUUUCAUGGACCAUGGUGUUACUAUAGCCCAUUGUUUUCAAAUUUAAUCAACUUGAAAAAAGUGGCAGUUCUUGAUGAUUAAUCAAAAUUAGAAAUCAAAUCAAGUAACAUUAAUCAAGUGGUGGCGCCGGCAUCGGCAGCCCAGGCGGCUCGGCAUCCGCCUCGGCCAACCUGUUCAACACGUGGGUGAAUUUAAUGUUGUCCCCAACCCGACCCUGCUAUCCAUAACUAUAUAUUAUUCUAUUCCAAUAUAUUUGUACUGCACUCUGCAUGGGUCUAUUUACUUCGAGCCUUCAAUCAAUAAUAUCAUAAAAAAUAAUUUAAAAUAAAAUAAAAUUUCCCACUGUUUGUAAUUGACUCAUAAUAAUCAAAUUAUUUUAUCUAACAUUAAAUGUCAAGAAAAAAAGAAUUUGCAAGUCAUGCGUAAUGCACGUGAUUAAAAAAAGACAACACAUUUAAAAUAAAAAUACAAUUAUAAAAAAGAAAAAUUGUAAGUCAAGCGUAGUGCUGGUAAUCGAAAAAAGGGUAGUGUACGACUAUAUUAAUUUUCCCGCUAAUACAAUUUAGAUAGUUGACCCAUUAUUAUUAUUUACAAAUUUUACAUUAAUUAGUUGUUAUACAAUGUAGUAUCCACAUCUCUCUAUACCAGAAGAAGCCUUAAACACUAACAAAUAUAAUAGCAACCUUCAAUAUGAUAUAAUUGAAUUAAUUUGCCAAAUGUUUAAGAACAAUGAUCUUUUAGUACAACUGACACAUACUCCACUUCAAAGAUCGAUGAAAUUUCAAUUUUAACCAAAAUCAUAUGUUAUUAUCACCCACAUUAAUUGUUACAUCAUGUGAUUUGUUUACGCGAUUAAUUAGCGCAGUCCCCAAUUUCACUUCUUGUAGUAGUUUCCAGCCUUGGGUUAAUCUCGACGUGGACCAACCUUCACGUAGGGUUUGUGCAUGGGUUAUCUUUUUUACUUCUACUUUCAGUUUUUACAUAAUUCCCUUCUCUGGUUUCUUGGCUUUGGCAUUGGCAUUGUGCAAGGGUUGGUCCAUAUCAAAGGACGGGUGGGGAUCGCAGCACAGUAAAAAAUUUAUAAAACAACAAACGCGUGGGCCCAACCAACGUAGCCGCCCGAUCUAUCUUCCUCUUCCGUGCGAUCUAUCUUCCUCUUCCGUGAUGGAACCAAAAACGACGUCACAUUGACGAUAACCAUUUUGACACGUGUUAGAUUCUUCUGGCAGACACCCAUGAAACAUAGCGGGUCAACGUCCGGGCAUUUGCCUGUUCUUGUUGUCUUGUAGCUGUCAAGUUAGCGUGUUCCAGUGGCAAAUCUCACUUCCUCCUCGCCUCGCCUCUCCUCAGCGUCCGGUGAAUCCCGUCCUCGGUGUCAGUGACGGGCCAAUCAUUAUUCGCCACGUACGUUGGAAUUAGGGUUAAGAGUGGACCCCAUAACGACACACUAAUUAAAUUGCAUGUCGAUGAUGGUGGUGUCACUAAAAUGUAUGUCUAAAUGUCUCCAUAAUGUAAAUUUACCCUCAUAAAUGUAAUAUACUUGAUAUUAAAGCAUUCACAAUCACGUUUUUUUUUUAUAGUUAAAUUUUAGUUAAAAAUAUAUAAAAGUUAUUUUAGGGAGUCAUAAAUACUAUAAUAUUUUUUCAAUUGGUCUAUCUCUAGUGAAAAAAUAAUAUAAAAAAUAGUUAGCAUUAAUGAAAGGUUUGAAAUACUCACUAAAUAAAGCAGCAUUAAAUUAUAGGGAGUCACUAUGAGUUAUUUUUCUCUCAUCAGAUUUAAGAACUCUUAAAGGUCUCCUUAUUUUAGGAGGUGGAUAUGGAGCAUGAUUGAAGUUGUAUUUUUCCAAUGUCUCCUUAAAAUUUGUCUAAGGAGGUGGUUUAUGAAGCCUAUUGUAAAUGCUCUAAGAGUCAGGGAAGAGCCACAUGUAGGCCUGCCAUGACCAGGGCCCCCCAAACUCCAUGAAAACCCAAUUCUUUCUUAUGCAUCAACUACAAUAUUAGUUAAAAUAUAGCUCUAUAUAAUCUUGCAUUUNNNNNNNNNNNNNNNNNNNNNNNNNNNNNNNNNNNNNNNNNNNNNNNNNNNNNNNNNNNNNNNNNNNNNNNNNNNNNNNNNNNNNNNNNNNNNNNNNNNNCCCCCCCCCCCCCCCCCCCCCCCCAGAUUAGCUUCUAGCUCCGCCACUGCUAAGAGUCUCCUUAUUUUAGUUAAAAUUUAGCUAAAAACACUAUAAAGUUAUUUUAGGAGCUCCUUAUAAAAUUUCAACUCCAACCAUACUCUUUAGUUUAGGGAAUUAUAAAUUAUUUAUUUUCUUUUUUAGUUUAGCAUAAAUGCUCCCUCUUCAUAUAAAAUAGUUAGCAUUAAAGUAAAGCAAAAAUUAUUUAUAGGGAGCCACUAGGAGUCCUUUCUCUCUCCUCAGAUUUAGAAGCUCCUAGAGGUCUCUUUUAUUUUAGGAGUUUCAUUGGGAGCAUGGUUGGAGGUGAGUUUUCUCACUUCCUUCCUUUUAUCAAAGGAGGUAGUUUAUGGAGUACAUUGUGGAUGCUCUAAACGUAUAAUUAUAAUAUGUUAAUAUGCAAAUAACUUUUUUAUUUUAUGUUUUGAUGUCAUAUAUAAAAAUAAUGUUACCACGUUGAAAAAAAAAAAAAGAAGAAGAGAUAACAUUUCGGCAUUAAAUUUAUAAUUAUAAUUUCAAAUUCUACUACAAAUUAUAAUAAAAUUGGGUGUGAUAUGAUUAUUUUAUUUUCAUGACCCAGGUAAAACCAGUCAACCAAUGCAAACAUAAAAUAUAAUUUUUUAAAUAAAAAUUUAUGAUAUGUCAAAAUCAUAAAGACGACUAAAUUAGAUUAAAUUAGUUGGUUUUAAGCGGAGUUGAUUGGAUUUUCAGCACUUCCAUCAUACCUGAAAGCAUUUUCUUCCAUUUUUAAGCACGUAUUUACAUGCUUUUCCAACAACAACAUAAGUAUAUGUAUUUGUCAACGAGGGUUGGUUGAGUUGAUAAGGAUCGUUAUAUUCGCUAUCCAUGCCCAAAAUUUGAGUCCCACCACCGCUGCUAACAAUCCCUCUUAAAGACUUGAACUUGUAUUGUCAUGUGGCAUAAGGGGCAUGCAAGAAUUAUGAGACAAUUAAAGGCAACAACCACCAAAGAAGAAGAAAAUAAGAUGCUAUGAGUAAUAAUAAAGAAAGAAUCAAUAUCUUAGAACAAAUGAACAAAUCAUUUGCAUUUUGCGGUGCCUGUGUUAUGCUGGUGGGUUAGAUGGGUAUGGGUUUAAAUGUUUUUUGCUUGGUCCGUGCGGAGCAUUGAGAAAUUGAGGGACAAAAACCCACCUAAAUUUGAUGUCUGAGAUUAAAAAAUAUAUAUAUAUGGUUGCUAGCUAGGGUUACAAAUUUGAGUAAAUGAAUGUGGGUGAGAAUGGAGAGGCCCAGUGAGCUGUGGUUUUGGUAUUGGUUUUGUUUUGGUGCCCCCAACCACUUUCUUUUUUCAGUUGUCUAAUUGGUUAAUUAAAUUGGUAGGUCCCGAAAAGAUGCAGGAGCUCAUGUGUUUUUGGUUAGGAGGUCUCUAUCUACGGAGUUUGCAACAUUUCUCACGGUGUGGCCCUAGUUUAUAACAUAAUGAUCACCUAGAGGAAAGUAGAAAAUGCAAACAUUAUGUAAUGGGAAUUGUACGCCUUGUCAUAAUCGGGUCGGCUUGGAGGUUGUGAAUCAAAGGGACUGCUCCCACUGGAUAUAUGACCACUCAGUGGUAACGAGACCAGAUAGUUAAGUUGAUAUAACUCAUAGUUUCAUAUAAACCAGAAUCCAUUUGGAUGCAACAAUGAUCGGUUAUUCAAUAGAAUAGUAUGUCUUCGUAUAAUAUACAGUUCUUUGUGCAUCAUCGUCGGGUUCUUGUUAAAAGACGGGUUUUGUUAUCGAUAAUGAUAUCAACAUAAUAUCCUAUCAUGUCAACAAUUCGUCCUUUAAUAAAGAGUGGAUGUCUUGUUCAUAGAACGUACAAUAUCUCUUAGAUUCAUAAUAUUGGAUUUCCCAAAGUAGAAAAGCCCUUUUAUUUAUGAAGCUUUAUAUAGUCAGAAAUUAGAUUACGUAGGCCUGAAUUACUUUGAAUGUACUAUUUAUGGUGUCUUCAAAAGAGUGAGGACUUGGGAUAGUAAAAAAGUACAAUUGGGCACGUCUAUGAGUUUGAUUGUACUUACAAAUGACUAAAAAUAGUGUUCAUUGUACACUAAAGCUAUGAAUUCAUUCAAUCCUCCAUACAAAUGACUAAAAAUAGUGUUAUUGUACAUAAAACAUUAAUAUUGUAGUGAAAGAUGAAUUUAAUUUGUAUAAACUAAAUUGUUGACUUAGGUAAAAUUACUUGGGUUGGUGUUCAUUGAACACCCCAUCUUUCAAUAUGACCCCUAAAAAAUCAUAACAUAAAGAGUUCAAACAUUUAGAAUCCUCAUUAAGACGGAUUUAAGUCCCCAUUUAGAUUAAAGUUUCAAAUUUAGCAAUGUUUAGGAUCACUAACACUUGGGUCCCUAAUAUAACCAAAAACAAAAGGUCAUUGUUAUAAAAUAAAAAAAUAAAUAGGGGUAAUGUUAAUUCUCCGGCUUUGCAAUUGAGAGAUGAUAAGCUACUUAAUAGUCUAAAGAUCAAACCUUUAUGCAUAAAGAUGUACACUUAAUUCUUUAGGACUCAAAAUUAUUUUUUUUAUAGUGUACUUGUUUUAAUCAUUAUCCUCAAAAUAAUACUAUCGCGAUUUGUAUUUUUAAUAUAUAGAUAUAUAUAUAUAUAUAUAAUAUAAGUAAGGAAAACCUUAGGUCAUUGACUAGUAGAGUUUAGUCGUUAACCGCGGUUAGGAGUUAACGACUAGCUUGCCUUGAUUUUAGAGCAAAACUGAAAAGCGAACACUCAACCCCACUCGGGCGACUUUCAAUUUCUCGCGGGACACGGAAAUCAAUGAUACUACUUUGAAACUUUGAAGCUUCAUCUUAUAAUCUAAUAUAAAUAAGACCCUGUUUGAUUGCUCAGAAUAGAAUUAAAUAAAUAAUAAUUUAUUGGUGCGAAUAGAAUAAGAGGAAAUUAAAAAAGUAUAGCUUCCUUAAACAUCUUUGUUGUUUUGCUGGCUUCUCAAGAUACACUUUCUUCAGAUCCGAAGAAAAAGCUAAGAAAUCAAAAUUCAUAUUAAAAAUUAAAUUUCCUAAAUAAAUAAAAUAUUACUAACUAAUUGUUGACUUGCUAGUAUAAAUGCUUUGUAUUGCUAGAUUAUUCUUAAAUCCCAUUGCAUUAAUAUGAAAAAUUUGUGUCGAUAAAUAUGUGAUAUGUCUUGUGUUUAUAACAUGUGAGUAUUCAUUAAGACUCAAUUUAUUCUACUCCAGGCCAACUACAUUUAAAGUAUUGUCUUGAACAAGUAAUUUUUCUCUGAUACCCCAAUCUAAUCGUGUUAUUACACGUGAAUAUUCAUCAACACAAAAACGUAUUGUCGUCUACCUAUAUUAUAACAUUAUAAUAGAAUAUUUAUUCCCCAAGACACAUCCACUAAUAUUUCAUUAAAAUUUAAUAUGCAAAAUAAUUUUUAUUGAAAUACUAAUCGUGGUAAUGCGUUUGACACAAACAGUGACACUGACUACCACUGCCCGCUUUGAUAUUUGCAGUAAAAAUUGAAACUCUCUCUCUCUCUCUCUCUCUCUCUCUCUCUCUCUCUCUCUCUAUAUAUAUAUAUAUAUAUAUGAAUGUAUUUAUUUUAAUUUUGGUGUUAUUUGCUGAGUGUGCUUUUGGACUCUUGCAUGAUCCAAAAGGUGCUCUGCUCUCUGUGUCUAUGGCUUUUUAUCUUCUUCUGUGUUGGCCAAACAGUCGUUGAUGAUUGAAGUCCUUGAAGCGAAGAAGACAACGAAGAUUCUGAGAGAUAUUCAACCCCGACGACUCUUCUUUUUUUUUUUUUUCUUCCGUCGGAGAUUUUUCUGCUGUGAAUUCGCCGGAGACUUUGGAGGAGCUGCAAGCUCUCGUUUUCCAAUUACGUGGAUAGCAGAGAUUGAUUUUCUCGCCGUAGAUCUCGAGUUUUGUUCAAAGUAAGACGUAGAGAUUGAGGCUUGAGGGCUCGGUGGAUUGGAAUUUCGAACAGAGCAGAGUGUUUGUUCAGUUUUUGAGUCUCAGUUUUUUUUUUCCUUUUUUUUUGUGAUAAAAAAGUUGGUGGCUUUGGAGUGGUUCAGUAAAGGGUUUGGAGAUUGUGAAUUCAGUCUUCUGUUAAAGUUGGGUGGGAGACGAAGCAGCUUGGAAUUCUGUGUAUUUCUUAGGGUUGGCGUGGCAGGGCAAUUGACCCUCUGAAUUGGGAAAACAAAACAUGGAUUUGAACUUUCAAGUUCAAGUUUGGUUGUUGGGAAAAUUAGAUACUGCUGGGGGGUUGUGAAGAUUUUCUAGUGAAAACGUGGCGAGGAGCUUUCUUUUUCGGCUCUGCUUCUGAUUCAUGUAUGCUUUUAUAAGGUAAGAAAUUUAUGAAAUGCACUUCAUUAAUUGGAUUGGUUGUUUUUUGUUUUUUUCUAGGGUUUGAUUGAAUUCUGUGAGUAAUUUGCCUAAUUUGGGUUGGUUGAUGUGGUUUGCAGCAUUUACUGAGAGGCAAGAAGAAGAGGGAUUUUUGCAAUUUUUUUUUCUUCUUCUUUUAAAGAGAAUUGAUAUGAUUACGUUUAUGGAUUCAAAAGAGAAAUUGAAGGAGGGGGAGAAGUGCUUAGAUCCUCAGCUAUGGCAUGCCUGUGCUGGAGGCAUGGUUCAAAUGCCUCCAGUGAAUGCCAAGGUCUUCUACUUCCCUCAGGGCCAUGCUGAGCAUGCCUGUGGACCUGUUGAUUUCAGGAACUUCCCGAGGGUUCCUCCAUACAUCUUCUGCAGGGUCUCUGCUAUUAAGUUCAUGGCUGAUCCUGAGACUGAUGAGGUUUAUGCAAAAAUUAGGUUGGUUCCUUUGAGUGCUAGUGAGGCUGGUUAUGAGGAUGAUGGAAUUGGAGGGCUUAAUGGGUCUGAAACGCCGGAUAAACCCGCCUCAUUUGCGAAAACGCUGACGCAAUCCGAUGCAAACAAUGGCGGCGGCUUCUCUGUCCCGAGAUAUUGUGCAGAAACCAUCUUCCCGCGAUUGGAUUACUCCGCAGAUCCCCCUGUUCAGACAAUCCUGGCUAAGGAUGUUCAUGGUGAAACUUGGAAGUUUAGGCACAUUUACAGGGGGACCCCUAGGAGGCAUCUGUUGACCACAGGGUGGAGUACUUUUGUGAACCAUAAGAAGCUUGUUGCAGGGGAUUCAAUUGUGUUUUUGAGGGCAGAGAAUGGUGAUCUUUGUGUCGGAAUUCGUCGAGCAAAGAGGGGAAUUGGAGGUGGACCUGAGUCAUCUUCAGGGUGGAAUCCAACGGGUGGGAAUUGUACCAUGCCAUAUGGUGGAUACUCUGCGUUUUUGAGGGAGGAUGAGAACAAGCUAAUGAGAAAUGGCAAUGGGAAUGGCUCGAAUUCGAAUGGAAGUCUAAUGGGUAAGGGGAAAGUCGGGCCUGAAUCGGUUUUUGAAGCCGCAACACUUGCUUCAAAUGGACAGCCCUUUGAGGUUGUUUACUACCCUCGAGCAAGUACCCCCGAGUUCUGUGUGAAAGCCUCAUUGGUAAAAGCAGCAUUGCAGAUCCGGUGGUGUCCCGGAAUGAGAUUCAAGAUGGCUUUUGAAACUGAGGAUUCUUCCCGGAUAAGUUGGUUCAUGGGAACUAUAUCCUCUGUUCAGGUUGCUGAGCCUUUGCGCUGGCCAGAGUCACCUUGGAGGCUUCUCCAGGUACUACUCUCUCUCUCCCUCUCUCUGUCUGAUAACAGAAUGUGCUCUGUAAUUACGGUUCUCUAAGUUCUUGUGGUCAUUUUUAAUUUAGUUUUUUAUAAUCAAUCUCAUUUUCUUCCAUCUAAUGUAAUGAGCAAACAAACUCUUUUCCAUCGGAAUGGAGAAAACUGAUCCCCAGACUGCACCGUGGAACAUUGGCUCAUCAAUCGUCAUUUAAUGUCCAAUUUCGCUCUCUUUUCCUUACUCCUUUCAGUUCACUUUGCCUUAUGGCUCCUCUGUUAUAGUUUAAUCUGUUUUCCGACAAGUUUAUUAGCUUUUAGGUGCUUGUCCAUACCAAAUACCUAGUCUAAAUCAAGUGUUUUUUGCCCCUCCUCACAGAGUGCAUUUGACAUUCAACAUUAUGUUGUUCAAGUUUGAUGAACAAUUGCAUCUAGGAAGAGCCAUGAUUUUUAGCCAUUGAAUUCAAUUCCUUCGGUUCUCUGAAUUCAUAUGUUGCAGGUUACCUGGGAUGAACCUGAUUUACUUCAAAAUGUGAAGCGCGUUAGCCCAUGGUUGGUAGAAUUGGUAUCAAAUAUGCCCGCCAUCCAUCUGACACCCUUCUCACCACCAAGGAAGAAGAUGAGACUGCCUCAACACCCUGACUUCCCAUUUGAAGGCCAACUUCCUAUGCCGACAUUCUCCGGCAACCUCCUUGGACCCAGCAGCCCUUUUGGUUGUCUGCCCGACAAAACUCCUGCUGGCAUGCAGGGAGCCAGGCAUGGUCAUUAUGGUCUAUCCUUAUCAGAUAUGCACCUCAAUAAACUGCAGACAGGUCUAUUUCCGGCUGGUUUCACGCCUCUUGAUCAUGCUGCUACAGCAACUAAAUUCUCCAAUAACACAAUGACUCAAAAACCUACCAUGAGCGAGAAUGUUUCUUGUUUGUUGACGAUGGCACAUUCUACCCAGACUUCAAAGAAACCUGAUGAUGUAAAGCCACCGCAGCUCGUACUCUUUGGUCAACCAAUACUUACUGAGCAGCAGAUUUCUCUGAGCUGCUCUGGUGAUACAGUCUCACCAGUUCUUACUGGAAAUAGUUCAUCGGAUGGGAAUGCAGAGAAAACCGCUAAUCUUUCUGAUAAUUCUGGAUCUGCACUUCACCAACAAAGCCUACAAGAGCGCUCAUCUUGUGAAGGUUUCCAAUGGUAUAAGGAUACUCGGCAAGAAACUGAACCGAGUUUGGAAACUGGUCACUGUAAAGUCUUCAUGGAAUCAGAAGAUGUAGGUCGCACUCUUGACCUUUCAGUGUUUGGAUCUUACGAUGAACUGAAUAGGAAACUGGCCGACAUGUUUGGCAUAGAAAAUUCUGAGACGCUAAACCAUGUGCUCUAUCGAGAUGCUACUGGUGCAGUCAAACACAUCGGAGAUGAACCAUUCAGGUAUGAAUCAAUUCCCACUGAAUUGUGUAAUGGGUCUGUAGAAUGGAGGAUUUAAUCCUUGUACUUAUCAAAUGAAAGGUUUUCGAGGUAAUAUGUUGAUCAAUUUUUUGUUGAAGUUGCAGUGACUUCAUGAGAACAGCAAGGAGAUUGACGAUUCUAAUGGAUUCAGGCAGCAACAAUGUAGGAAUGUAAAGAAAGAAUAAAACCUUGAUUCAAUUGUACAGCUGGUUGAUAAAAUCCUUUGUUUCCAUGCUGACCAUUUACCCUUCCUGAAGUUCUGGGAGAAGCCGCCCUGAUUCAAUUUUUGAGCUUCCAAUCUAAAUCCUUCCGGCUUUGUAAUUUUUUUUUAAUCUUUGUCAAAGAAGGAAUGUUUACAUUUUUAGAACUUGAUAACAGUAUCAUAAUUUGAUCAGGUUUUUUUUCUUCUUCUUUUCUUUGAGGUUUCUCCCUUUUUUGUAAUUUUUUGGCAGCCAAAUCGUACAAGUAUAAGUAGUUUUGUAGGAGUUGGCAUAUGUACUUAAAACCCUUUUGAUAAUGGCUGAAGCCUUCUAAGAAGGCAGUUUUUUUUCAGUGGAACAUGCACAUUAGGCUCCCAUGAGUGAGUUUGGCUUAUUUGUUGUUUUCUAUAUGUAGUUAAAACACUCUCUCUCUCUCUUUUGGUUGAAGAAACAAAACUAAACAAUGACUCAAGGCCUACAUACUCCAAGUAAAUUUUCAUUAAAAAAAGACCUAAUAUUCCAAAUAGUUAGAACACUAUGAAGGAAGUAUUUCUUGCUAACGAUAACAGUUGUCAGAAAGACUACACUAAUUAAGUAUUCUUAAAAUCUGUUAUCUUCCCUAAUUGUGAAUCAAAAUUCAAGAUGCUGCCUCUUUUUCUUUGUGUGUUUUUGUUGCCUUCUUGCAUGAGUUUUUGACACUCUGUGCCAUUCAACCAAUGAGAAAAGGAUCCCAAACUUUCUUCUCAAACAACAAAAGGCACAAGGAUUAAAUUAGUUCCGUGCAUGACCAAGAAAAAAGAGUUGGUUAAAGGUCUAAUCAGUUUUCACCAUCAAAGUUUUCAAGAUAAGUUGACUUAAUCCUCCUCUUAAUCUCAUGGUUUGUUAAAGAGAAUCAGAUGUUUUACACGACAGCAGAUUUUCAGGGAUUUUAAUCAAGAACACCCAACAACUACUACAAGACUGCCACGCGGAUUUGAAGACAACCAUAGUUUUUGUUUCUCUCAGCUGAAAGUUGUAAACCAAACCGAAGCAUACAAGUAAAAUUAAUUAUUUAAUUAAUUGUCCCAAUCUUAACGCCACAAAGUGUGGGAUACUUACAGUAAUUAAUUAUUAAACCACCAACCAUUAUGUGAGUAAAAUAAAUAAAUAAAUAUUGUUUUUUUAAUUAUAAAUUAUUUAUGGGGAUUGUAAAACAAAAAAUUGUCAAAGACAAAGUCAAUAACUAAUACGUGGGGAAAAACAAAAGAAGCAGAAAGGAACAAACAAAAAACACAUUCUGUCUGUUUAACUUAAUCAGCCGCACGUGAGAACUCCGUGGGUCCCACGCGGCGUUCAUUUAAUUUAAUUUAUUAAUGGGGUUCACGUGUGGGCAACGUCAGCUCGGAAAAGGUGAGAGACUUUUUCGCUUGUGUUGCGCCGUUUCGUUGACCGCGCUGUUUUCCUUUGUUUUCACAAUUUUUGCUUUUCCCUUUUUACAUUUUUACUUCCUGAAUUAAUUAAUAGGUGAGAGACGAGACGGUAAUAUCACGUAGGUACGACAACUUCUUCACGUAACAUAUCGACAUAAAAUGAAGUUUUAUUCAAAUUGCAAUUUAAGUGAAUUUGUAUAAAAAAGUUUGUAGUGAGUUUGAGCUUUCACGAACUAACUACCAACCGUGGUCACCUAAAUCACCGACUUUUCGGGUCGGACCCCAUUGCAAAUAAUCCGGUAGGUGUUUUGUAAAGUUACUUCAAUUUGGAAAUGAUGAGAGUCACAUCAUGUGACUGACUGGGAUUAUCUUGUUUUCAAUAAUGUAGAAAUUGAAUUGAGUUAUUUUAUAUAUUAUGGAGACAAUCAUCAAACUCAGUCGUUUUCGUUUUAAUUAAUAGGGAGGACCAAAACACAGGUAAUUCCAGAUAGACAAGUCUUUGGUAGGCCCAACGCAACAUUACCUCUGUCUUCGAUAAGGUUGAAGGAAUCAAAUUUGGGAUCUAUCCAUCAUUUCACCUCAUCUCCUGUCAUAACUUGAAUUGAAAUUCACAAACUAAACACAUCACACUCACGGGUUGGGUAGCUAUAGGUUUUGGAAGCCAAGUUGGGCAACAAAUAUCUAAUCAAAUCUUAUUACAAAUGGCUUUUUAACGUGUUGAUUCGACUCGAGUUGGAUUUGAGUUGAAUUUCACUUUUUAAAAUGAGAAUUGUAAAGCACAAUAUAUUAGACUUUUAUCUAAUUUAAUAAUUUCAAUCUCAAUACGUAUUCAAUUUAAUUAAAAUAAUACAAUCUAAUCUGAGACACCAAGCUUAGCCAAAAUUUAGAAAAAUCACAAGGCAAGAGGUUACCUUACCUUGACCUCAUUGAACUCUUGCGAGUUGGCAUUUAAUUUGACACCCCAAUGGCCCAAAACAAAUAGUCAAAUAAACGGUGGUCAAAGCAGAAACAGAGAGAAAAAGGAGACAAAUACCUUUCCCAAGGCCAAAGCAUUGUUUGUUUUAUUUUUUCUGUGUUAACUCACUUAGUUUUCAGAACCCACUUUCCACCACCAUACAUGGCAUGGUUUCGACCUAGAAAAUUAAACAAAACACAUUCAUUUGUUUCAUAAGAUGAGAUGAGAUGAGAUGAGAUGGGAGACAAUCUCGUCCCUAGGGAUUACUUGACUUUAGAAUUACGUUAAGGAAGUGUCAGGUUUUGGUGCACAGAAAUAUGCACAAGGGAAGGAGGAAGAGAAGGCUUCACUUGGAAGUGGGUUUUCUUUUGAGAAUUGAGAGAUCCAAGGAACGGGAAAUAGGGUAUUGUUCAAGGGACAAAUACGUCAUCAACAUUCAAUGAGUAUUGGCUAAAACCUGUCUCCAUGUCCUUGCUCUCUCUCUUUAUAAUAUUCCACCUCCUCCCACCUCCCAUUAGGGUUUGUUGCCCCUUGCCACUACCACACCAUGUUCUUUUCUCAUAUGUCCCACUUCAAUUCCACUGCGGAAUGAAGGACAAUCACUCACACGCGUGCAAUAACUUUUAGUUAUAAAGCUGUAUUGACAACUACAUUAAGGGUUGAGAGUUGCCGAUACAUGCAUAAAUGAUUGUUACUCAUAAAAUUUUAAAGUUACUGAUUUUUCCUAUGAACUCCAUCCAUAUUCUUUUCUGUAUAAGUAAGGAUUGUAAGGAAUAGUAAACUCAACCAUUUCAAAUUUGGAAUCCCAAAAAAUGCAAUAGUAUUUAGGUUUGUUUGAUGUAUAUAGUUAAUAGUUCCUUUGUACGUACUUAGUACUUUUCUUAUGAAUUUAUUUAUGUAGUUUCAAAAUAUUUUUAGGAGAUUCAUUAUUAUACCCAAUGUAGAGGGCAAAUUUAUAAAAAAAAUCCUACAUAAAAUGGACUUUCGAAACACAUCCAAAGCCCAUUUACAACAUAACAAAGAGACUUCGAACUUCCUAAUAAAUUACAAACUGCCAUCGAUUUCGUAAAACAAAUCCAACCCCAAAACCUCAUAAAAAAUCCAAAACACUCAAUAGGUUAUCAAAGUAAUUUAAUAAUCAAAAUUAAAUUCAAUAUGGCCAACUAUUAAUUUGUUUAUAAAAAUUAAAUGGUGUAGGAUUUAUCUAUAUCACUAGUGCUAAGAAUAAGUAUAUAACUAAAUAUCUCAUCAAUUUUUUUUUUUUAUAAAUUAGGAAGCUUCUCAUGAGUGAAUAAUAUAAAUGAAAUGAAGUGGAAUUCACACCACGAUAACAAAGCAUCCCACAUUUAUACAUAUACAAGUAGAAAUAAGUAUUCAAGAUUCCACCAUUGACAAACAAAACUUGCUAUUGCUAGUGUUGUUUUCAUUCAAGAGAUCAAUCAAUUUGGGUUUGAAAUUCAUAGCAUCUAUUUGAUGUCUAUGAGUGGGGGCUACUGCAAGUUUCGUGUUGCCUCGUGAGAAAAACCCUACGCUUGCAACACAUUCUCAAUUAAAAAUGCACCAUGCGGGAAUUAUUUUUAAUUUGUUCCUUGCUUGCUUUGACAAAUUGUUAUCUUGCCCAUUUUUUUCUGUAUAUAUUUCUCAAUUAUUUCGACGCUUAUCUAAAGUUAUAUUUUUUUUAUAAUUAUUCGAAUUUUAGGAAAGACCGAGUUCAUUAUCGUCAUUGAUGUGAGAGAAAAGUGCUCUAUCAUUAUAAUUGAAUCCUUAUUAUAAAUGAAUUAUCUUUUCAAAACAUGGACAUGAGUGAAUAUUGGUAAGCCCAUUAUUUUUUGAAGAACCUAAGAAGAAGAAGAAAAAGAUUUAGAGGAUUUUCUAAUUUUAUCAUAAUCUAAAUUGUCUUGUCGCAGUUGAUUUUAGGCUUACCAUCUGAGUUAAAAUUUAAUUUACAGGAGAAGAAGCCAUCAGCAGGAGAGUAAAAAAUGAAUUGAAUAUGGAUGAUGGAGGCUUAUGGUACAAGUUAUGGGCCCGCCAACACCUGAAUUUUUUGUUGUCCUCCUCUCUCUCUCGUCCCCUCCCUUUGUCCCUCUGGAGUUUCUGGGGCGUUGUUUGUCUUGGUCAUGUCCGUGUCGUACUCUCUUACAAGUUAACGCCAAAGUCUCUUCCAAAAACGACAGAGAUUCGGAUGACGUGGCAUACUAACCACUCCCCCGUGCUGCUGUGGUCCCCACAAUCUCUGCCUACUAUGCCCUUCGUUGUGACAGCGACGUGUCGUCUAAAUUCGGCAUGCCAUGUUAUGUUAGAAAUUGGGAAUUGAGGCCCUUGAAUGUUUUGCCUUUGGGCUAAUAUUUGGAUUGAGCCCAAUUUCUAAAAAUUCCUAGAACCCAAACAAGAUUCAAAAUGUAUCCACACUGAAAAUAAUUUUAAAUUUUUUUUUAUAUAUAAUUAGAAAAUAUAUACACAUAUCAAUAAUUUUAUAUUCUUACUUUUUAUAAAUUCAGUCCAUUUUAAUAAUUGUUGCAAUAGGGCAGAAAAAUAAUUAUAAAUAAAAAAAUAUGUACAUAAAAAUCAAGUACAAAUACUAAUGCUUAAUAGUUCAAAUGGUUUAAAGGCCCAAACUAUGAGGAGCUGCCAACUCUUUUAAAGACCAUACAAGGAACACAAAGGCCUGCCAAAUUUGGUCUAAAGACUUUGAUAUGAUUUGGAUUUGGACGUGCAGCAUGAAGGGCAAGGCAACAAUAUAUGAGGAGAAAUUCUUAGGUGUACCCAAUACAGGUAAAGAAAACAAGUAUAGCUGGAUGGAGAUACUUUUUUUUUUUUUUAAAGAAAAAUUCUAGUGUAGUCGUGAGGCUCUACUGUUUUGUAAAAUAUGCGAGUAUAGUCGUGGCUAUACUAUUUAUAGAAAAAAAAAAAAAAAAAGGCCCCGCCUAGCGCUUAGGUGCCCACGUGUCAAAACCCGUAUAGCCCCACGGCUAUACUAUUAACGGCUAUACUGGUUUUUAAAAUAAAAAAUACCCGGGUAUAGCCGUGCGGCUAUACUAUUUAAUAUUUAAAAAGUGGGACCCACGUGUCAAAACCAGUAUAGCUGCGCAGCUAGACAAACUUUUGAAAAAAGAAAUACCGUAGUAUAGCCGCCCGGCUAUACCAUUUACUUUUUAAAAAAAAUUAAAAAGUACCCUCCUAGUUGCAUUAGUUUAUAAUUUAUUAACAUUAAUUGGCUAGUUUCAACAUUUCUAAAGUACAUAUUGAAGAGAGAAAUUUCAUAGUAAAUCAAUUUUAAAAUUUUAAAGUUCAAAAUUUUUUUUGUGCGGGUAUGUUUGCUUUGAUCUAACUCGUUUUCUCGAGUGAAACUUGUUGGAGGAACAACAAUCAAUAUUAUUCUAAUAAUUUAAUUGUUUAAAUAAAAUUAAAUAUGGCUAUAAAUUAAAAACUGAUUAUUUUUGCAGAUAGAGGCUUGCAGAAUUGCAAUGUCUUUGAAAUAGAAUUUCAUCCUUACUCAGUGCUUGUAGUUCUGCAGACAUUUGCUCCACCAAGAUACAACUAUCUAAAUCAAAGUCUUGGCACUAGGGUUUUGAUUUCUAGCGAAAUUUGUGUGUUUAUCUCUGAAGCUGUAUAAGAAUGAUGAUAUUAAUGUUCUCUAUGAAUUUGAUAUAAUUUUUUAGAGACCUAGGGCUUGUGUUUAAACAGAGUGGCUGAUACAUGUUCCAACUGGUAUUAAAUCAGGACCCAAAAAAGAAAUUAGAGUAAAGCCGAGCGGCUAUACUAUUUUGGAAAAAAAAAACCCACGUAUAGCCCGGCGGCUAAAAAGGGGUUAGCAAGUAUAGCCGUGCGGCUAUACUAUUUAUAGUACAAAAAAAAUCCGCCUAGCUCUUAGGUGCCCACUUGUCAAAACCAAUAUAUCCGCCCGGCUAUAUUAGUAAAGCCGCGCUGCUAUACGGUUUUGAAAAAUGUCCGAGAUUAUAGCCCCUCGGCUAUACUAUUUAGCAUAUAUACAUAUAUAUAUACGAAAACUUACUUGUCAAAAACAGUAUAACCACCUAACUAUACUACUUUUUUUAGAAAAGAAAUAUCGUAGUAUAGCCGAUCCCAUUUAUUGAAGAAAGACUUCAAUGAAACAAGAAUAACACUAUUUCACUAUUCGAGGCCAAUAACACUAUGAUAUGCGUGCACAUGACAGGACAUUAGAAAUAACAAAAUAGUGUUAUCCUCAUGCUACUAAGUUUUUCUUCAUUUAGUGAUACUUAUGUCCUUUUAAUUGGACUGAGACACGGGAGAAAGCUAAGAUUAGAGGAGGACACGGCUAUUAAGCUUGGGGCAACUGUCCUUUGGCAGGCCUCGACCAAAAGUUGCAUAGCAUUUAAAUUCUCAAAUUCAGUGGAAGCAGAAACAUAAUAAAUAUCAUAACCUGAUUUAAAUCAAGUAUAUAAUGCCACAAACAAAGAUAUACUAUAUAUGUAUAUAAUGAUUCUGCAUAUCACACAGAAGAUCAUUUUUACGAUUGCCAAGGAAAUUCAAUUCAUCCAACACAAUUACACAAAUGUAUGCAGUUAACACUCAGAUAUACAUAAGUAGUCCAAACGCUUCAAAAGAGUUUCUGGAUUACAUAAUCUGCACCAUCCUAGGGCUUUGCAAUACAUGCAACCACUUCUUACCCAGACUAAUCCCACCGCCAGUGCAUUGUUAUAUGAACGUAACACCUGAAAACACAGAAAUUUCUAUGUUAAUAUUCUGAAACUUCAAAAACAGGAGAAGAAAACUUGGGCAAAACAAUUAGGCAGAAGCCACAUACGUAUUUCCAUAGAAACCAUUGAGUGAUGCAUGUAAGCAACAACUAAAGUUCUGUUCAUUCAUUUACUGAAAAGAGAAAGAAUGCUGCUAAUGCAAUAUUUUUGGUGUUUUUCAUCAGUUGGUAUCAAGUAAAAAACCACUUGAGGCUUCUCUAUUUUCCAAUUAAAGGAGAUGGCACAAUUGUCGGCCAAAACCGGCUCUGUGCUGCUAGGCAUAGAGAUUGACAAGGUGGGUACUGUUUCAGAUGGACACUUAAUUUAAAUGAGAUACUCAUGUUGGGCAAAACAAGACUUGUAUGGUAUGUAAUACAUGUUCAGCAUGCCGAUAUUCAUAUAGGGUUGGUUGAUUUCCCAAAUUCCAGAAUAACCCUAGCAACCUGAAUGAACAACAUUUGAAACAAACACUUGCACUCCUACCCAAGCUAUCAAUCAAGCCUACUAUAGUUUUCUCUUUAAUUAACAACUGAACACAGCAAAAACCCCAAUAAACCACCACCAAGCCUCCCUGUUUGAUCUUGUUCGGUCUGUCUGUUUGUUUGUUUUAUUAUAUGAGGAAGGACUGGAUUUGCAGGCUACUAAUGUCUACGGGGACCAAAAGUAUACACAUCAAAGUUCCAGCCUUUGCUUAAUUAGAUCAGAGUUUAUCAGAAGCAUGCAUUACUCAGAAUUACUUCACCGUGUCGCAGACAUAGAAUCUAAUAAUUACUGAAAUUUGACGAGGAAAUCAACUAAUAGAGGAAACCCUAAAAAUCUCAUUAACCCAACAAAUGAAGAAAAUGCGAUAAGAACUUUAGCAUGCAAUACUUUACUAUGUCACAGCCAUAGAAACUAGUAAUCACUGAAAUUUGACAAGGAAAUUAACUAAUACAAGAAACCCAUAAAAAUUCCAUGAGCCCAACAAAAUUAAAAACCCCAAAAAGUCAAUUGAGCUGCCCCAAUUGAGUAAAGAUACAAACUUUAGCACGAGAAUAGAUGUAAUUGCAGAGAAUUCAUCCGAACCUUUAGUUGUAAUAGAGCUCGAGGCCCAUGCCGUCAUGGAUUUCAUAGUCCUUGAGGGUGAUGUGGUCCUUGUAGACGUUGUACCACUUCUGGAUCCGAAUCUUGUCGGAUCGGGUACCCGUCUGAGCAGCCACGAGCUUCUUGAGGUCGCCUAUGGUGUCAUCCUCGUUGCACUUCACUUUCACCUUCUUCCCGAGACGAUCGUUCAGCACCACCUCAAUCAUCUUCGAUACAAUCAACAAUCAAUCAGACAGCCUAAAACCCUAAUUCGCCAACUGAAAGAUUGAGAGACCCAAUUUUACACCACAAAACAAAGAAAAUUGUUUAAUAUACAACUUUCCAGGGGCUUUAUGGUCUUUUAGAUUUCCCGCCGCCUACAAAAGUCUACAAGUCUACUUUCCCACCUCUUCUUGGUCUCCUAUUCCUUCUCACAAUUGCACUCAUUCAAGAUAAAAUAAUGUUAAAUACUUGUUCUAAUUACGCGUGAAACUUUUUUAUUAUUUUGAUUAGAAUGAUUCUUUUUACAAAAUCUGAAAUUGUUUACAAACUAAUCCGAUCGUAUUAAGCAAGGGUUUUGUAUCUCAAGUACUUAAUAAUAUUUAUUCAUGAGUAUGAGGUUUUAGAUUUGAUUCUUCCAAUACUCUAAUAUCGAAAAUUGAAUGAAUAGCUCAUUUUACUAAAUGUUUUAUCAAGUUCAACUAAGCUCAUGUCGCUUUGAAUCAACAUGUUGAAUUAUUUAAACAAAUAGAUGACAUAUAUUUUCAAGUAUGCGUUAAGGAAUUAGUAUGAGAUCAACCAUCUCUAUUCUUGAUUUUUCAAGCAUUGAAUAACGGAUUGUAAUGUGAGACCAACGUACUUUUUUAUUUCAUAUGUGUUAAUAAAAGUAUGAAUAUUCAAAUAUAUAUAUAGAGAGAGAUUCCAAGUAAGUAAACAUACCAGAAUAUAAAACAUGGAUUUAGGUUGAGCUUGGGUUGACAAAUGAUAUUUACCCCUUUUAGUUUUACAAAUUAUAACUUUUUCUCUCAAUCAAAUUUAGCCAAAGGAAAAUACAACUUAGAUUAAAAUAUAAUUUAUAACUUUUGAAUUUUUAAUUGACAAUCUUAUUUUAAAAGCCAAAGAGCCAAAACAAAGAAAGGAUAUGAUCUAAGUCUCAAUGACUUGUUUGGGAGUGCUUCUGAAAAGACUAAAAGCGUUUUCUGACAACUAAAAGCGAAUUUGAUAUCGUUUGACAUAAAAGUUUAGAAGCUCAUUUGGGUCAUAGAAUGGCUUUUUGGCAAAGCACAUGCUAUGUGUUUCUUCAUAAGGCACUCCCAAGUGUUUUUUCGAGAAGCAUUUGGAUUUUUUAAAAUGAAAAUUCAAGAUUUUUAUAACAAAAGUGAUUUUGGUAGAAGCGCUUAUGAGCAUAAGUACUUCUUAGAGAAGCAGUCCCAAACAAGUCAUUAGUUGAGGAAUCAUCCCAAUAAGAGGUCUUGCAAAAUUAAUGGAGAAUUAAAUUAAAAUAAUAUAGCUUGCUAUUUUUGAUGGGAAACAUUGCCCACACCACAUGAAGAUAAGAUGACUGAAAGAGUGAAAGGUCACAAAUUUUGUCACUAAAAAAGAAAGAAAAAAGGUUUCAACUUUAUCAUAAAUCCCAUCAAGGCGAAUUCCUAAAAAAGAUGCGUAUUGCCCGAUCAAAAAAAUUGGAAGAGAAUGAAAAAAAAAGAAGCAUAUGCCAAUUGCAAUGGGUGUACCAAGAACACAUAUACAAACAUAGACAAGUGUUGGGUCACACAACGAGGCAGCAGCACGCCACUGGUGACUGUCGUGAGUCAUGUCUGACGAGAGAAGCUGACAAAUCCCAUCAAUUCCAAUUCCAACCAUUUCUGCUUCACCUUCGUCUACCUCCGACACUCCGAACUGUAACUUCUUCUUACCCGUUUUCAAUUCCUUCAAUUCCGUCCUAUUGAAACAAUUAACAAUCAAAAACCCAACACCCAUCGAGCUGAAAUCGUCAGCUGAAAAAGGACCAAUCUUUGUUGAUUCUUGUUGUUGUUGAACAUGGUUUCAUCAAGAUCUCUUGUCUUUCUGUAGAGCGUGCAGGGAGUCAGGGGAGAGAUUGGAGCGAUGAACGUGAGCCGCCCAUCGGUUCACCCCGUGGAGGCCCCGCCCUUGACUGACUUGGCAGCCCAGAAUGCUCUCAGAGUGAGGAUGAAGGACGUUCAAGGCAUGCCUGGCACCACAGGUGGUCUCGUGUUGCGUCUUUGCCAGCUCGGCUUUGCAGCCAUUUCUCUCUCAGUCAUGGCCACCACCUCCGAUUUUCCCUCUGUCACCGCUUUUUGGUAAUGCUUGUUUUGUUGUGUUCAUGAUUUCACGAUUUUUACUUGAUUAUAGACGUUGGUUUUGGUUAAAGUCAAGUCUUUGAUGAUUAUUGUGUUUGCUUUUUUCUGGGUCAGCUACCUUGUUGCUGCUGUUAGUGUGCAAUGUGUGUGGAGCUUGUCACUGGCGAUUGUUGAUGUGUAUGCUCUUUCAGUGAGGCGGAGCUUGCGCAACUGCAAGGUUGUGGGUUUCUUCACCAUUGGAGAUGGGGUAAGAUAGGAUUCAAACUCAUUAAGUCUUGUUGCAUAACUGCAGCAAAGCAAUGCUGGUAUUCUUGUUGAAUUAACUAUUUAGGUUCCAUGUGAAAUUUAGCCCAAGCCUGCUAAACCAGUUAGAAGUAUAUGAGUUUUUCCUUCUCUAUGGGCAGAAUCUUAAGCUACCCCUUCUCUAUUGCCUGUUUGCCACCCAACCCUUACCAAAUGUGGCAUUGAUAGAUUUCCCCAAACUUGAUAACGGUGCUUUAUGUCAGAAGCUUCAUGUGGAUAUGUUUUGUGAUUUUUUUUAUCUGAUUUCUGGUCUAAUGUUUUAUCUAAUUGCUAGUUGGGAAAUAGCAUAGGGUUCUUUGCAUCCAUUUGUUAGCUGCCUUGUUCAUAUCUGCUUACCCAAAUAUAUCCAUAUACCAUUGCUUCGAAGUGGAAUUUGCUACUCCGGGGGUCCAUAGACACAGUUGCUGUUCUAGAUUAUGCUGCAGUUGAUAGUGUUACCAUCAAUUGUCUUUUAGUACACCAAGACGCUACUACAUCUAAGACUGACUAAAAUGUUUCUGUUAGUUGAUUGGCCCAUCUUCUGGUCUUUGGAAUAAUCAGGAGCACAGUACCCAAUUAGCUUGCCCUCUUUACCCUUGUACAAUGAAAUAAGGUUGCAUUUUUACAAACUAUACAAGAGUAAUAAAACCUUUAUAUUCAGGUCUCCACCUGUGGAUGAUUAUUAUUCUCAUGUACAUUUGAAAAUACCAGUUGUGGAUCUAAUUCAGAUAUUUAACAACCAAUAUUAUAACAAGGUAAAAUCUCUGCGACAUGACAUGUUACAACUCGUUCUUCUGAAGUUGCAGUUUCGCCUUGUUUCUCUUCUUGAAAAGUGUUACAUAUUUGUCUCAUGUUGCUUAGGUGUGUCUACGAGCCUCUAAUGUGCUCAAUCGUCUUUUGUUCUAUCGUUGUCUUGAUUGUGAACAUUACCUUGCCUAUCUUUCAUUUUUAUUUCUUCAAAGUGGUAGCAUACUCGUGACCUUAGAGAUAUGACUCCAUGUAUGUCAACCACAUGUUUUAAUUCUGGUUGUGGAACCUCUUGAUACCACCUACCAUUUGUAGGCUGCUUAUGAUGACCCAACCUAGUUUCUCUCAGUGCCAAGCUUAAUCGCAGACAAGUUUCAGAGUCUCAGCUUGGGCACGAUAACUAGAUCCCUAACUGCCUUGCUCUGAUACCAGAAUCUUGAACAAAACAUGUGGGAAGCCAACAGAAUUUGAAUAACUUGCAUACUACGAAUGCACAACUAUAUUACACACACAAACAAAGACACUUGUGCAGGCACACUCAUUUAAAUAGACGCUCUUACUUACACCUGACACCUCACUUUCACUCAUGCUCUGCUACAGGGAUAAUCAGAGCUGAGCUCUCUAUAUAAUGAUGAUCAAAGUCAGUUCUGCCAACUUUACUUUGUUAUUUUUUUUGCUUUAUUUGUUCAGAUGAGCAGCUGCAUCCAACUCAAAUGGCUAGCAUAAGUAACUGGAUAUAUCAGUCUAUCCUCAGCUUACUGAUAUGAUGUGUUGUUUUAGGAAAAUGUUAAGUCAAGUCUUACUCAAUAGCCAUCUCAUCCGUUUCCAUAUGUGAUACUAAUAGAUAUCCCUUCUUGGGAUUUUGUCAAAUUUGAUGCGUGGCCUUCUUUUUAUGGAAGAUAACUUAACAUCAGUCCUUCAUUCAUUUUGUAACAAUAUGCUUUGUUAAUAUGUACUUGUGCAAAUAUCCAUUUGUUUGGAAGUUGGAAAGUGAAAAUUUGUGCGUGAGGAGUACAUUGUCCAGACCUAGUACAUCCGCAGCUUACAGAUCUGUGGGUGUUCUUUUCAUGCAGAUCACAUCCACGCUUACAUUUGCUGCCGCAUGUGCUUCUGCUGGAAUUACUGUCCUCAUUGCCAAUGAUCUUAACAAAUGUGAUGUGAACCAUUGCAAAAGGUUUGAGACUGCCACGGCUAUGGCUUUUAUCAGUUGGUUUGCUGUGUCACCAUCCUUUCUUUUAAACUUCUGGUCACUGGCUUCCCGGUGAAACACGGCAGGGGGGGAAUUCAUCAGUGAGCCGAGUCUUCUUAUAUUCUAAAAAAAAAAAAUUGGCCUCUUUUAAUGGCUGUGCAGGGUAUUUGUUUGAUUGCCCUUAUUCUGUACAUAGAAAUAUUCUGGCAGAGUUUGUUGAAGAAUAAUAACAUUUAGCAUGGAGAUAUGUAUAAUUUUGGAUUUUGAAUCUUUUUCCUCAUUGUGGGUGUCAUGUGAUAGUUUUUGUUGUUCUUCCAAAAGCGUUUUCCUAUUGGUUUGCUUUGAAACUUCUUAGGGUCUAUAUGCACCGAAAGCAGCAUUGGAAAUUCUGCAGGCUAAAAGCUUAUAGGUGCCAAGUGGGAACCGUAAAUAUCAUUCUGCUUCCUUGAAAUGAAGAAGACCUAAACCCAUGUAGAUUUGAUCAAAUGACAUAACCCAAUGUCAUGGCCAAGAAUCCCACGUGCAGAAGAAUGAGGUCCCUCAAGAGUAGGUAUGCAACAUCACCUAACAUGACAUGCUAGUCUUUUCGGUUGAUUGGCGAGCACCUAGCCGGUUAGGAGUAGUAUUCGAGCACCCCCAUUUUUGGUUAAUUGGCAAGCACAUAACCUGUUAUGGGACGUAGAUGUAUUAACGGUGAAAUCAGUUACCAAAUACUGCCUUUCCGAAAGGAGAAGGAAAAAAAACACAUAUGUAGACGUCACAACUUACAUUAGGUUGUGCAGUGGUUAAUAUAAUUGUAACUGAAGAAGUUCAACUUUCUAAGAAUACAACUUUUUCUUUUUCACUUUUUUUGUUAGUGGUUGGUUAUAUAUGGGAAGUAGUUACAGUUUUAUUAAGAAGUCUCUUCUUUUGGUAAGUCUCUAACUCUUCUGUUAGCUUCUAAUCUCCUUUUCUGAGUAAGUGAUUAACUGAGGAUUAGGCUAAAUCUUGACACAUCUCUCAUCAACACAAGAUUAGUGUUUAAUCGAAAGCGUAAGGGAAAAGAAAUGGCAAGCAAGAUAACGGUCUCUCAUCCCUUUUCAAUUCUCUGCCUAGAAGAACAGUCAAGACAGUUGGUAACGGCCAUAAAAGAUUUAAGCAAAGAUGGCUUUCCGUGCUAUUAACCUGCUCCUUGAGCAACUUGACCAUCUAUAUAUAUGUUUCAACCUUUACUGUUAUCUUUGAACAAUUUGUCCCAAAGAGAGAAGGGUUUAGCGGGCUUGAAGUUGAAGAUUGGAGAAGUAUGUCUAAUAAGGAAGUUGAGGAGGAAAGAAGGCUAUAUCAGUGUGCAAGGAAUUAUGAAAAAAUUGUAAAACAGGUAGAGUGUGCAACGUAGUAUGUUUACUUUUACCAACUGGAUUUACCUUUCCCUAAUUUAAAUUUAACCAUGUUUGAAAAUCAAAAUUACUGAGAUAAGUUAGCCUGGAAAUCAUAAUGCAUCCCAACCCCUUAGUUAGAACAUUGUUUCUUUCUUUCUUUCUUUCUUUUUGGAAUGACAUUUUGUUCCAACUUAUACACAAAUUGAUUAGGAAACUUGGGUUUGAUUUCUGUUCUUCAGUUUGAUGAGCUGAUUGAGAUGAUGAACACCCGGAGCAGACUGCCGAAGCGACGAAAGGUAUCUUCCGAUAACAUCUCUUAUAUAAUUCCAUCUUCAUCUUUAAAUCUCACGUAUGUUCAUGCAAUUCACAGAAUUCUACAACUGCUGCCCCUGCCCCGGCAAGUCAACAUGAGGACAAUGAAGUGUUUGCACAGACAAUAACAAGAUUUCUCCAGGACCUGAGAACCAACCCUGCAGAACCUGACUGCUCCACAGCCCCCGGAGAUGGAAAUUAGUUAUCUUCCUGCGGGGAAAAGAUUGCUUGUAAAGAUGAUUAUGAUCUCACUGCCAUCUUAACGAGUAAUUGUAUUUAGUGGUGGUUAGUGGCUAAUAAUUACUAUUUAAGUGAAUGCUUGACUAGCUAUCUUAGCAUGGUUAAAAAUGUAAUGAUAUUCAUCUCUUGAAAGUGCAUGACAGGUGUUCCAGGCGAAACUCUCUACAGUAAAUGUUUUUCCUUUUUGUCAAUGCGGUAAUUUAAACUUCUCUAAUCUACAGAAUCCUACUCUAAACUACAGAGAGGAUUCGGAAGUUAGGAGUGUGUAUAUUGCCCUAGCCAACUGGCCUAAGCACAUUUUUAUUUAAGAAAAAGAAAGAAUUUGACUUAACAAAAAAAUCCAUGUACGACACGCAGAGUCUUUUGAAUAAAGGCGCACAAGACACACAAUCGGACAUCCAAAAUUUCACAUCUUUCAAUUAAAUGAAUUACAGGGUCCGAAAUUCCUGGAGAUCUAUUACAAGAAGGAAUCAUUGCAGGAAAAGAAAAACAUAAAUUGAAGAUUGAACAACUUACAUUGGUUCCUAAGCAAGAAAAUAAAGGUGGAAAAAAGUCAUUGUAUAUUCAUUGUAGAAAAGCAGAGUCAUUUUAUCGAACACCUCUCAGUUUCCUAGAAAGCAGCACAAGUUAAGAGUAGUAAGGGGCCACGCGCAUCUCGUGCAAAAAAAGGUCUCUCGUGCUUACCAUUGGAAGUUGCAAAUUUGCAAAAUGGAGAUUGAGCUCAUGAAAUUAGUUUCUUGGUGGGGAGCACAUGGAUUGGACAAUAAUGAAAAAUGAGGUAAAUUUGGUUAUGCUGAAGCUCUUGACCCUUGAUGAUCAGAAAACCUAUUGCAAGCUGCACUUCAGCUUCUCAGCCUCAAGCUCUUGUUUCAUGGCUUCCAUCCGUUCAACCAAGGCCAUAUUUUCCUGGGCAUUUCAGGGCUUGUAAGAAGAGGAACACGAUUCAAACCUAAAGGAACUUUUAAACACACUAACAUAUCAUUGUCUAUCAGAGCCAGCAAGGGAGAAGAAAAGGAAAAAAACCAGACUUUCAUUUAACAUCAAAACAUGCAGUUUAUGCAUAAGACUUGGGUGCAUAACAUAAGUUGAAAUUUUAAGUCUGAUAAUAUGAGCAAGCCAUUCUCAGCAUUGUUUUUACUUAGCUCCUUAAAGUGGAUGAAUGAAAAAGAGAAAGAUUGCAUUGAAUCUUACAGCUUUUAGUUCUUACCCUCUUUUGACUGCUUGGUUAUAGGACUUGUUAUGAGACAUCAUGAUAAUUUUUGUAUUAAAUUUUGUACUGGAAAAAAAGGGUCACCUUUUGUAGAUUCACCAAUUUCUGGUUGAGGCUAGCAGCAUUUCCAUCAUCCUCCUCAAAAGACCCCUUUAUCUGCGAGAACGACGAAUAAUUCAUCGGUCCACAAAGAGAUGAUUACGAUAGGCACAGAGAAUCUAAUCUUACCCUGGGGUGGAGGGAAAGACAAAGACACCCAAUUCUGUGCAUAUAUACUAUUGCUAAUGAGAACAGACCCGCUUAUCAAAUGCCAAAACAGAUAUAUGGGCCUCAACUACUCUUAACAGCUAAAGACCCCUGGUAAUUUAGUUGAGGACAUACGAUGGUUAUGAAGGGAUUUGCUCUAUCACCAUUCAGUGCAAAAUUCAGGAAGAUAUGUGUUGAAGCAAUAAUUUGACUGGUGCCCAGUCCAGAAAUGUGCUUUAGAAUUAUUAUUAUCAUUGGUAGGUGAGAGGUUUUACCACAUCUGAUCUGGACCAGCAGUUUUACCACAUCAAAACAAUAAAAUAAAAAUAUAGGAAAAAGGUUUAUUAUUUACUUGACAAGAUCAUGUUGUUAGACUGAAGCAUUGUUUAACAAGUCAUUCAACUCCAGGAUGCCCUUCCAAAGAUUGGACCCAAACGCUCUUCUACAAUUUUUGGCCAAAACCUCAUGAAUGCUAAAAAAAAAAGUGAUAAAAACCAUACUAUAGUUUCAAAAGUGGUUUUAAAUUUAAUUAUCUUUUGGGUCAAUGUAGAGAUCAUUUUCAAAGACUACAUCUUGCUUUGGCAUCCUUACAAUUCUCAGCAUGCAAAGUCAACCUCCAAAGUGCAUAUGAAAAUUAAUUUGCCACACUAAGUAUGCUCCAAUGAGAUUCGUGAAAAACAGCGAUAACAUACCGUUUUCUACACAGAGAUAUGAAGCUCUAGUUAUACAACAAAUCGUGAAAAAUAAUUGAAAAGAAUUGGCAAAAUCAGGUGCGGACCUGUUUGAGUUCGUUCAUACACUUGGUAGCCCUUUCUGCUUCUACAUCGUAUUUCAGCCUCCACUCAGCAGAUUCAUCCAUUGCUUCCCUAUUAGCAAGGUCGAACUGCCGCCUACCAUAUUUUGAGAGAAAAAAUAUAUGUAGUUGACUAAAAAAAAUCUUUAAAUCAUAAUAGAAAUAACAAAGAAACUCGACCUAUAAACCCAAAUCAACACUGAAAAUCCCAUUUCAUUUUAUGGCAAACACUACUAAUUUUUUGACAUAUGAAACUCUAGAAAUGAAAAGGGUACAUGUAAAAUCAUAUACUACAAAAUAUAAAAUAGGAGCCAACCCAGAAACUCAACUUAGGAUUUAUGAUAAAUUAGCUCAAGAAUCAAAAGAAAGUUUCUGUCUUUUCUCACAACUGAUAUUCAACUAUGCCAUCAGAUCAGAAUCACUAUAAUGGGAAGUAAUGCAAGAACUUGGGCUUAAAUUUAUCUUAUAUAUAAAGGGCAAUCAUUUUUUCAUUCAUUCAUUCACAAAAUCCACAAAAACAUGAACCCUUAAAAACAAAUUUGAGGUUGACAGAGAGAUGAGAUGGGAAUUAAAGCAAAGCAAACCUCAAGAGCUCAGCUUCAUCGGAAGAAACGGUAUAGUCGAUGGUCCAAAGCUUCAAGUACACUGCAACCCCAAAAAGCAUCAGCACCACCAAACCCACCAAUAUUUUCUUGCUCCCACCACCACCCCCCAUUUUUUGUUUCUCUCACUCUCACUUCUGUUCUGCGACCAAACCCAAGACAAACACGCGGGUAAGAACCUGGCUUCAACUACUCGUAAAUUGGGCCUAAACUAGGCAAUGGCCCAUGACCCUAUACUUUUGCCUUUUUGUUGAGUGAUUCUAUUUUGCACUCAAAAGGGUCUUUGGACAUCCCUGAAAGUUCUUCUAUUUUAAAAUGACAAUUAUACCCUUAUGUACAGUCGCCACAAAGUACUUUUGCCCUUUUGGAUUUCUCAGGAUACCCACACAACACAACACUAUCGAACCGAACCGAACUCACCAUGGCACCAUCUCUCCCUUUCUAACCCUAAUUUACCUCUUUCUCAACUGCUCUGAUGAUCAUGAGGAAGAAAGUGAUGAAGAAGUGGAUAUAUUGAAUGGUUCCUUAAAACUAAGGAGGAGUUCUCCUCAUAAUAAAUGGGAUUUUGACACUUAUCAAAUUCCCAAAGAAAUAAAAGUUGAAGGAAUUCAAAAGAAAACAAACAAGUUAAAGGAAUUUGACAAGUGUGAAAACCCCAUUUGUUAGGAGGAGGAGUUCUUCCAAUUAAAGCACAGAUUUCUUAUCAGUUUUUCGUUGAGCUUUCAAUUUGACCUCCUGUAGGCUGUAGGUUUACUUGGAAUUUGGUGAUCGCAGAUCAUUGUAUGGAUGUAUUAUAAAGCUGACCGGGUGAAUGAUGAUUUAUCUUUCAUAUUCUUGUUUUUCAGGGACGUUCAGUUCUUGAUAAAUGCUUACAUUCCCUUCAUUCUUCAGUUUCUGGUAAAUGAUUCCCUUCAUUCUCCAUAUUAAUUACUAGCGUUUGAUUAAAUAAGUAUUUAAAGAGUAUACGGCUAUACCUUUUGAACGUAUUAAAAUAUUAAAUAGUAUAGCCGCGCGGCUAUACACUUUAAAUGUAUUAAAAUAUUAAACCGUAUAGCCGAGCGGCUAUAUUAUUUAAAUAUAUUAAAAUAUUAAAACUUAUAGCCGCGAGUUCAUAGUCGUUAAAUGUAUUCGAAUUAAACGGUAUAGCCGGGCGGCUAUACGCUUUACAUGUGUUAAAAUAUUAAAGAGUAUAGCCGGGCGGCGAUACUCUAUAAAUAUAUUAAAAUAUUAAACUUAUAGCCGACGGGCUAUACCCCUUAAAUGAAUUAAAAUAUUAACAGUAUAGCCGCACGGCUAUAUGCUGUAAAUAUGUUAAAAUAUUAAACUGUAUAGCCGCCUGGCUAUACUCUUUAAAUAUAUUAUGUUUUAAUUAUUAUUUAUUUAUUGAAGAAUUAGUAUUUAAAUACUUUAAUUAAUUUUAUAAAUUACUUCAUAAAUAGUAAUUAAUUAUAUUUAAUCAUCUUUAUAAAAAAAAAUUAUGGAAUUUAAAAUUAUUUUAGUAUUCUAAAAAUAGAGUUUAGCCUCCAAACCCGAAAUCCAAGUCUCUAUCCAAAAAGCUUAGCUUUCGAACUUAUCUGAACUUGUUCCAAAACCGUUCGCAAGCCUUGAACCCUAAUGUAAACCUAUCGUAGGGCACUUAGGACUUGAUUAGGCUUAGAUUAUCACUUAACUCGACCUAGAGCUUUACGAUUUAGGUUUUGAUCCCAGUUGGUUUUCUUAACACCACUUAUCUUCUGGAAAUUAGAAAAUUCGAAAUCAAAUUAAUCUAAGACAAGUUUAUAUGAAGAUAAGAUAUAAGUAUCUUCAUCCGCAAGUUUAUUUGAGCAUUGCCCGAUCCAAAAGCUGCUGGGACAUCUUUGCAGACCUGUGAUCUAUAUUCUAUACAAUUAAUGCCUCCUUCCACCGCCACUGGAGUUCAGAUAACAGAAGAAGACGCUGCAAAAUUGACAACCGCCAUUCCCACUAUUCACUUAGAUCAUGAUCUAGUUCAGUUAUAGUUGAAGGAAAGAAAGACAGUGAUGUAAUAUAUCAAGUAGUUUCCCCGUGAAAGAUACAACUAAUUUGUUUCCCUCUUCACGUGUUAGAUCAGUUUGCUCUAAAGCACAUGUGUAAUGUGACAAAUAAUUCUCUAGCAUCGGACACAUGAAUGAUAAAUAAUUUGUUUUCCAUGCAUUUUUCAAAGACAAUAUGCAUCAGAUUUUCCCGAGGAAACAUGUUAGACGUGUAAUUGCAAGUUGAACUUAUCAAGCAUAAACACGAGAAAAUGCAACUUGAUGAAGACCUUCUGUCAUUGACAGACUCCAAACCAAAUGGUUCUGUAGAUCUUUCAAAUGGUCAAAUGCAAUUUGAUGAAGAGUUUCUCUUUCACCAGUCAUAAUCCUUUCCGUCACUCCAAUCGCAAGAAGAGCGGAAUCUAGAGCAUACCACAUGUGCAGGAAAAUCACUGAGUCAAUGUUUUUACCUUUUUCAUGUGAGGGCAAUGAUUCAUUACAAACUAGCAUAGAAAAAUAAAAUACCCGGCAAACCCCUUAACGUAUAUAAAGGCAAGGUGAAAACUGCCGUGGGAAUUGAAAAUCGUCAGAGAUCAAAAGACAUCAUUUCUAUCCAGAGAAAUUUAUUUAUUUUCGAACCGCCCAGGCCGAUGAUCUAGGAAAACAAUAAUGAGUUGGAAUUUUAUAACCAUACCGAGUCUCCUCCACCACUCCAUCCACAUCACCAUCGUUGUUUCAAAUCCUCCUUUGAACACCGUUAUCGCUAAACCCAAAGAACCACUUGUAUUUUAAAUAUAAAAUUAGAAAAUUAGUUUAAUAUUUGUAAUUAUAGUAAUUAUGUUUUUAUUUUUAUUUAUUUAGUGAAUAAUUAGUAUUAGAAAGUAUUUUGAAUAUUGAAAGCGUAUAGCCGGACGGCUAUACUCCGUAAAUAUAUUCGAAUAUUUAAAACGUAUAGCCGCCCGGCUAUACUCUUUAAAUAUUUUAUUUUUUAAUUAUUAUUUAUUUAGUGAAGAAUUAGUAUUUUAAUAUUUUAAUUAAUUUCAUAAAUUACUUAAUAAAUAGUAUUUAAUUAUCUUAAAUAAUUGUGUGGAAUUUAAUUUUUUAUAUUAAAAAAUAGUUUAAUUUUUGUAAAAAAAAUCCUAGAAAAUUAUUUUAGUAUUCUAAAAAUGAAUUUUAGCUUUCAAACCUGAAAUCCAAGUCCCGAACCAAAAAUCCUAAUUUUCGAACUCAUUUGAACUUGUUUCAAAACCGUUCGCAAGCCUCAAACUCUAAUUGUAAACACCAAUUUUUUGGAAGCCACUUUGUUUCAAAAACUUGUUCUAUCUAAGUGGAUAGCUAUGCAAAGUUAAAAAAAUAAAAAGAAUCGUUUAGGAUUUGCGUGUGCAAAUAUUAAGUUUUAGACCCUUAUGGUCGGGACAAGUUUGAGAUAAGGGGAAUAACAACCCCACUGUUGUACCUGUAGCAGCUUAAGCAUCUAAUUCCAUUUUUUAAGCAUUAUUCUGGGGGCCCAAUAAUUUGAAAACCCAUUACACUCAGGCCCACAUAUCUGCGAAAAUACCAGCACAUCACUGAGUUUUGUGUCAAAUCUCAUCAUCCUGCCUGCAUCCCACAAUUUCCUUUCAUCUUCAUCUAUUGCUUGUCGCAUCUGUCAAGUUUAAAGAUACAUAAAUUAUUGAGGUUUCUUAUCAUCAGUUGCCCACGCACACCGUGAUAGUGAGCCGUUGAUACACACAAGUCUUACAAUGCAUAUAUAACUUACAUUCAUCCACAACCAAUUUCAUGAGUAAUUAUAAACCGUUAAUACAUACAUGUCUCGUGACGUAUCAACGGCUUACAAUCAUCUACUAAGCUCACAGAAACAAUCAAUAUACACAGGCCCACAUAUCUGUAAAAAUACCAGCACAUCACUGAGUUUUGUGUCAAAUCUCAUCAUCCCACAGUUUCCUUUCAUCUAUUGCUUGUCGCAUCUUUCAGGUUUAAAGAUACAUAAAUUUUGGAGGUUUCUUAUCAUCAGUUGUCGACACACACGGUGAUAGUGAGCCGUUGGUACAUUAUACACAAGUCGUACAAUGCAUAUAUAACUUACAUUCAUCUACACUCACGUGCAUGAGUAACUAUAAACCAUUAAAACAUGCAUAUCUCGUAACGCAUCAACGGCUUACAAUCAUCUAUUAAGCUCAAAAGUUCUUCCAAUCUACCCAACCCAAAAGCUGCUUUAUUUGUUCACUCACCCCAGAUGGUUUUGGCAGUUCCAAUAACCCAUCAUGAAAAGUGAAAGCUAAAAUAAACGUGAGGCAUUUUGCUUGUUAUUGUUGUCUAUAUCCUUUUCACUCAACCAAAACGAUCGGUGGGGAAGAAACAAAUGGAAAUUGGAAACAGAGGGUGUGAAAACAAAUCAAGCAGCGCCCCUGGUUUCGUUGGUUUAUUACUAAACCUAUAUAGAGUACUACUAUUUAUUAAUUGCAGUUCGUUGGAUUGGAUUGGACAUAACCAUUUGAUGAUGUCAAAGUUCAAUAAAUUUUUAUUAUUGCAUUUUAUUUUGGGCUCAAGAGAGAGAUGCUCUUCUUUUUUUUGUUUUUUUUUCGUCUCCUGGUGUGGAGAUGCCCAGCUGGUCAAGGAUUAACUUUGACAUGCUGCUGCUUGUCGUUUUUCAAUUUAUAUGUUCAGUUAUUAACUGAGGCUAUAAUUAGCAUAUUGUUUAUAGGGCCUUCUAGAGAGGUUGACAUAAUUUUAAACUUAUUGCUGCUGCUGACUGCUGAGGGUUCUGGCUUUUGGUGAUUCAUGGACAGGAAUAGGUUAAAGGAAAAUUUAAAAUUUUCAUUGCACAUAACAUAAAUGGCUCCAUUUUGGAUUGUGGGAUUUCAUUUGCAUUUUAGUUCAUGUUAAGGUUCUUAAUAACGAAAAAUUUUCCGAAUUCAAAUCUCUCUUCCGGUCUUUUGAUAAAUAUAUAAAAAUAUAUAUAAAGUUGUGUGAGGGAGAAUAAUGUGAAGGAAUAUAAUGAUUCCAAUUGAUUCAUUGAACUUAGUCCUUUCAAGUCAUGAAGAAAUUAAAUCCAACUCUCUAUAAUACAUUUUAUUGCUUUUAUGGUUAACUUCUUUGAACCAAUAUAAAGUUGUUGCUUUUUAUUUUAUAAAAAGGCGACAGAAUCUUGUUAGAUUCUAUCGCACGAGCGAACAGUAAAACUGAAAUGAUCUUAGAGAGAAUCACUCUCAAAAACAAAUUUUCUAUGACUUAUUUCUAUCAUCAUAAUUUUCCGCAAAUUUAGUCCAAUGACAUCAAGGACAAAACUGGCCACUAACGGACAUGAAUCUCCUAGAGAGACUAAAAUACUCAACAAACUCAAUUAAGUUUAUGGGAAUUAUGAGAGAAAAAAACACAUAAAACCCAUAGAGUUUGUGGACCAAAAAAACCAAGACUACAAAUCUAAAACAAUGCCGACAAAAGGAAGAACAAAUAUCACUCAUUUUUCUUGGGAACAUGACAUAGAGAACGCCAACUAAUCACUCCAUGGCCCCAACACGGCAACGCCCUAAUCAACAAUAUAUCUAUCAUAAUCAAGCAUCAACACCUCAAAGGGUAGCCCCACAAUAUGAGGCACAUUUAAAACCAGCUCAUAUUCAAUGCAAAGACAAUAGAUUUGUCAAAGAAAAAUCAUAUCAACACACAUCCACAAAAAUUCAAAGAACACCAAAUAUGAAGCUUAAACCGUAAACCCGAAAUUGGUUUUGAAUGGGAAUUUGAAUUUAUAAAGUCAUCGUUAAAAUCCAAAUUUGGUGCAAAUCAACCUCAAAACGUCUUGAAUCUAGUUUUCCAACCUCGUCCAAGCCCAAUGAAUAGUAAAUCUAUGUCAUCAUAAGUUAACUUUAUAACACACUUCUCUUCUAACUUAAUAACUUUUUUUCUUUUCUUUUUUUUAAUUUUUUUUUUUAUAGGGCCAUUUGGGUAUGCAUGUUGACAUUAUGGUGACACAUUCAACUCCCAAGAGUGUAUCUGCCUAGCAAAAGUUGAUAGACACUUUUUACGACUGUUUUAAGCAUGCAAAUACCAGGUACAAACAACGACCGACUACGAAAACCAACGUUUCUUCUUCUUCUUCGUCUUUCUUUUAUUUUUCUUUUUUAUACAUAAAAUGAAUGCCAAAGUAGCUGUGGGUCAUUUGUCAUCCCAAGGGAGCAUAAAUUUCACUUCAAGGCUUCUUCUAGCUGCUCUGUAUCUUUUACACCUACCACCCCUACCAACCAAACCUUCAAUUUUUUUAAUUUCCUCUGCAAUUUACUCUGUUUCAAUCCAUUAACCCCAUAAUAACAAUAACACCAAAUAAUAAAUAACAAAAAUAUUUAUAAAAAUAAAAAUAAAAAUUAUCAUUAAUAUUUCCAUCCAUUGUCAUCAUCAAUAUGACAACCUGGAGAAGAAGAUGAAACACAAAAUGCCAUCAUCAUCUGAUCUCGAAACCAAAAUAUCAUUAAGAGACUUUGGGCUCUGCAAAACUCAGGUCCUCCCAUAAAACUCAGGCACCCAAAGCAACACAAACCCAGAAAGAUCAAACCAGCACCAGAGAAAAAAAAAAAAAAAAACAUAAACGUUGUUAAUAAUCAAAAUAAGAUCAAGAUCCGUUGCCAAGUCGCUUCUAAAAUAUCAAACCAGUUUAACGGAGAUCAUAGAUAUAAAUUAAAUUAGAAACCAGUCAUCGUUGAUUUCAAAUUUUUCUUUGCUUGCCCUACCAAAAUUUCCAGUAAGUCUCUGUUUUUUUUUUCGGCCUUAAGUUCUAAAAUUUGCUACCGAUCAAUCUUCGAACCCAACUUUUUUCCAAAUCGCGUUUCUCACUCGCCUCAAGUCUCUGCCUUUCAAGGUCCUCCCAAUCCCUUCAUGAACAGAAAACGAAGCCCCUCUCGUCCUCGCCAAGUACUCGUGAGGCGGGACCCUCCCAUCUCCGCCAUCAUCAUCAUCAUCGCCACCGUCAAAAUCUUCUUUUCCGCGGUCUUCAUCGCUGUCUCUCUGCCUCUGGUCUUUGUACGCCUCUUUCAGAAUAUUGGACCAGUCCGGAAUGUUCACCGGCAACGACGCUGACGUCACCUUGGCACUAUUUUUCUGAUCAGCCAUGCUCAUCAGCAUCGUCGUCUUCCUCCCCAUUUUCUUCAGCUCUCUGUAACUGGGUAUGGCGUUCUUCUUCUGUUCUGCAACUGGGUUCGACGAGCUCCAUAUAUCGGCCUCGUCGAACUCGAAGAGCCCGUCUGAGCCAAUUGGGUUGUCGCCGAUCGACGAGGUGGGGAAGAUGGCCUUCCUCGACGCCAUUGAUGAAUGAAGAACCGAGUUUUGAAGCCUUGGCUCUGUUUCUGCUCUGUUUUCAGUCUGGACUAUUUUUCUUUGCUUCUUUUUUGGUAAGAAAAUUUUAUGACCGAAAACGUUGAUUGCUCUGCAUUUUAUAAUGGCGAGUGUAAUGGAUAAGCUCCCUUUUUCGCUCUUCGUACAAAGUUACAUUUGUCAUGCUAAACGACAAAAAAUGGUAAAUGCUAGAAUGUGGGCCUCCUCAUAUGUUUGGUAUGGAGACGAGAUGCUACAUCAUGUCCAUGCCCUAAUUGCUUCUUACUUUCUUUCUUUACCUUUUUUAUGCCACAAGAUGAUUAGUGAUGCACAUUAAAACAUAUGAUAACGAUUAAGUCAUACGUAAGCAAGUGAAUAAAAAAAAGACCCUCAUAAUACACAAGUUGUUUAUGUUCGUGUGAGUGAUUAUUAAUCUUUCAUAUGUCGGCAUACAGGUCAACAAUCUUUCAAAACGAUUGAACUCAAAGUCUGAAUAUUUAUAUGUAUAAUAUAUUUUCUCAAAUUCAAUUUCAAUCGAUUAAGUAAAUGAUACGACAAAAUCUUAGUUGUGAAACUAACAAUAACCAAAUAAAACAAUGUAACAAUAAUUGGUAUCCAAAUUUUAGGGUUUUAUCCAUAAUAUAGGACCUUAUCCACAGUUUAAGAGCUCAAUUUAGUUGGACUGCUCAACCAUUUUUUCAGUUUUCAUUUUAAUAAUAUAUUUAUUAUGUUCUUAUCCUACAUAAAGCCAUUUUUUUUUAACAGUUUAGAACAUGUUAGGUUAUUUGUCGAACAAAAUGCUAAACAACACCUUCUACUAGUAUUAUGAUGUUUUCCCCUUAUUAAAAAAGGGUCAUGCUAGGGAGACCAACUUUAGAUACCAACUUGUGUACCAACUCUCUAAUAGAGGUGGAGCCCACCAAUACAAUGGGUCCCACACUCUAUUAGAGAGUUGGUACACAAGUUGGGAUCUAAAGUUGGUCUCCCUAGCAUUUUCCAUUAAAAAAUUCCUCAAUUACAGCCGAAUCACACGUAGGACAAUAUGUGUCAACUUAAUUAUAAGUUGAUUACAGAUUAGGCAGGCAACAAAGUGACACGUCAUUCUAGACAAUUAUCGAUUAAUUAUCCGUACAUAAUUUCCACACAAAAAAAUCGAUUGAGCAAGAUGGGAUAUGGACGAAUUUAUCCAUACGCAUGUAAACGACACGUGGACCAACCAGCGUUUGGUUUUCAACGACUCGAAAUUCAUUGGGACUUAUGAUUGAACCAGUAAACCCAUGACACGCUCGGGUUUCCGUAUAGUCUUUAACCACGCUGUAGGUCAAGGGCGCGGGCCCCGCAGCCCAUUCGACGUCUAUAAAGGGAUCGGAAUGUCCAUAUCGUGCCACGUCACUUACGCAAUUUCUUUCAUUUUUGGGGUAACAAAAUUAGGCCUUUUGUCGCGACAAGGGCCAAUCUGCUGUGACUGUGAGCUCUGUAAUCAAAAUGAUCAGCCUGGCAUUUCCGUGAUUGACAGCAAUGAAGAGCUGUUGGGAUUUUUGAGAUGCAUGUUAUAUUUGGAUAAGAACUUUAUUUUUGGGGUAAUUUAUUAUGUACUAUAAACAUUUUUUAAUUAUUAAAUUAAAUUUCAAAAGAAGAAGUUUGUAGUAAUAGAGAAAAUUGAAGUGAAGUAUUAUUUCGGGGAUGUCACAAGUUCAAAUCUUAUGAGUGAUAAUUGUUUCGAGAUUUUCUGUUGAUUAAGCAUUUUUUAAAGUCAGAUCAAUCCAUCAUUGAUUUGUGCAAAUUAGAAAGAUGCAAGAAAAUCAACAUUUCUUGCAAUCUUUUAUUAAUCUUUAGUGUUACUUGGUGACAACAUCAAUGAAUUGCCAUCAUUUUCCGUAGUUGGUAGUUUUGGCGUGUUUGUUUAUAUUUCUUACACACACAGAUUUAAUAGUCAGUUCAGAAAAACUGAGUUGGAGAUCUUUGUAGUAACUAACAUAGAUUGAUAAUCUUUCUAAUUGUCAUAUAGCGGUAAGGAGCGCGUAUAAACCACUUCAGAUAAAACACGAAAAUUGAAAGCAUGAGCAUUUUUCCACAAUGUGAUGAUGGGGAGUAAGAUAAGACACAAGUGCCUCUGCCCAUGAGUUUGAAACUUGUUGGAAACUGAUGCCUCUCAAGAAAAUUGAUCGAUCAUGACAUGGAUGAUGUUUUGUAUAUAUGAAAAUGAGAAAGCAUUGGUCUCUUCCCAACAACUUCACCCCCCGUUUAAUGAAUGCACUAUAGUAAAGUCACCAUCUUCUAGUAAACGUCUUAUCGUCAAGUACUAAUUAAUAUGAUUUUCAUUUUCAAAGAUGCGGCCUAUGUUGUACGGACACGAAAACGCGAUAUAGAACACGGCAAUUAAAAUAAUAAUAAAGAAUUUUGAAUCCUUAUCACUUUCAUUCAUCUCCAAUAUCUUAUUCACCAUACUACACACAACUUUGUGAUUAUAUGCUACAUUAUUUGAUAUUUAUAAUGUUUAUACAUCAUUUGAAAAAACUAUCCUAGUAAAAAUGAAAAAAAAUAAAUAAAAGUCUUUUUUUUCUAAUUAAAUUGAAAAUUAUGAUUAUUAACCCCAAGCGGCCCCUGCAAAACCAGAAGAUGUGUCUCUCACAAAUCCCAAUUGGCCCCCGCAAAAUUCGUGAAAUUGUCAGCUCAGCACCCCUUUCAUUACCAUUUAAACGAGGAUGCCCUUUAAUCUGAAACAAACACUACCAAACUUAAAAUAUGGAAUUCCCUUCGAUUCCUCAAGGCUCCACUGAAUUGAAUUUAUCUCUUGCUCCUCCUCCAACCCAAGAAACAACACAUGAAAAUGGUGUGUUUCCACACUCCACCUCAAGGCUCCACAGAUUUGAAUUUAUCUAUUGCUCCUCCAACUCAAUAAACAACACAUGAAAAUGUUAUGUUUCCACACUCAAUUUCCAUACAGGUUCUACCUCUGUGCAAGCUGCAAAUAUGCACAAUGAAAUCUCAACAACUAUGGUAAUGGCGAGGAGGUCUGACAAGACUGCACUGGAAGAGACCAAUUUUUUCAAUGCUCACUGUGCUGCUUCAGUAGAAAAUUUAGGAUUGCGUCUACUAGCAAGGAACCAAAAGUGUGCUUCAUUGACUGCUUAAAUUGCAUCCUUGAAGGUUGAAGUUGAUGAAUUGCAUAGGCUCCUCAAACAAUCAAACCGACAUAUAGACGUACUAAAGUAGAAAAAUAGAGACUUUGCUAAACUGGAGGAAGUUUUACAGACACGAGUAUCAAGAAGAAACAGAUAAGGAUCUGAGAUGAAGACAAAAUGUCCCCCUUUUGAAAGUCUGUAUCCCCUUUAAUUUUAACGACGCAAAAUAACAUGAAGGAACAAAGAAAAAAAAAACAUAUUUAAAAAAAAAUAUUGUUUACAUUUUUUACCUAUUUUGUUAAAAAUAUUUCAAAUAUGUCCGUGUAGUUUUCAAUAAUUAUGUUUUGACCCCAGUUUUUGUUUUAUAAUUUUCAAAAUGGUUUUUGUCGUGUCUUGACUUCUGUUAACCGUGUCCAAAAAUGUCUUGACCGUAUCCAAAAUGUGUCUUGACCGCUGACCCAUGUCCAAGGCGUGUCCAAUGCGUGUCCGCUUGUACAACACUUCAAACUAAUGAAGUGCCUGUGUUACAUUGGACACGGCAUAUUAUUUUCUUGCGUGACGAGAAAUUUUUUAACCAUCCUUAUGAGGAUAAGGUCUUAAGGUAAACUAGGGAUAACAGUUUGUUAAUUUAGUUUGCUUAGGGAAAUCAUGUUGGGAUCCCAAGGAAUAUGGUGAUAGAAAUAAUGGAUUAAGCCCAAUAAUCGUAGUGUUUGAGAGCUUUUUAAAUUAACCAUAUCUUUUGAGAAGAGAUUUGGUCUAUGGACUCUGGAUGAUUAGCAGACUGAUUGUGUUGAGAAUCACGACAAUAAUAAAAUAUUAUAAUUUGUUUUGAGAAUAACGAGCCAUUUAUUUUAUCAAUUUAAUGAAAAGUGAGUAGUAAAAAAACAAAUCACACUAGUUUACGUCAUUGCAUGUAGAGUUGUAAAUGUGCGGUGGAAAACGCACGUUGCAUGCGUGAAGUCUUAUCUCUCGUGAAUCACGACUUGUGUAACUGUCGUUGCUGGUGAAGUGUAGCAUCUGGCAUGUAAAGAAGGGUUCACUAACUCUUUACUUUACCCAAAAACAACUUUAUCCUUGAUUAAUUUUUUUAAUUGCAUCAUCGUUUUAUAUUGAAUUCUUUUGAGAUUCAUAUCAUUCUAGUGCCUCGAGACUCCACGGACAGGACUCAAAAUUUAUAUGUGAUGUCUAAGCCGACUUACCAAACGUGCCUCAAUAAUAAUAAAAUUGGAUAACAUUGUAACAUAUUUGUGACAACAAAAUUUCCUAUUCAAGAUUGGACGCAAUUCUAAAUAUCCAGUCUUAGCCACAAACGAUUCUAGGCUAGAUCAAAUCCAUCGCAUGUCCAAUAAUUAACUACCUAACACACUUUUAUCAACUAGGUUCGGGACCGGGAGGCUAUAAAUAGGAGUUAAAAGUGAGAAGGAUAUUUGAGGAGGUCAAUCUCACCAUCAAUAAAUGUAAAACAACAUUAUUUUCUCAUUCAUGAUCAAUUUUUAAUGAAAAAAAGCUUAGGGAUUAAAUCUAAAAAUCAUGAUUUAAAGUACAAAAUUCAUUGGCAUUAGAUAAAAAGUUAAAAAAUUAGGGAUUCACCUGAUUUUAUAAGUUUCUUAUAAUCAUGCCUUCAAAUGUCAAAGUUUGCAUAAAACAUCCAACUUAGAGAGCUUUGGUCGAAUUGAAUCACAAAGUUUUGGUUCAUUUGAAUAUUAAAGGUUCAAAAGACGUUUUGGAUGAUUUGAAGAAUAAAAGUUCAAAAGACAGAUUCUGGAGAGAGAGAGAAACUAGAAGAAAGAAGAACGAACCAGAACAAAAAAAAUCUGAAACACGUUAAAAAGAGAGAGAGAGAGAGAGAGAGAGAGAGAGAGAGAGAACCAGAAAAAGGAAGAACAAACCCAGGAAAAAAAAAAAUCUGUAACACGUUUAGGGUUAGGAAAUUGAAAACAGGGGGCCGUUUUCUUCAGUCAAAAGGCCUCCUUUUUUUAUCCUUUCUUUAUCCUUUGUUUGGUGAUUGUCAAAAGGCCUCCUUUUUUAUUUAUCCUUUCUUUCGUCUGAUUGUCAAAAGGCAUAAAGAUUAAAAAUUGAAGUGUAGAUAAGUAAAGGGCUUUUUGGGUUUCUUUUAGAAAUUGGCUGGAAAAAAAAUUGGAGGCCCCAAAUAUUUGGGGCCACUGUGGCAUCGCCCAACCUGCACAGGUUAUUUGUCGCUAGUUAAGCCCAAGAACUCAUGACGAGAGAUUCUAUAAUGAGAGGCUAUGUUGAGGGGUUGAAUAACGCAACACUUGAUCGGACAAUUAUUAAUAACUUUGCACAUUGAACGACUAUUAAAAACCGUCUCAUUAUAACCCGUCACUAUAGAUGAGUCAUCAAAUAUAUGGAGACUUGGACCAAGAGGAAUUAGGCUUGAACACAAUCACCAUAUUAGGAUGGUCGAAUGGACCCACCCACUAGCAAGUUUGGACUGAAUGGGGCUAAAGUCCAAUAGAUCGGUGGUCCGUGGAUCAAUGGCCGUCAAUGACACAAAAGAUAUGGGUCAACUUGGGCUAAAAGUGUGGCGACUAAAUUUUGGGUGCGGAGAGGCAGAAUAUUUUUGGGUUCCAAUGCGAUUACUAGGAACAAGCCCAACAAAAGCCGAGGAGAUCAUUGUCAUUUCCAUUUGGCAAUCUCUCAAUCCACAAAACCCUAGCGUUAUAUGUAGCUCCCCUACAAAAACCACACAUUCACUCGCAAGCUGCCUCCUCCAUCCAAAACCCUAACCCCUCCAAACCCAGAGCGCCGCCGAAGAAGCCAUGCCUCCAAAGUUCGACCCAUCUCAGGUGGUCGAUGUCUACGUCCGCGUCACCGGAGGCGAGGUCGGCGCCGCCAGUUCCCUCGCUCCCAAGAUCGGUCCUCUGGGUCUCUCCCCAAAGAAGAUCGGAGAAGACAUUGCUAAAGAGACAGCCAAGGACUGGAAGGGUCUGAGAGUCACCGUCAAGCUCACCGUUCAGAAUCGUCAGGCGAAGGUCUCUGUGGUGCCUUCAGCUGCGGCUCUGGUCAUCAAAGCCCUGAAGGAGCCAGAGAGAGAUCGCAAGAAGACGAAGAACAUCAAGCACAGCGGUAACAUUUCAUUGGAUGAUGUAAUUGAGAUUGCUAAGAUCAUGAAGCACAGGUCCAUGGCCAAGGAGUUGGCUGGGACGGUGAAGGAGAUUUUGGGCACUUGCGUUUCUGUUGGGUGUACUGUGGAUGGUAAAGACCCCAAGGAUCUGCAGCAGGAGAUUGCUGAUGGAGAUGUUGAGAUUCCCUUGGACUGAGCCCUCUCUGUUUUGGGUUUCUUCACAUAUUUAGUCAGUUUUUUUCAAAUAGAAUGAUUUUCAUAUUUUUGGGUUUUGUUUUAUAAUUUCUCCCAGUUAUGGAUUGAUAAUGCAGCGAAUGUUUUUGAUCAAAAUGCGGAGAUGUAAUGCUUUUAGUGUUAAAUGUCUUUUUUUCCUCUGAUAAUUUCUGGACGUAAAAAGUUUAGUGCUUUAAUGUUGAAAUGCAUUGCUUUUAUGCAACAGAGGAGUUGUGUGGAGGUGGUUGAUGUUCAUUGGUAUGUUGUGGGUUGCUGAUUUGGAAAUGUGGUAUAAUUGUGCUUAAAAAUGGGUGCUUUGAGGUGAAAAUUGAAUGAAUUGUGCACAGGUUUUAAGCUUUGUAUGACUAUAAAGCAUCACUCACUGGUUGAAAGUUGUUCUAUCUGUGCCUCUUGAGUAGAUUAAGGAAUUCCUAUGUUUUCAAUGUAAGCCAUUUUCGAAAACAUACUUGAGGGUUGAAUUAUGAUCAAAUCCGGGUCCGGUUUGUGGAACAAUUGUUUAGGCCAUGGUGUUAUUAGGUGGUUCCACAAAUCAAUAGUACCGUUUAGGUUUGGAGCUUUGAGGUUUCUUGAAAGACCUAAACACCAUUGUGAGCAAACAUGUUUUAGUUUCAUGGCGAGGAAAGGGCUGAAGGGCAUAUGAAGAUCAGAUGUGAGGUAAUAAGGGGGAUCCUAUAAAGCAGGACACACUAGGUAGUUUCUGUUAUCGUAGCAUGAUUUGAAAUUGAUACUAUUUUAAGUCUCACAGAUUUUAGUUUUUAGAUCAUGUUUUCGAAUCGGGGCUUGAAGCUCCGAAUUUAUCCAGUGUCAGUCAUAGUGCAGUUUGUGAAAUGAAUCCUAUGAUUGUUGAAUUAACCUUUCAAACGUUUCUGGAAGGAUAGCUCUUCCAUUUGCUGAUUUGCAUUAGCCCUAUUGUUUAGGUCUAUAUCCACAGGUAUAUUAAGGAAAUUGUAACUCGGUAACAUGCUUCAUGAAAAUACUGUUUGAUUCUAGCCCAAAUAAUUGAGAUGUUUAUAUCAGCCACCCAUUUGAUAAUUUGGUUCGAAGAAAAUGUUAACCGCCAUAGGGCCGGAUGUCCAGAGGGCUCCUUGUCCUUCCGCUUACAGUUAGAUUAGAUGAGUAGUUUUUGGGACCGAAUAAUCACUUGCGCUACAAGUCUCUUCGGCAGUAGUUUUAGUUAUCAAGGAAAAGGCAGAUGUAAGUUACGUUAAUGAGAAGUUUCCUGUGUAACGCAUGGAGAUCAUGGUUUGGUGGCACAGAAAUGGGAAGGGAUAGAAAAUGUGGUGGAUUCAAUUAUACAAUUAUGGUGGAGGGUGUUUUGCUAGGUUCUCCUUCUCAUUACAUUACUUGCACGUUUCUUUAAUUCUUCGGUUUAAAAGAAACUCGGUAAAUGUUGGGUUUGGUCAAUGCCAAAAGUAGGCUUAACCUCAUGUUUUUUAGGUUCUCGCUACGACUGCGGAUUACCAUCAAUCAAAAUGGGACCCUUCACUGAUAAUCACGGCAGAUUUCCUGCUAUAUAAGGGCCUGCUCAUUCAUACCCUUCCCAAGUUCUUUUGCUCUUCUUGUAUAGACAAAAUCUCUUCUUUGAUAGAUCUCAAGGAAAUUAAUUCUCUCUUCUUUCUUGACAUAAGGGGGAAGAGAGGCCAUCUUUUUGCUAGUCAUUUGUAAUUAGAAUCCAUUGAACAGAAGCCCCCCUUUUCUUCUCCAAGUCCAAGCAUAAAUGGCUAAGGAGAUGAAGAAUUUGACUGGAUGGAUGGAGGUUCUUCCAGCCCCCAUCAUUUACCCACAAAAGCCUUCGAAUUCCCCUGGUUUGGAGACAAUUUUCGAAGAGAGCAUCGAAGAAUCUGACGACGAUUCAUAACUUUUUAAGCUCAUCUUGAUUCUUUGGUUAUGGAUCCUUGAUGAUCACAUAUUUGAAAAUGCUUUGCUUUGGAUGUGUCUCGCUACGCCUCGGCAUUGGUUCGGUGGAAUGCUUUGAUCAGAGCUAUGAUCUAGCCAUCUGAAAGAUCAGAAAUGGAUCAGGGAAGCAACUGCAAUAGUUUAGAUAAUGAAUGGCUUCAAUUCUAUCCUCCUGACCAAUGCAGUGGGAGUUCUUCCUCUCUGAACAUUGUCUAAUGAACCCUGUAUUGUAAAUAUGCAAUUACUUUCCGUCUUGUUGUACGUAAAUAUAGUUUCCUAAUAAAAAGUACCAAAAUAAUUAUACGUGUCAGACUAUUGGGAAGUAUGUGUAUUGCUUACGAAACUGUAGCUUGCAGUUACAGCUCUUAGGAGGAUAGUGAUGAUUUGCAAGCUAGCAACAAGACAAUUGAGUGCUAAUUAAAUUAGAUUUGGUAAAUAUAAGGAAUAUCAGAAAUAUUGUACUAAUCUAUUUAUUUCAUCAAAAUUAUUUAAUUAAAUAACUUUUGAUUUAACUGAAUUUUUUCCAAGAGCAUAGCUCCGUAGUGUAGUAUAGUUAGUAAAAUACAAGACGAGUAUAAUACGUACGUAUAUUAUUCGGUAAUUCUUAAGAACAUACGGUGAAAAGUUCAAUCAUUAUAUAAAAUUUAAACUUAUUUAUUCAAAUAGUUUUCUUUUUCAACAAUAUAUGAAAAAUACAGAUAAAAUAUGCGAAUAAUAUGUGUAUUAUUGCAAAAUAUCGGUAAAUAAUACAUAUGUGCGUGAAUAAUACUUUUGCAUUAAAAAACAUUUAUUAUAUGUACAUAAAAUGUUAAUAUUUUUAAAAAUGUAUAUAUAUAUAUAUUUAUAUAUGUGUGUACGUGAAUAAUACACGAAUUACUGUAACCUAGAAAUGGUUUUGGACUCUUUUUUUGAAGGGUAGGUGUGGAUUAAUUGGCUUUAAAGGUGUCGGUGAGGAGGAUGUUGAAAAUUUACGUUUUUGUGAAAACUAGAAGAGCCAAAAAUGAUUGGGAUUUUAGGUACUUUCUUGUAGUGUAUUGCAGAAUUUAAGCAAUUUGGUGGGCAGUCACCAUAGAUUGGAUGGGAUGGGAGCCUUGGACAUUAAUAAGAUUCAACGUAGAUCGAACACUUGGCGUUGCUAGAAAAAUUUGCCAUCAUAGCUAUCAAACGUGUCACAAUUAUUUAUUUAUUCUCAUUUUCCAUGUUCCUCACAUGCCUUGUAACUUUUUUGUGCAGCUGCUGGUGUAGUUUCCUUCACUCAUUUUUCUCACCAAUAUCAUAUGAUUCUUGAACUCCCUAUAAAAGGCCACCUUCUUCUACUUUCCCUUCAACCCAAAUCAUUCUCACAGACUGAAACUGUUUCUAGAAACAAAACCCAAAUCAAGAAUCUGCAACAGAAGCCCUUUUUGUUUGUUUUGAGAGCAACUUCUUGUUCAUUUUCAAGCUUGGAAGCAGCUGAUCAGAGCAGGAAAGAAGAAAGAAGGGUUUUUGUUUUGUUUGAUUUCAAUGGCAAAGGAGAUGGGAUUGUUGGGUUCUUGGGUUGAGGUUGCUCCUGCCCUUCUGAUAUCUCCCAACAAGACUUCAACUUGUCCUGAAUUGGAGACAAUAGCUGAAGAGUGGGAGCUGGAGGCAGAGGAGUAUGAUCAAGAGGCAAAACAGAUUGAAAUUUUACUGAAUUCUUCUGUGCUGAUUAUGUAGUUUUAUUUAUUUAUUUUUGGGGUUUUUUUGUGUGUGAAUUUGUAUCGAAACAAAUGAACAGAAUUUUGUAGUUCAAUGACUUCAAUCUUGUUUGCUACCUUUGGAACUUGGGAGGAGUUAAACUAAAUAAUUUAUUUCUCUUGUUGAUGCAAUUUUAUGGCUAGAUCUUUGGAAGGAUAUCAAGAAGUUGCUUUCUGCAAUUCUGCUAAAAUAAGAGACGCGUAAAAGAUGGCAGAAGGUACACGUCAAAAGUUUAAUAUUCUUCAAGGCACUCAACCUCCAUAAAAUCAUUUGCAGUUUGGUGAAUAAUAUUAGAGAUAUAACUACGUAUCAUAUCAUUUUUGAAGUCACAAUUUAUAGAAAAUAAUCCAAUACAUUUGUCACCUUUCAAUCUGAAAAACCAAAAUAAAAAAUAAAAAAACUUGUUUUGAAUCGAAACUCAACCAAUUCAACAAAUUCCAGUUCAUAUAUUUUUUUGGUAUCGAUAUUACACCUAUACUUAAUGACAUCACUUCUUGCAUCUAUCUCCUAUAAAUUAAUCGAGUGGGCCGAGUGCACUUGGUAACAGAGACAUCCUUCUUUAGUGUGCGUGCGUGGCGUGCUAUACCACGGUUGCAAGUGGAUGUGGGUAUGAAUGAGCACAUAAAUGGGGCUCUGCGCUAUGGUCUUGACUUCUUUUCGAGUCACUGUAAUUGAGAUAGGAAUAGAUUCUCGGUCCUAAGGUUCUAGGCCUCGACCACAAGGCCUUUAGAAUGAGAUGAUGGAUGGAUAGUGUCAUUGAGCUCGGUAGCUUGGUGGUGGCACUAGACUCGGUAGUUCAAUGGGUUCAUAUAUCUUAAGAAAUAUGAAUAUAUCAAAAAAUCUGGAUGGGUUGAGUGGUGCUUAAAAAAUCACUAUGUAAACGGCAAAUAAAGAGACUCUUGUUCACAUAUAAAAUUGACGAUUGAAAUGGGGAAUGCCCAAUAACUCACAACUGUUACUGAGUUUUUGUUAACAAUAUUUACACUAAUUUCUAAGGAAAAGUAUUAAAAACCAUGAACUACAUGAUAAAAGGUUAAAAGGUGUAUUUGAGCAGCUAUUGGGCUUGAUUUGUUUGAUUGGUGCCGGACCUUUCUUUCGUUGAUUUUGCAUCGUUUCAGCCGAGGUAAAAAAUCUUGACAGUGCUCUGACACCCGUCCAAUCACCUUUCAUAGAUUUUAUCCCACGUUAUUGCUUGCGAUUGGCCAAUCUCGACGGUGGAAAAGGUGACCAUUAGCUCAACCUCUAAAUCUUGUACUCUCAGUGAGGCAAUUAUUUCCUUGACCAUAAGAGCAACUCCACCCAUUUGCCCUUAGCCAUGGCAAGGGUGGAGCUAGGGCAAGCACUAUUCACGUGAAUAGUGGCUGCCCUUGCAAAUAGUAAAUUGUGUCUCCACCCGUUGCCCUUAGCCAUGGCAAUUACUAUUCAUUUUUUUGUUUUUUCCUCCUAUUUUUUAAUGAAAAUAAUUAAUUUGGGUAAUAUUUUCAGAUAAUAUUUUUGGGUUCGUACAUAUCAAUAUUUAUUAUAAAAUUC